UCAAGACACAACAAUUUGAUGCAUUUUUGCAUUGGGUUGCUUCCUCUCCUUCCCUUCUCCUUCCUCCUCGUCUCAUUGCUUAGUUUUGGCUAUGUUUAUUUUGAUCAUUAUGGUAGAGCAUCCUUGCAAGAUGUACAAGAAAUAUGUUGUGGUGCAUUAUCCCCUUCUCUACCACCCGAAAUCUGUUUUCCAUGAUCAUUAAUACCAAGAUGUUUAAGCAUCAAGUAAGGCAUCUCUCAACAAUUAUGCGAGAAAUAAGAGACAAGCAACAUACCAGUAUUCAAGAGAAGUGAUGUUCUACAUUUGCAUUUGACAACAUGCAUUUAGUCUGAACUCCAAAUUUGGGCAACUCAGAAUCUCCACCUUCAUUAUGAUUGCAGAAAGUUGCCUUCUUGGAAAAAUGUGGAAAUUGGGCAUUUAGAAAUCUAAAAGAAUCACAGUGGCAUGUUGCUACUUUUGAAUCAUUCCAAUCAAUAACAACUCCAAAGAUAUAUAUACAAAUUUGUCCAUAGGAAAGAGAUCAAUGUUUCUUGGGCAUGCAACCAUCUCUCUUAACAAACUCAGGGUUCUACACCCUCUUAGUGGUUUCUUAUAUAUUGCACCAUAUGAUUUGUAGAUAUCCAAUUGCCAAUUUCACUACACCUAAUGAACUAGAAGCUAUGCUAAAAGUGAAGUUAAACAACCCAUCGUAGAAAGAAUCUUGUAGGAAUACACCAAAAAGAAAAUCUUAUUAACAUAAAUGAACUCAUCCAGUUAAAGGAUAAAGUUGCAUUAAAAAUUGAAUUGGGAGAGAUACAAAUAUUGAUGCUUACGUGGGACUGUGGAAUGGAUCAACAAGAGGAACAAACACUGAAUAGUAAAUGUAAAGUCAUAAAGCUUGUAACAACUGUCAAAUACUACUCUAUAGUGAAGUUUUUUUUAACAAUAAAGGUAACUGCAAAAUUCACCAAAUAGCUCCACUUGAAGGAAAUUUCAAUGGUAUGAAACUAAGAUAUGGUGAACUCUCCUUGCUUCUGCUAUUGUUGUGAGCCAUUAUAGAUCAAAGAUGAAUCUCGCCAUCUGUUUUCACAUAGGAGAUGUGGGCUAUCUUUGGGUCAUCUCUCAUCAUUGGAUUUAGGAGUUAUGUCUCUCAUAUAUAGUUUCACUUGCCAACUACAAAUGGAGCUUAGCAGAUGUCUCCAUGAUGUGGAGACUGAGCAACAUACAUGAUUCAAGGGAUGUGCAGUUGUUCUUGUGAAUCACCCAAUCUUCAUCUAAUAUAUAUAGACGCACAAAUUUUAGCAACUUGUAAUCUCCACAUUUUAGAGCACUAGAGGAAGCUAGCUUAUUCAGCAAACAUAACACAAUUAGAAAAAUACAAGAAUUCCAGAUACAUGUUGUGCUAUCAUGCAUUCCAAUCAGUAAGGAAUCAAAGUGCUAUAAUUUUAAACUAUGCAAUAACAAACCUAUCUUGGGGAAGUAAACUGUCUUGAGCACCAACUUAAUUGUGAGUUCUUUGGGAGACUUGGACACCAACUCAAUCAAAACUGCUAGUUGUUUCUGUGGCAGCUUGUCUUCAUCCACUGAUAUUGGAGAAAAUGCUUUUGAAAACCCUUAAUCUUCAAAUCACAAAGAGAAAUUAGAUUAUGUUGGUAUUCGAUCUCCAAUCUCUUUAACACAAAUGGAUGAUUUCCUAGUAACAAACAAUGGCUAAUUUUAUCACUUAUACUCUAGCAUGUGAUUUGGGAGGAGAAUUAAGCUUUGGAAUAUUGCCAAUAAACAAGGAAUUGAGAAAGACCAAGUGGGCAGCCACCACAACUAGUUCACAAAAAAAUGGAAGCAUUGGGAGUGGAACAUGACACAAAAACAAAACAUGUUUUCCAUAUUCAUAAAUACCAAGGUGUUUAAGCAUCAGGUAAGGCAUCUCUUGACAAUAAUAUGAGAGAUAGAGACAAGUAGCAUACCGUUAUUCAAGAGAAGUGGUAUUCUUCUUUUGCAUUUGACAACAUUCAUCCACUUUACACCCCAAUUUUGGUAACUUAGGAUCUCCACCUUCAUUAGGAAUAUUGUAGGAAACUGGCCUCUUGGAAAUACAUGAGAGGACAUUUAGAAAUCUAAAAUAAUUCUAGAGACUUGUUAUUGCUUGAAUUGUGAAUCAUUCCAAUUAGUAACAACCGUAGAGCCUCUAUACACAAUUUUGAAUUAUCUACCUUCUUACAUUAGAUGAAAAAUCUAUCCCUAGAAAAGAGGCGUGUCUCGGGCCAUGCAACCAUCAAUUAUUAGCUCUCUAAGAGGCUUGAAGUUGUGCACCCUCUUGGUAGCUUCUCAUUCAUUACAACAUAUAAAUUCCAGAUAUCCAAUUGGCAUGUCACUUGAACAUAGUAAGAAACAUAGUGAAUAGGAAGUUAGACAACCUGUCACAAAAAGAAUCCUACAAUAAUACACCAAAUAAAACAUCUUGCUAAUUCAGUUAAACAAUUGUGUGAAAAUCUAAAUUAAGAGAGAGAAAAACAUUUAUGCUUACAUAGGACUAUGGGAGGGACCACAAGGGAAAUGAACUUCGAAUAGAAAAUGUGAAGCUUUAAAGCUUGUAAUUGUUGUCAAAAGUUGCCCCCUAGUCAAGUUUUCAACAAAAAUGUUCAGUGUAAGGAUUCUCUAGUAACUCAACUUGUAGAAAAUUUCAACAAUAUGACAAUUUAUACUCAUAAAAAGAAGAUAAAAUGUAAGAAUUAUGUGUUGGGAAUAGAUGAAACUUACUGAAUAUAUAUAUAUAUAUAAAAUAGGAUGAACUCCACCAGCUUCCAUUUUUGGAAUCCAAACUAUUAUGGAUCAAAGAUGAAUCUCUCCAUCUAUUUAUAAAUAGGACCUAUGGGCAAUCUUGAAUUGAUGUCUCAUCACUGGAUUUAGAACUGAUGUAUAGCUCUGAACCAUGGCAGAGUUCUCCUUCAGUUGCCAAAUACCACUAGAGCUUAGGUGAGGUCUUGGUGAUGUAGGGAAGUCAUGGAUUCCGGAAUCUUUACAUGAAAAUAUACAGGAGAUACAUUGGAAGAAAGGACAGGCCAUCUGAGAAGAAACACAUCUUAAAGUAUACCAUCAAUCAUGAGUUGUUUGAGAGUGAGGAGUCUUUGAAGGCCUCACUCAGAUAAGGGUUGUCUUUGACAUUUCUCACUCUUCAAUCUCAAGAAGGUACAUCAUCAACUAGAACCUUAGGAAUGUGAGUCAUCAUGGGACAACUUGUUUAUGUUCUUUAUUCUUUUCUCACCAGAGAGGAUUGAAAGAUAUGUAGUUUCAAGGGCAAAACAUGUAGCCAGUAGUGAGAGCAUCAAACAAUCCUUCUCUAAUGCAAACCACAAAUUUUAGUAACUCGUGAUCUCCACAAUUUAGAGCACAAGGAAGCUGGUCUGUUGGAAAGAUGUGACAUGAAAUUUAGAAAUAGGCAAGAAUUCUAGAGAUCAUUCCAAUCAUUAAGGAAUCCAAAGCCUUAUAAUUUGAACAGGGCAUCUGCUUGGCAUGGAUAACGCACCUAUCUUGGGACAAAGACCACAUGUUGAGCACCAAUUCAAUUAUCAACUCUCUAUGAAACUGGAUAUAUAAGGUACUAAUGUUAGUACAAAUUACUUGGUAGCUCUUCUUCUUUUACUGGUGUUAGGGGCAAAGCCUUGUGAAAACCCUAAAUCUACAAAUUACCAAGGACGUGAGAUCAUGUUGUAAUCUUAUCUCCAAUCUCCAGCUGCAAAUAGAUUAUUUCUUUCAAUUAACAAUCUUUAAUGCUUUCACUUCUAUCAUAGGAUAUGCAAUUUGGGAAAACAAGUAAGAUUUAUAAUAUUAGGAAUAUGAAAGGAAUUGAUGAAGGCCAUGAAUCUACUUAAAAUAAAAACAAAGAUUUUUUCACCCAUGAAUACCAUAACCAACUUCCAAAAAGCAUUAGGUAUUGCAAUAACCAAAUGUUCCUUGGGUAUUAAAGUUAAAGUUCAAAGUAACCAAGAGUGCAUUUUUUGACCCAUGCAUAAAAUAAAAAGAAAAUAAGAACGAAUACCAUAUAACUCACAAUUGUGUCAAGUAUGAGUUUAGUUUAUGUUCAUGCACAAUUGCAUUAAGUAUUCGAAAGCUAAAUAAGGCUAUGUGCAAUUCAAAGAAUACCAUACAAUGCUCACAACUUAUCAUAGAAUGAGAGCUCAAUUGUCUUUCUUCCAGUCAUAAGAGUUUGUGCUCUUUGAGCCUCUAACUUGCACAACUCAAAACAGCAAGACAUGCCAAAAAGUCUCCUUCACCUUAAACAUUAUUCAAUAUAAAUCUUGAUAAGAAAAUUUUCUACAAAUAUAACAUGUUGCAAACAAAUAGCAAUAUGUUAGUUUAAAAUUGAAGAGAAUUUCAAACCAAACAAAAUAGAAAAAAUUUCAAUGUUUAUCACUUACCUAAAAACUUGUAUGUUGGAUAAAGUUGAUGCUAAUGAAUCUUGACAAUUGUUUGCAAUCAAAAUUUAUUAAUGAUUCAUAGACAAAAAAAAAAAAAAAGGAAAUUAUAAAAUUAUUUAGCAAUGUUCCAUGAAAAACACAUUGUACAUUGAUUGAGAAAUUAAUAUGAAAUCCACUAAUUUGAAAGACAUUAAAAAACAGAUGUUGUCUUGAGUUCUCCAUGUAUCAUGACAGAUGCAAGUUGCUAUUCGAGCCACCACAAUCAUGGAGUACGAGACUUCUCAGCAUGGAAGGCAUACCAAAUUUCAAACAAGGUUCUUAACUUUCCAAGAGACAUAAGAACAUGGUGUGUUGUAUAAACUGUAGAAUAAAUAAAUGGAAGUUAGACACACAUGCACUUGCUACUUAUUUUUUUUAAUCAUCUAUGAAAUAAAUAAAGAGGUGUUACUUGCAUUCAAUCCAAACUUGUGGUCUCCAAUGUGAAAUCCAAAUCUCAUUUUGUCAACACAAUAAGAGCAUUAAACAUACAACAAAUUGAAUCCUUCCUUUUGACAAUGUGAAAACCUGAAAGAAAUGACUCAAGAUCAUAAAUAAUUAUACAAUAAAGAAAACUUUCAUUAGUCUUUCUCAAAGAAAAAUCUAUUAUUUCCUUGAUUACGGAAGAUAGAUAUUUUGACAUAAAGUGCACUUAUUAAGGUAAACUUUGUGCAUUAUACAUUGAAAUUAGAAAUUUGUAUUUAAAUCCAAUUAGAAAGGUACCACAAAAGAUGAAUAAUUGAAAUGAAGACAUCCAUGCCAAUUUGUAACUGCUGUCAAAUAACACCCUCCCUUAACAUUUUUUAUCCCAUGCCUGCAUGUCAAAUCUCCAACUAAGAUUACUCAAAGAGCACCUAAAAGAAAAUUACCAAGAUUUCAUCACAUGCAGAACUCAAGAUGCUAACAUUGAACCAUGGGAGAGAUCGACAAGAAACAAAAUACUCACCCAUAAGUUUGUAAUUGUUGUACUUAAAACCCGUUUCCUAGUCAAACUUGCAACACAACUCCAUGGAGACUUUCACAAAUAGUUAAGCCACUGGUAGAAAACAACAUCAAUAUGAGAAAUUGACAAGGUACUGUGCAGAUAAAAGAGUAUAAAUGUGUGUUGAGAAUAAGAUUUACCUUAAUGAAUGUAAGGAUAGGAUAGGGUUGAAUUGGCUUUGCACCUGUUUUUGCAAUUUGAUGUUAUUACGAUUCAAAAAUGAGUUUAUGAUCUAUCCUCACUUUAAGGGAAGUGGGCAAUCUCCUUGAAACAUCUUUGAUUUAGAGAUUCGAUAAAACUCAAAAGACAACCUUUCACUUGGUAAAGAGGGCUAGAACAGGGCACCCCUCAAUCUCUACAAGUUAAAGAGAUGAAGUUCUGAAGACCAAGGAAAGGGACUUGGGAUUCUAGAUUUGACAAUAUUUUCAUUGAAAUAUCAAUGAGAGUUGUAGCAAGAAAUACUGUCAAAAGGAAAUUGCAUUUAACAAUGCGCAAUAUAAAAUGAAUGAACUGAGUUUUUGGAGAGGUGAAUCUUUGGAGGCUCCACAAAGAUAAGGGGUCUUAAUACUCUUGCAAGUAUAUUCAUGAAAUUGCUUUCUCAAAGAACUCCAGAACCUAAACAAUGUGCAACACAAAGCUAUUGAAGAGAUGUGAGACUUUGAAUCUGAUGAGGUAGGGACUUGAGAUCCACAUUUUCUUAUGUGAAGAAUUUUGAGGUUGUAGAGGCACACUAGUAGUUUCCAAAUUCAGAUGCUUCUCUUCAAAUAUUCGUAUAAUGUACAUCUUCUUUGACAUUGCUGCUCCAACAUGAUGUGCAACCUAUUUGAGCAUACUACAUGUACAACAAAAAAUUUCAUUACAACAAAAAUCUAAAGUUAAUGUCUAAGAAGAUAAGAUUUAUAUAAAGUGAAUGAGCAUGCUUGAUUUAGCACAAAGAGAAUGACCCUAAAAUUUAAGAAUAUCAUUAAAAACUUCACAAGGAUUUGAUGGUUAGACAAUGAAGUAAUUCUAAUAAAUGAGUUAAAAUCGGCUAAGCUAAGAAAAAUUAAAUCCAAAUAAGCAUCAAUCAGUAAGGAAUUGACCUACUAUGAAAGACUUCAAAUGAUAUUUUCCUUGUAAUUUCUAUUCUUAAUUGGCCCCAUUUGCUUGUACCAAAAUAUUAUUAUCUUACCUUAAAGGAAGUGGAUGACUUAUAUCUUUGAAAGGAUGUGAAAGGUGGAAAUCCCUCGAUUUCCAAUUAUUCAAGAAGAUAAUUCCUAUGGCUAUUGUUGUCAUUGUGCAUAAUUCAACUAGCUAUAGACUACAUAAUUGAACAAUCAUGAACACGUAGAUGCUUAAAUAUGGUAUGUAGUUCAUCUAGUGGAAAAAUAAAUGAGACUUGGACAUCUCAAGAUUUAUGGGAAUCAAGACAGAUACAAGUUGUUGUUGUUGUUUCCUAUUAUAAUUCAUUUGGAUUGCAAUCAACAAGCGCUAACUCCAUUCACUGCAUGUUUUGAGUCUUCAACAUAAAACCCAAAUUCCAUUCUAUCAACCAAAAAAUAAAAAUAAAAAAUCCUAAUAACUCCUCUAGGAACCAUUUUACGUCUCAGAUUAUAAGAUGCAGGAUGUAACUCACUUCCAUCAUUGAGAAUGAAUUGAUAAAACUUUGCAAUACUAGUAUAUUCAGCUUCAUUAUGAUGACCUCAUUAGAACUAGAAUAAGUGGAGUGAUAAUGUUAUCUAAUUAGUAAACCCAACCAAUUUUAUAAACUAGAACUUCCACUAGUAUAGCCUCUAUGUAAAAGAAAUUUAAAGGUCUUGAUACAUUAGAUAUUGAAAUUGUUGGAUUAAAAUUUUAUUUAUUGCACCUAGCAAGAUAGAAGUAAUAAUGCUAAUUUCAAAUUAUGACAGAUUAUAGAGAAAAUUAGACACUGAGGAAAUACCAAGCCAGAAGCCAUGUCAAGAUCUGCUUUCUAGUUGAAAAUUUUAGCAAAAAAUUAAGUCCAAUUAAAAAAUUGCAAUAGUAGGUAAAAGAAAUUGAAAGUGAUGUUGAGGAGAGAAAGAUGAAGAAAGAUGUUGGGAAUGAGAUGUAAUACUUGUUUUAUUGCUCAGAGAUGGAUUAGUCAUGUAUCUCCACACGGGGGAUAUCGGCAAUCUUGGGCCAAUCAUGUCCUUCCUCCUCUAAGUACCUUUGUUUUAGAUGUGGACACCUCCAAAUCCGUAGUUCUAACAGGGAAUCAGGCACCAGUCCUUCCCUUGGCAAAAUCCACUGGAGCUUAGGGCAGUUGAAGAUCACCAGGCUUCUAAGCGAUGUAAGGGUUUGGAGAGAUAGGGAGGCUAAGGAUUCCAGAUUAUGGAUUUGAGAAAUGUGAAGGGAGGUAAGAGUUGUAGGAAGAAUAAUCAAGUGGGGGUCAUCUGAAAAGGAAGUUGCAUAUGGAAACAUGCCUUCAAUUGAGAGGUUUUCAAGAGAGGUGAGUCUAGAAAGGCCCCAUUGGGAUAAAGGGGUCUUGAUAUUCUCACAGUGAGAGAUAGAAAACAAUGUAAGACAAGUGAGGUUUUUUAUCAGAGGCAAUAAUUUCAAAUUUUUAUUAUUUGCAAUAUAUAGAUCUGUGAGGUUGUAAAGGCAAUUUGGUAGGGCUCUGAGAUUAGGAUACCUCCCGAUGCUUAAUGAUUGAAAUGAAUUAUUAUUAGAGUGAAACAUCAUGAUAAUAGGCAACUUGGUAAGCUGAUUACAUCAUGAUAAUAUCAAUGUUUGUAAAUUGCAAAGACCGCCUAUUGAAUCAGGUAAACAUUUAAUGUUGCUUUUAGACAAAUUCAGAUACCUUAGAAGUUUUAAAUUACCAAAUUCAUUUGGUAUCUCAUUUAUCCGGUAACCACUCAAGAAGAGCACCCUUAGGUGUUCUAAUCUUGGUAUCAAUUGUCGAAGCACCUUAUUACUGAUGAAUUGAGUAUCGAUAAAUCUUGGUGUUGAUAUAACUAUGAAUGUGCACAAAUGCUCCUUCUUAUGAAACCUUUCAAACUUUUAAAUGUAUCAUAAUCAUCACGAAUAAAUGAUGAAUGGCAAGUACUUUUAGGAAUGAGACGUUGCAAAUUAUUUUUGAACUCAUCAUCCAAAUGCAAGCAUGUAUCUCCAGCAACAUAUUUAGCUAGAGCAUGGACAAGGUCAUGCAUCACAAAUCGUGAUCUAUUGCUACUCGACUAUCGAAAAAAUGACCUUGACAGUAGCUCAUCAAAAUACUUAUCACCAAGAUCUUCAAUUUUCCUAUUAUCUUUUGAUUGUUGAAUUAACCCCUCCGCCAUCCACAUGAAGAUUAACCCUUGCUUUGUAAACUCAUAAUCCUGGGGAAAAAUUGCACAAUAAGUAAAACACCUCUUUAAAUGUGACGACAGAUGAUUGUAGCUCAAUCUCAAGGCAGGGAUGAUGUCACAUUCCUUGUUUGUGAAAUCCCAUACUUUGCUGUACAAUUCUCUUUCACAUUCACAUCCCCAUAGUUCAGAGUGCAAAAGGCCACCAAGGGCUCUUGCUGCUAAGGGCGAACCUCCACACUUGUCUACAAUUCUCCUAUCAAUUGAUUCCAAAUUUGGGUGCUCAUCGAUAUUCAUAUGUUCAAAAGCUUGUGUUUGAAAUAUCUUCAAACAAUCAUCAUAAGGUAACUGUUUGAGCUCAUGUAAGUUCUUGUGUCCUCUCAUCUUGUUUGCAACAUCAUUAUUGUUGGAAAUCAAGCCAGCAUCCUUUGUUUACUUCCCUAAUUAGUGUAAUGUACAGCCUUUAUUAUAAUUGAUUUAGGAGUAAUUCUAGCAAGGUAGUUUAUUCACUUCCCAUGUAAGAGUUUAUUCUUAGGAGUAAUUCGAGCAAGGUAGUUUAUUCACUUUCCAUGUAAGAGUAGUUUAUUCACUUCCCAUGUAAGAGUUUAUUCACUUUCCAUGUAAGGGAAAUUCCAUUCCGGAAUUGUCUCAUAUCUGUAGGCUAUUUAUUUAUGCUUUCAUUCAUUGUAAAGGAAGGUAUCACAGAAUGAAUUGAGGUGUUCCUCCAUAGUUUGUCUUCAAAUUCUUCAUAUUUUUCUUCAAAUUCUUCAUGGUAUCAGAGCAGGUUUAAUCCUGUCUCAUCGUCUUCAUCUUUAGUCAGUUUUUUUUUUACUCAAUUCUAUUCUUCUAAUUUAUGUCUAAAUAUGGUCCAGCCUUUGGAAUGGCUACCAACUCAUCAUCCUCUACUUCUGAUAUNNNNNNNNNNNNNNNNNNNNNNNNNNNNNNNNNNNNNNNNNNNNNNNNNNNNNNNNNNNNNNNNNNNNNNNNNNNNNNNNNNNNNNNNNNNNNNNNNNNNCUGGCUAGUCAACUCUAUGACCGCUGACAUUGGUGAAAAUUUUCUGUCAUUUGAUACUGCCAAAGAAAUCUGGGACACUGCAAAAGAAACUUUCUCAGACAAGGAAAACACAUCUGAAAUCAUCCAGAUUGAAGGCAUCCUCCACGAUUUGCGUCAAGGAAACCUUACGGUAACUGAAUAUUUCAAUACUCUUACUCGUCUAUGGCGUCAACUUGAUACGUUUGAGGUUCAUAACUGGAAUUGUGUUACAGAUGGUUUUUUGUAUAAAAAGAUUGUCGAAGGGAAACGUGUGUUUAAAUUUUUGUUAGGUUUGAACAAAAAUCUUGAUGAAAUCAGAGGAAGAAUCAUGGGAGUAAAACCCCUACCUAGCCUUAGAGAGGCAUUCUCUGAAGUCCGUCGCGAAGAAAGUCGGAAAAAUCUCAUGAUGGGAUCCCAUCAACAACUGAAUAUGGCAGAAAGCUCGGCUCUUAAGACUCAAUUCGCUCCUUUUGACAACCAUAAAAAAAUUAAAGGAGGUAGACCUUGGUGUGAUCAUUGCAGAAAGUCGGGACACUCAAGAGAAACUUGCUGGAAAAUUCAUGGAAAGCCAGUAGAUUGGAAGCCACGUCAACCACUUGAGAAAGAAGGACGAGGCAAUCAUGUGGCUACCGAUGAACAAUCGCCACAACCUGAAGCUAGCCCUUUUAAUAAGGAGCAAAUGGAGAUGCUUCAGAAACUACUGUCUCCUCUUUUGUUAGUACAGUCACAAACUGGCUCAUCUUCCAACCAGGUCAUUGGUUCCGGAACCUUGGCUCACAAAGGUAAUUUUUUGAGUGCCUUCACUGCUGGUAAGAAACGUAAAAAACCUUGGAUAGUGGACUCAGGAGCAUCUGAUCAUAUGACGGGAGAUGCAACAAUUUUUGAUACAUAUAGCUCAUGUCCAAAUAAUUUAACAGUCCGAAUAGCAGAUGGUUCACUAUCAAAGGUUGCCGGAACAGGUUCAGUUGUGCUAUGAAGGGAUCUUACUCUCAACUCUGUUCUCCUUGUUCCUAACUUGGACUGUAAUCUAUUGUCAAUUAGUAAACUCACUAAGGAAAAGAGGUGUAUUACUAAUUUCUCCUCCACUCACUGUGAAUUUCAGGAUUUGGAUUCGAGGAAGACGAUUGGCAAUGCUGAGGAAUGCUCUGAACUCUACAUCCUUAAGGAGCUCCACGAUCCACAAGAACAACCUCAAAUGACAGUUGGUAGUAAUUCUUUUUCGGUUUCAUGUCAAAAUAACGAUAGUGCAAUUAGGUUGUGGCACUAUCGCUUAGGUCAUCCAAAUGUUAUGUAUCUCAAGCAUUUAUUUCCUUCAUUAUUUAAUAAAAAUCCAAAAUCCUUUGAGUGUGAAAUCUGUCAAUUAUCAAAGCAAGUCCGGUCUCAUUUUCCCAUUCAACCCUAUAAAGAGUCUAGUCCAUUCUCAAUGAUUCAUAGCGAUAUCUGGGGUCCUUCAAGAAUAAAAAAUGUAACUGGUACAAGGUGGUUUGUCUCAUUCAUAGAUGAUCACACUAGAUUAACUUGGGUAUUCCUCAUGAAAGAAAAAUCUGAAACGAGUCAAAUUUUCAAAAAUUUUAAAAAUAUGAUUCAGACCCAAUUACAGUCAAAAAUACAAAUUCUAAAGUUUGAUAAUGCUAGGGAUUAUUUCAACUCCAUUCUAGGAGAAUUUCUAGCACAAGAAGGGAUAGUUCACUUAAGUUCAUGUGUUGAUACCCCACAACAAAAUGGAAUCGCUGAAAGGAAAAAUAGGCAUUUGUUAGAGGUGGCUAGAUCACUAAUGUUCUCCAUGAAUGUUCCAAAAUUAUUCUGGGGGCAAGCUGUCCUUACGGCAGCCUACCUCAUCAAUAGGAUGCCGUCUAGGGUACUAAAAUUCCAAACACCUUGUCAAACACUCCUAAAAUCCUUUCCGACUACUCAUCUCAUCUCCACCGUCCCACCCAAAAUUUUUGGGUGCUCUGUCUUUGUUCAUAUCAAUCAACAACAUAGAAGUAAACUUGAUCCUAGGUCACUCAAGUGCAUCUUUCUUGGGUAUUCUUCAAAUCAAAAAGGGUAUAAGUGUUACUCUCCGGUCACAAGAAAAUUCUACAAUUCAAUGGAUGUCACCUUUUUUGAAACCCNNNNNNNNNNNNNNNNNNNNNNNNNNNNNNNNNNNNNNNNNNNNNNNNNNNNNNNNNNNNNNNNNNNNNNNNNNNNNNNNNNNNNNNNNNNNNNNNNNNNUUUUCACAGUAAAGUACAAGGCAGAUGGUAAUGUGGACAGGUAUAAGGCUCGGUUGGUCGCCAAAGGAUUCACCCAAUCCUAUGGCAUUGACUAUCAAGAAACUUUUGCUCCAGUUGCCAAGCUCAAUACUGUUCGUGUACUUUUAUCCUUGGCAGCUAAUCUCGAUUGGUCGCUUCACCAACUUGAUGUGAAGAAUGUCUUCCUCAAUGGUGACUUAGAGGAAGAAGUUUACAUGGACAUUCCUGCUGGACUUGAGACGACAUCAAAUUUCAACAAGGUUUGCAGACUUCGAAAAUCCUUGUAUGGUCUCAAACAAUCUCCCAGGGCCUGGUUUCAACGGUUCACUAAGGUAGUGAAAGGGUACGGAUUUGUUCAAUGUCAAUCCGAUCACACAUUAUUUGUGAAACACUUCCCAGAAGGGAAACUGGCAAUUAUCAUUGUAUAUGUGGACGACAUAAUUUUGACAGGUGAUCAUGAAGAGAAAAUUGACUUACUUAAAAAAUUACUGACAAAGGAAUUUGAGAUCAAGGAUCUUGGAAACCUCAAGUACUUUCUCGGAAUGGAGAUUGCUAGGUCAAAGAAAGGUAUAGCAGUCUCACAACGCAAAUAUGUUCUGGACUUAUUGAAUGAAACAGGAAUGCUAGGAUGCAAGCCGGCAGAAACACCUAUGGAUACAACUGUCAAACUGGAAGAAAGUGAUGGAAGUGCGCCAGUUGAUAAAGGAAGAUAUCAACGUCUUGUGGGGAAACUCAUCUAUCUUUCUCAUACAAGGCCAGACAUCGGCUUCUCCGUUAGUGUGGUAAGUCAAUUCAUGAAUAAUCCAACCGAAAAACACAUGACUGUUGUGAUCAGAAUAUUGAGAUACCUCAAGAUGACACCGGGAAAGGGUCUCUUCUUUCAAAGAACAACAAAGAAAGAGAUUGAGAUUUUUUCAGAUGCAGAUUGGGCAGGUUCAAUGACUGAUCGGAGAUCAACUUCAGGCUGUUGUUCAUUUGUCUGGGGGAACUUGGUUACAUGGCGAAGCAAGAAACAGUCAAUGGUAGCCCGUAGCAGUGCUGAGGCAGAAUUUCGUGCUAUGGCACAAGGUAUCUACGAGGGAAUCUGGUUGAACAGGCUGUUAGAAGAAUUACGGGUUCCAUUGAAGCAUCCCAUGGUGUUAUACUACGACAAUCAAGCUGCCAUCAGUAUCGCUAAGAAUUCGGUUCAUCAUGAUCGAACUAAGCACGUGGAGAUAGAUUGACACUUUAUCAAGGAAAAGAUUGAAGAAGGAGUUUUCAAAGUCAGCUACACUCCGACAAACUGUCAAACGGCUGACAUUCUCACAAAAGCUCUUGCUCGAGUUAACUUCGAAGAUUUGACAGAAAAACUUGGAAUGAUCAACAUCUACAACGCGGCUUGAGGGGGAAUGUUGGAAAUCAAGCCAGCAUCCUUUGUUUACUUCCCUAAUUAGUGUAAUGUACAGCCUUUAUUAUAAUUGAUUUAGGAGUAAUUCUAGCAAGGUAGUUUAUUCACUUCCCAUGUAAGAGUUUAUCCUUAGGAGUAAUUCUAUCAAGGUAGUUUAUUCACUUUCCAUGUAAGAGUAGUUUAUUCACUUCCCAUGUAAGAGUUUAUUCACUUUCCAUGUAAGGGAAAUUCCAUUCCGGAAUUGUCUCAUAUUUGUAGGCUAUUUAUUUAUGCUUUCAUUCAUUGUAAAGGAAGGUAUCACAGAAUGAAUUGAGGUGUUCCUCCAUAGUUUGUCUUCAAAUUCUUCAUAUUUUUCUUCAAAUUCUUCAAUUAUUGCGAGUUGUGACUAGAAUUUUGCUUCCCUGUGCUCCCACCCAGAAAGGGGAGCAUAGCAUGUCCAACUCAAAGUAAUCAUCAUUCCACAAAUCAUCCAAAACUAUUAGAUUUUUUUUUUCCCUUCAAUUCCUUCCUCAAAUUUUCUUGAAUUUGAUGCAAGUCUUGUGAAUCACUGCUUUGAGAAUUAGUCACCGAGUUGAGAAUCGUCUUUGUGUUAUUCUCACUGCAUCGAACUGAUCUGAGACACAAACCCAGGCUUUUUUAUCAAAAUGCUUGGUUAUGGUCUCAUCGUCAUUGUACACCAGUCUUGCCAGUGUGGUCUUGCCCAUCCCAUCCAUGGCCACAAUGGAAACCACAGAAAAAUUGGUUUUAGUGGGUUCAUAGACUAGAGAUGCAGUGACUGGCCUUCCCCAAGCAAAGUUGGUCAUCGCAGCCACCUUUUCUAGACGAAGCUCAGAUUUUUGAGCCGAAAUAUCUCGUAAGCGGCGAGUGAUUUCCCACACCUUGGACCUCAUUUUAAUAUAACGCAUAACCUCAGUAGGAUUGAAAAUGCCAAGACAAGUGGAGAUGAGCUUGUGUACCUUGCUCGGCCUGCCUUGAUGAUCAGCUUCUUUGGCCGUGAGCUCCCGUUGCAAACCUUCGUAGGCGAACUCGUCCAAGAUGUCCUCCAUAUCAUAAGCCAAAUCUUUCAGAUUGCCCAGCCACUCUUUCACAGAGUGAUCCGUGAUCUGCUUGUCCUCCGCGUCAUUAAGCUCUUCACGAAUAUCCGACAAUUCUAUCUCAUAUUUCUUGAGAUCAGAGUACACCCAUUGUUGGCGUGCAAAGUCGAGCAAAUCAGUGGAAGCCAACUGGUCAAACAACAAGCCGAUGGCAGCAGAAAGAAGAGCCUCUCCUACAGCUUCCAUGGUUGGUUUGUACUUUGUUUGCAGAGAGAGAGAGAGAGCAAAUCAAGGAGUGGGUAAAAAAGUGAAGCAGAAAGAAGGCGGUCUGCUCUGUGAAGGCUUUAAAUAUUAGAAACUCAUAAAACAUUUGUUUUAUGAAUUUAUUAUAUGCACCCAUUUUUAAUGCCACUGUUGAUUUGUAUAUAUAUUAUUUGUGUAAUUUAAAUAUGUCUCAAUUUUAUUAUAAAUUUUUCUUUUUCUUUUAAUGUAACUAUAUAUAUAUAUAUAUAUAUAUAUAGUCCUCUUUUAUUAUUAUUUUUAUUUGCAUGAUAUUUCUUUCAUACCAAUCAAAACUAUGAAGAAAUUUUUAUUAAAAUUCAUAAAAUAUAUUGUUUUUGUUGCAUCAAUAUGUUUCAUUUCAUUGUAAGAAAGCUAAAUAAAAUGUGAUAUUUUUUAAUUUCUGAUUUGGAAAUUUUUUUUUUUCUUAUUUAUUCUAAUCUUAUAUGCAUAUCACACUAUUAGGCAAAGUUGUCAAUGACAAUGAUUGUUAUUUAUAAUAGCUUGAACUUAAAAGCAUCCUAGCUUAUGAUACUCAAUAAUAUUCACCUCUACAACUUAGUUUCAAAAUAGAUAAAUAUAUAUAUAAUGUUGGAAUGUAUACCAAAUUCCUAAUUAAUAAAGGUUUUUUUUUUUUAGUAAAAAAUGUUAUGUUGAUCAUAGAAGGAGACCCCUAGAGUUCCAGAUAGGAGAUCACGUGUUUUUACGUGUAACACCUCAGAGAGGCGUAUUUCGAUUUGGUAAAAGGGGAAAGCUUGCUCCAAGAUAUAUUGGGCCCUUUAAAAUCCUUCAAAAGGUCAUAGAGGUAGCAUACAAAUUAGCCUUACCAACAUGAUACAUUUCAUGUCUCCAUGUUGCGGAAGUAUGAGCCUGAUACCACACAUGUACUAGAUUGACAUGAUUUGAAUUUGCAAGAAGAUGUAAUGUAUGAAGAAGGGCCGAGAGAGAUUUUAGAUAAGAAAAAGCAAGUACUAUGAACCAAAACCAUACCUCUAAUGAAAGUGUUAUGGAAUCAUCAUGGAGUGGAAGAAGAUACAUGGGAUUUGGAAUCAGAUAAGAGAAACAAGUACUCGGAACUCUUUACCGGUUCGCUUCUUUAAAUUUUGAGGACCAAAUUUUUGUUAGGGGGAGAGGAUGUAAUACCUAGUACUAAUGAAUUAAAUAGGCAAUAAUGAUUAUCUUAGUACUUACUUUAAAAAUGCUUAAUUAGAUGUUAAAACUAGUUUAGUGCUAAUCUUGUUUAAUUAUGAAUUAAACUUUGAUUAAGGUUAAGUGGGAUUAGUUAAUGACUUAAGCAUGCUUAUUAGGUUCUUAGGGGCUUAUUAGAGUUAUGAAAACCUAGAGGACUAAUGGGCAAUUGUAGGCUUAAUAUUGGUUAAUUUGGAUGACUGAAGUGCAAAAUUGGAAAGUUAGGGUUGGUGGCAGCCAUGUGGCCUGCCACCUCCUACUGAGCUGCAUGGAAACCCCUUUAUAAGGGCCUGUAGCUCGUUUUGCAGCAUUUCACCUGUAACAGCUUGGGUUAGAGAGAGGAUCUAGAGAAAUAAAGUGAAGAUUUGAGGUAAGCAAGUUGUUUAAUUUAGUAAUUUGGUUUAUUUUGGUUCCUAAUAGUAUGUUGAAACAAAUUAACGAUAAAAUUUGUGUAAAAGAUGAGUGUAAUUAGCUAUAAACAUGUUUUAGUUAAAAAUCACAAUUAAUUAAGGAUUAAAGUAUUUUAGCUUAAGUAUUUUAUUAAUGGUGAGAUCAGCAUAAAUCUUUGUUUAGUUUGGUUUGAUUGAAAAAUAGAUUAGUAAACACGUGAUUAAUUAGGUUAUUUAGACACCUGGGAUUUGUUAAUGGGUUAGGCUUUAGGAAAAAAAUCAAAACAAUUAGUCUUUGGUAAUUAAUUGGAGAAUAUGAGAAUUAAAAAUUAAUAAUAGUAAGUUGUUAAAAAUUAGUAAGAAAGGAAAAUUUCAUAAGUUUUAAUUGAAUAAAUUUUUAUGGUUAAGAAACCUAAAUUAUGUUGUUUUAUUUCAGUUCCUUGUAAUAUGUAAAGAUUUCCUACAUAGAAGUAUCACAAAGGGAAAGUCAGUGUAAGGUAGAGAAUUUUAUGUUGUUCCAUGGUGUAUCUGAUUUCUUUCCUGGAAACAUUUAUUGGAAUUUCAUGUCAUUUCUAUGAUUUCAUAAAAUGUUUUAAUGUGUCAUUGCAUCUUGGUUUAUUGUAUUGAAAUGUUACAACGAUAUUGGAAUGUAUAUUGGUAUGAAGAUUCAUGGUUCUAUGUUGUGGAAAUGGUUCAUAAUGUGGUUGCAUUGCAAGAAGGAUAUGGAAUAAUCAUAGAUGAUAUUUAGAGAAUUGAUUGGUGGGAAGUGUUUAUGUGAUGCUACAGGCAUUAUCCUUUAAUAUAUUGUUUAUGUGGGGUCGUGGGUCCUUGGGUGAAAAUCCCUAAAGCCCUCGAGGAAGACACUCUGAUGUGGGUGUAUGAGGUUGGUCUUGCCACUAGGUUUUAGUCCCUAAAGACAUGGGGUUGGUCCUGCCCCUGGGUUUUAGUCCUUAAAGACACGAGGUUGGUCCUGUCCUUGGGUAUGAGUCCCAGAAAACACGGGGUAUGACUUACCCUUGAGUGAUGUCCCAAAUAGUCAUUAUUAUAUUGACUGAGUAUCUUGUGGAGCAUUGAUAUAUGAUGUGUAGAUUGGUGGGGGUUAGUAGUUUAUUAGUUGUGAAAGGAUGGAUGAGGAAAAGCAAAGAUGAAACCAACAACCACAUGCAUACAUGUUUGACAUGAUUACAUAUUUGUUAAUGGUUAUAAAAUGUUUAUCAUGCAUGCUAUUAUAUGUUUAAUUUAAGGUUUUUAAGGGUAUGCUUAGGAUGGUUAUAAACUUUCCUACUGAGUUGUGAACUCACCUUAUCCCUUCCACCUUUAGAUGCAAGUUAGAAGACCUAUGCUGGAAAUAAUGCUUAAGCAUUGCUUUUCUAUUGAUUGGAUGUUGUUGGCUCGCAUUGAAAGUGUUUUGAGGCUUUGCUUUUGUAUUAAAGACUAAAUCUUUUUGAAGUAAUGAUGUAAUGUAUAUUUGUUAUGUACACUUGUAGUAUGGGCUACCCAUAGUGAACCAUGGGAUUUUGGUAUAUGUAAAUUAAUGUAGUAUAAUUUUAUUUUGUGAAACGAAUCACAUUUUGUGAACUACUAGUUACAAAGUUUAAUACAGGAUGUACUCUUUAUAACAGGUUUUGCAUAUUCUCUUUCUGUGCAAAAUCAAGCAGGAACUCAGCAUUUAAAUUUUUCUAUCCCCAUAUUUUGUUUGAGAGCACUUAUGUUGUGAUUGAGUAUCAAUUGUUAUGUUUGAAAAAAAAACGGGGGUGUGACAUUUAUUAACUUAGGUUUAAUAAAUUAAAAGUAGGUUGAUCUCUUACCUAUCCUUUUUAAAUUAAUCUUGAGAUCAAUAAGAAUCAUACAGACCAUAAUCAUAAGAAGUGCCAAAACAAAAGUCGAUUUGAUAUUUAAUUAGUUAAUUUUAUUAACUAUAAGAUAUAAAAUUUGUUAGGAGGUGUCUUAAAUUCCAAAUUAGAAUAUAUUUUUUUUCUUUUGUGAAAAGAAUAUUACAUAGAAUAUUUCCAAAGUUUAUAUGUGAUUGUAAUUAAAUUGAAGUUAGUACAAAUAUAUUUAUAAAUAUUUUUAGAUAUGAAGAGAAAAAGUUAUGGAAGAUAUGAAAAAGAGAUGUGAUCAAGAGCAAGAGAUGCUGAUAGAACAAGAGAUGCUGAUAGAACAAGAGAGUUCACUAAGGAAGGGUGUAGAUGUGAAGAAGAAUGAGAAACAUUUAGUGAAGCAAAAUGAUUCAUGGUUUAUGAUAGAGAUUCAAAGAACAGAAAAAGUGGGAUGUUUGGGUCUUGGUAGUUGCCUAACCUUUGUAUGUGGUUUGCUUUAUUAAUAUUAGUAUUCUUCCUUUAAUAUGUUUAAAUUGAGGUUUCGGUUUUCCUUUUGGUCAUAAGAUGGAUUUUGUCAUGUAAUCAAUUAUGCUCGUUUCCAAUUUCAUUAGAAACUUGUGUUCUACGAUUUGGCAAAUGAAAAUAAUUAUUUUUCUAUAAUUUUUUUUAAAAUUUUGUUAGUUAAUAAAAAAUAGAGUAUAGAUAAUAUUAACCAUCAAAUAGAAAGACAAAUAUGACAAUUAAUGUGUUUUCACAUCAAAUUUGUACUUAGAUGGUUUUACUUAUAUGAAGUAAUUUAAUGCAACUAUGAAGAUUUAUAUGCAGUAAACUUUAUAUAAUUUUAGAUUUAAUAAUCGAUUAAUUUUUAUUUGAAGAUAUAAAAACAUAAAAUAAAAGUCUUGUUUGAAAACUAUUAUUGAAAACAACAUGAAAAAUGGGGUUUUUCACUUAGAAAUAUACAUUUGACAAACUUCUAAUAUAAAACAAUUUAUUUUUAGAAUUUAUUCUUAAAACAAGUUAUUUUUUAGAACAAAAUUGAAAUUUUUUUAUUUUUUUCACAACAAUUUAAAUAAAAAUUGAACAUAUAGAUAAUAUAUAUUUUGGUUGGACGAUGAACUUGUUAUUUUAUGAACUUCAAAUAUUCAAAUUUCACGGAGAAGGAAUCUCAUAUCUAUCUCAAGUUAUAUGCAUCCCAUUUUUACCACUUGCAAACCUUAAUCACAACUUUGUUUAAUAAUGAAAGAACUUGUUCAAGUAAAAAUAGAAUUUCUAUAAGAUGCAAAAAAAUUUUGGCUUCCACAUCUACUCAAAUAAGCAUAGAACUUUUUCUUCAACUUUUAAGUUUUUGACUUCUCAAAAAUCAAUUUAAAUUGGAUUGAUAAAUUAUACAAGGUUACAAUAUAAUAUUACAAUGUAUAAAUAUUAUUUUCACUUCUAUAUUUUCCAUGAAAUUAUUUAUUUAUUUAAAUUGAAAUGUCCUUUGGUAUUUAUUUGUACCUAUAAAAAAUAAAAAAUUAUUUUAAAUCUUAGGUAUAUAUGUUGAUGCUUAAGUAUUUAAUAAUUUUAAUUAGAUAAUUACAUUUUAUUUUACAUUUUACAUAUAAAAUAAUUAAUUACAUUUUAUAUUAUAUUAUUUAAUUAGUGAUAUUUAAAUUUUAAUUAGUUUUAAUAAUUUAAUUAAUAGUUAAAUAAUUAGAUUUAUUUAUGUUUAAAUCUAUUAACAAUAAGUUCAAUGCAACAAGAAAAAAAAAGCUUAUCGUUAUUAUUUUGAAGUGGAUUUUGAUUUUAAAUUUUACAAGUAGAUUUGCUUGAAUAACCUUAUAAAUUAGUAGAAUUUAACAAGUUGCAAAUAGUUUCCCCGCCUAAUCUUUUAAAUUAAUCUUGAUGUUGACAAUCACUUUGCCAACCAUAAUUAUAAAAAGACAAAUAGGUCAAGUUGAUUUACUAGAUUGCAAGUGGGUGCCCUUACCUAAUCUUUUAAAUUAAUCUUGAUGUUCACAAGCACUUUGCCAAUCAUGAUUAUAAAAAGACAGAUAAGUUAAGUUGAUUUUACUAAAUUGAGAUUAAUCAAUUGCAAGUGGGUACCCUUUACCUAAUCUUUUAAUUUAAUCUUCAUAUUGAUAAGAACCAAAUCGGCCAUAAUUAUAAAAACAAGAAGACGACAAGCUAUGAUUACUUUUAUUAACUAAAAUUUAAUGAAUCACAAUUUCUCUUACCUAACCUUUAGAUUAAUCUUGAUAACUUUGCAAUAGUAAUUUUAAAAAGAGAAAGACGACAAACUAAUUUAAUUGGCUAAUUUUGUUAACUUAGGUUUAAUAAAUUAAAAGUAGGUUGAUAUCUUACCUAUCCUUUUUAAUUUAAUCUUGAGAUCAGUAAGAAUCAUACAAACCAUAAUCAUAAGAAGAGUCAAAACAAAAGUCGAUUUGAUAUUUCAUUAGUUAAUUUUAUUAACUAUAAGAUAUAAAAAAUUGUUAGGAGAUGUCUUAAAUUCCAAAUUAGAAUAUACCAUUUUUUUUUGUGAAAAGAAUAUUACAUAGAAUAUUUCCAAAGUUUAUAUGUGAUUGUAAUUAAAUUCAAGCUAGUACAAAUAUAUUUAUAAAUAUUUUAGGACAUGAAGAGAACAAGUUAUGGAAGAGAUGAAAAAGGAUGUGAUCAAGAGCGAGAGACAUUGGUAGAACAAGAGGGUUCACUAGGGAAGGGUGUAGAUGUGAAGAAGAAUGAGAAACACUUAGUGGAGCAAAAUGAUUCAUGGUUUAUGAUAGAGAUACAAAGAGCAGGAAAAGUGAGAUGUCUGGGCCUUGGUAGUUGUCUAACCUUUAUAUGUGGUUUGCUUUAUUCAUGUGUUCUUCCUUUAAUCCUUUUAAAUUGAGGUUUCCAUUUUUCUUUUGUUCCUAAGAUGGAUUUUGUCAUGUAAUCAAUUAUGCAUGUUUCCAAUUUCAUUAGAAACUUGUGUUCAAUGAUUUGGGAAAUGAAAAUAAUUAUUUUUCUAUAAUUUUGUUAGUUAAUAAAAACUAGAAUAUAGAUAAUAUUAGCCAUCGAAUAGAAAUAUAAAUAUGACAAUUAAUGUGUUUUCACAUCAUAUUUGUACUUAGAUGGUUCUGCUUGUAUGAAGUAAUUUAAUGCAACUAUGAAGAUUUAUAUGAAAUCAACUUUAUAUAAUUUUAGAUUUAAUAAUCGAUUAAUUUUUAUUUGAAGAUACAAAAACAUAAAAUAAAAGUCUUGUUCAAAAACUAUUAUUGAAAACAACAUGAAAAAUGGGGUUUCUUCUCUUAGAAAUAUACAUUUGACAAACUUAUGAUAUAAAACAAUUUAUUUUUAGAAUUUAUUCUUAAAAUAAGUUAUUUUUCAGAACAAAAUUGAAAUUUUUUUAAAUUUUUUCACAAUAAUUUAAAUAAAAAUUGAAGAUAUAGAUAAUAUACAUUUUGGAAAAUUUUGUAUCUUAUUUAAGUGUACAAUUCCUUUGUGAAGAAUAAAUCGAAACGGGUAAUAGCUAUUUUCAAAAAUUGUUUUGAAGAAUUAUUUUCACAAAUGUUAUCAAAUAAGCUCAAAACUUGUUACAUCAUUUAUAUUAAUCUUGAGUUCAAUCAAAAUCUUGCCACAAUUGAAAAGAGAAAAAAAAAUGUUAAUUAGUUGGUUAAUAUUUAUAAUCCUAAAAAUAAUAAUAAUAAUAAUUAAAAAAAAUUAAAUAAAAAUUCACUAUCAAAAUAAAAGAUUAUCUAAUAUUUUUCUAUUUUUGACUUAUAAUCAAGAAUGUUCAUAUAAUUUCUUUUACAAUAACAUACUAAAGUAGAAAGAGAUUAAAAUGGAAAAAGAAAAUGAUUAACAAUAAAAUUCAUAAAAAGAAAUGAAAAUUAAGAAGAUUUUAAUCCACUUGAAAUUUAUUUCAAUGAAAUAGUAUUGCAUUUAAAUUAUUGAAGGCCAUACCAAUUUAUUUUCUUCCUUUUUUAAUACUUAAUUUUGUUAUCAAACAAUGAAAAUUUUACUAAUCAAGGAAAAUGAGAAAAGAAAAUAUUUUUCUUGAAAGUUCAUGAAUUUGUUAAGAAAGGAAAACAAAAGGUCUUUUAAGGGAUACUUUAUUAAAUUAAAUUAAUAACUUAAUUUAAAUCAUUAAAUAAAUUAAGUAUGUUUAGUAAAAAAAAAACAUAAUAGUAUGAUUUAAAAUAUAAAAAAACUUUAAAUAAUAAAUAAAAAAAUUAACUUAUUUUUAAAUUCAUAUUUUUAUUUUACCUUUUUAUCUCAAUUUGCCAUAAUUACCUUCACAAUCUCCUUUACUAUUCCACGACCUUUACUUUUACAUGACCUCCUUUACCUUAGUUAGAAUUUAUGUCAAUUUGAUCAUUUAGAAUUAAUCAUAAGUUAGGUUUGUCAAACAAUCUUAAUACUUAAAAUAAAAAUUAAGUAAUAGUUUUAAGUCAACAAUUUAAGUAUAAUUUAACUAAAAGUCAACUUAAAUAAUUAAGUAAUUAGUAUUAAGUUUUAUCAAACACCUCCAUAUAAUUAGUUUAUUUUGAUUAAUCUAAUAAUAUAGAAAGUGAAAUAUACACAUUUUUUUAUUGGUUAGGUUGGUCUUGAACUUCUUUCACCAAAUCAUUUUUAUUAAUCUUAACAUCAUCAUUAGUUAAUUACAAUUAAAGAAAAGAAAACCAAAAAAAAAAAACAGCCAAUUUGGGUGACCAAUCUUUAUUGAAAAUUUAAAAUCAAACAAAAGUUGAUAAAAAAAAAAUGAAUUGUAUGAAGUAGACAUUUUGUCUUUAUGAGAUUAUUGAUGGAAGUAUAAUAGACUAUAAACAAGUCUAUGAGAAUCAAUUCCAAUGAGUCCUAAAACAUAUCUAUGAGAAAUAAAAUAAAAUCAUGACAUAAAGAAAUUAUAUUUAAGUGUUAAUAAAUGAGAAUCAGAUACAUAUAAAUAAAAUUUAGAUUAAUUAUAAAUGAAACUAUUUUUAUUAUGUGGUUGUUUUUAAUGGACCACCUAUUUUUUUAUUUAUUUUAUAUAUAUAUAUAUUCCAUAGAAAAAUUACUUUCCAAUACCAUAGAAUCACCCUAAUUUCAAAUUGAGAUUUACUAUCUUAAAUUUUAAAUUUUUUAAAAAUAAUUUUUAAGGCAUGAACUAAAUCUAUAUUUUUUGUUAAGAAUUUCUAUUCUUUAUAUGAAAGUUUUUAUCAAUUUUUGUUUUUAAAAACAAAAAAUAAGUACUUAGAGUGCGUUUGACAAUGAUUUUAAGAAGUAUUUCUAAUAUUUUAAAUACUUGAAAAAUAAAAAAAAAAAAUUUAUACAUUGAAACAAUUGCAAAAUGCACUUUUAGUAUGUAAUGAUAUUAAUUUCUUCGAAGAGAGAGAUUUACAUUUAAGAUAAAAAUAAAUAAAUAAAACAAUACAAGGAUAAAAAAUUAUUUUUUAAAAAAACUUUUAACUUCUUGUACUUUAUCAUUACACACUUUUUUCAUUAGAUGCUUUAAAUAAUUUUUAUGAAAUAAAAUUAUAAUUAUAUUGAUGGAGGGCCAAUUAACUUUGCUUUGGGUGAGAAAGAUAGAGAUAAGAUUGAAGUGGGUCCACAUCUAAAACAAAAAUGAAAUAAAAAGUAAAGAUGAAGAUAAGGUUGAGGUGGGUUCACAACUAAAAAAAGAAUGAAAUAAAAAGUAUGAGAUGAAUUGACCAAAGCUUAUGCCUUCUUCCAAAUAUUAAAAGCAAAGCCCAAUAGUAUAAAGUGAUGACACUAGUCCUAUUCAAGGCCCCACUUGCAUAAUUGCUACAUCUUUUGAUUUGAUUUUUGUUCAAUUUCACUAAAAUGAAAUCAUUUAUUUGAGCCCAAAAAUUCAAAUCCAAAUCCAAUCCACUUAUUUAUAUACAUUAUUGGCAUGGAAUGAGAAAAGUUAUAAAGUGAGAAAAUUUGAUCAUAUGAUAAAUAGUAAUUUUUCAAAGUUGGAACCAAUCCAAUGCCCAAUGGGCAUAAAAGAGAAAGGAAAGAUGUGGAAAUUAUAGUGGAAUCUUGAAACAAAUUUUUGAGGUUUGAGGUGAUGUGACAAUCGUUUCAAGAAAUUGCCUAAGAAUGUGAGAUGUUAUUACAUUGAAAAUUGAUAUUAAAUCUCAUUGGGUAACUAUAAGAAUUGCUUUACAUAAAGACGAGUAAUAAAUAUAUCCUGUUUUUUCAAAUAGUUUAUGACCCUAAGUGAAUAAAAUGGUGAAUAAAACUUUUAGAGUAGGAUGAAUGCAUUUCACGUGAGUCAUGUCCUAGAUAUAUUUUUAGAAUUUUCUAGCAAGAUGUUGAGGAAAACUCUAUGAUAAGUGUUUUCUUUCUAGUUAAGGUAGGUCCAAUUUGGUGUAAUUCGCCAACAUAAUUUAAACCCAACAUAUGUUUUAAGGAUUUGAAUCGAGUAAAAUCAUAUUUAAAUUAAAUUAAUCAUAUGAAUCUACAUAACCCGUUUAAUAAAUAGAUUAUUUUUAGGUCAAUCUGGAUAACUCACAUUUGACUCAAAUUAACUUAUUUAAUAAUGGUAUUGAUUAACCUAAUAAUAACUUUAACUUAUUGAACUCAUAUUUGACUCAUGUAAAAUUCAUUUUUCAAUAAGUAUAUCAUAAUUGGGUCAUAAACAUGUCAUAUUAGAAUAUUAACCAUAUUAUUUCAUUCAACAUUUAACUUGACUUGAUUAUGAAAUAACGCCUUAUUAUUAAAUCGGUUAAACCGGUUAUAAUGUAUCACCUAGAUAAUAAUUAUAUUGAGUUUGAGUUUAUGCUUUAAAUUUUGAUUAUUAUUCAUGUCAUGUUUGGGUUGAGUUAUUUAGUGGAGGAUCUAACCUUUGAUAUAACACAAACGCAACCCAUUAACAUAAAUUGUCAUCCUCACUUCUACUAAUAAGUAAUUUGUUUAUUACAAUUAAGAAAAUUGAGAAGAUAUAAUUUUUUUAAAAAAAAUUUAAAUGCAUGAUUAAAGUUAAUUAUAAGUUUUAAAAGUUUUAUAAUUCAUAUUCCAUCCAAACUAACAAAAUAUUAGAAAUCUUCAAUGGUUUUGUCUACAAUAAAUGUGUUGUGCUAAAUUAUCCCCUUCUCUACUAACCAAAACAUGUUCUUUCACAAUCAAAUAUCAACGUGUUUAAGCAGCCGGUGAAGCAUCUCUUGACAAUGAGGUGAGAGGUAGAAACAAGAAACAUACCUGUAUUCAAGAGAAGUGUUGUUUCUUCUUUUGCAUUAGAAAACAUUCAUUUAGUCUAAACUUGAAGGUGGAUUGCUAGAAUCUGAGCUCUUGGAAAGACAUAAGAGAAGGACAUUUAGAAAUCUGAAAGAAGCCUAGAGACCUGUUGCUACUUGUGAAUCACUGUAAUUAGAAACAAUUCCAGAUAAUCCUGCAAUUCUGGACCUUUGAUUUGCUUUGUUCCAUUUUUCCAAGACCAGUUCUAAAAUGUUUUUCUUUAUUGAGUUAUAAUGAUUUUAUUAUUAGGAUUUAAUUGUAUUCAUUAGGUUUGCAAAUCACAAAAAUGGUGUCGUGCCUAUGAAUAUUUUCCUCUUCGAUCAUGUAAAGUUGGGAAGCAAUUAUGGAAUACUAUGAUAGCACAAUAUAUUGAUCCACAUAGUUUGUGGCAUGACAGUUUAAUGAAAUUAAAAAAAUGCAUGUAGCACUCAUGGGUAUGUCAUGUGAACCUUUUUCAAUAGAGCUACUUGUUUAAAUUUAUAUGGGUGAAUUGUCACACCAGUGUCCUCUUAUGAACCUUAGGUUCAUUUUUCUGUUUCUUCCUCUCUUGGUUAAGACAAACAAUUUGUCUUCAUAAGGACUUCGUGUUACUAAUAAGCAGUAUCUUGUAUUCUCCUUUUCUUCAUCCCCUUAUCAAGACACAGCAAUCUGAUGCAUCUUUGCAUUGGGUUGCUUCCUCUCCUCUCCAUUUCCUUCCUCCUUGAGGCAAAAUCACAUCAUUGCUUAGUUUUGACUAUGUUUCUUUUUAUCAUUGUGAGAGAGCAUCAUUGUAAGAUGUACAAGAAAAGCGUUGUGGUGCAUUAUCCCCUCCUCUACCACCUAAAAUCUAUUUUACACGAUCAUAAGGACCAAGGUGUUUUAAACAUUAGGUAAGGCAUUUGUUGACAUUGAUGUGAGAGAUAGAUACAAGCAACAUACCAGUAUUCAAAAGACGUGAUGUUUUUCUUUUGCAUUUGACAACAUUCAUUUAGUCUGAACUCCAUAUUGGGCAACGCAGAAUCUCCACCUUCAUUAAGAUUGCAGGAAGUUGGCCCUUUAUGAAGACAUGGAAAGAGAGCAUCUAGAAAUCUGAAAGAAUUACAGAGGCCUAUUACUACUUUUGAAUCAUUCCAAUUAAUAACAACUCCAAAAGAUAUAUACAAAUAUGUCCCUGGGAAAGAGAUGUGUCUUGUGCAUAUGCAACCAUCUCUCUAAUAGACUUAGGGUUGUGCACCCUCAUGGUAGUUUCUUAUAUAUUGCACCAUAUGAAUUGUAGAUAUCCAACUACCAAUAUCACUACACCUGAAUGAACUAGAAGCUAAAGUGAAGUUGACAACCCAUCAUCGAAAGAAUCCUGUAGGAAUACACCAAAAUGAAAAUCUUAUUAACAUAAAUGAAUUCAUCCAGUUAAAGGGUAAAGUUGCCUAAAAAAUUGAAUUGGGAGAGAUAGAAAUAUUAAUGCUUUCAUAGGACUGUGGAAGGGACCAACAAGUGGAACAAACAUUGAACAGUAAAUGUAAAUCCAUAAAGCUUGUAACUACUGUCAAAAGCUGCUCCCUAGUGAAGUUUUUUAACAAUGAAGGUAAGUGGAAAAUUCACCUAAUAGCUCCACUUGUAGAAAAUUGCAAUGGUGUGAAACUAGGAUAUGGUGAACUCGUUUCCGCUAUUGCAGUGAACCAUUAUGGAUAAAAAAUGAAUCUCACCAUCGGUUUUCACAUAGGAGAUGUGGGCUAUCUUUGGCCCAUAUCUCAAUAUUGGAUUUAGGAGUUCUGUCUCUCAUAUAUGGUUCCACUUGCAAAAUACAAAUGGAGCUUAGCUAAUGACAACACAUUUAGAAAAAUGCAAGAAUUCCAUAGACAUGUUUUGUGUUAUCAUGAAUCAUUCGAAUCAGUAAGGAAUCGAAGUGCUAUAAUUUUGAAUUGUCUUAGGGAACAAACCCUAAUUCAAUCUUGCGGAAGUAAACCGUCUUGAGCACCAACUCAAUUCUGAGUUCUUUAGGAGACUUGAGACACCAAUUCAAUCAAAGAUGCUAGUCAUUUCUGAGGUAAAUUGUCUUCCUCCACUGAUACUAGGGAAAAUGCUUUUGAAAACCAUUCAUCUGCAAAUUACAAAGGGAAAUGAGAUUAUGUGAUUUGGGAAGAGAAUUAAGCUUUGGAAGAGAAUUAAGCUUCGGAAUAUUGCCAAUAUGCAACCGACAAUUUCUAAUUCUAUCACCUCUAUUCUAACAUGUGAUUUGGAAAGAGAAUUAAGCUUCGAAAUAUUUCCAAAAUGCAAGGAAUUGAGGAGGCCAAGUGGGCAACCACCAUAGCUAGUUCGCAAACAAAUGAUAGCAUUGGAAGUGGAACACAACACAUAAACUUCAAAAACAAAACAUGUUUCCCACAAUCAUAAAUACCAAGAUGUUUAAGCAUGAGGUAAGGCAUCUCUUGACAAUGAUAUGAGAAAGACACAAACAACAUACCAGUAUUCAAGAGAAGUAGUAUUCUUCUUUUGCAUUCGACAACAUUCAUCUAUUUUACAUCCCAAAUUUUAGCAACUCAGGAUUUCCACCUUCUUUAGGAUUGUAAGAAGUUGGCCUCUUGAAAACACAUGAGAGGACAUUUAGAAAUCUGAAAGAAUUCCAGAGACUUUCUGUUGCUUGAAUUGUGAAUCAUUCCAAUCAUAAAUACCAAGGUUCUAAGAUCAAGUAAGGCAUCUCUUAAUAAUGAUGUGAGAGAUAAAGACAAGCAGCAUACUAGUAUUCAAGAGAAGUAGUAUUCUUCUUUUGUAUUCGACAACAAUCAUCUACUCUACACCCCAAAUUUUAGCAACUUAGGAUCUCCACUUUCAUUAGGAUUGCAGAAAGCUGGCCUCUUGGAAACACAUGAGAGGAUAUUUAGAAAUUUGAAAGAAUUUCAGACACUUGUUGCUUGAAUUGUGAAUCAUUCCAAUCAUAAAUGCCAAGGUGUUUCAAGAUUAGGUAAGGCAUUUCUUGGCAAUGAUGUGAAAGAUAGAGACAAGCAGCAUACUAGCAUUUAAGAGAAGUAGUAUUCUUCUUUUGCAUUCAACAACAUUCAUCUACUCUACACCCCAAAUUUUAGCAACUCAAGAUCUCCACCUUCAUUAGGAUUGUAGGAAGCUAGCCUCUUGGAGACACGUGAGAGGACAUUUAGAAAUUUGAAAGAAUUCUAUAGACUUGUUUUUGCUUGAAUGUGAAUUAUUCCAAUCAAUAACAAUCCCAAAGCCCUAUAUACAAUUUUGAACUGUCAACCUUCUUACAUUGAAUGAAAAACCUGUCCCUAGGAAAGAGGUGUCUUGGGCAUACAACCAUCAAUUAUUAGCUCUCGAAGAGACUUAAAGUUGUGCACCCUCUUGGUAGCUUCUAAUUCAUUACAUCAUAUAACUUCUAGAUAUCCAAUUGGCAUGUCACUACACCUGAAUAAAGUAUAAAACAUGGUGAAUAGGAAGUUAGACAACCUUUCACAAAAAGAAUCCUGCAAGAAUACACCGAGCAGAACUUCUUGUUAACAUAAAUGAAUUCACUCAGUUAAAUUAUUGCGUUAAAAUUUAAAUUGGAGAAAUAAAAAUACUAAUCUUUGCAUGGGACUAUGGGAUGACCAGCAAGAGGAACAUACUUUGAAUAGAAAAUGUGAAGCCAUAAAGCUUAUAAUUGUUGUCAGAUGCUGCUCCCUAGUCAAGUUUUCAACAAAAAGAUUCAGUGUAGAGAUUCUCUAGUAGCUAAACUUGUAGAAAAUUUUAACAGUAUGACAAUUUAUACUUGUAACAAGAAGAUAAAAUGUAAGAAUUGUGUUGGGAAUAGAUGAAACUUACUAAAUAUAUGGAUAAGAUAGGGUGAAUCCACUCUGCUUCCAUUUUUGGAAUCCAAACUAUUAUGGAUCAAAGUUGGAUUUCUCCAUCUAUUAAAUACAACUAGAGCUUAGGUGAGGUCUUGGUGAUUUAGGAAAUUCAUGGAUUCUGGAAUCUUGACAUGAAAAUAUACAUGAGUGAUACAUUGGAAGAAAGGGCAGGCUUUGGUCCUCUAAGAAGAAACAUAUCUUAAAUAUACUAUCAAUCUUGAGUUGUUUAAGAGUGAUGAGUCUGUGAAAGCCUUUCUCAGAUAAGGGAUGUCUUUGACAUUUCUCCUUCUUCAAUCUCAGGAAGGUACACCAUCAACUAGAACAUUAGGAAUGUGAGUCAUCAUAGACAACUUGUUUGUGUUCUUUAUUCUUUUCUCACUGAAGGGGAUUAAAAGAUAUGUAGUUGCAAGGACAAGAGAUGUAGCCAGUUGUGAAAGCAUCAAACAAUCCUUCUCUAAUGCAGACCACAAAUUUUUGCAACUCGUGAUCUCCACAAUUUGGAGCAUUGAAGGAAGUUGCCUUGUUGGAAAGAUGUGACAUGACAUUUAGAAAUAUGCAAGAAUUCCAGAGUUCAUUCCAAUCAUUAAGGAAUCCAAAGCCCCUUGGCAUGGAUAACACACCUAUCUUAGGAAAAAGACUGGGCACCAAUUCAAUGAUCAACUCUCUAUGAAACUUGAGAUACAAGGUACUAAUGUUAGUUGCUUCCGUGGCAGUUCUUUUACUGGUAUUAGGGCAAAGCCUUUUGAAAACCCUCAAUCUACAAAUUACCAAGGACAUGAGAUCAUGUUGUAAUCUCAUCUUCAAUCUCUAGCUACAAACAAAUUAUUUCUUUCAAAUAACAAUCUUUAAUGCAUUCACUUCUACCAUAUGAUAAGCAAUUUCGGAAAACAAGUAAGCUUUAUAAUAUUAGGAAUAUGUAAGGAAUUGAUAAAGGUCAUGAAUCUACUUUCAAAAAAUAAACUAUAAAAACAAAGAUUUUUUCACCCAUGAAUAUUUUAACCAGCUUCCAAAAAACAUUAAGUAUUGCAAUAACCAAAUGUUCCUCAGGUUACCAAGAGUGCUUUUUUUACCCAUGCAUAAAAUAAAAAGAAAAUAAGAAAGCAUACCAUACAACUCACAAUUGUGUCAAGUAUGAGUUCAAUUCAUGGCCAUGCACAAUUGCAUUAAGUAUUUGAAAGCCAAAUAAGGUUAUGUGCAAUUCAAAGAAUACCAUACAACUCAUAAUAGAAUCCUCAUAGCUCACCAUAGAAUGAGAACUCAAUUGUCCUUCCUCUAGUCAUAAGAGUUUGUGCUCUUCGAGCCUUUGACUUGCACAACUCAAGACAGCAGGACAUGCCAAAAAGUCUCAUUCACCUCAAACAUUAUUCAAAUCCAUAGUAUAAAUCUAGAUAAGAUAAUUUCCUACAAAUAUAACAUGUUGCAAACAAAUAACAGUAUGUUGGUUUAAAAUUGAAGAGCAUUUCAAACCAAACAAAAUAGAAAAAUUUUCAGUGUAUAUCACUCACCUAAAAACUUGUAUGUUGGAUAAAAUUCCUGCUAAUGAAUCCUGACAAUUAUUUGCAAUCAAAAUUUAGUAAUGAUUUAUAAACAAAAAAAAUUACAAAAUUUUUUAGCAAUGUUCCAUGAAAAACACAUUGCAUAUUGAUUGAGAAAUUAAUAUGAAAUCCACUAAUUUGAAAGGCACUAAAUACCAUAUGUUGUCUUGAGUUCUCCAUGUAUCAAAACAUAUGCAAGUUGCUAUUCGAGCCACCACAAUCACAGAGCAAAAGACUUCUUAGCAUGGAAGGCAUACCAUAUUUUGAACAAGGUUCUUAAUUUUCCAAGAGACAUAAGAACGUGGUGUGUUGUAGAAACUGUAGAAUAAAUAAAUGGAAGUUAGACAUAUGCACUUGCUACUUAGUUUUUUAAUCAUGUGUGAAAUAAAUAAAGAGGUGUUACUUGCAUUUAGGCCAAACUUCUAGUCUCCAAUGUGAAAUCUAAUUCUCAUUUUGUCAACAUAAUAAGAGCAUUAAACACAUAGCAAAUUGAAUCCUUCCUUUUGACAAUUUGAAAACCUUAAAGGAAUGAUUUGAGAUCAUAAAUAACUAUACAGUAAAGAAAAUUUUCAUCAUUCUUUCUAAAAGGAAAAUUUGUCAUUUCCUUGAUUACGAAAGAUUGAUAUUUUAACAUAAAGUGCACUCAUUAAGGUAAACUUUGUGCAUUAUAUAUUGAAUUAGAAAAUUAUAUUUAAAUUCGAUUAGAAGGGUAUCACAAAAGAUGCUUAAUUGAAAUGAAGGCAUCCAUGCCAAUCUGUAACUGUUGUCAAAUAACACUCUCCCUUGUCAUUUUACGUCCCACGAUUGCAUGUCAAAUCUCUAAGUAAGAUUGCUUAAAAAGCACCUAAAAGAAAAUUACGAAGAUUUCAUUGCAGGUAGAACUUAAGGUGCUUACAUUGACCAUGGGAGAGAUCAUUAAGAAACAAAAUACUCACCCAUAAGUUUGUAACUAUUGUACUCAAAACUUGCUUCCUAGUCAAACUUUCAACAUAACUCCAUGGAGACUUCCAUAAAUUGUUGAGCCACUGGUAAAACACAACAUCAAUAUGAGAAAUUUACAAGGUACUAUGCAGAUAAAAGAGUAAGAAAUGUGUAUUGAGAAUAAGAGUUACCUUAAUGAAUGUAAGGAUAGGAUAGGGUUGAAUUGGCUCUACACCCAUUUUUGCAAUUUGAAUUUAUUAUGGUUCAAAAAUGAGUUUAUGAUGUAUCCUCAUUUUAGGGGAAGCAAGCAAUUUGGGGCCAAUCUCUAUCAUUCUCCUUGAAACAUCUUUGAUUUCAAAGUUUGAUAAAACUUAGAAGACAACCUUUCACUUGGCAAGGAGGACUAGAACAAGGCAUCCCUCAAUCUCUACAAGUUAAAGAAAUGAAGUUUUGAAGACCAAGGGAGGAGGCUAGGUUUCCAUAUUUGAAAAUAUUUUCAUUGAAAGAUUAAUGAGAGUUGUAGCAAGAAAUCCUGUCAAAAGGAAAUUGCAUUUAACAAUGUACAAUAUAAAAUGAAUGAACUAAGUUUUUAGAGAAGUGAAUCUUUGGAGGCUCCACAAAAAUAAGGGGUUUUAAUACUCUUGCAAGUGUAUUCAUGAAAUUGUUUCCUCCAAGGAUUCCUGAACCUGGACAAUGUACAACACAAAGCUGUUAAAGAGAUGAGAGACUCUAAAUCUGAUGAGGUAGGACUUGAGAUCCACAUUUUCUUAAGUGAAGAAUUCUGAUGUUGUAGACACACUAGUAGUUUCUAGAUUUAGAUACUUCUCUUCAAAUAUUUGUAUAAUGUACAUCUUCUUUGACAUUGCUGCUCCAAUAGGAUGUCCAAUAGGAUGUGCAACCUAUUUGGGCAUACUACACGUACAAUAAAAAAUUUCAUUAAAACAAAAAACUUUUACUAAAACAAAAAUAUGAAGCUAAUGUCUAAGAAGAUAAGAUUUAUAUAUAGUGAAUGAGCAUGUUUGAUUUUAGCACAAAGGGAAAGACGCCAAAAUUUUUAAGAAUAUCAUCACCACAAGUACCUAAUUUGCAUCAUUAAAAAUUCCACAAGGAUUUGAUGGCUAGACAAUAAAAUAAUUCUAGUAAAUGAGUUAAAAUCAGCUGAGCUAAGAAAGAUUAAAUCCAAAUAAGCAUCAAUCAUUAAAGAAUUAGCCAACUAUGAAAGACUUCAAAUGACAUUUUCUCUGUAAUUUCUGUUCCUAAUUGGCCUCAUUUGAUUGUACCAAAAUAUUAUUAAUUUGCUUUAAAGGAAGUGGGUGACUCGUAUCUUUGAAAGGGUGUGAGAGGUGGAAAUCCCUCGAUCUCUAGUGAUUCAAGAGGAUAAUUCCUAUGGCUAUUGUUGUCAUCAUACAUCAUUCAGCUAGCUAUAGACCACAAAAUUGAACAAUCAUGAAUACGUAGAUGCUUAAAUAUGGUAUGUACUUUAUCUAGUGGAAAAGCUUAUGAGACUUGGACAUCUCGAGAUUUCUAGGAAUUAAGAUAGAUACAAGUUGUUGCUUCUUGUUAUAAUUUAUCUGGAUUGCAAUCAUCAAGCACUAACUCCAUUCACUACAUGUUUUGAGCCUUCAACAUAAAACCCAAAUUCCAUUCUUUCAGCCAAAAAAAAAUCAUUAAUAACUCACCUGAAAACCAUUUUAUGUUGCUCAAAUUAUAAAAUGUAGGAUGUAACUGACUUCCAUCAUUGAAAAUGAAUUGAUAUAACUUUACAAUACUAGUAUAUUUAGCUUUUGAAAUGGCUGAAACUGAUCCUGGAAUCAAAAAUCACAUACACAAGUAGAUAUUUAACAAAAAAGGAUCCAAAAUCUCUUCAAUUGAUUAAUGUAUAAAUGAAUUAAUCAAAAUUUUUAGAGAUAAUUAUGGGGAGAUGAACCUUGUACCUUUUAGUUUCUUAUUCUUCUUGAACACAGCAAUGUGCAUCAAGUGUUACGCACCUAGGAAUCUCCCUUCCUCCACAAGCAAAAUCUGAACAAUCUAUCAUUUCUUCAUAUUCCACUUCCUUGCAAAAUUCAAAACAUGAAAAACAAUAUCAUCAAAAUUGAGACAAAAAUAAGUGCAUCAACUAUCUCAAGAAGAGAUUUAUGCCUAUUGCUUACCUUUUGAAGAAGUCCACUUGGUUAGAGCACAUUUUACAUGGACGCCCAAUCACUACAAGCAAUUGAACCAAAGGAGAGUUCAAACAUCUAAAAAAUUUGACGAACUCAAGUAUCAUAAAAUACUUCAUAUGAAUUCUAAAUGAUCUCAUAUCUAAAAAACAUUGACAUAAAAUUAUUGUUGUUUACCUUACAUGUUUCUUCCAUGGUCAUAAUCGAAACUUUGUUUAUCAUAAGAAAUCUUCUAUGCUCAUCUUGAUUACUUACAAUAAACACUGAAAUGAAAAGAAAAAAACACAAAAAAUGAUGAUUAGUUUGGUUUGAUAAAUUUAGCACACAUAAUUUCCUUUUUCUUGCAUGAGAAAAGAAAGAGUAAAUAUAUAUAUAUAUAUAUAUAUAUAUAUAUAUAUAUAUAUAUAUAUAUAUAUAUAUAUGAAUUUAAUAAUUUUUUAAAUUAGCAAUUAUAAAACUAUUUUGGUUCUCAUAAAAUUUAUGGGAAAGUAGGGAAAAAAAUUGUAAACUUUUUCUCUUGUUUGAUUGUUUAUCGGAAAAUUGAGGGAAAACAAAAAUCUAUGACAAAUUUAUUUAACACUUCUGAGGAACCAAAAAUGUUUUAGAUGUUGUCAAAUUGAUAAUUUAAACGUGUUUAAUUCCAAUUAAAUGAGUUUAGUAAAACACAUGAAAUUGUGAAUAAAAUUAUUUAAAAGCAUUGAAAUUCAAGUCAUUAAAGUUGUCCAUAAAAUUUGGUAUAUUGAAGCAAGAAAAAAACAAAGCAAUUUGAAUGACUUGCUAAUAAAGCAACUAACUAGAAUAUGCCCUAGAGUUGUUCAGUGCCCUCUAUAUAAGAAAUAAACAGAGAACACAAAAAAAACCAAGAAAAAAAACAAACAAACGAAAAACAAAGAACACUUCUUACGUUAUUUUUUCUUAAUUUUUCUUAUUUAUAUACAUUUUUGUUGGUUUUCUUUUGACCAUAAAAGGUUCGAGCAUUGGCAUUGUCAUGUGUAAAUUAUUGUGGCUACAAACUUCAUCCGUAUCCAAUUGCACACCUGUCCAAACUCUUGAUGAUGAAGGUAUGAUUGCAUUUACUAGCAUUAAAUUGCUAAAAUUUGUCAUCCAAAGUUCCAAUUUCUUUUGAACCUUGAAGACUUCAUUUGCAUUCUUGUAGGAAUUAGAUGUGGAAUCAUUUUGCAAUGCUUGUGGUCUUGUGACCAGCAGUGAUGAAUGGGAAAAUAAGUUCUUAUCAACCAAGCAAACAAACUUCCAUUAUCCCAAGGAAGUCUUUCCAAGCUACUGCCUUAUGGGUUUGGAACACUUUUAGAGGUAACAAUCAAUUGGAACUAGUUACUCUUUCAAACUUCGUAUUGUACAAAUAUAGCCUGCAUGUGCAACCAUUUUUGAUCCCAUAAUUUCAAGAAUUUAUGACACCUUCUAGUGGUUAGUCUUUCUGGGAAUGGAGUAAAGCAACCUAUUCACUCCAAGAAACUAUCGUAAGAGGAAUAGUAGAUAACCUCGCAAGACCAAAUUUAUGUGUGUGCAUGGAGGUGCAUGUUUUCUGCAUCCCAAUCAUGCAGUGUUGUGUCAAAUGGAACAAUAGCAAGUGAUGAUAAGUGGUAUUUCUAAAAUCUUCUAAGAGUAUUCCAUAUAUUGUAAUAUUGUUUUCUCAAAACUGUCUAUGAGUCUUAUGUGUAAAUAUUAGAGUUGACCUCUUGUAAGCUAUCAAUUGAUGUUGUAACUUAAAUUGAAAGGGAAAUUCUAUAAAUUUAGCCUUGGUUUGGCUCUUGGAAAGCAAAGAAAAAUUAGGUUAACAGUGAGUUGAUUUCUUCCCUUCCCAUGGAUGUAAGCACAUUCUUGAAUUAUGUUAAUUAUGUUUUGGUUUAUUUUGUUGUUUUCUUGUUUAUUGUUCAAUUGUCUCCGCAUAACAAGUGGUAUCAAAGUUGUUUCCAACACAACAGAUGAUUCCUAUGCUAACACAAUGUUUGAGGUUAAAUGUAAGAUGGUAAAAGUUUCUAGAAUAUUUCCCUAUGACAACUGCCAAUAAAGGAUUUACUUAACAGGAAGUUCGUAAGGUGUUACAUGGCAAGUUGAACAAGACCAAUAGCUAAAGAUAUUUGAAAUAUUUGGGGCCAUUGAUCGAACAAUAGCAUAGAAUAACACAAGAAGAGACCCUCUAAUCACCAUUUUUGCUUUUGAUUCUUCUCUACAAAGCAUCAUCUCCUUUAUACAAAAAGACAACCCGUGGCUAAGCCCACAUUAUUCUCUACAUAUCCCAAAAAAACCCUCCAACCCAUGGCAUGGCGCACUUUUUGGGGGUAUUUUGCUACUAAAUUUGUGGUAGUCUCUCAAAUACCUAAACUAUCCUCCAGAUUUUAAGGCAUGGCCUACUCUUUGAGGUGGUAUUUUAGGUACCAAUUUUUGUUAAGAGAGGUUUUGGUGUGAAAACUAGAGGGCUUUACACACGUUGCAUGUAUUUUCUUUUGCAUGCAUUACACGUAGAUUGGAGUUUAUGCAGUUACUCACUUUUUGUGAGUCCAAUAGUACUAUAGUGCCAUGUCACCAUAUGAUGGGCUCUUUAGUCUUUUCAAACCCAAAAAAAAAAAAAACCUAAUACUAAAAGGACUGCUAACUAGCUAUGUGGAGGUGAACCUCUAUAGCUAGCUUCUUAGAGGGACCAUGAUCACUUAGGCCAAGAAAGUUUGAGGUGAUAAUAGGUUUGUGAUGCCCUUAGAUGUUUUAGACACAUGUGCGUUACACUAAUGUAUGCAACGAGUCUAUAACCUUGAUUGACAGGUCCGGGUAAUCUUUGAAAUUCCACUGUGAUGGGAAGGUUCCAUGUGAACAACAGUUGCACAUGGGUUAGUCAAUCUUAAGAGACGGGGGAAGCCCGUUUAAUAGCGCACAAUGUGCAAGCUUUGAAAGGCAAUCAGGUUAACAUUUUUUAAUUGGGACAUGACAGUGAACAAUAACAUUAGGUAGUUUGGAGAUGUCGUCAUAUUAAUUGUUAUCAAUAUUUUUAUUUAUUCAAUAGAAUUUGAGGAUUAAAAAAUACCACAAAAAUUAGAAAAUACAAAAUUAAUUACAUGGCUUACAUUUCAAAUAUUUAAUAAAAUAUUGUAUGAAAAUUGAAUAUCAUACAUUAUUAAAUGGCUGGAUUCUCUUCUUUAGUUUUUUAAUUGUCUCAUCCUAUUAAAUUACUCAUCUAAUAUUAAUUUAUUUUAAAGGUAAAAUUAAUUAUUUUGUAAAAAAACUUUUAAUUGACCAGAGUUUGUGCCAUGCAUCUAAUAUAUACUUAAAUACUUUUCCAUGCUAUAAUCCUCCAACUAAGGAAUGAAAUCAAAACUUAAAAAUCAUUUAUAUAUAUAGAUAUAUGUUAUUAAGUUUAGGUAGUGAAGCAAUUAUUGUGGAUAUAAAAUUAAUGCCAAAACUUUUGAUUGUUCCUUCACAUUCUCCACAACCAAACAAAGGAUAUAAGAAAAAUAAAGAAAGAAAAUUAGGGUAGUUUGAUUUUUUGUACUCAUCUUGUCGUGAAGUCAUCUUGUCGUGAAGUUAAUAGAAGAAUGCUUGGGUUAGUGCUCAACAAUUAAGUGCCACUAGGGUAUAAUGAUUCUUCCAAUCAAGUAAAUAUUAUCCGCUUUAAUUUCAAUGGAUCAUCAUCACUUUAAAUUGCAUCCACAUGGUUAAGAGCAACUCAUAUGUAUAUAAUAUCAUGAAUUUCUUCUUAUUCAAUAUGGAAUAUCAAAUUAGGUAUCUUUCAAUUUUAGGUAUUGUAUAAGUGUUUCAAUUCAAAUGACUUGGCUUAAUGUAUACUCAAAGCCUUUACAAAGGAACGUACAUGUAAUAAAGUGAAAAUUAAACCUUGUCGCCCGUCUAUCUCUAGUAUGAAACACAACUCCAUUAGCCCUUAAACAUCUGCAAAAAAAGAUAUACACCUUUGUUACAUUAAUUAAAAUAAAUGAUAGAAAAAGAAACUCUAUAUAUCCAUGUACAAAAUUUGAUUAGAUUUGUUAUAUAUAUAAAGAGAGAGAGAAAAAGAAAAAAAAAACUGCUUAGAUUAAGGAUCUCAUUAAUUAAUACCUAGAAAAUAUAAAAUAAAAUAAAAAGAUUAGAAGGUGUGAAUUAUAAGAUAAGAUUACAUUUUUGAAUUAGAUUCAUCGAAAGAUGGCAUAUUGUAUGAACAUUUUUACUCUAUAUAUAAAAACUUAUAUUAUGGUUGAGAUGUAGUAAUUUGUCAUAUUUUUGGACAAUUCAAGUAAUGAGUAAUUACACUAAAUUAAAUUAUUGACCUUAUUAAUUGAUAGCUCAAGAGUAUAAAAUAGUAAGAAAUGAAUAAUACAAACUUUAUCGAAAUAUUUUUAUAGACAUAUUGUGUAAAUAUUCUUAUUUCAUAAAAUUUUAUGUCAUUAAAUAAAUAGAGAAUUUUAACAUUAAUUGCAAUGCUAAGUAGAGGAGAUCCCAUAUUUAAGCUGUUGAUUAAGGCUUAUUUGAUAAAACUUAAUAUUUAUUACUUAAUAACUUAAGUUGACUUUAAGUUAGAUUAUAUUUAAAUUACUUAAAAUUUAUUAUUUAAUAUUUACUUUAAGUAUUAAAGUUAUUUGAUAAAAUUAAUUUAAAAGUCAUUUUAAAUUAUCAAAUUGUCAUAUUUAUCUUCGUUAAUUUGAUAACUAGAUGCAGAUAAAUGAAACAAAAUAAAAUUGAGAUUAAGAAUAAAUUAAUUACUUUGAUUUAACACUUAAAAUUAAAAGUAACUUUAAGAUAUAAUAUUAAGUUAUUUUAUCAAAUAUAUUUAAUCUAUUUAAUAAUUAAAUUAAGUUAUUAAGUUAAUGAAUGAUUACCAAACACCCUAUAAGACCCAAAAAAUCGAAUGAGUUUUAAUAGUAUUCAGGAUGGACAUGACUAGGUGGCGGUUCAAUGCUGAUUAAUCAUAAUUCAAUCAAGGCAAAAUAUGUAACAAAUACAAGUCAAACUGCACCAUCCAAAUGGGCGCCAAGAAGUUACAUUUGACAAAUGCCAUUAAACCUCUACAGCUAGCAAUUAUUUUGAUCACAGAAAAAAUGGCAAAAAAGUGUGUUGUACUUCAUCUUGAAGCCCAUUAACUUCAUCUUAAUUUGAUCCAAAUUGCAGAAACAUGCAAAACUCCAUGAAUCUAUGGUGCUAUGGUGGCCUACAUUCAUAUAACUGGGGACACUUUGGUUUACACCACAAUGACCCCAAACAGUGUUUGUAGAGGCUUUAUCAAGAUCACUAGCUUUAAAAGACUAAGGAAAGAAAGAUGUUCUCAAUGAAAACUUGGAGUCAAAUUGCAGAUAAAGACCUAAAACUCCCACUCAAUGUGUUUUAGGAAUUGUUGUUUCAUGGGGAUAAGCUGCUUGGUUUGUACAUGUCUCCUUGGUGAUACUUAGAGAUUGGCAAAGUAUACUCUCCUUUGUCAUCUGGUUUGUAUAUGGGCAGAUGAAUGUUCAUGCCAGGUUCAUAUAUGUUUCUGACAUAUAUCACCCUGGAAGGAUCUAGAUCAAGGGGAUGAGUUUGAAAAGCUUGAGUAGGUUUAAGAUGUUCCCAGAAUUGGUGAGCAUGAUAUAUAUCAACAUGAUAUUGCAGAAGACAACAGAGCUUCUGAAAUAUAUCAGGUUCAAUAGUAGGAAAUCUUAUCAGCUGUCACUUAUUGUAAUCCUAUGCUCUCAAUAUUCAUUUGUUGAAGAAGAAGAAAAAAUUGCUUUCACACUAUUCAAUUACAGGAGAAUGUUCAAUUAUAGAAGAAAAUAAUAUUCACUAGACUCUUUCAACUUAAUCAACAUGCAGAGAAAAGCAGUCGGGUGGCCAAUUAUUCACAUACAAACUUACAUACAUCGUCUCUCUACCUCUACUUGUUACUCAUCAGCCAAGCUUAUAGUAAUAUAAGCUUGGGUUCAUCUCUUUAUGUCUCUGAUGACAACUCCACAUGGGGUUCGCCUUCUGGUGAUUUUGCAUUUGGAUUCUGACCCUCUCCAAGUGAAAAGGAUCAAUAUCCUUCUUGCUAUCUGGACUGCAAAUGGAAGUUAACCGGUGCCAAGAGGAUCAAAAGUUGAGCUUACUACCAAUGGACAACUUGUUCUCCAGAGGCUAAGAGAUGAAGACAAAGACUGGUAAUGUGAGCAGCGAAGCAGUGCAUGGUGCCAUGCUUGGACAUGGAAAUUGUAUACCAGUAUAUGGGAGAGCUUCAAGCACCCAACUAAUACCAUAUUGCCAACCCAGGGAUUGGUGUUGGAGCCUACUGUGCAGUUGCUAUUUUUGAGGACCUGAGGUUUGCAAAUGGAACUGGAAGCUGUUGGAGGAAAAGACUACCUCUUUCAAAUGGGAGGUUGGAUCAAACUGAUGUUUCCAGAAGUGCUCUAAUCAAGAUAUUGAAGUCCAGUGAACUAACUUCAGGCAGAGGCAACCAAAAUAAAGCAAUUCUAAUACUCUCAGUCCUCUUAGGCCCCUCUGCGUUUUUCUUCUUCGUUUCUCUGGCUGCAAUUUCUCUAGUUUUCUACCACUUGAACCUCAAAAAUCUGCAGCUUUAUCACAGAGUCCUGAGUACAAGCGAUGGUAGAAGCCUUUGACACUGUCUAUAAAGGGACAUUACCAUCAGGUUCUGGAAAUUCUGUUGCUGAAAAGAAGUUGGAGAAGGUGGUGGGAGAAGAUGAGAAAGAAUUCAAAGCAGAAGUGAAUGUGAUAGGCCAAACUCACCAUAAGAAUCAAGGACAGUUGCUGCGUUACUGUCAUGAGGGUGAACACUGACUACUGGUUUUUUUUUUUUUUUCUUUUUUAUGCACAAUGGCUCUUUAUCAAGCUUCCUUUCUGAAGGCGCCCAAGGACUUGUGUACCUACAUGAAGAAUGCAGUAAACAGAUCAUCCAUUGUGACAUAAAGCCCUCAGAACAUAACUCUUAGAUGAUUCUUCUACAGCCAAAGUUGCAAACUCGGACUGGGAAAGCUUCUGAUAAUCAACCAGACUAGAACACUCACAGGCAUCAGAGGGACUAUGGGGUAUAUUCAGACAACUCGAGCAGCCUAUGUCUCUUAUAAUAACACGUUAUGAAGCAUCAGCUCAAUGCCAAGGUUCAAUCUGCAAAGCAAGGGAUUCAUCAAUGUUUCCUUCAAACUAAAUAAUAAGGAACAGAAAUGGAUCAUUCUGCAUUUUCAGUGGUGUUUGUUAUAGCAUUUAUACAAGAACUCUAGGGGUUUCUAUGUAUAACUUCAUUCCUAUUUUGUCAGUGAAUAUGGUGAUGGUGUUAUAUUACAAAUCAUAGUGAACUGGUGGAAUUUGAUCAUUUGGCCAACUUUAUCCAAAACUGUUUCACGGUUGAAGGGAUUGUUGACUUUGCCCUGGGCGAAACAGCAAUUUCUUAAGAAGCUGGGUAACGAAGAGUACCAUAAUUUGGACUGGUUUCAAUGGAAACUCUCCUGUUUUUGUGCAUGGUAUCUUCAGCUUCAGCUUUUCAUAUGCUUUUGACUAUCCUGAAACUGAUCCAAAUCUCUUCAAUUGAUUAAAUGUAUAAAUGAAUCCUAUUCAUUGUUUGGAGUAACAACCAAAUUCUGGAAGACUGGGAAAGUUUCAACACUGGAGAGAAAACAAAAUGACAAGACCAUAAAUUCUGGAAGAGGGCUUUGCUUUCUAACCAUUACCAUAAUUUUAGAGCUCAACCCGGGUGAGUAAAUUAUAUUUCAGAAUGUUCAGAAGAUAAUUCUGAAGUGAUGAACCUUCUACUCACAGUUUCUUGUUCUUCUUGAACAGAGCAAUGAACAUGAAUAGUUCAGCACCCAGGAAUCUCCCCUUCCUUCAAUUCCUUUACUGGGAAAACUCUGCCAAAAUCAUAACAAUCUGUCCUCUUCCUUGGAGGAAAAGUCACCUACCCAAUCAAGAAAAUCAUCAGGAUUAAUUUGAGCAAAACAUCAGAGUAUACAUCAAGAAAGCCUUGAUCAAAAUCAAAAUACAUCAAGAGCUGCCAUUUUCUUCUAUUUCCUCUUCCCCGAAUGGAAUGCCUUUUGGACUGAGGUGAUCAAUGGUAACAGUCUAACACACUCCUUAAGCUCUGAUUGAGGUCAACGGGGAUUGGCACAUUUAAUGACUUUUGAAAUCAUAGCUGUGUGAAGGGAGGCAAACAUGAAUCUCAGGAUAAUCAACAAGUCAACAACUAUCAAUCAGCAAGGAAAAGGAAAUACCUUUGGAUAUUUACAAAUCAAAAAUUUGAGAGAGUCCAGCUUCUCUGUACAGAAAGGCUUGAGCUUAUUCCAUGGCCAGGCUUUAGAUGGUUCUGAAUUACGGAUGAGAGGGUUGAGUUUUCUUUUAUUCUGCAAUAAGAUUAAAAACAUCAAUGAAACACUAAAAGUUUAUAUAUAGAAGCCCUUUAAAGAUAAGAAUUGGUAAGAAAGCUCACCCAUGGUCUAGUAAAACAACAUCUGUUAGAUAAGUAACCGCCAUUCGAUUGUCCAGCUAAUGCAUUUAGAUCUAAGAUAAGAUAUGGAAAAAUAGUCAAAAAUAGCUGAAGACAGUCCAAAAACUCAUUUAUCUAAUAAUUUUCUAAAAGCAGUAACAUAAAACCUGGAUGAAGAAUCCACCCCUCUACCUGACACCACUUCAAUACCAAAUAAAAUGUUACGAUGACCAUUUAUGGUCUUAAGAGACAGUGGAUGUUGUUUGGGCUCAAGACCUAAGACAAGCCAAAAAACAAGAAGAAGACAACAUCAAAAUUGGCACAGAAACAAGUACAUCAACUAUCUAAUAAAGAGAUUUAUGCAUGUAACAAAUGCAAAUGAAAUAUGAAACAAGAUUUUCAUGGAUUAAACAAAAAUAGAUGGCAAAAUAGAAGGAUAAGGUCACAGACAGGACAAUAUUAAAAGAAAUGAUUAUUUGUCCCACCUGAAAAUCGAGGCAUUCAGAACAGUACACAUUUGUAAGUAGUCCAUGGAAACCAGGGAACAUAUGCAGAUGUUGUAUUCUAUUGCAUAAGGCAAACACUCAAUACUUACUAGCAUAACCAUGCCCAGAAAGCCAUGAAUCCCUUUUUGUUUUGCUUUUUUACCUAUUCCCAUCUCUUAUGGCCAGAAGUGCUCAGGAUGAUAUAACAUCACCAAAUAAGUUAGAAACCAGCCCAUCCAGCAGGUUGAGUAGCCAGCUUGCCCUCAAUCUUCUUUGAGUCAACAAACAGCUGGGCAUUAUUGCCUCCAAUGGAGGGUCUGGAAAUAUUAGAGCUGGCACCAGGGGUGGCUGUAAAACUCUCUGUUCCAAAACCCCAAGUUUCAGGGCCAGAAGUUGCUUCUGUGGCUGGUUUGUUGUGAUGGCCAUUUCGGGUCCUAACAGACUUGCUAUUGUUGUCUGGGCACCUACCUCAGAGAAAGCCUGCCAUGGAUUAGAGUCCUGACAUGGCUGAAACUGAUCCUGAAAUCAAAGUUCACAUACACAAGUAGAUAUUUAACAGAAGAGUAUCCAAAUCUCUUCAAUUGAUUAAUGUCCAAAAGAAUUAAUCAAAAUUUUUAGAGAUAAUUAUAGGGAGAUGAACCUUGUACCUCUCAGUUUCUUAUUCUUCUUGAACAGAGCAAUGAGCAUCAAGUGUUGAGCACCCAGCAAUCUCCCUUCCUCUACAGGCAAAAUCUGAACAAUCUAUCCUUUCUUCAUAUUCCACUUCCUUGCAAAAGUCAAAACAUGAAGAAAAUAUCAUCAAAAUUGAGACAAAAAGAAGUGCAUCAACUAUCUCAAGAAGAGAUUUAUGCCUAUUGCUUACCUUUUGAAGAAAUCCACUUGGUUAGAGCACAUUUUACAUGGACGCCCAAUCAGUGCAAGCUGCUGAACCAAAGGAGAGUUCAAACAUCUAGGCUCAUCCCGAUUACUUGUAAUGAACACUGAAAUGAAAAAAAAAAAUGAAUUUAAUAAUUUUUAAAAAUGAGCAAUUAUAAAACUAUUUUGGUUCUCAUAAAAUUUACGGGAAAGUAAAGAAAAAAAACUUGUAAACUUUUUUGUUUUUGUUUGAUUGUUUAUGGGAAAUUUGAGGGGGAAAAAAAAUCUAUGAGGAAUUUAUUUAACACUUCUUAGGAACCAAAAAUGUUUUAGUUGUUAUCAAAUCGAUAAUUUAACCAUGUUUAAUUCCAAUUAAAUGAGUUUAAUCAAACACAUGAAAUUGUAAAUAAAAUUAUUUAAAAGCAUUGAAAUUCAAGUCAUUAAAGUUGUUCAUAAAAUUUGGUAUAUUAAAGCAAGAAAAAAAACAAAGCAAUUUGAAUGACUUGCUAAUAAAGCACCUAACUAGAAUAAAUAAAGCAGCUAACUAUAUAAGAAAUUAUAAAAUAAAAAUAAAAAAUAAAAAAUAAAAUUGCCAAAAAAAAAACAAACAAAAUAUCCAUGGUUCUUACGUUAUUUUUUUCUUAAUUUUUCAAUAGUUAUAAAUGGUUCAUUUAAUUUUUGCAAACUGCCAAAUCAAAACAGAGCAUGAAAAUGUGUUCAACAUUUGUUUCAAGCUUGAAGCUUCAAGAAAAAAGAAAAUCUUAAAUCAAAUAAACAGAAAGAAAAGUUUAAGCGCAAAAGAAUUACCUAACUGUGUAUUGGCAGAGUGGCAGAGUGGCACCUUGAUUAAAAUAGCACUUCAUUGAUCACUAUUUUAGGAAUGAGAUCUAUAUAACGCCAUUCUUCCCCUUUCUCAAAUUGACACCGUUUUUCCAGUAAAUGACCUCAUUAGAACUACAAUAAGUGAAGUGAUAAUGUCAUAUAAUUAGUAAACCAAACCAAGUCAAUAAACUAGAACUUCCUCUAGUAUGGCCUUUGUGUAAAAGAUAUUUAAAGGUCUUGAUACAUUAGAUAUUUAAAGAUAUUUUUUAUUGUGACAGAUUAUAGAGAAAAUUAGACACUGGGAAAAUACCAAGCCAGGAGCCAUGUCAAGAGCUGCUUUCUUGUUAAAAAUUAAGUCCAAUUAGAAAAUUACAGUAGCGCGUAAGAGAAAUUGAAAGUGGUGUUGAGAAGAGAAAGAGGAAGAAUGAUGUGUUGGGAAUGAGAUGUAAUACCUUCUUUAUUACUCAGAUGGAUUAGUCAUGUAUGUCCACACAGGGGAUGUGGGCAAUCUUGGGCCAAUCAUCUCCUUCCUCCUUCGAGUACCUUUGUGUUAGAUGUGGGCAACUCCACACAUCCAGUCGUGAAAGGGUGUCAGGCCAUAGUCCUUCCCUUGGCAAAAUCGACCGGAGCUUAGGGCAACCGUAGAUUGCUAGAUUUUCAAGAGAGGUGAGGGUUUGGAGAGACAGGGAGGCUAGGGAUUCCAGAUUCUGGAAAUGUGAAAGGUCAAGGGAGGUGAGAGUUGUAGGAAAAAGAAUCGAGUGGGGGUCAUCCGAAAAGGAAGUUGCAUCUGGAAACAUGUCUCCAAUACCGAGGUAUUUAAGAGAGGUGAGUCUGGAAAGGCCCCAUUGGGAUAGGGGGGUCUUGAUAUUCUCACAAUUAUAAAUGUAAAGCGAUGUAAGACGAGUGAGGGUGUUGAGGCAAUCUGGUAGGGUUUUGAGAUUAGGAUACCUCCUGAGGAUUAAAGAUUGAAGUGAAUUAUUAGUAGAGUGAAACAUCUCCUCUGAAAUUGACUCGAGGUGUUCACAAUCCUCAAUGUGAAGUUGCCAGGCUUUGAAGAGCAGCAGCAUAUGUGGAAUCGUAGUGCAUUAUUCCCUCUGGUAGAGACUCCAGCUUUUCACAAUUACUUAUGUGGAGUUUCUUGAGAGUGAUACCUCUCGGAAAACCAAUCAUAGAGGGACACAUAUGUAGAUGUAAGUAUUCAAGGGCACACAUGUCCAUGGUGCUGGUGGUGGCGAUGGAAUUGCAGUGCAUCAUUCCUUCUGGAAGAGACUUGAGACUUGAGAUUUCCAAGGCUUGGAGAGCAGCAGCAUUGGUGGAAUGUUGGUGCAUUAUUCCCUCUGGUAGAGACUCUAGCCUUCGACAAUCAAUUAUGUGGAGUAUCUUGAGAGUGGCGGGUAACCCACCUUUCGGUAAUCCAAUAAGAGACUGACACCAUCUUAUCGAUAACUCUUCAAGGGCACACAUGCCCAUCAUUCCUUCUGGAAGAGACUUGAGAUUUUCACAAGCCCAUAUGUUCAGACUCUCAAGGGUGGUGGGUAAUUGCCCUUUUGGAAAGCAAAUGAGAGAUGGACAAAUCGAUAUCCUCAAGUUUUCAAGGAGACAACAUCAUGCCAUCAGGUAGACUCUUUAGACCUUUACAAUUUCCAACAGUAAGACUUCUCAGCUUUGGUGGGAAACCUACAUCUGGAAAUGACGCUAGCUUUGGACAUUCCUUGAUUGUCAAUUCUUCAAGGCAUGUUAGACUCUGCCAUCCAUUUGGAAGCCUCUCUAGUUUAUCACAUCCACUUAUUUCCAAAGACUGAAGAUUGCAUCCCAAGGAUACAAGUUGGUCACAAUCUCUAAUCUCAAGAGAAUGAGAGUUUUCCGAUCCAAAACCAUCCUCCCACAAAUAUACGAGUUCUUCGCAUGCCCAUACUUUCAAAACCCGAAGCCCUUGCAAAAAUUGCACAAAUCCUUCAUGCAAUUUGAUAAGCCCUGAAAUCCCAGAAAUUGUUAACUUGGUGAGUGAGGUGAGGUCAUUUCCACUGCUCAAGACCGCCUCAUUACAUUCUCCUACAUCUAAUUCGUUCAGCAGUGGAAGUCUUGAAAGUGGAGACUCCAAUUUUGGACAGAAGUGUACAGAGAGCUUUGUAAGAGAAGGUAGGUAAGUGGGUAGUUUCAUAAUCAAUUUGCGGCAACACUGAAUUGUAAGCUCAUGGAGACAAGGGAAUAAUGACUCUGUUGAGGAAGACCAAUCCUCCCAGUGCUCCCAUUCUGACAUGCUAUAAAACUGUAGAGACUCUAGUGAUGGGAAAAACUUACCUGCAGAAACACGAGUCUCUCCAUAAAACUCUGCACCCACUUUUUUUACUACAUCCAUUCCUUGGAUCCUCAACUGUUUGAGCGAUGGCAACUGCCCCAAGCAUGGUAAAGACGUGCACUUUCUGCAAUCUAUGAGACGUAGAUCCACCAUCUUAGAGAACAAGGCACCCCCUAUCCAACGUGGGAAUUCUGGACCACCAUACAACUGAAUGCAGAGUUUGUUCAGAGUCGAACAUGGUUGUAGAGAGUCAAGGACAUCCAUUUGAUUCCUUUCAUUCCCUGAACCAUCCAACUCAGAACUCCACUGCAUUAUCAAGCUUUCAAGGUUACGCUUCGAUUUUAAAUCGGCAUCCCUUGCAUCUUGAAUAUUCACCACAUUUUCCAAUUUCGAAAUGCAAAGUUCUCCUCGCAGAUGUGACAUGUCCUUCAACUCCUUGAUUGUCAAACCGUUGUUUUUGUCCACAAUGAAAUUAGACAAUAUCCGCAAAUCUUUUAGUUUGCCCAUUCCUAUAGGCAUUUCUUGUAAUUUUAUUGCACCAGCAACGUCAAGAUGUCGAAGAUUGAUUAGGUUACCGAUGGUAAUAGGCAACUUGAUAAGCUCUUUACAACAUGAUAAUUUCAAUGUCUGAAGGUAAAAAAGAUUACCAAUUGAAUCGGGUAACCAUUUUAUACUGGUGUGGGACAAAUUAAGGUAUCUCAAAUGUUUCAACUUACCAAAUGAAUCUGGUAUCUCACUUAUCUUGUAAUAAGCCAAUGAGAGCACCCUUAAGUGCCGUAACCUUGGUAUCAAUUCUUCAAGCACCUUAUUACUUAUGAAGGAAUGACGUCCACUAGUUGAUUCAUCAAUCGGCAAAGCUAUGAAUGUGCGCAAGCGCUCUUUCUUAUGAAAUCUUUCAAAUUUUUUAAAGAUAUCACAAAAAUGACGGAUGAAUGAUGAAUGACGAGUAUUUUCAGAAAUGGAGCAUUGCAAAUCAUUCCUCAACUCAUCAUCCAAAUGCAAGCAUGUGUCUCCAGCAAUAGAUUUAGCUAGAGCAUGGACAAGGUCAUGCAUCACGAAUCGUGAUCUAUUGCUGCUCGACGAUUGAAAAAAUGACCUUGACAAUAGCUCAUCAAAAUACUUAUCACCAAGAUCUUCCAUUUUCCUAUUAUCUUUUGUUUGUUGAAUUAACCCCUCCGCCAUCCACAGGAGGAUUAACCCUUGCUUUGUAAACUCAUAAUCCUGGGGAAAAUUUGCGCAAUAAGUAAAACACCUCUUUAAAUGUGAAGACAGAUGACAAUAGCUCAAUCUCAAGGCAGGGAUGAUGUCACAUUCCUUGUCUGUGAAAUCCCAUACUUUGCUGUACAAUACUCUUUCCCAUUCACAUUCACGUAGUUCAGAGCGCAAAAGGCCACCAAGGGCUCUUGCUGCUAAGGGCGAACCUCCACACUUCUCUACAAUUCUCCUACCAAUUGAUUCCAAAUUUGGGUGCUCAUCGAUAUUCAUAUGUUCAAAAGCAUGUGUUUGAAAUAUCUUCAAACAAUCAUCAUAAGGUAACUGUUUGAGCUCAUGUAAGAUCUUGUGUCCUCUCAUCUUGUUUGCAACAUUAUUAUUGCGAGUUGUGACUAGAAUUUUGCUUCCCUGUGCUCCCACCCAGAAAGGGGAGCAUAGCCUGUCCAACUCAAAGUAAUCAUCAUUCCACAAAUCAUCCAAAACUAUCAGAAAUUUUUUUCCCUUCAAUUCCUUCCUCAAAUUUUCUUGGAUUUGAUGCAAGUCUUGUGAAUCACUGCUUUGAGAAUUAGUCACCGAGUUGAGAAUUGUCUUUGUUAUUCUCACUGCAUCGAACUGAUCUGAGACACAAACCCAGGCUUUUUUAUCAAAAUGCUUGGUUUCAUCGUCAUCGUACACCAGUCUUGCCAGUGUGGUCUUCCCCAUCCCACCCAUGGCCACGAUGGAAACUACAGAAAAAUUGGUUUUACUGGGUUCAUUCCUAAGCAGCAUACCAAUUAUAAUAUCUUUUUCUGUCCCCCUGCCAUAGACCUGAGGUUCAUAUCCUAGAGAUGCAGUGACUGGCCUUCCCCAAGCAGAGUUGGUUAUCGCAGCCACCUUUUCUAGACGAAGCUCAGAUUUUUGAGCCGAAAUAUCUCGUAAGCGGCGAGUGAUUUCCCACACCUUGGACCUCAUUUUAAUAUAACGCAUAACCUCAGUAGGAUUGAAAAAGCCAAGCCAAGUUGAGAUGAGCUUGCGUACCUUGCUCGGCCUGCCUUGAUGAUCAGCUUCUUUGGCCGUGAGCUCCCGUUGCAAAGCUUCGUAGGCGAACUCAUCCAAGAUGUCCUCCAUAUCAUAAGCCAAAUCUUUCAGAUUGCCCAGCCACUCUUUCACAGAGCGAUCCGUGAUCUGCUUGUCCUCCGCGUCAUUAAGCUCUUCACGAAUAUCCGACAAUUCUAUCUCCCAUUUCUUGAGAUCAGAGUACACCCAUUGUUGGCGUGCAAAGUCGAGCAAAUUAGUGGAGGCCAACUUGUCAAACAAGAGGCCGAUGGCAGCAGAAAGAAGAGCGUCUCCCACAGCUUCCAUGGUUGGUUUGUACUUUGUUUGGAGAGAGAGAGAGAGCAAAUCAAGCAGUGGAAGCAGAAAGAAGGGAGUUUUGACCCAAAAUAGCGUGUUUUAAAAAAAAAUUUCAAAAAAUAAAGUUGUUUUCAAAAUAAUGCCCAAUCUAAUAUGUCUGUGCCACAUAAGCUGUCAUAUCAUAAAACCGUAGUUGGUGACUACGGUUUUAUUUUUCUAAAGUGGUUAGAAACCGUAGUUACCAACCACGGUUUUAACUUUAAGUUUAAAGCCGUAGUGGUCGUAGUCACCAACUGCGGUUUUAACUUUAUAUAUAUUUAUAUAUAACUUUAAUUUUUUUAAUAAAAAUAUUAUAUUAUUUUGAUUUUAAAUAUACUUAUUUCAUUAUUUUAAAAAUAAUAAUAUACGAAAUUAAAUAAUUGAUAUUUUUAAUUUGAUAUAAAAAUAUUUUUUUAAAUUUUAUUAAAACGCACUAUAUUUAAUAUAAAUAUAAUUAAUUAAUUAAAAUAAAUUAUAAUAAAUUAUAUUUAUUUAAAAUAAAUAAAUUAUAAAUACCUAUUUAGAAAAAUAAAAAAUAAUAUAAAUUAUUAUAUUAAUUAAUAAUUUUUUAUAUAUUAUAUAUAAGUGGUAUAUAAUACCUCUCACACACACACAUAUAUAUAUAUAUAUAUAUAUAUAUAUAUAUAUAUAUAAGUUUAAUUUGAGUUUAAAAUUUAUCACAUUUUUAUUUAAAUAUAUAAAUAAAUUUUAUUAAAACAAUUGACACUAUAUUUAAUAUAAAUAUAAUUAUUUAAUUAAAAUUAAAUAUAAAUAAAAUAUAAUAAAUUAUGUUUAUUUAAAAUAAAUAAAUUAUAAAUGCCUAUUUGGAGAAAAAAAUAAUAUAAAUUAUUAUAUUAAUUAAUAAUUUUUUUAUAUAUUAUAUGUAAGUAGUAUAUAAUAUCACACACACAUACAUAUAUAUAUAUAUAUAUAUAUAAAUAUAUAAAUUAUGAACUUAAAUUAAAAUAUGAUAAAUUUUAAACUUAAUUGAACUAUUAUAUACCACUUACAUAUAGUAUAUAAAAAAUUAUUAAUUAAUAUAAUAAUUUAUAUUAUUUGUUUUUUAAUAGGCUUUCAUAAUUUAUUAUAUUUUAUUUAUAUUUAAAUAUAAUUAACUAAAUAUAUUUAUAUUAAAUAUAGAGUAUAUCAUUUUAAUAAAAUUUUAAAAUAUAUUUAUAUCAAAAUUAAAGUUAUAUAUAAAUAAAUAAAGUUAAAACCGCAGUUGGUGACUACGGCUUUGACCAUUUUAAAAAAAAAUCAAAGCCGUAGUCACCAACUACGGCUUUAAACUUAAAGUUAAAACUGUGGUUGGUAACUACGGUUUCUAAUCACUUUAGAAAAAUAAAACCGUAGUCACCAACUACGGUUUUAUGACGUGACAGCUUAUGUGGCACAAACGCAUUAGAUUAGACAUUAUUUUGAAAACAACUUUAUUUUUUAGAAUUUUUUUUUAAAAACUUACUAUUUUGGGUCAAAGCUCAAAGAAGGGGUCUGUUGUGUGAAGGCUUUAAAUAUUAGAAACCCAUUUUCAUUUAAAUUUAUUUGAAGGUCCUUGUAGAGACAGCUGGAUCAUAUUUUUGGAGUUUGAGAUGGCCCGACUGCCCACCUGCAUGCCACUGUUGGAUUAUAUUUAUUUGUGUACUUUAAAUAUGUCUCAAUUUUAUUAUAAAUUUUUCUAAUUUUUUUAAUAUAAAUAUAUAUAUAUAUCUCUCUUUUAUUAUUAUUUUUUUAUUUGCAUGAUAUUUCUUUCAUACCAAUGAGAAGAAAUUUUUUUUAUUAAAAUUCAUAAAAUAUCUUGUUUUUGUUGCAUGGAUAUGUUUCAUUUCACUGUAGGAAAGUUAAAUAAAAAAUGAUUUUUUCUGAUUUUUAAUUUGUAACAUUUUUUUUCUUAUUUAUUUUAAUCUACCCGUUGAGAGAGAGAGAGAAAAGAAUAUUUUUAAAAAAUAUUGUGAGAUGAGUCCUACUCUUUCCGUCCGUUGAGAGAGAGAGAGAUAAAAUGAGAGAAUGACCAACAAUAUGUUUUGGACUAAAAAAACCCCUUUGAAUGAUUAUGUUGAUAGAAAAGAAUAUUUUGAAAAAUAUUUUGAGAUGAGUCAUAUUCUUCCCGUGAGAGAGAAUAAUAUUUUGAGAUGAGUCCUAUUCUUUCCAUUGAGAGAGAGACAUACAAUAAUCAACGAUGAUUUUUUUUGGACUUCAAAAAUUUUUAUUCCGUUUCAAACCUGUAUUAGAGUAGAACGGGUCGGAAUUUUGUUUGAAGUUCUAGUCAUCCUAUCUUAUUUAAUAUUUUCUGUUAUUUUUAUUAUUUUUAAAAUUUUGUUUUUAUUAAAAUAAAUGUAAUUUAUGAGUAAAUAAAUUAUUUUUCAUAAAUUUUACAUCCUAUCAACUUCAAUUUAAAUAUGUUUAAAGAGGGGAAAUGAAAAAAGAAAUUAAAUUAUUUUUAUUUAAUUUUAUUUAUAAAUGAGAUUGAUUAAGAUAAUACUUUAGAGUUUGUUUAACAAUAAUUUUAAAAAAUAUUUUUAGUUUAAAAAAUAUUUUAAAAAUAAAUAAAUUAAGGAUAUAUUUGAUAAUUAUUUUUUAAAAUAGUUUUUGAAAAUAGUUGUUUUUUAACAUUUUGUUAAACAAAAGUCUGUUUGAAAAUUUAAAAUAUUUUUAAUUAAUUUUAAAUAUUUUAAAUAUAUUUUUAAAAUAAUUUUUAUAUCUAAUAUUUUAUUUUUAAUUAUUCUAUAAAUAAAUGACAUUUAAGUAUAAAUAAAUAAAAAUUAAAUUUAGGUUAAUAUUAUGUGGUUGUUUUUAGUGGACCACCAACUAUUUUUAUAUUCCAUAGAAUCCUAAAUUUAAAUUGAGAUAUGCUAUCUUAAAUUUUAAAUUUUUUAAAAAUAAUUUUUAAGGGCAUGAACUAAAUCUAUAUUUUUUGUUAAGAAUUUCUAUUUUUUUAUUUGGAAGUUUUUUACCAAUUUUUGUUUUUAAAAACAAAAAAAUAAGAAGUACUUAAAGUGUUUUUUAUAGUGAUUUUAAAAAAUAUUUUUAUUUUUUUAAUAUUUAAAAAAUAAAAAUUUUAUAUAUUAAAAAAAUUAAAAACAUUUUUUAAAAUGAUUGUAAAGCCCAUUCUUAAUAUGUAAUCUUAUUAAUUUCUUCUCAUUUACAUGGAAUGAAGAGAGAUUUAAAUGAAUAAAACAAAUACAAGGAUAAAAAAUGAACUUAUUGUACUUUAUUAUUACAUCCUUUCAUUAGAUGCUUUACAUAGUUUUUGAUAAAUAAAAUUAUAAUUAUAUUGAUGGAGGGCCAAUUAGCUUUGCUUUAGGUGAGAAAGUAGAGAUAAGAUUGAAAUGGGCUCACAUGUAAAGCAAGAAUGAAAUCAAAAGUAAAGAGGGAGAUAAGAUUGAGGUGGGUGGACCAAAUAAAAAGUAGGAUAUGAACUUACAAAAGCUUUUGCACUCUUCCCAAAAAGUAAAAGCAAAGCCUAUUAGCAUAAAGUGUGAUGAAAUUAGUCCUAUUCAAGGCCCUACUUGCAUAUUUGAUAUUUCUAUGAAUUUUUAUUUAUUUAUUUCUAAUGUGAGGACUUUUAAGUUAAAAUUAAUUUUCAAAAAAAUAUAAUUUAAAAAAUUAUUUUCAAAUCUACAUAAUUAUUAUAUCUUUUACAAAAAUGAAAUCAUAUAUUGAAGCUUUGAUUUUAGACUAAAAAUCCAAAUCCAACCCACUUAUCUAUGUACUUUAUUGGCAUGGAAGGAGAAGAGUUAAAAAAGUAUUAUCAAAGAUAAAAGAAAAUUUGAUCAUAUGAUAAAUAGAGAUCUUCCAAAAUUUUGAGGUUCGAAGCAGUUACAUUGGAUACGAGAUGACAUUGCAUUGAAAAUUGAUAUUAAAUCUCAUUAGGUGAUUAUAGGAAUUCCUUUACAUAAAUAUAAGUAUUAAAUAUAUCUUACUUUUUCAAAAAGUUUAUGGCCCUUUGUGAAUGUGGGAUGAAUGCAUUUUCAAUUGAGUGAUAUUGUACAUAUAUUAUUAAAAUUUUCUAACACAAUGCUAAGGACACUUAUGAUAAGUUUUUUUUUUUAUUUGAUUUAGGCAAAUACAACUUGAUAUGAUUUUUCAAUAUGUCUCGAAUUCAACUUUUUUCUUUUUAGGGAUUUGAAUUAAUUAUAAUCAGUUUUAAAUCAAAGUUGCAUCAAUCUAUUACAUAUCUAGUUUAAAGUCAAUGUACAUAAUACAUAUUUAAUUUGAAUUGACUUAUUUAAUAAUGGUACCGAUAAACCUAAUGAUAACUUUAACUUAUUUAACUCAUAUUUUACAUCUUUAAUUUUUUUUCAAUAAAUAUAUCAUAAUUGAGUCACAAACAACAUAUUCAGAAGAGUAACUACAUAUUAUGUCAUUCAACAUUUAAUCUGAUUUGAUUAUUUAACAAUAUCUAAUUAUUAAAUAGGUUAUAAUAUAUUACCUAGUUGAUAAUUACAUUGUGUUUGAGUUUAUGUUUUUAACCUUAAUUAUUAUUCACGUCAUGUUUGAAUUGAGAUAUAUAGUUGAGAAUUUGAACUUUGAUAUGACACAAACACAAUCGACCAAUAUAUUGAGACAUUAGAAGAGUAAUUUUGAUAAAAGUUAAUAUUUAAGCACUUAAGUUAAUUUAAAUUAAAUUAUAUCGUAUAUUAACUUGAUUUAUUAAAAUUAUUGUUGAUUUUAUAUUAUAAUAUUAAGUUAUUUUAUCAAAGAUAUUGAAUAUUCUUAAGAAAUUAAAUUUAGUCAUUAAAUUUGACUUAUCAACAUCCUCUAAGGUCUUCUCAAUUUUUAAUAUUUAUUUGAUACACGUUUAAUAAGAAACAAGUCAAAAUGUGUUAGCUCAAAAUUUCAAUACAAGCAAGAGUUGAAAGAAAGCGGAAAGAAGGGCCUCUCCGAUAGCUUCCAUGAGAGAGAGAACAACUUUACAGUGGAGUAAUUAUGAGAGAGGGAGAGAGAACGACUUUACAGUGUAGGAAUUAUGAGAGAGAGGGAGCGAGAGUUAUUGCUGUGGGAUGUAGCAAUUAUUCAAUUUUGAGAGAGUGAGAGAGGGAGAGAGACGUUUAAGUACAAAAUAUUUCGGUCCGUUCGUUGAAAGAAAUGGUAAGAAUAACACCCGCAUGGAUUUGCGUUCUUAGAAAGAAAUAAUUAGAAAAAUAGGUACUUCCAAAUAUUCGCAAUUUUUUUAUCAAUCUAAUUAUUCACAUUUCAGUGUUUUAAAAGUUUCAAAAAUAUCCUAAAAAUCAUAUUUUACAAUUUUUUUAUCGAUAACUAUAAUUUCAAAAAUAUUUUAAACCAUUCCAUUUUGUAUUAUGAUUUUAAUAUUAUUUUUAAAAUAUUUUUAUUAUAAUAUUAUUUUUAAAAUAUUCUUUAUCAAAAAUAUUCUUUAAAGUUUAAAAAUGAUAUAAAAAAAAUAAUUUUUUUUAAUUCAUAUGUGAUAAAAUACAUAAAAUAAAUAAAUAUUUUAUUUAUCAUAAAUAUAUAAAAUUAUAUGGGAAUGCAUAUAGGUGAAAUUAUUUUCUCGAAAUUUCAAGGAAAAUACAAAGAAAAAAAUAAAACAAAUAAAAAUAUAAUUUUAAAAUAGUCGUAAAGAAAAAAUUUGUUAAAGAUAACUUGUUAAAAAAAUAAUUUUAUGUUGACAAUGGAAAAUCGUAAGAAAUUUUCCCUACUCCAAAACGAACUUUGGAACCCUACGUACAUUCUUAAGAAAAUCUGGUACAUCGUUAAAAAAUUUUGGUACAUCAAUCACUUCCCAAAGAUCCUUAUAGGUAUAAAUAGACUAUGGAUAAUAAAAUAGCAGUCUUGAUAGCUUAAGGAUUAAAUGUACUAAUCUUUUUUUUUUAAAAUGUAUCAAAUUUUUUCAAAGAUAUAUCUAAGGUUCUAAAGUCCGUUGUGGAAUAGGGAAUGACCUCCGAUUACUUUCCAAAGAUCCUUAAAGAAAUAAAUAGAUCUGGGUAAUAAGAUAAGGAUCAUGUACCAAAUUUUUUUAAGGAUGUACCCAAUUUUGUAAAUGAUGUACCAAAUUUUAUAAAGGAUGUACCAAGGUUGCCAGAGUUGGUUUUGAGGUGGAGAACGACCUCUAAUCACUUCCCAAAAGUUUUCAAAGAAAUAAAUGGACCAUGGGAAGAGAGAUAGGUGUCCCGUUAGCUCAAAAAUUGGAUGUAUCAAAUUUUCUCAAUAAUGUAUCUAGGGUUUCAAAAUCCAUUUUGGAGUAAGAAACGACCUCCAAUCACUUUUCAAAGAUCCUUAAAGGAAUAAACAAACCAUGGAUAAUAAGAUAAGAGUUUUAGUAGUUCACUGAUUUGAUGUAUCAAAAUUUUUUAAGGAUAUACUAAAUUUUAUGAAAAAUGAAUCAAAUUUUAUAAAUGAUGUAUUAAAUUUUGUAAAGGAUGUACCAAGGGGGCUAAAUUUCGUUUCGAAGUGGGAAACGGCCUCUAAUCACUUCCUAAGGUUGUCCAAAUGAAUAAAUAUACCAUAUGAAGGAAAAUAGGUGUCCCGUUAAUUUAAGGAUUAAAUAUAUCAAAUUUUCUUAACGAUGUACCAAUGGUUCUAAAGUUCAUUUCAGAGUAGGAAACGACCUCUAAUUACUUCAUAAAGAUCCAUAAAGAAAUAAACGAACCAUGGGUAAUAAUAUAGAAGUCUUGGUAGCUCAUGAAUUUGAUGUAUCAAAUUGUUUUAAGGAUGUGUCAAAUUUUGUGAAAGAUGUAUCAAAUUAUCUUUAAGAUGUACCUUGGGUUCCAAUGUCUGUUUUAGGGUGGAAAACAACAUCUAAUUUCUUCUUGAGGGUCCCCAAAUGAAUAUAUAAACUAUGAGAGUGGAGAUAGGGGUCUUAGUUCUUCUAAGAAUUAAUUUACCUAGGAUUUCAAAGUUUGUUUUCAGGUGGGCAAGAACCUCUAAUUACUUAUUGAGGGUUCCAAAGGAAUAUAUACACCAUGAUAAGUAUGAAAGUGGUUCUGAUUCCCUUAAGCAUGAAUUUACCCUUUUUUUUCUUUAAGGAUGUACUUUUUUUUUAAUGAAAUUUAUAUAAAAAAUUAAAUACAAUUUUUUUAAUGAAAAAUAUAUUUUAUUUUAAUUAAAAAUUAAAAAUUUUAACCAAACAAAAAGUUAGAUCCAUAAUCAAUUUGAAAGCACUAUUAGAAUGUAUCAAUAUGUAAUAUUUUUUCCCCAUUUUACAUUAAAAUUAAAAAGUAAAAAACAAAAUUCUAAAAUCUCAUAUCAUGAGGGUAAUUGUGAAACCAUUUGAAAAUACUAUUGAAAUACAUGAAUAAAUAAUAAUUUUUUCUCAUUUUAGACUAAAAUUAAAAAAAAAAAAAUUAAAAUCUCAUAUUUUUUUAAAUUGAUGUAUAAUUAUUCGAGUUCUUUGUAUUUAUGAAACCAUAAUUAGUAAUUAUGUUUUUAAAAAAUAUAAAACCAUAAUAAUAUACCGUGGCUUUCAAGAUAUUUUUACAAUUACGUUUACUAAUUAUGAUUUUAUGAUUAUUGUGAUAAAAAAUGUUUUAAAAAUAAUGUUAAAAUCACAAUACCAUUAAAAAAAAAAAUGAGCGGUGGCUGAGAGAGUGAAUUAUUGCUGUGAGAUGGCAUGCAACAACUUUAAAGUGUAGCAAUUAUUGAAUUUUGACCGAGAGAGAGAAAAUCAUUGUCGUGGGAUGGCAUGCAACAUCUUUAAAGUGUAGCAGUUUACAGUGUAGCAAUUAUUCAAUUUUGACAGUGAGAGGGAAUUAUUGCUGUGAGCUGGCAUGCAACAACUUUAAAGUUAGCAGUUAUUGAAUUUUGACCAACCAUAUCCUCAUCCAAAGUUCCCAACCCAUCUUGGUUACUUCAACAAAUUUUUAUCCCGUUCUAGAGUAGAACGGGGUCGGAAUUUUUUUAGAAGUUAUGGUCAUCCUAUCUUAUUUAAUAUUUUCUGUUAUUUUUAUUAUUUUUAAAUUUUAUUUUUAUUAAAAUAAAUGUAAUUUAUGAGUAACUAAAUUAUUUUUCAUAAAUUUUACAUCCUAUCUUUAUAAAAAGUAAAUUUGCAGCUUCAAUUUAAAUAAGUUUAAAGAGAAGAAAUGGAAAAAGAAAUUAAAUUAUUUUUACUUAAUUUUAUUUAUAAAUAAAAUGGAAUGAGAUAAUACUUAGAGUACGGUUGAUAAUUAUUUUAAAAAAUGUUUUUAGUUAAAAAAUAUUUCUUUUAAAAAAUAAAUUAAGAGUAUAUUUGGUAAUUACUUUUGAAAAUAAUUUUUGAGAAUAGUUGUUUUAUAAUAUUUUGUAGAAUAAAAAUUUGUUUGAAAACCUAAAAUAUUUGGACUAAUUUUUAAUAUUUUUAAAUAUAUAUUUAAAAUAAUUUUUAUAUAUAAUAUUAUAUUUUUAAUCAUUCUACAUGUUUAUAUAAUUAUUUUUAAAAAAAAUCAUUAGAAAAUAAAUUAAAAAAUAUAAAAAAUAACUAAAAAAUGUUAUUUAAAAAUACCAUAUUUUUUGUUCUUAAUAAUAAAAAAUAGAAAACAAUUUUUUAUUGUCAAAUGUAUUUUCUUGAUAUUUUGGAGAACAAAAAACUAUUUUAGAAAAUAGUUGUUAAACAAACAUUAGAUGUUAGAUAAAAUUUUAAAAAGACUUCUAAAAAUCUAAAAAAAUCACUUAUACUAUUUUUUUUAGAAAAUCACUUAUAGUGUUUUUAAAAAAAUUACUUGACAGAUAAUUUGCUAAAAAUAUUUCAAGUAAAAAUACUGUUAAACACAUUAUUAAUAUCAUUUAACCUAACCUUGGAGUUAAAAAAUGAUUUAUCAAAUUCAACCUCAAUCGGUUUAAACUCUCCCAAACCCAUUCCCAUUUGUAAUAUCUGGUUUUGAAAAAAUAAAAAUAAAAAUAAAAACAUAAUAUAAAGAGUAGGAGGAAUAUCAAAUAUAAAAAGAGGGUUAAAAAUGUUUUGUAAUGGUUGGAAGUGUUUUUCCUACAAAUAAUGAUGCAUUUUGAAAAUUUUUAGAAAUUAAGAGAAUCACUUUGAACUUACAUUCGAUACACACUUUAUUUAAAACCAUUUUUUAAAUUAUAUUUCUUAUGAUCAAAAACAUUUUUAAGACACUUCUAAAUGCUAACCUACAUUUAAAAAAAUGUCAAGAUAAUUUUUUUUUCUAAAAUAACUUUUAAUUUAUUAUACUUUAUUAUUACAUUUUAUUUUUUGUUUGAUGCUUUAAAUAGUUUUUAUUAAAUAAAAUUAAAAUUAUAUUGGUGGAAGGCUAAUUAACUUUGUUUUUAAGUGAGAAAGACAGUGAUAAGGUUGAGGUGGGUCUAAAAAAAUGAAAUAAAAGAAUGAAAAAAAGAAAAAGAAAAGAAGAAGAAGAUAGAGAUAAGAUUGAGGUGAGUCUGUAAUUAAAAAAAAAAAAGAGAAAAAGAAAAAGAAAUGCAGAGUAGGAGACAAAGUGACAAAAGCUUUUGCUUUCUUCAAAAAGUUAAAAACAAAGGCUAAUGGCAUCAUGUCAUCAAACUCUAUACAAGACACUACUUGAAUAUUUUUAUGAUUUGUUAAUUAAACUAGUCUUAUACAAGGACUAAGUUAAAAAUAAUUUUAAAAAAAAUAUUAUUUAAGAAAUUAUUUUCUAAUCUACAUAAUUGCUACAUCUUUUUUACUUGAUUUUAGUUCAAUUUCAUUAAUAUGAAAUCAUUUAUUUGAGCCCAAAAAUCCAAAUCCAAAUCCAAAUCCAACUCAUUUAUUUAUAUACUUUAUUGGCAUGGAAUGAGAAAAGUUAUAAAGUGAAAGAAAAUUUGAUCAUAUGAUAGAGAUUUCUGAAGUUGGAGCCAAUUCAAUGCCUAGUGGGUAUUAAAAGAAAAGAAAAGAAAAGAAAGAUGUGGAAAUUAAAGUGGAACAACCAAAAUUUUGAGGUUUGAGGGGAUGUCACUGCACCUUCCAAGUAACUGUCUAAGAAUGUGAGGUGUCAUUGCAUUGAAAAUUAAAAUUAAAUCUCAUCAAGUAACUAUAAGAAUUGCUUUACUUAAAGACAAGUAAUAAAUAUAUCUUGCUUUUUCAUAAAAUUUAUGACCCUAAGUGAAUAAAAUUUUUAGAGUGGGAUGAAUUCAUUUCACGUGAGUCAUGUCCUAGAUAUAUUUUUAGAAUUUUCUAGCAAGAUAUCAAGGGAAACUUUAUGGUAAGUGUUUUCUUUCUAGUGAAGGUGAGUACAGUUCGAUGUCAUUCAUAAACAUAUUUCAAACCCAAUAUACUUUUUUAGGGAUUUGAAUUAAAUAGAUUUGUAUUUAUUUUAAAUUCAUGUGAAUAUAUAUAAUUCAUUUAAUAAAUAAAUUAUUUUUAAAUUAACUCAGAUAACCCACAUUUGACUCCAAUUAACUUAUUUAAUAAUGGUAUUGAUUAAUAUAAUAAUAACUUUAAUUUAUUGAACUCAUUUAACUCAUUUAAAAUUUGUUUUUCAAUAAGUAUGCCAUAAUUGGGUCAUCAUAUAAUAUUAGAACAUUAAGCAUAUUAUUUCAUUCAACAUUUAACUUGAUUUGAUUAUUAAACAAUAUCUUAUUAUUAAAUUGGUUAAACAGGAAAUGAUGUAUCAGCUAGUUAAUAAUUAUAUAGUGUUUGAGUUUAUGUUUAUGUUUUUAAUUUUGAUUAUUAUUCAUGUCAUGUUUGGGUUGAGUUGUUUCGUUGAUACAACACAAACAUAAUCUACCAACAUAUUAAUAAAAAAUUACGAGAUAUUAGGAGAGUAAUUUUGGUAAAAGUUAAUAUUUAAUGAUUUAAGAUGAUUUUAAAUUAAAUUAUAUUUAAAUGAUUAAGUCAUAUCAAAUCAUUAACUUAAUUUAUCAAAAUCAUUUUUUAUUUUAUAUUAUAGUAUUAAGUUAUUUUAUCGAUCAUACUUAAUAUACUUAAGAACUUAAAUUUAGUCUUAUCAACAUUCUCUAAGGUCUUCUCAAUUUUUAAUAUUUAUUUGAUACAUAUUUAAAAAUAAACAAGUCAAAAUAUAUUAUCUCAAAAUUUCUAAUUCAUACUCCUACAAGAUUUUAAAAUUCAUUAAUUAAUUUGAAAGAAAUUUGUUUUGGAACAUGCAAGUGAUGGACAUAUCACAUAUCUUAAAUUUCUAACUAAAAAACCUCGUAACAAAAUAAUUUGAUGAAUGUUUUUCAGUUUAAAAAACUCAGAACCAUUUCACAAUGAUUUUGGGAAGUUAGAAAUGUUUUCGAAUGCUUGAAAAUGUUUUAAUAACGAAAAUUAAACAUUUGAUAAAAAUUAAAGUUCACAUUCUAAGUAAUUGAUAGUGCUUCUUAUAAUUUUUUUUUCUUUUCAUUAUAUAUAUAUAUAUUAGACAUCUAAAAGGUUUCACCAAUUAAAUGGUGUCACAUAUACAUUUUUAUAUAACAUGAAUUGUAAAGGUUUCAUCAAUUAGGUGGUGUCACACAUAUAUUUUUAAGUCUCAUAGUUUAUAUCAUUGUACCUUGGCCACAUUUGUUUAUACAUUUGUUUAACGAUUUAGAUCUCACUACAUAUAUUUAAUGGUUUAGAUCUAGACUUCGAUAGGUACCACUACAAAACCUUAGUAUUAUAUAUACAUAUACAUCAUACUAACUACUUUUUUUUAUAUCAAAACACUUACAAUAGAAAUGCUACAAAUUAGUUUUGAUCAAAAUAAUUUCCAAACCAACCAUAAUAUUUGCAUUAGCUUUAACAUAUAAUAUCUUUUAUUUUAGUUGUUGAUAUAGCUACAUAUAAGACCAACCAUUCAUAUGAUAAUUAUUAUGGAUCUUAUUUUAAUUUGAUAAAAAUAUCUACCGAAGCAUUAUGCAAAUAGGGACGACAAUGGGGUGAAAUAUGGACGAGUCGUUCCUAUCCCAACUUACCUCAUUUAUUUAAAAUAAUUCUCAUUCCCGUCUCAUUGAAGAAAUUAAAUGGAAUGGGAUAGGUAUGAUGCCUACCCCUUUUAAUUUCUUUUUGAAAAUUUUUAAUUUUUUUAAAAAUUAUUUUUAAAUUUGUUUAAAUACAUUAAAAUAAAUAUAUUUUAUAAAUAAUUUUAAUUUUAAUUUUUUAUAACUUAUUUAUUAUUAUUAUUAUUAUUAUUAUCAUUAUUAAAAAUAGGAAAAAUAACAAUUUACGUCUAAUUGAAGCAGGACAAGGUAAUACCUAAACCUGCCCCAAACUCGUCUUGAGUUUUAAAAAAAAUUUCAAAGAUGCUUUUAACUCAUUUAUUUAAAUUUCAAAUCCAUCCUAUUAGGGAUGGGGUGAAACUUGUCUCAUUGUCAUCCAUGUAUGCAAGUCAUAAAUAUAUAAUAAGAAAAAUAAUAAUAAAAUUAGUAUCUAUUUAGAUAAACUUGUUGUUUUUUGUUUUUAAAAUAAGAAAAUAAUAAUAACUUUUAUAUAAGAUAUAAGGAUAUUUAGAUACUUAUAUUAAAAAUAAUAAUAAUAGUUUUAAAAAUCAUUUAAAAUUUUAAGGUAUUAAAAAAAUUUUACUAAACCAAAUUUAAUUUUUUUUUAAAGAUAUGACAUAAAUUUAUAUAUAUAUAUAUAUUUUGUAUAACAUGUUCUACUUUCAUAUAGAAAUUUCUAAUUUUAAAAACAAAAAAUAACAAAUGUAUUAAAUGAACACUUAGCUUCUUAUUUUUUUAGUGGUUCACCUUGCCCCUUAGAUAAGAAGAUUAUGAAAAUUUUCAAUAAUUAUGAAAAAGAUAAAAGUACUAAAGGUGGAAAGACUUUGGACAAAAUUAUGUGUGAGAUGGUGUGCAUCAACUUUAAUUUGGACAAUUAUGUUAAUGGGAAGAUGUUAUCCUCGUCUCAAUCACUAACUUUAAAUUGUAGUACUUAUUGUAUUUUGGAUAAUUAUGUUAAUGGAUCAUGUCAUCCUCGUCUCAACUCAUCUUGAUUAUUUAAGUUAUAAGUUAUAGUCACCAUGUCUUAUUUAAACUUUUAUACUAUUUUUUAUUAUUUUUAAAGAUAAAUCUUAUUAAUUCAUAUGUGAUAAAAUACAUAAAAUAAAUAAAUAUUUUAUUUAUCAUAAAUAUAUAAAAUUGUAUGGGAAUACAUGUAGGUGAAAUUAUUUUCUCAAAAUUUCAAGGAAAAUAUGAAGAAAUAAAAUAAAAUAAAAAAAUAUAAUUUUAAAAUAGUUGUAAAGAAAAAAUUUGUUAAAAAAAUAAUUUUAAGUUGACAAUAGAAAAUUGUAAAAAAAUUUCCCUACUCCGAAACGAACUUUGGAACUCUACGUACAUUCUUAAGGAAAUCUGGUACAUCGUUAAAAAAUUUUGGUAUAUCCAAUCACUUUCCAAAGAUCCUUAUAGGAAUAAACAGAUUAUGGGUAAUAAAAUAGGGGUCUUGAUAGCUUAAGGAUUAAAUGUACUAAUUUUUUUUAAGGAUGUAUCAAAUUUUUUCAAAGAUAUACAUAGGGUUCCAAAGUCCGUUUUGGAAUAGGGAAUGACCUUCAAUCACUUUCCAAAUAUCCCUAAAGAAAUAAACAGAGUAUAGGUAAUAAGAUAGGGAUCCUAAUAGCUUAAAAAUUGGAUGUACCAAAUUUUUUUAAGGAUGUACCCAAUUUUGUAAAUGAUGUACUAAGGUUAUCAAAGUUGGUUUCGAGAUGGAGAACGACCUCUAAUCACUUCCCGAAAGUUUUCAAAGAAAGAAAUGGACCAUGGGAAGUGAGAUAGGUGUCAUGUUAGUUCAAAGAUUGGAUGCAUCAAAUUUUCUCAAUGAUGUACCUAGGGUUUCAAAGUCUAUUUCGAAGUAGGAAACAACCUCCAAUCACUUUCCAAAGAUUCUUAAAGGAAUAAACAGGUCAUGGAUAAUAAGAUAAGAGUCUUAGUAGUUCACGAAUUGGAUGUAUCAAAAUUUUUUAAGUAUGUACCAAAUUUUAUGAAAGAUGAAUCAAAUUUUAUAAAUGAUGUAUCAAAUUUUGUAAAUAAUGUACUAAGGGAGCCUAAUUCCGUUCCGAAAUGGGGAACGACCUCCAAUCACUUCCUAAGGUUGUCCAAAGGAAUAAAUAGACCAUAGGAAGGAAGAUAGAAGUCUCAUUAGUUUAAGAAUUAGAUGUAUCAAAUUUUCUUAACGAUGUACCUAUGGUUCCAAAGUUCAUUUUAGAGUAGGAAACGACCUCUAAUUUCUUCCUAAAUAUCCAUAAAGAAAUAAACGAACCAUGGGUAAUAAUAUAGAAGUCUCGGUAGCUCAUAGAUUAGAUGUACCAAAUUGUUUUAAGGAUGUGCCAAAUUUUUUGAAAUAUGUACCAAAUUAUCUUAGGAUAUACCUUGGGUUCCAGUGUCUGUUUCAUGGUGGGAAACAACAUCUAAUUCUUUCUUAAGGGUCCUCAAAGGAAUAUAUGAACCAUGAGAGUGGAGAUAGGGGUUUUAGUUUUUCUAAGAAUGAAUAUACUUAGGAUUUCAAAGUUUGUUUUGGGGUGGGCAAGACCCUCUAAUUACUUAUCAAGGGUCUCAAAUGAAUAUAUACACCAUGAUAAGUAUGAUAGUGGUUCCGAUUCCCUUAGGCAAGAAUUUACCUAUUUUUUUUAAGGAUGUACCUAUUUUUUUAUGAAAUGAAUAUAAAAGAUUAAAUAUAAUUUUUUUAAUGAAAAAUAUAUUUUGUUUUAAUUAAAAAUUAAAGAUUUUAACCAAACAAAAAGUUAGAUUCGCAAUCAAUUUGAAAGCACUAUUGGAAUGCAUGAAUAUGUAAUAUUUUUUUCUCCAUUUUACACUAAAAUUAAAAAGCAAAAAACAAAAUUCUAAAAGCUCAUAUCACUUUUGAGGGUAAUUGUGAAACGAUUUGAAAACACUAUUGGAAUACAUGAAUAAAUAAUAUUUUUUCUCAUUUUAGACUAAAAUUUAAAAAAAAAAAUUCUAAAAUCUCAUUUUUUUAAUUGAUAUAUGAUUACACAAUUUCCUUGUAAAGAUAUUUAUCAAAUCAUAAUUAGUAAUUAUGUUUAAAAAAAAUGAUAAAAUCAUAAUUAUAGACUGUGGCUUUCAAGAUAUUUUUACAAUCACGUUUAUUAAUUAUGAUUUUAUGAUUAUUAUGAUAAAAAAUGUUUUAAAAAUAAGGGAAACUUGUGUUUUAGGGCACUUAUAUAUAAAAUAUAUGGCAUUCAGACCCUAAGUUUAUGAAAUAUGGAAAGUAAUCAUUAAUGGACAAAAUAAUAUUAGAAUUAUGCACUCUGUGCUGAGUCAAUUUUAUCUGCCCAAAUUGCCCCUGAUGUCUUUUGCAUCAGCAACCAAAUAGCUUCCACAUCAUACUUAAAUAAAAAAAAAUUGUGAAACUUGACAAUUGCUGAAAAAACUACCCGACCCGACUUUAGUUGUCCCAUUCUCUCUUUCUCAUUUUAGCAAAAAAAAACCCUAACUUUCUUCUCAUAAACUUCUGUAGCCCUAAAUCCAUAUUUUAGUUUGUUAGCAACCAAAUCUGAGAUUUUUCCUAAGCCGAAAUCUAAAAAACUUGCCAUUUCAGAAGGUCAUUUGAAAUCUGAAUCAGCCAAAACCUUCAGUCCAACAAAUCGAACCGUUACCCAUCUUCCCAGUUUCUCAGAUUUCUCUGUUUGUCUCUUAACAUCUCAAUUAGUCGAACCUAUCUAUCUCUUAACGUCCUGAGUAGCCGAAGUUGAUGCCCAUCUUCCCAAUACCUUGAAGUAAACUGAACGGGAGACAUAUCUUGUUUUUGUAUCAUCAAAGUUGGAAUUUUGUUAAGGUUUCUCGAAACGGAAUUGGAGUUUUCCCAUUUGCGCGUGUUUUCCGAUUAAUCAAUCACAGGUGAGUUUUCAUUUACGGGUUUGUUUGGAUGGUGCGAACAUCUUAGGGUUUCAGGUGUUUUAUUUUGGGGUUUCUUGUAUUUAGCUUCAUUUUCGGUAGAAUGAAAUAUAGUAUAAAUUUUUUUAGGUUAAAGAUAUGUUCGUAUUUAGAGAAAAAAAUUAUUAUUAUUAUUAUUAUAUAUAAAUAUAUAUAUAUAUAUAUAUAUUUAUUAUUAUCACAUAUGCUUUCCAGGAAUUCUAUUGUCAUAAGAUUUUUGGGGAAAUUGGUUCAUCUGUAUUACUUGGAAAUUUUCUUUCAAUUUUAAUGGUAUAUAUGAGAGUUACUACUAGCAGCUAAACAGAUUAUUUGCUUGGUCAUUUGUCAUUGUUAUUGCUUUACUAAUUUUGAAUAUCGAUUUCAUUGUGUGUAUGCUUUUAUUAUUUUGUCAUUUGUCUUUGCAUGAUAGAAUUGAAUGUAUGUUGUUGUUGUUAUUGUUUUAUGAAUUUGAUUUGAGACAUGAUAAAAUGAUAGCAAUAAGCAUCUAAAAGAUGAAUGUUCACUACAAAUUUGGGAUGAAAAAGAAGUGACGGCUUUGUGAAGUGUUGGUCAUGCCUUAAUUUAUUUGCAUAUUUGAUUUAUUUUUGAAUUCUUCUUAUUUAUAUUUUAAAUGUUUAAUAUGUUGUUGAGGUAAGAAUUGGUAUGCAUUUUUUCUCAGUUAUGUUUUCGAGACCAUAUUACAUUCCUAAGUCUUUAAAUUUGAGAUGAGUAUAGUUUUGUAUUUGUCUUUUUAUGAGUGGAAAAUCGUAUUGUAUGUGAAGAAUUGUGGUGAUAGUGUUGUGAAAAGUUCGUGUAACACAAAAUUAAGUGUUGAAAUUUGAAGGAGAGAAUGAAUAAAGUAGACAACACCCCAUAUGGUAGAAAUGCAUGAAGAACAUGAUACCCAACUAUAGUCAAUGCAUUAAUGCUCUUUUGAUAGCUGUUUUGGAAUUUGUGGUACUGCAACAUAUAUUCGAAAAAAUGAUAAAUGAAAUGGGUUGACUGUUUUGUAAGUCAAUUUUUUUUUUUUGGUGAAAAGAGAGAAAGACAUGUAGUUUUUUGUUUGUAAGUAGUGAAGUUAGUUGUGUUAUCCCUUUAAUUUCCUCUUCUGAUCCUUUUGAUGAAUUUGGGUCAUGUCAAACUAUCUAUUUAUGACUCUAAGUUAAUAUUGGUCAGUUUUGUUUUCGGACAAGAAUGGACAAUACUUUGCAUAUUUACAAAUUGGGCAAAAUUGAAGGUACUGAUUGACAACACUAUUUAAUUGCAAAACUGUUGUGUCAUGUCUGUUAUUAUUUGGCUGGUAAAUGAGUCAUAUUAUUACCCUAUUGGUCCUUUAUUGGAGGACUUACCAAUUGCACAACUCUCCACUUAGUUUUUUGUAGUAUGAGUUCCCUCUAAAUGAGUUGUGCCUUUAUUUUCAUUGAAAAUGAAACAGUUAAAUUAUCUAUUGAAUGAGUUAGACUUUGACACUAUUUCUAAGCAUUUUUUGCAUGUAAGAUAGUAUAGGUUAGGACCCUUGUAGUUAAAAUUUUGAGUUUUUUGGUUGUUAGUUAAUUUUUUUUUAGCUCAUUUAUGAACUUAUAUUUUCUUUUAUUAGGAAUUGAACGGUGAAAAAUGAAUUGAAAAAGAUUAGGUUACAAUGGAUUCCACUUUAGAAGAUGAACAAAUUUGUAUUCCACAUUGACUUGCAUUUCAAGCGUGAUUUUAUAACCUUGGCAAUGUAGUGUUUGAUUCAAAAAUAAAAGUUUCAAAUACCUUCAAUUUUGGACACAAUAAACUGAAUUUUUCAUGAAAUUGUACUUUUGUUUCAUAUGAGAACUGUGGAUUUUAAGACAAUGCUCAUAACUGCCCUUGCUUUGUGACCUAUAGUUUAGUCUGCUUUUACUUGGUAUCCACUUCAAAUUUAUUUUAGCUUUUACUCGGUGGUCCUUUUAUACUUUUUGAUUGCUCAAGUAAAACUAAUCAUAGGCAAUUCAACUUUUGGUUUGUUGAUUAUGGGUUGGUUUAUGUUACCUUUUCCAGGUAGAGAACGAAGAAAAUUUUGGAGAUGGGACAAAAAAUGCUAGAGAUGGAGAAUUGAAUUCAGAAACUAGAGAAACAGAACCUGAAAGUGCUGAAAAAAUGAGGUAAAGCAGGUAGUAUUUGAGAAGAGGACAUAUGAAAAUAAAUUAGACUCAAAUGAUGACGAGAAAAAUAUUAGAACAAAUUCGAUUAAUAUAGAAUUGGAAAGUAUGAAUUUUGGCAUGUGAGCAUGUAUAUGCCAUAUGUAGUAAAUGAAUAUGUUUCAUUUUCAUUUCCUCUAUGUUUGAUGAAUAGUAUGUGGGGCGUUGCCUAUGCCAUUUGUUUGAAGAUAUUAGGACAUGUUUGAUGAAUUACUGUCCAUAGAUGCUAACAGUGUGUCAGAGAAGUAACUUUUUUUUCAUAAGAUUUACUGAAAUUUAAUUUAUGCUCACUUGAGUAGGAUAUCGUUGCUUCUUGCCCAAGUACUUUGAUUUAUAUUGGAAUGAGAUGACUAUGUUAUACAGAACAUAGAAACAAAAGUUAAAUUGAAAGGAUGACAAUUUUUUUUUUGCUUGUGUUCAGCCUAACAUAAUUACAUGUAGCUCUUAGGAGAACAAGAAGGAUAAUUAGAGUAAUGUUUCCAUGGUAGCAGUUUAAAAUGCUUUUGGAAAUUUUCCAACUAAUCUGAAGCUUACCAAAGGGCACAAACCUAAUACAAGCUUUGUGAAGCAAUAGUAGAAAGGGCACACGCUUGUGCUUCCGUGCAUUGUAUUAUCUUAACUUCUUUGAAAAUUUAUAUAUGCGUGUUUCAUUCGGAUAGUUAUGAACCAUUAUGAAUGUUAUAGGGAUAACAAAUUAUGUGUAAUGCAAUUAUGAUGUACAUCCAAGUAAUAGUAGGGUAGGACAAGUAGUUGUUAAUGGUGAUAAAUAUCUUUAUAUAGUUGUUCAAUUGGAGCAUUGGAAAUAUUCCUGUGCAUGUAUAUUUACCUAUGUAAAUUAUACAUAAAACACAAACAUGUUCUUGAGGAUGGACGAUGUUCAUAGAGAACAGGAGUAACAAAACUAAGAUAAAUUGCUUUUUUUUUUUUCACAUCUAACAUGUUUGAGUUAUAAAAAGCUUCCAUUACUUCCUAUCUUCUUAUUAUUAUUUAUCGACUAAUUGACGACUUACUUACCAAAGCAUUUUAUUUAGAUGAUAAUUAACUGGGUUGAAAACCAAAAAUGAAUUAAAUAUAGACGAACAAUUGAAAAAUGAAACUGAAAUGUGGAACUGAAUGUGCGAACGUAGCAUCAGUUUGGUAAAUCAGUAGAACAAUGCUUACCGCUUAGUAUUAAAAUUAGACUUGAGCCCGUUUGGCUGUGAUUCUAAUGGAAGGGUUUUUAUUGACAGUGUUGAGGUGAAUAACACUUUUAUGAGAAUCAGGAAAAUGAUUCUAAUGGUGUUUUAUAAAAUAUGUUGUAUAAAUAUAAAAACACUUUUAAUAUUAAUAAAUUACAACAAAUGACAUACAAUUGUAAUUAUGAAAAUGAAAAUAGUAUGAUAGACAAAAAACUUUUUAUUAUAACACUAUAAUAUCAAAAACUGGUUUAGAGUAUCCAGUGAUAGAGCUUUAACAUUGGGUCAAUCAGGCAGAAAUGCAAGCAUAUCAGGAGCAGAAAAUGAUAGAGCGACAAUAAAAAUUGAAAGCUAUUGUCAAGGUUCAUGGAGAAGAUGUCUUUUCAUUUUGGCUUGUAAUGACGAUUUAGAGAUCACUUGGCUGGUGCAUACCUAAUAAAAAAACAAUUACCAUUGGUUAAGGAAAGUUGCAAAUACAACAAGGGGACAAAAAAUGAAGAAAGUAAACCCAACAAAUGUGGAGUUCAAACCAAAAUUUGCAUAUAUGGAACAAAUGUUCAAAGUGUUGUAUACCACAUCAUCAUAUUAUUGUAUAAAAUUAUGCCAUCAUUAUAGUACCAAAUAAUUGUAUACAUAUCUUUAUAGUAAUAGAGAGAUGUGGAUGAAAAUCGGUAUACAGGGACUACCGAUCAUAAAAAUUGGUUAGUCUAAAAUGCUUAGCCAUAUACAGUGCAUUGAAGGCAGGUACUUCAUGAAAGGAAAAUGUGAAAUGAGUAUGACAGGUGACAUAGAUCAAGAGUUCAUUUUGCUGUUCUCAUGUUCUAUAGGUUAUAUAAAAAAAUUGUUGCCUUAAUUUCUCAUAACAUGGAAAACAAAAAGUAAUGUGCACAAUAAUGGAAAUCCUUAUCAUUGACACAUGUAUGACAACAAUUGAAUAUUGAAAAAUGAACAAAAUCAUAAUGAAAUGCCAUAGUAUAUAGGGUGCAUUAAGGUAGUACAUAAGGGACAUUACAGUAGUACCUAGGGUACGUUAAUAUAGUACCUAUGGUCCAUUAAGGUAGUACCUUCACACUAGUAUGAUUAGAUACGGUACAAACUGACUAACCAAUUAAGAUAGAGUAAUGCCAAAAUCGAAUCUGUAAUGGAAUGAAAUAAAUGUGUCAAAAUUAGUUCAAAAGUGCAAAAUUUCUCCAACAUGCAUUAAGGACAAUAACCAAUUGGACCUUACUACAUAAGGAGUAGUGAGAUAGCACCUACGAUGCAUUAAGGUUGAACCUAAAGUGCAUAAUGAUAGUAAGUGAAGUGCAUUAGGGUAGUACCUAAGGAGAACAUUCUAAAAAAUAAAUUAUUUUUAAAUAAUGCCAUAGACAAUUCAGGACACUGUGUACUAAGGGAAGAUGUUGGACAUAUAUCCAUUCAACGUCAAAUUAGGAUGGAAUUGAAUGUCAAACGUAGGUCCUAUGGUUGAGGAAAGUGCUACCUACGAUUGAUGAACAACCCAAGGUUCACGAACUCACUACCUAAGCUCCAUUAAGUUAAUAACUAAGGUUCACAAUGGUAGUCCUUAAGUUGCAGUAAGAUAGUACUCCUAAGGCUCAUUAGGGUAGUCCUUAAGCUGUAGUAAGAAAGUACUCCUAAGGUUCACUAAGGUAGUACCUUAGACACAUUAAAGUAGUACCUUAGGCACAUUAAGGUAGUACCUUAGCCAUAUUAAGGUAGUUAAUCAAGUGCAAUAAGGUAUGACCUAAGGUCAACGGGAUGCCUUACCUAUUACAACAUAAUAAUGUCAUGCUCAAUUAAAGAAAUUGUCAUUUUCAACCAAAUGACUUGGUUAUGUAUCAAAAUAUGAUGAAAUUGAAUGACAAAGAUACAUUCUAUGAUUAACCAUGGUAGUACCUAGGAUUCACAAAGUAACCACAAAGUGUUUAUGAAGCUAGUAGCCAAGUUGUGCUCGGGUGCAUCAUUAAAAUUCCUAAAUAUGGAGACAAUGUGGUAUAGUCAGGUAGUACCUAAGGGACAUUAAGGUAGUACCUAAGGGCCAUUAAGGUAGUACCUAAAGCACAUUAAGGCAAUACAGUAGGUACGUUAAGGUAGUACCUAAGGGACAUUAAAGUUGUACCUAGGGUACGUUAAGGUAGUACCUAAUGUACAUUCAGGUAGUACCUUCACACUAUUAUGAUUACAUAAGGUACCGAUUGACUAACCACUUAUAACAUAAUAAAGCAAUGAUCCAAUCUAGCAUGCAAUUUUUUAUAAAAUGUGUCUUUAGUAAAAAAGUGGAACAUUUAUCCAAUGUACAUUAAGGGGAGCAACCAAAUAGACCUUACUACCUAAUGAGUAGUAAGAUUGUAACUACGAUACAUUAUGUUACAUAGGUAAAGUACAUGACGAUAGUACCUAAAGUGGAUUAGGGUAGUACCUAAGGAGAACAUUCUAAAAAUCAUUUUAGAACAUAAUAAUCCCAUCUACAAUUCAGGAAAUUGUGUACUGAGUUCAGAAGUUCAACAUAUAACAAAUAAUUAUCAAAUUACGAUGGAAUUCAAUGCCAAAAAGACGUUCUAUGCUCGAGGAAGCUCCUACGUAGGAUUGAUAAAGUAAGUACCCAACAAUCAUAAACCAACUACCCAAGCUCCAUUAAGGUAAUAGCUAAGGUUCACAUAAAGAGUCCUCAUGCUGCAAUAGGAUAGUACUGUAGGUACAUUUACGUACUAUCUUAGGUACAUUAAGGUAGCCACAUGGGCAAUCUGCCCUUUGCCUUAGGUCAAAUGUUCACCUAUGCCAUUACAACAUAACAAUGGCAUGCUCAAUUAAGGAAACUGUGUAUUAUCUACUCAUUUCUUGAUUCAUCUUAAAACUUGGAUGGAAUUGAAUGCAAAAGAUACAUCCUAUGAUUGAACAUGGGUAAUACAUAGUAUUGACAAAGUAAACUACAGUUAGUUCAAAAAUUAAGUACCCAACGUGUGCUAGGGUAGGGCUAUAAAUUUCACAAUGGUCAUAUGUAUAGGACAUUAAGGUAGUACCUAGCGUACAUUAAGGUAGUAUCUAAAGUUUAUGACGAUAGUACCUAAGGGUUACUAAGGUAGUACCUAAGGUUCAGUCAAACAGUGCUUACAUCUAAGGUGAACAAACUCACAAAAAUUGCAAAACAUGAUGCCCACACACGUUGCAAAGGUUCAUAAAGGUUACAAGCCAAGGUGUGCUAACGUAUAAGACCAUAAAUAGCCUCAUGACUUCAUGUAGAGCAUGUAAGAUGUGUUUGACAUAUGGGAAUUGGAUUGGAAAUGGAACUGAAUCAUAAUAUUAUAUGGAAGAGAUGAAUCAAAAUUCUAGUAGGGGUAAGAGUAGGUUCCCGUCAAAAUGAAUACAUCAUUCAUAUUCUCAUAUUAUAAAACAAUCUAAACAAAUUAAUGCAUGGAAAAUGUCAUUACUUCCCAUUUCUCAUUCUCCAUUCUACCUUUACAAACAUUACCUUAUAGUGUUACUCAAGCAUUAUCGAAUUCAUAUUUCACGACAUUCAUACCACAACAAAAACAAAAGAGUAUCAUAUUUUUUUCAUUCUAUCUAACAAUAACCAUUGUAACACAUCAUGGAAGUUACCUUUGGUGCAACAUUCACAUUUCCAAAUACACCAAUGUCCAAAUACUCAACAAGACAGGGGAUUAAACCUGCAAGCAUGCGGUCUAAAAUCCACCUGCACAUAAAGCUAUCGCCUCACCACUGAACACAUAUUUCAGAGUCCAACAACCACUCUACAAUCGUCGAUAUGCUCCAUUAAAAACAAACAAACAAAACAACACUAAAUAAAAAUUAAUUACCGUAAGAUUUUUUAGUGGGGGUUAGGCCAAAAUACAACCCAAUCAGAUGAAGAGGAGAUUUCUUCUUCACGAAGCCAAUAUUUCACACUUUCCGUAUUCAUUCAGGUUCACUCAGUUGAACCAGAAUUUGAAUCACAUUGUUGCCUCUUCAAACCCUCUUUUUAACUAGACGUUGUUACCAUGAAGUGCUUUAUUUGCUUCUUCAGAAACUGCACAACAAAAAAAAUGUAGAUUGAGGUUUUCAAUUCACGGUUUCUUCUUUGAAAUGUGUGAAAUUUUGCAAAUUUGAACACGGUCUCCGCUCCGGCUGGUUGCGGACAUGAAGACGAAUGAGAGAAAUGUUCCCAAACUUUAAGAGGAUGAAGAAAAGAGAAAUUCCAAUCUGGGUAUCAGUUCGACUUGUUGGACAUGAAGGUUUUGACUGAUUCAGAUUUCAAAUGACCUUUUGAAAUGACAAGUUUUUGAGAUUUCGGCUUAAGAAAAAUAUCAUAUUUGGUUGUUGACAAACUAAAAUGAAAAUUUAGGGCUAUGGAAGUUUCUGGGAAGAAAGUUAAGUUUCUUUUUGCUAAAUGAGAGAAAGAGAAUGGGACAACCAAAGACGGGUCGGGUGGUUGUUUCAGCAAUUGUCAAGUUUCACAAUUUUUUAUUUAUUUAAGUAUGAUGUGGAGGCUAUUUGGUUGCUGAUGUAGAAGAUAUCAAGGGUAAUUUAAGCAGAUAAAAUUAACUCAGCACAGAGUACACAAUUCUAAUAUUAUUUUGUUUUCAUAAAUUUGGGUUUGAAUACCAUAUAUUUUAUAAAUAAGACCCUAAAACACAGGUUCUCUAAAAAUAAUAUUAAAAUUAUAAUACCAUUAAAAACAAAAAUGAGCGGUGACCAAGAGAGAGAAAAUUAUGGUUGUGGGAUGGCAUGCAACACUUUAAAGUGUAGUAGUGUAGCAAUUAUUCAAUUUUGACAGUGAGAGAGAGAGAGAGAGAGAGAGAGAGAGAGAGAGAGAUAUUGCUUUGAGAUGACAUGCAACAACUUUAAAGUGUGGCAAUUAUUGAAAUUUGACCAAGAGAAAGAGAGAGUUAUUGUCGUGGUAUGGCAUGCAACACUUUAAAAUGUGUAGCAGUUAACAGUGUAGCAAUUAUUCAAUUUUGACAGUGAGGGAGAGAGAGAGAGAAUUGUUGCUGUGAGCUGGCAUGCAACAACUUUAAAGUUAGCAGUUAUUGAAUUUUGACCAACCAUAUCCUCAUCCAAAGUUCCCAACCCAUCUUGGUUACUUCAACAAAUUUUUAUUCCGUUUCAAACCUGUAGUAGAGUAGAACGGGGUCGGAAUUUUUUUAGAAGUUACAGUCAUCCUAUCUUAUUUAAUAUUUUCUGUUAUUUUUCUUAUUUUUAAUUUUAUUUUUAUUAAAAUAAAUAUAAUUUAUGAGUAAAUAAAUUAUUUUUCAUAAAUUUUACAUCCUAUCUUUAUAAAAAGUAAAUUUGCAGUUUCAAUUUAAAUACGUUUAAAGAGGAGAAAUGAAAAAAGAAAUUAAAUUAUUUUUACUUAAUUUUAUUUAUAAAUAAGAUGAAUUGAGAUAAUACUUAAAGUUUGUUUGAUAAUUAUUUUAAAAAAUGUUUUUAGUUUGAAAAAUAUUUUUAAAAAGAAUAAAUUAAGGGUAUGUUUGGUAAUUACUUUCGAAAAUAGUUUUUGAGAAUAGUUAUUUUCUAAAUAUUUUGUAGAAUAAAAGUAUAUUUGAAAACCUAAAAUAUUUUUGAUCAAUUUAUUAUAUUUUUAAAUAUAUUUUAAAAAUAAUUUUUAUAUCUAAUAUUUUAUUUUUAACCAUUCUACAUGUUUAUAUAAUUAUUUUUAAAAACAAUUUUUAGAAAAUAAAUUAAAAAAAUAAAAAAUAACUAAAAGAUGUCAUUUAAAAUUACGUUUUUUUUUAAUAAUAGAAAACGAAAACAAUUUUUUAUUAUCAAAUGUGUUUUCUUGAUUUUUUGUUCUGAAGAACAAAAAACUAUUCUAAAAAAUAGUUGCUAAACAAGCAUUAGGUGUUAGACAAAAUUUUAAAAAAACUUCUAAAAAUCUAAAAAAUCAUUUAUACUAUUUUUUUUUUAGAAAAUCACAUAUAAUGUUUUUUAAAAAAUUACUUAAUAGGUAAUUUUCUUAAAAACACUUCAAGUAAAUAUACUGUCAAACACAUUAUUAAUAUUAUUUAAUCCAACCUUGGAGUUAAAAAAUGAUUUAUCAAAUCCAACCUCAAUCGGUUUAAACUCUCCUUAACCCAUUCCCAUUUGUAAUAUCUGGUUUUGGAAAAACAAAAAUAAAAAUAAAAACAUAAUAUAAAGAGUAGGAGGAAUGUCAAAUAUAAAAAGAGGGUUAAAAAUGUUUUUUAAUGGUUGGAAGUGUUUUUCAAAUAAUGAUACAUUUUGAAAAUUUUUAGAAAUUAAGAGAAUCACUUUGAACUUACAUUCGAUGCACACUUUAUCUAAAACCAUUUUUUAAAUUAUAUAUCUUAUGAUCAAAAACAUUUUUAAGACACUUCUUUUGAUUUGUAUCUAAAUGCUAACCUACAUUUAAAAAAAAUGUCAAGAUAAUUUUUUUUUAAAUCUUUUAAUUUAUUGUAAUUUAUUAUUACAUUUUAUUUUUUGUUUGAUGCUUUAAAUAAUUUUUAUUAAAUAAAAUUAUAAUUAUAUUGGUGGAGGGCUAAUUAACUUUGCUUUUAAGUGAGAAAGAUAGAGACAAGGUUGAGGUGGGUCAAAAAAAUGAAAUAAAAGAACGAAAAAGAAAAAAGGAAAAAAAGAAGAAGAUAGAGAUAAGAUUGAGGUGGGUUCGUAAUAAAUAAAAAAUAAAUAAAAAAAUAAAAAGAAAGGAAGAGUAGGUGACAAAGUGACAAAAGCUUUUGCUUUCUUCCAAAAAGUAAAAACAAAGGCUAAUGGCAUCACGUGAUCAAACUCUAUACAAGACCCUACUUGAAUAUUUUUAUGAUAGAGAUUUUCCAAAGUUGGACCCAAUUCAAUGCCUAGUGGGUAUAACAAAAAAAAAAAAAAAAAAAAAAAAGAAGAAAAAAAAGAAGGAAAGAUGUGGAAAUUAAAGUGGAACAACCAAUUUUUUGAGGUUUGAGGGAUGUCACUGCACCUUCCAAAUAACUGUCUAAGAAUGUGAGAUGUCAUUGCAUUGAAAAUUGAUAUUAAAUCUCAUCAAGUAACUAUAAGAAUCGGUUUACUUAAAAGACAAGUAAUAAAUAUAUCUUGCUUUUUCAUAAAGUUUAUGACCCUAAGUGAAUAAAAUUUUUAGAGUGGGAUGAAUGCAUUUCACGUGAGUCAUAUCCUAGAUAUAUUUUUAGAAUUUUCUAGCAAGAUACCAAGGGAAACUUUAUGGUGAGUGUUUUCUUUCUAGUUAAGGUGGGUACAGUUCGAUGUCAUUCGUAAAUAUAAUUAAAACCCAAUAUAUUUUUUAGGGAUUUGAAUUAAAUAGAUUUGUAUUUAAUUUAAAUUUAUGUGAAUAUAUAUAAUUCAUUUGAUAAAUAAAUUAUUUUUAAAUUAACUCAAAUAACCCACAUUUGACUUGAAUUAACUUAUUUAAUAAUGGUAUUGAUUAACCUAAUAAUAACUUUAAUUUAUUGAACUCAUAUUUAACUCAUUUAAGAUUUGUUUUUCAAUAAGUAUGCCAUAAUUGGGUCAUCAUAUAAUAUUAGAACAUUAAGCAUAUUAUUUCAUUCAACAUUUAACUUGAUUUGAUUAUUAAAUAAUAUCAUAUUAUUAAAUUGGUUAAACAAGUUAUGAUGUACCACCUUGUUAAUAAUUAUAUAGUGUUUGAGUUUAUGUUUUUAAUUUUGAUUAUUAUUCAUGUCAUGUUUGGGUUGAGUUGUUUCAUGGAGUAUCUAACCUUUGAUACAACACAAACACAAUCCACCAACAUAUUAAUAAAAAAUUACAAGAUAUUGGGAGAGUAAUUUUGGUAAAAGUUAAUAUUUAAUAAUUUAAUAAUUUAAGAUGAUUUUAAAUUAAAUUAUAUUUAAAUGGUUAAGUCAUAUCAAAUCAUUAACUUAAUUUAUCAAAAUCAUUUUUUAUUUUAUAUUAUAGUAUUAAGUUAUUUUAUCGAUCAUACUUAAUAUACUUAAGAACUUAAAUUUAGUCUUAUCAACAUUCUCUAGGGUCUUCUCCAUUUUUAAUAUUUAUUUGAUACGUAUUUAAAAAUAAACAAGUCAAAAUGUAUUAUCUCAAAAUUUCUAAUUCAAACUCCUAUAAGAUUUUAAAAUUCAAUAAUUAAUUUGAAAGAAAUUUGUUUUGGAACAUGCAAGUGAAGGACAUAUCACAUAUCUUAAAUUUCUAACUAAAAAACCUCAUAACAAAAUAAUUUGAUGAAUGUUUUUGAGUUUAAAAAACCUAGAACCAUUUCACAAUGAUUUUGGGAAGUUAGAAAUGUUUCCAAAUGCUUGAAAAUGUUUUUAUAAUGAAAAUUAAACAUUUGAUAAAAAUUGAAGUUCACAUCUAAGUAAUUGAUAGUGCUUCUUAUAUAUUUUUUUUCAUUAUAUAUAUUAGGCAUCGAAAAGGUUUCACCAAUUAAAUGGUGUCACAUAUACAUUUUUAUAUUACAUGAAUUGAAAAAGUUUCAUCAAUUAAAUGUCACACAUAUAUUUUUAAGUCUCAUAGUUUAUGUCAUUGUACCUUGGCCACAUUUGUUACCUUUGUUUAACGAUCUAGAUCACACUACAUAUAUUUAAUGGUUCAGAUCUAGACUUCAAUAUGUACCACUACAAAACCUUAGUAUUAUAUAUACAUAUACAUCAUACUAGCUACUUUUUUUUUUUAUCAAAACACUUACAAUAAAAAUGCUACAAAUUAGAAGUGUUUUUAUCAAAAUAAUUUCCAAACCAACCAUAAUAUUUGCAUUAUCUUUAACAUAUAAUAUCUAUUACUUUAGUUGUUGAUAGAGCUACAUAUAAGACCAACCAUUCAUAUGAUAAUUAUUAUGAAUCUUAUUUUAAUUUGAUAAAAAUAUCUAUCCAAGCAUUACACAAAUAGGGAUGACAAUGGGGUGAAAUAUGCACAAGUCAUUCAUAUCCCAACCUCACCCCAUUUAUUCAAAAUAAUUCUCAUUCUCGUCUCAUUGAAGAAAUUAAAGGGAAUGGGGUAGGUAUGAGAAUUUCAUGUACCCACCCGGCCUACCUCUUUGAAAAAUUUUAAUUUUUUUAAAAAUUAUUUUUAAAUUUGUUUAAAUACAUUAAAAUAAAUAUAUUUUAUAAAUAAUUUAAAAUUAAAAUUUUUUAUAAUUUAUUUAUUAUUAUUAUUAUCAUUAUUAAAAAUAGGAAAAUAACAAUUUAUAUCUAAUUGAGGCAGAACAAGGUAAUACCUAAACCUACCCUAAACCCGUUUCGAGUUUUAAAAAAAUUCUCAAAGAUGCUUUUAACUUGUUCAUUUAAAUUUCAAAUCCAUCCCAUUAGGGAUGUGGUGAAAACCUGUCUCAUUGUCAUCCCUAUAUCCAAGUCAUAAAUAUAUAAUAAGAAAAAUAAUAAUAAAAUUAGUAUCUAUUUAGAUAAACUUGUUGUUUUUUGUUUUUAAAAUCAAAAAAUAAUAAUAACUUUUAUAUAAGAUAUAAGGAUACUUAUAUACUUAUAUUAAAAAUAAUAAUAAUAGUUUUAAAAAUCAUUUAAAAAUUUAAGGUAUUAAAAAAAUUUUACUAAACCAAAUUUUAAAAAAUUUUAAAGUGAUUUUUAAAGAUAUGAUAUAAAUUUAUAUUUUUUUGUAUAACAUGUUCUACUUUCAUAUAGAAAUUUCUAAUUUUAAAAACAAAAAAUAACAGAUGUAUUAAAUGGACAUUUUAGCUUCUUAUUUUUUUUAGUGGUUCGCCUUGCCCCUUAGAUAAGAAUAUUAUGAAAUUUUUCAAUAAUUAUGAAACAGAUAAAAGUACUAAAGGUGGAAAGACUUUUGACAAAAUUAUGUGUGAGAAGAUGUUAAUGGGAAGAUGUUAUCAACUUAUGUGUGACAAAAUUAUGUGCAUCAACUUUAAUUUGGACAAUUAUGUUAAUGGGAAGAUGUUAUCCUCAUCUCAAUCACUAACUUUAAAUUGUAGUACUUAUUAUAUUUUGGAUAAUUAUGUUAACGGGUCAUGUCAUCCUUGUCUCAACUCAUGUUGAUUAUUUAAGUUAUAAGUUAUAGUCACCAUGUCUUAUUUAAACUUUUAUACCAUUUUUUAUUAUUUUUAAAUAUAAAUCUUAUUAAAAUAAAUGUAAUUUAAGAGUAAAUAAAUUAAUUUUUAUGAAUUUUAUAUUAGCAUUGAUAAAAAUUAUAUUUUCAAUUUUAUUUUAAACAUGUUCAAAAUGGGGGAAACGAAAAAAGAAACUAAAUUAUUUUUAUUGAAUUUUUAAAAUAAAAAUGAUUUAAUUUUAAUUUUAUAAAAAAAUUCUCAAAUAUAUCCCUAAUUUGUUUAAAUUUGUCCUAAAUCCUUCUAUAGUUGUCAUCUCUAAUUUUGACCAUAUAAAAAUUAAACCAAAAUAAGAAGGUUGAGGAAUAUCAAAUAUAAAGAGAGGUUGAAAAAAUUUAUAAUGCUUAGAGGUAUUUUUCUUACAAAUAGAACUUGUUUGGUCAUGUGAUUUAAAAACAAUUUUUUUCUUUUUUUUUUUUAAAUAAAAAAUUGUUUUUAAAAAUUUCUAACAAUGUUUGACCAUUGUUAUCUGGAAGCAAUUUUAAAAAAUAAGGUGAAAUAAAGAACAAUUUUUAGAGAAUAAAUAUAAAUUGUUUUUAUCAAUUUUUAAAAACAAAAGGAAAAUAUGAGCCAAUUUGACCAUAUUUUCUUAAACUUGUUUUUAAAAACUUUUUUAAAAAAAACACUUUUUAGAUUAAAAUCAUUUUUUAGAAUCACUACCAAAAUGAUUUUAAGUAUUAUCUCACUUCACCUCAUUUAUAUAUAAAAUCAAGUAAAAAUAAUUUAAUUUCCUUUUCCAUUUCCCCUUUUUAAUCAUAUUUAAAAUAAAGUUACAAAUUUACUUUUUAUCAAGAUAGAAUAUAAAAUUUAUGAAAAAUAAUUUAUUUACUCAUAAAUUACAUUUAUUUUAAUAAAAAUUAUUAUUAUUUAAAAAAAAACAAAAGGAAAAAUUGCCCCCAUUUGAUCAUAUUUUCUAAAACUUGUUUUUAAGUUAAAAAAUAAAAAACAGUUUUUAAAAACAAGUUUCAAAAAACAUGACCAAAUGAGCUGUAUAUAUUUGAAUUUUUUUUUAAAUAAUCUAGAGUAUCACUUUGAAAUAGCACUUAAUAGACACUUACUUGAAUAUCAAUUUUUUUUUCUUUUCUAUUAUGUAUCUUAUCAUCAAAAACGUUUUCAAACCACUUUUUUGGGUUGUAUCUAGGCACCAAUUAAUUCUUCACAAAAGCGCUUUUUUCUACUUAAAAGAGUUAUUGAUGUAAAUGAUAUAGGCUAAAAAAAAAAAGCAUAUAAAGCAUUUAUGAGAAUCAAUCCCAAUGGGUUUUAUAAGUUGUGUCAUUUAUCAAGGUUUUCUUGACUUUUUAUAUUAUAAUCUUUCAUAAUUAUGUAAUUCAUAUUUUUAAAGCAAAUUAACAAAUAUAUUACAUGUAAUCCAAUAAUUUACAUUUCUACCUUCCAUCAUCAUUAUAUGCUUUUAUUUUCAUAAUUAUUAUAUGGUAAUUAUAAAAUAAUCAAAUCUAAUUUUGAUAUAUUUAUGUUUAAGAAUUUAAGAUAUCUACCCUUAAUUUCUUGACUAUCCAAGGAAUAUUAUUUAUGUAAUUAGUAAUUAAUUGAUUUAGUUUUAUUCAACUUUCUUUGCAUAAAGAGAGAUAAGAUAAGUCAUAAAAGGUGAGUUUACAAAGAGAAGGAUAAGAGAUGAUAGUAGAAGGUGGGGUUAUUGAAAAUGAAGCUUCUCUAGACAACCAAUCCUAUCAACUUGUUCAAUGGACGCUUUGAUGUGAAAUGCAUUUUACUCCCUCUCUCUCUCUCUCUCUCUCUCUCUCUCUCUCCAAACCCCUCCUUACUUGUUUUCUUUCUUCCAAAAACAAAUAAAAACAAUUAAUUCCAAACCUCUCCUUACUUGAUAUAAAUAGGAUUUUAUAAUUCUAAUUUAAUGAACCAAAAAUAGAUCUACAAAACUCGAACUUAUAACAUUAUAAUAAAGAUCACCUUAUAUAAAUUGUUUGUAAUAUUGCAUUACUUUGGUAGCACCCUGUCACUUCGUGUUGAUAUUGGCACCUCGUAUCUUCCUUAGCCUUACUCUUGCACACUUAUGUUUGUACUCUCUCUCUCAACAAACCCCUCCUUAGGGAUGGCAAUGGGGCGGGGCGCCCCCCUCCCAAUCCCGCCCCAUUUAUUUAAACCAAUUCCCAUCCCCGUCCCAUUUAAAAAAUUAAACGGGGCAGGGCGGGGCGGGCGGGUAUGUUACAUUCCCAUACCCGCCCCGUUUAACUUUUUAUUUAAUUUUAAUUUUAAUUUUUUUUAAAAAUUACUUUUAAAUUUUUUUAAUUAUAUUAAAAUAAAUAUAUUUUAUAAAUAAUUAAAUUAUUAUAUUUUUUAUAACUUAUUUUAUUAAAAAUAAUUUUUUAUUAUCUAUAUAUUAAAAAUAAUAAAAUAAAAAUUAAAUUAAAUUAAUUUUAAAUUUUAAAUUAAAUUUAAUUUUAAUUUUAAUUUUAUAUAUAAUCGGGGCGGGGCGGGGCGGGGCAAUACCCAAACCCACCCCGGGUUUCAAAAAAAAUCCCAAACCCGUCCCAUACCCGUUUAAGAAAAUAAUAUCCCACCCCAUUAGGGGCGGGGCGGGGCGGGUACCCGAAAUGACCCGCCCCAUUGCCAUCCCUACCCCUCCUUAUUUGUUUUCUUCUUCCAAAAACAAAUAAAAACAAUUAAUUCCAAACCUCUCCUUACUUGAUGUAAAUAGGAUUUUAUAAUUCUAGUUUAAUGAACCAAAAAUACAUCUANNNNNNNNNNNNNNNNNNNNNNNNNNNNNNNNNNNNNNNNNNNNNNNNNNNNNNNNNNNNNNNNNNNNNNNNNNNNNNNNNNNNNNNNNNNNNNNNNNNNNNNNNNNNNNNNNNNNNNNNNNNNNNNNNNNNNNNNNNNNNNNNNNNNNNNNNNNNNNNNNNNNNNNNNNNNNNNNNNNNNNNNNNNNNNNNNNNNNNNNNNNNNNNNNNNNNNNNNNNNNNNNNNNNNNNNNNNNNNNNNNNNNNNNNNNNNNNNNNNNNNNNNNNNNNNNNNNNNNNNNNNNNNNNNNNNNNNNNNNNNNNNNNNNNNNNNNNNNNNNNNNNNNNNNNNNNNNNNNNNNNNNNNNNNNNNNNNNNNNNNNNNNNNNNNNNNNNNNNNNNNNNNNNNNNNNNNNNNNNNNNNNNNNNNNNNNNNNNNNNNNNNNNNNNNNNNNNNNNNNNNNNNNNNNNNNNNNNNNNNNNNNNNNNNNNNNNNNNNNNNNNNNNAAAUUUUAGCAAUCCAAAUCUGUAACUUCUGCAAAAGUUACGUAGUGUUGAGGGAACAACACAUCUUCUCUUACCAUUUUCAUCUUAUGCACUACAUAUCCCAUGUCAACUGCCACUUCCACUACACCUGAAUGAAGUAGGAACACAAAUGAACAUUUCAAGGCAUCAGAUUGUCUGAAAAUUAAAUUGGGAGAGGUAGAACUACCGAUGCUUACAUGGAACUGAGGAAAAGACAAACAAGAGCAACAAAAAUGGAAGAGAAAAUGCAAAUCCAUAAGCCUGUAGCUGCUGUCCAAAGCAGCUUCCUUGUCAAUUGUCAACAAAAAGUCCACUAUGAAAUUCACUGGUAGAGCCACAUAUAGAAAAUUGCAAUAAAUGGAAAAGUAAGAAAUCUGCGCUGGGAAUGGGUGAAGCUUAUUGAAUGUAAGGUUCUAAACAGUCUCUGACCAAACAGCAUUGGAGUAUAGAUAAUAGCUUUUAGAGGGAAGUGAGGUCUUGGUGACCCUGGAAGCUUAAGGCUUCCAGAUACUGGAAUCUUUGUGUGCAGAUAUACAUGAGAGAUGUAGGAAGGAAGAGGCAAGCCUGUGUCAUCUGAGCAGAGGCAUCUGGAAUCUUUGUGUGCCAUUAUUCAAUCCAAAGAGAUGUUGGGAGAGAUUUGUUCAGGAUUUAUGUGAUAUACAGGCUUUUCACAAUCAUAAAUAUGAAGGUAUUUAAGUAUGGCGUUUUGGAAUAAGGUGAUCUACCAGUAACAUAGAAAAUAAGGAGAUCACAAAGGACUACACAGUUAGCAUGUUUGGAAUAGUUGUGGUUGGUUAAUUUCAAGCCCAAGUUUUAGCACCUAAAAACAUGCCCAUUUUUUCCAGCCUGCACGGAAGCAUUCUCUGGUUGUUACAUACAUGGUGUCUGCAUGUCAAUCAACACAUUUUGAUGUUUUUUUCUUAAAUUCCAUAUUAAAGUUAUACUGGACACUUGAAUGUGAACAUGUCUGAUUAUAUCUUUUCUUUCCAGACAUGUUUCAUCUCUCCAGUGCACUGGGUUUGGAUGAACCUUAAAGCUCAGCUACAGAAUGAAACUGGAAUAUUAGUCAUGUUUUCUGUUCAUGGAUUGAUAAAAAUGUUGAGUAAGAUCAAGAAAGAUGUUAAAUGGGAAGAUGAUUUUCUUACUGUCAGUUUGUAUUGAAAAAAUGGUAAUCAGAAAAGAUAUUUUGGAUAGGAUUCAGAAAGAAAAUAUGUUGAUUCAAAAGUUAAAGAUAUAGCACCCAAGGGGCUAUGAUUCUGUGCAUGGAUUUUUCAUGCUUUAAGAUUGUGCAUGAAGUGCUGAUGUUAUAAGGGAUCAAGGGUGGUUUGUGGAGCAGUCCCCUCUUCAGAGUAUUGCAAGUAUUUAAAUAAUCCUGCAAUUCUGGAGUAGGCUUCUUCUAAUUUGCUCUGCACCCAAUCGUUCAGAACAGUGGAAAGCUUCAUUCAGCUGUAAUAAUUUAAUUAUUUAGAUUGAAUCAUAUUCAUUGGGUUUGCAGAUCAGGAGAAAGUGUCAUGGCUUUGAAUGUUUGUCUCUUUUAUAAUAUCACAGUGCAUUGGUCCACAGAGUUGGUAGCAUGACAGUUGAAUGAAAUGACUGAAAUGUAGCAGUCAAGGUUAUAUUAUAUGAAAAUAUUUAAAUAGACUUCACAUAGUGUGCUUGCAACAGUUGUGGACCUUUGAUGGUUGGAAUAUCCUUGCACAUAUGUCAUCAUUUUCUUUUCUUCAGCUCUGUUUUCUUUGUUUCUCCCUUCCUCGGUCAAGCCAAACAGUUUGGUGAUUCUUCAUUUCUUCUUCAUCCCAUCAAGAGAACAACAUCUCAUGCAUCUUUGUAUUGGGUUCCUCCAUCUCCUUCCACCCUAAGGAAAAACGGUAUCUUGCUUAGUUUGGACUUCUCUAUUUCUUUUAAUCAUUGUGAAAAGCAUCAUGAGAAGAGAUACAAUAAAUGUGUUUGUGCUGAAUUAUCCAAAACAUUAUUUUCACAAUCAUAAAUACCAAGGUGUUUAAGCAGCAGGUAAGGAAUCUCUUGAUAAUGAGGUGAGAGGUAGAAACAAGCAACAUACCUGUAUUCAAGAGAAAUUCUGUUCUUCUUUUGAAAUUUGACAACAUUCAUUUAGUCUGAAGUCAAUAUCUGGGCAACUCAGUAUCUCCACCUUCAUUAGGAUUGUAGGAAGCUGGCUUCUUGGAAAUACAUGAAAUGGGGGCAUUUCAAAAUCUAAAAGAAUUUCAGAGUCCUGCUGCAACUUUUGAAUUGCUCAAAUCAGUAACAACUCCAGAGAUAUAUACAUAUAUGCCCCAGGGAAAUAGAGGUGUCCUGGGCAUGCAACCAUGGAAGAUUAGCUCCCUAAUAGGCUCAAGGUUGUGGUCAUAAAAAAUGCACUGAGCGGGUGACUUGCAAUCGGUUGUGAGUCCCUCUUGGUAGCUUCUCAUUUAUUGCACCAUAUGAAUUGCAUUUUCCAACUGCCAAUUUCACCACCCCUAAAUGAACUAGGAGACAUGCUGAAAGCAAAGUUAGACAGCUCAUCAUAGAGUUAAUCCUGCAGGAAUACACCAAAAAGGAAAUCUUAUUAAUAUAAAUGAAUUCAUCCAAUUAAAGGAUAAGGUUGCCUGAAAAAUUAAAUUGAGAGAGAUGGAUAUAGUGAUGCUUACAUGGGACUGUGGGAAGGAUCAACAAGAGAAACAAACAUUGAAUAGCAAAUGCAAAGCCAUAGAGCUUGCAACUGCUGUCAAAAGCUGCUCCCUAGUGAAGUCUUUUAACAAUAAAUUUCAGUGCAAAAUUCGCCUAAUUGCUCCACUUGUAGGACAUUUCAAUAGUAUGAAAACAGGAUAUGGUGAACUCUCCCUGCUUCUGCCAUCAGUGAACUAAUAUGGAUCAAAGAUGAAUCUCGUCAUCUACAUCUAUUUUUACAUGGGAGAUGUGGGCAAUCUUGGGCCAAUCUCUCAUCAUUGGAUUUAGGAGUUGUCUCUGAUUUAUGGUUCUAAAAGCAUGACAGGAAACCCUUCACUUGCCAAAUACUACUGGAGCUUAGGUGAUGUCUCAAUGUGGGGAUGCUAAGGAUACCAGAUUCUGGAAUCAUUACAUGAAAAUAUACAUGAGAUCCAUAGGGAGAAAAUGCAGGCCUUGGUCAUUUGAGAAGAAAGCCACAUCUUGAAAUAUACCGCCAACGAUGAAUUGUCUGCGAGUGGUGAGUCUGUGAGGUUCCCACUGGGACCCGGGGUGUUUCUCACAUUCUUUCAAUCUUCAAUCUGAAGUAGCCACUUGAGCAAUUGUACCUCCAGGAAUGAGUCAUUUUGGGGCAGAUUGUUUUCAUUUUCCUUCACACCAUUGUUUCACCAUAAGGCACUAAAUGAUAUGUAGUUGCAAGACGAAUAGAGGCAGCCAUUAAUGAAAGCUUAUGGAAAUUCAAGACAAACAGAUCUUCAUGGAGAUAUGAGGUUUAGAAAUCCAAUAAAGAUUUGAAAAUCCAAACACAAGUUAUCCAAUGUACCUAUUGGUAACAGAGUUGGGCAGUAUUGUUCUUUCUACCCUUGGAAAAGGACAUCACAUAAGAAAUUCCACUAGUAAUGGGGGGCUUAAGUGAUGUGUUGGGGCUUGGGCAAUGCUGUAUCUUAAGUUAUUCAAGAGAUGUGUGAUCAUGCAUCAACCCUAAUUCUGCUAGCAUAAUCUGUUUUUCAGUCACAAAUAUGUAGUUAAAAUGUAUGGCAGGUCAUGCAUGCAUCUCUUGAAUUGUCAUGAGAAGUGGAGAUUGAGCAACAUACAUGAUUCAAGGGAUGUGCAACUGUUCUUGUGCAUCAAACAAUCUUCAUCUGAUACAGAACCCAGAUUUUUAGCAACUUGUGAUCUCCACAUUUUAACACAUUGGAGGAAGUUGGCCUAUUCAACAAACAAGACAGGACAUCUAGAAAAAAGCAAGAAUUCCAGACAUGUGUUGCUGUCAUGAAUUAUUCCAAUCAGUAAGGAAUCAAAGUGCUAUGAUUUUGAUUUGUGUAACUACUUAGCAUGGAUAACAGACCUAUCUUGGGGAAGUAACUCAAGUCCCAAGCACCAACUCAAUCCUGAGCUCUCUGGGAAACUUGAGGCACCAACUUGAUCAAAGCUGCUACUUGUUUCUAUGGCAGCUCAUCUUCCUCCACUGAUACUGGGGAAAAUGCAAAACAAAGGGAAAUGAAGUCAUGUUGUGAUCCUGUCUCCAUUCUCCUUGACAUAGAUAGAUGAUUUCCUUGCAACCGACAAUGUCUAAUGCUUUCACUUCAGUUCUAGCAUGUGUUUUGGGAAGAGAAUUAAGCUUUCAAAUAUUGCCAAUAUGCAAGGAAUUGAUAAAGGCCAGGUGGGCAGCUGCCACAGUUUACAAACCAAUGGCAACAUUGGAAGUGGAACAUGACACAAAAACUUCAAAAGACAAACCUGUUUUUCACAAUCAGAAAUACCGAGGUGUUUAAGCACAAGGUAAUGCAUCUAUUGACAAUGAUGUGUGACGUGGAGACAUUGUAAAGAUAAAUGGUAUUCUUCUUUUGCAUUGACAACAUGCAUCUAGUCUAGGUCCCAAAUUUUUAGCAACUCCAGAUCUCCACCAUCAUUAGGAUUACAGGAAGCUAACCACUUGGAAAGAGAUGAGAGUAACAUUAGAAAUCUGAAAGGAUUCUAGAGAGCUGCUGCAACUGGUGAAUCAUUCCAAUCAGUAACAACAAGGAGCCCUAUAUACAAUUUUGAACUGUCAGCCUUCAUAGCAUGAAUGAUAAACUUGUCCCUAGGAAUGAGAUGUGCCUUGGGCAUGCAACCUUCAAUUAUUAGUCAGAGUUACCCCUACCUAAUCCAUCUCGAUGUGUCUGGGAAAACGAGGUCCACCAGAUGUUAUGGCCAUUAUCUCAUGGUAGUGGAUGUUUUGAAGCAGAGUCUAAAACGAAGUCAUCACUGGAGGUUAUGGCCAUUAUCCCAUUGCAGCAGAUGUUUUGCACCAGAGUUUAAAACCAAGUCAUUGACAAAGGCCAUAGUGAUGUCAUUGAUUUUAUUUUAAACCUAUCAAAAACAAUAUGAGAUUCACUUUGAUUUCAAGUUAUGCAAGAUCUAUAUGAGCUCAAUUGUUUUGAAACUUGAUUGAUGUUUCGUUGGUCAGGUCUUCUUUAGACAUGAACCUAUAUUUUGUGCUUAACUUGAAGAAGCUGCCAAUAAGACUGAAUAGUCACAUAUCACUCAGAGAGUUGAGAAUCACACAACUUUUUCGUUUUUUUUAGGACUGGUUUGUCAUCAAGUCUUUUGCUCGGUUGUUGUGAUGGUUUGAAAUUUCUAUCUGAUGACUAUAAUCCAUAUAAACAACAACUUGUAUUCUCUUAUCUUAAGCAUUAUUUCGCAAAAAGAUUUUUAUGAGCACUUCUAUUUGGAUGUCUUUCUAACAGUCGUUAGUAUUCAAUAAAAAUGACCUUUACUAAACCUGCAGAUUUUUUCAGGUGAUAUUUUUUUUUUAUUGGUAGCAUAUCCUGAUUCAUAGAGUAUAAACCCUUGAAAAUUGAAAGAAAGACAAUUUACAUAUCAUUAAAGGGUGAUCUGUAAGCACUCUUAUAGGCCUACAUUUUCCUCAUUUGGAUUUGGAAUUUAACCUCUGAUAAGCGUUUACUUGUUUUUAAUCUGUUUUUUAGGAAGACAGUUAAUGAGAUUUUGCCAACCAAAAACAGAGGUUUGUUAGCCCUCCUACCCUCAGGCUGGUUCUCUUGCAUAUGCUUGAAGAAUAUUGGAAACCAAUUAAUUAGUCAUUGCAGUUUCAUAGUCUUACAAGAAAUCUUGUUAUGGUGGCAGGAGAACAGACUGCAACAUAGUCUCAUUUCCCUUCAUGAUUUAGACAUUGUAAAGAUCAAAAACCUGUUCCUGGUAAUAUAAGAAGAAGAGUAGCCAAAGAAUAGGAACAAAAUGUAUUGGAACCUUGUGGACUUGAAUAGUUGGUAUCCAGGUGGCAAAAAUACACAAGAAUGCACUUAACAAACUACUAAUCAACAGGCCAAGAUUCUACUUUCAAGAGACAGGUUUGUCAUCCAUGUCAAGAAGGCUUGCAAUUCAUUUUUGUGGGACUUUGGCAUCAACAAAUUUCUGGAAUUCUUUCAGGUUUCUAAAUGGAAUGGUUCAAGUCAUCAACACAUUCCUAGAAUUCUUUCGUAAAUGUCAUCAUCCUGGCCAACUUUCUUCAGUGUUGAAAGAGGGGGUGAUACCGUGUUGCUAAAAAUUACAGUCCAUAUGUACUAGAUGGACAAGAACUACAACACUUGUAUUAGAAACAUCUCUGUUGCCUGGAUUUGCAUUACCUGCCAUAAUUAAGCACCUUUUUAUUAUUGUAGCAGAGUGUUUCAGAGUCACCCAUACCUAAUCCAUCUUCAUGUCUCUCAAACAACUAGGUCCAUUGGUAGUAGAAGAAGAGCAACUUGAAUAGCUGGUCAUUUCCUUUUAUAAUUUAGGGAUAAAGGUUAAAAACUACAGCACUUGAAUAGCUGGCAUUCAGGUGGACAAGAACUACAACACUUCUUUUAGAAACAUGUAUGUUAUUUCUUCAACUCUUACUCUAUUCCCUGGAGUUGCAUUACCUGCCAUGAUUAAUCGCCUCCUAUUUAUUCUUGUGGAGAAACAGGUUUUGGUGUAUGCAAAGACUAUACAAUUAUUGCACCUCUUGAUUUUCAAGACUGCCCAGCCUCUCCUCGAGCAUCUGGAAUUGUCAAGCUGAUUUAUGGCUAACCUUCCAAGGACCUUAGGGGCUUCAUACAAGGUAGAUCUAGUGUAAGAGAUUCAGAAUUAUCUCUACCUAAUCCAUCUCCAUUUCUUUCGAAUAACUAGAUGCUAUGGCCAAAAUCUCACAUAAGGCGUCAGGUUCAUGUUGGGGCUCAUUCACAAGAUUAAGAUGAAUAUAGAAGGGGAUGUUGCUAAUCUACCACCAGCCAUGUUGUCAAGUUGUUCAAUUUCCUUGUGUUGACUAUGGCCACAGUCACAGUUGUGUGUCCUUUCCCGAAGGAAAUGUCAUUUUGAAACUUUUAAUGUCAACAACAGAACUUUCAUGUUUCUACAUUGAGGUACCUACAAAAAAUUGACUCCCUGUUAGCAUCCAAUGAUAGAAAGUAAUAAUCUGAACAAGGGAACAAGUGCUCUCCUUGCUCUUUUUCAGUAGAACACUAGUUCAUUUCCAAUCAAUUGAGGAGAAAACUAAUUCUAAACACGGAAGCCAGGUACUUGAUUUCUAUUUGACUAGUGGAACAAUUGAAAUGUAUUUACACAUUUAGCAUUAGAUAAGUUUAACAAAAUCACUAAUUAACCCCCAAACCUCUCCCCUCCACCCACCACAAAGGAAAGAAACAACGUUUUGGGAUCCUGGUAGCUUUAUGUUACAAGAUUCUGAUCAACAUAUGCUGCAAAAGUAUUAUGUUGGUCCAAUUCCACUACUUUGCAUUGCAACAAAGUAUAAGUGGGUUUUCUCUUUUCUUCAUCUUCAAAUGAAACAACCCUUCUCAAUAAAAGAAUACAAGAAAUUGAGAGCUAAGAUCAUUUCCUUUCAUUGUGCUCUGUUUACUCUUCUCCUUCUCUUGGUCUAGCCAAACAAUCUUUGGUUUGUCCAUUUCUUUUUCACCCCACAUAAAAAAGCAGCUUGUUAGGUUAUCCCAUCUCUUUAUCCCCUUGUCAAGACACAGAAUUUAAUGCAUUGUUGUCUUGGAUUCCUCCUAGUUAAAAGGAAGCUUGAAAUAUCUCCAGUGCUUCUCUGUUUCUUUGAGUCAAAGGAUAGAAUAUUGCUUUUCUUUGUUUCUUUGAGAUGCAAGAGGUUUGUACAGAACUUAGGUGAUGUAACUAUUGGUCAGUGAGGUAGGCAAAUUUGAAUUCCCUCUAGUCAUGCAGAGUAGUCUUAGAGAACUUUGGAGUCUUGGGCAUUACUGUUUAUUUAGAUAUUCAAAAUGCAUUAUUGCACAUCUUCUUGACUUCCCACAAAUGAACUUGUUUUUCACAAUCAUAAAUAUGGAGUUAUUUAAUUAUGGCAGGUAAUAUACCACCCAGAAAUUGAUGUGGAAGGUGGAGACUAACAACGACAUAGAUGUAUAUAAGGGAUUUACACUUAGUCUUGUGCAUCAAACAACCCUCAUUUAGUAUAAACCACAAAUUUUGGCAACUCGUGAUCCACAAUUUAAAGCAUGGGAGGAAGCAGACCUGUUGGAAAGACAGGAGGAGACAAUUAAAAACAUGCAAGAAUUCCAUAGAUGAGUUGUUGUUAUGAAUUAUUCAGAAUCCACUAGAAAAUUUAAAGCCCAUUAAUUUUGAACGAAAUGCCUACUUAGCAUGGAUCAAAAACUUAUUUUGUGGAAAGAAACCAAGUCUUGAGGACCAAUUCAAUUACCAAAUCUCUGGGAAACAUUAAGGCUUUUUUUAGUAGCUUCCCAAUUAGUGCAUAAGGUGGCAAUGAUAAUUGCUUUUGUGGAAGCUCUUCUUCUUCUAGUACCGAGGAAAAGGCUAUAAUCCUAAAUCUCCAUUCUCCAUGUACAGCUGUCUUCUUCUAUGCAUGUUGUCAGAGAAGAUGAGGAAGCUUCAGAAUGUUAGUUGACAAAUCAAUUGGAGCAAUGGAAUUGGAACAGGACACAAACUUCAAAACAUUAAAAGUCAGUAAUGCAGAUAAGGGCAUUUAUAUGUACACAUAUUGAUCAGAAAUAAACUCCAUCCUUUAGCAACCUAAAAACUCAAAAGAAAGAAGUAUAAUUUCAGAUAUGCAAGAUUUUGAUCAAUUAAAGUCCAAAGCAUUUUAUGUUCAUACAAAUGAGAAGACAGAAUGGCAGCUGGCUUUGAGGAUUGAAAGAAAAAUGAAUUGAUGCUACUUCUCAUUGCUAAUGCCAUUAAUUUGUUGCUGCUUUUUGUAGCCAUGUCGAGCCUGUCCAUCAGAUAAGGUUUGAAUCGCUUCUAUUAUUCUUGUUUAAGACAAUCCCUUCUUUUUUUUUCCAUUUUUUUUUCUUUACAUAGUCAAUCAUCUUGUUUCAUGUUUGCCCUAUAGUUGGUCUGCUGAUGGUAGGCUUCUUUUGAGUGGAAGCAAUGACUCUAUAUUGAAGGUAAAUUGUGGGAACUAUGUCUUUUGUGGUAUAGAUGGGGUUAUCAUAUAGUUGAAUGAUUCUAUUGCUUCCUCAUAGCUUUUCAAGGCACUAAAAAAGAAAAAAACAAAGGUAGAACUAGGAAAAAUAUUUCGUCCUGAUUUCAGGUAUACUUUUUCCUUAUGAAGUCUUAUUUUGGUAAAUUACAGUUAGAUAUAAUCACAUGGCAACAUUUUUUUCUUCCAAGUUUAAACAGUAAUUCGGGAGAGUGUAUUAUGAAAAUAUACUGAAAUAAAAAAUCCUAUGAUUGCAUUCUACUUUGGAUAUUUCUUAUGAAUCUUCCCCUGCACUCCUGACCACCACCACAGACACUCCCAUCACACCAAGCCUUGUAGCUGUCCUAAAUUGUUGCAAAUAUGUUAGAAACCAAUUACUAAUAUUAAGGACGGUCAUGUCUACUAAUUUCGGGCUAGAAUUUUUAGAGUAGGUGGGAAAUUAUGGUUGCAGUAGGGAAUAUGAGUGCUUCUGUUUUGCCAAGGUGGCUUUCCUUAUUCAUGCUAACAUCAACAACAUAGCAAUGAACUUGAUUUAAUAUUGUUUAUCAUAUAGGCUUGAGAUAUCCGAACACAAAAGUUAAAACAAGAUCUUCCAGGCUAUGAAGAUGAGGUAUUUUCCUCCUCUUAAGUACUAGUUAAUAUUCUUCUUUUGACAUUGUACUUGGUUUAAUUAAUGUUUUCCUUCUUUUUGUAUUCUGGAAAGGUUUUUAUUGUUGAUUGGAGUCUAGAUGGUGAGAAGGUAGCCACCGGUGGUAGGGACAGAGUACUCAGUUUAUGGAUGGGUUGAUGGCUAAAGGAGGAAGAGAUGUAUGAAAUGAAGAUUGACAUGAUUCUUCCACAACAUGAUGGACUUGAUAGACACUUAGCUUUUGCCUAUAGUUGAUAGUCUACCAUGUGUAACUUAAAGUUGUGCACUAAGUUCUGAUGUUAUGAAGGAUCGAGAGUGGUUUGUGCACUAAGCUCUUCUAAAAUAAUUUUCUUUAUUGAGUUGUAAUGAUUGUAUUAUUUGGAUUUAAUUGUAUUCAUUAGGUUUGCAGAUCACAAUAUGAUUAUUUUCCUCUUUGAUCAUGUAAAGUUUGGGAAGCAGUUAUGGGUUACUGUAAUAGCAUGGUAUAUUGAUGCACACGGUUUGUGGCAUGACAAUUUGAUGAAAUUACAGAAGUGUAGCACUCAUGGGCAUAUCAUGUGAACCUUAUUCAAUGUGGCAUUGACAGUUAAUUUAUAUUUACAUGGGUGUAAUGUCACACCAGUAUCCUCUAAUGAACCUUGGAUUCUUUUUUCUCUGUUUCUUCCUCUCUUGGUCAAGCCAAACAAUUUAUCUUCAUGACUUCCUCCUAUUACCAAAAAACAACAUCUUGUGUUCUCCAUCUCUUCAUCCCCUUGUCAUGACACAACAAUUUGAUGCAUCUUUGCAUUGGGUUGCUUCCUCUCCUUCCCCUCUCCUUCCUCCACGUCUCAUUACUUAGUUUUGGCUACUUUGUUUCUUUUGAUCAUUAUGGUAGAGCAUCAUUGCAAGAUGUACAAGAAGUAUGUUGUGGUGCAUUAUCCCCUUCUCUACCACCCGAAAUCUAUUUUCCAUGAUCAUUAAUACCAAGAUGUUUAAGCAUCGAGUAAGGCAUCUCUUGACAAUUAUGAGAGAAAUAAGAGACAAGCAACAUAUUGGUAUUCAAGAGAAGUUGAUUACUACUCAAAAAGGGUUAUUUGAUAGCUUGUAAUUAACUCUUUUAAACACUUUUGAGUAGUAGUUAUUACCUUUUAACUCAAUUAGCAUAUUAAGUACCUUUGCAAUCAUUUCUAAUCAAAUUGUGUAAGUUUUGGUGCUUUUGAUAGUAAUUUGAUCACCAAAGCAAUCCAAGAUUAAGGAGAGCUCUAUGGAAUCCAUGGCAAAGCAAUUGGAAGCUCAUUUACAUGAAGAACCUAAGCUUUGGAGCUUUAUAGUCCUUUGCCAUAAGCAAAUCAUGAAUGUAAGGAUGAAAGCAAAGAGAGAAAUCUAACAUGAAGAAUCCAAGAGGACAUCAACUGUUUGACACUUUUGGAGCACUUCCUAAAGUCCAUUUCAUGCAUACCAUAUGUCGUUUCGAAGCUUGGGAAGUCAUCAAUCGAACGCUUCAAACGGUUCACAAAUCGGAGUUGAAAUGAAGAAGUUAGAGCCAUUGGAAGCAGAUCACACCAAGCUGAAGGCCAAUUUCGCAGGCUGCGAAAUAAUUUUGCAGCCAUCUUGUACGUCUGCGAAAUUUUGCAGCCAUUUUAUGCGCCUGCGAAAUUCUCCUGAGUGCUUCCAGAUAUUUGUGACCGACAUUUUUUUAUAUUUUGCUUAAGAUAUUUGAUGUCUAAAUCCCAAUUUUCUCCUUGUAAUCCACCAAUUAUAGGAUUCCUUAGUUGUUAAGCAAGAACAAAAGGGUGAAUAACCUCAUAUAUAUUGUUUUGUAAUUUUCAUUACAGACACAUCUCGGGAGCUUGUUCUCAGAGAAUCAACUUUUUGUAUAGUUUGAAAGGAAGUAAAAUACAGAGCUUUGCUCUGCCUUACCUACUCAAUUUGAUUGUAUUUUUCAUUACUAGCCAAACAAGCUAUGAGGAUGUUUCCUCAGAGAAUGGGUGGCUAGGUUUUUUGUUUCUUGGAGCUAAGGUAGCCGGGUAAGGUGCCGAAUGCAAGAAUUGAGAGUUUUGUUGUUUCAGCUAUUAAUGAAGAUAAAGUGUAACCUGUUUAUGGUUUCUAUGUUUUUAGUUAACUUCAAACGCCUUCAAUUCACCUGGGCCAACACUUGGUAAUGCAAAUGAUCUCCGUCCACUGAGAUGCACUAGUUUACCUCUUGCGAGCCUUUGAGAGGUGACUUGAAGGUAGGAUUUUCAGGAAUUGACAACACUUGGUAAGCUUUUGGACUCUAAGGAGACAUCCAUUAGUUAUCUCUUGCGAGCUUGAGAAGAGAAGUCCAAGGUUAAUGAUCACCUUGAAUGGCAAAUGCUAGGUGAGAGGCACGAUCCAUUGCAAGAUGCAUCAGUGAGAGGGAAUUAGUGCUAAAAUUCAUAAAAGGAAAACAUUUGUACAACACCGGUUGGAGAAUGAACUAUAUGUUAAUUCUCCAAUGCGAGAAAAAGAACCAAAGUGACCGGAACUCUGUUUUUGCAUAAGGAGCCUGACCCCAGUGAUCCUAAAACUCCAAGAGACGCUUUUUCUUUAUAAGUAAUUCUCAUUACUUUCUUUUUAGUUAGCUUGAAACCAAACCUUUUUCAAUCAAAUUUUAUGUUUUCUUUUGAAGCUAUCCUUGAAAUGAAAAGACACCAAUUCAACUUUGAAUUGGUAUCAGUUGUAAAUUGAAAACCCUUCCCAGUGAACGAUCCUAGAGCUACUAUGCUAUGCUAGCUGAGGCUAUCCUAGUACAUGGUGUAAUAGGUUAUAAAUUUUGUUGAUUACUCCCAUCUGAGGACCAAAAUCAAGGUACACCAACUGGGCACGAAUCAGAAGUGAUGUUCUACAUUUGCAUUUGACAACAUGCGUUUAGUCUGAACUCCAAAUUUGGGCAACUCAAAAUCACCACCUUCAUUAGGAUUGUAGAAAGUUGGCUUCUUGGAAAAAUGUGGAAUAGGGCAUUUAGAAAUUUGAAAGAAUCACAGUGUCCUGUUGCUACUUUUGAAGCAUUCCAAUCAGUAACAACUCCAAAGAUAUAUAUACAAAUUUGUCCCUAGGAAGGAGAUCGAUGUUUAUUGGGCAUGCAACCAUCUCUCUUAACAGACUCAGGGUUCCACACCCUCCUGGUGGUUUCUUAUAUAUUGCACCAUAUGAUUUGUAGAUAUCCAAUUGCCAAUUUCACUACACUUGAUGAACUAGAAGCUAUGCUGAAAGUGAAGUUAAACAACCCAUCGUAGAAAGAAUCCUGUAGGAAUACACCAAAAAGAAAAUCUUAUUAACAUAAAUGAACUCAUCUAGUUAAGGAUAAAGUUGCAUGAAAAAUUGAAUUGGGAGAGAUACAAAUACUGAUGCUUACGUGGGACUGUGGAAAGGAUCAACAAGAAGAACAAACACUGAAUAGUAAAUGUAAAGUCAUAAAGCUUGUAAUAGCUGUCAAAUGCUACUUUGUAGUGAAGUUUUUUUAACAAUAAAGGUAAUUUCAAAAUUCACCAAAUAACUUCACUUGAAGGAAAUUUCAAUGGUAUGAAACUAGAAUAUGGUGAACUCUCCUUGCUUAUGCUAUUGUUGUGAGCCAUUAUAGAUCAAAGAUGAAUCUCGCCAUCUGUUUUCACAUAGGAGAUGUGGCCUAUCUUUGGGUCAUCUCUCAUCAUUGGAUUUAGGAGUUAUGUCUCUUAUAUAUAGUUUCACUUGCCAACUACAAAUGGAGCUUAGCAGAUGUCUCCAUGAUGUGGAGACCGAGCAACAUACAUGAUUCAAGGGAUGUGCAGUUGUUCUUGCAAAUCACCCAAUCUUCAUCUAAUAUAUAUAGACAAACAAAUUUUAGGAACUUGUAAUCUCCACAUUUUAGAGCACCGGAGGAAGCUAGCCUAUUCAACAAACAUAACACAAUUAGAAAAAUGCAAGAAUUCCAUAUACAUGUUGUGCUAUCAUGCAUUCCAAUCAGUAAGGAAUUAAAGUGCUAUAAUUUUAAACUAUGCAAUAAUAGACCUAUCUUGGGGAAGUAAAUUGUCUUGAGCACUAAUUCAAUUGCGAGUUCUUUGGGAGACUUGGACACAACUCAAUCAAAUCUGUUAGUUGUUUCUAUGGCAGCUUGUCUUCAUCCACCGAUAUUGGAGAAAAUGCUUUUGAAAACCCUUAAUCUUCAAAUCACAAAGGGAAAUUAGAUUAUGUUAGCAUUCGAUCUCCAAUCUCCUUGACACAAACUGAUGAUUUCCUUGUAACAAACAAUGGCUAAUUCUAUCACUUGUACUCUAGCAUGUGAUUUGGGAGGAGAAUUAAGCUUUGGAAUAUUGCCAAUAAACAAGGAAUUGAGAAAGACCAAGUGGGCAGCCACCGCAACUAGUUCACAAACAAAUGGAAGCAUUGGGAGUGGAACAUGACACAAAAACAAAACAUGUUUUCCAUAUUCAUAAAUACCAAGGUGUUUAAGCAUCAGUUAAGGCAUCUCUUGACAAUAAUAUGAGAGAUAGAGACAAGUAGCAUACUGUUAUUCAAGAGAAGUAGUAUUCUUCUUUUGCAUUUGACAACAUUCAUCCACUUUACACCCCAAUUUUGGUAACUUAGGAUCUCCACCUUCAUUAGGAAUAUUGUAGGAAGCUGGCCUCUUGGAAAUACAUGAGAGGACAUUUAGAAAUCUAAAAAAAUUCUAGAGACUUGUUAUUGCUUGAAUUUUGAAUCAUUCCAAUUAAUAACAACUGCAAAGCCUCUAUACACAAUUUUGAAUUAUCAACCUUCUUACAUUGGAUGAAAAAUCUAUCCUUAGAAAAGAGACGUGACUCGGGCCAUGCAACCAUCAAUUAUUAGCUCUCUAAGAGGCUUGAAGUUGUGCAUCCUCUUGGUAGCUUCUCAUUCAUUACAACAUAAAUUCCAGAUAUCCAAUUAGCAUGUCACUAUAAUUGAACAUAGUAGGAAACAUAGUGAAUAGGAAGUUAGACAACCUGUCACAAAAAGAAUCCUACAAUAAUACACCAAAUAGAACAUCUUGCUAAUUCAGUUAAAUAAUUGUGUGAAAAUCUAAAUUGGGAGAGAGAAAAACAUUGAUGCUUACAUGGGAUUGUGGGAGGGACCAACACGGGAAACAAACUUUGAAUAGAAAAUGUGAAGCCUUAAAGCUUGUAAUUGUUGUCAGAAGCUGCCCCCUAGUCAAGUUUUCAACAAAAAUGUUCAGUGUAGGGAUUCUCUAGUAGCUCAACUUGUAGAAAAUUUCAACAAUAUGACAAUUUAUACUCAUAAAAAGAAGCUACAAUGUAAUAAUUAUGUGUUGGGAAUAGAUGAAACUUACUGAAUAUAUGGAUAGAAUAGGGUGAACUCCACCAACUUCCAUUUUUGGAAUCCAAACUAUUAUGGAUCAAAGAUGAAUCUCUCCAUCUAUGUACAAAUAGGACCUAUGGGCAAUCUUGAAUUGAUGUCUCAUCAUUGGAUUUAGAACUGAUGUAUAGCUCUGAAACCAUGGCAGAGUUCUCCUUCAGUUGCCAAAUACCAUUGGAGCUUAGGUGAGGUCUUGGUGAUGUAGAGAAGUCAUGGAUUCUAGAAUCUUUACAUGAAAAUAUACAGGAGAUACAUUGGAAGAAAGGAAGGCCAUCUGAGAAGAAACACAUCUUAAAGUAUACCAUCAAUCAUGAGUUGUUUGAGAGUGAGGAGUCUUUGAAGGCCUCACUCAGAUAAGGGAUGUCUUUGACAUUUCUCACUCUUCAAUCUCAGGAAGGUACAUCAUCAACUAGAACUUUAGGAAUGUGAGUCAUCAUGGGACAACUUGUUUAUGUUCUUUAUUCUUUUCUCACCAGAGGAGAUUGAAAGAUAUGUAGUUUCAAGGGCAAAAGAUAUAGCCAGUAGUGAGAGCAUCAAACAAUCCUUCUCUAAUGCAAACCACAAAUUUUAGUAACUUGUGAUCUCCACAAUUUAGAGCACAAGGAAGCUGGACUGUUGGAAAGAUGUGACAUGACAUUUAGAAAUAGGUAAGAAUUCUAGAGAUCAUUCCAAUCAUUAAGGAAUCAAAGCCUUAUAAUUUGAAUAGGGCAUCUACUUGGCAUGGAUAACACACCUAUCUUGGGACAAAGACCACAUGUUGAGCACCAAUUCAAUUAUCAACUCUCUAUGAAACUGGAGAUACAAGGUACUAAUGUUAGUACAAAUUACCUGGUAGCUCUUCUUCUUUUACUGGUAUUGGGGGCAAAGCCUUGUGAAAAUCCUCAAUCUACAAAUUACUAAGGACAUGAGAUCAUGUUGUAUUCUUAUCUCCAAUCUCCAACUGCAAAUAAAUUAUUUGUUUCAAUUAACAAUCUUUAAUGCUUUCACUUGUAUCAUAGGAUAUGCAAUUUGGGAAAACAAGUAAGAUUUAUAAUAUUAGGAAUAUGCAAGGAAUUGAUGAAGGCCAUGAAUCUACUUAUAAUAAAAAUAAAAAUAAAAGAUUUUUUCACCCAUGAAUAUCGUAACCAACUUCCAAAAAGCAUUAGGUAUUGCAAUAAACAAAUGUUCCUUAGGUAUUAAAGUUAAAGUUCAAAGUUACCAAGAGUGCAUUUUUUGACCCAUGCAUAAAAUAAAAAGAAAAUAAGAACGCAUACCAUAUAACUCACAAUUGUGUCAAGUAUGAGUUCAGUUUAUGUUCGUGCACAAUUGCAUUAAGUAUUUGAAAGAUAAAUAAGGCUAUGUGCAAUUCAAAGAAUACCAUACAAUCCUCACAACUUAUCAUAGAAUGAGAACUCAAUUGUCUUUCUUCUAGUCAUAAGAGUUUGUGCUCUUUGAGCCUCUGACUUGCACAACUCAAGAUAGCAGGACAUGCUAAAAAGUCUCCUUCACCUUAAACAUUAUUCAAAUCUGCAAUAUAAAUCCUGAUAAGAAAAUUUUCUACAAAUAUAACAUGUUGCAAACAAAUAACAAUAUGUUAGUUUAAAAUUGAAGAGCAUUUCAAACCAAACAAAAUAGAAAAAUUUUCAAUGUUUAUCACUCACUUAAAAACUUGUAUGUUGGAUAAAAUUCAUGCUAAUGAAUCAUGACAAUUGUUUGCAAUCAAAAUUUAGUAAUGAUUUAUAAACAAAAAAAAAAAUGAAAUUACAUAAUUAUUUGGCAAUGUUCCAUGAAAAACACAUUGUACAUUGAUUGAGAAAUUAAUAUGAAAUCCACUAAUUUGAAAGACAUUAAAAACCAGAUGUUGUCUUGAGUUCUCCAUGUAUCAUAAUAGAUGCAUGUUGCUAUUCGAGCCACCACAGUCACGGAGUACGAGACUUCUCAACAUGGAAGGCAUACCAUAUUUCAAACAAGGUUCUCAACAUGCAAUUGUUUGCAACCUAUUUUUUUUAAUCAUCUAUGAAAUAAAUAAAGAGGUGUUACUUGCAUUCAAUCCAAACUUGUGGUCUCCAAUGUGAAAUCCAAACCUCAUUUUGUCAACACAAUAAGAGCAUUAAACAUACAACAAAUUGAAUCCUUCCUUUUGACAAUGUGAAAACCUGAAAGAAAUGAAUCAGGAUCAUAAAUAAUUAUACAAUAAAGAAAACUUUCAUUAUUCUUUCUAAAAGAAAAAUCUAUUAUUUCCUUGAUUACGGAAGAUAGAUAUUUUGACAUAAAGUGCACUUAUUAAGGUAAACUUUGUGCAUUAUACAUUGAAAUUAGAAAUUUGUAUUUAAAUCCAAUUAGAAAGGUACCACAAAAGAUGAAUAAUUGAAAUGACGACAUCCAUGCCAAUUUGUAACUGUUGUCAAAUCUGCCUUGACAUUUUACAUCCCAUGCCUGCGUGUCAAAUCUCCAACUGAGACUGCUCAAAGAGCACCUAAAAGAAAAUUACCAAGAUUUCAUCACAUGCAGAACUCAAGAUGCUAACAUUGAACCAUGGGAGAGACAAACAAAAAACAAAAUACUCACCCAUAAGUUUGUAAUUGUUGUACUCAAAACCAGCUUCCUAGUCAAACUUUCAACACAACUCCAUGGAGACUUUCACAAAUAGUUAAGCCACUAGUAGAAAACAACAUCAAUAUGAGAAAUUGACAAGGUACUGUGUAGAUAAAAGAGUAUAAAUGUGUGUUGAGAAUAAGAGUUACCUUAAUGAAUGUAAGGAUAGGAUAUGGUUGAAUUGGCUUUGCACCUAUUUUUGCAAUUUGAAUUUAUUACGGUUCAAAAAUGAGUUUAUGAUCUAUCCUCACUUUAGGGGAAGCGGGCAAUCUCCUUGAAACAUCUUUGAUUUAGAGAUUCAAUAAAACUCAAAAGACAACCUUUCACUUGGUAAAGAGGGCUAGAACAGGGCACCCCUCAGUCUUUAUAAGUUAAAGAGAUGAAGUCUUGAAGACUAAGGAAGGGAACUAGGGAUUCCAGAUUUGACAAUAGUUUCAUUGAAAUAUCAAUGAGAGUUAUAGCAAGAAAUACUGUCAAAAGGAAAUUGCAUUAAACAAUGUGCAAUAUAAAAUGAAUGAACUAAGUUUUUGGAGAGGUGAAUCUUUGGAGGGUCCACAAAGAUAAGGGGUCUUAAUACUCUUGCAAGUGUAUUCAUGAAACUGCUUUCUCAAAGAACUCCAGAACAUAAACAAUGUGCAACACAAAGUUGUUGAAGAGAUGUGAGACUUUGAAUCUGAUGAGGUAGGGACAAUUUGAUGAGGUAGGGACUUGAGAUCCACAUUUUCUUAUGUGAAGAAUUCUGAGGUUGUAGAGGCACACUAGUAGUUUCCAAAUUCAGAUGCUUCUCUUCAAAUACUCGCAUAAUGUACAUCUUCUGUGACAUUGCUGCUCCAACAGGAUGUGCAACCUAUUUGAGCAUACUACAUGUACAACAAAAAAUUUCAUUAAAACAAAAAUCUAAAGUUAAUGUCUAAGAAGAUAAGAUUUAUAUAAAGUGAAUGAGCAUGCUUGAUUUAGAAUGACCCUAAAAUUUAAGAAUAUCAUUACCACAAGUAGCUAAUUUACAUCAUUAAAAACUUCACAAGGAUUAGAUAGUUAGACAAUAAAGUAAUUCUAAUAAAUGAGUUAAAAUCGACUGAGCUAAGAAAGAUUAAAUCCAAAUAAGCAUCAAUCAUUAAGGAAUUGACCAACUAUGAAAGACUUCAAAUGACAUUUUCUUUGUAAUUUCUGUUCUUAAUUGACCCCAUUUGCUUGUACCAAAAUAUUAUUAACUUGCCUUAAAGGAAGUGGAUGACUUAUAUCUUUGAAAGGAUGUGAAAGGUGGAAAUCCCUCGAUUUCCAAUAAUUCAAGAAGAUAAUUCCUAUGGCUAUUGUUGUCAUUGUGCAUAAUUCAACUUGCUAUAGACUACAUAAUUGUACAAUCAUGAACACGUAGAUGCUUAAAUAUGGUAUGUAGUCCAUCUAGUGGAAAAACAAAUGAGACUUGGACAUCUCAAGAUUUUUGGGAAUCAAGACAAAUACAACUUCUUCUUGUUUCCUAUUAUAAUUCAUCUGGAUUGCAAUCAACAAGCACUAACACCAUUCACUGCAUGUUUUGAGUCUUCAACAUAAAACCCAAAUUCCAUUCUAUCAACCAAAAAAAAAUAAAAAAAAUCCUAAUAACUCCUUUAGAAACCAUUUUAUGUCUUAGAUUAUAAGAUGUAGGAUGUAACUAACUUCCAUCAUUGAGAAUGAAUUGAUAAAACUUUGCAAUACUAGCAUAUUCAGCUUCAUUAUGAUGACCUCAUUAGAAUUAGAAUAAGUGGAGUGAUAAUGUUAUCUAAUUAGUAAACCAAACCAAGUUAAUAAACUAGAACUUCCUCUAGUAUAGCCUCUAUGUAAAAGAAAUUUAAGGCUAUGUUUGGUUCCCGGAAAGUACAAAGGAAAGAAAAAAAAUGCUAAGGAAAAUGAUUUUCUCAUGUUUGGUUGUUCUAUAAAAAAUAUCAAAGAAAAUCAAAUAUAAUUAAAACUAAUUAAAAACUUAUGUAUUUUUAAAUUAUUUAAUCUUUAUAUUGAUGAGUUAAAAUAAAUAAAAUGAGUUUGAAGUAACAAAAAAAAUAAUUUAUCAACUUUUAAUCUAUUUUUUUAUUUUCCUUCACUUUUUCUUUCCUUCUACUUUUCCUUUGUAUUUUCUUUCCCUCGCAUUUUCCCUCAAAUUUUCCGGGAACCAAACAUGAAAGGUCUUGAUACAUUAGAUAUUGAAAUUGUUGGAUUAAAAUCUUAUUUAUUGCACAUGGCAAGAUAGAAGUAAUAAUGCUAAUUUCGAAUUAUGACAGAUUAUAGAGAAAAUUAGACACUGGGAAAAUACCAAGCCAGAAGCCAUGUCAAGAUCUGCUUUCUAGUUGAAAAUUUUAGCAAAAAAUUAAGUCCAAUUAAAAAAUUGCAAUAGUAGGUAAAAGAAAUUGAAAGUGAUGUUGAGGAGAGAAGAGAAAGAAAGAUGUUGGGAAUGAGAUGUAAUACCUGUUUUAUUGCUCAGAGAUGGAUUAGUCAUGUAUCUCCACACGGGGGAUAUCGGCAAUCUUGGGCCAAUCAUGUCCUUUCUCCUCUGAGUACAUUUGUUUAGAUGUGGACACCCCCAAAUCCGUAGUUCUGACAGGGAAUCAGGCACCAGUCCUUCCCUUGGAAAAAUCCACUGGAGUUUAGGGCAGUUGAAGAUCACUAGGCUUCUAAGCGAGGUGAGGAUUUGGAGAGAUAGGGAGGCUAAGGAUUCCAGAUUCUGGAAACGAGAAAUGUGAAGGGAGGUAAGAGUUGUAGGAAGAAGAAUCAAGUGGGGGUCAUCUGAAAAGGAAGUUGCAUCUGGAAACAUGCCUUCAAUUGAGAGGUUUUCAAGAGAAGUGAGUCUAGAAAGGCCCCAUUGGGAUAGGGGGGUCUUGAUAUUCUCACAGUGGGAGAUAAAAAACGAUGUAAGACAAGUGAGGUUUUUUAUCGGAGGCAAUAAUUCCAAAUUUUUAUUAUUUGCAAUAUAUAGAUCUGUGAGGUUGUAAAGGCAAUUUGGUAGGGCUCUGAGAUUAGGAUACCUCGCGAUGCUUAAAGAUUGAAAUGAAUUAUUAUUAGAGUGAAACAUCUCCUCUGAAAUUGACUCGAGGUGUUCACAAUCCCAAAUGUCAAGUCCCUCAAGGGUGGAGGGAAACUUGCCUCUUGGGAAGGAUGUGAGAGAUGAACAAUGAGAGAUAGCCAGGCUUUGAAGAGCAGCAGCAUUUGUGGAAUCGUAGUGCAUUAUUCCCUCUGGUAGAGACUCCAGCUUUUCGCAAUCACUUAUGUAGAGUUCCUUGAGAGUGAUGGGUAACCUACCUCUCGGAAAACCAAUCAAAGACGGACACAUAUUUAGACUUAAGUAUUCAAGGGCACACAUGUCCAUGGUGCUGGGGGUGGCGCUGGAAUUGCAGUGCAUCAUUCCUUCUGGAAGAGACUUUAGAUUUUCACACUCCCCUAUGAUUAAUUUCUUAAGGGUGGUAGGUAAUUGCCCUUUUGGAAAGCAAAUGACACAUGAACACUGCUUUAUUUCCAAGGAUUCAAGGACGCAUGAGUUGCUGCUGCCGUUACUAUUUCGCAUCAUCCCAUCAGGUAGACACUUGAGACUUUCACAAUUUCGAAGAAUAAGACUUCUCAGCUUUGGUGGGAAACCUACCUCUGGAAAUGACACCAGUUUUGGACAAUACUUGAUUUUCAAUUCUUCCAGGCAUGUUAGACUCUGCCAUCCAUUUGGAAGCCUCUCCAGUUUAUCACAGCUACUUAUUUUCAAAGAACGAAGAUUGUAUUCCGAUGGUACAAGUUGAUGGCAAUGAAGGCUUUCCGAUUCAAACCCAUCCUCCCACAAACACUUGAGUUCUUCACAUUCUGAGAAUUUCAAAGCCUGAAGCCCUCCCAAUGACCGCACAAAUCCUUGUUGCAAUUUGAUUAGCUCUAAAAUCCCAGAAACUCUUAACUCAGUGAGUGAGGUGAGUUCAAUUCCACUUCUCAAGACCGUCUCAUUACAUUCAUCGAUUGUUAAUUUCUUGAGAGAUGGUAGCCUUAGAAAUCAAAAGAUAGAGACUCUAGUGAUGGGAAAAACUUAUCUACAGAAAAACAUGUCUCUCCAUAAAACUCCGUACCCACAUUUGUUACUCCAUCAUUUCCAGAAAUCAACAACUGUUUGAGCGAUGAUAACUGCCCCAAGCAUGGUAAAGAUGUGCACUUUUUGCAAUCUAAGAGACGUAGAUUCACCAUUUUAGAGAAUGAGCCAUUCUUUAUCCAAUAUGGGAAUUCUAGACCACCAUAUCUAAAAAUUCUGAGUUCAUUCAAAUUCGAUGGAGGUUUUAGAUAGUCAAGGACAUUCAUUUGAUCCAUUUCAUUCCCUGGACCAUCCAAGCCAAAACUCCACAUUAGUGUCAAUCUUUCAAGUUUAUCCUUUAAUUUUAGACCUGCAUCCUUUACAUCUUGAACAUUCACCACAUUUUCCAAAUUUGAAAUACGAAGUUCACCUCCAAGAUUUGACAUUUCCCUCAACUUCUUGAUAUUCAAACCAUUGUUUUUGUCCACCAUGAAAUUAGAUAAUAUUUGCAAUUUUUUUAAUUUGACAAUUUGUGAAGGCAUUUCUUUUAAUUGACUGUUACCUUCAACAUCAAGAUGUCGAAGGUUAAUUAGAUUCCCAAUGCUAAUAGGCAACUUGGUAAGCUGAUUACACCAUGAUAAUAUCAAUGUUUGUAAAUUGCAAAGACUGCCUAUUGAAUCAAGUAAACAUUUAAUGUUGCUUUUAGACAAAUUAAGAUACCUUAGAAGUUUCAAAUUACCAAAUUCAUUUGGUAUCUCAUUUAUCCGGUAACCACUCAAGGAGAGCACCCUUAGGUGUCCUAAUCUUGGUAUCAAUUCUCGAAGCACCUUAUUACUGAUGAAUUGAGUAUCGAUAAAUCUUGGUGUUGAUAUAGCUAUGAACGUGCGCAAAUGCUCCUUCUCAUGAAACCUUUCAAACUUUUUAAAUGUAUCAUAAUCCUCACGAACAAACGAUGAAUGGCGAGUAGUUUUAGGAAUGAGAUGUUGCAAAUUAUUUUUGAACUCAUCAUCCAAAUGCAAGCAUGUAUCUCCAGCAACAUAUUUAGCUAGAGCAUGCACAAGGUCAUGCAUCACGAAUCGUGAUCUAUUGCUACUUGACGAUUGAAAAGAUGACCUUGACAGUAGCUCAUCAAAAUACUUAUCACCAAGAUCUUCCAUUUUCCUAUUAUCUUUUGAUUGUUGAAUUAACCCCUCCGCCAUCCACAUGAGGAUUAACCCUUGCUUUGUAAACUCAUAAUCCUGGGGAAAAAUUGUGCAAUAAGUAAAACACCUCUUUAAAUGUGAUGACAGAUGAUAGUAGCUCAAUCUCAAGGCAGGGAUGAUGUCACAUUCCUUGUCUGUGAAAUCCCAUACUUUGCUGUACAAUACUCUUUCCCAUUCACAUUCACGUAAUUCAGAGCGCAAAAGGCCACCAAGGGCUCUUGCUGCUAAGGGCGAACCUCCACACUUCUCUACAAUUCUCCUGCCAAUUGAUUCCAAAUUUGGGUGCUCAUCGAUAUUCAUAUGUUCAAAAGCAUGUGUUUGAAAUAUCUUCAAACAAUCAUCAUAAGGUAACUGUUUGAGCUCAUGUAAGUUCUUGUGCCCUCUCAUCUUGUUUGCAACAUCAUUAUUGCGAGUUGUGACUAGAAUUUUGCUUCCCUGUGCUCCCACCCAGAAAGGGGAGCAUAGCCUGUCCAACUCAAAGUAAUCAUCAUUCCACAAGUCAUCCAAAACUAUCAGAAAUUUUUUUCCCUUCAAUUCCUUCCUCAAAUUUUCUUGGAUUUGAUGCAAGUCUUGUGAAUCACUGCUUUGAGAAUUAGUCGCCGAGUUGAGAAUUGUCUUUGUUAUUCUCAAUGCAUCGAACUGAUCUGAGACACAAACCCAGUCUUUUUUAUCAAAAUGCUUGGUUAUGGUCUCAUCGUCAUCGUACACCAGUCUUGCCAGUGUGGUCUUGCCCAUCCCACCCAUGGCCACGAUGGAAACUACAGAAAAAUUGGUUUUAGUGGGUUCAUUCGUAAGCAGCAUACCAAUUAUAAUAUCUUUUUCUGUCCCCCUGCCAUAGACCUGAGGUUCAUAGACUAGAGAUGCAGUGACUGGCCUUCCCCAAGCAGAGUUGGUUAUCGCAGCCACCUUUUCUAGACGAAGCUCAGAUUUUUGAGCCGAAAUAUCUCGUAAGCGGCGAGUGAUUUCAUACACCUUGGAGCUCAUUUUAAUAUAACGCAUAACCUCAGUAGGAUUGAAAAUGCCAAGACAAGUUGAGAUGAGCUUGCGUACCUUGCUCGGCCUGCCUUGAUGAUCAGCUUCUUUGGCCGUGAGCUCCCGUUGCAAAGCUUCGUAGGCGAACUCAUCCAAGAUGUCCUCCAUAUCAUAAGCCAUAUCUUUCAGAUUGCCCAGCCACUCUUUCACAGAGCGAUCCGUGAUCUGCUUGUCCUCCGCGUCAUUAAGCUCUUCACGAAUAUCCGACAAUUCUAUCUCCCAUUUCUUGAGAUCAGAGUACACCCAUUGUUGACGUGCAAAGUCGAGCAAGUCAGCGGAGGCCAACUUGUCAAACAAGAGGCCGAUGGCAGCAGAAAGAAGAGCGUCUCCCACAGCUUCCAUGGUUGGUUUGUACUUUGUUUGCAGAGAGAGAGAGAGAGAGCAAAUCAAGCAGUGGGUAAAAAAGUGAAGCAGAAAGAAGGGGGUCUGCUCUGUGAAGGCUUUAAAUAUUAGAAACUCAUAAAACAUUUGUUUUAUGAAUUUAUUAUAUGCACCCAUUUUCAUUUUAAUUUAUUUGAAGCUCCUUGUAGCAACAGCUGGAUCAUAUUGGAGUUUGAGAUGGCCCGACUGCCCACCUGCAUGCCACUGUUGGUUUGUUUGUGUACUUUAAAUAUGUCUCAAUUUUAUUAUAAAAUUUUAUUAUUUUUUUUAAUGUAACUAUAUAUAUAUAUAUAUAUAUAUAUAUAUAUAUAUAUAACUCUUUUAUUAUUUUUUUAUUUGCAUGAUAUUUCUUUCAUACCAAUCAAAACUAUAAAGAGAUUUUUCUUAAAAUUCAUAAAAUAUCUUGUUUUUGUUGCAUCAAUAUGUUUCAUUUCAUUGUAAGAAAGCCCAGUAAAAUGUGAUAUUUUCUAAUUUCUGAUUUGUAACAUUUUUUUUUUCUUAUUUAUUCCAAUCUUAUAUGCAUAUUACACUAUUAGGCAAAGUUGUCAAUGACAAUGAUUGUUAUUUAUAAUGGCUUGAACUUAGAAGCAUCCUAGCUUAUGAUACUCAAUUAUAUUCACCUCUACAACUUAGUUUCAAAAUGUUGGAAUGCAUACCAAAUUCCUAAUUAAUCAAGGUUUCUUUUUUUGUAAAAAAAUGUUAUAUAGAAUAUUUACUUAGUUGAUACAUUAUUAUAAUAUUAAAUUUCCUUCUAGAAUAAGGAAUAUUAUUAGAAAUAUCUCUAUAAAUAUUAUAGGUAAAAGUGAACAUGAGCUUUUAGUGACUAUACGAAGUUGAUAGAGAUGUGAUGAAGAACAAAGAUACUCAGUAAAAUGAGAGGGCUCGUGGUUUAAGGUAUGGAUACAAGGAGUGACACAAAAUAAUUUAUUAACUCAAAAUCUAUUUUUUAUUUUUCUUUAUUUUUUUUUUCUUUCUAAUUUUCUUUUUCUCUAACUCCCUCAAAUCUUCUAGAAACCAAAUAUAGUCCUAAUGUGUGUUGGACGAUGAACUUGUUAUUUUAUAAACUUCAAAUAUUCAAUUUUCAUGGAGAAGGAAUCUCAUAUCUAUCUCAAGUUAAUUAUAUGCAUCCCAUUUUUACCACUAGCAAACCUUAAUCACCUUAUUAUAUGGAAAUUGGGUAUAACUAGAUGUAAUAAAAAACAAAGUUUUGUGAAUAAUGAAAGAACUUGUACAAGUAAAAAUAAAUUUUAAUAAGAUGCAAAAAAUUUUUGGCUUCCAUAUCUACUCAAAUAAGCACAGAACUUUUUUCUUCAACUUUUAAGUUUUUGAUUUCUCAAAAAUCAAUCUAAAUUGGAUUGAUAAAUUAUAAAAGGUUACAAUAUAAUAUUACAAUGUAUAAAUAUUAUUUUCACUUCUAUAUUUCCCAUGAAAUUAUUUAUUUAUUUAUUUAAAUUGAAAUGUCCUUUGUUAUUUGUUUCUACCUUUAAAAAGUAAAAAAAUUAUUUUAAAUCUUAGGUAUGGCAAUACUUAAGUAUUUAAUAAUUUUGAUUAGAUAAUUACAUUUUCUUUUACAUUUUACACAUAAAAUAAUUAAUUACAUUUUAUGUUAUAUUAUUUAAUUAGUGAUAUUUAAAUUUUAAUUAGUUUUUAAGAAUUUAAUUAAUAGUUAAAUAAUUAGAUUUAUUUAUGUUUAAAUCUAAUUAACAAUAAGUUCAAUGCAACAAGAAAAAAAUAGCUUAUGGUUAUUAUUUUGAAGUGGAUUUCAAUUUUAAAUUUUACAAGUAGACUUGUUUGACUAACCUUAUAAAUUAGUAGAAUUUAACAAGUUGCAAAUGGUUCCCUUACUAAUCUUUUAAAUUAAUCUUGAUGUUGACAAGCACUUUACCAACCAUAAUUAUAAAAAGACAAAUAAGUCAAGUUGAUUUUACUAAAUUGCAAGCGGGUGCCCUUACCUAAUCUUUUAAAUUAAUCUUGAUGUUCACAAGCACUUUGCCAACCAUAAUUAUAAAAAGACAUAUAAGUCAAAUUGAUUUUACUCAAUAGAGAUUAAUAAAUUGCAAGUGGGUGCCCUUUACCUAAUCUUUUAAUUUAAUCUUCAUAUUGAUAAGAACCAAAUCAGCCAUAAUUAUAAAAACAAGAAGACGACAAGCUAUGAUUACUUUUAUUAACUAAAAUUUAAUAAAUCAAAAUUUCUCUUACCUAACCUUUAGAUUAAUCUUGAUAACUUUGCCAACAGUAAUUAUAAAAAGAGAAAGACAACAAGCUAAUUUAAUUGGCUAAUUUUAUCAACUUAGGUUUAAUAAAUUUAAAGUAGGUUGAUCUCUUACCUAUCCUUUUUAAAUUAAUCUUGAGAUCAAUAAGAAUCAUACAGCCAUAAUCAUAAGAAGAGCUAAAACAUAAGUCGAUUUGAUAUUUAAUUAGUUAAUUUUAUUAACUAUAAGAUAUAAAAAUUUGGUAGGAGGUGUCUUAAAUCCCAAAUUAGAAUAUACUUUUUUUUCGUGAAAAGAAUAUUAUAUAGAAUAUUUCCAAAGUUUAUAUGUGAUUGUAAUUAAAUUCAAGUUAGUACAGAUAUAUUUAUAAAUAUUUUAAGACAUGAAGAGAAAAAUUUAUGGAAGAUAUGAAAAAGAGAUGCGAUCAAGAGUGAGAGAUGUUGAUAGAACAAGAGGGUUCACUAGGGAAGAGUGUAGAUGUGAAGAAGAAUGAGAAACACAUAGUGGAGCAAAAUGAUUCAUGGUUUAUGAUAGAGAUAUAAAGAGCAGGAAAAGUGGGAUGUUUGGGUUUUGGUAGUCGUCUAACCUUUGUAUGUGGUUUGCUUUAUUCAUGUGUUCUUCCUUUAAUAUGUUUAAAUUGAGGUUUUUGUAUUCCUUUUGGUCCUAAGAUGGGUUCUGUCAUGUAAUUAAUUAUGCCCGUCUCCAAUUUCAUUAGAAACUUGUGUUCUACGAUUUGACAAAUGAAAAUAAUUAUUUUUCUAUAAUUUUUUUAUUAUAAUUUUGUUAGUUAAUAAAAAAUAGAAUAUAGAUAAUAUUAGCCGUCAAAUAGAAAGAUAAAUAUGACAAUUAAUGUGUUUUCGCAUCAUAUUUGUACUUAGAUGGUUUUGCUUAUAUGAAGUAAUUUAAUGCAACUAUGAAGAUUUAUAUGAAGUAAACUUUAUAUAAUUUUAGAUUAAAUAAUCAGUUAAUUUUUAUUUGAAGAUACAAAGACAUAAAAUAAAAGUCUUGUUCGAAAACUAUUAUUGAAAACAACAUGAAAAUGGGGUUUUUUCACUUAGAAAUAUACAUUUGACAAACUUCUAAUAUAAAACUUUUUAAAAUAAGUUAUUUUUUAGAACAAAUUUGAAAUGUUUUUAAUUUUUUCACAACAAUUUAAAUAAAAAUUGAAGAUAUAGAUAAUAUAUAUUUUGGGAAAUUUUGUAUCGUAUUUAAGUAUACAAUUCCUUUGUAAAGAAUAAAUCGAAACGAGUAAUAGCUAUUUUCAAGAAUUGUUUUGAAGAAUUAUUUUCACAAAUGUUGUCAAAUAAGCUCAAAACUUUCUACAUCAUUUAUAUUAAUCUUGGAUUCAAUUAGAAUUUUGCCACAAUUGAAAAGAGAAAAAAAUGUUAAUUAAUUGGUUAAUAUUUACAAUCCUAAAAAAAAUUAAAAAAUAAAACAAUAAUUCAAAAAAUUUUAAAUAAAAAUCUUGCUAGCUAAAAUAAAAAUUCACCAUCAAAAUAAAAGAUUAUCUAAUAGUUUUCUAUUUUUGAAUCUAUAAUCAAGAAUGUUCAUAUAAUUUCUUUUACAAUAACAUACUAAAAUAGAAAGAAAUUAAAAUGGAAAAAGAAAAUGAUUAACAAUAAAAUUCAUAAAAAGAAAUGAAAAUUAAGAAGAUUUCAAUCCACUUCAAUAUUAUUUCAAUGAAAUAGUAUUGCAUUUAAAUUAUUGAAGGUCAUACCAAUUUAUUUUUCGUCCUUUUUUAAUACUUAAUUUUGUUAUCAAACAAUGAAAAUUUUACUAAUCAAGGAAAAUGAGAAAAGAAAAUAUUUUUCUUGAAAGUUAAUGAAUUUAUUAAGAAAGGAAAACAAAAGGUCUUUUAUGGGAUACUUUAUUAAAUUAAAUUAAUAACUUAAUUUAAAUCAUUAAAUAAAUUAAGUAUGUUUAGCAAAAUAACAUAAUGGUAUGAUUUAAAAUAAAAAAACUUUAAAUAAUAAAUAAAAAUAAUUAACUUAUUCUUAAAUUCACAUUUUUAUUUUACCUUUUUACCCCAAUUUGCCAUAAUUACCUCCACAAUUUCCUUUACUAUUCCACGACCUUUACUUUUACACGACCUCCUUUACUCUAGGUAUAAUUUAUGAGGAUAAAUAUGUCAAUUUGAAAAUUUAGAAUUAAUCAUAAGUUAGUUUUAUCACACAAUCUUAAUACUUAAAAUAAGAAUUAAGUAAUAAGUUUUAAGUUAACAAUUUAAGUAUAAUUUAACUAAAAGUCAACUUAAAUCAUUAAGUAAUUAGUAUUAAGUUUUAUCAAACACCUCCAUAUAAUUAGUUAAUUUUGAUUAAUCUAAUAAUAUAGAAAGUGAAAUAUACACAUUUUUUUAUUGGUUAGGUUGGUCUUGAACUUCUUUCACCAAAUCAUUUUUAUUAAUCUUAACAUCAACAUUAGCUAAUUAUAAUUAAAGAAAAGAAAACAAAAAAAAUAAAAAAUAAAAAGUCAAUUUGGGUGACCAAUCUUUGUUGAAAAAUUUAAAACCAAACAAAAUUUGAUCAAUACAAAAAAAAUAAAAAUAAAAAUGUAUGAAGUAGACAUUUUGUCUUUUUGAGAUUAUUGAUGGAAGUGUAAUAGACUAUAAACAUGUCUAUGAGAAUCAAUCCCAAUGAGUCCUAAAACAUAUCUAUGAGAUUAUUGUUGGAUAGAGAUUAAAAAUAAAAUAAAACCAUGUCAUAAAGAAAUGAUAUUUAAGUAUUAAUAAAUAGGAAUUGGAUACAUAUAAAUAAAAUUUAAAUUAAAGAAGAAAUGAAACUAUUUUUAUUAUGUGGUUGUUUUUAAUGGACCACCAAUUUUUUUUUUUAAAUUAUAUAUAUAUAUUCCAUAGAAAAAUUACUUUCUAAUACCAUAGAAUCACCCUAAUUUCAAAUUGAGAUUUACUAUCUUAAAUUUUAAAUUUUUUAAAAAUAAUUUUUAAGGGCAUGAACUAAAUCUAUAUGUUUUGUGAAGAAUUUAUAUUCUUUAUAUGGAAAUUUUUAUCAAUUUUUGUUUUUAAAAACAAAAAAUAAGAAGCACUUAGAGUGUGUUUGACAAUGAUUUUAAGAAGUGAUUCUAAUCUUUCUAAUACUUGAAAAAUAAAAAUUUUUAUAUGUUGAAACAAUUGCAGAAUACACUUUAGUAAGUAAUGAUAUUAAUUUCUUCGAAGAGAGAGAUUUACAUUUAGGAUAGAAAUUAAUAAAUAAAACAAUACAAGGAUAAAAAUUUAUUUUUUAAAAAAACUUUUAACUUCUUGUACUUUAUCAUUACACACUUUUUUCAUUAGAUGCUUUAAAUAAUUUUUAUUAAAUAAAAUUAUAUUGAUGGAGGGCUAAUUAACUUUGCUUAGGGUGAGAAAGAUAGAGAUAAAAUUGAAGUGGGUACACAUCUAAAACAAAAAUGAAAUAAAAAGUAAAGAUGAAGAUAAGAUUGAGGUGGGUUCACAACUAAAAAAAGAAUGAAAUAAAAAGUAUGAGAUGAAUUGACCAAAGCUUAUCCCUUCUUCCAAAUAGUAAAAGCAAAGCCUAGUAGUAUAAAGUGAUGACACUAGUCCUAUUCAAGGCCCCACUUGCAUAAUUGCUACAUCUUUUUGACUUGAUUUUAGUUCAAUUUCACUAAAAUGAAAUAAUUUAUUUGAGCCCAAAAAUCCAAAUCCAAAUCCAACCCACUUAUUUAUAUACAUUAUUGGCAUGGAAUGAGAAAAGUUAUAAAGUGAGAAAAUUUGAUCAUAUGAUAAAUAGUGAUUUUUCAAAGUUGGAGUCAAUCCAAUGCCCAAUGGGUAUAAAAGAAAAAGGAAAGAUGUGGAAAUUAUAGUGGAAUCUCGAAACAAAUUUUUGAGGUUUGAGGUGAUGUGACAACCGUUUCCAAGUAAUUGCCUAAGAAUGUGAGAUGUUGUUGCAUUGAAAAUUGAUAUUAAAGCUCAUUGGGUAACAGUAAGAAUUGCUUUACAUAAAGACAAGUAAUAAAUACAUCCUACUUUUUCAAAAAGUUUAUGAGUGAAUAAAACUUUUAGAGUAGGAUGAAUGCAUUUCACGUGAGUCAUGUAUUUUUAGAAUUUUCUAGCAGGAUGUCGAGGAAAACUCUAUGAUGAGUGUUUUCUUUCUAGUUAAGGUAGGUCCAAUUUGGUGCAAUUCGUCAAUAUAAUUCAAACCCAACAUAUGUUUUAAGGAUUUGAAUUGAGUAAAAUCAUCUUUAAAUUAAAUUAAUCAUAUGAAUCAACGUAACCUGUUUAAUAAAUAGAUUAUUUUUAGGUCAAUCUAGAUAACCCACAUUUGACUUGAAUUAACUUAUUUAAUAAUGGUAUUGAUUAACCUAAUAAUAACUUUAACUUAUUGAACUCAUAUUUGACUCAUGUAAAAUUUUUUUUUCAAUAAUUAUGUCAUAAUUGGGCCAUAAACAUGACAUAUUAGAAUAUUAACCAUAUUAUUUCAUUCAACAUUUAAUUUGACUUGAUUAUGAAAUAACAUCUUAUUAUAAAAUCGGUUGAGCCGGUUAUAAUGUAUCACCUAGAUAAUAAUUAUAUGGUGUUUGAGUUUAUGUUUUAAAUUUUGAUUAUUAUUCAUGUCAUGUUUGGGUUGAGUUAUUUAGUGGAGGAUCUAACCUUUGAUAUAACACAAACACAACCCACUAACUUAAAUUGCCAUCAUCACUUCUACUAGUAAGUGAUUUGUUUAUUAUAAUUAAGAAAAUUGAGAAGAUAUAAUUUAUUUUUUAAUUUUAAAUGCAUGAUUAAAGUUAAUUAUGACUUUUCAAAAUUUUAUAAUUCAUAUUCCAUCCAAACUAACAAAAUAUUAGAAAUCUUCAAUGUUUUUGUCUACAAUAAAUGUGUUGUGUUAAAUUAUCCCCUUCUCUACUAACCAAAACAUGUUCUUUCACAAUCAAAUAUCAACAUGUUUGAGCAGCCGGUGAGGCAUCUCUUGACAAUGAGGUGAGAGGUAGAAACAAGAAACAUACCUAUAUUAAAGAGAAGUGUUGUUUCUUCAUUUGCUUUAGACAACAUUCAUUUAGUCUAAACUUGAAGGCGGAUUGCUAGAAUCUGAGCUCUUGGAAAGACAUAAGAGAAGUACAUUUGGAAAUCUGAAAGAAGCCCAGAGACCUAUUGCUACUUGUGAAUCACAGUAAUCAGAAACAAUUCCAUAUAAUCUUGUAAUUCUGGACCUUUGAUUUGCUCUGUUUCAUUUUGCCAAGAACAAUUCUAGAAUGUUUUUCUUUAUUGAGUCGUAAUGAUUUUAUUAUUAGGAUUUAAUUGUAUUCAUUAGGUUUGCAAAUCGGUAUUAUGCCUAUGAAUAUUUUCCUCUUUGAUCAUGUAAAGUUGGAAAACAGUUAUGGAAUUCUAUGAUAGCAUAGUACAUUGAUCCACACGGUUUGUGGCAUGACAGUUUAAUGAAAUUACAGAAGUGUAGCACUCAUGGGUAUGUCAUGUGAACCUUUUUCAAUGGAGCUACUUGUUUAAAUUUACAUGGGUGAAUUGUCACACCAAUAUCCUCUAAUGAACCUUGGGUUCUUUUUUCUGUUUCUUCCUCUCUUGGUCAAGCCAAACAAUUUGUCUUUAUAAGGACUUCAUGUUACUAAUAAGUAGCAUCUUGUGUUCUCCUUCUCUUCAUCUCCUUGUCAAGACACAGUGAUCUAAUGCAUUUUUGCAUUGGGUUGCUUCCUCUCCUCUCCCUUUCCUUCCUCCUUGAGGCAAAAUUGCAUCAUUUCUUAGUUUUGAUUAUGUUUCUUUUUAUCAUUGUGAGAGAGCAUCAUUGUAAGAUGUACAAGAAACGUGUUGUGAUGCAUUAUCCCCUCCUCUACCACCUAAAAUCUAUUUUACACGAUCAUAAGGACCAAGGUGUUUUAAGCAUCAGGUAAGGCAUUUGUUGACAAUGAUGUGAGAGAUAGAGACAAGCAACAUACCAGUAUUCAAAAUACAUGAUCUUCUUUUUUUUUCAUUUGACAACAUUCAUUUAGUCUGAACUCCACAUUUGGGCAACUCAUAAUCUCCACCUUCAUUAGGAUUGCUAGAAGUUGGCUUCUUAGAAAGACAUGGAAAAGGGGCAUCUAGAAAUCUGAAAGAAUUCCAAAGGCCUGUUGCUACUUUUGAAUCAUUCCAAUUAAUAACAACUUUAAAAGAUAUAUACAAAUCUGUCCCUAGGAAAGAGAUGUGUCCUAUGCAUAUGCAACCAUCUCUCUAAUAGACUCAGGGUUGUGCACCAUCAUGGUAGUUUCUUAUAUAUUACAUCAUAUUAAUUGUAGAUAUCCAACUACCAAUAUCAUUACACCUGAAUGAACUAAGAGCUAUGCUGAAAGUGAAGUUGGACAACCCAUCAUUGAAAGAAUCCUGUAGGAAUACCCCAAAAUGAAAAUUUUAUUAGCAUAAAUGAAUUCACCCAAAUUAAGGAUAAAGUUGCUUAAAAAAAUGAAUUGGGAGAGAUAGAAAUAUUGAUGCUUUCAUAGGACUAUGAGAGGGACCAAUAAGUAGAACAAACAUUGAAUAGUAAAUGUAAAGCAAUAAAGCUUGUAACUGUUGUCAAAAGCUGCUCCCUAGUGAAGUUUUUUAACAAUAAAGGUAAGUGCAAAAUUCACCUAAUGGCUCCACUUGUAGGAAAUUUCAAUGAUGUGAAACUAGGAUAUGGUGAACUUGCUUCUGCUAUUGCAGUGAACUAUUAUAGAUCAAAAAUAAAUCUCACCAUCGGUUUUCACAUUAGAGAUGUGGGCUAUCUUUGGCCCAUCUCUCAAUAUUGGAUUUAGGAGUUCUGUCUCUCAUAUAUGGUUCCACUUGCAAAAUACAAAUGGAGCUUAGAAGAUGACAACACAUUUAGAAAAAUGCAAGAAUUCCACUGACAUGUUUUGUGCUAUCAUGAAUCAUUCCAAUCAGUAAAGAAUUGAAGUGCUAUAAUUUUGAAUUGUCUUAGGGAACACACCCCAAUUCAAUCUUACGAAAGUAAACUGUCUUGAGUACCAACUCAAUUUGAGUUCUUUGGGAGACUUGAGACACCAAUUUAAUCAAAGCUGCUAGUUGUUUCUGAAGUAGAUUGUCUUUCUCCACUGAUACUGGGGAAAAUGCUUUUCAAAACCAUUAAUCUGCAAAUUACAAAGGGAAAUGAGAUUAUGUUGUUAUCAUAUCUCCAAUCUCCUUGACAUAAAUAGAAAAUUUCCUUGCAACCAAUAAUUUCUAAUUCUAUCACUUCUAUUCUAGCAUGUGAUUUGGGAAGAGAAUUAAGCUUCAAAAUAUUGCCAAUAUGAAAGGAAUUGGAAGAGGCCAAGUGGGCAGCCACCAUAGCUAGUUCACAAACAAAUGACAACAUUGGAAGUGGAACACGACACAUAAACUUCAAAGACAAAACAUGUUUCCCACAAUCAUAAAUACCAAGGUGUUUAAGCAUCAGGUAAGGCAUCUCUUGACAAUGAUGUGAGAGAGAGACAAGCAACAUACCAGUAUUCAAGAGAAGUAGUAUUCUUCUUUUGCAUUCGACAACAUUCAUCUAUUCUACACCCCAAAUUUUAGCAACUCAGGAUCUCAACCUUCAUUAGGAUUGCAGGAAGCUAGCCUCUUGGAAACACAUGAGAGGACAUUUAGAAAUCUGAAAGAAUUGUAGAGACUUAUUGUUGCUUGAAUUGUGAGUAAUUCCAAUCAUAAAUACCAAGGUGUUUCAGGAUCAGGUAAGGCAUCUCUUGGCAAUGAUGUGAGAGAUAGAGACAAGCAACAUAUCGGUAUUCAAGAGAAGUAGUAUUCUUCUUUUGCAUUCAACAACAUUCAUCCACUUCACACCCCAGAUUUUAGCAACUCAGGAUCUCCACCUUCAUUAGGAUUGCAGGAAGUUGACCUCUUGGAAACACAUGAGAGGACAUUUAGGAAUAUGAAAGAAUUCCAGAGACUUGUUGUUGCUUGAAUUGUGAAUCAUUCCAGUCAUAAAUACUAAGUUGUUCCAAGAUCAAGUAAGGCAUAUCUUGGCAAUGAUGUGAGAGAUAGAGACAAGCAACUACCAGUAUUUAAGAAAAGAAGUAUUCUUCUUUUGAAUUCGACAACAAUCAUCUACUUUACACCCCAAAUUUUAGCAACUCAGGAUCUCCAUCUUCAUUAGGAUUACAGGAAGCUGGCCUCUUGGAAACACAUGAGAGGAUAUUUAGAAAUCUGAAAGAACUCCAGAGACUUGUUAUUGCUUGAAUUAUGGAUCAUUCCAAUCAUAAAUACCAAGGCGCUUCAAGAUCAGGUAAGACAUUUCUUGACAAUGAUGUGAGAGAUAGAGACAAGCAACAUACCAACAUUCAAGAGAAGUAGUAUUCUUCUUUUGCAUUUGACAACAUUCAUCUACUCUACACCCCAAAUUUUAGCAACUCAGGAUCUCCACCUUCAUUAGGGCUGCAAGAAGUUGGCCUCUUGGAAACACAUGAGAGGACAUUUAGAAAUCUACAAGAAUUCUAGAGACUUGUUGUUGCUUGAAUUGUGAAUGAUUCCAAUCAUAAAUACCAAGGUGUUUCAGGAUCAGAUAAGGCAUCUCUUAGCAAUGAUGUGAGAGAUAAUGAUAAGCGACAUACCAAUAUUUAAGAUUAGUAGUAUUCUUCUUUUGCAUUCAACAACAUUCAUCUACUUUACACCCCAAAUUUUAGAAACUUAGAAUUUCCACCUUCAUUAGGAUUGCAAGAAGUUGACCUCUUGGAGACACAUGAGAGGACAUUUAGAAAUCUGAAAGAAUUCCAGAGACUUGUUGUUGCAUGAAUUGUGAAUCAUUCCAAUCAGUAACAACCGCAAAGCCCUAUAUACAAUUUUUAGCUGUUAAACUUUUUACAUUGAAUGAAAAACCUGUCCCUAGGAAAGAGGUGUCUUGGGCAUGCAACCAUCAAUUAUUAGCUCUUGAAGAGGCUUGAAGCUAUGCACCCUCUUGGUAGCUUCUAAUUCAUUACAUCAUAUAACUUCCAGAUAUCCAAUUAGCACGUCACUAUGCCUAAAUGAAGUAGGAAACAUGGUGAAUAGGAAGUUAGACAACCUUUUACAAAAAGAAUCCUACAAGAAUACACCAAACAAAACUUCUUGUUAACAUAAAUGAAUUCACUCGAUUAAAUUAUUGUGUUAAAAUGUAAAUUGGGAGAAAUAAAAAUACUAAUGCUUACAUGGGAUUGUGGGAGGACCAACAAGAGGAACAGACUUUGAAUAUAAAAUGUGAAGCCUUAAAACUUGUAACUACUGUCAGAUGUUGCUCCCUAGUCAAGUUUUCAACAAAAAGGUUCAGUGUAGGGAUUCUCUAAUAGCUGAACUUGUAGAAAAUUUCAACUGGAUGGCAAUUUAUAUGUUAACAAGAAGAUAAAAUGUAAGAAUUAUGUGUUAGGAAUAGAUGAAACUUACUAUAUAUAUGGAUAGGAUAGGGUGAACCCUCCCUGUUUCCAUUUUUGGAACCCAAACUAUUAUGGAUCAAAGUUGGAUCUCUCCAUCUAUUAAAUACAACUGGAGCUUAGGUGAGGUCUUGGUGAUGUAGGAAAGUCAUGGAUUCUGGAAUCUUUACAUGAAAAUAUAAAUGAGAGAUACAUUGGAAGAAAGGGUAGGCCUUGGUCAUCUGAGAAGAAACACAUCUUAAAUAUACUAUCAAUCUUGAGUUGUUUGAGAGUGAUGAAUCUGUAAAGACCUCCCUCAGAUAAGGGAUGUCUUUGACAUUUCUCCCUCUUCAAUCUCAGGAAGGUACACCAUCAACUAGAACAUUAGGAAUGUGAGUCAUCAUGGGACAACUUGUAUAUCACUCACCUAAAAACUUGUAUGUUGGAUAAAAGUCCUGCUAAUGAAUCCUGACAAUUAUUUGCAAUCAAAAUUUAGUAAUGAUUUAUAAACAAAAAAAAAAAAAGGAAAUUACAAAAUUCUUUGGCAAUGUUUCAUGAAAAACACAUUGCAUAUUGAUUGAGAAAUUAAUAUGAAAUCCACUAAUUUGAAAGACACUAAAAACCAAAUGUUCUCUUGAGUUCUCCAUGUAUCAAAAUAGAUGCAAGUUUCUAUUUGAGCCACCACAAUCAUAGAGCACAAGACUUCUUAGCAUGGAAGGCAUACCAUAUUUUAAACAAGGUUUUUAACUUUCCAAGAGACAUAAGAACGUGGUAUGUUGUAGAAACUGUAGAAUAAAUAAAUGGAAGUUAGACAUAUGCACUUGCUACUUAGUUUUUUAAUCAUUUAUGAAAUAAAUAAAGAGGUGUUACUUGCAUUCAGCCAAACUUGUAGUCUCCAAUGUGAAAUCCAAAUCUCAUUUUGUCAACACAAUAAGAGCAUUAAACAUAUAGCAAAUUGAAUCCUUCCUUUUGACAAUUUGAAAACCUGAAAGGAAUGACUUGAGAUCAUAAAUAACUAUACGGUAAAGAAAAUUUUCAUCAUUCUUUCUAAAAGGAAAAUCUAUCAUUUCCUCGAUUACAGAAGAUUGAUAUUUAAACACAAAGUGAACUUAUUAAGGUAAAAUUUGUGCAUUAUAUAUUGAAAUUGGAAAAUUGUAUUUAAAUCUAGUUAGAAGAGUAUCACAAAAGAUGCUUAAUUGAAAUGAAGGCAUCCAUGCCAAUUUGCAACUGCUGUCAAAUAACACCCUUCGUCAUUUUACGUCCCAUGCUUGCAUGUCAAAUCUCUAACUAAGACUGCUCAAAGAGCACCUAAAAUAAAAUUACCAAGAUNNNNNNNNNNNNNNNNNNNNNNNNNNNNNNNNNNNNNNNNNNNNNNNNNNNNNNNNNNNNNNNNNNNNNNNNNNNNNNNNNNNNNNNNNNNNNNNNNNNNCUAAAAUAAAAUUACCAAGAUUUCAUCAUAGUUAGAACUUAAGAUGCUUACAUUGACCAUGGGAGAGAUUGAUAAGAAACAAAAUACUCAUCCAUAAGUUUGUAACUAUUGUACUCAAAACUGCUUCCUAGUCAAACUUUUAACAUAACUCCAUGGAAACUUCCAUAAAUUGUUGAGCCACUGGUAAAACACAACAUCAAUAUGAGAAAUUUACAAGGUACUAUGUAGAUAAAAGAGUAAGAAAUGUGUAUUGAGAAUAAGAGUUACCUUAAUGAAUGUAAGGAUAUGAUAGGGUUGAAUUGGCUCUGCAACCAUUUUUGCAAUUUGAAUGUAUUAUGGUUCAAAAAUGAGUUUAUGAUGUAUCCUCAUCUUAGGGGAAGCGGGCAAUCUGGGGCUAAUCUCAAUCAUUCUCCUUGAAACAUCUUUAUUUCAAAGUUUGAUAAAACUUAGAAGACAACCUUUCACUUGGAAAAGAGGACUAGAACAGGGCAUCCCUCAAUCUCUACAAGUUAAAGAGAUGAAGUUUUGAAGAUGAAGGGAGGAGGCUAGGGAUUCCAGAUUUGACAAUAUUUUCAUUGAAAGAUCAAUGAGAGCCGUAGCAAGAAAUACUGUCAAAAGGAAAUUGCAUUUAACAAUGUACAAUAUAAAAUCAAUGAACUAAAUUUUUAGAGAGGUGAAUCUUUGGAGGCUCCACAAAGAUAAGGGGUUUUAAUACUCUUGCAAGUGUAUUCGUGAAAUUAUGUUCUCAAAGGACUCUAGAACCUGGACAAUGUGCAACACAAAGCUGUUAAAGAGAUGUGAAACUCUAAACCCGAUGAGGUAGGGACUUGAGAUCCACAUUUUCUUAAGUGAAGAAUUUUGAGGUUGUAGAGACACUAGUAGUUUCCAAAUUCAGAUACUUCUCUUCAAGUAUUUGUAUAAUGUACAUCUUCUUUGACAUGGCUGCUCCAACAAGAUUUCCAAUAGGAUGUACAACCUAUUUGGGCAUACUACAUGUACAAUAAAAAAUUUCAUUAAAACAAAAAAAUUUUACUAAAACAAAAAUCUGAAGUUAAUGUCUAGGAAGAUAAGAUUUAUAUAUAGUGAAUGAUCAUGAUUGAUUUUAGCACAAAGGGAAUGACGCCAAAAAUAUUAAGAAUAUCAUCACCACAAGUACCUAAUUUGCGUCAUUAAAAAUUCCACAAGGAUUGGAUGGUUAGGCAAUAAAAUAAUUCUUGUAAAUGAAGUAAUUUCUAUAUAAGACAAGUAACGUCUAAUAUGAUUUGUCCACACCAUUCAAAUCCAACACAUUUUUUUUAUAAAUUUGAAAUGAGUAUAAUUGUAUUUGAAUAAAAAUAAAUUGUUUUUAAGUUAACUUUCAUAACAAACAUUUAACUCAAAUUGACUUAUUUAAUAAUAUUAACUUAAGUAUAACUUUAACCUAUUUAACUCAUAUUUGACUCAUUUAAAAUUUGAUUUUCAAUAGUGACAUCAUAAUUGAGUUAUAAACAUGUCAGUUUAGGACACUAACCAUAUAAGAUCAUACAACGUUAAACUCAAUUUGAUUAUUAAAUAACAUCUAAUUAUUACAAGAGUUAAAUAGGUUACAAUAUAUUACCUAGUUAAUAAUUAGAUUGUGUUCGAGUUUGUAUUUUUAAUUAUAAUUUAGUUGAGUGUUUGAUCUGCGUUACUCACCAACAUGAAUUAUUACUCAUAUUUCUAUUGCGAAACCAAAGAUUAGAUAAUUCUUAGUUUUGAUGUUAAUAAAAGAAGGUUCGGAACUAAUGUUUCAUCUUGAGUGUGACUAGGCAAGAUGAUUUUUAAAGUAGCAAUUACAAAGAUAAACCAAAACAAAAGAAAAAAUAAGAAAAAGAAGACCUUAAAGAGAAGAGCCUUCAAAACUUUUUAUAAGAUCUCUUUGUAAGGUUGUUGGUGCACUAGAUUUUACAUGCAUUUUAUUCAAGCAUCAAAGAUCAUCCUUGUGCAGUUUUGUUUUAAAUUUUUUUAUAAUUGGAUGAUUUUAUGUUUUUAAUUAAAACUUUAUGCCAAAUUUUUUUCUAAACUUUUUAAAAAGGUUUUAAAAGGGGUUGCAUGAGUUGCUAGAGGUUUGAAACCUAAAACCUAAGUAUUUGAGCACUUAAUAGUGCAAACAGUAAAAAGUCCAAGGAAUCGAUUAAAUAAUUUGGGCUCAAUCAGUUGAGGGGUGUUUUUACACACAUUUUCUCUCUUCAAGUGGUUUGUGUCACUAACAAAGGUUUUGCCUUUCUUGGUCAAGGUUUUGCCUUUCAUGGUCAAAGUCUUGAACCCUAACGAACACCUACUAAAAGUAUUAAUUGCUAAUUAUUUUGGCAUUAAUUGUUAACAAUUAGUGAAUCGGUCAAAUUGGAACUCCAUUGGUUGACCCCCUAAAUGUGCCUAACAACAAGUUUAGCCUUUCUACUUCUACAUAAAGGUUCCAAUCUUCAUUGUUGGUAAGUCUAACAUUCCCAAAUCUUUUAUGAAUAUUAUUUGAGCCUUGGGGGAGUGUUUUCUAGCACACCUUGCUGCAAAACUUGCACAUCAUUAGUUCACCAUAAAUCUUAAUUUAUCUUGUAUCAUUUGAGCUUAAAUUUGUACUAGGAAUGUGUGAGAUUAUAUUUCCUAUCAUUUUGUGUAAACCUUUGUAAGGGGAAAUCAAGUGUGGGGUAUUACUUAAAGGAAAAUUUAAGCAUGAGGUAUCACUUAGUGUUUGUCAAGUAUGGGGCAUCACUUGGGAAAUUCAAGAGUGAGGUAUCUCUUGAAAAAUUUGUAAGUGUCCACUGGAGUCAGUUAAUCUAAUUGUAAUGCUUAGAAACUUCGGAUUAGUAGAACCUCAAGUUUGGGAUUGAAGCUAUAGGAAAGUGAACGUAGGAUGGGUUGCACCAAACCACAAUAAAAAUAUUGUGUUUGUAUUCUCUCUUCCCUAAUCUUUAUAAUUUGUAUGCAAUUACUUUUCAUUGUAUUUAUUGUAUAUUUGUAUAUAAUUGUCUUUGGCAUUCAUAUAAUUUAAAUUUGUAAAAAGAAACCAUCACCUUAUUUACCCUUCUUCCCCCUUCCCCUCCCCCCGAGGGUGACUACCUUAGGUUAAUUUAGCAAAAAUCCUAACAUUUACUAAUAUAUUAUUUGCCUAUUAUAGUUAAGAAAACUACCAAAAAUUUUCAUUGAUAAAAAUUUCCAUGAUAAAUUCUAAAAACCACUUUAAUUCCAAUAAUCUUUUUCCCAAUGCAAUGUCUCCAUGAUUCGUAGGAUGAAAAGGAAUUUUUCUUGUCAAUAUGACUUUGGAUCCCAAAUUUUAAGGCAAUUUCAAUGCCCUAGUGGUGGGUCUAGAAGAAAAUAAAAAAUGUGGAAAUUAAAGUGGAAUAUAGACACAAUUUUUUACUAAUUGUAAGGUGAUGUUACAAUACCUUAUGUAGUUACCAUGAAAGGGACUUUGGAUUCCAAUUUUUGGGCUAAUUUCGAUGCCACAAAGAUGGGUCUAGAAGAAAACAAAAAAUAUGAAAAUUAAAGUGGAAUAUAAACACAAAUUUUUACUUGUGAAGUAAUGUUACAAUGCCUUAUGUAAUUAUUUUGAAAGUGAGAUAUCAUUGAAUUGAGAAUUGAUAUUAAAUUUGACCAACUAUCAUAAGGAAUUUCUUUCAAAAGAGAGAUAAGUAAUAAAUAUCUGUUAUUUAUUGGAAAAAAAAUAUUAUCAUACUAUUAAUGUGUUUAAUUUUAUUUUAUUUUUUAAAUAGAGAUUGUUAUAUCUUUUUGUAAAAAUAAGUUUCCUUAUAAAAUAAGAAAAAGUGGUAGAAGUAUUUCUAUGAAUAUUUUAUUAAGAGAAAAAACUAUAACAUGAAGAAAAACAUGUAAAGUUUAUAUUUAAAAGAUAGUGAUAUGGGAAAGAGUGGAAAACAUUUCUUGGAAUGAGGACAUGUGAUUCAAAGUAAAAUCUCAUUUUUGUUUUCUAUAGUCCUUAUGACUUUUGGUUUUUCUAUUAAGUGCCAAUAAAUAAAAGAAAAAACCCUCCUUUUUUGAAAGUUCAUUUGAACAGUUGUUUGAAGAAAAAAUCUUUAUUAAUCCAAACCCUAUCAACUUAUAUAUGACCUAUUACAAGACUAUGAAGUUUUUUAAAGUAAUUUUAAAGACAACCAAAAAAAAUUGAUAUGAUAAAUGAUUAAAACCACUUUAGAUUCCAAUAGUAUUUUCUAUCAUAUAACGUCUUAGUGAAAUGUUUCAUAACAAAAUGAAUUAUUCUAUGAAUAUGAAUUUGGAUUCCAAAUUUUGAACUUUAUAAUGUCUUAACUUAGUGGUGAGUCUCAUAGAAAAUGAAAGUUAUGGAGAAGUAGAAUGUGGACGUACUUUUUGACUUAAUAAACUGAUGUUACAACACUUUCAAGUAAUUACCUUAAAAAUGAUAUGUCAUUGCAUUGAAAAUGAUAUUAAAUUUAAUGGAGAGAUAAUUUAUAAAAAUAUCACUAAUUUUUAAAAAAGAAUAGUGUGAUCUUACUGUUGUGUUAGGUUGGAAAGAAAUUUAUGCUAGUGUUAAUUUAUUUAUUUAUUUAUUUUGCAUAUUGUAAGGUCUCAAACUCGUUUAGAAAUAUGAACAAUGAUGAAGAGUUAAAAAUUCAAAAACAUUAAAUGUAUGGUUAAAGGUAUGGUUAAAGCUAUGUUUAGAUAGUUGAAAUUGCAACCAAAAAAACAAGAAAAUGAAAGAAGUUCAAAUUUUAUUUGAUUAUCUUAAAAAUAUGAAAUAAAUUACAUAUAAUGAAAAUUGUUUAGAGUUUUAUAUACUUUUAAUAUUUACUCUUUACAAAAAAGAAAAAAAAGCAAGUCAAUUUUAAUGAACUUAUGGAAAAUAUUAAACUUAAGCUUAAUUUUUUAUUUUUCUUGAUUUUUCUUUCCUUCCAUAAUUUUCCUUCACAAUCUUUCCCACUUUAUUCACACUUUCCAUGGUCUAUACUUUAUACAUGUUUUAUCUCCUUUUUAAUUAAAAACCUUUAAAUUUUCCAAUUAAAAUUCCAAGAUAGGCUAAUAAAAACUUAAAAUUAAUAUUACAUUUUAAACAAACUAGAUUGAUUUGAUAGAUGAUUCAAAUCAAACCUAAAUUCAAACUUAACCCAAUCAAAUUUAGUCUCUAAUGUGAGGUGUUUGACCCAAACUUAGCUCAAACUCAUUUUUACCUACUAAAGUUAGGCUUAAAUUGACUCAUAGUACUUUUAGUUGAGUUGAUUAGGUUGUAUGAUCAUAACUAGGUUUGGUAAGGUUGAGUUAGUUUGAACCUAUUCAUAAUUUUUUUUCUUUUUUAUACUUCUUUUAUAUCAUAAUUUAAAAAAUUAAAUUGGAUAACUUUUCAACAUAAUAACAAAAAUAAAUAAAUUUAUGUAUCCGUCAACAAAAAUGAAAUAAUACAAUUAAAAUUCAACAUUUUUCUUUAAAAACUAAAAAAAAUAAAAACACACACACAUACAAAAUAGGUAUCAUUAUAUAAAAUAAUAUAAAUUAUAAAUAUAUAAAAUUAGGUUUGGGCUAGCUUGGGUUGUGAAACCUUAGCCUAAGUAGUUUCACGAUUCUCUACUACUUGUAAAAGUUUUUGGUAAAUUUUAUUAAAAUUAAUAAAAAAGAAAAAAGAAAUAAAAUGUUUUUAAAAAAUAUAAAUACAUAAUUAAAAUUAUGCUAAUGAAACAAAGGGAAGCAAACAAGAUCAAAAUUUUUCCCUCAAAAGGUGUAGUGUAAUGACUUCAAAUUUUAAGUUUUGAUGGUCAAUCUGCCUUCAAUUAUAGGGAUAAGAAGCUUGUAGAGAAUAAAAAAUAUAUAGCAAGUGGGUAUAUAUAGAUAUAAAAAAUAAUAUAUAUAUAUAUAUAUAUAUAUAUAUAUAUAUAUAUAUAUUGUAUGCAUCCCACUUUUGUCACGUGCAAACCCACUAGUAAACCUUUAUCAUCUUAUUAUAUAACAAGUGGGUAUAACUAGAUAUAAUAAAAAUAGGUCCUUGUUUAUUAAAUUCAAAAGUUUAUGAUCAUCACUUAGCAUUUAACAAAGUGGUACAAAUGAUGGUAAAAAUAGUAGUAUAGUCAAUAUUUUCCUAUAAAAAAAGUUACUUAAUAUAAAGAAUAUUAUAAUUGAUGUGUGAUUUUUAUUUUUAUUUUUAUCAAGAAGCAAUUUUAGAGAUAAGUUUUUAUCAAGAAACAAUCUUCAAUGUUAAUUUACCAUCAUUAUCUCUAAUAUUGUACCAUUGAAUGCAAUUGCAAAACAUCUAUGUAAUUGUUAGAAAAAAAAAUUUCAUGCUUAUUAUGCAAUAUUUGUUUUAAUUUUCAAGUUGCAAUUAUAUAGUCUAAAGGUUGAGGUUCUUAGAUAAUUAUUGUUUUGAUGAGAAGUCUAAUCAUGUUGUUGUUGUUCAUGUCACUUUAAUUAGACCAAGUUUAAUGAUACUUUAGACCAUAUUUAAGGAUCCUUUUCAAAUAUCUAUCUAACCUUUGAUAUGCAAUUUGAAAAGAGGAUGGAGAGAGGAUGGUUGUUCUCCAUAAUCCAUUAAUAAAUAAAUAAAAAUAAUUAUAUUUAGUAGGAAAAUGAAAAAUUAUUGAGAUCAUUAACAAGUAAUUUUGGUAAAACUUGAUAUUUAAUGAAGUAAGAUGACUCUAAGUUAAAUUAAUUGUAAUUAAGUCAUUAAGUCUUAGUUAUUAAGACGAUUUCUCAAAAUCAUUUUUAAAUUUAUUCUUAAAAUUAAGUCAUGAAAUUGAUUUAUUAUCACCCUCUAAAGUCUUUUCAAUUUUGUACAUUUAUUUGAUACAUAUUUAAUCAUAAACAAUAAAAAAAAGGUGUUACCUCAAAAUUUUUAAUUCAAACUCCUCCAAGAUUAUUCAUGACUAAAAUUCAUUAAUUAAUUUACAUUACAAGCUUUGAAAGAAACUUGUUUUAGAACAUAAAAUUGAUAGAGAUAGUACAUAUUUUAAACUUUUAAUUAAAAUAAAAAAAUCACAACAAAAUAAUUUGAUGGAUGUUUUAGUAUUUGAAAAGAUUAUGAGUCAAAUGGUCAUGAUUUUAGAAAAGUUAGAAAUGUUCGAUAAUGCUUAAAAACAUUUUUGUUACAAAAAUUAAGUAUUUGAUAAAGUUAAAAUUCAUUUUCUAGGUAAUUGGUGGUGCCUAUGAAAUAUUUUUUUUUGGUUAUACAAAUUUAUUAGUGUGAGAUGAUAUGCAACAACUUUAAAGUAUAGCAAUUAUUGAAGUUUGGACCAACCAUAUAUGUUAAAGGCGCUUCACUCCACCUUCUCAUUUUGUAUUAUCUUGUACCCUAAAAGAUUUGAAAUGAGUCUUAUUUAUAAGCAUUAUAAAUAAUGUUGUGGAGUCUGCAUUUCAGCUCAUGCGUUUUCCACUCGAUGGCGAGCUCGAUUUUUGUUUAAAAAAAUGAUUUUAUUUAUUAAAAAAAUGACUUGGAGUCACCACUUAUUUUUGUUUUAUUUUUAAAAGGGUAAACAAAAUAAGAAAAAAAACCCUAAGUGUGACUCCUUAUUUUGGAAAAGGUGGUCUAUGAAAAACCGGAUCAGCCUCGGGGGUCAGGUUACUCAUCAGGAAGGUACGAUAAAGACCGUAGCACCCCUCUAAGUCUCUAAAGUUCGGUCUCUACUAAUAAAAUGAAGCCGAUGUGGCGAUCAAUAGGAAAAUUAACGGAUACUCAAAUCGACCAUGCACACAUGGGAAUCAAAACAUGCAUAGAGAAUGACCAGAAUGUGAAUGGAUGCAUACCUGGGCCAUGAACGAGUAAUGUGCUAUCAUAAAAAUGGGGUCAAAGUAUAAUAAAAAGCACAAAACAUAUCACAUGCGUCACCAAAUAGAAAUGAAAACUGUUCAAGGGAAAACUUGAUUUUUGAAAUUUAUUUGAAAAUUGGAGUUUUAGAGAUUAUUUGAAAAUUGGAUUUUUAGAAAUUAAAUAUAAGAAUGAGAAUUUUAGAAAUUAAAUUUGAAGUAGAAACUAUGAAAAUUGAAUUAUAAAAAUUGGAAAUCUUGGAAAUCGUUCGAAGGCAGAAUCUUUAGAAAUAAAUGAAUAAAAUGAUAAUAAUAAUGAUAAUAAUAAAUAAGUAACGAAAUAAAUGCGAGAAUUGGAACAUUGGAAACUGAAAAAAAUUAAGUUCGGAAAUUAGAAAAUUAGAAUUUCAGAUAACUAAAUUUGGGAAUCGGAAUUUUAAAGAAUUAUUUAAAGACGAAAUUUUAAUAAACGAAUAAGAAACGAAUAAGUGAAUAAAUAAAUUAAUAGAAUAAUAAUAAUGACGAAAUAAUUAAGUGAAUAAAUAAAUUAAUGGAAUAAUAAUAAUAACGAAAUAAUAAAGAUUAGGUAAAUAAUUGCGAAAAAUAAAAUUUUAGAUAUUAGAGAUUGAAUUUAGAGAUUGAGAAUUUGAGAAAUUAUUUAGAGAUGAGAUUUUUAAUAAAUGAAUAAGUGAAGAAAUAAAUGAAUGGAAUAAUAAUAAUGACGAAAUAAUAAAGAUUAGAUAAAUAAUUGCGAAAAAUAGAAUUCUAGAGAUUGAAAAUUUGAGAAAUUAUUUAGAGAUGAGAUUUUAAAUAUAUGAAUAAGUGAAUACAUAAAUGAACGGGAUAAUAAUAAUAAUGAAAACAAUCAUUUAAACAACUGAAUGUGAAUAGUGGGAUUGGAAAUUAAAUUUGGAAAACAGAAUUCUGAAAAAUUGAACUUUAAUUAUUGGAAUUUGUAAAAUAAAUAAAUGGAAUGAUAAUAAUAAUAAUAAUGUUUAAACGAAUGAACGUGAAUAGUGAAUUUUUUUAUAUUGAAGAUUAAAUUUGAAAGUAAGAUUUUUGAAGAAUUGAACUUUAAUGAUUUGAAUUUUUAAAAGAAAUAAAUAAAUAAAUAUGGAAUAAUAAUAAUAAUAACCAAAAUAAUGUUUAAACGAAUGAACAUGAAUAGCGGAAUUUUUAAGAUUGAAAAUUAAAUUUGGAAAUCAAUUUUUUGAAGAAUUGAACUUUAAUUAUUAAAAUUUUUAAAAGAAAUAAAUAAAUAAAUAUAGAAUAAUAAUAAUAAUAAUAAUAAUAAUAAUAACAAAAAUAAUGUUUAAACGAAUGAACGUGAAUAGUGGAAUUUUUUAUAUUGAAAAUUAAAUUCGAAAAUCAGAUUUUUGAAGAAUUGAACUUUAAUCAUUGGAAUUUUUAAAAGAAAUAAAUAAAUAAAUAUGGAAUAAUAAUAAUGAUAAUAAAAAUAAUGUUUAACGAACGUGAAUAGUGAAAUUUUUUUGCGAUUGAAAAUUAAAUUCGGAAGUUAGAUUUUUGAAGAAUUGAAUUUUAAUGAUUAGAAUUUUAAAAAGAAAUAAAUAAAUAAAUGAAAUAAUAAUAAUGAAAAUACUAUUUAAACGAAUGAACGUGAAUAGUGGAAUUUUUUAGAUCGAAAAUUAAAUUUCGAAAAGUCAGAUUUUUGAAGAAUUGAACCUUAAUGAUUUGAAUUUUUUUAAAAUAAAUAAAUAAAUAAAUAUGGAAUAAUAAUAAUAAUAACAAAAAUAAUGUUUAAACGAAUGAAUGUGAAUAGUGGAAUUCUUGAGAUUGAAAAUUAAAUUCGAAAAUCAGAUUUUUGAAGAAUAGAACUUUAAUGAUUGGAUUUUUUAAAAGAAAUAAAUAAAUAAAUAUGGAAUAAUAAUAAUAACAGAAAUAAUGUUUAACGAAUGAACGUGAAUAGUGAAAUUUUUUAUAUUGAAAAUUAAAUUCGGAAGUCAUAUUUUUGAAGAAUUGAACUUUAAUGAUUAGAUUUUUUUAAAAGAAAUAAAUAAAUAAAUAUGGAAUAAUAAUAAUAACAAAAAUAAUGUUUAACGAAUGAACAUGAAUAGUGUAAUUUUUUUAGAUUGAAAAUUAAAUUCGGAAGUCAGAUUUUUGAAUAUUUGAACUUUAAUGAUUGGAAUUUUUAAAAAAAUACAUAAGUAAAAAAAUAAAUAGAAUAAUAAUAACAAGAAUAAUAAUUAAAUAAAUAAACAUGAAUAUUGGAAUUUAAAAUUGUGAAUUUUAGACAGUUACAUGAUAACAGAAUUUUUUUACAAAAACUAUAUUUUUAACAUAUCAAGAAGAAGAAUCAAGAGGGCCAAACACUUGGCCCAAUGGGGUCUACACCUAACAAGCAACGGACUAGGUCUAUAAAAACCGAAUAGCCUUCAGUAAAGCCCAAUCAUAGAGGGUCCAAAUGAACAUUACCAAUCCAAUUCAAGGUUCAACACACGGAUAGACUAUCAUCAUUCAUCAUUGUGAGAAAGCAGCACUUCACAACAAUCAAAUGUGCCAAAGAGAGGCACACAAAAGGUUCAUUGAGUUCCAUUUCAUAAGAGUGUUUGUUCCACAUUACCCAUCUCACAUUCUAUCCCAGUCUACUAACAUGAUAAAAUAACAGCAAAAAUAAUAAUGCAAGUCAACAAAUCUGAAUCUUCAAUCCUUAAAAAAAAAACCAGACCCCUAAAAAGGAAACUAAAAUAAAGCCCCCAUUGAAAGCAACUUGGUCCAUUCUCUAAAGACAGUAAACGAACAAACACAUAACUCAAAAUUUCAAGUUUGCUUAACGAACCUCUGUCUUCUCUCGCUGUGAUCUUCCCCUCUGGUCGUUCUCAUUCUCCUUCCUGUUAUGGAAUCUGCUUCAGCUCCAAGAAUCUUUUUUUUUUUUUCAGUUCCUUUCCCUUUCGUUUUCUGCAACCCUUCUCUUCUUGAAUCAGCCGACCCACAAUCCCUUCUCAAGAUACUCCAUUUUCAGUCCAGUUUCUCCAUAAAUAUCUCUCUAUUUCUUGCUUUCCUUUCGCUCCCCGAAAAAAAAUUCCUAUGCGCUCAACUCUCAAAAAAUUCCCUAGAACCCUCAAUCUUCAGAACUGAAAAUCUCCUCUGUUUUUCUUAUUCCUUCCUCAGCUGAAAAUCCCCUAGUCCCGAACCCAAAAAUCCUCCACCCAACUCUCCUCAUUUUUUUUCUCAAUCUCUUUUUUUUUCCCGCUACUUCUCGUCCUCUUCAGCCGCCCAAAUACUGCUCGCCCCCGUCCCAUCUCAUGGCUGCCCAAAGCAGCUCAUUCUGUCAUCUCUGGCCACCUCCAACGGCUGACCCUCGAGGUGGUAAAAAGAGAAAAAAAAAAUUAUGUCUCUAAAGGGGUCUACAAAUAUGCCCGUCUUCGAUAGAGUUCAUGAGUGUAAGGAGCAUGAACACUGAAGUGAAAAGGAAGUGAACUAUACUAAAGAACAAAGAAAGACCCCCGAAAGGUACAUAAGUAAAACACAAUCUCGCUCAAGGCUCUAAGCAAAAAGGCUCUAAUCCUAAGAGAAAAACAUCUCUCAAGGUGCCCCUAAAGCUACACCAAGGACCCAGACUCCCUCUAAGAUGUCUCCCAAAGUGACUCAAAUAAUCAAUGUCAAAGAUGAGUAAUGAUCAAACCUCCUCCGAGUACAAGAAAGAAUGCAUCCAGAGGGGACUCCCCUAUGUGAACUACGUGAGAAUGCUAAAUGCAGGGUGCCCAACAACGUGAUCGAAGUAUGUGCUGUGAACUCAAUGGACCAUGUCAUGUGCAAGGAAAAAGGGAAGUCUAGAAGAGCAUGAUGAAUAAGUGAUAAGCACAAGGUAACGAGGUGGGGAAAGACCAAGGAUGAACGCAAAACCAUGAAAGUAAGAUGCGCAAUGCCAGUGAAUAUGAAUGUUCGGAACCGUGACCCUGAAUGAUAAGCCCAAGAAGAAAUGACUCUGAAUGCCAAAAUAAUGAAAGAUGAUGACUCUAAAUGCUUGAAUGAGUACGCAUGAUAGCUCUGAAUGCCGAAACUAAAGGAAGAUGGCGGCACCAAAUGCUAUGUUGGAUGAUGGCUCUGAAUGCUAAAACGAAAACGCGACUCUGAAUGCCAAAAACUGAUGAAAGUAGCUCUAAAUAGCAAGAAUGACUCUGAAUGCUAAACUGAAAGAAAACGGCAACCCUAAAUGCCAGGAACGUGGCUUUGAACGCCAAAGUGAAGAAGAUGAAAGCUCUGAACGCCGAAAAUGUGGCAAUGAAUGCUCGAUCAUAGCGCCAAACUGUGAAAGGGGCAGUGACUCUGAACGUCAAACUGUGCAAGGAUAGCAACUCUGAACGCCGAACUGGAGAUGCAGCCUUGAACGCCAAAAUAAGAAGGGAUGGUGGUUCUGAACGCUGAAGCUAGAGAUGCAGCUCUGAAUGCCAAACUGGAAAGAGAUGGUGACUCUGAACGCUAAACUAGGCAGAAAUGGUAGCUCUGAACGCCAAAAUAAGAAGGGAUGACGGUUCUAAACGCUGAAACUGGAGAUGAGUAAUGGCUCUAAACGCCGAAAUGAAUGAUGCAACGACUCUAGAUGUCGAAAUGAAAAUGUACAUUGGCUUUAAGAGCCGAACUGAAGCUACGAUGGCCCUGGAUGUCGAAAUGAAAAUGCGGCUCUGAACGCCGAACCGAGGACGUACAAUGGCUCCGAACGUCAAACGAAAAAAUGGCUCUAGACAUCAAACUAAAGACAAACAACAGCUCUGAAUGCCAAACGAAGAAGAUGAUGGCUCUGAUAUCGAAAUGAAAAUGCAGCUCUGAACGCCGAGAUGGAGAUGUGGCUCUGAAGGCCAAAAUCAGAAACAUGGCCCUGAACGCCAAAUGGAAAAUGGAUAACGACUCUGAAUGCCAAAUGAAGAAGGUGAUGGGUCUGAUAUCGAAAUGAAAAUGCGACUCCGAACACCAAAUGGAAAAUGGAUAACGACUUUGAAUGCCAAAUGAAGAAGGUGAUGUCUCUGAUAUCGAAAUGAAAAUGCGGCUCCGAACUCCAAAUGGAAAAUGGAUAAUGGCUCUGAACGCCGAAUGAAGAUAUGGCUGCAAACGCCAGAUGAAGAUGUGGAUCUGAGUGCCGACCGAAGAUGUGGCUCUGAACGCCGAAUGAAGCAAAACAUGGCUCUAAACGCUGAAUGAACGAUGUAAUGGCUCUGAACGCCGAAUGAAGAUAUGGCUCUAAACACCAAACUGAGAGGCGAUGAUGAUGACUCUGAACUUCAAACUGAAAACACGAUGAUGGCUCUGAACGCCAAAACUGAAAAGUGAUGGUGGCUCUGAACGCCGAAAACUGAGAAUACGACUCUGAAUGUCAAACUGAAAAAUGUGACUUUGAACGUCAAACUGGAAACCGAUGAUGGCUCUGAACACCAAAACUGAAAAGUGAUAAUGAUGGCUCUAAACACCGAAACUGGGAAGUAAUGAUGAUGACUCUGAACAUCAACCCGAAAACACGAAGAUGGCUCUUAACGCCGAAACUAAAAAGUGAUGGUGGCUCUAAAUGACAGAACGAAUGAUGUAAUGGCUCUGAACCCUGAAUGAAGACGUGAGUAGUGGUUCUGGACGAUGGAAUGAAUGCUGAAAUGGCUCUGAACGUUGGAAUGAAGACGUGAGUAGUGGCUCUGAAUGCCGAACGAAGAUAAUUAGUGUCUCUGAACGCCAAAAUGAAACUAAACAUGGCUUUGAAUGACGGAACGAAUAAUGUAAUGACUCUGAUCUUGUCCGAAAUGAAGAUGUGAGUAGUGACUCUGAACGCCGAAACUGAGAAUGUGACUCUGAACGUCAAACUAAGAAGCGAUGAUGGCUUUGGACGCUGACACUGAGAAGCAACGAUGAUGGCUCUGAACGUCGAAACUGAAAAUGUGAUGAUGAUGGCUCUGAACGCCGAAACCAAAAAUGCAAUGAUGGUGGCUCACGAGGGCCGAAACUGAAAAUGCGAUUCUGAACGUCAAACUGAAAAUGUGAUGAUGAUGGCUUUGAACGUCAAAAACUAAGAAGCGAUAAUGAUGGCUCUGAACGCCGAAACCAAAAAAUGCGAUGAUGAUGGCUCUGAACGCCGAAACUGAGAAGCGAUGAUGAUGGCUCUGAACGCUAAGCUGAAAAUACGAUGAUGAUGGCUCUGAACGCCGAAACUGUGAAUGAACGGUGGCUCUGAACGCCAAACUGCAAGGAAAUGAUGAGGGGAAAAUAUGUCCCAAUGUAGCAUGCCACCAUAAUGCUCAAUCCAAUGUAAAUGACCGAAAGGGACUCUACGAGUCUCGAAUGAUGCUCCACUAGCGAGUUGGGAUAAUCAAAUCGACUGCGAACAUAGUCUCACAACCCUCCCAACUAAAUCAUGAAGUCUCAAUCUCAAAGUAACAUAUCCACUAAGGAGUCAUGGCUAGCAGGGUGAUCAAAACCCGAACGUCGUGCUCCACUGAAAGCUCAUCUCGACGAAAAUCACAGGAACAACGAUCAGUAAGGCAAAUACAAUAUAUCUCGGCCGAGUGAUGGAAACUGUAACGGAUCUGUGAGAGAACGAUCGUCUCCAUGGAUAAAUGAGGGAAAUAUGUCCCAGUAUAACGUCAGACUUAUCCUAUUUGUCAUGAUAACUCGAGAAUAACUCCAUGGGGGAUGUACAAAAGAUCUUAUAUGUACCCCACUGAAAUGAUGACGUGGGAAUCUAGGCAUGUGAGAUAACUCCGUGAUUACUACUCAAAAAAUGCUAUUUUGUAGCUUGUAAUUAGCUCUUUUAAACACCCUUGAGUAGUAAUUAUUACCUUUUAACCCAAUUAACAUGUUAGGGACCCUUGCAAUCGUUUCUAACAAUUGUGUUAAGUUUUGGUGCUUUUUGAUAGCUUUAUGCUCACCAAAGCAAUUUAAGAAUGAGGGAGAGCUAUUUAUAGUUCAUGGCAAAGCUUUUGAAAGCUUAAAUUUAUGAAGAAAUCAAGCUAUAGAGCCUCAUAAUCCUUUGCCUUAGUUGUUCAAAGUAUACAAGGAAGAAACAAUGGAGAAGAGGAAAACAGGGGAUGAAAACAGGGGACAUAGCUGCAGUCUUUCAUUGCACUUUUGGAGCACUUCACGAAGUCCAUUUUUUACAUUCUAUAUACCAUUUCAAAGCUCAGAAAGUCAAGAAUCCAACGGUUCAAACCAUGUACGAUUUGGAGCUGAAAUGAGAAAGAUAUGGCCUUCGGAAGACAACUGCAUCAAGCUGAGGGAUAAUUUCGCACGAUGGAAAUCAAGGUGCGAAUUCCUCAGUCCACUGUGCGAAAAUUUCGCACACCUCAAAUCAAAGUGCGAAAUUGGAACUCCAGCGUGCGAAAAUGGGAUAUUUUUGCCGACUCUUUUUCUUCUGAUAUUUUUGUGUCUAAAUUUCCAUUUUCUCCUUGUAUUCAACCACUCAUGUAAUUCCUUAGCUAGGAAGUAUCCAAGGAAGGGUAAAAUUACCUUCCUAUAUAAAUUCUCUUGUAAUCUCUGAAAAUGGAUAUCUUCGGGGAGCUUUCUCCAGGAGACCAAAUGAUGUAAAUUUGAUACUUAGUGAAAUACAGAGAUCUCUUUUACUUUCUUUUUCUCUCUUCUAUUUUCUAUUUUCUUGCAAGCCAAACACCCUCUGAGGAUGUUUUCCCAGAGGAUGAGAGGCUAAACAUUUAGUUUCUUGGAGUAAAGGAAGCUAGGUGAAAAGUCCAGAUUAAAACAUGGAAAGUUUCUGUGCAUUAAAUUCAGGUAGUUGGAGUCCAUAAAUGGUUUUUAAAGCCAAGGUUUUGCCUUAAAUCCCUUCGAAUCACUUUGACUGGCCAAUACAUGGUAAGCUUAAGGUCUCUGUGGAUGCUUAUUGCUAGAUCCAUAUCAGUCCAUUAGUUAUCAUGUACGAGCCAUUGGAAAGUGAUUCAAGGUGAUAGCCCAUAGUGUCUUAAGCCAUUAAUGGACCUUGACUACCAUCUCUAGUGACUUUUUAUGGAUUAAAACUUCAUUGUCAAACCUAUACCGGUUCGGGAAAUAACUAUAGGUUAAAUCCCCAAUGCGAGGAGAAAAAUCCGGAAUUUUCCACUUUGCAUCUGGAACUUGAACCUAGCAACCUUUAUCUCCGGGAAACUUUCUUUCUUCCACUUUUUACUUAGUUCUAUGUGAGUUUAGUUUAAAUCACCACUUUCAAAACAAUUUUAUUUUCUUUUAAAUUUCAAGUUUGUGCUAAAGGAAAUCAUCAUAAUCAAUUUCUAAUUUAGAGUCUGUCACUGAUAGAGUGAAAACCCAUCCCUGAGUUCGACCCUAGAACUGUUAUACUAUAGUAGCUUUGCUACGCCAGUAUAAGGUCAUAGGUUUUAUAAAUGUUUUUGAUUAAAAGACCCGGCUGGGCAUCGAAUCAAAUGGCGCCGUUGCCGGGGAUGGUGCCACAAUACAGUGAUACAACCUUUUAGAGGCUACUUGUGAUUUUCAUCACAACCAGGGUGAAUUCCUUUUUCACUAAUUUCAUUUUCUUUCAUUUUCCUUUUGUUAAUUUUAUUUUCAUUUUCUUCCUAACUUUAACCUUUUCUUUAGUUUCCUUUUGUUUUUACUAUUACAGGAAUUGUAACUUGUGCAUGCCCUAUUGGAUUAGGGACCAAGAGGGAAGAUUAGUAAGGAUUGAGAAUCCUCAAGACACAGAGUUGGAUAUCUGUGUAAAUAUCAUGGACCCUCCACCAGAGGAUCAGAAUUCUCAACAAGGUCAAGGGGGUAAUCCCAAUGCAUACCUAUCAAUGAGGGAUAGAAUGCAUCCCCCAAGGAUGAGUGCACCCUCAUGCAUCCUGCCCCCACUUGAGCAGUUGGUUAUAAGGCCCCAUAUUGUGCCCCUCCUACCAACUUUCCAUGGAAUGGAGAGUGAGAAUCCAUAUUCUCACAUCAAGGAGUUUGAGGAGGUGUGUAAUACCUUUAGAGAGGGAGGAGCUUCAAUAGACUUGAUGAGACUCAAGCUAUUCCCUUUCACUUUGAAGGACAAGGCAAAAAUAUGGCUUAAUUCUUUAAGACCAAGGAGCAUAAGGAAUUGGGUUGAUCUUCAGGCUGAGUUUUUGAAAAAAAUUUUCCCCACCCAUAGGACCAAUGGGUUGAAGAGACAAAUCUCAAAUUUUUCUGCUAAAGAAAAUGAGAAGUUCCAUGAAUGUUGGGAAAGGUAUAUGGAGGCCAUCAAUGCUUGUCCUCGUCAUGGUUUUGAUACAUGGCUCUUAGUGAGCUAUUUUUAUGAUGGAAUGUCUUCUUCCAUGAAGCAAAUUCUUGAAACCAUGUGUGGGGGAGAUUUUAUGAGUAAGAAUCCUGAAGAAGCCAUAGACUUUUUAAGUUACGUGGCUGAGGUGUCAAGAGGAUGGGAUGAGCCCAACUCAAGAGAGAAAGGAAAGUUUCCCUCUCAACAAACCCAAAAUCCAAAGGCUGGAAUGUACAUGUUAAGUGAAGACGUGGACAUAAAAGCUAAAGUGGCAACAUUAGCUAGGAGGUUGGAAGAACUUGAGUUGAAAAAAAUACAUGAAGUCCAAGCCAUUUCCGAUACCCAAGUCCAUGUUAUGCCAUGCACCAUUUGCCAAUCAUGUGAUCAUGUGGUAGAUGAGUGUCCAACCAUGCCAGCUGUGAGAGAGAUGUUAGGUGAUCAAGUAAAUGUUGUGGGGCAAUUUAGGCCCAACAACAGUGCAUCUUAUGGAAACACCUAUAAUUCAAGCUGGAGAAACCACCCAAAUUUUUCUUGGAAACUAAGGACACCUCCAUACCAACCACAAGGCCAAACCCAAGUACCUCAACAACCAUCUUCAGUGGAGCAAGCCAUUGUAAACCUGAGUAAAGUCAUGGGUGACUUUGUGGGUGAACAAAAGGCAAUUAACUCCCAAUUGCAUCAAAAGAUUGAAAAUGUUGAGAGUUCUCAAAUAAAGAGAAUGGAGGGGAUGCAAAAUGAUCUAUUUCAGAAGAUAGAUAAUAUUCAGUACUCCAUCUCUAGGCUUACCAACCUAAACACAGUGAUUGAGAAGGGAAAGUUCCCCUCUCAACCAAGCCAAAAUCCCAAGGGUGUUCAUGAAGUUGAAACCCAAGAUGGUGAGUCUUCAAAUUUGAGAGAGGUCAAAGCUGUGAUCACUUUGAGAAGUGGGAAGGAGGUUGAUCAACCCUUGCCUAACGUGGGGCCUGAUGAAGAACUCAGAUCAAAGAGACCCUUGAUUAAAGAGGGCAAUAACCAAGAAGAGCAGAGUGGGAAGAAAAGUGCAUCCAAAUCAAGCAUUGAAGAAGAACCAAGGAUAGUGAUUAAGGAGGAUAUGAUGAAGAAACAUAUGCCUCCCCCUUUUCCUCAAGCUUUACAUGGAAAGAAAGAAAUCAAGAAUUCAUAAAAAAUUCUUGAAGUUCUGAGACAAGUGAAGGUGAAUAUACCUUUACUUGAUAUGAUCAAGCAAGUCCCCACAUAUGCAAAGUUUCUAAAGGACUUGUGCACAAUCAAGAGGUUUACAGGUGACAAAGAAUGCAUUCCUCACUGAGCAAGUGAGUGCUAUCAUCCAGAGUAAGUCCCCAGUUAAGUAUAAAGAUUCGGGAUGUCCCACCAUAUCAGUCAACAUUGGAGGGACACAGUGGAAAAAGCUUUAUUAGAUUUGGGAGCAAGUGUGAAUUUACUCCCAUACUCUGUGUAUAAACAAUUGGGACUAGGAGGAUUAAAGCCCACAACCAUGACCCUCUCUUUAGCUGAUAGGUCUGUCAAAAUCCCAAAGGGAGUGAUAGAGGAUGUUCUAGUUCAAGUGGACAAAUUCUACUAUCCUGUGGAUUUUGUGGUGCUUGAUACUGAUUCCACUGUCAAGCAAGAAAAUUAUGUACCAAUCAUCCUAGGGAGACCUUUCCUAGCUACCUCCAAUGCUAUUGUUAAUUGUAGGAAUGGGGUGAUGCAGCUCACAUUUGGAAACAUGACAUUGGAAUUAAACAUAUUCCAUUUAUGUAAGAGGCAUCUUUACCCUGAAGAGGAGGAAGGAUUCGAGGAGAUGUGCUUGAUCAACACUUUGGUUGAAGAGCACUGUGACAAGAGUUUAGAGGAGAGCUUGGAUGAAAACCUGGAAGUCCUUGAAGAUGGGUUCCCUGAACCCUUUGAUGUGCUAGCCAUAAUGUCUCCUUGGAGGAGACGGGAAGAGAUCUUACCACUGUUCAACCAGGAAGACUCACAAGGAGUUACUGUGGAGGACCCUCCAAAGCUUAUUUUAAAGCCACUUCCUGUGGAUUUGAAGUAUGCAUACUUGGAGGAUGAUGAGAAAUGUCCAGUGGUAGUUUCCUCAACCCUCACUAGUGAUCAAGAGGAUAGUCUUUUAGGAGUCCUCAGAAAAUGUAAGAAAGCCAUUGGAUGACAAAUUUCUGAUCUGAAAGGGAUUANNNNNNNNNNNNNNNNNNNNNNNNNNNNNNNNNNNNNNNNNNNNNNNNNNNNNNNNNNNNNNNNNNNNNNNNNNNNNNNNNNNNNNNNNNNNNNNNNNNNAUUCAGGGUACUUCCAAAUAGAAAUUGAUUUGGAAGAUCAAGAAAAGACGACCUUCACUUGUCCCUUUGGUACUUUUGCAUAUAGGAGAAUGCCCUUUGGUCUAUGUAAUGCUCCUGCAACUUUCCAAAGAUGCAUGCUAAGCAUCUUCAGUGAUAUGGUGGAACGCAUCAUGGAAGUUUUCAUGAAUGACAUCACUGUAUAUGGAAGUUCUUAUGAGGAGUGUUUGAUGCAUUUAGAAGCUGUUCUCCAUAGAUGUAUUGAGAAAGACCUAGUGCUAAAUUGGGAGAAGUGCCAUUUUAUGGUACAAAAAGGAAUUGUCUUAGGACAUAUCAUCUCCAAAAAUGGCAUUGAGGUAGAUAAGGCAAAUGUGGAGCUGAUUGUUAAGUUGCCACCUCCCACAAAUGUUAAAGGAAUUAGGCAAUUCCUUGGACAUGCCGGGUUCUAUAGGAGGUUCAUUAAGGAUUUCUCAAAAAUCUCAAAACCUCUGUGUGAGCUUUUGGUAAAGGAUGCCAAGUUUGUGUGGGAUGAGAAGUGUUAGAGAAGUUUUGAGGAAUUGAAACAAUUCCUCACAACUGCACCAAUAGUGAGAGCCCCAAAUUGGAAAUUACCUUUUGAGGUAAUGUGUGAUUCAAGUGAUCUUGCUAUGGGGGCUGUUUUGGGGCAAAGAGAGGAUGGAAAGCCCUAUGUGAUCUAUUAUGCAAGCAAAACUUUGAAUGAGGCUCAAAAGAACUACACAACUACUGAGAAGGAGUUGUUGGCAGUAGUUUUUACCUUGGAUAAGUUUCGUGCUUAUUUGGUAGGGUCCUCUAUAGUGGUGUUCACUGACCAUUCUGCUUUGAAGUACUUGCUAACCAAGUAGGAUGCCAAGGCAAGAUUGAUAAGAUGGAUUCUUUUGCUCCAAGAAUUCAAUCUCCAAAUCAGGGAUAAAAAGGGGGUAGAAAAUGUGGUAGCUGACCACUUGUCCAGACUUGUGAUAGCACAUGACUCACAUGGUCUGCCUAUCAAUGAUGACUUCCCUGAGGAGUCUCUCAUGUCAGUAGAUGUAGCUCCAUGGUAUUCUCACAUUGCAAACUUUUUGGUUACUGGAGAAGUACCAAGUGAGUGGAGUGCUCAAGACAAGAGGCAUUUCUUGGAUAAGAUCCAUGCCUAUUAUUGGGAGGAACCUUUUCUUUUCAAAUAUUGUGCAGAUCAAAUUAUAAGGAAAUGUGUUCCUGAGCAAGAGCAAUCGGGAAUUCUUUCCCAUUGCCAUGAUAGUGCAUGUGGAGGUCAUUUUGCCUCCCAGAAAACAGCUAUGAAAGUGAUCCAAUCAGGCUUCUGGUGGCCCUCUCUUUUCAAGGAUGCCCAUUCUAUGUGCAAGGGAUGUGAUCAGUGUCAAAGGCUUGGUAAGCUAACACGCCGAAAUAUGAUGCCCUUGAACCCCAUCUUAAUAGUGGAUAUCUUUGAUGUCUGGGGUAUAGACUUCAUGGGACCAUUUCCAAUGUCAUUUGGACAUUCCUACAUCUUGGUAGGAGUGGAUUAUGUCUCUAAGUGGGUAGAAGCAAUCCCAUUUAGGAGCAAUGAUCAUAAAGUGGUACUUAAAUUCCUCAAGGACCACAUCUUUGCAAGAUUUGGAGUGCCAAAAGCCAUUAUAAGUGACGGGGGAACCCACUUUUGCAAUAAACCUUUUGAGACUCUUCUAGCCAAGUAUGGGGUUAAGCACAAGGUAGCUACACCUUAUCACCCCCAAACAAGUGGCCAAGUUGAGUUAGCCAACCGAGAGAUCAAGAAUAUAUUGAUGAAGAUGGUCAAUGUGAAUAGGAAGGAUUGGUCUAUCAAGCUCCUGGAUUCCUUAUGGGCUUAUAGGACCGCUUACAAGACCAUUCUAGGAAUGUCUCCCUAUCGCCUUGUUUAUGGCAAAGCGUGUCAUCUUCCAGUAGAGAUUGAGUAUAAAGCAUGGUGGGCAAUCAAAAAGCUCAACAUGGAUUUGACAAGAGCCGGGUUAAAGAGAUGUUUGGAUUUGAAUGAAUUGGAGGAAAUGAGGAAUGAUGCAUACCUCAAUUCAAAAAUUGCAAAAGCAAGAUUGAAAAAAUGGCAUGAUCAGUUGGUAAAUCAGAAAAAUUUUACCAAAGGACAAAAAGUUUUGCUUUAUGACUCUAAACUUCAUCUCUUUCCAGGAAAAUUGAAAUCCAGGUGGACGGGUCCUUUCAUAAUUCAUGAAGUGCAUCCCAAUGGAGUGGUGGAAGUAUUCAAUCCCACAGGCAAUCAAACCUUCAAAGUUAAUGGCCAUCGUCUCAAGCCAUUCAUAGAGCCUUACAGUACAGACAAGGAGGAGAUCAACCUCCUUGAACCACCACAACUCUGAGGGAAAGCAGGGUAUCGUGGGCUAAAUAAGUCCAUGAAUUUUUUUGUUAUAGUUUUAUAGUUAUAUCAUUAUUUUUAUUUCUUUUUAUUAUAAUUUUUCCUCAAUCUUAGUUUAUUUUGUCUUAAUUCAAGUCAAUUUUGAUGAUAAAUUUCAGAAAAAAAUCAUGAAAGAUGGGGAGAAUUCUUCAAAAGCAAGACAGGGGAGUAAAACCAAGGAAACAGAGCACCUGAUUUCAAGGUGCGAAAAUUUCGCACACCUGAUUCCAAGGUGCGAAAAUUUCGCACACCCCAAAACCAAGGUGCGAAAUCCUCGGGCCAAAGGGAGCCAUUUUUGCACACCCCAAAACCAAGGUGCGAAAUUUAUUUCAAGGUGCGAAAAAUGAUUUCAAGGUGCGAAUUCCCUAAAAACCAAUUUUGCACACCACUGUGCAAGGUGCGAAAAUUUUCGCAUUGUGCGAAAUCCCCUCCUGGCACACGAGUGCCAUUUUCGCACACCUCAAGCCACUUUUUGCACCGUGCGAAACAAGGUGCGAAAAUUUCGCACACCUGAUUUCAAGGUGCGAAAAUUUCGCACACCUCAUUUUAAGGUGCGAAAUCCUCAGUUAAAGGGGUGCCAUUUUCGCACACCUAAUUUCAAGGUGCUAAAUUUGCAGACCAAGGUGUGAAAAUUUCGCACGGUAAAAUUUUAAACGGACUUUUUAAAUUAAAAUUUUACCCCCGAAAUUAUGCCUAACGUCCAAAAACGACUUUUCGGUUGCCUUGGAAAAUUUUAAAACAUCAAAAACCCCCCUAAACCUCAUUCCUAUAUAAUCCCUUGAAGUCCAGAAGCUCAAAGGACUCCCCCACGAACCAGUUGAGGAGCCUCUGGAAUCCCGAACAGUCACCCACCUCCAUUUCGGCCAUGGCGAAGACCAGAGGAGGCCUUUCCGGCUCCCCAUCCUCACCGACACCUCGACCACAUCGAGCCGCCAUGGGAGCCGCAGCUUCGCCACCUGUUCAGGCCCCGGCCAUUCCCCCAUCUGAAGGGGAAGCCCCUUCUCAGCGCCGAUACCCCACCAGGAGACCACCCACGGACCCUGUGCCACCAGCCGAUCAAGCCACGAGCUCUGUUUCUCGGCCACCAGCGAAGAGAACCAAGUUCUCAGGUCCUGGAGAGCCAUCCCACGCACCUCAGUCAGAGCCACCUACAGAGGACUCUCGGAUUCCUGUGGGGAUUACUCCUGAGACCGUUAUCAGGCGUCCCAUGAUAGCCGGACCACCGAUAGAGGGCAACUUGGAUUGCAGAGAUCGAUCCUUCCAUUCCUAGACCUACUUUGAUACAGAGUCCCUCAGACAGCAGCCAGAGCUCAGAGAUUCAUUCCGACUACUACAGAGGUAUCACAUGGAGGAUCUUCUCACUCUUAGGCAAUUCUACUAUCCCAGAGUAGUUAUAGAUUUUUAUCAAUCUAUGACUACUCGAGGCCUCCGUAAUCCUACCCUCAUCCAAUUUACCAUAGAUGGACGCCAGGGUGCCAUUAGAGCUCGUCACAUUGCUGAGGCCCUCCGUAUACCUUAUGAGCCUGUGAUUCAGGCAGACUUCAGGGAGUGGUCCUCAUUCUCUCAGAGUGACAUGGUCCGCAUUUUGUCCAAGGGGACUUCUACAGCCUCAGUGUUGACUAGGAGAGAGCUUCCAUCUGGGAUGCUCCUUAUUGAUGUGCUCCUGCGUGCCAACCUUUUCCCCCUUCAGCACAAAGUUCAGAGGCGAUGAGCUAUACUUGAGGCGUUAUUUAGGAUUUCUGAGGGCUAUUUCUUCGGCCCUCAUCAUUUGAUUAUGACUUCUCUUCUUCAUUUUGAAGAGAAAGUCCAUCAGAAGAAGCUUCAAAGGGCAGAUGGCAUCCCAUUACUAUUUUCGAGGCUCCUCUGCCAGAUUUUAGAGCACCUGAGCUAUCCUGAACAGCCCCGCCUUGAGAGGCGCCGCCAUUGCCGAGAGGACUUCUCUCUCGACAAAUGGCAUCACUUGGUAGCCUACUUUGCACCCUAGGGAGCCCCAGCUGUGCCUGCACCUCCAGAGCUACCCCAAGAUGAGCAGAUGCCUCAGGCCCAGCAGGAUGAGAUUCUCACAGAGACCACACCUCCUGUCCCUGCAGCACACCCCUCAGAGCAUAUUCCUAAGCCUAUACAUCUUAUUUCUCCUAUCACUUCGGGUGCUCCACCAGUCAUGCCAGCUACCCCAGCACCUCCUCUUUCAUCUGAGCCCACUGUCAUCGUUUCUCUUACGGAAUUCAGAGGCUUAGAGCAUUCAUUGCGGACACUGAGCACUGCUCAGGAUUCUAUUAUCCACCAGAUGGCCACUAUUCGGGCACACCAGGAUCAGAUCAUUGCUACUCAGGCCCAGCAUACCACGAUCCUUCAUCAGAUUCAGCAGCAUUUGAGUAUGCAGACACCUUUUGGGCAUGAUAGGUCUGCACCAUCUGAGCCUCUAGUGCCAGAUAAGGAGAGCUUACCAGUUGAGCAGCCCAUACCAGAGGAGGAGAUCAGAGCAGAGCCAUCACAUGACACCCCUCAUAUUUGAUAUUUUUAUAUUUUACUUGUUUUUUAUUUUAGACUUGUAAAUCCCAUCUUUUGCAUGUGUUAUAAACUGGGAUUGGAAGUAUUACUUGAAAUCAUACAUUGUAUAUUUCUUUUACAAGUAAUAUAUAUAUAUAUAUAUAUAUAUAUAUCCUUUUUUAUUAUAUUCCCUUUUCUCAUUACUCUUUUGUCCUUGGAACAUGUGGUUUAAGGUACUCCAUACCUCCUUUACACUCAGACUUUGUCUCACUCAGGAGGUACCACUUCCUCCCUUUAUUUUUAAUCGCUUUCGAAACAUUGAGGACAAUGUUCAACUUGGUUGGGGGGAGAGUUGAGAAAGGAAGUUUUGUUGUUAAUACUAAGUUAUUUUGGUAUUUUAGUUGAUUUUUGCUUAAAAUUUAAAAUUUUUAAAAAGUUUUUUGAAUCAUUCUCUAUGGUUGUUAAAGAUAAUUUCUCAAAAAUAAAAUAGGAUAAGUCGAGUUUUAACUUAAUUAUUUAAGUCUUAGAGUUUGUUUUAUGCUUUCAAAGUUGAUAAUCUAUUGAAGCCUCUUUGAUUUCGAACUUUCUUCUUCCAUUUCAAGCUUUACACCACUGUGCACAUUAGAUCCCGGAUAUAUGAUGUAAAACUUUCUCACCUUCUAAGCUUAGGAAAAUUUUGACUUGGUUCAUUACUUAGCCUCUCUUUAAUAGUGUUGGGACACCUCAUAAAGACCAAUGAGUCUUUGAAAAAAAAAAAAAAAGAAGAAAGAAGAAUAAGCUUUUAUUCUUUCCUUGAAACCUAAGCAUGAUCCGAAGGGGUGGCGAAAGCCUUUAAAACCCGAUGCCCUAAACCUUGAUUGGUUGGGAGUCAUCGAUCCUCUGCUUGCUACAUAGGUGAAUGGGUUAAGAUUAGUGAGUAAAAAGAAUUGUGAAUAAGAAGGUGUGUUCCUAACCUAUUAAGAGUUGAUUAAUUUUGCCAAUGUUCGAGAAAAGCUUAGGUUGGAGGGUGAGGAUAGUUGUAUAUACUACAUCCGGAAGCUAAUCUCAUUAACACUUAGCUUAUUAUGGAAGAGUUUGAUUUGGAACCUUGAGAGUAGAAAUUCUUUUGAUACUUAAUUGCAUAAUCUCCACUCUUUGUACUUUUUGUUUAAGUUUUAAGCUUUGACAACUCCUAUUGCAUUUUGAAUCUUCAUAUCUUUAGUUCACCAGGUGAGAUGUGUUUGGAUAUCAGUCAUGCCUCUCAAUUAUUUUUUGGAAUGAAUUGCAUGACCUCUUUUAUGUAUAUUAUUACGUUUGCUUAGUUUUUCUCUCCUUAAUUGCUAAGGGACUAGCAAUAUGUCGGUUGGGGGGAGUGAUUACUACUCAAAACAUGCUAUUUUGUAGCUUGUAAUUAGCUCUUUUAAACACCCUUGAGUAGUAAUUAUUACCUUUUAACCCAAUUAACAUGUUAGGGACCCUUGCAAUCGUUUCUAACAAUUGUGUUAAGUUUUGGUGCUUUUUGAUAGCUUUAUGCUCACCAAAGCAAUUUAAGAAUGAGGGAGAGCUAUUUAUAGUUCAUGGCAAAGCUUUUGAAAGCUUAAAUUUAUGAAGAAAUCAAGCUAUAGAGCCUCAUAAUCCUUUGCCUUAGUCGUUCAAAGUAUACAAGGAAGAAACAAUGGAGAAGAGGAAAACAGGGGAUGAAAACAGGGGACACAGCUGCAGUCUUUCAUUGCACUUUUGGAGCACUUCACGAAGUCCAUUUUUUACAUUCUAUAUACCAUUUCAAAGCUCAGAAAGUCAAGAAUCCAACGGUUCAAACCAUGUACGAUUUGGAGCUGAAAUGAGAAAGAUAUGGCCUUCGGAAGACAACUGCAUCAAGCUGAGGGAUAAUUUCGCACGAUGGAAAUCAAGGUGCGAAUUCCUCAGUCCACUGUGCGAAAAUUUCGCACACCUCAAAUCAAAGUGCGAAAUUGGAACUCCAGCGUGCGAAAAUGGGAUAUUUUUGCCGACUCUUUUUCUUCUGAUAUUUUUGUGUCUAAAUUUCCAUUUUCUCCUUGUAUUCAACCACUCAUGUAAUUCCUUAGCUAGGAAGUAUCCAAGGAAGGGUAAAAUUACCUUCCUAUAUAAAUUCUCUUGUAAUCUCUGAAAAUGGAUAUCUUCGGGGAGCUUUCUCCAGGAGACCAAAUGAUGUAAAUUUGAUACUUAGUGAAAUACAGAGAUCUCUUUUGCUUUCUUUUUCUCUCUUCUAUUUUCUAUUUUCUUGCAAGCCAAACACCCUCUGAGGAUGUUUUCCCAGAGGAUGAGAGGCUAAACAUUUAGUUUCUUGGAGUAAAGGAAGCUAGGUGAAAAGUCCAGAUUAAAACAUGGAAAGUUUCCGUGCAUUAAAUUCAGGUAGUUGGAGUCCAUAAAUGGUUUUUAAAGCCAAGGUUUUGCCUUAAAUCCCUUCGAAUCACUUUGACUGGCCAAUACAUGGUAAGCUUAAGGUCUCUGUGGAUGCUUAUUGCUAGAUCCAUAUCAGUCCAUUAGUUAUCAUGUACGAGCCAUUGGAAAGUGAUUCAAGGUGAUAGCCCAUAGUGUCUUAAGCCAUUAAUGGACCUUGACUACCAUCUCUAGUGACUUUUUAUGGAUUAAAACUUCAUUGUCAAACCUAUACCGGUUCGGGAAAUAACUAUAGGUUAAAUCCUCAAUGUGAGGAGAAAAAUCCGGAAUUUUCCACUUUGCAUCUGGAACUUGAACCUAGCAACCUUUAUCUCCGGGAAACUUUCUUUCUUCCACUUUUUACUUAGUUCUAUGUGAGUUUAGUUUAAAUCACCACUUUCAAAACAAUUUUAUUUUCUUUUAAAUUUCAAGUUUGUGCUAAAGGAAAUCAUCAGAAUCAAUUUCUAAUUUAGAGUCUGUCACUGAUAGAGUGAAAACCCAUCCCUGAGUUCGACCCUAGAACUGCUAUACUAUAGUAGAUUUGCUACGCCAGUAUAAGGUCAUAGGUUUUAUAAAUGUUUUUUAUUAAAAGACCCGGCUGGGCAUCGAAUCACUUCGUCCAAGAAUCACAACUAUAACAGAGAGUAUGAAUCUGGCUGAAUGACUCAAGAGAGGCUCCUCGGAGUAUCAGGACAAAAUGAAAUCAUAUCAUCAACCUGAUGUGUAUUUCAAAACCGAGGGUGAUCAUGCAAAUCAGUGGGGGGUCUACGAAUCCCGAUCAAAAUGGGGGAAUAUGCCCCAGUAUGGCAUCAAAUGUGUGAUAGGUCAGAAAAACUAGAUGAGCUCAAAUCACCCGUCAUCGAAUGCGCGAUCCAAGUCAUCCAUGUCUACAACUGAAUCAAACCCAUAGAUAAAAAAGGCAUCUCCCGGAAGGAAGCAUGAUGACAUCUAAGUGUCAAAAAGUGCAGGCCUAACUGGGCAACUCCCGAGAGGCUCCCCUGAAGAAUCAUCGUAAAGAUAGUGAAUAGAUCAUCGUCUCGACAUACGUCUCGCAAAUGAGGAUAAGCGUGCAACGCCACCAAGAUCUAUAAAUCUCAUCCAGAACGGUAAUAUGCCCUAGUAUGGCAUUGAACGUAUGAUAGGUUAGAGAUCGGGCAACAUGAAAUCAUCUAUCAUCGAACAUGCGACAUCCGUGAAGAUCCAUAAAUCUCAUCUGAAAUGGAAAAUAUGCCCCAGUAUGGCAUCAAGUGCACAAUAGGUUAAAAGAACAAGUGACAUGAAAUCAUCUAUCGUCGAACAUGUAACCUCUGUGAAGAUCCGUAAAUCUCAUCUGAAACUAAAAUAUGCCCCAGUAUGGCAUCGGAUGUGUGAUAGGUCAGAAGAACAAGUGACAUGAAACCAUCUCUCAUCAAACAUGUAAUCUUGGUCAUCCGAAUCCAUAACUGAAUCAUGCCCACAGAUUCGAGAUGUACCUCUCGGAUGGAGAAGCAUGAUGGCAUCUAAGUGCCGAGAAGUGCAGGCCUAGCUGGAAGGCUCUCGAGAGGCUCCACUGAGGAAUCAUGAUAAGGUAACGAUCAUGUCCACGUCUCAGUGAGCAUCUAGUAAAUGAUGAUGAUCGUGCAAGUCCAUGAGGAUCUAUAAACCUCUAAAUGAAAUGGGAUAUGCCCUAGUAUGGCAUCAGAGGUACGAUAGGUCAAAAAUCGGGUGACACCAAAUCAUCUAUCAUCAAACGUAUGAUCCCAAUAAUCCGAACACAACUAAAUCAAACCUACACAUCAAAGAGGCGACUCCUAGAAGAAGAAGCAUAACGAUAUCUAAAUAUCAACUAGAUCUCAAACACCUGUCCAAAUAAAGGCUGUCGAAGACAACAUCUGAUCCCAUGGCCUCAGGGUGGUCUUAAGACACGAGACGUAACAUAGGCUAAGGUGAUAGGGUGAUAGAAAUGAAGGAAAACUAAGCUCAAAUACCCAAUGAUCAAAAACUCACGCCCUCAUAUAUGAAAUGCAAUAUGUAUAGUGAAUCCCAUGAGCCAUGGACCUGAGGAUGCCUAACGUGAAUAUGAUAUCGAUGAGGAGAUAAAUGAAGCAAAAUGAACUGAUAGUGAUAUGUGUAAUGAUGAUGCGAAGAGAGUAUCAAACCCGAGAUGGGUUGCUGUAAGAAAAGAAAUAAGACGUGAAGUGAAAAUGAUGAAUCCGUAGCGAAAACGACAAUGAUGAUGAAACAAAUAACACAAAGAGUAGUGAUCAACUCAAAUCAGACAUGAAGUGAAGUCACAUCAACAAUGAACGUAAUGAUGGAAAGGACAAUGACCUAGAGCUCCUAAGAGAAGGUCACUCAGCUCACUCUCAAAGAGAUGUGACAAAGCGAAUACAAAUAACAUAGGAUCUCAGAGAGCUCACAUACAAACUCUCAACAACAAACAUACUCGAUAAACAUGACCCUCAAAUAUCAAUAUACAUACUCAAUGAUCGAGAAUACUAUGCACAUACACACAUGUGCUUAUUUUUCUUUUCAUUUUCUUUUUCAUUAUCAUUUCAUUUUUUUCAUUUUUUUUUAUAACAUACAUACAGAUGCACAUACCCUGAACAUGAACAAAUGAACCCCAAGGAUGAUGUCGACAAUGGAUAGACACCAUCUCAAGUGCUAAGGUAGUAAAAACUCUCUGACGAGAUGACCUUCUCAAACUAAGGAUCUCUAAACCAAUGUCCGUGAGAUAGAUAGUGGAAAUGAUGUGACUAUCCCCCAUGCGAUGAACUGAGGAGGAUCACCACUUAGGGUGGAGAGAAUAUGGAACAAAACAAGUAGUAGAUAGGAUAAGAAGAAGAGAUGAGAUGAAAAUGCAGAGGUGCAGUGAUAGGAAAAGAUAAUGAGAGGAAUGUGCCCCUAGGUCCAAGGCUCAUGAAACUUCCAAACAAUGCAUGCAUACACUAAAGGGCCCCUAUCCCGGUGUGAAAAUGUGAGCGAGGCGAUAAGAAAUAAAGGCUAUAAUGCGCAUGGGAGGCUCAAUGGGCUAGCAAAGGACUAUAUAUCAAAAGGAAAUAACAAGGUAUAUGGCUAACCGAACUGAUGACCACCCAUCCUGCGACCAUGGUAUCAAAAAUAGUACCUCUUUAGCUGAUCCACAUUGGUCGACUCCGAGAAUCGGUUUCCAUCUAAAUCCAUCAACCAUGCAGCGCCCUCUGGGGUCAACUCCCUGAUGAAAUAAGGCCUGCUCCAAUUGGGCCUGAACUUCCCUCUAGGAUCUCUAAUCAAUCCCUUGAUGACUUUUAGAACCAAGUCACCUAUCUGUAAUGGUCUAGGCUUGACUCGUUUUUUGAAAGCACGGGCCAUCUUCCUCUGAUAUGAACGAACGUGGUUGACUGCUCUCAAUCUCCACUCAUCUAGGAGAUUGAGCUAAUCAAAUUGAGCUUGAGCCCAAUCUACCUUGAGAAUCUGCUGCUUUAGUGCCACUUUCAACGAACCCAUCUCAAUCUCAACUGGUAGCACCGCCUCCAUGUCGUAUAUCAAUGAGUAGGGUGUGGCUCCUAUAGAGGUGCGAAAAGAAGUCCGAUAUGCCCACAAUGCGAAUGGGAGCUUCUCUGACCAAUCUUGAGAAGUCUUAACCAUCCUCCAUAAUAUCCUCUUAAUAUUCUUAUUCGCGGCCUCUAUUGCCCCAUUCGUCUACGGCCUAUACGCAAACGACCUAUGAUGCCGAAUGUUGUAUCUCUGUACUAAGGCGUCAACCUUUGCUCUGAAAUGUACCCCUCUAUCUGAAAUCAACUCAUGAGGGACUCCGUAGCGACACAUAAUGUGUGAUCUGAUGAAACUAGCAACUCCAACUGAUGUCAGCCUCGCAUAUAAGGCAGCCUCCACCCACUUGGUGAAGUAAUCGAUGGCGACCAAGAUGAACUCAUGACCAUUGGAAGAUUUUGGUGAAAUAUUCCCGAUGAUGUCAAUACCCCAUACAGAAAAUGGCCAUGGCAAAGUCAGUGCAUGCAACUCCGAGGGCGGCACGUGAAUGAGAUCUCCAUGUAUCUGACACUCGGGACAUCUCUGAACAAAUUGGCAACAAUCCGUCUCCAUGGUCAACCAAAAAUAGCCAGUCCUCAUGAUCUUGCGGGCCAACAUAUGCCCUCCCAUAUGUGGUUCGCAUACUCCCGCAUGAACCUCUCUCAUCACUCUAUCGGCAAAGGCUCGAUCCAAGCACAAUAAUAACAUCCCGUCAGCUGAUCGUCUAUACAAUGUCUUGCCACAAAUCACAAAUCGGAUGGCUAACUGUCUCAAUGCCCUCAUAUCCUUGGUCGUGGCAACCUCAAGGUACACGCCAAGUCUCAGAAAGUGAUAUAUGUCAUGGUACCAAGGCAAACCAUCGUUUAUCUUCGUAUCAUCAAUUAGACAACAGUACGCAAGAGCAGAUCUCGACUCGAUCAACAAUGGGCGAACAGUGGCACCAGUAGGAAUGUCAAUCAUGGAAGACAUAGUAGCUAAGGCAUCAACAAACUGGUUCAGCGCUCUAAGCAGAUGUGUGUAUCUUAAAUCAUCAAAUCUCCCGACCAAUAGCUUUAAAUACGCGUGGUAAGGCCUAAGCUUCGCAUCUCUAGUCUUCCACUCGCUCUGAAUAUGUCUUAAUACCAGAUUGGAGUCACCAAACACCUCCAUCUAUCUAAUCCCGAGCUCGAGAGCUGUCUCUAAUCCCAAAAUACGAGCCUCAUACUCAACAAUGUUGUUCGUGGCAGGAUGUCGAUCCGAGAAUGCCAAACAAACAGAUCUGGGAAUGUGAUCUCCAUGAAGGGAUAUCAACAAGAUGCCUAUCCCGUAUCCAGAAUGGUUGGCUGCGCCAUCAAAGUACAUGCGCCAACCUGAUAACUGGUCACAGCUGCGACAUCCUCGUCUGGGAAGUCAUCAUCAAUGGCUCUGCCAUCGGAAAUCGGUAAAGAAGCUAGGUGAUCCGCGACAAUGCUCCCUCUAAUGGACUUUUGAGUGACAUAAUGGAUGUCAAAUUCAGUCAGAAGUACCAACUAUCUCAUGAGGCGACCGACCAAAGCGGGCCUAUCAAACAAAUAUCUCAAAGGAUCUAGACGAGAUAUCAAAUGCACUGAAUACUCAAUCAUAUAAUGUCUCAGUCGGCGAGUGGCCCAAAUCAAUGCCAAGCAAUAGCGCUCAAUCAUGACAUAUCUCGUCUCGUAGUCUAGCAUCCUCUUACUCAGAUAAUAAAUGGUUUGAUCCUUACCCGAAUCAUCGAGCUGAGCCAACAUGCAUCCCAACGCCACGUCUGAGACGAAUAGGUAUAGGAGUAAAGGACGACCUGGUGUAAGAGGCGCUAAGACUAGGGGUGACAACAAGUACUCUCGGAUCCUCUCAAAUGCGCGCUGACACUGAUCAUCCCAAAUAGUAGGUUGACUCUUUCUCAAGAGUCGAAAAAUGGGCUCACAGAUGUCUGUCAAUCUGGCGAUGAAUCUAUUGAUAUGCUGAAGUCUACCCAAGAAGCCUCUGACCUCUCUCUCUGUUCUUGGUGCAGGCAUGUCAAGGAUGGCUUUGAUCUUAUCCGGAUCUACCUCUAUGCCUCUCUCACUGACCAUAUACCCCAAGAGUUUCCUAGAAGUCACUCCGAAAGUGCACUUCUUAGGGUUCAGUCUCAAUCUGAACUGUCGGAUCCUCUCAAAAACCUCUCCAGAGCUGCUAGGUGAUCUGGUCUGUCUCGGGAUUUCACUAUCAUGUCGUCUACAUAAACCUCGGCAUCUCGAUGCAUCAUGUCAUAGAAGAGGGUGGUCGCCACUCUCUGAUAGGUGGCUCCUACGUUCUUCAGUCCAAAUGGCAUGACUCUAUAGCAAUAAGUACCCCACUCGGUAAUGAAGAACGUCUUCUCCAUGUCCUCUGAAGCCAUCAAGAUCUGACUGUACCCAAAAAAUCCGUCCAUAAAGGACAACAUCGAAUGACUUGCCGUACUGUCAACUAGCAUGUCGAUAUGUGGAAGAAGAAAAUCAUCCUUAGGACUGGCCUUCUUGAGAUCUCAAAAAUCAACACAAACUCUCACCUUACCGUCCUUUUUGGGAACAGGGAUGACAUUAGCCAGCCACUCCGGGUACUCGACCACUGAUAAGAAUCCUACACUGAGCUGCUCCUGAAUAUCCUCCUUGACCUGCAAGCUCCAAUGAGGAUGCAAUCGUCUCAACUUCUGCUUAACCGGUCUGGCAUGGGGCAGAAGUGGCAAACGAUGCUGGACAAUAGACGGAUCAAGGCCUGGCAUGUCCUCAUAAGACCAUGCGAAAACGUUCAAGUAUGCUCUCAACAACUGGAUGAGGCUAUCCCUCUCAUCAACAGAUAAAUUUGAUCCGGUCCUCAACUCCCUAGGCUGAUCUACUAUGCCAAAAUCAACAAUCUUUGUGUCCCCUACAGCAGGUGAAACUGUCUCAUCAACGGGAUCCGAAUCAGAAACAGAAGACGAGUCAUCGUCUGAAUCACGCUGUGCAAUCUCAUCAUCAAUGUCAAAAAUCUGUGAUGUAGGUGAAGAUGGUACGGAUAAAGCGAUAACAUGACAGAUAGGCAAAUACUCAAAGAUGCUCAAAUCCAUAAAUGAAAAGUUAUAAACAUAGUUAUGACGGGAGUCAAAUCCCGAUAAAACAUCAAAAGAAAGAGAUGGGUCCACAAAGUCGGGCGCUCCCUCAACUAGGCCAACAGGGCCAUCAAACAAACCAUCAACAACUAUAACAUCCUCAGCGAUCUCCGGAGCGGGGGCGACCUGGAUCUCCUCAACGACAGACACCCCGAAGAAAUCAAAUGGUGAAACGAGCUCAAGCGGGGCUAUCUCUUUGAUCUAGCUUAAGUUCAUCGCGAGCAUCUCAUCAACGUACUCGUCAUGUGGCGCGGCUCCAUCUACUAUGUCGCUGAUCUCGACAAAUGUCCCGUGAUCAUCGAUCUCAUCCGAGAAGCAAAACGUCAUAAGGCUCGUGCGAUCUAGGAAGGAAUGAGCGAUCAACGAAGAAGUCAAAGGGCUAAGGGCUCUGUCACUCAACCGUGAUUGCUGGACGAUGCGCUGAAGCUCGGCCUCCUGGGUGGUGCUGAGUCCUCCAAUGAUCCCAUCAGAUGGUGCAUGUGGCUCUGAUGCCCUCACAAAGUAAUAGGCUAGGUUCAUGGUGUAUGGGCGAACAGGAUAAUAAAAAAACGUAUGAGUCAGUCCAGCCUUCACCCUCUCCUUGCGCAAUCGCGUCAUAUAACGAUAAUCGACCUCAAUCGGAAUGAAUUCGAGCCCAAACGAUACGUCGUGAUCAGGGAAGGCCAAGAACUCACUAGGCUCGUGCUGACACCGCCCUAACCCCAUGCCGAGAAGAUAAGACAUGCUCCGCAUAAUAUCAAGCACCAUCGUGCUACUAUGCUGGUCGAAAGACAUGACUACAAAGUCUUAACAGAAAUCCUCCAUCUCCAGAGUCUACACCUCGUCAAAGGUGAAUCCGGUCAGAAAAAAAUCAUCAUCAGUGUGACUAAUCUCAAGUACAGGCUUGGCAGAAAUGAACAUAUCCCCCCAGACUGCACCACGAUGACCUGGCCAUCGUGAAUAAGCUUCACCUUCUGGUGAAGGGAAGAAGGAAUGGCCCCAGCUCUAUGGAUCCAUGGUCGGCCCAGAAGCAGGUUAAAGGAUGUAGGAAUCCUCAAAACCUAAAACACGGCGACAAAAAUGGUCGGACCAAUCAGUAGCUCAAUCUCUAGUGUACCCAUAACCUCCCUUCGAGUGCUAUCACACGCGCGAACAGUUGAGUGGAGGGACCGAAAUCUGAUGGUGCGUAACCGAGGGCAAUGGCGGUGGCCAGAGGACAGACGUUCAGGGCCGAGCCAUUGUCCAGAAGGACAUAUGGGACAAUGUGUAAUCCGAGCCCUCUGAUGGCAAGUCAUCAUCGGAGAAUACAAUGCAUGUGGCUCUACCGACCGUCAUCAUAUGAAUCAAUCCCUCGGGGGAGGUGGUAGUCUCGACUCUGAUCUUACUCAAAGCUCGAAUCAGAGCAUCACCGUGAGUGCUCGAGGAUGCCUACAGGCUCCAGAUGGAAAUAUGAGCCUGAGUGCUCUGUGGCUGUCUCAAAAUCUCAUCGUCCCCUGCUCUGACCUCCUUAGGAGUGGAUGUACCCUCAACUGGCCUAACUGCCACGGGAGGUGGUUGUUGCAUCACUCUACUUCCUCGGAGAAUAUACUGAACAUCUAAAGCAUGAGAAUCAUCAACAUGCGAAGCCUAAACCUCCUUAACAUUAGGGAUCAAGAUGAAUGGCGUCUGAACGUAAUAACGUGUGAAAGUCAGAGGCUCGGAAGUGGUCGCCCGUAUAGAUGCUGCCUCGAGAACUAAUCGAAAUGGAGCGGACAUCCGAGGCCCUAGAGUCACCCCACUCAUCUCAUAAAUCACAUCUGGCAUGAUGGGCUCUGGGUCUGAAUCGUCCCCACUCAACAUGUGGACGUGGUCGUCGAUCUCAUCGAAGUCCAAGAAAUGAAUACCAUCGGUUGGUGGAGGGAUUGCAUGUGUGGUGUGGGUCGAUAACGGGUUUGUGGUCACACUCGGCUGACCCAAGUGUACCAAACCCUGGUUGAUCAAAUCCUGGACGGCAUGUCUAAGAGCAGUACAACGAUCGGUCUCAUGUCCAGGCCCCUGAUGAUAUGCACAGUGCAAAUCCAUUCUGAACUGGGGUGGAAUCGGCUGAGGUGGCGGCUUGGGAGUGAGAGCUUAACAACCCUACCUUUAUGAGCUUCUGAAGAGCCUGGCUCAAUGGCAUGCCUAACUGUGAGAAUUGCCUCUGUGUCCUCAAUGCAAAUGUAGCAGAAGUCUGCUGAGCUCUAGGUCGGGGAUAAGGCGCUGUGGGUCUCGUAGUGAACAUAGCAACAUAGCAUGGCUGUCCUGCGGGUGUGUAGGAAACUGGGGGUCUCUCAAUGCCCUGGGUAGCAUAAUAAGGCAAAGCCAAAGUUUGUGGCACGUAGGACUGAUCAUAAGUCGGACGAGGCGCUCGCGGCCUAUACUGCUAAGGUGAAUAAGAAUGAUGAGUCUCGGGAAACCUUGGGACCGGCUGAUGACGUCUAGGAGGCCUCUGACUGGAAGAACUAAUGGCGCUCACAUCCACUGAUCUCUGUCCUCCAAAGGGCUUCUUCCCCUUCGAAUCAAAAGGAGAAGACUCAUACCAUAAUCCUCUAGCUAUGCCCUCCUCUAUACCGUACAAAGCCUGUACCAAAGAUCAAAAAUCUAUAUGUGGAAAUCCCAUCAAGUGCUGAGCAAAUCGAGGCUGCAAACUCCUCAUAAUCAUGCUGAUCUAGUCCCUCUCAGAUGGUCUAUCAAUGACCUGCGAAAUCUUCUCCCUCCAAUGGGAGAUAAACGAGGUGACCGACUCCUCCGGCCUCUGUCUCAAUGCCUCUAACUCCCUCCUCGAUAGGUCAACGAUAGUAUUAAAUGCAUACUGUCUCAAGAACUCUUGGGCCAGAUCAUCCCAAGUCCGACGACGUGAUACAUCCAAAGAAGCAAACCAACACUAUGCAGCGCCACUCAAGGACAUGGGGAAAAGCAUAAUCAUCUGAGCCUCGUUCAAUCCAUGAGCCCUCUUGAUCGUACUGUAAAGCCUCAAACAGAUGCGGGGGAACCCAAUCUCCAUUUAUCGCUUAAUGUCUGGCAUCCUGAACUUGGCCGGUAAACUAGCCACUGGUGCUCCAUCAAAAUCCUCCCAAGUAAUGGCUUUGUCUGAAGUCCACAACUGCCUCAACCUCUGCUCAAGCCUAUCCAUGCGAGCAUGUGGGUCCUCUGAGGUUAGAGUAGGCACGGUGAUGGGAGGCGGGGUAACCUCGCUCUGAUUAUGCAGAGUGAACGGCAUGGCCUAUGGUGCUGACUGACUGGGUGGAAGGGAUGGUGGCACUGUAGGGUCAUACUGGGCGCCAUCCUGAGGUGGGACCUACUAGGCCUGCUGCCCAUCUAUCCUCCGGCCUAGGCUAGCUAUAGCCUCCUGAAUCGAAGCCAUGACCUCAGCAAACUGAUCGACGGUAACUAUCUGUGAAUCCAUAUCUCACUUAUAUGAUCUCUGGUCUGACUGGUCCGAUACCCUGAUCAAUCUACCCCCAACUCUAAUCCAAGAAGUCGAACCCAAACCAAACGUAUCGAUACUCCUACAAUAGUGGAAAUACUAGAUAAGAUGCGGGGUAAGGGAAACUUCACAAAGAAUGUCUAUCAAAUGUGUCGAAAGGUAACCCGGAAGCAAUCAAACUGAUAUCCAGUCCUGAGCAGAUAUAUAAAAGACUACUGCGAAGGUAACUAAACCUGUCACUACUGAACUAGCUCUGAAGGCCCACAAAUGCACCCACGUGUUCGGGAAGGAAAAUUCUAAUUGAAAUGUCUAAGGCUCAAUCUACAAGGUCAAGGUGGCUCUAAAAGGAAAUAGGUGGACUUUAAAAGAUCCCUAGCAGAAGCGAUCGUACCCUCCGAUGGUACGCAACCCUCUACACGGCUCCGAAGAGACGGGCCGCUUCCAUGCAAGGUGGGCAUCACCUCAACACAUGUACUACCUCGAUAUCCAAAGGGGUUUCUUAUGGCGAAAUCACUCGAAACUCUCAACUCUCAGUGGUCAACUAGAGUGCACAAUGAGCGGUGCGGGUGCAUCCGAAAGCCCUAUGAAGCUAAAACAAAAAGAAAAAACACACUGGCUACACAAAUAUCCAUGAAACCUAGCUCAGGGCUAUACAGGUCUUCAAUGAUCGGACUUCAAUCAACAUCAAAGUGUCGAUCACCUCCAGAUGCUCCCAAACAUCGAUAUAGCCCGUCACUAGACUCUACUCCUAAUCUCUGGCUCAAUCAAAAUAACAAGCAUACAGAAGGCCUCGCACUUGCAAUAGUGAGAACCGAAAUGAAGGGAAUGACCGAGGCCAAGAGAGUUGGAGGUAAGGGGAUAGAUGUGUCACCCACAUGGACAGGCGACAUGCAAUCACGCAGAAGGAGGACAGUCAUGCAACAUGCAGUCAAGCAGAGUAUAGGAUAUAUCACUCAGGUCCACAUACAACUAUGACAAUCAGAUGAAAAGUGAUACAGACAUCAUGCUCGAAGACGAUCAAGAUAACAUACAAGCAAGAGAAUCAAUAAUGUCGAAUCAAACGCUAUGUAACAAUGAAUCCACAAAUGCAAGGCGAUCAGAACAAUCAUGACAAAAAUUAGAAUCAUUAUGCUAAGUAAAGCAAAAUAAGCAAUCAAUGUAAUCAACAUGUCAAUAUCCCAAACAAAUAUAGCAACGAAGAUGGAAGAAAUAACUAUCUCGAAAUCCUCAAUCAAGACAAAUCAAUCAACACGAUCAACAUGUCAAAUAUCUCAACAAAUAUAUCAAUGAAGCGCAAAAAGAAUCACUAUAGCAGAAUCCUCAAUCAAGAUGAUCAACCAAUACGAUCAACGUGUCAAUGUCCCAAGUGAAAACUCAGGAACUCUCAAUGUGCAAUCAAGAGACGAGUACCCACUGAUCGACUCAUCAAGCGCCACAUUUGCUUCAUCUUAAGUUCAAGCUUGACCCUCAUGAUCCCCCAGUGGAGUCUCCAUUUUGUGGACCCCGUAUUUUAGCUCAUGCGUUUUCCACUCGAUGGCGAGCUCGAUUUUUGUUUAAAAAAUGAUUUAUUUAUUAAAAAAAUGACUUGGAGUCGCCCCUUAUUUUUGUUUUAUUUUAAAAAGAGUAAACAAAAUAAGAAAGAAAACCCUAAGUGUGACUGCUUAUUUUGGAAAAGGUGGUCUGUGGAAAACUGGAUCAGGCUCGGGGGUCAGGUUACUCAUCAAGAAGGUACAGUAAAGACCGUAGCACCUCUCUAAAUCCCUAAAGUCGGGUCUCUACUAAUAAAAUGAAGUUGGCGUGGCGACCAAUAGGAAUAUCAACAGAUACUCAAAUCGACCAUGCACACAUGAGAAUCAAAACAUGUAUAGAGAAUGACUAGAAUGGGAAUGGAUGCAUACCUGGGCCACGAACGAGUAAUGCGCUAUCAUAAAAAUGGGGUCAGUGUAUAAUAAAGAGCACAAAACAUAUCACAUACGUCACCAAAUAGAAAUGAAAACUGUUCGAGGGAAAACUGGAUUUUUGAAAUUUAUUUGAAAAUUGGAGUUUUAGAGAUUAUUUGAAAAUUGGAUUUUUAGAAAUUAAAUAUAAGAAUGAGAAUUUUAGAAAUUAAAUUUAAAAGAAAUUGGAAUUUUGAAAAUUAUUUGAAAGUUUGGGAUUUUUUUUUUAGAAAUUAAAUUAUGGAAAUUGGGACUUUAAAAAUAAAAUUUUGAAAGAAAUCAGAAUUGAAAGUUAUUUGAGAAGUAGAAACUAUGAAAAUUGAAUUAUAAAAAUUGGAAAUCUUGGAAAUCGUUCGAAGAUAGAUUUUUUAGAAAUAAAUGAAUAAAAUGAUAAUAAUAAUGAUAAUAAUAAAUAAGUAACAAAAUAAAUACGAGAAUUGGAACAUUGGAAAUUGAAAAAAAUUAAGUUCGGAAAUUAGAAAAUUGGAAUUUCAGAUAACUAAAUUUGGGAAUCGGAAUUUUGAAGAAUUAUUUAAAGACGAAAUUUUAAUAAACGAAUAAGAAAUGAAUAAGUGAAUAAAUAAAUUAAUGGAAUAAUAAUAAUGACGAAAUAAUAAAGAUUAAGUAAAUAAUUGUGAAAAAUAAAAUUUUAGAUAUUGGAGAUUGAAUUUAGAGAUUGAGAAUUUGAGAAAUUAUUUAGAGAUGAGAUUUUUAAUAAAUGAAUAAGUGAAGAAAUAAAUGAAUAGAAUAAUAAUAAUGACGAAAUAAUAAAGAUUAGAUAAAUAAUUGCGAAAAAUAGAAUUCUAGAGAUUGAAAAUUGAAUUUGGAGAUUAAAAAUUUAAGAAAUUAUUUAGAGAUGAGAUUUUAAAUAUAUGAAUAAGUGAAUAAAUAAAUGAACGGGAUAAUAAUAAUAAUGAAAAGAAUCAUUUAAACAACUGAAUGUGAAUAGUGGGAUUUUUUAGAUUGGAAAUUAAAUUUGGAAAACAGGAUUAUGAAAAAUUGAACUUUAAUUAUUGGAAUUUGUAAAAUAAAUAAAUGGAAUGAUAAUAAUAAUAAUGUUUAAACGAAUGAACGUGAAUAGUGGAAUUUUUUAGAUUGAAGAUUAAAUUCGGAAGUCAGAUUUUUUAAUAAUUGAACUUUAAUGAUUUGAAUUUUUAAAAUAAAUAAAUAUGGAAUAAUAAUAAUAAUAACCAAAAUAAUGUUUAAACGAAUGAACAUGAAUAGUGAAAUUUUUAAUAUUGAAAAUUAAAUUUGAAAAUCAGAUUUUUGAAGAAUUGAACUUCAAUUAUUAGAAUUUUUAAAAUAAAUAAAUAAAUAAAUAUAGAAUAAUAAUAAUAAUAACAAAAAUAAUGUUUAAACGAAUGAACGUGAAUAGUGGAAUUUUUUAGAUUGAAAAUUAAAUUCGAAAAUCAGAUUUUUGAAGAAUUGAACUUUAAUCAUUGGAAUUUUUAAAAGAAAGAAAUAAAUAAAUAUGGAAUAAUAAUAAUGAUAAUAAAAAUAAUGUUUAAUGAAUGAAUGUGAAUAGUGAAAUUUUUUUGAGAUUGAAAAUUAAAUUCGGAAGUCAAAUUUUUGAAGAAUUGAACUUUAAUUAUUAGAAUUUUUAAAUGAAAUAAUAAUAAUGAAAAUAAUAUUUAAACAAAUGAACAUGAAUAGUGGAAUUUUUUAGAUCGAAAAUUAAAUUUGAAAGUCAGAUUUUUGAAGAAUUGAACCUUAAUGAUUUGAAUUUUUUUUAAAUAAAUAAAUAAAUAAAUAUGGAAUAAUAAUAAUAAUAAUAACAAAAAUAAUGUUUAAAUGAAUGAACGUGAAUAGUGGAAUUCUUGAGAUUGAAAAUUAAAUUUGAAAAUCAGAUUUUUGAAGAAUUGAACUUUAAUGAUUGAAAUUUUUAAAAGAAAUAAAUAAAUAUGGAAUAAUAAAAAUAAUGUUUACACGUAUGAACAUGAAUAGUGGAAUUCUUGAGAUUGAAAAAUAAAUUCGAAAAUCAGAUUUUUGAAGAAUUGAACUUUAAUGAUUGGAUUUUUUUAAAAGAAAUAAAUAAAUAAAUAUGAAAUAAUAAUAAUAACAGAAAUAAUGUUUAACGAAUGAACGUGAAUAGUGGAAUUUUUUAGAUUGAAAAUUAAAUUCGGAAGUCAGAUUUUUGAAAAAUUAAACUUUAAUUAUUGGAUUUUUUUAAAAUAAAUAAAUAAAUAAAUAAAUAUGGAAUAAUAAUAAUAACAAAAAUAAUGUUUAACGAAUGAACGUGAAUAGUAGAAUUUUUUUUAGAUUGAAAAUUAAAUUCGAAAGUCAGAUUUUUUAAGAAUUGAACAUUAAAUUUUUAAAAAAAUAUAUAAGCAAAUAAGUAAAUAGAAUAAUAAUAACAAGAAUAAUAAUUAAAUAAAUAAACAUGAAUAUUGGAAUUUAAAAAUGUGAAUUUUAGACAGUUACAUGAUAACAGAAUUUUUUUACAAGAACUAUAUUUUUAACAUAUAAAGAAGAAGAAUCAAGAGGGCCAAACACUAGGCCAAUGGGGUCUACACCUAACAAGCAACGGACUAGGUCCAUAAAAACCAAAUAGCCUUCAGUAAAGCCCAAUCAUAGAGGGCCCAAAUGAACAUUACCAAUCAAGUUCAAGGUUCAUCAUUCAUCAUUGUGAGAAAUCAAAUGUGCCAAAGAGAGGCACACAGAAGGUUCAUAAGAGUGUUUGUUCCACAUUCUAUCCCAGUCCACUAACAUGAUAAAACAACAGCAAAAACAAUAACGCAAGUCAACAAAUCUGAAUCUUCAAUCCUAAAAGGGAAACUAAAAUAAAGCCCCCGUUGAAAGCAGCUUGGUCCAUUCUCUGAAGACAAUAAACGAACAAACACAGAACUCAAAAUUUCAAGUUUGCUUAACGAACCUGUCUUCUCUCGCUGUGAUCUUCCCCUCUGGUCGUUCUCGUUCUCCUUCUCCUUCCUGUUAUGGAAUCUGCUUCAGCUCCAGGAAUCUUUUUUCUCAAUCUCCCUUUUUUCCCGCUACUUCUCGUCCUCUUCAGCCGCCCAAAUACUGCUCGCCCCCGUCCCAUCUCAUGGCCGCCCAACGCAGCCCAUUCUGUCAUCUCUGGCCGCCUCCAACGGCUGACCCUCGGGGUGGUAAAAAGAGAGAAAAAAAAUAAAAAAAAUUUCUGUCUCUAAAGGGUCUACAAAUGUAUUUAAAUAUUUGUUUGAUUCCUUAAAGAUAUUAUUUUUUAAUUAAUCAAAGCUAUUAUUUAGGAAGAUUUGAAAAUUCAUAUUUUGAUAGUCUUAAUCAUUUUAAAUAUUAUUCUUUAAUUAAAAAUAAUAUUUAAAAAGAUUUAGAAGAUUAUAUUUAAUUUAUUUCUUUAUAGGACUUGAUAAUUACCUUUUUUUAGUUAUUGAAUUUAUCAAUUUUUGUUUUUUCUAACCAUUGAGUGUGUGACUCAUGUUAUAUAGAUUUUUUGUUUAAAUAUUAUUUAAAAAAAAAAGGUAACUUACAAAAUAUUAAAGGUUCUACCAUAAAAUUGUUAACUAAAAUUUGUCUUAUCAAAAGAUGAGUUCAAUAUAAAAAAAUAAAUUUACAUUUUUCAUUGAACUCAUUUUUUAAGAGAUGAGCUUAAUAUAUAAAUACUAAACUCAUCUUUCCGAAAGAAAAGUUUGUUGAAAGAUACUAGACUUAGAUUUUCAUAAAACAAAUUCCAUGUAAAAAUGCUUGUAGACCCCCUUUGGUAGUGAGGACCCGGGAGGUUUGUUUUUUUUUGGAUUUUCAUUAUAUUGUUAGAAGGGGUAGGGGACCCCCAGCUAGAGAGGAGCAGAGACGCCAUGCUGAUGAUGAAGGUAGCCACCAGAUGGGACGUGUAGCAGGGGGCAGAGUGGCUUGCGGUGGAAGAUAGAAACAGGAGAGAAAAAGGAUAUACGAGGGGGGGAGUCUGAUGGGAGGGAGGGGGCCAUUAGAGGAAGCCAUUAGGGGAGUCACAGAGAAGGGAGCUUGCUGGUUCCAUUGAUCUUAGAGGAGAACUUACUAGAGAAGGAGAUAACAGAGAAAGAAGGCAGCUGCAGGUGAGUUUGGGGUGAGUCUCUUGCUCCCUUUUGAUUCAUAUUCUCCUCAUCCCUUUCUCAUUUUGGUUUGCUUUGCAUUGCUCAUCAGUCCGGGUUGGAUUUCAUGUUGAAUUUCAUUGAUUUUUUUGGAUCACUUGUUUGUUGUCGUUGAUCUUGCCGUUAUCCUUAUGGUUUAGUUUGGAGUUGAUGAGAUCUGUUUCUCACGUAUUUUGUGGCUCUGGCUUGAGAUCUUCCCACCUGUAUCUGCCCAUGGAUACCACCCGACAUGAGGCUUGAUACACUCAUGUUUUUCUACUUUAUUCCUUGAUUAUCUUUCCCUCGUUUUUUGUUGUUUUGGCUCCUAUAUUUGUGAUCCUUUCUAUGAAUGAAGGCCUAUACACAAAGGCUGUUUCUUGUAUUUGAUAAAACCGAUUGAGCCACCCAUGGUUUCAGAUGAAGCAGAGACGUUAACGAGAUGUAUGCUCUGUUUUUUAGGAUCUUUGUUCUUCUUUUAAUAUCUGUAAACAGAGAAGCUUGCAUGCAAAGAGUCAUCAUCCAAAACUGGCAGCGUGUUAGGCCUGAGGUUAAACAAGAGUGACAAAUGUAAGAACAGUGAGGGAAGAGAGCCAUUUUUUUCAGUCACUGGGCUGCCAUAUUUUUAUCACCGGGCUGUUGAUUUCUUUUCAUCACCGGACUGCUAUUCUUUUUCAUCACCGGGCUACUGACUUUUCUUUAUCACCGGGCUGCUCAUCCACCAUAGCAUCAACUCCAUGUCACAGCUGGUUCUUUUUCAUUCGUCGCCGCACCAACUGCACACCCCAUUUUUUUGGUACCUUCACGGCCAUUAGGUAUGUCAGCUGUUUUUUUACAUAUAUAUGCAUAAAGUUUCAGCAACAGUGAAGGCUCGGAGCAUUUUUCCAAGUAGAAUUAUUAUUAUAAUAGGGUAAGUGGUUUGACUUUAUUUACUAGCUCCAGCACACUUUUUUUGGUCUAUAUGGUCAUAUGGAUAUGGUUGCAAAGUAUGGGAUCACCUUAUUAUCCAAUGGACAAAAUUAUAAGUGGACCUUCCGGGAAGAGACUUAAAAAAAUAGGUUUGUGGGGCCUUUUCUUUCCAUUUAUUGAUUCCUCAUGUUGUGUACACGUUUUGAUGGUAAGCCACUUUUUAUUUUAUUUCAUUCUAUUAUUUUAUUAGUUUUCUUCAACUUUUGAUGCCCAAAAAUUUCAUUUUCAAAAUUUUAAUCUUAAAAUAAUAUACAAAAAAAAACUCUAGUUUUAAUUUAAUUUCUCAAAGCUCCAAUUCUAAUUUAAUUUUUCAAAAGUUCCCAUUUUUAAAAAUUUAGUUUUCAAUACUUUAACUUCCCAAACUUUAAUUAUUUUCAAAUUUUAUUUUUUAAAAAUUCUAUCAUUAGACAAUUACGAUUUUUCGACUUCCAAAUUUAAUUUUCAAUUUCAAAAAUUCAAAUAUUCACGCUUAUUCAUUUAAUCAUCAUUCUCAUUAUUAUUAUCAUUCUAUUUAUUUAUUUAUUUUAAAAUUCUAUUUUUAAACAUUUUUUUUCAAAAUUCCAAUUUCUAAAUUUAAACCCCAAUUUCUGAGAUUCCAAUUUUUAUACCAAUUCAUCUAAUCAUCAUCAUUUUGUUCAGUUGUUUAUUUUUAAAAUUCAAUCUUUAAAUAACUCUUCAAAAUUCCGAUUUCUAAUUUUAAAUUUCAGUUUCCAAAAUUUUAAUUUUCACAUCAAUUUAUUUAAUCAUCAUUAUUUUAUUUAUUCAUUUUAAAAUUCCGUUGUUAAACAAUUCUUCAAAAUUUUCGAUUUUCAAAUUUUAUUUCCAAAAUUCCCAUUCUUAAAUUCAAUUCCCAAGGCUCCAAUUAUCAGAUAAUCUUCGGGACUUCAAUUUUUAAAUAAAUUUCAAAAAUCCAGUUUUCACUCGAACAGUUUUAAUUCCACUUUGGUUUUCAAAUAAUCUUUUUUUUCUCUUAAUUUUAUAUAAGCAUGAAUGUCAUUUUCAUAAUUUCGGAACAAUGGAAUUUGUGAGAUUAAUUCAUACAAGAUCAAUCGGGCUUUGGUGGGGGUCCAACAUAUGUGAUUUCCUUAUGAUUGAUUGAUUGUUUGUUUGAUUUAAUUGUCAUACAUGAUCAAUUUUAUUCUGCUCUAUGACAUGCUCGAAAUUAUUCCUUAAUUGCGUGCUAAUUUCACUUCUUGAUAGCGCUUUAUGGAUUACUGCCCAGGUACGCAUCCACACCCGCUCGGGUCAUUUUCUGUAUGCAUGUCUAGAUUCUCACAUGUGCAUGAUCACUCUGAGUAUUCAUUGAUUCCCUCAUCAAUUGCCAUGAUUGCUUCAUUUUAUUAGUAGAGACCCGACUUUAGGGACUUAAAGGGGUGCUACGGUCCGUACCGUACCUUCCCGAUAAGUAACCUGACCCCCGAACCCGAUCCGGUUUUUCGCAAACCGCCUUUUCCAAAAUAAGGAGUCACACUUAGGGUUUUUCUUUCUUAUUUUGUUUACCCUUUUAAAAAAUAAAACAAAAAUAAGUGGCGACUCCAAGUCAUUUUUCUUAAUCAAAUAAAAAUCAAAUUUUCAAAUAAAAAUCGAGCUCACCAUCGAGUGGGAAACGCAUGAGCCGAAAUGCGGGGUCCACAAUGCUUAACUUGUUUUUUCAAAAGGCGAGGCUUAUAUGAAAAUCUAUUUUUUUUUCUUGAACUUAUUGUUCCUAAAAGGUGAGUUCAAUGUUGUUGUUGUUUUAAUUUAAUUUAAUUUUUUUUUUUUUUUACCCCACACUAUACAUUGAUAAGGAUAUACAAUCAAGUUGAGAAAGUCAAGGGAGAAAAUCAAGGGAUUUCCAAGUUUUGAAUAUUUUGGAAUAUUUGUAGUUAUACCAUUUAUUUGUAUAGUUACUCAAUUUAUUUUGUUUCCUAUUUCUUUGUAAUCAGUUUCCUAUUUUCGUGCUCAUGCAAUCUGUAUAUAUACUAACCAUAUCAAUGAGAAUCAGUAGUAAUAAUUCUUCAAUUUCUCUCUUCCAAAAAUCCUUUAUGGUAUCAGAGCAAAGGUUUUUUCUUUAAUUUUUUUUUUUUUUCCCAGCCACGUUCUUCAAUCUUCAGCAAGCCUUUCAUCCUCCUCAUUCCAAUGGCCACUGAGAAUUCUCAACUCAUCAUUCCUAAUGCCCAGGAACCCACAAAACCACUAACCAUGAUUACUAUCCAUAACUCCAUUAAACUCACACCCACCAACUAUCUUUCUUGGAAAACCCAAAUGGAAGCCAUUCUCAUCGGCUAUGAUCUACAAAAAUUCAUUGAUGGAUCCCACCCUGCUCCUCCAACCACCAUCACCACCAAUAAUGUUGUCUCUACUAACCCUGCAUACCAAACAUGGCUACGUCAAGACAAACUAUUAUUUGGAGCCCUUGUCGGCACUCUCUCAUCUACUCUAGUUCCUCUCAUCACNNNNNNNNNNNNNNNNNNNNNNNNNNNNNNNNNNNNNNNNNNNNNNNNNNNNNNNNNNNNNNNNNNNNNNNNNNNNNNNNNNNNNNNNNNNNNNNNNNNNNNNNNNNNNNNNNNNNNNNNNNNNNNNNNNNNNNNNNNNNNNNNNNNNNNNNNNNNNNNNNNNNNNNNNNNNNNNNNNNNNNNNNNNNNNNNNNNNNNNNNNNNNNNNNNNNNNNNNNNNNNNNNNNNNNNNNNNNNNNNNNNNNNNNNNNNNNNNNNNNNNNNNNNNNNNNNNNNNNNNNNNNNNNNNNNNNNNNNNNNNNNNNNNNNNNNNNNNNNNNNNNNNNNNNNNNNNNNNNNNNNNNNNNNNNNNNNNNNNNNNNNNNNNNNNNNNNNNNNNNNNNNNNNNNNNNNNNNNNNNNNNNNNNNNNNNNNNNNNNNNNNNNNNNNNNNNNNNNNNNNNNNNNNNNNNNNNNNNNNNNNNNNNNNNNNNNNNNNNNNNNNNNNNNNNNNNNNNNNNNNNNNNNNNNNNNNNNNNNNNNNNNNNNNNNNNNNNNNNNNNNNNNNNNNNNNNNNNNNNNNNNNNNNNNNNNNNNNNNNNNNNNNNNNNNNNNNNNNNNNNNNNNNNNNNNNNNNNNNNNNNNNNNNNNNNNNNNNNNNNNNNNNNNNNNNNNNNNNNNNNNNNNNNNNNNNNNNNNNNNNNNNNNNNNNNNNNNNNNNNNNNNNNNNNNNNNNNNNNNNNNNNNNNNNNNNNNNNNNNNNNNNNNNNNNNNNNNNNNNNNNNNNNNNNNNNNNNNNNNNNNNNNNNNNNNNNNNNNNNNNNNNNNNNNNNNNNNNNNNNNNNNNNNNNNNNNNNNNNNNNNNNNNNNNNNNNNNNNNNNNNNNNNNNNNNNNNNNNNNNNNNNNNNNNNNNNNNNNNNNNNNNNNNNNNNNNNNNNNNNNNNNNNNNNNNNNNNNNNNNNNNNNNNNNNNNNNNNNNNNNNNNNNNNNNNNNNNNNNNNNNNNNNNNNNNNNNNNNNNNNNNNNNNNNNNNNNNNNNNNNNNNNNNNNNNNNNNNNNNNNNNNNNNNNNNNNNNNNNNNNNNNNNNNNNNNNNNNNNNNNNNNNNNNNNNNNNNNNNNNNNNNNNNNNNNNNNNNNNNNNNNNNNNNNNNNNNNNNNNNNNNNNNNNNNNNNNNNNNNNNNNNNNNNNNNNNNNNNNNNNNNNNNNNNNNNNNNNNNNNNNNNNNNNNNNNNNNNNNNNNNNNNNNNNNNNNNNNNNNNNNNNNNNNNNNNNNNNNNNNNNNNNNNNNNNNNNNNNNNNNNNNNNNNNNNNNNNNNNNNNNNNNNNNNNNNNNNNNNNNNNNNNNNNNNNNNNNNNNNNNNNNNNNNNNNNNNNNNNNNNNNNNNNNNNNNNNNNNNNNNNNNNNNNNNNNNNNNNNNNNNNNNNNNNNNNNNNNNNNNNNNNNNNNNNNNNNNNNNNNNNNNNNNNNNNNNNNNNNNNNNNNNNNNNNNNNNNNNNNNNNNNNNNNNNNNNNNNNNNNNNNNNNNNNNNNNNNNNNNNNNNNNNNNNNNNNNNNNNNNNNNNNNNNNNNNNNNNNNNNNNNNNNNNNNNNNNNNNNNNNNNNNNNNNNNNNNNNNNNNNNNNNNNNNNNNNNNNNNNNNNNNNNNNNNNNNNNNNNNNNNNNNNNNNNNNNNNNNNNNNNNNNNNNNNNNNNNNNNNNNNNNNNNNNNNNNNNNNNNNNNNNNNNNNNNNNNNNNNNNNNNNNNNNNNNNNNNNNNNNNNNNNNNNNNNNNNNNNNNNNNNNNNNNNNNNNNNNNNNNNNNNNNNNNNNNNNNNNNNNNNNNNNNNNNNNNNNNNNNNNNNNNNNNNNNNNNNNNNNNNNNNNNNNNNNNNNNNNNNNNNNNNNNNNNNNNNNNNNNNNNNNNNNNNNNNNNNNNNNNNNNNNNNNNNNNNNNNNNNNNNNNNNNNNNNNNNNNNNNNNNNNNNNNNNNNNNNNNNNNNNNNNNNNNNNNNNNNNNNNNNNNNNNNNNNNNNNNNNNNNNNNNNNNNNNNNNNNNNNNNNNNNNNNNNNNNNNNNNNNNNNNNNNNNNNNNNNNNNNNNNNNNNNNNNNNNNNNNNNNNNNNNNNNNNNNNNNNNNNNNNNNNNNNNNNNNNNNNNNNNNNNNNNNNNNNNNNNNNNNNNNNNNNNNNNNNNNNNNNNNNNNNNNNNNNNNNNNNNNNNNNNNNNNNNNNNNNNNNNNNNNNNNNNNNNNNNNNNNNNNNNNNNNNNNNNNNNNNNNNNNNNNNNNNNNNNNNNNNNNNNNNNNNNNNNNNNNNNNNNNNNNNNNNNNNNNNNNNNNNNNNNNNNNNNNNNNNNNNNNNNNNNNNNNNNNNNNNNNNNNNNNNNNNNNNNNNNNNNNNNNNNNNNNNNNNNNNNNNNNNNNNNNNNNNNNNNNNNNNNNNNNNNNNNNNNNNNNNNNNNNNNNNNNNNNNNNNNNNNNNNNNNNNNNNNNNNNNNNNNNNNNNNNNNNNNNNNNNNNNNNNNNNNNNNNNNNNNNNNNNNNNNNNNNNNNNNNNNNNNNNNNNNNNNNNNNNNNNNNNNNNNNNNNNNNNNNNNNNNNNNNNNNNNNNNNNNNNNNNNNNNNNNNNNNNNNNNNNNNNNNNNNNNNNNNNNNNNNNNNNNNNNNNNNNNNNNNNNNNNNNNNNNNNNNNNNNNNNNNNNNNNNNNNNNNNNNNNNNNNNNNNNNNNNNNNNNNNNNNNNNNNNNNNNNNNNNNNNNNNNNNNNNNNNNNNNNNNNNNNNNNNNNNNNNNNNNNNNNNNNNNNNNNNNNNNNNNNNNNNNNNNNNNNNNNNNNNNNNNNNNNNNNNNNNNNNNNNNNNNNNNNNNNNNNNNNNNNNNNNNNNNNNNNNNNNNNNNNNNNNNNNNNNNNNNNNNNNNNNNNNNNNNNNNNNNNNNNNNNNNNNNNNNNNNNNNNNNNNNNNNNNNNNNNNNNNNNNNNNNNNNNNNNNNNNNNNNNNNNNNNNNNNNNNNNNNNNNNNNNNNNNNNNNNNNNNNNNNNNNNNNNNNNNNNNNNNNNNNNNNNNNNNNNNNNNNNNNNNNNNNNNNNNNNNNNNNNNNNNNNNNNNNNNNNNNNNNNNNNNNNNNNNNNNNNNNNNNNNNNNNNNNNNNNNNNNNNNNNNNNNNNNNNNNNNNNNNNNNNNNNNNNNNNNNNNNNNNNNNNNNNNNNNNNNNNNNNNNNNNNNNNNNNNNNNNNNNNNNNNNNNNNNNNNNNNNNNNNNNNNNNNNNNNNNNNNNNNNNNNNNNNNNNNNNNNNNNNNNNNNNNNNNNNNNNNNNNNNNNNNNNNNNNNNNNNNNNNNNNNNNNNNNNNNNNNNNNNNNNNNNNNNNNNNNNNNNNNNNNNNNNNNNNNNNNNNNNNNNNNNNNNNNNNNNNNNNNNNNNNNNNNNNNNNNNNNNNNNNNNNNNNNNNNNNNNNNNNNNNNNNNNNNNNNNNNNNNNNNNNNNNNNNNNNNNNNNNNNNNNNNNNNNNNNNNNNNNNNNNNNNNNNNNNNNNNNNNNNNNNNNNNNNNNNNNNNNNNNNNNNNNNNNNNNNNNNNNNNNNNNNNNNNNNNNNNNNNNNNNNNNNNNNNNNNNNNNNNNNNNNNNNNNNNNNNNNNNNNNNNNNNNNNNNNNNNNNNNNNNNNNNNNNNNNNNNNNNNNNNNNNNNNNNNNNNNNNNNNNNNNNNNNNNNNNNNNNNNNNNNNNNNNNNNNNNNNNNNNNNNNNNNNNNNNNNNNNNNNNNNNNNNNNNNNNNNNNNNNNNNNNNNNNNNNNNNNNNNNNNNNNNNNNNNNNNNNNNNNNNNNNNNNNNNNNNNNNNNNNNNNNNNNNNNNNNNNNNNNNNNNNNNNNNNNNNNNNNNNNNNNNNNNNNNNNNNNNNNNNNNNNNNNNNNNNNNNNNNNNNNNNNNNNNNNNNNNNNNNNNNNNNNNNNNNNNNNNNNNNNNNNNNNNNNNNNNNNNNNNNNNNNNNNNNNNNNNNNNNNNNNNNNNNNNNNNNNNNNNNNNNNNNNNNNNNNNNNNNNNNNNNNNNNNNNNNNNNNNNNNNNNNNNNNNNNNNNNNNNNNNNNNNNNNNNNNNNNNNNNNNNNNNNNNNNNNNNNNNNNNNNNNNNNNNNNNNNNNNNNNNNNNNNNNNNNNNNNNNNNNNNNNNNNNNNNNNNNNNNNNNNNNNNNNNNNNNNNNNNNNNNNNNNNNNNNNNNNNNNNNNNNNNNNNNNNNNNNNNNNNNNNNNNNNNNNNNNNNNNNNNNNNNNNNNNNNNNNNNNNNNNNNNNNNNNNNNNNNNNNNNNNNNNNNNNNNNNNNNNNNNNNNNNNNNNNNNNNNNNNNNNNNNNNNNNNNNNNNNNNNNNNNNNNNNNNNNNNNNNNNNNNNNNNNNNNNNNNNNNNNNNNNNNNNNNNNNNNNNNNNNNNNNNNNNNNNNNNNNNNNNNNNNNNNNNNNNNNNNNNNNNNNNNNNNNNNNNNNNNNNNNNNNNNNNNNNNNNNNNNNNNNNNNNNNNNNNNNNNNNNNNNNNNNNNNNNNNNNNNNNNNNNNNNNNNNNNNNNNNNNNNNNNNNNNNNNNNNNNNNNNNNNNNNNNNNNNNNNNNNNNNNNNNNNNNNNNNNNNNNNNNNNNNNNNNNNNNNNNNNNNNNNNNNNNNNNNNNNNNNNNNNNNNNNNNNNNNNNNNNNNNNNNNNNNNNNNNNNNNNNNNNNNNNNNNNNNNNNNNNNNNNNNNNNNNNNNNNNNNNNNNNNNNNNNNNNNNNNNNNNNNNNNNNNNNNNNNNNNNNNNNNNNNNNNNNNNNNNNNNNNNNNNNNNNNNNNNNNNNNNNNNNNNNNNNNNNNNNNNNNNNNNNNNNNNNNNNNNNNNNNNNNNNNNNNNNNNNNNNNNNNNNNNNNNNNNNNNNNNNNNNNNNNNNNNNNNNNNNNNNNNNNNNNNNNNNNNNNNNNNNNNNNNNNNNNNNNNNNNNNNNNNNNNNNNNNNNNNNNNNNNNNNNNNNNNNNNNNNNNNNNNNNNNNNNNNNNNNNNNNNNNNNNNNNNNNNNNNNNNNNNNNNNNNNNNNNNNNNNNNNNNNNNNNNNNNNNNNNNNNNNNNNNNNNNNNNNNNNNNNNNNNNNNNNNNNNNNNNNNNNNNNNNNNNNNNNNNNNNNNNNNNNNNNNNNNNNNNNNNNNNNNNNNNNNNNNNNNNNNNNNNNNNNNNNNNNNNNNNNNNNNNNNNNNNNNNNNNNNNNNNNNNNNNNNNNNNNNNNNNNNNNNNNNNNNNNNNNNNNNNNNNNNNNNNNNNNNNNNNNNNNNNNNNNNNNNNNNNNNNNNNNNNNNNNNNNNNNNNNNNNNNNNNNNNNNNNNNNNNNNNNNNNNNNNNNNNNNNNNNNNNNNNNNNNNNNNNNNNNNNNNNNNNNNNNNNNNNNNNNNNNNNNNNNNNNNNNNNNNNNNNNNNNNNNNNNNNNNNNNNNNNNNNNNNNNNNNNNNNNNNNNNNNNNNNNNNNNNNNNNNNNNNNNNNNNNNNNNNNNNNNNNNNNNNNNNNNNNNNNNNNNNNNNNNNNNNNNNNNNNNNNNNNNNNNNNNNNNNNNNNNNNNNNNNNNNNNNNNNNNNNNNNNNNNNNNNNNNNNNNNNNNNNNNNNNNNNNNNNNNNNNNNNNNNNNNNNNNNNNNNNNNNNNNNNNNNNNNNNNNNNNNNNNNNNNNNNNNNNNNNNNNNNNNNNNNNNNNNNNNNNNNNNNNNNNNNNNNNNNNNNNNNNNNNNNNNNNNNNNNNNNNNNNNNNNNNNNNNNNNNNNNNNNNNNNNNNNNNNNNNNNNNNNNNNNNNNNNNNNNNNNNNNNNNNNNNNNNNNNNNNNNNNNNNNNNNNNNNNNNNNNNNNNNNNNNNNNNNNNNNNNNNNNNNNNNNNNNNNNNNNNNNNNNNNNNNNNNNNNNNNNNNNNNNNNNNNNNNNNNNNNNNNNNNNNNNNNNNNNNNNNNNNNNNNNNNNNNNNNNNNNNNNNNNNNNNNNNNNNNNNNNNNNNNNNNNNNNNNNNNNNNNNNNNNNNNNNNNNNNNNNNNNNNNNNNNNNNNNNNNNNNNNNNNNNNNNNNNNNNNNNNNNNNNNNNNNNNNNNNNNNNNNNNNNNNNNNNNNNNNNNNNNNNNNNNNNNNNNNNNNNNNNNNNNNNNNNNNNNNNNNNNNNNNNNNNNNNNNNNNNNNNNNNNNNNNNNNNNNNNNNNNNNNNNNNNNNNNNNNNNNNNNNNNNNNNNNNNNNNNNNNNNNNNNNNNNNNNNNNNNNNNNNNNNNNNNNNNNNNNNNNNNNNNNNNNNNNNNNNNNNNNNNNNNNNNNNNNNNNNNNNNNNNNNNNNNNNNNNNNNNNNNNNNNNNNNNNNNNNNNNNNNNNNNNNNNNNNNNNNNNNNNNNNNNNNNNNNNNNNNNNNNNNNNNNNNNNNNNNNNNNNNNNNNNNNNNNNNNNNNNNNNNNNNNNNNNNNNNNNNNNNNNNNNNNNNNNNNNNNNNNNNNNNNNNNNNNNNNNNNNNNNNNNNNNNNNNNNNNNNNNNNNNNNNNNNNNNNNNNNNNNNNNNNNNNNNNNNNNNNNNNNNNNNNNNNNNNNNNNNNNNNNNNNNNNNNNNNNNNNNNNNNNNNNNNNNNNNNNNNNNNNNNNNNNNNNNNNNNNNNNNNNNNNNNNNNNNNNNNNNNNNNNNNNNNNNNNNNNNNNNNNNNNNNNNNNNNNNNNNNNNNNNNNNNNNNNNNNNNNNNNNNNNNNNNNNNNNNNNNNNNNNNNNNNNNNNNNNNNNNNNNNNNNNNNNNNNNNNNNNNNNNNNNNNNNNNNNNNNNNNNNNNNNNNNNNNNNNNNNNNNNNNNNNNNNNNNNNNNNNNNNNNNNNNNNNNNNNNNNNNNNNNNNNNNNNNNNNNNNNNNNNNNNNNNNNNNNNNNNNNNNNNNNNNNNNNNNNNNNNNNNNNNNNNNNNNNNNNNNNNNNNNNNNNNNNNNNNNNNNNNNNNNNNNNNNNNNNNNNNNNNNNNNNNNNNNNNNNNNNNNNNNNNNNNNNNNNNNNNNNNNNNNNNNNNNNNNNNNNNNNNNNNNNNNNNNNNNNNNNNNNNNNNNNNNNNNNNNNNNNNNNNNNNNNNNNNNNNNNNNNNNNNNNNNNNNNNNNNNNNNNNNNNNNNNNNNNNNNNNNNNNNNNNNNNNNNNNNNNNNNNNNNNNNNNNNNNNNNNNNNNNNNNNNNNNNNNNNNNNNNNNNNNNNNNNNNNNNNNNNNNNNNNNNNNNNNNNNNNNNNNNNNNNNNNNNNNNNNNNNNNNNNNNNNNNNNNNNNNNNNNNNNNNNNNNNNNNNNNNNNNNNNNNNNNNNNNNNNNNNNNNNNNNNNNNNNNNNNNNNNNNNNNNNNNNNNNNNNNNNNNNNNNNNNNNNNNNNNNNNNNNNNNNNNNNNNNNNNNNNNNNNNNNNNNNNNNNNNNNNNNNNNNNNNNNNNNNNNNNNNNNNNNNNNNNNNNNNNNNNNNNNNNNNNNNNNNNNNNNNNNNNNNNNNNNNNNNNNNNNNNNNNNNNNNNNNNNNNNNNNNNNNNNNNNNNNNNNNNNNNNNNNNNNNNNNNNNNNNNNNNNNNNNNNNNNNNNNNNNNNNNNNNNNNNNNNNNNNNNNNNNNNNNNNNNNNNNNNNNNNNNNNNNNNNNNNNNNNNNNNNNNNNNNNNNNNNNNNNNNNNNNNNNNNNNNNNNNNNNNNNNNNNNNNNNNNNNNNNNNNNNNNNNNNNNNNNNNNNNNNNNNNNNNNNNNNNNNNNNNNNNNNNNNNNNNNNNNNNNNNNNNNNNNNNNNNNNNNNNNNNNNNNNNNNNNNNNNNNNNNNNNNNNNNNNNNNNNNNNNNNNNNNNNNNNNNNNNNNNNNNNNNNNNNNNNNNNNNNNNNNNNNNNNNNNNNNNNNNNNNNNNNNNNNNNNNNNNNNNNNNNNNNNNNNNNNNNNNNNNNNNNNNNNNNNNNNNNNNNNNNNNNNNNNNNNNNNNNNNNNNNNNNNNNNNNNNNNNNNNNNNNNNNNNNNNNNNNNNNNNNNNNNNNNNNNNNNNNNNNNNNNNNNNNNNNNNNNNNNNNNNNNNNNNNNNNNNNNNNNNNNNNNNNNNNNNNNNNNNNNNNNNNNNNNNNNNNNNNNNNNNNNNNNNNNNNNNNNNNNNNNNNNNNNNNNNNNNNNNNNNNNNNNNNNNNNNNNNNNNNNNNNNNNNNNNNNNNNNNNNNNNNNNNNNNNNNNNNNNNNNNNNNNNNNNNNNNNNNNNNNNNNNNNNNNNNNNNNNNNNNNNNNNNNNNNNNNNNNNNNNNNNNNNNNNNNNNNNNNNNNNNNNNNNNNNNNNNNNNNNNNNNNNNNNNNNNNNNNNNNNNNNNNNNNNNNNNNNNNNNNNNNNNNNNNNNNNNNNNNNNNNNNNNNNNNNNNNNNNNNNNNNNNNNNNNNNNNNNNNNNNNNNNNNNNNNNNNNNNNNNNNNNNNNNNNNNNNNNNNNNNNNNNNNNNNNNNNNNNNNNNNNNNNNNNNNNNNNNNNNNNNNNNNNNNNNNNNNNNNNNNNNNNNNNNNNNNNNNNNNNNNNNNNNNNNNNNNNNNNNNNNNNNNNNNNNNNNNNNNNNNNNNNNNNNNNNNNNNNNNNNNNNNNNNNNNNNNNNNNNNNNNNNNNNNNNNNNNNNNNNNNNNNNNNNNNNNNNNNNNNNNNNNNNNNNNNNNNNNNNNNNNNNNNNNNNNNNNNNNNNNNNNNNNNNNNNNNNNNNNNNNNNNNNNNNNNNNNNNNNNNNNNNNNNNNNNNNNNNNNNNNNNNNNNNNNNNNNNNNNNNNNNNNNNNNNNNNNNNNNNNNNNNNNNNNNNNNNNNNNNNNNNNNNNNNNNNNNNNNNNNNNNNNNNNNNNNNNNNNNNNNNNNNNNNNNNNNNNNNNNNNNNNNNNNNNNNNNNNNNNNNNNNNNNNNNNNNNNNNNNNNNNNNNNNNNNNNNNNNNNNNNNNNNNNNNNNNNNNNNNNNNNNNNNNNNNNNNNNNNNNNNNNNNNNNNNNNNNNNNNNNNNNNNNNNNNNNNNNNNNNNNNNNNNNNNNNNNNNNNNNNNNNNNNNNNNNNNNNNNNNNNNNNNNNNNNNNNNNNNNNNNNNNNNNNNNNNNNNNNNNNNNNNNNNNNNNNNNNNNNNNNNNNNNNNNNNNNNNNNNNNNNNNNNNNNNNNNNNNNNNNNNNNNNNNNNNNNNNNNNNNNNNNNNNNNNNNNNNNNNNNNNNNNNNNNNNNNNNNNNNNNNNNNNNNNNNNNNNNNNNNNNNNNNNNNNNNNNNNNNNNNNNNNNNNNNNNNNNNNNNNNNNNNNNNNNNNNNNNNNNNNNNNNNNNNNNNNNNNNNNNNNNNNNNNNNNNNNNNNNNNNNNNNNNNNNNNNNNNNNNNNNNNNNNNNNNNNNNNNNNNNNNNNNNNNNNNNNNNNNNNNNNNNNNNNNNNNNNNNNNNNNNNNNNNNNNNNNNNNNNNNNNNNNNNNNNNNNNNNNNNNNNNNNNNNNNNNNNNNNNNNNNNNNNNNNNNNNNNNNNNNNNNNNNNNNNNNNNNNNNNNNNNNNNNNNNNNNNNNNNNNNNNNNNNNNNNNNNNNNNNNNNNNNNNNNNNNNNNNNNNNNNNNNNNNNNNNNNNNNNNNNNNNNNNNNNNNNNNNNNNNNNNNNNNNNNNNNNNNNNNNNNNNNNNNNNNNNNNNNNNNNNNNNNNNNNNNNNNNNNNNNNNNNNNNNNNNNNNNNNNNNNNNNNNNNNNNNNNNNNNNNNNNNNNNNNNNNNNNNNNNNNNNNNNNNNNNNNNNNNNNNNNNNNNNNNNNNNNNNNNNNNNNNNNNNNNNNNNNNNNNNNNNNNNNNNNNNNNNNNNNNNNNNNNNNNNNNNNNNNNNNNNNNNNNNNNNNNNNNNNNNNNNNNNNNNNNNNNNNNNNNNNNNNNNNNNNNNNNNNNNNNNNNNNNNNNNNNNNNNNNNNNNNNNNNNNNNNNNNNNNNNNNNNNNNNNNNNNNNNNNNNNNNNNNNNNNNNNNNNNNNNNNNNNNNNNNNNNNNNNNNNNNNNNNNNNNNNNNNNNNNNNNNNNNNNNNNNNNNNNNNNNNNNNNNNNNNNNNNNNNNNNNNNNNNNNNNNNNNNNNNNNNNNNNNNNNNNNNNNNNNNNNNNNNNNNNNNNNNNNNNNNNNNNNNNNNNNNNNNNNNNNNNNNNNNNNNNNNNNNNNNNNNNNNNNNNNNNNNNNNNNNNNNNNNNNNNNNNNNNNNNNNNNNNNNNNNNNNNNNNNNNNNNNNNNNNNNNNNNNNNNNNNNNNNNNNNNNNNNNNNNNNNNNNNNNNNNNNNNNNNNNNNNNNNNNNNNNNNNNNNNNNNNNNNNNNNNNNNNNNNNNNNNNNNNNNNNNNNNNNNNNNNNNNNNNNNNNNNNNNNNNNNNNNNNNNNNNNNNNNNNNNNNNNNNNNNNNNNNNNNNNNNNNNNNNNNNNNNNNNNNNNNNNNNNNNNNNNNNNNNNNNNNNNNNNNNNNNNNNNNNNNNNNNNNNNNNNNNNNNNNNNNNNNNNNNNNNNNNNNNNNNNNNNNNNNNNNNNNNNNNNNNNNNNNNNNNNNNNNNNNNNNNNNNNNNNNNNNNNNNNNNNNNNNNNNNNNNNNNNNNNNNNNNNNNNNNNNNNNNNNNNNNNNNNNNNNNNNNNNNNNNNNNNNNNNNNNNNNNNNNNNNNNNNNNNNNNNNNNNNNNNNNNNNNNNNNNNNNNNNNNNNNNNNNNNNNNNNNNNNNNNNNNNNNNNNNNNNNNNNNNNNNNNNNNNNNNNNNNNNNNNNNNNNNNNNNNNNNNNNNNNNNNNNNNNNNNNNNNNNNNNNNNNNNNNNNNNNNNNNNNNNNNNNNNNNNNNNNNNNNNNNNNNNNNNNNNNNNNNNNNNNNNNNNNNNNNNNNNNNNNNNNNNNNNNNNNNNNNNNNNNNNNNNNNNNNNNNNNNNNNNNNNNNNNNNNNNNNNNNNNNNNNNNNNNNNNNNNNNNNNNNNNNNNNNNNNNNNNNNNNNNNNNNNNNNNNNNNNNNNNNNNNNNNNNNNNNNNNNNNNNNNNNNNNNNNNNNNNNNNNNNNNNNNNNNNNNNNNNNNNNNNNNNNNNNNNNNNNNNNNNNNNNNNNNNNNNNNNNNNNNNNNNNNNNNNNNNNNNNNNNNNNNNNNNNNNNNNNNNNNNNNNNNNNNNNNNNNNNNNNNNNNNNNNNNNNNNNNNNNNNNNNNNNNNNNNNNNNNNNNNNNNNNNNNNNNNNNNNNNNNNNNNNNNNNNNNNNNNNNNNNNNNNNNNNNNNNNNNNNNNNNNNNNNNNNNNNNNNNNNNNNNNNNNNNNNNNNNNNNNNNNNNNNNNNNNNNNNNNNNNNNNNNNNNNNNNNNNNNNNNNNNNNNNNNNNNNNNNNNNNNNNNNNNNNNNNNNNNNNNNNNNNNNNNNNNNNNNNNNNNNNNNNNNNNNNNNNNNNNNNNNNNNNNNNNNNNNNNNNNNNNNNNNNNNNNNNNNNNNNNNNNNNNNNNNNNNNNNNNNNNNNNNNNNNNNNNNNNNNNNNNNNNNNNNNNNNNNNNNNNNNNNNNNNNNNNNNNNNNNNNNNNNNNNNNNNNNNNNNNNNNNNNNNNNNNNNNNNNNNNNNNNNNNNNNNNNNNNNNNNNNNNNNNNNNNNNNNNNNNNNNNNNNNNNNNNNNNNNNNNNNNNNNNNNNNNNNNNNNNNNNNNNNNNNNNNNNNNNNNNNNNNNNNNNNNNNNNNNNNNNNNNNNNNNNNNNNNNNNNNNNNNNNNNNNNNNNNNNNNNNNNNNNNNNNNNNNNNNNNNNNNNNNNNNNNNNNNNNNNNNNNNNNNNNNNNNNNNNNNNNNNNNNNNNNNNNNNNNNNNNNNNNNNNNNNNNNNNNNNNNNNNNNNNNNNNNNNNNNNNNNNNNNNNNNNNNNNNNNNNNNNNNNNNNNNNNNNNNNNNNNNNNNNNNNNNNNNNNNNNNNNNNNNNNNNNNNNNNNNNNNNNNNNNNNNNNNNNNNNNNNNNNNNNNNNNNNNNNNNNNNNNNNNNNNNNNNNNNNNNNNNNNNNNNNNNNNNNNNNNNNNNNNNNNNNNNNNNNNNNNNNNNNNNNNNNNNNNNNNNNNNNNNNNNNNNNNNNNNNNNNNNNNNNNNNNNNNNNNNNNNNNNNNNNNNNNNNNNNNNNNNNNNNNNNNNNNNNNNNNNNNNNNNNNNNNNNNNNNNNNNNNNNNNNNNNNNNNNNNNNNNNNNNNNNNNNNNNNNNNNNNNNNNNNNNNNNNNNNNNNNNNNNNNNNNNNNNNNNNNNNNNNNNNNNNNNNNNNNNNNNNNNNNNNNNNNNNNNNNNNNNNNNNNNNNNNNNNNNNNNNNNNNNNNNNNNNNNNNNNNNNNNNNNNNNNNNNNNNNNNNNNNNNNNNNNNNNNNNNNNNNNNNNNNNNNNNNNNNNNNNNNNNNNNNNNNNNNNNNNNNNNNNNNNNNNNNNNNNNNNNNNNNNNNNNNNNNNNNNNNNNNNNNNNNNNNNNNNNNNNNNNNNNNNNNNNNNNNNNNNNNNNNNNNNNNNNNNNNNNNNNNNNNNNNNNNNNNNNNNNNNNNNNNNNNNNNNNNNNNNNNNNNNNNNNNNNNNNNNNNNNNNNNNNNNNNNNNNNNNNNNNNNNNNNNNNNNNNNNNNNNNNNNNNNNNNNNNNNNNNNNNNNNNNNNNNNNNNNNNNNNNNNNNNNNNNNNNNNNNNNNNNNNNNNNNNNNNNNNNNNNNNNNNNNNNNNNNNNNNNNNNNNNNNNNNNNNNNNNNNNNNNNNNNNNNNNNNNNNNNNNNNNNNNNNNNNNNNNNNNNNNNNNNNNNNNNNNNNNNNNNNNNNNNNNNNNNNNNNNNNNNNNNNNNNNNNNNNNNNNNNNNNNNNNNNNNNNNNNNNNNNNNNNNNNNNNNNNNNNNNNNNNNNNNNNNNNNNNNNNNNNNNNNNNNNNNNNNNNNNNNNNNNNNNNNNNNNNNNNNNNNNNNNNNNNNNNNNNNNNNNNNNNNNNNNNNNNNNNNNNNNNNNNNNNNNNNNNNNNNNNNNNNNNNNNNNNNNNNNNNNNNNNNNNNNNNNNNNNNNNNNNNNNNNNNNNNNNNNNNNNNNNNNNNNNNNNNNNNNNNNNNNNNNNNNNNNNNNNNNNNNNNNNNNNNNNNNNNNNNNNNNNNNNNNNNNNNNNNNNNNNNNNNNNNNNNNNNNNNNNNNNNNNNNNNNNNNNNNNNNNNNNNNNNNNNNNNNNNNNNNNNNNNNNNNNNNNNNNNNNNNNNNNNNNNNNNNNNNNNNNNNNNNNNNNNNNNNNNNNNNNNNNNNNNNNNNNNNNNNNNNNNNNNNNNNNNNNNNNNNNNNNNNNNNNNNNNNNNNNNNNNNNNNNNNNNNNNNNNNNNNNNNNNNNNNNNNNNNNNNNNNNNNNNNNNNNNNNNNNNNNNNNNNNNNNNNNNNNNNNNNNNNNNNNNNNNNNNNNNNNNNNNNNNNNNNNNNNNNNNNNNNNNNNNNNNNNNNNNNNNNNNNNNNNNNNNNNNNNNNNNNNNNNNNNNNNNNNNNNNNNNNNNNNNNNNNNNNNNNNNNNNNNNNNNNNNNNNNNNNNNNNNNNNNNNNNNNNNNNNNNNNNNNNNNNNNNNNNNNNNNNNNNNNNNNNNNNNNNNNNNNNNNNNNNNNNNNNNNNNNNNNNNNNNNNNNNNNNNNNNNNNNNNNNNNNNNNNNNNNNNNNNNNNNNNNNNNNNNNNNNNNNNNNNNNNNNNNNNNNNNNNNNNNNNNNNNNNNNNNNNNNNNNNNNNNNNNNNNNNNNNNNNNNNNNNNNNNNNNNNNNNNNNNNNNNNNNNNNNNNNNNNNNNNNNNNNNNNNNNNNNNNNNNNNNNNNNNNNNNNNNNNNNNNNNNNNNNNNNNNNNNNNNNNNNNNNNNNNNNNNNNNNNNNNNNNNNNNNNNNNNNNNNNNNNNNNNNNNNNNNNNNNNNNNNNNNNNNNNNNNNNNNNNNNNNNNNNNNNNNNNNNNNNNNNNNNNNNNNNNNNNNNNNNNNNNNNNNNNNNNNNNNNNNNNNNNNNNNNNNNNNNNNNNNNNNNNNNNNNNNNNNNNNNNNNNNNNNNNNNNNNNNNNNNNNNNNNNNNNNNNNNNNNNNNNNNNNNNNNNNNNNNNNNNNNNNNNNNNNNNNNNNNNNNNNNNNNNNNNNNNNNNNNNNNNNNNNNNNNNNNNNNNNNNNNNNNNNNNNNNNNNNNNNNNNNNNNNNNNNNNNNNNNNNNNNNNNNNNNNNNNNNNNNNNNNNNNNNNNNNNNNNNNNNNNNNNNNNNNNNNNNNNNNNNNNNNNNNNNNNNNNNNNNNNNNNNNNNNNNNNNNNNNNNNNNNNNNNNNNNNNNNNNNNNNNNNNNNNNNNNNNNNNNNNNNNNNNNNNNNNNNNNNNNNNNNNNNNNNNNNNNNNNNNNNNNNNNNNNNNNNNNNNNNNNNNNNNNNNNNNNNNNUAUACAUGACAUUAUAGAUUUUAUUGAUAAGAGAUAUAUACCAUGAGACAAUGUUCAACUUAUCAUAAUUAAAUUUAAAUAUUGAUAUUUAAUUUCUUAUUAGUUCCAUGAAUCAUUAACUUAGUUUGAAUAUACAAUGGUUUCAUUCAGAAUAACUUUCUUUUUUUCACUUUAGUGGGAAGCUGAAGUUAUAAUUUCUCAAUGAUAAUUUUGGGCAAUAUAAAAAUUUUAUUAAUCAUGAAAGAACUUAUAUUAGUCAAAAUAAAGCUUUUAUAAAAAGUAAAAAAAAAAACUUAGCUUCCAUAUCUUCAUUUUAAACCAUAAGCUCUCUUAAGAAAAUUUAUUACAUAGAAGUCCUUGAGUUUAUGAAAGAGUUUUUGACUUCUCAAAAAUCAAUCCAAAUAGGAUUGAUAAAUUGUAGAUGGUUAUAAUAUAAUAUUACAGAAUAUAAAUGUUAUUUUCACUUCUAUAUUUUCCAUGGAAUUAUUUAUUUAUUUGAAUAAAGAUUUUUCCUUCGUUAUUUUUUUGUGCCUUUAAAAAAUAAAAAAAUUAUUUUAAAUCUUAGGCACGAUAAUGCUUAAGUAUUUAAUAAUUUUAAUUAGAUAAUUAAAUUUUAUUUUAUAUAUAAAAUAAUUAAUUAAAUUUUAUAUUAUAUUUUAUAUAUAUAAAUUUAAUUAAUAAUUUAAUAAUUAUAUUUAUUUAUGUUUAAAUCAAAUUAACAAUAAGUUCAAUGCAACUAGAAAAAGGUAGCAUAUAUUUAUUAUUUUAAAGUGGAUUUUGAUUUUAAAUUAUUGCAAGCGUAUUUACUUAACUAACCAAUUAGUUGAAGUUCACUUAGCUAAUCCUUUAAUUUAAUCCUGACGUUGACAAGAACCAUGCCGGCAAUAAUUAUAAAAAGAGAAAUGCAUCAAGCUAAAGCUAAUUUUAUUAAUUCGAGUUUAAUAAAUUUUAGGUGGGUGCCCUUACCUAAUCUUUAAAAUUAAUCUUCAAGUUGAUCAUAAGAACUAAGCCGACCAUAAUUAUAAAAACAAAAAAACGACAAACUAAUUCCAUCAAUUUUAUUCUCUCAAAUUUAAUAAAUUGUAAGUAAGUUCUCUUAUCUAAUGUUUUAAAUUAAUCUUGAUAUAGAUAAGAACCUUGCCAACCAUAAUUAUAAAGAGAGAGAAAUGACAAACUAAUUUAAUUGGCUAAUUUUAAAUAACUCAAGCUUAAUGAAUUGUAAGUAGGUUAAUGUCUUGCCUAACCUUUUAAAUUUAAUUUUGAGAUCAAUAAGAAUCAUAUAGGCCAUAAUUAUAAAAAGAGGAAAAACAUAAGCUAAAGGAAUACAAUCAAAACCAAUUGUAUAUGCAGAUAGUGAUUACCUUUUAAAUCUUCACAAGGUUAGAUCUUGAACAUGAUAUGUAUUUGCAUGUGGUAAUCAUAAUGAUGAUAUUAAACAAACAAUGGUAGUCAUUUUUUCAAAUCAUUAAAAAAUACAUAAUACAAUAUUAUAUAUAUAAUUGCACAUAUUAAAAGAAAAUAUAUUAAGGGUGAUAGAAGUAAGCAUAUAUCAUUCAAGUUCUUUUAUAUUCAUAAACUUCAAAAGAGUAGUAAGAUCAAUAUUCAAAAAGUAAAAUCAAAUUAUAAUUUAGUAAACUUAUUCACAAAAGCAUUGUCAACUUCAACUCUCAAGAAGCUUAUAGAUAAUAUUGGAAUGUGACAACUCAAAGAUCUUCACAUUGGGUUAAUAUGAAUAUAAUCAUGUCAACAUAAGGGGAGCACAUAAAUAAGGAUGUUUGUAACAUCCUAUGCCUCUAGGCUAGGGGCAGCCUUAUCAAUUUCACAUGUCCAUAAAAAUAAUGAAAUCACAAUCACACACAAGACAAUGAAUUUUACGUGGAAAAAUCUCAUGCUAAUAUGGAGAUACAAAACUAUAGGGUCUAAGAUCUCUAAUCUAAUAAUUCACAAUAUUAGAUCAAAGUACAUAGAUUUAUCUGAUAGCUUUACCCUAAAAACUCACUCCUACCUAUAACUUGAUUCAUGUCUCAAUGCUCUAGUGAAUUCACCUCAGCCUUUAGGAAGAUGCAAGUCCUUGUAACAAACCAAAAUUCGAUUAGUGAAUUCUUUGUUGAGAGUUUGUGAAUGAUAGAGCAAGUUGGGGUUGAUUCUAUUAAAGCAUCCAACCCAAAAACAUAUUUAGGUAAAAUAUAUAUAGGCCUAAGAUCCUAGAUGGUUGGAAAUGAAAUUUUCUUAAAAAAUAAAAUAUUAAAUUUCCAAAAUUAAUUAAGAAAAUAAUUUUUGUUUAAAAAAUAAAAUAUCAACUUCUAUAAAUUAAUUAAGAAAUUCUUAAAAAAAAAAAUCUCAAAGUUGUCAAAAAUUAAUUAAAAUAUUUUAGCUCAAUUUUAAAAUUUCAUAUCCAACUCUACCUCAAUAAAAAAAAUAACUUGCCUUUAAUAAAUAUUUUUACACUUACUUGUAACAAUAUGGUUAAAUGAGUAGUAACAUUUAAUCUUCAAUGGAGUAAAAAAAUUCCUAUACUAGAACAAAAAAGAUUUCUUACUGGAACUAAAAUCAAAUUGACAACAUCUGACAAUUAUUAUAGACUUCAAUAUAUUUUUUGAAUUUAUUUUUAAAAUUAUUUUAUAAAUAUAUUCUAUUAAGUAAAAGAGCCCCAAUAAUUGCCACCUAUCUUAGCCAUCUCUUACCUAUAAUUGCAUACAAGGGCUCUGCUUGCGGACACCUAGCUAGCCUACACCCCAUGUUUUUUCUUUUUCUUUUUUUAUUUCCCAUGAAAGAAAUGUAUAGAAUUAUGGUUAUAUUUUAUUCUAUGGCAUGUACCAAAAGAUGGAAAGAGAUCAUCAGGAAAUUGACUUUCCUUUAAUAUUAUAGAAAAUGUGAGAGCAAAAUUUUUUAUUUGGCAUGUCUCAAAUGGUAUCACAUGUGCACGCUCAAAUCUCAUUUGUUUACAUUAAAGUCUCUUUUAUUUCUUGAUCCAAUUUAUGUAUAUUUUUAUUCAAUAAUCUAAAUUUGAUCACUCUAUGGCUUAGUACUUUCCUUCUAUCUUUAGAGGCUACAAUAUUUUCAAUAACUCAACUUCCAUUUUCUUUUCAUUGUCCUGUCUCAAGAUCCAUUUCAAUGAUAUUUUUUCUCUUGAAAAGAAAAUUAGUCUAUCAUUCAUCAAAUAAUUAUAAUUUUUAUAAUAGAUAAAAAUAUUAUUAAGAACACUUAAUUGCAAAAUAUUUUAAUAAGAAGUGAAAAGGUUAUAUCUAAUUUGUUUCUCUAUCUUAAAUUUAAAUAAAUCUUUAUUGAAUUUUAAAUAGAACUUAAUCUCGUUAAGAUUAAAUUGUUUAUUUCUAUUAAUAUUUAAAUAUUCUUAAACAUUAAAUUACUUGUUCUUAUUAAUGUGUUAAUAUUGUUAUGUGUUAAACAAAUAUUAUUCUAUCCUCAAAAUAAUUAUUUGUAUCUUCUUAAUUUUUAUAAAAAGAUAAAUCUAAGGUUAUUAUAAUAUUUUUAUGUUAUACAUCUUUACGAAGAAUUUUCAAAGUCUUUGACCUUUUUUGUAUCCUUGUCAUCUAUUUAUGCUGUCUUUGAUCAUUUUUUGGAGCAUUCAAAUAUAUGUAAAAUCCAGAUUAUUAAAUAAGAAUUUUGACCGUUCAAACAUAUAUAAAAUCUAGAUUAUUAAAUAAUGAUAAAAUAAAAAUACUUAGAACUAAGUGCAAUGUUGGUGGUAGGUUUUAUAAAAUAAAAAAAAAAGGAAAGAAUUUGAAUAUCUUAUGGUACGUUUAAAAGAAAAUAAAAAAUGUGGACAUUAAAGUGGAAUGUAAACACAAUUUUAAGUAAAGUGAGAUGAUGUUAUAGCUCCUUAAUUAAUAUGGACAAAUUUUAUGGUGUAAAAAUUACAACUCUUUUAUUUAUUAAGUGAGAAGAACGACACAAUGGUGGUGUGGCCUCCCACCAAAAACUAAAAAAUGUCAAAUUAAGCACAUGAUCUGCUUGGAAGUGGAGCACUUAACCUAAAUUAUUUGUUUACAUCUUUGUAAGUUUCUCCCAUAUAUUUGUAACUUAUUUCUAUAUAUUAUUGAAGGAAAAGAUUUUGGAUCAUGCAUGUAAUCGUUAGAGAGGGUUUCCAAUCAAGAUUUAAAUUUGGUUGUUGCAUCCUUAAUGUAAGAAGUUUAAAAAACCUCGAACUAAUCUAGGUCAUUGGAUCUUAACAAUAUAUAUAUAUAUAUAAAAGAUUUUUAAAUUGUUUAAAUAAGUAUAAUUAUUUGUAAAUAAGAGUUAAGUGUAUAAAAAAACAAAUGAGCAACUACUAUGAUUACUUUAGUACAAAAUUUUCACGCAAUGACUUGUAACUUUCAAGAUAAUUAAUUGAAGUUGUUGUAACAUCACAUCAAAUCUUAAUAAUUGUGUUUAUAUUUUACUUUAAUUUUCAUUUUCAUUUGGACCCAUCACUAGCAAGGAUGAAAAUUUUCAUAUAUAUCGGCAAAAUAUCUUGGAUAUAUCGUGUAUCGGGGUGUCAAUACAAAUUUUCACUGGCCCAAUUUUUCCAUUUUUAUCGUCGAUAUAUCGAUAAUACACUAAUACUUUUCACCAAUAUAUCAAGUUGCUGCUACUAGGCCUCAGUCAAAAGUGGUAAAAAAUCAAGUUGUUGCUGAGGGGAUUUGAACCUGGCAAUAACCACUAGAGCAAGUUGCUCUUUGAUAAAAGUUAUACACCAAAUUGUAUAUAUAAGAACAUUAAAAAUUAUUUUAUUAAAUAAAUUAAUUUUAAUUAUUUUAUUUUUGCAUUUGAUUUAAUUUAUUACCAAAAAUAUAAAAAUAUAAUUUUUAUAUUUUUUAUGUAAUCUAUAUAUUUAUCAAAUAUAAAAAAUAUAAAUAUUAAAAAAAUUAUACAUAUUUUAUUAUUUAUUUGAUAUAAUUGAAUACAUUUAAAUUAAAAUUGAACCUAAUUUUAAUAUUUUGAAAUUAAACAUAUUAUCAUAUUAUUGUUGUAAAAUAAUAUUGUGCAACUUAAUAAUAAAUGUAUGCUUAUAAAAUAUAUAUAUUUUUUAUCGAUGCAUACAAUAUUAUUAUCAAAUAUGAUAAAUUAUAUAUAUAUAUAUAUAUAUAUAUAUAUAUAUAUAUAUAUAUAUAUAUAUAUAUAAAUUUUGAACAAAAUAAAUUUAAAAUGUCUAUUAUACUUUUAAAUUCAUUUUUAUGAAGUUUUUCUUAUAUUUUUAGGAGUUUUGAUAAUUUUAAGUCUAUUGAUAUUUUUUUCUAAAAUGUCUGUCGAUAUAUCUUUGAUAUAUUCAUAAAAUCAAUAUAUUAAUAUAUCCGUAAUUACCGAUAUUUUCAUAAUUCAUCAACAGCACGUUGGAAUUGACUCAAACAUUAGGAUCCAAAAGUCACCAUUGAGACAUUGCAUUGAUACAACCUAGAGAAGCUUCCAAAUGGACUGCACAUGCUAACAUGUCUUGGAGGGUUGAAAAUCAAUGGUUGUCCAAAGUUGGUGUCAUUUCCAGAGUUGGGGUUCUUGCCCAUGCUUAGACAUCUUGUUAUUGUUAGUUGUAAAGGUCUACGAUGUCUACCCAAUUAGAUGAUGGGGAUGAAGGAUGGUAGUAUUAACAGUAGCAACAUGCGUCUCUUUGAAUACUUGGAGAUAGAUACGUGCCCAUCUCUCAUUGCUUUUCCAGACGUUGAGUUACCCACCACGCUUAAGGAACUCAAGAUAUGGAGGUGUGAAAAACUGGAGUCUCUACCGAGGGGAUGAUGCACCAUGAUUCAAACACCACCACCACCACCAGUUGUGGUCUUCAUGUCUUGGUCAUUAGGGUAUGCCCAUCUCUCACAUUCUUCCCCACAGACAAGUUUCCCUCCACCCUCAAGAAACUUUAUAUUAUGAAUUGUGCACAACUGGAGUCAAUUUUAGAGAAAAUGUUAUUACAAGGGAAAAUGGAGAGAAAAAUUGACAGAUUCUCUUUUCAUUGGUUGAAAAAAUGAGCUGUAUAGAGAGCACUAAAACAGAGUAGCAAAAAUGCCUUUUAUAAUAAAAGUCAUGCAUAAGGAGUUGUAGAGCUCUGUAGAGAAAAAACAACCUAACCAACUAUUGGUUAUAACAGAAAAAAUAAAAUAAAAAUAAAAAACUAAAACUAAUAUGCUAAAAUUCCCCCUCAAGAUGGAGAAUAUAGAUCAUGAAUUCCCAUCUUGCCUAAGAGACCAUGAAAUUGACUAGGAUGGAGAGCCUUAGUAAGAAUGUUAGCAAGUUGGUUUUAAGAGGUAACAUGUAGAGUCUUGAGAAUCCCAGCUUGAAUCUUCUCUUGAAUGAUAUGACAAUCAAUCUCAAUAUGUUUGGUGCGCUCAUGGUAGACUGGGUUUGCUACAAUGUGGAGAGCAACUUGGUUGUCAUAGUAAAGAACAGUUGGCCCAUGAUGGGCUAUCUUCAAUUCGUGAAGAAGAGACAAGAGCCACAGAAUCUCACAAGUAGUGUUGGCCAUGGAUCGGUACUUAGCUUUAAUAGAUGAGCGAGAGACAAUCGGUUGUUUCUUGGAUUUCCAAGAGAUAAGGAAGGUCCCAAGAAACAGACAAAAACCAGAAAUAGAACGACGAGUGUCAGGACAAGAGGCCCAAUCAGAAUCUGUGAAGGCUUUGAGUUGCACUUUGGAAUUUGAUGAAAAGAAAAGUCCUUUGCCUGGGGUUCGCUUGAUGUACUGUAAAAAAUGAGAAAAACAGCCUGAAAAUGUGGCUUGCGAGGGGUUACUAAGAAUUGGCUGAGACGAUUCACAGAAUAGCUCAGGUCAAGACGAGUAAUAGUAAGAUAUAACAGCUUACCAAUGAGUUGCCUAUAGCUGGUAGGAUCUUCAAUCAAGUCACCAUCAUCUUGAGAUAGUUUCAAAUUAGGAUCCAUGGGAAUGGUGGUAGGUUUACAACCUAAAUGUCCAGUGUCUGAGAGCAAUUCCAACGCAUACUUGCGUUGACAAAUAGAGAUACCAACAGUAGAUUGAGCCACUUCCAAGCCUAGAAAAUAUCUUAGUGGCCCCAAGUUCUUCAUCUUAAACUUGCAGUUGAGGGCAUGCUUUAAAGUAUCCACAACAAUUUGAUCAUUACUAGCAAUAAUGAUGUCAUCAACGUUGAUAAAAAGUGUUAAGAAAGAAGUAUCUUGAUGUUUUGUGAACAAGGUGUGAUCACUGGUUGAAUGAACAAAACCUUCUAGUAACAGAGCAUUAGAGAACUUAUGGAACCAUUGACGGGAGGCCUGCUUCAAACCAUAGAUAGACUUAUGCAGCUUGCACACAACAUUAGGAGGCAAAUGUUCCCCCUUAUGGCAAGUGUAUCCAGGGGGAAGACUCAUGUAAACUUCCUCUAUAAGGUCACCAUGAAGGAAUGCAUUAGUGACAUCAAGUUGAGUGAGAGACCAGCCAUGAAUUGCAGCUAAAGAAAGCAACAUUUUAAUAGUAACUAGCUUGGCAAUAGGAGAAAAGGUAUCAAGAUAAUCAAUACCUUCUUGUUGUGUAAAUCCCUUAGCCACAAGGCAUGCUUUGUAUCUAUCCAUAAUGCCAUCAACUCGAAACUUGACUUUGUACACCUAUUUACAACCAACCGCUUGUUUGCCAAUGGGAAGAGAGCAAAUGGACCAAGUGUCAUUGCUUUCCAAUGCCUGCAAUUCAAUAUUCAUAGCAUCAUGCCACACUUGAGACUCAAUGGCUUGAGAGAAUGAUGUUGGUUCGGUUUGAGAACUAAUGGCGAGAACAAAUUCACGGUAUGGCCUGGAAAGCUUGUGGUAACUCAAGCAAGAGGAAAUAGGAUAUAGAGAAGGCUUAGAAGAAACAUGUUCAGUGAGGUAAUAGUGAUAAUCAGACAAGUAAGCUGGUUUUGUGGUGACACGACGUGGACAUAAGGUUGUUUGAAUUGGGGCUGGUGAGAAAAUGCACUCUGGACUAUAGGAAGAAGACAUGUUGGGCUAACUGUAAGAAGGCUCGGAGAUGGAUUGAAUUGGCUUAGGAAGGACAUGAUCAUUAAACAAAUCAAUAACAUCGUUGCUCAUAGCAGAAUGAGCAAACGGAAAGAGUGAUUCAUGAAAAAUGACAUUCCGAUAAAUGUAGAUCUUAUUGCUUUCUAAGUCAAGUAAUUUGUAACCCUUAUAACCAAAAGGAUAGCCAAGAAAAAUAGAAGCUCAAGCAUGAGGGGCAAACUUUGUAUGUUGGUUAGAAAGCGUGGAAGCAUAACAUAGACACCCAAAAAUGCGAAGAUGGUUGUAAGUGGGUUUGUUGUUAUUCAACAGCUCAAAUGGGGUUUUAUUGGAUAGUAAUGGAGAGGGUGUAUGAUUGAUUAAAUAAACAGCUGUCAAAACACAAUCACCCCAAUAACAAAGAGGAACACAAGAUUGAAACAAUAACGCUUGUGCCACAUUAAGUAUGUGUUGAUGUUUACGCUCUAUAAUUGAGUUUUGUUCAAGUGUAGCAACACAAGAAUGAUAAGGAAUAACACCCUUGGUACAAAAAAAAUCAUGGAAAACUAAUUUAGGGGCAUUAUUGGAACAGACAGAUUUAAUUGCAAUGUUAUAUUGAGUAGAAAUCAAAUUGAAAAAUUCAGGAAAGAUAGUGAGAACAUCAGCUUUAGCACAAAGAAGAUAUACCCAAGUAGCAUGUGUGCAGUCAUCAACAAUAGUGAGGAAAUAUGUGUCCAAUUGGUGUACUAACAUUAAAUGGUCCCCAAAUGUCAAUGUGAACUAGAUCAAAAGGAUUAGUUGACAUAUUAUUAUGUGAAACAAAAGGUAAACGUUUUUGCUUGGCCAUAUGAAAAAUUUUACAGUGAGAAGACAAAUGGGAUAAAGAAUUGGGAAUGUGUAAUUCAUUGUGAAGAAUUUGAAUUUUUACAUGAGAUGGAUGUCCAAGGCGAAAAUGCCAAAUAUCACUUUUCGACAUUACAGAAUUUGUAAAAAUUGAAUUACAAAAUUCAUUCCCUGAUUCUAGAAAAUAUAGCUUCUUUCGUCUUCUACAUUUCCCAAUCGUCAAGCCCUGAGUGAGGUCCUGAAUGACACAUGAAUUUGAAAGGAAAUUAACACUACAAUUAUGGCUAAGAGUAAGAGCACUAAUGCCGAGAAGAUUAAAAGUGAACAUGGGGACAAACAAGACAUUAUCCAAGUUCAAAGUAUCAGACAACCUCACAAAACCUACACGAUUGAUUGCAAUAGCAUGACCAUUAAGAAGAGUGACUGUAGUAUUAUGAACCAGUCUAGAAUGAGAAAACAGAGAAACAUUGCAACAGACAUGGUGGGUGGCCCUUAUGUUAAUCACCUAAGCAUCAGAAGGAACAAAAAGAUGAAAAAAAAAUUGAGUAGAACAAUUGUUACCAUAGAUUUGAGAAAUUGAAGGUUUUGAUGUCGAUGGAGACUCAAGUGGGUCGAUAGUUUGCUGUUGAAGGUGUGUGCUAAGGUAGGCAAUGAGUUGUUGAACUUGAUUCGAUGAGAGAGAGACUAGUAGUGGGGAAGAUCCCACUGUAGCAGCGGCAGCAGAAGGGAAAUAAUGAAUGCUUUUCAAUGGUUCAGUAAAUGAGCUUGGUGAAGUAGAUUGGGAUUGAAGGGGGCUUGUCUGGGCCAUUUAUGUUUGGUCUUUCCCUUUGGGCUCAUAACCUGGUGAAAAUCCAUGCAAUUUAUAACACCUAUCUACUGUAUGCCAUGUGAGCCCACAAUGGGUGCAAAUUGGGUGUUCAUGUCUAGGCUUGUUGUGAGAUGAUGUAGUAGCUACAGAAGAAGCCAGAGAAGAGGCAUUGAACACCAUGGAAUCCGAUGGAGCAGAAGACCUAGAUCCAAUAAAUCAUUGGCGUUCUUCUUGAACAACAAGAUUGAAUACUUUCACCACAGGAGGGAGCAAAUCAAGCAUCAGAAUUUGGCCUCUUGUGCUAGCAUAAGAUUCGUUCAAACCCAUUAAAAAUUGCAUCGCAUACUCCUGUUAUUGAUAAUCCAUCCAAUCUUUCAUACCUCCACAAUGGCAAAUGGGAACUAGUUGAUAGUUUUUGAGUUCAUCCCAGAGAAUCUUCAAUAAAGUAUAAUAGGUAUUAACAUCGAGCGAGUCUUGUGAGAGACCAUGUAGUUGUUGCUUGAUUUGGAAAAUCCGUGGAGCAUUGCUAUGAUGGAAGCGUUCGUGCAGAUCUGCCCAAACAGCAUGGGCACUCUCGAGAUAGAGAAGAAUAUCAACUAUCUCUUUUGAGACAGUGUUAAGGAGCUAAGAUGUGACCAUGCUAUUGCAUCGGGGCCAGAUUCUGGCUGUAGGGUAGUCGGUCAUGGGUUGCGAAAGAGUGCCAUCCAUGAAUCCGAGCUUAUUCUUUACAUUGAGAGCCAUCAGCAUGGCCCAACUCCAUGUAUUAUAGCUUGAACCAGUGAGGAGAUGCGAAACGAGCACCAAGCCUGGAUGAUCACCGCUAUGUAAGAAAAAUGGGUUAUUAGUGUUCUCCAUGAGAGAUUGAUCUGAUUGUGUUGUCGUGCUACCAGAGGUAGAGGAUGUGAGGGGCUAAAUUCUAUUAUCAUUGUUAUGCUAACCACCACGAGCCAUUUCAGUGAGCGGUAAAGGUAAGAAGCUCUGAUACCAUAUUACAAAGGAAAAUGGAGAAAAAAAUUGACAGAUUUUUCUUUCAUUGAUUGAAAAAAUGAGCUGUACAGAGAGCCCCAAAAUAGAGUAGUAAAAAUGCCUUUUAUAAUAGAAGUCACGCAUAAGGAGCUGUAGAGCUCUGUAGAGAAAAAACAACUUAACCAACUAUUGGUUAUAACAAUAAAAAUAAAAAUAAAAAUAAAAAACUAAAACUAAUAUGCUAAAAGAUGUUUCACUCCAAUAAUAGUUUACUUGAAUUUUUUAGUAUUGGAGCUAUCCUUGUUUCAAAAUCAUACCAGGUUGCCUCUACAAACUCAAAGAAUUGGAUAUUAAUAAUUGUGGGAAUAUGGAGCUGCUACCUCAUCAACUGCAAAACCUCAUUACUCUUACAUCACUUACUAUCUCUUAUUGUGAGAAUAUCAAGACGCUCCUAUCCCGAUAGGGCCUUGCCACACUUACUGUUGGUGUGGGGAAGACCUAGAGGCGUUGUAGCUCCCUGAAGUACUCGCCCCUUCAAUUAAGAACGAUGCUUCCUUCCAUUCUCCUGCAAAAGAUGUCCGGACAAGUGGUCCGGAUACACCCUUCGAAGCUUUUGUUAGUUUGGCGGUCAAGCAUAUUGGUGUUCUUGGGCGUUUCUCAGGAAUGCUUACCUCUUUUUUAUUGAGUCAUUGGGGGCCUUUUAUAGUGUCCGAAGCCCCGUCACUUUGAAGAUGGAAAGACUCUUUGACUUUCACAGUCAUGAUAGUGCUCAGAGGGUGGUAAAGCCAUCAUUUUCCUGUAAACGGCUGACAGAGAUUGUUGGGAGAUGACUUGUCAUCCCACUUGUCUUUUCAUUCUACAGGUGGUGUAAGACAGGUCAUAGCAGGUCAUCUGAAAAGACUUGGGAAUGUCCUGUUGAGUAUGUUUUUGGAGAAAUGAGUAAUGAUUGCCCGUAAAAUAUGGUCAGGGGUCCUGUUUGGGAUGACAACUACUGGGUUCGGAUUGGUCGUCUAGACAGAGGGUAGGACGUGCCAUGUGUCCAUUGGAGGAGUGCCUUAUGGAUGUCCGGACAGAGGGUAGGACGUGCCAUGUGUUCGCUUAGGGGUGGUCCCCACAAUGCCCCCCUUUUAAACUGGUUAUUUUAUCAGGAUAGAAAAAGCAGGUUAAAACAAUCCAUUUAGCCUUUUUUUUUGGAAGUUGUGUGGCACGUAGCGCCUAAGAGGGGCAGUUAUGGAGAGCCGCUGUCCUUGGGAUGAUUACCAGGCAGCGUGUCGUUUCGAGUGUAGUGCGGUUGGGUGCCUGGUCGUUUGGAGUCCCUAAGGAUUUCAUCCCAUAAAUAGGGAAUUAAUCUCCCCCCCGGUAGUACUUUUUCUUCAUUUCUACUUCAUUCUGGCGUUAACUGGGCAUUGCUCCUAAGGCUUUACUCAACGGUGCUUUCCUCACAAUCUCACGACUGGUUCACUCAGGCGACUGUGACCUAGUUCGUCUUCUUCUUGCAAACACUUGUCAGGUAUGCUCCCUGUUUCUUCCUCCUCGUCUUCUACUUCCCGUUUUCUCGAUUUUCCUUGGUUUCUGGUGCCAGUUUGCGAUUAAGGGAUGGGGGUGAUGUUUGGGGGUUUUGGUGGGUUGGGAAAUGUCCUUGUUAGAUUUUGCAGAGGGAGGAUGCAUAGUGUCGUUCAAGGGCAUCACAUUCUGUUGGCGGCGUGCCUUGCUAACUUUGGUCAGGGUUGCUUCAAGGUUAUUUUGUGCUUCGAGGCUCUGUUGAGCCCAUUGAGUAUUUUUUUCGGCCUUUCGUAUACCUGAAAAUGGCUGUGAGUCGCUUCUUAGCUAGGGUUAGGAGUUGACUAGCGGAAUUGGGGUUCCUGACUUGGGGAGGUUAUCAACUCAGGCAUGUCACCUAGCUUAGGCAUUUUGGGGUGAUGCCUUCAGGGCGGUGGGGCCAGAUAAUUAUCCUCUAACUGUGGGCAUUGCGCCAUGCAGGUUUUUCUUGGGCCCACGCUCCAACAUGCCUGCGAAAAAGGAUAUUGCUUCAUCUAACGCGGUUGGGUCAAGUGAGAAGGGCGGUUCCGGACACCCCUAUCAGGGAAAAAACAUUGAGCUCCUCAAUGAGCGGGAGUUUCGCGACCGCUUUUGUCUUCCAAACAACGUCUCCGUUCAAUUAGUGGAUGGGGAUCCCAUGUCCACAGAGAAAGUCGAAUACAACGCCAUUUAUUUCACCAAGGAGCAGUUCAAUGUAGGGCUUUUCUUUCCUCUCCUGUCUCUUUUCAAAUAGUUCCUUUAUUACACCCAAAUUCCCUCAGCCUAUAUCUAUCCCAACAUCGUCCGAUGUUGAUAGGGUGCAGCAUCCUAAAUAUGAUUUUCCAGUUGGACCUCUCCCUGUUGGAGGUUCUCUUCAUUUAUACCCUCAAAAAGGGGAAAAAGGAUAUCUUUAGUAUGUUUGCCCACAUCUCGUCCCUUCAAUUAGCGAUGGGCCUUCCUAACUUGAACAAAGGGGAAACCAAGAGACAUGUGCUUAUCAAGGGCCCAUGGGUUGGCUUGAUGGAACAUCCGAAAAGGGAUUUCCGCCCCAACUGUUCGUUGAAGAUUCCAGGUAGGGGUGGCUUCGAGUAUCCGUUCCUUGUUGAUAUUUGAUGCUUGGCUUAAUUCCAUUAGAUUUCUAACCUUCUUUGUUUUGGCUGAUGCAGGCUCAAGUAAGAUGAGCUGCUUGGUCGAGUGGGUGGAGAAGGCUUCAUUAUUCGACCUGAACAAGCUAUUCGAAAUCAUUGCCAUUGAGAAAAACCAUCACACGCUACUUUCCUUCUAGAAUCUACUUGCGGUUAUUCGGGAACCUUAGUCGUACGUCCUCAACAUCCUUUCUAGGCGGUUACCGAAAGUCGUGGUAUUCGAGGAGCACUUUGUUUUGAAGGAUCUUCCGUUCUAUGAAAAAGCUCGUGAGGUGGACGCGAAGGCUCGCUAGAAGCGUCUUGAGCAGCAAAAGGGGAAAUUGAGGAAAGCUCCCGGUGAGAAAGGUUGUGGCUCAUCGUCUACGUCUUGUCCCCCAGCUAGGAAGAAGAAAAAGAAGACUAUUGCAAAAGCGAUCAAGGUUGCAACCCCGACUCCUGAAUCUCCGUCUACUUCUAUUGCUUCAGUGUCUAGUCGAUCAAUCAGCUCCGCCCAGGCAUCUGAUGGUGACUCUAACUCAUCGAGGCUUGACCCUAGCGACCCAGGACUCGCCUUUCUGAGCAUGAGCGGGAGUCUAUAGCUCUUAAAGUUAUAAACGAUCCGGAUGAGGAAGAUGAUAUGAAUGACUUAAGAGUCGGAUUUAAAGAGAGGCAUCGCAAACUCCUGUAUGAAGCGAUUGACAUGGUCCUCCCCCAACCAAAAAAGGCUUGCCCGAAGAGAACUCAGGAGGAGCAGACCAAGGGGGUUCCUCCAGCGAUCGUGCCCCAGCCGGAUGUAGCAAGACCUAGCAGCGCUCUAGUUGCGGAGAAAGAGGCUUAAGGGAAAGAGACAGGUCUAGCUACGGGGGAGGCCCCUGGUGAUGCUGCUCCCGCCAAGGGGGUCCCAGAUGAGAAGGAUAGUCCCGCUCCUAUAACUCCUCCAAGCUGGGACGAAAUGAUGGAGAUGUUGAAGCACGUGCCGUGCUUCAUGAACUCUGAAGUUCCAUCUACAAAAAUGUCAUACUUUUUCCCUUUUACCAAGCAGAUAUCUGUGAAUGUGGGCUGCGAACCCCCCUCUUUCGUCUCAGCCCGGCUCUCCUUUGGCACUCCUGAGUCUAUUGUGUUUCGCAUUCAACAACUGCAGGAAUGAACGGUGUCGGAGACUACAGAAGUGGUAAUCCCUUUUAUCUUGCCCCUCCUUUUCAAGUAAUGCAUACUCCACCGCUUGGUACAAACUUGGCUUUUAUUAUCUCUUCUAGUUGGUAGUCGGCAUCCGCAACAUGAUGUGACAGCGCGCGCAACUUUUCAAGCAACUGGAGGUGGUAGAGGCUAUGCGGGCCUUUAUCUCCCACCACCCGGGCGACAUCGAAGAGUUGCGCGCGAAGAUGGAGCAAGUAGAAGCUGACUUGGUUGCUGCCUAGAAGGCCGUUGUGGACGGAGCCGAGACGCUGAAGCUGGUUAAGGGGGAGAAGGGGGCAAUCCGGGCUGAGACAGACCGACUAAAUGAGAAAUGAGAGGCUAUGGAGGCCAAGUACAAAGGGGCGAAACAGGAAAACUUCCAAUUAAGGAGGGAGGUGGAUGAACUUUGGCCCAGUUUCGCGGCUCAGAAGAAAGAGGUGAAAGAGUUACAAGUAGGCUUGCUCACCCAGAAGAAAGAGCUGGAGGCUGGAUUUGCCGCUCAGAAAAAGAAGUUGGAAACGGAGUACCAAAAACAAAUGGACGAAAUGUACUUUUUCGGCUACCGCUACCGUAUGAAGAAAAAUAGCAUCAUGCACAACAUUCCUUCCCUCCCUUCUGAUGACAAAGACGAGAUACCCGGAGGUCCUCCGCGAUGAGAUGACUCAACUUUUGUGUAGUUCCUCCAUAUAACUUUUUCUUUGCCAUGAAUGGUCCAACUGAUUUGUAAAGACAAUUUUCACACUUAUUUAUGAAUGCAACGUUUCUUUACUCUUUUCUCGCCCAUUGUUUCUUUUUACUGAUAAUACUGCUUAAGGUUAGAUACAUUCCAUGGACGGAAUAAAGAGGUUCCAUCUAACUUCUGUAAAUGACAAGUGAUUCUUCCCCAUUGCAGUCAUGCCAUUUGAUUUUGGCUCAGACGGGUGUUAUCAACAAAAUUUAUAAAACCUAAAUCACCUCACACUAGGGUAGCAUAGCUAACAUAGUAUAGUGGCUCUAGGAUCGUACACAGGAAUGGGUUUUCAUCAUACAGUUGAUUUGAUUUUAGUGAAGGAAAUAAAAUGGUGUUUUUCCUUAUGAAAAUUAGCUUUAAAAGAAAAUGGAAUUGUGGUUGCAAAGAUUGAUUUUUAAGUUAAGCAAAAAUAAUAAGUGAAGUUAACUACAAAGAAAAGGUCUCUUGGAGCUUUAGGUCACUAAGAUCGGGUUCCUUAGGUAAAAGAGGAGAUUCCAGAUUUUCUCCUCGCGUUGGAGACAAUAACAUAAAUGAAGGUUAUCUCCCGAACCGGUUUUGUAUUUAGCAAUUAAGACUUGAUCCAAAGGGUUCACGAAAAAUGGUAAUUGCUUCCCAUUAAUGGCUUCAGACACUAAAGACCCUCACCUUGAACCACCUUCCAAUGGCUCGUAAAUGAUAACUAAUAGACAUCCAUGGAUCUAGAAAUAAGCAUCCAUAAAAUCCGAAAAGCUUACCAAGUAUUGGUCAUUCAAGGUGAUUUUAAGGGAUUUAAAACUAAACCUUGAAAUAAAAACCAUUAAUGGUUAACACCUACUUUCAUUUAAAGCAAGGACAAUUCCUACCUUUGCAUUCAGGUUCUUCACCUAGCUUCCAUCACUCCAAGAAACGUAAAACCUAGCCACUCAUCCCUUGAGAAAUCAUCCUCAGAGGUUGUUUGGUUAGAAAAAAGAGUGAAAACAAAAUGAGAAGGAAAUGUAGAGCAAAAACUCUGUAUAUUUCUUACUACGGGGAAUUUACAAGUGUUUAAUGAAAAACAUCCAUAUUUUUACCCUCUGUCUCUCUUUUUAUAUAUGAUGUUACCUAGAAAAUAUCUAAAAAGAUAUAAAAGAAAAUAUCUAAAAAGAAAUAAAAGAAAAUAUCUAGGUUGGUUACAAGGAGAACUUAGGAAAUUACACAAAAUAUCUGAAAAUAAAAAUCUAACAGAGUCGGUGCACAAGAAGAUUUCGCAUAACAUGUAAAAUUUGGCAUGGUGUACGAAAUUUCGCACAGCCAUGCAAAACUGCUUGUUGUUGGAUUUCUUCCUUCCAUCUUUGAUUUGCUUGGCAAAGGGCUAUGAAGUGCUCCAAAGCUUGGAUUCUUCAUGUAUUUGAGCUUCAACUUGCAUUGCCAUUGAUUUCACAAGAUUCUCCCUCUUCUUGGCUUGUUUCAAUGAUAAAAAAGCUACCAAAAACACCAAAACUUGCCAAAAACUGAUUAGUAACCCUUGUUAGGUUCUUUAAUGUGCCAAUUGAGUUAAAAGGUAUUAACUACUACUCAAAAGAGUUUAAAAUAGUUAGUUUCAAGCAAUAAAAAAGUACUUUUUGAGUAGUAAUCAAUAAGCCCCGCUUUCACCUGUUUUGGAGACAAUGUAGGGCCUUCCCAAUUCGCUUGGAACUUCCGAACCCCCUUUUCAACUGUGUUUUCGAAGACUCUUUUGAGGAUGAGUCUUCCAACCUUGAAGACACGAGGUUGUGCCUUACAAUUGUAAUGAGCAGCCGCCCUUUGUUGGUAGGUGGCCAUCCGGAUGGAUGCACUUUCCCUCAUUUCAUCCGCGUAGUGUAGGUUCCUUCCGAGUUAUUGGUCUUCAUUCCUCUGACCCUGUACUGCAGUCCGAACCAUGGGCAAACCUAUUUUCGUGGUGAUGAUUGCGUCCAUUCCGUAUGCUAGAGCGAAAGGAGUGUUUCCCAUUGGUCGUCCGGGCGUCGUUCGGUAGGUCCACAAGACGUCGGGCAGCUCCUCUACCCACUUUCCUUUGGUUCGGUCCAAUCUUUUCUUUAAUGCUGAUAGUAAGGUCUUGUUCGUUGCUUCUGCCUGCCCAUUGCUUUGGGGAUACCGUGGUGUGGAGUAUAAAUUUUGGAUUUUGAGUUCUGAACAAAAAUUUCGGAAGGCAAUACUAUCAAACUGCGCGCCGUUGUCGGCUAUGAUUGCUUGAGGGAUUCCAAACCGACAAAUGAUGUUCUUCCAAACGAAUUUCGUGACGUCUUUGUCUUUGAUGCUAGCAUACGCCUCCGCCUCUACCCAUUUAUUGAAAUAAUUUGUGGCAAUGAGUAGGAAUUUCUUCUAGGCAGCUGCAACGGGCAGAGACCCCAUUAUAUCCAUCUCCCAUUGCGUGAAUGGCCAAGGGCUUGUUAUUGGGUUCAACGUUUCGGAUGGCAUAUGCGGGAUGGGCGCGUGUCUUUGGCAUUUGUCACAUUUUUUGGCAUAAGCUUCCACGUCCUGCUUCAUAGUGGGCCUGUAGUACCUCUGCGAAUGGGCACGAUGUGCUAAAGAUCAUCCUCUUGAGUGGUUGCUGCAUACGCCUUCAUGUAAUUCUGCUAGCACAUAUUGGGCUUCCAAGUGUUCUAAGCAUCUGAGGUAGGGGCUUGCAAAAGAUCAUUUGUAAAGACAUGCCCCAAUAAGGGUGAAGCGGGCAGCUUGCACACGGAUCUUAUACGCAUGCUUGGAUUCCUUAAGUAGAACGCUUGUCCGAAGGUACUCCUUUAUGACACUCGUCCAUUCCUGGCUUUCUUCGAUAGCAUUGCAAGUGGGCGAUUGUGCGAUGGAGGGAUUAGCCUGCACAUGUAUGGACAACAAUAUGGCUUCUCUUAUGGGAAGUGAGAUGGCUAUUCCCUACCAGGGCAUCAGCCCGUAUGUUGUCCGUCCGGAGGACUUUUUUGAUUGUCCACUAGUCCAAUUGCUUCAAGGUGUCGCGCACUUUUGUCAGGUAUUAGGACAUGCGCUCGUCUUUGGCUUCGUAUUCCUUCCGUACAUGUCCCACGACGAGUUGAGAAUCAUUGUAGAUUCUGAGCUUAGAGACGGAUAGUGCGAGUACGAGGUCCAAUCUGGAUAGAAUGGCUUCAUACUUGGCUUUGUUGUUUGAUGCAUGGAAUCUGAGGCGGAUGACCUGCUUUAAUUGUUUUCCAAUUGGAGAUUGUAGCAAGAGUCCCACUCCGGAUCCUAACAACCGGGAGGCUCCGUCGACCCGUAAGGUCCACCAUCCAUCCUUGUCUGAUUUUUCGCCUCGAGCGGGCUGUUAGGGAAAUUCAACCACAAAGUCAGCCAUGACUUGCCCUUUCAUGGAAAGCCUAGGUUGGUAUUCAAUCCCAUACUCGCUCAACUCUAUGGCCCAUUGCAGCAUCCUUUCGGAUAGGUCCGGCUUGUGCAGGAUGUUUCGAAGGGGCUGGUCGAUAAGUACGACUACUGGGUGAGCUUGAAAAUACAGGCAGAGCUUCUGGGCGGUGCUUCGCAAGGCUAAGGUAGUCUGUUCUAUCUUUGAAUAUAUUGUUUCUGCAUCGACCAUCGCUCUACUGAUAUAAUAAAUAGGUUUUUGCUCUUUGCAAUGUGGAUAUCAAAACAAGACAACGCUAAUCGUCUAAUCCGAUACCGCUAAAUACAUGUACGACAGCUCGCCAGGCUGAAAGCUACUUAGGAUGGGUGGUUGUGUGAGGUAAUGUUUGAUUUUCUUGAACGCACUCUGGCAGUUAUCCGUCCAUCCAGUCGCGUUGGCUUUCUUCAGCACUAGGAAGAAAUGUCACAGUUUGUUUGUGAAUCGGGCUAUGAAACGUCCUAGUGUGACGAGCUUGCUGGUGAGACGCUGCAACUCCUUUUUGUUACUAGGGGUGGGUGUUUUCAUGAUCGCCUUAAUUUGAUCCGGGUUGACUUCUAUUCCUCUUUGGGUGACCACGAACCCCAUGAAUUUGCUUGCACUUACGCCGAAGGCGUAUUUGGACGGGUUAAGCUUCAUGUCGUACCUCAUCAGCAAGUGGAAGACUUCUUGCAGGUGGUAGGUAUGUUCUUCUCUAGUUUUGCUUUUGACCACUAUGUCAUCAAUGUAUACUUCCAUCGUGCGACCAAUCAAAGGCUUGAAGAUCUUUGUCAUCAGUCUUUGGUAGGUGGUGCUAGCAUUUUUGAGUCUGAGCGGCAUGACUCUAUAACAAUAAAGUCCAUGUGGCGUUAUAAAGUCAGUUUUUUCCUCAUCCGCUAGGGCCAUAAGGAUCUGAUGGUAUCCGGAUAAGGCACCUAGAAAAAAGAGCAUCCCAUGUCCGGUAGUGGAGUCUACUAUUUGGUUUAUCCGCGUCAACGGGAAGCUAUCUUUAGGGCAUGCAUUGUUGAGGUUGGUGUAAUCAAUGCACACUCGCCACCUUUCUUCCUUUUUGGGGACUACCACCACAUUUGCCAACCAUUCCGGGUACUCAACUUCCUUGAUGAAUCUGGAGUCCAAUAACUUAUGCACCUCACUCUGAAUGAUCUUUUGUCUAUCCGGGUGAAAUCGCUUGACUUUUUACCGGACAGGUCUUGAUGAGGGCAAGAAGUUAAGCCAGUGGAAGGCAACCGAUGGGUGGAAUCCGGGCAUAUCGAAGUAGGUCCAUGCGAAAAAUUCUUGGUUUUGUUGGAGCGUCUUCUCAAUGCUCCGAGUCUCGUUGGGUUUUAAGAGGGAACUAGCAUAAGUGAGACAAUCUUUUCUUUUUGAGACUUGGAUGGUUUGCAAGGGAUCUGCCAUCGGGAGAUCUUUAUCUGUUAAGUACUGUAAUUGCUAUUGGUCGGGCGCAUUCACUUGCUCUGGGGAGGACUCGCGAUCACUGCUGAACCCGGUCUCCCGUGCUAAUCUGAUAGCAUUGUCGGGCUACCAACUGGCUGCCAUAUAAAUCAAUCUGUUCGUCUUUGGUGAGAUAGCUCACCAUCUGAUGGUACGUGGAAGGAAAAGCCUUCAUGUAGUGCAACCAGGUGCACCCCAAAAUGGCAUUGAAGGGGGAUAAAUCUUCCACCACUGAGAACUGCACAUUGAACGUGACUGGGCCUACUUGGACUGGUAGACACGUCUCAAAGGGACAUUGUUGAGGCUCCAUUGAAUCCCGACAGAACCCGCCUCGGGUUCUCUAGGUUGGAGGGCACGAGUCUCAUUUGUUUGACUACUGAUACUUGCAAGAGGUCCGCCGAGCUGCUCGGAUCGACCAAAAUCUAUCUUACGUUGAAGUCUCCAAUCCCAAGAGACAGGAUAAGGGCAUCUCGGUGUGGUUGCAAUGUCCGUAUGGGGUUUACUGGAGAAAAAAUGAUUGUCUCAUCUAUUAGGUGGGCGUUCCCGCUGGUUAAUCCAAGUCGGAUGGAGUUAACACACUCGCGGACUGAAGCGGCCCGCAGCAGCCUUUGUCUCUUUUGCUUGGAGUCGUACUCCUCAUCCAGGGGCCCACCAUGAAUGUAGUUAAUCACAACCCUAGGGGCAAUCGGAGUUGAGGGGGCUCCGGAGGCUUGACUGCGGGAUGUCUCUCCUCCUAUGGCUCCUAAGCGGAUGUACUGUUUUAGGUGUCCUGCUCUUAUGAGCUUUUCCACCAAGUAAUGGAGACUACUACACUACUCCGUAGUAUGGUCAUGCUCUUUAUGAUAAGCACAUUUCCUGCUGUGAUCUCUUUUGACUAGGUCCGUUUUGAGCGGUUUGGGCCACCUAAAGUCGAACAGCUCGCGGAUCAUUGGGAGAAGCUUUUUGUAUGACACGAUAAAGGGUGUAAGCGGGGGCGGAUCUGGCUGACGUUGCUUACCUUGUUUAAGCCGAGUGGCCUUUGCUGGCUUGAAGGUUUGAACUUUCUUGCCGCGUCGUUCCUGGCCGGCUGUCCAGUAACCAGGAUUUGUUGGGUGGCUGCGCAUACAUCAUCUUCCAGCAUUGAGUAUUUGUUCACGCAUCGGAACAGGUCGUCCAUAGUUGUGGGAGGUUUUUUGGUGAGUGAUUUGAAGAACGGUGUGCCUAGACAUAUGCUCCGCUUAAAAAUUUGGAGGAUAGUGUCCAUGCUGGAGGAUUCUACUUGUAGUACAACUUGUCCAAAUCGCUUCACGAACUCCCUCAGGGAUCACUUUCCUACAUGUGAAUGUUUUCCAGGGUGCUAAUAUUCUAUUUAUGUCACGUGGAACACAGGUAUUGUCCCACAAAGGCUUCUGAUAGAUCUCGGAAGUUAUCAACAUAAUUCAUAGGGAGUCAAUGAAACCAUGAGAGGACCUGGCCUUGGAGGCUGGGAGGGAACACCUUGUACAACAGCGCGUCGUUCCCUAUGUCAAGAGUCAUGAGUUGUCGGUAGUGCAUGAUGUGAUCAAACGGAUCACUAGACCCGUCAUACGCGAAAAUUUUUGGCACGAGAAACCCUCUUGGGGGCUCGUAAUUGAUAAUAUGAGAGCUAAAAAGCGGGAAGAGCAUGUCGUCCAAUCGCCUACUGAUGGUGUGGACAUCUUUGCAAAUGUUGUUGGGGGGAUGACUUGUCGUCCCACUUGUCUUUUCACUCUACAGGCGGCCUAGGGCAGGUCAUAGCAGGUCGUCUGAAAAGACCUAGGAAUGUCUUAUCGAGUAUGCUUUUAAUGAAAUGAGUAAUGAUUGCCCGCGAAAUAUGGUCAGGGAUCCUAUUUGGGACAACAACUAUCGGGUUCGGACUGGUCGCCCGGACAGAGGGUAGGACGUGCCACGUGUUCGCUUAGGAGUGGUCCCUACACUUACCUCUCUUAAAAAACUCACCAUUGCUAGCAUAUUUCCACAAGUUUCAAAUGCUCAAAGACUAUCGCGUCUUUCUACAACCCUCACCUUUCUUUGCAUUAAAGAUUUCUAGAAUCCGAAAUCUCUGUCCUCCCUAGCUCUCCAAACCCUUACCUCACUUGAAGAGUUAUGGAUCUUAUGUUGCCCUAAGCUUUAGUUGUUUUGCCCAAGGGAAGGGCUGCUUGACACUCUUUCACUACUAUAUAUCAUAGACUGCCUACUUCUCAAACAAAGGUGCUCAAAGGGGAAAGGACAAGAUUAGCCCAACAUCGCCCACAUUCCCUAUGUGGAAAUGGAUAAUGAAAAUGUCUUUGAGCAAUAAUAAGAUGAGGGAUUGCAGAACAUAGAAGCAAACACCAUUCAACCCUCACCCAUCUUUUAUUUAAACAAGGUACACCUGUUCUUUCUUUUUCACUCCUUAAUACCGCAUUCAAUUUCUCAUAUACAUUAUAGCAGUUUCCUUAUGAUUACUUGUAAGUUUCUUACUGGAAUUUUUGUUGAAAAUUUGCCUAGGAAGUGACUUUUGAAAUGGCUUGUAGCUUGGUUUUCUCUUCAAUCUGCCAUAAUUCUAGGUAUCACUGUCUCUACCUUUCCAAUUCUAUUUAUAAAAUCUUGUCCAUAAUCUCCUUGGGGUACUCACUUUUCCUUUUCCUUUGUUCUUUUUAGUUCUCAAUGACCAUUGAAGUUGAAGAGGUGAUAUGUGAUACUUAUGACUAUAAAAAGGAUAAGAGAGAAUCCAUUUAUUCCAUUCAAGGACAGGUGAAACAUUUAGCAAUAGCCACUAGUUAGUAAUGUCUUAUUCUGAUUUUUAUUCCAUCAGUUGUACUAUUCAAUUGCAUUUUUAAAUAUAAUAUUCUGAUUUCCAGAAUAGUGUUCAGACUGACAUACAAAGGAGGCUAUAUUAGAAGCAAAUGUAGUUUAUUAAUAUUCAAUUGUUGUGGUAAUUAGAUGGCUUUAUCAAUUCCUUUGUGUAGCCAUGAUUUUUUUAGUUCAACUUAUUAGAUGUCAUCAUAACUACUAUACAGUGUCUUGUCAUCUUGUUAUCAAAUUUUUACAUUUAUGAUGCAGGUUCUCAAAGAGGAUGGAACUCCGAUUAUUAUAUCAAAGACUUCAAAGUAUGGAUGAAUGCAGCUAGUUCCGAUUGUCCCAUGUUGCUCUUUUUUUAUUUUAUUAUUUUUGAGUGUCAACAUAGGACAAAGAAUAACCCAGCAAGACUAUAGUGAGUGACCGUCAUCUAUAUAUUUUGUUUAUUUAUUUUUCUAUUUUAAUGACUAAUUUUCUUGAAUUUUCUUCUUGUCCACUGGAUAUUCAUUCCCAACAUGCAGUUCUUCCUCUUUCUCUCCUUAAUACCACUUUUUAUUUCCCAUACACAUGUUAUUUCAAUUUGUUGCCAUUUAGCUUGGCUACCUCUUAACAGUAAUAAUAAGUCUUACAGUUUUUAUGUACCAAAUUGUUUACAUUGAUGAUGCAAGUGUCAAAAGGAUGGGUUCAAAGUAUCAUAGGAGGUACAUGUGGUCUUUUUAUUGUGCUGACUUAUUAGAAUUUUCCUCCUAUAUCAAAGGCUCGUUGGCACUUUAUUACCAUUUUUUAGUAUGAUAAAAAGAGGAUAAAAUACAAUCUAGCAAAAUUGUGGUCGAUGACUUUCAUUUAUAUAGUUGAUUCUACAUAUGAUUGUGUUCUAAGGACUAUCUUUGUAAAAUUUUCUUCCUUUUAUUUAUGAUAGAUUCUACAGUGCUUUAUAAAGGUCCUCUGAAUCAAGAUUUCAUCUGCAUCUUUAAUAAAUAAGAACCUAUUUUCUUCCCCUCUUGGAGAAGUUGCUCAUAACACUAUAUGAUCUUUAUAUAUCCUUUGAAAGUUGAGAACCAUCCAAUGCAUGAAACUUGUCUUUCACAAGAAACCAAGUGGUCUUUUCUUUGUGACCGUGAUAGCCCAAAACUACCUAAUGGAAUUACAACUUGUAUUUGUUCUAAUGUAUCCAACUUGUUUCCAAAUUGUGAGCUACUAUCAUAUUUACAUACGCCUAGUAGUAUAGAUUUGAGCAAAAACAAAAUUAUUUUGCGUCCAAUUUCUAAAGUUUUUAAUUUGAUGAAACUAUAUGUCUUCUUUUGGAGUUUGUAGGUUUUAAAGGUGCAUGUCCUAGGUGCCAGAGUAUAAGUAUUUUUCUUCUUAUUGAAGGGAAUUUGGGUUUUACAUUUAGAGGCUCCAAGUCUAUAGUGAUUGUGGCAAAUGCCUGUUGCACUUGUUAUUUUUGUUUCUAUUGUUGAUGUUGAGGGUGUAGAAAGGGGAUAAACAAAAGCAUAACAAGAUCAUGGUGUGUUACGAUUUUUAUUUUACAAUUUUAUUGGUCUUUUUAGAUUCCUAUUUUUACUGAUUUUUUUUUUUCUAAAUUUUCUAUGUUUAUGACUUGAGGUGUUCCCUAAACACUUGCUACAGAGAGGAUUUUGGCACCAGAAUUAUCCUUGGACAUUGCUUAGUUCACUUGUCUUCCAUAGAUAUGAACCUAUUUUUUGUGCCAUUUUGGAGAAGCUACCAGUAAAACUGAAUAGUCACACAUCUCUUGAAAAGUUGAGAAUCACACAUUUCUUUGGGCUCAUUCUGAGGAUUGGUUUGUCAUCCAUGCUAUUAAGUCUUAUGCUCAGUUGUUGUGAUGGUUUGAAAUUACUCUCUGAUGAAACUAUGACCUAUAUAAAUAACUGCUUGCAUUUGUUUUACAUAGAUGAAUUGCUUGUCUUUUUGCAUUAUUUUGCAGAAAGGAUUUUAUGAGCACUACUAUGUUUUUUUUUCAUAUCCUUUUAUAUUGAUGCAUUUCAUAUUACUCCUUUUAUGUGGAUGCGCAAUGCUGAUCAACUCUCCUCCUUUUGGAUGUCUUUCUAACCAUUGUUAGGAUUCAUUAAAAAUUACCUUUAUCAAACCUACGGAAUUUUUCAAGUUAGUUAUAACUUGUACAAACCUUAUGUAACUCGAAAUGCUUUAUUUUUAAAACAGUCCAUGCCUAUUGGCAACUUACAUGUUUUUCACUACAUUUUUUUUCAACGAGGAAAUGAGGCAUUUUUCUUUAGUAGUAUAUUGUGAUUCACAAAGUAUAAACUCUUGCAGAUUGAAAGAAAGACAAUUUACAUAUCAUUCAACAGUAAUCAGUAAGCACUUUUAUAUGUUUAUAGCUUCUUCUUAUACGGUUUGUCUUUUAUGGCAUUUACUCUUUUGUUAUUCACAUAAAAAAAACACCUGAUUUACCUUUCAAAUAUAAAAUCCAGUUAUGCAGGAAGGCCAUAAAUUGAAUAUGAUAAGAUGGGAAAUGUGUUUCAUGACAACUUUGUGUUCUUGCAUUAUAAGGUUUAGUAAUUGUGUGUAGUUCUACAAUAAACAACAUUCUAUUGACUUUGGAUUUGGAAUUUAACUCUAAUGAGCAUUUACUUAUUUUUCAUACAUUUUUUAGGAAUCCUGUCAAUGAGAUUUUGCUUACAAAAAACUAGAGGUUUGUUAACUCUCCUAUAAUCAGAGACUAGUUCUCUUGCAUAAAUUUCAAGCAAAUUUAUAACCCUCUUCUUUGACAGUCUUUUAUAUUGGAAUUAAACAUCUUGGUGUCUUUGAAUUAUUUAAAUAUUGGAAGCCAAUUAAGGAGUCAUGCAAUGGCAUAUUGUGAAACUUGAUACACAUAAAAAUAAGAUCUAUUAUGUUAUUUUUCUCGCUAAAGAAUCAAAACAUAUGCUUUUGAUUUUGAAUGUUUCAGACUUCAUGUCUUCUCUUUCAUUUACGAUACUGUCGUUGGUGAACAGGGAAUGUUGUCAAGAAUUUUGGAGCUUGACCAUCUGGCCUUUUCCAAUUCCUUAGAGAUUGGUAAUAAUCCAACGAUCAAUUGUUUUCCCAAAGUGGCUUAUGCUAGCAUAAGAAGAUGUGAAAUUAUCAGUGACCAUUCAUUGUAAAGAAAUCUUGUUAUUAUGGCAGGAUAAUAGACAGUAAUACAGUCUCAAAAUUUUGGGACUUCGGCAUCAACACCUUUCUAAGACUCAGAUUUGUAAAUGGAAUGAUGCAAGACAUCAACACAUUCGUAGAAUUCUUUAAGAAUUCUGUAACCGAAUCAAGGUAAUUCUCAAUUCCCUUGUCUUUAUUAGAUGAAUAAUACUUGUUUAUAUAUACAAUUGAGAGUCCUGAAUUAGGAAGGUAUUAUCCCUAAGGAAACAAUCAAAUUAUGGUAUGUACAGAUAUAUACAGCUAACACUCCCCCUCAAGCUGGAGCAUAGAUGUUGAUCAUGCCCAGCUUGUUACAAAAGUACUCAACUCGAGUUCCAUUUAGAGCUUUUGUAAAAAUAUCCCCAAGUUGCUCUCCAGUCUUCACAUAGCCAGUAGAGACUAGAUUUUCCUCAAUCUUUUCACGAAUGAAGUGACAAUCGACCUCAAUGUGUUUGGUUCUUUCAUGAUAGACUGGGUUCGCAGCAAUAUGAAGAGCGGCUUGAUUGUCACACCAAAGCUUUGCUGGCAUUGUGCACUUCAUUCCCACUUCACAUAAGAGUUGAUGUAUCCAUAUGAUUUCACAAGUAGCCUGUGCCAUGGCCCUGUACUCAGAUUCUGCACUCGAACGGGAUACAACACUCUGCUUCUUACUUUUCCAAGCCACUAGAUUCCCGCCAAAGAAUACACAAUAACCUGUAGUGGAUCUUCUAUCAAACUUAGAACCUGCCCAAUCCGCAUCAGAAAAACACUCAAUGCGAGUGUGUCCCUGACUACUAUAUAGUAUGCCUAGACCAGGAGCCUUCUUUAGGUAGCACAAAAUCUGCUCUAAAGCCGCCCAAUGCUUUAUUGUAGGCGCAGAUGUGAACUGACUAACAACAUUUACUGCAUAUGCAAUAUCUGGUCGCGUCACGGUGAGAUAAUUCAGCUUCCCAACCACUCUCCGAUACCUUUCAGGGUUGUAGAAGGGAUCUCCAUCAUCUGGCAUAAGUUGUACAUUAGGAACCAUCGGGGUAGUACAUGGCUUUGCUUCUAUCUUACCGGUCUCUUUAAGCAGAUCAAGCACAUACUUCCUUUGUGAUAAGAACAUCCCUUUCUUGCUCCUUGAUACUUCUAUUCCCAGGAAAUACUUCAGUUCACCCAAGUCCUUUGUAUGAAACUUGGAAUGCAUGAAUGUCUUAAGAUCAGAGAUUCCUGCAUGAUCAUUUCCUGUAAUAACUAUAUCAUCGACAUAGACACAGAGUAUGAUACCAGCAGCUGAUUUCUNNNNNNNNNNNNNNNNNNNNNNNNNNNNNNNNNNNNNNNNNNNNNNNNNNNNNNNNNNNNNNNNNNNNNNNNNNNNNNNNNNNNNNNNNNNNNNNNNNNNNNNNNNNNNNNNNNNNNNNNNNNNNNNNNNNNNNNNNNNNNNNNNNNNNNNNNNNNNNNNNNNNNNNNNNNNNNNNNNNNNNNNNNNNNNNNNNNNNNNNNNNNNNNNNNNNNNNNNNNNNNNNNNNNNNNNNNNNNNNNNNNNNNNNNNNNNNNNNNNNNNNNNNNNNNNNNNNNNNNNNNNNNNNNNNNNNNNNNNNNNNNNNNNNNNNNNNNNNNNNNNNNNNNNNNNNNNNNNNNNNNNNNNNNNNNNNNNNNNNNNNNNNNNNNNNNNNNNNNNNNNNNNNNNNNNNNNNNNNNNNNNNNNNNNNNNNNNNNNNNNNNNNNNNNNNNNNNNNNNNNNNNNNNNNNNNNNNNNNNNNNNNNNNNNNNNNNNNNNNNNNNNNNNNNNNNNNNNNNNNNNNNNNNNNNNNNNNNNNNNNNNNNNNNNNNNNNNNNNNNNNNNNNNNNNNNNNNNNNNNNNNNNNNNNNNNNNNNNNNNNNNNNNNNNNNNNNNNNNNNNNNNNNNNNNNNNNNNNNNNNNNNNNNNNNNNNNNNNNNNNNNNNNNNNNNNNNNNNNNNNNNNNNNNNNNNNNNNNNNNNNNNNNNNNNNNNNNNNNNNNNNNNNNNNNNNNNNNNNNNNNNNNNNNNNNNNNNNNNNNNNNNNNNNNNNNNNNNNNNNNNNNNNNNNNNNNNNNNNNNNNNNNNNNNNNNNNNNNNNNNNNNNNNNNNNNNNNNNNNNNNNNNNNNNNNNNNNNNNNNNNNNNNNNNNNNNNNNNNNNNNNNNNNNNNNNNNNNNNNNNNNNNNNNNNNNNNNNNNNNNNNNNNNNNNNNNNNNNNNNNNNNNNNNNNNNNNNNNNNNNNNNNNNNNNNNNNNNNNNNNNNNNNNNNNNNNNNNNNNNNNNNNNNNNNNNNNNNNNNNNNNNNNNNNNNNNNNNNNNNNNNNNNNNNNNNNNNNNNNNNNNNNNNNNNNNNNNNNNNNNNNNNNNNNNNNNNNNNNNNNNNNNNNNNNNNNNNNNNNNNNNNNNNNNNNNNNNNNNNNNNNNNNNNNNNNNNNNNNNNNNNNNNNNNNNNNNNNNNNNNNNNNNNNNNNNNNNNNNNNNNNNNNNNNNNNNNNNNNNNNNNNNNNNNNNNNNNNNNNNNNNNNNNNNNNNNNNNNNNNNNNNNNNNNNNNNNNNNNNNNNNNNNNNNNNNNNNNNNNNNNNNNNNNNNNNNNNNNNNNNNNNNNNNNNNNNNNNNNNNNNNNNNNNNNNNNNNNNNNNNNNNNNNNNNNNNNNNNNNNNNNNNNNNNNNNNNNNNNNNNNNNNNNNNNNNNNNNNNNNNNNNNNNNNNNNNNNNNNNNNNNNNNNNNNNNNNNNNNNNNNNNNNNNNNNNNNNNNNNNNNNNNNNNNNNNNNNNNNNNNNNNNNNNNNNNNNNNNNNNNNNNNNNNNNNNNNNNNNNNNNNNNNNNNNNNNNNNNNNNNNNNNNNNNNNNNNNNNNNNNNNNNNNNNNNNNNNNNNNNNNNNNNNNNNNNNNNNNNNNNNNNNNNNNNNNNNNNNNNNNNNNNNNNNNNNNNNNNNNNNNNNNNNNNNNNNNNNNNNNNNNNNNNNNNNNNNNNNNNNNNNNNNNNNNNNNNNNNNNNNNNNNNNNNNNNNNNNNNNNNNNNNNNNNNNNNNNNNNNNNNNNNNNNNNNNNNNNNNNNNNNNNNNNNNNNNNNNNNNNNNNNNNNNNNNNNNNNNNNNNNNNNNNNNNNNNNNNNNNNNNNNNNNNNNNNNNNNNNNNNNNNNNNNNNNNNNNNNNNNNNNNNNNNNNNNNNNNNNNNNNNNNNNNNNNNNNNNNNNNNNNNNNNNNNNNNNNNNNNNNNNNNNNNNNNNNNNNNNNNNNNNNNNNNNNNNNNNNNNNNNNNNNNNNNNNNNNNNNNNNNNNNNNNNNNNNNNNNNNNNNNNNNNNNNNNNNNNNNNNNNNNNNNNNNNNNNNNNNNNNNNNNNNNNNNNNNNNNNNNNNNNNNNNNNNNNNNNNNNNNNNNNNNNNNNNNNNNNNNNNNNNNNNNNNNNNNNNNNNNNNNNNNNNNNNNNNNNNNNNNNNNNNNNNNNNNNNNNNNNNNNNNNNNNNNNNNNNNNNNNNNNNNNNNNNNNNNNNNNNNNNNNNNNNNNNNNNNNNNNNNNNNNNNNNNNNNNNNNNNNNNNNNNNNNNNNNNNNNNNNNNNNNNNNNNNNNNNNNNNNNNNNNNNNNNNNNNNNNNNNNNNNNNNNNNNNNNNNNNNNNNNNNNNNNNNNNNNNNNNNNNNNNNNNNNNNNNNNNNNNNNNNNNNNNNNNNNNNNNNNNNNNNNNNNNNNNNNNNNNNNNNNNNNNNNNNNNNNNNNNNNNNNNNNNNNNNNNNNNNNNNNNNNNNNNNNNNNNNNNNNNNNNNNNNNNNNNNNNNNNNNNNNNNNNNNNNNNNNNNNNNNNNNNNNNNNNNNNNNNNNNNNNNNNNNNNNNNNNNNNNNNNNNNNNNNNNNNNNNNNNNNNNNNNNNNNNNNNNNNNNNNNNNNNNNNNNNNNNNNNNNNNNNNNNNNNNNNNNNNNNNNNNNNNNNNNNNNNNNNNNNNNNNNNNNNNNNNNNNNNNNNNNNNNNNNNNNNNNNNNNNNNNNNNNNNNNNNNNNNNNNNNNNNNNNNNNNNNNNNNNNNNNNNNNNNNNNNNNNNNNNNNNNNNNNNNNNNNNNNNNNNNNNNNNNNNNNNNNNNNNNNNNNNNNNNNNNNNNNNNNNNNNNNNNNNNNNNNNNNNNNNNNNNNNNNNNNNNNNNNNNNNNNNNNNNNNNNNNNNNNNNNNNNNNNNNNNNNNNNNNNNNNNNNNNNNNNNNNNNNNNNNNNNNNNNNNNNNNNNNNNNNNNNNNNNNNNNNNNNNNNNNNNNNNNNNNNNNNNNNNNNNNNNNNNNNNNNNNNNNNNNNNNNNNNNNNNNNNNNNNNNNNNNNNNNNNNNNNNNNNNNNNNNNNNNNNNNNNNNNNNNNNNNNNNNNNNNNNNNNNNNNNNNNNNNNNNNNNNNNNNNNNNNNNNNNNNNNNNNNNNNNNNNNNNNNNNNNNNNNNNNNNNNNNNNNNNNNNNNNNNNNNNNNNNNNNNNNNNNNNNNNNNNNNNNNNNNNNNNNNNNNNNNNNNNNNNNNNNNNNNNNNNNNNNNNNNNNNNNNNNNNNNNNNNNNNNNNNNNNNNNNNNNNNNNNNNNNNNNNNNNNNNNNNNNNNNNNNNNNNNNNNNNNNNNNNNNNNNNNNNNNNNNNNNNNNNNNNNNNNNNNNNNNNNNNNNNNNNNNNNNNNNNNNNNNNNNNNNNNNNNNNNNNNNNNNNNNNNNNNNNNNNNNNNNNNNNNNNNNNNNNNNNNNNNNNNNNNNNNNNNNNNNNNNNNNNNNNNNNNNNNNNNNNNNNNNNNNNNNNNNNNNNNNNNNNNNNNNNNNNNNNNNNNNNNNNNNNNNNNNNNNNNNNNNNNNNNNNNNNNNNNNNNNNNNNNNNNNNNNNNNNNNNNNNNNNNNNNNNNNNNNNNNNNNNNNNNNNNNNNNNNNNNNNNNNNNNNNNNNNNNNNNNNNNNNNNNNNNNNNNNNNNNNNNNNNNNNNNNNNNNNNNNNNNNNNNNNNNNNNNNNNNNNNNNNNNNNNNNNNNNNNNNNNNNNNNNNNNNNNNNNNNNNNNNNNNNNNNNNNNNNNNNNNNNNNNNNNNNNNNNNNNNNNNNNNNNNNNNNNNNNNNNNNNNNNNNNNNNNNNNNNNNNNNNNNNNNNNNNNNNNNNNNNNNNNNNNNNNNNNNNNNNNNNNNNNNNNNNNNNNNNNNNNNNNNNNNNNNNNNNNNNNNNNNNNNNNNNNNNNNNNNNNNNNNNNNNNNNNNNNNNNNNNNNNNNNNNNNNNNNNNNNNNNNNNNNNNNNNNNNNNNNNNNNNNNNNNNNNNNNNNNNNNNNNNNNNNNNNNNNNNNNNNNNNNNNNNNNNNNNNNNNNNNNNNNNNNNNNNNNNNNNNNNNNNNNNNNNNNNNNNNNNNNNNNNNNNNNNNNNNNNNNNNNNNNNNNNNNNNNNNNNNNNNNNNNNNNNNNNNNNNNNNNNNNNNNNNNNNNNNNNNNNNNNNNNNNNNNNNNNNNNNNNNNNNNNNNNNNNNNNNNNNNNNNNNNNNNNNNNNNNNNNNNNNNNNNNNNNNNNNNNNNNNNNNNNNNNNNNNNNNNNNNNNNNNNNNNNNNNNNNNNNNNNNNNNNNNNNNNNNNNNNNNNNNNNNNNNNNNNNNNNNNNNNNNNNNNNNNNNNNNNNNNNNNNNNNNNNNNNNNNNNNNNNNNNNNNNNNNNNNNNNNNNNNNNNNNNNNNNNNNNNNNNNNNNNNNNNNNNNNNNNNNNNNNNNNNNNNNNNNNNNNNNNNNNNNNNNNNNNNNNNNNNNNNNNNNNNNNNNNNNNNNNNNNNNNNNNNNNNNNNNNNNNNNNNNNNNNNNNNNNNNNNNNNNNNNNNNNNNNNNNNNNNNNNNNNNNNNNNNNNNNNNNNNNNNNNNNNNNNNNNNNNNNNNNNNNNNNNNNNNNNNNNNNNNNNNNNNNNNNNNNNNNNNNNNNNNNNNNNNNNNNNNNNNNNNNNNNNNNNNNNNNNNNNNNNNNNNNNNNNNNNNNNNNNNNNNNNNNNNNNNNNNNNNNNNNNNNNNNNNNNNNNNNNNNNNNNNNNNNNNNNNNNNNNNNNNNNNNNNNNNNNNNNNNNNNNNNNNNNNNNNNNNNNNNNNNNNNNNNNNNNNNNNNNNNNNNNNNNNNNNNNNNNNNNNNNNNNNNNNNNNNNNNNNNNNNNNNNNNNNNNNNNNNNNNNNNNNNNNNNNNNNNNNNNNNNNNNNNNNNNNNNNNNNNNNNNNNNNNNNNNNNNNNNNNNNNNNNNNNNNNNNNNNNNNNNNNNNNNNNNNNNNNNNNNNNNNNNNNNNNNNNNNNNNNNNNNNNNNNNNNNNNNNNNNNNNNNNNNNNNNNNNNNNNNNNNNNNNNNNNNNNNNNNNNNNNNNNNNNNNNNNNNNNNNNNNNNNNNNNNNNNNNNNNNNNNNNNNNNNNNNNNNNNNNNNNNNNNNNNNNNNNNNNNNNNNNNNNNNNNNNNNNNNNNNNNNNNNNNNNNNNNNNNNNNNNNNNNNNNNNNNNNNNNNNNNNNNNNNNNNNNNNNNNNNNNNNNNNNNNNNNNNNNNNNNNNNNNNNNNNNNNNNNNNNNNNNNNNNNNNNNNNNNNNNNNNNNNNNNNNNNNNNNNNNNNNNNNNNNNNNNNNNNNNNNNNNNNNNNNNNNNNNNNNNNNNNNNNNNNNNNNNNNNNNNNNNNNNNNNNNNNNNNNNNNNNNNNNNNNNNNNNNNNNNNNNNNNNNNNNNNNNNNNNNNNNNNNNNNNNNNNNNNNNNNNNNNNNNNNNNNNNNNNNNNNNNNNNNNNNNNNNNNNNNNNNNNNNNNNNNNNNNNNNNNNNNNNNNNNNNNNNNNNNNNNNNNNNNNNNNNNNNNNNNNNNNNNNNNNNNNNNNNNNNNNNNNNNNNNNNNNNNNNNNNNNNNNNNNNNNNNNNNNNNNNNNACUCAGCAGACCAACGAUAUCACUAUUAAUAGAGUUUUUCAUCUGCAGAAAUAACCGUGCAUCAUCUUGCAUCCAAAGUUUUCUAGUGUGAUCAUUAGGAGGUUCCUCAGUCAAGUGGUCAUCUUUAGCAACACUUCUCAAAUAAAUUUUGAUAGUCUUGCUCCAUUCAAUAUAAUUAGACCCAUUUAAUUUGUGUUCAGUUAUUUUUGACACAAUAGGCACUAUAUCAGCAACAGAAUUCUUACUCUCUUCCAUGACAAUAAAAUUUAAUCUUCAAAGCAAUCAGCCAGACCAGAAAUUGCAAUUUACCACUCCAAGAAGAAAAAAACAAAUACCUCUCUUACAAGGUGACAAAAGGGUAAAAGGGUCAAAAGCGUGCGUCAAACCCUUGACUCCCUCUCUUUCUCACCCUGAAAGUCGUGAGUCGUGGCGACCAAGGCGGGCGAAGAAACUCAGAUCGGUCCGGCAGCACGAGCCGGAGACAGAGCAGGGCUGCUGACAAACGUGGGUCGUGUGUCGGGCCCGAGAAGAAUGGAGGCCGGGGCUUUCAAUGAUCUCGGACGACGCCGACUGGUUGAUUUCUGGCGUGGAUUUGGGCGCAAACACGGUGCUGCCGAUGAGGAAAGGCGUCGUGCUGAGUUUUCGGUGGGGGGCUUAGGGUUCCGGCCGAGGUGAAGACCGCGUUGACGGAGAACGGGGCGAAGAGAAGGCGUGAGAGGGUGGCGGGAUCUGAGAAGAAGGCGACAGCGAUUCCACAGUCGUCGAUGAAUCUUUGCGAUCCCUCGACAGUUGAUCGAACACCGGAUGAGAAACGUCGGAAAGUCAGAUCGAGAGAUGUGAAACGUCGGGACGUCAAAUCGGUGAAGAAACGGCGGCCUCAAGCAAUCCCACGCUCCGGAAACGAGAAUGCGCUCCUCCCUGGGUCGGCGGUGACGCAAUCCAGACCAAACACGUAACAGGUUACUGUUCCAGAUUGUUAGGAACAAAACCCAAAACCCAGAAAAUUCCCUUGAACCAAACGUGGCUCUGAUACCAUGUAACCGAAUCAAGGUAAUUCUCAAUUCCCUUGUCUUUAUUAGAUGAAUAAUACUUGUUUAUAUAUACAAUUGAGAGUCCUGAAUUAGGAAGGUAUUAUCCCUAAGGAAACAAUCAAAUUAUGGUAUGUACAGAUAUAUACAGCUAACAAAUUCUAAAUGUGAUCUUGGUAUCUUAAUGAUAGGCCAACUUUCUUCAAUGUUGCUAAAAAUUGCAGUCCAUAUAUACUACAUGGGAAUCCACCCAUGGACAAGAAAUGUAUGUUGCUCUAUCUUCACCUCUCAUUGUCUCACACCCUAUUGCCUCAAGUUGCAUUACCUGUCAUAAUUAAACACCUCUUUUAUCAUUGUGACAAAACAAGUUUUGCCAAAACGAUAUGAGAUUCCCUUUGAUUUCAAGUUAUGCAAGAUUUAUAAGAGCUCAAUUAUUCUGAAAACAUGAUUCAUAAAUACUACCCUAACAUUCAGUUCAUGAAUACCAUGUACCAGAAGAAGGCACUAAGAAAUUUAUGUCAUUUACUUUCAGGAUUCUAUCUUCAACUCUAUUUCAUGCUCAAUUGUUUUAUUAACUAUAGUUGCUUUGAAUGAACAUGUCAAAGUACAAGUACUAAACUAGUUCAUUUCCAGUCAAAUUACUAUUCCUGAUUCAUAGAGUAUAAACCCUUGCAAAUUGAAAUAAAGAAAAUUUACAUAUCAUUCAAUGGUCAUCUGUAAGCACUCUAUGUGUCUACAUCUUCCUCAUUUGGAUUUGGAAUUUAACUUCUGAUAAGUGUUUACUUGUUUUUAAUUUGUUUUUUAGGAAUCCAGUUAAUGAGAUUUUACCAACCAAAAACAAGGGUUUGUUAGCCCUCCUACCCUCAGGCUGGUUCUCUUGCAUAUGCUUGAAGAAUAUUGGAAGCCAAUUAAUAAGUCAUUGCAGUUUCAUAGUCUUAUAAGAAAUCUUGUUAUCGUGACAGGAAAAUAGACUGCAACAUAGUCUUAUUUCCCUUCAUGAUUUAGACAUUGUGAAUAUCAAAAACCUGUUCCCUGGUAAUAGAAGAAGAAAAUCAGCCAAAGAACAACAACAAAAUGUUUUGGCACCUUGUGGACUUGAAUUGAUGGUAUUCAGGUGGCAUAAAUAUACAAAAAUACACUUAACAAACUACUAAUCAGCAGGCCAAGAUUCUACUUCCAAGAGACAGGGUUGUCAUCCAUGUCAAGAAGGCUCGAACUUUAUUGUUGUGGGACUUUGGCAUCAACAAAUCUUUGGAAUUCUUUCAGAUUUCUAAAUGGAAUGGUUCAAGUCAUCAACACAUUCCCAUAAUUCUUUUGUAAAUGUCAUCAUCAUGGCCAGCUUUCUUUAGUUCAUAUGUACUAGAUGGACAAGAACCACAACACUUGUAUUAGAAACAUGUCUGUUGCCUGGAUUUGCAUUACCUGCCAUAAUUAAGAACCUUUUUAUUAUUAUAGUAGAGUGUUUCAAAGUCACCCAUACCUAGUCUAUCUCCAUGUCUCUCAAACAGUUCGGCCCAUUGGUAGCAAAAGAAGAGCAACUUGAAUAGUUGGUCAUUUCCUUUUUAGGAAUUAAUUGUACCGCAUUCCUAUACAUAAUAUGUAUAUUGUGAAGAAGAUUAUUUGACUUUACCCUUUCUCUUCUUUGUUUUUUUCAAUCUAAAUUGGAGUGGUGUGUGACUGUGUCACUAUUGCCAGAUUUAAAUGUUAAUGUCAUAGAAUGCAUUAAUAGUUUUCUAUUAGAAUAAUAGAAUCCAAUUCGACUAGAUACUAGACAUAAGUAAGCGUAGAAUAUAGAGCAAAGGAUAAAUGAAAUGAGGGAAACAAAUGAUUCUAAGAAGGGUUAUUUGUCUUCCUAGUCUUCCAUACAAGAAAGGAAUUUUCUACGUCCUUUUCUUGUGUCAAAAUAAUAAUGAUCCUCAACACCUUCGUCAAAAAUUCCUAUUCUUAGCUUAGAUUUUUUUCUAGGUUUAUCAUAAUUUUAUAUUUAUUACGUAUAAGAAGUAAUGGACAAAAAAAAAAAAGAGAAAUUUAUUGAACAAAUAGAACUUCUUCAAUAAAAUUAUAAAAAAAAUAUUUCAACUUUGAUUAGAUACUAAAAUAAAUAGAGUAAGAAUCUAUUAGUAUAGAAAGGAUAUUAUACUAUGUCAUCCAUAAAAUCGAGUGAUUCCUUAUUUCUUCUAACUUUGAAAGGAUUGAUAGAUACUAUCGAGGAGCAAAUGUUUUGAAUCAAUCAAUCAAGUUCGUUUUUCAAAAACAUCAUCAGAAAAAAAAAAUGAAAUGGAGUUUUUUUAAACAUCGUAAAAGAAGAUUUGUUUUUUCUGGCAUUUAUACGAAUAAAAUCUUAUGAUUAUUAAGAACUCAAUGGGACCUUCCCUCUCGAAUCAGAGCCAAAGAGGGCGUGGGUCCCAUUGAGUUCUUACGUUUUCAUGUCGACAACUCAAUUCAUCCAAUUACUACAUGGAACCAUAAAAGAAAAAGCCUAUUAAACCAAUCACAGGAAUACCAGUUACAGUACCUACUAGCCAAAGAGGAAUCCUUCCAGUAGUAUCGGCCAUUUACCCUACUUUCCUCCACAUUUCAUCAAGUGGUCAUACUAAAGACAUAAAUAGUCAUGGAUAAUUAUGAAAUGAGAUCCUUUCGAAUAAGAUAAGAGAAUUCUUACUAUUAUUAUUUAUUUUAUUAGUCUCUUUCGUUCUCUUAAUUCUUAAUUGAAAAAAUAAUUGGAAAAUAAAACAACAAGUACAAAAAUGAGUAAUAACCCCCAAUAAAGAAUGGUACGAUUCAAUUCAACAUUUUGUUCAUUUGGGUUUGAUUGUGUCAUAGCUUUAUAAUUUGGAUUAGGUUUAUUGUUCGAUGAACUGCAUUGUUGAUAUUGACCCUAAAAAAGAAAUGGUAGGUACAGCUAGUCCGUGAACAACCAAUCAUCGCACUAUAAAAAUUGGAUAGGUUUGAUCUAUGGUCAUUAGGGCCUCCUAAAAAGAUCUACUAAAUUCAUCAAAUUGUUCCAAAGGACCAAAACGACCGGUUAUUAAUGGAAUUCCUUGUUGGCUCUCUAUAAAAUGCUCGUCUGGCUGAGGACUUCCAAACACAUCGUAAGCUAAACCCAUGCUGACAAAUAAACAACCCGCAAUGAAUAGGGAAGGUAUAGUAAUGCUAUGAAUGACCCGGUAUCUAAUACUGGUAAUAAUACGGACUACCCAUUUCAAUUGUUGUGCUUUCUUAAAUUGCAUACCUAUACAAGGGUUCAAGUUUCGAUCGAUAUUUGCGGAGUUGAUCAUCCCUCUCGAAAACGAAGAUUUGAAGUGGUCUAUAAUUUACUGAGUACUCCGUAUAACUCACGCAUUUGUGUACAACCAAACAGACGAAGUAACACGAAUAUCUUUGGUAGUAAGUCCAUUUCCAUCAACCGGCCGGUGGGAGCGAGAAGUUUGGGAUAUGUUUGGUGUUUCUUCCAUCAAUCAUUCGAAUCUACACCGUAUAUCAAUAGAUUAUGGUUUCGAGGGUCAUCCAUUACGAAAAGACCUUCCUCUGAGUGGAUAUGUGGAAGUACACUAUGAUGAUCCAAAGAAACGUGUGGUUUCUGAACCCAUUGAGAUGACCUAAGAAUUUCGCUAUUUCGAUUAUGCUAUUCCUUGGGAACAGUGUAGCAACGAAUAAUUAAGAAUUUAAAUAGGUCCAGUUCAGGGGACAAAGAAAUAGGAAAUGUUAUUUGCUUCGUUAGAAUAAGUUCUAUGAAAUGAAAGAGUUUCACGGGAAUUGUCUUGAUCGUCGGAUAUCAUUAAGAUAUAGUUAUCGAACGAUUUCCUGCAAUUCUUCCCAGUAUGGAAUGAGUAAAGAAUCAAGUUGUAAGUCUCGAUCUAUACGAAAUGCACUGGGUUUUUUUGUCUUUCUUUAGGUUUCAUUGAUAGCAGAAGAGCCUUGCCUUACUCUAUAGGGGCACUAGCGCUUUACUUUAUAUUAAAAGUAAAGGGGCCUGAAAAAACGUAAUAGGCUGCUACUCUAGGCUUGCUUCACUUCUUCAAGCUCUACCCCUUAUUUCAAACUAAAGCACUAACACACCUUCUAUUAUUUAGUAAAGCAACCUUUAAUGCUAGGCGCUCCCUUUUUUUUUCUAGAUGGAAGCUAGCGACAGGGUUAUAGAACAUGCAAAGCGAUAGAUUCUAUGAGACUCUUCCUGAAUGGGAACCCGUGAAGGAAAAUUGCGAAGCUUCGCCGCCAUCGGAGAACCCUCAACCAUCAACCUCUCCAAAGAAAGGGCAACUCUUAAGAUCUACGACCACCCUCUCCUCUUCUUCAAAAAGCGACGAAGGUAUCCAAAAUCAGAUGACAAAUCCGAUCGACGGUCCUAGUCAACAGCAUAAGGACUUUCUUCAAAGCGAAGGAGAGGAAUGUGCUUCCAGACAUGCCAAGCUCCACAUAUUCUUGUACAGUCAAAGGACGAUCGAUUUCGUAAAAGAUGAGAUCAAUAAAUAGAAAUUCACUGAAAAUGGAUAUUUGUGAGAUCGUCAAUAUUGUACCGAGGAUGUCUUUAGAGUAUACUCAAUCAAUAUAACUAUCCUUCUUCUACCAUAGCAACACAAUUUCAAAAACUACAGCAUUUGAAUAGCUUGUAUUCAGGUGGACAAGAACUACAACACUUCUCUCAGAAACAUGUAUGUUCUUUCUUCAACUCUUACUCUAUUGCCUGGAGUUGCAAUACCUUCCAUGAUUAGUCAUCUCUUAUUUAUUCUCAUGGAGAAACAGGUUUUGGUGUAUGCAGAGACAAUAUACAAUUGUCGCACCUCUUGAUUUUUAAUCGUGUCAGACAUCUGGAAUUGUCAAGCUGAUUUAUGGCUAACCUUGCAAGGACAUCUAGUGCAAGAGAUUCAGAAUUAUACCUAUCUAAUCCAUCUCCAUUUCUUUAGAACAACUAGAUACUAUGGCCGAAAUCUCACGUAAGGUGUCAGGUUCAUGUUGGGGUUCAUUCACGAGAUUAAAAUGAAUAUAGCAAGGGAUGUUCUUGAUCUACCACCACCCAUGUUGUCAAGUUGUUCAAUGCCACUACAAGAAAAAAGGUCAUUAUUGACAUAUAUCAUCUUGACUUAAGAUAAUAUAUGUGAAGAUUGUCUAUUUAAAUGAACAAUUAUGACAUAUACAAUUUAGUUUAAAUCAACAAUGACAUAUAUAAUAGUUAUUGCAUUUUUCCAUGACUUAUGAUGAUGCAACCAUGACAAAUAAUUUAUAAGUCAAUCUAUAAUUAAUAUGUUCAUAUGUCAAGGUACCAAAAUGAAAGCAAUAAUGACAUAUAUAUUAUUUGCUAAAUUUUUCUUGGUUUAAUGAUAUGCAAUCUUGACUAAAAAUUCAUUAGUCAAAGUAUAGUUAAUCUUUUCUAUCUAAAUAAAAGUAAUAAUGACAUACAUGCAUUUGCUAAAUUUUUAUAUGGUUUAUAAUGACACAACCUUAAUAGAAAUUUAUAAGUUAAUAAAUAUUUAAUAAAUUAAUAUUUUAAGAUUAGAAUAUUUGGUACUGUCACUUUAUCAUAUAUUUUGUAAGUGAAAAUAAGCCUAUUUUAUUUUAAUUUAUUAAGGCUGAGUUAUUGAAAAACAAAAUCCUAAUUUAAGGAAAUUUUAUCAAAUUUUGGUAGUUUUUACAAGCAUAUUCAUUAUUAUUUUGAAUAGAAAUUUGUGAUUAAAAAGGAUAAGAUAAUGUUUCCAUUUAAAAAAGAAUAUCAAUAUAUUGAAAACUAUUCCUAUAAUCUUAUUUUAAUAUUUUGGAUAAGGCACUAAGUUAUGUCUCUAUAUUUCUAAUUGUUGGAAUUAAAAUAUAUUGCCACUAACUUGGGUCGAGGUCUCACAAGUAUUAGGUAAUUAAAUUAUUAUUUGUGUUUAAUUAGACAUUAAAUCUACUAAGAAUAACUUAAUUAGUAUUUAGGUAUUAUAACUAAUUGUAGACCACAAAAUCAAUCCAUAGACACAUUUCUUUUAAAAUAUUUUAAGCCCAUUUUAUUUAGUUUGGGCCCAUUACAUUUAUGCUUUUGCCUGAUGAUUUGUGCCCAAUUGGUGUCUCAGCUGAUUUGUGUCCAGUUGGUGCUCCUUGAUUGAGGGAGUAAUCAACAAAAUUUAUAACCUAUUACACCAUGAACUAGGGUAGCAAAGACAAAGCUACUAUAACAUAGUGGCUCUAGGAUCGUUCACUGGGAUGGGUUUUCACUUUGCAAAUGAUAUUAAUUCAAAGCUGAAUUGGUGCCUUUUCAUUUCAAGGUUAGCUUUAAAAGAAAACAUAAAGAUGUUUGAAUGAAAAAAAAAGGUUUGGUUUUAAACUAACCAAAAAUAGUAACUGAUUUUACUUACAAAGAAAAGUGUUUCUUGGAGUUUAGAUCACUAGGCUCAGGUUCAUCAUACAAAAAGGAGAGUUCUGGUCACUUGUUUCUUUUCCUCGCAUUAGAGAAUUAACAUAUAGUUAAUUCUCUAACCGGUGUGGUACAGAUGCUUCCCCUUAAUGGGUUCAAACAAUAAAUCCCUCUCACUGAUGCACCUUGUAAUGGCUCGUGCCUCUCACCUAGCAUUUGCCAUUUAAGGUGAUCUUUAACCUUGGAUUACCCGUCAAAAGCUCGCAAGAGAUAACUAAUGGAUGUCUCCUUGGAGUCCAAAAGCUUACCAAGUGUUGGCAAUUCUAGAAAAUCCUACCUUCAAGUCACCUCCCAGAGGCUCGCAAGGGGUAAACUAGUGAAUCUCCAUGGACGGAGAUCACUUGCCUUACCAAGUGUUGGCCCAGGUGAUUUAAAGGCGUUUUAAGUUAACUAAAAAGAUAAAAACCAUUAACGGGUUACACUUUCUCUUCAUUAAAAACUAAAACAACAAAACUUCCAAUUUUUGCAUGAGAAAACUUACCCGGCUUUCUUCACUCCAAGAGACGAAGAGCCUAGCCUCUCAUCCUCUAAGGAAAAAUCCUCAGAGUUUGAUUGGCUAGAAAGAAAACUAACGAGAAAACAAAAAUAUCAAAAAGAAAUAGAGCAAGUGCUCUGUUCGUCGAUUACAUAUAUGAUAUAUCUAUAUUUUACAAUGGAUGCAAGGGAAUAUAUAUAGAGAAGUUUUUCCAACCUUCCUAGCUAAGAAAUCUUAUGGUUGGUGGAUUACAAGGAGAAGAAUGGAAAUUUAUACAAAAAUAUCUGAAGAAAAGAUCUAAAAGAGUCGGUGCACAAAUAUCCCAGUUCGCAUGUAGAUUUCGCACGUUGCAUGGUGACUUGCGAAAAUCUCGCAAGUUGAUUUCGCAACUUGGAAUCCAUUUUCGCACGUUGAGCUCCAAGUUCGCAAGUUGCAAAAUCACUUUCGCAAGUUGGGCUUCUCUAUGACUGUGCGGCUGUAUUCCAUUUCCAUUUCGCAAGGUAGGCUUUAAUUUCGCACGUUGGAGUUCCAAAUUCGCAAGAUGCGAAUUUGUCCUUUAGAUGGAUGCAGUUGUCUUGUGAAGGCCAUAUCUUCCUCAUUUCAGCUUCAAUUCGUACACCGUUUGAAGCGUUGGAUUCUUGACUUCCUGAGCUUUGAAAUGGUAUAUAGCAUGUAGAAAAUGGACUUUGGUUAGUGCUCCAAAAGUGCGAAAGAAGACUGCAGCUGCUGUCCUCUAUUUUCUUCACUCUGUUUUUCCUCUCUCCGUUGUUCUUUCCUUGCAUACUUUGAACGACUUUGGAAAAGGGCUAUGGAGCUCCAGAGCUUGGUUCUUCAUUAAUUUGAGCUUCCAAAAUCUUUGUCAUGAACUAUAUACAGCUCUCCUUCAUUCUUGGAUUGCUUUGGUGUAGCUAAAAGCUAUCAAAAACACCAAAACUUAACACAAUUUGAUUAGAAACGAUUGCAAGGGUCCUUAACAUGUCAAUUGAGUUAAAAGGUAAUAAUUACUACUCAAAAGUGUUUAAAAGAGUUAAUUACAAGCUAUCAAAUAAAACACUUUUUGAGUAGUAAUCACCUGAGCCAUAAAAAAAGCUUGAUAAAUAAGUUUUUUGUUUUUCCUUUCUAUUCCAUUUCCUUCCACUUACAGCCGCCCCAUCUUCCCCAUCUUCCUUUUUCUCUUCUUUUCCUAUUUUUUUUCUUCUUUCUUCUUUCUUUUUUCAUCCUCUCAUCCUCAUAUUCAUGGUAGCCUCUACGCCACCACCUCCAUCUCCUGUGUUGUUACCAUCCAUGAGUCCCACACCCACCAUGCCACCAUCUUUAUAUUCCCCCAUGGCUAUUGUUCCCAUGUUCACUACGACUCAAACGUGCUUCCCGAUGUUUCGCCAUAACCCCGAUGUGAUUCUUGAUGUUCCAUCACCAUCAUAGCCACCAUUGUUGCAGCCCACAGCCUUGGUACCUCCUGCACUACCCAUUGAAUUUUGUUGGACUGACAUCAACACCACCAUCUCCAUGGUUGGGACUUCGUUCUUCAUCUUAGGGCUUCAAGAGACGUAGGUAAGUUUCCUUGGAUCUCUACAAUACUUGUUGAGGUAGUUUUAAUUUAAUUUUUAUAUGGGCUUGGGUCUCAUUUUCUUUAUGAUUGGGCUUCAAAUAUUUGGUGCAUGGGUUUGAUGUUAUAAUAUUUUAUUACUUGGGCCUUGUGUUUCAUUUGGUUGAGCCCAAUAAUAAGAGUAUCAGGCACACAUAAGCAGGUUGGUUCUUUGAGAGCCUUGGAGUUUUGUUGAACCUUAGGAUUGUUGAGGUCAUGCUUCACCAUUGAUUGGGCUUCAAGCAAGAGAUAAGUAUGGAUGAGGCUUCAUCCUGGAGGAUAUGUGAGUUUGAAUAUCCACCGUGUUUUACAUUGAAUCUAGAAUCACAAAAUCAAUUCAAUUACAAUUGAUGAUAUUAAAGGUCAAUAGGUGUAUUUAUUUUAUUUUUGUGAUAUUGAAGGUUAGUAUAUUUACUGUCCUAUGAAAAAAUCUUUUAAUUUUUUGGUAUUUGUUACUUAAUUUUGUGUUUAUUCUACUAGGUAUCUAAGAAAUACAUCAAGAAGAAGACAAUGAUGCAGAAACAAAGAUCACCUCUUAUGAAGAUAAUGUUGUACUUUUCAAUUUAAUUUUGUAUAUUAUUUUAAUUGAAUGUUUUUAGCUAGGUUUUGUUUGUAUAUAGAAAAUAGAGAGGUACUUGAAAAACACUUAUGGAAUUGUUGUUCUUAAUAUUUAAUGUAUAUGUAAUGAUUUUUUUUCUUAAAUAGUAAUUUAUUUAAAUUAUUUUCGGGACUUGAUUGUGAUUAGCAUAAUUAAAAAUACACCAAAUUUAAUUUUGAGAUAGGUUUCAUAUGGUAUAUAACAUGUUCAUUUUCCAUUAAAAAAUAAAAAUUAUAAGAAAAUAAUAUUAAAUUUUUCAUAAGUUAUAUUGACAUAUGGCUCAUGCCCAAUAUUGACAUGUGCAGUGGCAACUAUGACAUAUGUGAUACCAAACAUUGACAUAUAUAAAACAAUUAUGAUAUAUAUAAAAUCUAACCUUGACAUAUAUAUUUAGAAAUCUUGACAUAUGUGGGAUUAAUCAUGACAUAUAUGACGUCUGACCUUGACACUUGUUGGAGUAACCUUAACAAAAGAGUAAGUUAACCUUGACAUAAGAUCAAGUAAUCUUGUCAUUUGUUAAAUUCAACAUUGACAGAAGUAAAAGAAACAUUGAUAGAUAUCAUACUAUUAAGAUUUCAUCAUUAGUAGAAAUAGAGAAAUCUUGACAUAUGUAUAUGUCAAGCUAGCUUUAAAAUUUUCUUGACACUAGCAUAGAUGACAUAUACAAAUAGUAACCUAUCUUGAUAGAUAUAUCUUAUCUUAACGGCAAAAAACUGUCAACAAUGGCCUUUUUUCUUGUAGUGUGCUCUCGUGUUGACCAUGGCCACAGUCACAGUUGUGUGUCCUUUCCCGAAAGAAAUAGUCAUUUUGAAACUUUUAUCAACAACAGAACUUUCAUGUAUCUACUUUCAGGUACCCACAAAAAAUUGAGUCCAACUUAGCAUCCAAUAAAGAAAAAGUAAUAAUCUAAACAAGGGAACAAGUGUUUUCCUUACUCUUUUUCAGUAGAAACCUAGUUUAUUUCCAAUAAAUUGAAGAAGAAACUAAUUCUAAACAUGGAAGACAAGUACUUGAUUUCUGUUUAACUAGUGGAAUAUUCGAACGUAUUUACAGCUUUAGCAUUAGAAAAUUUUAACAAAAUCACUAAUUAACCCCCAAACCCCCACCCACCACAGAGAUAUGUUACAAAGAUUCCUCUACUCUACAUUGCAGCAAAGUGUAAGGGGUUUUGUCCUUUCUUCAUCGUAAAAUGAAACAACCCUUUUCAAUAAAAGAAUAAGAGAAAUUGAGAGUUAAGACCAUUUUCUUUCAUUGUACUAUCGAUUCCUCUGCUUCUUCCUCUCUUAGUUAAGCCAAAUAGUCUGUGGUUUCUCCGUUUUUUCUUCACUCCACAUCAAAAAGUAGCAUCUUAGGUUCUCCCAUCUCUCUAUCCCUUGUCAAAACACAUAAUUUAAUGUAUUGAUGUCUUGGAUUCCUCCUAGUUAAAAGGAAGCUUGAAAUAUCUCCACUGCUUCUAUGUUUCUUUGAGUCAAGGGAUAGAGUCUUGUUUUUCUUUCUUUGUUUAUUUGAGAUGCUAGAAGAGGUGUGUAUAGAACUAAUGUGAUGUCAGAGAGGUAUGUAGUAUCUGAAUUCCCUUUAGUCAUGCAAAGUAGCCUUAGAGAUUUUUGGAGGCUUGGGUAUUACAGUAUAUUAAGAUAUUCAAAAUGCAUUAUUACACAUCUUCUUGACUUCCGACAACUCAACUUGUUUUUCACAAUCAUAAAUAUGGAGGUAUUUAAUUAUGGCAGGUGAUAUGCCUCUCAGAAAUUGAUGUGAAAAGGUGGAGAUUAAGGGAUGUGCACUUGGUUUUGCGAAUCAAACAACCCUCAUUUAGUAUAAACCACAAAUUUUGGCAACUCAUGAUCCAUAAUUUUGAGCAUGGGAGGAAGCAGGCCUGUUGGAAAGAUAGGAGGAGACAGUUAAAAGCAUGCGAGAAUUCCAUGGAUGAGUUGCUCUUAUGAAUUAUUCAGAAUCCAUGAGAAACUUCAAAGCUUUUUCUUCUUUUUUUUAUCUUUUUUUUUUUCCUUUACAUAGUUAAUCAUCUUGUUUGAUGUUUGCCCUAUAGUUGGUCUACUGAUGGUAGGCUUCCUUUGGGUGGAAGUAAGGACUCUACACUAAAGGUAAAUUGUGGGAACUAUGUCUUUUUGUGGUAUUGAUGGGGUUAUCAUAUAGUUUUUUUUUUUUUUUUGAUAAGUUAAGGGGAAUAUGGGGUUAUCAUAUAGUUGAUUGAUUCUAUGGCUUCCUUAUAGCUUUUCAAGGCUCUAAAAAAAGAAAAGAACAAAGGUAGACCUAGGAAAAAUAUUCUUCCUGAUUUCAGUUACUCUUUCUAUAUGAACUCUUUAUUUUGGUAAAUUACAGUUAGAGAUGAUCAUAUAGUUGAACUAGGUUUGCUUCCUCUCCUUUCCCUUUCCUUCCCCUUGAGGAAAUUUUUUAUCAUUGCUUAGUUUUGACUACUCUGUUUCUUUUGAUCAUUGUGGAAUAGCAUCAUUAUAAGAUGUACAAGAAACAUGUUGUGGUGCAUUAUUCCUUUCUCUACCACCCAAAAUCUACUUUCCACAAUCAUAAAUAUCGAAGUGUUUAAGCAUUAGGUAAGACAUCUCUUGAUAAUGAUGUGAGAGAUAUAGACAAGUAAUGUUACUAAAUAACAAGAAUAUGUAUAUAAAAAAAAAAUAACAGAAUAAGAAUACACAUAUUUAUGUGGAAAACCUUAGACUGGAAAAACCACGGGUAGAGGAGAAAAAAAUUCAUUAUAUUAAAAAAUUGAUACAAAAGGGGAGAGAUGCGAGCGACUACUUUAUAAGCAUAGACAACAUAGCCCUAAUAUUAUACAUAAUUGCAAAUAUAUAUAUAUAGUGUGUGUGUGUGUGUGUGUAUGCGUGUGUGUGUGUGUGUGUGUAGGAGAGUAAUAAACAUCAUAACCCUAAAUUCUAUUGGCCCGAUCCCUCCGCUACCACCACAGACUCUCCAAAAAUCUCACAAAUUUUUCUUCACCACAUAUGUCGUAUCACGAGCUUUUUGGGUAAGACUAAAUAGAAUUCGAGUUACCAAACUCUAACAAACAACAUACCAGUAUUCACAAGAAGUGAUGUUCUGCUUUUUCACUUUACAACAUUCAUUUAGUUUGAACUUUAGAUUCAAGCAACUCAAAAUCUCCGCCUUCAUUAGGAUUGUAGGAAGCUAGCUUCUUGGAAAGACAUGAAAAUGGGGCAUUUAGAAAUAUGGAAGAAUCCCAAAGGCCAGUUGCUACUUUUGAAUCAUUCCAAUCAAUAACAACUCCAAAGAUAUAUACAAAUUUGUUCUGGGAAAGAGAUGUUUCCUGGGCAUGUAACCAUCUCUUUAAUAGACUCAGGGUUGUGCACCCUCUUAGUGAUUUCUUAUAUAUUGUAGUGAACCUAUCACACCCCAAACCCACUCCAAGGGCAUUACGGUCAUUUCACACGUCAAGCCCAAAGGUUCAAAGUAGAAACGAUACAAACAGUCGUAUUGUAACUGAAAAUUUACCAAUUACCAAAUUCCUAUUCAGAGUAGUAGGACAAAAUUCUAAAAUUUCUAAGUAUCAACUUAAAAAAAAAAAAAAAAAAAAAACUAAUAUAUCAACCAAAGUUUUAUUGUCCAAAUAACUCCAAACUCAAAAUAAUUCAAACGAGAAUUAAAUUUUAACAUUUAAACAAUGUCCAAAAUAAAAAGAGUUUAAACAAAUAUCCUAUUAAAGCCAAAUUUCCCUCCUAACGAUCACUCAUCGCUCGAACUGAGGUUACAUGAAAGAUUAUCAACAAAGGGGGAUGAGCUCAAAGCCCAAUAAGAAAUAUUAAUACAGUUUCAUGGAUCAAACAUUUUCAAUCAUCCUUGCAAAUAGGAAAUAUAACAUAUACUUAUUUCAUAAAAAACUUUUGAGUUCAAAAUGCUAAUACAUUCAAACUUUUCAACAAAACUUUCUCAUAUUCAUUUCAAAACCAAAUUAAAUACAUUCAAAAUAUCUUUACUCAGGUUAUCAAAUGACAAAUAGUGCCCAAUUAGGUGGGACUUCACAAUUGAGCAACUAGUUUCAAAUUUUUUCCAUUUAAGGUGAACAAAACCAAAUGUCAACAAUUAUAACUUGUUGACUAGGGUCAUAUAAUCUAAAGUCAAACACUUUAUUUCAUUAAUUCAAACUUACAAAACAAAACAUCGUAUCUCUUCAAUUUUUCAUUUUUCAUAAACAAAUAAAAUGCUCAAAUAUACUUUUCAUACAAAACAUAUAUUUGAUCCACGCGUAAAGAUAAAAAUAAUAUUUUUACACAUUUCAAAAUACAAUAUAAAAAGAAAAUUAUUUUCUUUUACAAAAAUCUGCAUUAAUUUCCCUCACCUCAAAUAAGUACUCAAAAACCUUGAAGUAUUUAACCCCGAAGAAUUUCGUCUCAAAGAAUCUAUUUCAAACCUAACAAAAACAAAAAGACAACUAUUACUAUUAACUAUUUAUCUAAAUUUAUAGGUUUGGGAACCCUAAUAAUUUUCUAUAUUAUGUCACCUAUUAUUUUUAGUAGGAAUUUUCUUAACUAAGUCGACAUACUUUUACAAGCUCUUCUUAAGCUUUGAGUGGUUCAUAGUUUUUCCUGUAUUUAGUUUUACAUAAUUUUGGUGAAAAGUGCAUGAGGAAGAACCAUAUAAAACCACAACUCACUUUUGGAUGCUGAAUCUACAAAAUAUAAAUUGAAAAAAAUAACGUAUUAGGAUAGGAUAAAUAAUAAUUUAGAAAACAACUCCACAAAUGAAAUAUUAAGUAAAUGCAAAUUUAAUAUUUUAAAAGCUUAAUAAACUCAAUUAAAGAUAUAACCACAUGAUAUACAAACUUGGGGAAACUUAUGACUACCACUAAUUUCAGAUGUCUAAAAUUUAUAUAUAUCUUAGACAACAUUUUGAUAUGUAAACUAAUACGUAAAUUUUUUUAAUUUUAAAAAGAAAAUUUGGCAGCCAAGCUAGAAAUUUAGCAUAUUCAUAUAAUAUAAAGAAAAAUAAAUUAACUAGAUGCCUUAAUGCAUUGCUCUAUCACACUAUUUAAUAGGAUUUAGAUACUACAUAUUCAAUGUUGUCUAAAAAGUCAACAUAAAUAAUAUAAGAGGGAAAUAACAUUUUGCCUUACACAAUUAAUCCUACUAAAAGUUUGUUUUGUUAAGUCACUCAUCUAAUACCAUAUUUCAAGAUGAAUUAUUUGAGCUAAUUUUCUCAAGGAAAUAAUUACUUUGGUGAUAGCUACAUAUUAGCUUAUUUUUAUGAUAUGAUGUAUCAAUUAAUAAUUGUCUUCAUUCACCAAGAUAUUGACAACGAUUUCAAUAUAUUGGUCGAUAUUAUCCAUGUUUAUUUUAUUGAAUGUCAAAUCAAUACCUUAUAAACUAAACAACAAAACAAUUAAUAAGUGUAAAAAGAAUUGAUAUUGGGAAAUCCAAGCCUAGGAAGUUUAAGGGGAAGUGAAGUAAAAUAGCCUUGACAAAGAAAAAAAUUCAAAGAAAUUGGUAUAAUAUAGCCAUGUCCCUCUACUUAGAUUUUCAAGACCUAGAAAUAUGGUUAGCUCCUGUAAAAAUUUUCAUUUCCAUGCUCUUUUAUAACACUUUCCCUUCGAUGUGACUAUUUCAAUAUCCUUUAUUUUAAAAAAAUAUUUUUACUUAAUAAGUGAAAAGAAUGGGGUAUUGUCUGUUUUACUUUGCUUAGUUCAAUGUUCAUUCCCAAGAAGUGCUUAUUCUUUAUACUCAAUAUCCUCACUAUGAAUUAGUUCUACUCCAGAAAUUACUUAAUGGUUGUAAUAUUUCAGGCGCACUUCUACCUAUCACUUUUAGCAAAUGUGAUUUGCUAGAGUAAUGUACUUAAAAGCCUACUGCAUCACUCAAGAAGAAUACCCAAACAAACCAACAUAGUCAUAAGGCACCAUAACAAGACAUACAGUAAUUAGUAACUUCGAUGAAAGAGAGGUUUUGUCUUUAUUUUAGUAACUUUGGCAUAGUUGAUGUUUGAAAAUGCUGAGGGAAUGCAUCCCUUCUGGCAGUGAUUUCAAUUGGGGGCAUUCAGAAAUCUAGCCUUUCCCUAAUAUCCUUCAUUCUAUGAUUCAUCCAGACCAAAAAAGCACCCAGCAUGUCUGUCUUUCUCCACAAGUCCUCCGUUGCUAAGUCAUCAACAUACUAUAAAACAUCUUUAAGCUUCUGUACCCAAGUUGUUACUGUUGCUCCUCUUCAGCAUCAGCAAGUACAAAUUUGAAAGAGGACAGUGUGUCCUUAUGCUUCAUAAACUCCUCUUGAACCAUACAUCUCUACAAAAACAAAAUACCCUAACCUCAUCAAAAGAUUGUCAACAAUAUUACUGAAUGAAAUUUGUUCAGCCAUCUUUCAAAGGUCUAAGGGAAAAUGAAAGGAGUUUUAGCAACAGAAAAAAAUGAGAAAAGCCAAGUGAGGACUGAAGGGUCUGAAUAAACUUGGGUGUGUUUGCUCUGUUCAAUUCAAGUGGGAUUAAUUACUUGACCCUCAUGAUUGACCUACCUACCAUAUUUUUCAUUUUUUUUUCUUAUUAAAAUUUUCAGACAAAUAAAAUUACUUGAAAAUUACUGGAUAUUACUUAUUAUUUAAAAAUUAAAAUAAAAAUUGCUAACCUUCUUGUAAUAUAAUUAGUAAACAUAUUUUCGUUUUAUAAGUUAUAAUCAAACCGGUUUAUAUAUCCUAUUUUUAAAAAUAACAAAGACAGAAAAUUGUCUGAAAAUGUGAAUCUCAAUAAUGAACUACACCUAGAGGGGGGUGAAUAGGUGUUGUAGAACAAUUUAAAAAAUCCUUCCAACAAAAAUUACCUAACCUUAGACUAUCUUAAUGUCAAGAAUUUUUUCUUCUAAUAACUUUUCAACAAAGCAAAACAUCCACAAGCAAUAAUGUAUGCAUCAACACUCUCCCAACAAUUUAUAAGUGCAAAACACAUGCAAAUGCUUCAACACUUCUCAAAAAUAAAUCAAAAUAUAGAGUGAGAGAAAGAGACAAUGAACACCGGAUUUUUAACGUGGAAAUCCUCCGAAGAGAUCAAAAACCACGGGCCUAUCACCGAUUGAAAACUCCACUAUGAAGAAUAAAAACUGAGUACAAGGUUUUACCUAGCUCAAGCCAACCAAUCCUUCCCGGAAUACUUGACUAGUACCUUCAUUUUCAGCUUCCCCUUUUGGAGCAUACUUGGAGUCCGCACCAAGCUCAAUCUCGGCCUCUUCUUGAAUCCACACAAGAAGAAAAUGGGUUUUUGCACAACCCAAAUAGAAUGAGAGAUUUAGAUGUGAAUGAAAGAAUGAAUCAACCCAUUUAUUGCUCAAGAAAAUCCAUUGAAAACUAGUUUUGAAAACAUUAAGAGAAGUGGAUUUUCUUUGCAAUCAAAAACCCCAACUUAGGAAAGCAAAAAUGAGAAAUGAAGAACACUUGGAGUGUGGCUGCUCUAACCCAUUUUCUGCAGUCUCUCAUUUUAGAAAAUGAGAGAAGAUUGGUUUUUAAAGUGUAAAAAGAAACCCUUAAUCUAAUGGCUGAGAUUUGAUCAAAAAAACAUUAGUUGGAUAGAUCCACCCCUACACUUGGAUCGAUCCAGAAACAGAGGAAUGAAAGCCUUGCACCAAAAACCAUUUUUCCCAACUUUCUAACACAUUUAAAGAUUAAAAACCGGGUUGAUUCACACCCAAUCACUCCACACUCGACUACAUACCUCGGCCUCUUAGCAAAGUCUUAGUCUUCAAAGUCAAGUAGUCCGAAUAGGAAUAGGAAAGCCGAGUUAGGGGACACUUAGGAAUUUUGUCUGGAAUUGCCAACCUAGCUAAACACUCACAUUGUCCAUUGAGCACCUAAAUAUUUUAAACUCAUUAUAAUAAAAAAAAAUGUCCAAAAUAUUUAUUAAAAAAACUAAUUUAAUUUUAUAAUCAUUUUUCAACCCAUAAAUUAUCAAAAAAUAAACUAAAAUCUUUAUCAAGGUUUUUCUAAGUAGAAUUUAAAAAAUGAGAAAUUAAUAUUUUGAACUCCUUAAAAUCAUUAAAUUAAAAUUUUAAAAAAUAAAAUCUGUUUGAUUGUAUUAGAAUCGACAAUAGAAAUGCAAACAUGAGUUUAUAGCUCUUAACAUAUUAGAUUAUGAAACUAAAUGUAUUUUAGAUAGUGGAGUUAGUUCAUACAACAGAAAGGAUGAGGUAUCCAAGAUGUCAAAUAAGGUUGGGGUUGAAGGAAGUGAAGGGAAAUUACCAUAGAUGUGAAAUAAAAAAGGUUGUGAUCCCAUAAGACAUCACUUGACAAUAUCCAAGAAAAUGAAUGACAAAAUAUCAGAAUAUCAACAAGCAGAUUGCAUACUUUAUAUCAAGGUACUUAAUUGUUAUGAUGCAAGCAUUUGAAAUUUUUUUGGUGCAAGAGCUCAAACAUUUCCUAAUAGAUCAUACCGGUGGGUUGAUGCUAGAGAUGUUGUCAAUGCACACAUUCAAGCAUAUGAGAUCCCAAAGCCAGUGGAAGAUAAUGCUUAGUAGAGAGGGAUUUACACUAUUCCGAGACACUGAAGAUUUUGCACAAGCUCUACCCUAAUUUACCCCUGCCCAAAAAGUAAGUUUCUAUUAGUUAUUGGUAGUAUUCGUUUGUGACAUCAUUAGAGUACUUGCCAUUUAAUCUUCUUUUUUUAAUCGUUUGUAAUAUUGUUUGUUGUAAUAGUAGAAUGAUUGUUUCUAUCCAUUAGAUGUAAAUAUGGUGAGACAAACCAUAUUUAAAACCCUACAUGCCUCGUAUUAAUAAUUUAUUUUUUCUCUUUGUAUUAAUGCAUCAAUAAAUGGUAUUGAAGAAAUUACUUUUACAACAAAGGUUACAAGAUUAUAAGUAGGAUCACUUUGAUACAAUGAUGGGAUAAAAGAAAUAGAUGGGUUUAUUGAAUGCAAACCUCCAUACAUAAAUGAUAGAGACUUAACUUGUUCAAUAUAAGUUCCUUGAUGUAAAAUAUCAAUUUUUUUCCAAAGUCUUUAUGGCUAUUGGCCUUUCCAUGGAAUACCAAAGAAAAAAAAAAAAGAAAAACCCUCCUUACCUGAGCAUUCAUUUGAACCUUGUUUCGAAGAAAAAAGUUUUAUUAAUCCAAACCCUUUUGAUUUAUAUAUGACAUGGGACUAUGAAGAGUUUUAAAACAACUCAAAGAUAACAAUAAAAAUUGAGGUUAAAUAGUGAAAACUACAUUAGAUUCCAAUAAUAGUUUUAUGAUAUAAUGUUUCAUUGGCAGGUUUCAUAAAAAAAUGAAGUAUUCUAUGAAUACGACUUUCGAUGCCAAAUUUUGAAUUUUCUAAUUCCUUAGUUUAGUGGUGGGUCUCGUAAAAAUUGAAAGUUGUGGAAAAGUAGAAUAUGGACACAAUUUUUUACUUAAUGAGUAGAUUUUACAACACCUUCAAGUAAUUACCCUGAAAAUGAUAGGUCAUUGCAUUGAAAAUGUAUUAAAUUUAAUUGAGAGAUUAUUUAUAAAAAUAUCAUCAUUUUUUAAAAGAAUAAUAUGAUCUUACCAUCGUCUCCAGUUGGAAAGCAAUUUAUGGUGGUGCUAGAUUUUUCUUAAUAUAUUCUUGUUCCUUUUUCUUUUACUUUUUUUUUUCUUUUUUUGGUGCAUAUUGUAAGGUUUCAAGUUCCUUUAGAAAUAUGAACAAUGAUGAAUGAAGAGUUAGAAAUUUUGGAACAUUAAGUACAUAGUUAAAGCCAUGUUUAGAUAGUUGAAAUUCCUUUAAAAAAAAAUACAAAAAAGAAAAAAUGAAAGAAGUUCAAAUUUUAUUUGAUUAUCUUAAAAAUAUCAAAGAAAUUACAAAUAAUGAAAAUUGUUUAGAUUUUAUGUACUUUCUAAUAUUUACUCUUUAUAGACAAAAAAACAAAUAAAUUUUUUUUAGGUUCUGAAAAUCAUUAAACUUAAGCUUAAUAUUUAUUUUUCUUGAUUUUUAGUGUCUUUCUUAAUUUUCCUUUAUAAUGUUUCCCACUUAAUCCAAAACUUUCUAAGGUCUAAAUUUCACGGCGUUUCAUCUUCUUUUUAAUUAAGAAGUUUUGAAUUUUUCAAUUCAAAUUCCAAAAUAGGGUAAUAAAACUUUAAAAUUAAUAUAACAUCUUAGACGAAUUUGGUUGAUUUGGUAAUCAACUCGAACCAAACUUGAAUUAAGAAACAUUCAACCCUAACUAACCAGAUAUAGCCUCAAAUAUGAGGUGUUUAAUUCAAACUCAACUUAUUUCUAUAUAUUAAAGUUAGGCUUAAAUUGACUCAGGUAUACUCGUAGUUGAGUUGUUUAAGUUGUAUGAUCAAAGCUAAGUUUUGUAAGAUUGAAUUAGGGUGAACUCGUUCAUAAUGUUUUUUUUUUUUUUUAACUUCUUUUAUAUCAUAAUUUAAAUAGAAAAUAGGACAACAUUUAAACAUUAUUAAAAAAAAUGAGAAUGAAUUUAUGUAUCUUUCUAACAAAAAUGAAAUAAUAUAAUUAAAAUUUAAUAUUUUUCUUUAAAUACUAAAAAACAUAAAAUAGAUAUUAUUAUAUAAAAUAAAAUAAAUUACAAAUAUUAUAAAAAUAUAAAAUUAGGUUAUAUAUGUAUGUAUGUAUAAAAUAGUAGUGUGACUGAGUGUUUGCUACUUGUAAAAAGUAUUUUUGCUCUUUUUUUAAUUGAAAUUAAUAAAAAGAAAAAGAAAUAAAAUGUUUUCAAAAAUAUUAAAUGCAUAACUAAAAUUAUGCUAAUGAAGUUUUUUGUUCUUUGUAAUUUAAAGUUGUCUCAUUCAUAUUUUAAGGUAAACUAAUAGAACAUUAAACUCCCAAUAUUUUAUCCAUCUAGAAUUUAUCACCAUUUUAUUUUAUAUCAUAUCAUAAUUAUAUUAAUUAGUGCCUUCAAGAAAAAAAAAAUUAUUUAUAUGUUAGACAACAUGGAAAAGAUAUAUUUUUUUAAUGCUUAUUAAUAAUUUUUAUUUCAAAUUUUAAAACAUGAACAUAUAAAUUUUAACAAUUAUGAAAUAUUAGUCUAAAUAUCUUUUAAUAUUUGGUUAUGUUUGCAAAGUGUUUUUAAUAAGAAUUAUGAAAAAAAAUUUUGAGAGUAAUUUAUGAAAAUAUUUUUUUAAAAAAAAUAUGUUUUAAAAAUAACUUUAUCUUAUAUAUAGUUGUGGACCCCGCAUUUCGGCUUAUGAGUUUUCUACUCGAUGGCAAGCUCGAUUUUAAUUUGAAAAAUGAUUUUUAUUGAUUAAGAAAAUGACUUGGAGUCGCCACUUAUUUUUGUUUUAUUUUUAAAAGGAUAAACAAAAUAAGAAAGAAAACCCUAAGUGCGACUCCUUAUUUUGGAAAAGGUGAUCUACGAAAAACUGGAUCAGACUCGGGGGUCAGGUUGCUUAUCGAGAAGGUACGGUAAAGACCGUAGCACCCCUCUAAGUCCCUAAAGUCGGGUCUCUACUAAUAAAAUGAAGCUGACAUGGCAAUCAAUAGGAAAAUCAAUGGAUACUCAAAUCGAUUAGGUGCAUAUGGGAAUCGAAACAUGCAAUAAAGAAUGACCAGAAUAGGAGUGGAUGCGUACCUGGACCACGAACGAAUAAUGCGCUAUCAUAGAAAUAGAGUCAGUGCACAAUAUAGAGCCCGAAACACAUCACAUGCAUCACUAAGCAGGGAUUAAAAUUGGUAGAAGGAAAACUCGAUUUUUGAAAUUCAUUUGAGAAUCGAAAUCUUAGCGAUCAUUUGAAAAUUGGAGUUUUGGAGAUUAUUUGAAAAUUGAAUUCUUAGGAAUUGAAUGUAAGAAUGAGAAUUUUAGAAAUUAAAUUUGAAAGAAAAUUGGGAUUUUGAGGAAUUAUUUAAAAGUUCGGGAUUUUUUUAAGAGAAAUUGAGUUUACGAAAAUUGGGACUUUGGGAGUUGAAUUUUGAAAGGGAUCAGAGUUGUGAGUUAUUUGAGAAGUAGAAAUUAUGAAAGUUGAUUUAUAAAAAUUGGAAAUCUUGAAAAUCAUUUGAAGGCGGACCUUUUAGAAACGAAUGAAUAAAAUGAUAACAAUAAUAGUGAUAACAAUAAGUGAGUAACCGGAUAAAUACGAUAAUUGGAAUAUUGAGAAGUGAAAAUUAAGUUCGGAGAUAGGACAAUUGGAAUUUCGGAUGACUAAAUUUAGAAAUCGGAAUUUUGAAGAAUUAGACUUUAAUGGUUGAGAUCUUUAAGAGGAAUAAAUAGGUAAGUAUAGAAUAAUGUAUCUAAUUAACGGAAGCAAAAUUUUAAACGAAUAGAAAAUAAAUAGUGGAAUUUUUAAGAUUGAAAAUCAAAUUAGGACGUUGGAUUUUUGAAGAAUUGAACUUUAAAUAAAUAGAUAAGUGGGGGAUAAUAAUUCUAAUUGAUGAAAAUAAGAUAUAGAAGAAUAGUUGAAGAAUUAAUUAAAUUAAGACAUGAGAUUUUUGACGGAUUAGACUAGAUAAAUAUGGGAUAAUGGUUCUAUUUAACGAAAAUAAGAUUUAAACGAAUAUUUGAAGAAUUAAAUUAAGACAUGAGAUUUUUGAAGGAUUAGACUAGAUAAAUAUGGGAUAAUGAUUCUAUUUAAUGAAAAUAAGAUUUAAACGAAUAUUUGAAAGAUUGAAUUAAAACAGGGGAUUUUUGAAGGAUUAGACUUUAAAUAACUAGGUAAGUAUGAGAUUAUAAUUCCAACUGAUGAAAAUAAGAUCUAAACGAGUCAUUGAAAAAUUAAAUUAAGACAUUGGAUUUUUAAAGGAUUUAGACUUCCAAUAACUAGAUAUAUACGGGAUAAUGAUUCUAUUUGAUGAAAAUAAGAUUUAAACGAACUAUGGAAAAAUUAAAUCGAGACAUGAGAUUUUUGAAGGAUUUAGACUUUAAAUAACUAGAUUUAUAUGAGAUAAUGAUUCUAUUUGAUGAAAGUAAAAUUUAAAUGAACUAUUGAAAAAUUAAAUUGAGACAUGGGAUUUUUGAAGGACUUAGACUUUAAAUAACUAGGUAAGUAUGAGAUUAUAAUUCCAAUUGAUGAAAAUAAGAUCUAAGCGAGUCAUUGAAAAAUUAAAUUAAGACAUUGGAUUUUUUGAAGGAUUUAGACUUUAAAUAACUAUAUAUAUAUGGGAUAAUGAUUCUAUAAGAUUUAAACGAACUAUUGAAAAAUUAAACUAAGACAGGGGAUUUUUGAAGGACUUAGACUUUAAAUAACUAGGUAAGUAUGGGAUAAUGAUUCUAUUUGAUGAAAAUAAGAUUUAAAUGAACUAUUGAAAAAUUAAAUUAAGACAUGAGAUUUUUGAAGGACUUAGACUUUAAAUAACUAGGUAAGUAUGGGAUUAUAAUUCCAAAUGAUGAAAAUAAGAUCUAAGCGAGUCAUUGAAAAAUUAAAUUAAGACAUUGGAUUUUUGAAGGAUUUGGCUUUGAAUAAAUUAAUAAGUAUGGGAUUAUAACACUAAUUAACGAGAAUAAUAUUUAGGCGAAUAAAGAUGAAUAGUAGAAUUUUUGGGAUUGGAAAUUUAAUUCAGAAGUUGGAUUUUUGAAGAACUGGACCUUAUAUAAAUAAAUAGAUAUGGAAUAAGGAUUCUAAUUAACAAAAAUAAAAUCUAGACGGAUAAUGGAAUUUCUAGGAUUGAAAAAUUAAAUUAGGACAUGAGAUUUUUGAAAGAUUAGAAUUUAACUUUAAUAAAUGAGAUUUUUAAAAGAUGAUAAAUAGAUACAUGCGAAAUAAUAAUAAUAAUAAUAAUAAUUGUCAAACAUGAUAUUUAAACGAAUGAAAUUGAAUAGUGUAAAUUUCGAGAUUGAAAAUUGAAUUUGGGAUGUUGGAUUUUUGAAGAAUUAGAAUUAGUUUUUAACGAAUGAGAUUUUAAAAGAUGAUAAACAAAUACAUACGAAAUAAUAAUAAUAAUUAACAAUCAUAAUGUUUAAGCUAAUGAAAUUGAAUUGUAUAAAUUUCGAGAUAAAAACAUAAUUAACAAUAAUAAUUUUUCUUUAAGUUGUCUUUAAGUUUGAGUUAACUAAAUUGGUAAAAAUGAAAUAAGAAAAAAAUAAAAAUGAAUGAAUGACUUAAUAAAUUACUAAAUUAGAGGUUUUAAAAAAAAAAAACUUGUUUAGAAAUGAAAUAGCCAAAUGGGCUAUCUUGAAAUGGGUAUGGCCCAUGAGAGGGAUUAGUUUGAGGAGCAAUGAGGCUCCCCAUCAAUAUGCUUGGGCUGGGCUCCAAACUCAAGCCCAUAUUUGAUACUAUGGGCAAGCCCAAUGGGCUAACUUGAUCACAAACUUGGGCUUGGUGCUCCAACACAAGCCCAAAGCACCCACCUUUUCAACACAGCCCAUUCAUUUAAGAGAAUAUUGCCCUCCAUCAACACGCCUAGGCUGGGCUUCUUCUCAAGUCUAAUGUCCAUCAUGGACAAGCCCAAGCCCAUCACCAACACAAACUCCAUCACAGCCCAAGGCAUCCCUCUCCAUCUGGGCAACUCCUUCAGGCGAGGCCUCCACCAGCAGCGACGUAAAAGAGAGGGGAAGGGGUGGUGGCUUCGAGGGCGGCGCUGAGACGGUGGAGAUAUAUGGCUUUCGAAGCCACGACACCAGCAAGUGGAUGUCUUCGCCGAUGGCGCCGUCGACCACGCCGCGGAAGCAGUCGAAGAGGACGGCGCGCGGGCCGCCGUCGACGGCCUAGAGAGAGGCGCUCCGAACUGAAGCAGCAGCGCCGAACUCCAAAGGCGGCUCUGGCGAGGUUCGUGGGGAACGAAAGGCUUGCUUGGCUGCUGCCCGUUCCCCAGCCACUGAAGAGGGCUCGCGCGCAUAGAGGUCUGAGUGAUGGUGGGUACGCGGAUAUAGAGAGAAAAGGUGGUGAGGGGUGGGAUUUGCAUGAAGAUGGGUAUGGAAAGAUGGGUGUUUACGUGGAUGUUGCAGGGUUGGGAUGGAGUGACGAAAACUUUGUGUGGCCAUGCACGGCCAUGCAAGCAUGGGGGAAAUGAGCUUGACGAGUAUUGGAGUAUGGGUAUGAAGAUGGGUGUGGGGAAGUGAAGGCGGCCAUGCAUGCAUGCUUCCUAUGCGUGAGUGAGAAAUGAAACUAGGCGGGUGGGGAGUGGAUGAUGGAGGGUGGCGAGUGGUGGAAUGACCAUGGAGAUGAUAUGGUGCAUGAUGGAUGGGUUUGGUGAGAGAAACGGGUAUUUGAAAGGUGGGUAGGAUGGGAGAUAAAUUGAUGGGAAACGGGUACUGAGGGAGCUAGUAAGAGAAUGGUGGUGAGGGGUGGCGGAGAGUGGAGGAAAUGAAGGUGGCAAAGUAUUGAUGAUGGGUAUGGUGGAGGGACUGCAAAUACCUCAUAUGAAAUCUCAAAACAGAGCCAAGAAGACAUAGAAAUCAAGCACAAAAUAGGUGUGAUCAAACUCAGAUGUUAAAAGCAAUACGUAAGGAUCUCCUAUACUCACAUUCGGACACCAGAAUAGGAUCUCACAAUACCCAAAAAAAAAACGACAGAAUGGCGUGAACACGAAAGCAUCAACAGCAUAUGGAAAUGAUACCUGUGACAACCUCCUUCAAGAUGUCUCACCGGCGUGUUUCCUCCUAUCUCUGACUAGCUCUCUCUCGUUUUCCCCUCCGAGCUCCUCCCAAGAAAAAUCACCAGUCUCUCCUUUUCCCCUUUUCUUUCCUCCUUCUCCCCCCUGUUUUCUUAUUUCUUCCUUGGCAAGCCAUUACUUGCCCUGCUGUUCACCCAUCAGCAAGCAUGGCCGGCCAUCACCCCCUUGCAGCCGUACGUCUCAUGCAUCCGGGAUCCAUGCCUCCCGUGGGGUCCCCUACCCCUUCUAAAAAUAUCAUGAAAAGUCAAGAAAUAACAACUCCCCGGGCCCUCACCACCAAAAGGGGUACUUCUCUAUUUAAAAUAACUCUAUGAAAACAAAUGGAAAUAAUUAAAAGAUUUAUUUUAAAACACUUUAUUUUUUUAUUUUUAUGAAUAGAAAACUAUUCUUUUUUUGUCAAAUAUGUCUUCUUGUUUUUGUUUUUCUAAAAAACAAAAAACUGCUUUAAAAAAUAAUUAGCAACCAUGCUUGAACCCAAAGCCCGAAGCUCCUGUGGGGCUGGUUUUGGGCCUUUUAGGUUUGGGAAAAACAGUCGGGCCUGGCUGAGCACAAAUUCUUCUCUUUUAAGUCCAAAAAGCCCGUCUGAAGCCCAAACUUUUGGGUUGGGCCGGGAAGCUCCUGGCUUAACACAAAUUCUUCUCUUUUAAGUCCAAAAAUCCAGUCUGAAGCCCAAAAUUUCGGGUUGGUCCGGGCGGGCGGGGGGCGGAUAUGAAAUAUAAGAAAAUAGAAUAUAAUUAUUAUUACGAUAGUGGAAUCUGAGAAAAGGUGGUGAGUGUACUACAAUUUUGAUCUUUUGCAGCAGAGAGUGAGAAAUGAGCGGGCAAGGCAAGGUGGUGUGCGUGACCGGAGCUUCUGGGUACAUAGCCUCAUGGCUGGUGAAGCUCCUGCUCCAAUGCGGCUACACCGUCAAAGCCACAGUUCGAGACCCAAGGCAGAUCUCUUCCCAAUUACAAAACUUCUCAUUCCCGACCCCACUUGCUAUUGUCCCCAAUUUUCUUCUUUCUUUAUUGUUUCAGUACUUUUCAAGCAUAAUGUUAGUUUUAUGCAUGUGGGUGGGCCGUUAUUUAGCAGUUUGAAACUUAGAUUGAGUGGUAUUUUGAUGGGUCUUUGUCCUUUUUCCUUUUUCAGAAGUUUAAUCUAUGAUUGAAAGUCAAUAUUCAGUACUCGGGUCUUUGUGUUGUCCUAAUUUUCUUGGAAUUAUACUCUCUACAUGGUUCUACAGGGCAAAUUGAUCGAGUUUAUGCUAUUAAAAAUGAUUUCAGAUACUUUCAGAAUCAAUCCAUCUCAGAUUCUGCAUGUGUUCCUUCUUAAUUACUACUAUUCUUGUAAAAAAAUUUGCAUUUAAUUUACAAGACACUGGGGGGGUCUAAAAAAGAAAAGCAAAGGGAAAGAAAGAUUUUCCUUCAGCCAUACCAAAUUGUUUUGGAACCAAAAACUCUAAAUAUGGGCCUGUGUUCUUUUUGGAAACCUAUUCUUGAAAAUAAUUUCAGAGAAACGAAGAAAAUCUACAAAUUUUUGUACAAUUAUUUGGCUUUAUUGCAAGCUUUUGUUGUUAUACAAACAAGACAAGAGGACAGUUUAGGUCUUCAUUUUGUUUCUUUGCUGUUCUUCGGUUUCCUCUUCAAUGCCUUUAGCUCUAUCUAUUGUUAGUAUUUCAACAAAUUGUACAUCACAACUGAAGUUUCUUGCACUUUGAAAAUCCAAUCAUCUUGCAUAAAUGAUCCAAAAGCUUGCAAUUGCAGUUGAGAAAAUGACUACUCUACAUGCCCCAUCCAUUUUACUUCAAUCCCCAUUCUUUUAAGAAGAGCAUAGUUGAACUUCUUAAUAUUCUAGUCAUGCGACUCAUGCUUCCACUGUAUACUCCUUAUGUACUAGGGUUUCCCCAUUUGGGGUUGUUUUUUUCUAUCACAUAAUACAUGUUCUUACCAAAAUAAAGUUUUUGUAAGCUUUCAUUCUUCUUAUUUCCAUUUAACAUGCAAGUUGUGCUUAUAUAUGCCACAGAUGAUCCAAAGAAGACAGAACACUUGCUUGCACUUGAAGGUGCUAAAGAAAGGCUUCAUUUGUUUAAAGCAAACUUACUUGAAGAAGGAUCCUUUGAUUCUGUGGUUGAUGGAUGUGAUGGAGUAUUUCAUACAGCAUCCCCAGUUGUGAUGAUAGUUGACGAUCCCCAGGUUUAUCCUAUAUUGGUUCCAUUCGGAUACUGUAAAAUUUAGCAUUGUCUAUAUUCUUUUUCAAUCAGUUACUGAUCUUGAAAUUAGUAACUAAUCAUGAAUUGUUAAUUUGCAUGAUUCUUCUUUCUGUAUGUGGUUUCUUCAACUGAUCCAAUGGUAGUGAUUGCUGAUUUCACUAAACCAAUACAAUGGUGGAAAAGAGAGACUGAUAUUGGAUUUUUUAUAUUCUGCUUAUGUGCAAAAAUAUUGAAUAGCUUUUUUUUUUUUUUUUUUCUUUCUUUCUUUCUUUCAUUCUCCCCCCUAAUCCUUCCUUUUCUCCACUUGUUAUGUUUGUUCAAAAGAAGAUAAAGGCCCUUUGUCUUGCAUCAAUUAGAACCAAAAACCCUGUGAAUAUUUAUUUAGGAAUGUAUAACUUCCUUGACAGCAGCAUGGGAAUGCUCACACCGUAACAAGGCUAUUCCAUGGAAAUUUAUGGUGGCUGAUCCAAACACUCCUUGUGCUUUUUUUGUUUUGAUAGGCAAAAGGGCAGAAGACGUGUUAAAGAGCCAAAAAAAAGGCUACACCAAGUACAUAGGAAAUACGCAUGUGCGCACCAAAGAAAAAACACAAAACCCUCUUCUUAAUGGCAACCUAACCAAUCGAUAAAAUCAAUCAUAUACAAGGACUCUUGCCCUAGACCCCCUUUGGUCCAUUCUAAAAAGUUACAAAGAAAAGAGAAUUUUAGCUCUUGAUAUGAAAGCUCAAUAUUAUCAAAAGCCUUUCUAUUCCUCUCUUUUCAAAUAGUCCAAAACAAACAAAGAAGUGCAACAUUCCACACCUUUUUUUUCCUGUCCCCAACAGAUCAGCUAUGCCAACUAAGAAGCGUUGCUUGGACUGAGGUAUGCAACACCCAAACCACUACAAACAAGGAAAAAACUAAUUGCCAUAACAAACUAGCCUUAGAACAAUGAAGAAGGAUGUGAUUGAAAGAUUCCUUCUCGUCUUUACAUAAAAAGUGUUUGUUUACCAAAGUCCAACCUCUCCUCUUCAAAUUGUCCAUAGUUAGAAUCCCCUUCCAAGUUGCUUCCCAAAACAAAAAAAAAACUCACUUUUAUUGGAGCCUAAGAAUUCCAAAUAAGCCUUGUCGGGAAAGAAUCUGAACCCCUUUGAACCAUCCCAUCUUAGAAAGAUUUAACUAAAAAUUGGUGGGCCUCCCUUUGUAGCCAUCCACACCACCUUGUCAUCCAUCUCCCUACUCAUUGAUUUGCCAUGUAAACGCAAAAGGAGUGCUUCAGCAUAACCUAACUCUUAAUCUUGGAAAUUCCUUACAAAACAAGGGUUCCAACACCCCUCAAAAUUAGUAUGCUUCCAAACAUCACAUACCCAAGCCUCCUUUGAAGUGGCUAUAGCAAACAAAGAGGGGAAAGAGGUACUCAAAGGGGUGCCCCCACACCAAAUGUCAUUCCAAAACCUUAUCCUUCUUCCAUUGCCCAAAUCAUAGGAAAUCUUGCGUUUGAAAGAAUCCCAUCAUUUCCUUAUAGCCUUCCACAAUUCUAUGCCAUAACCCUUCCUUAUCUCCAAAGAGCACCAACCUGCUUCUUCUACCCCAUACUUACCAAUGAUUUCUUUCUUCCACAAGGGCUCCCCUUUUGACAUGAACCUUCAACUCCAUUUGCCUAAGAGAGCCUUGUUCAAAAUAGAAAGAUUUUGAAUGCCUAACCCUCCCUCAUUUCGCUUUUGGCUUACAAACUUGUGCCAACUCACUAAGUGAGGCUUAUUUUCAAGAAAACCCCCCUCCCCAAAGAAAGUCCUUUUGAAUUUUUCCAAUUUACAACAGACCAUUCUUGAAAUAACAAAAAUGGACAUGAAAUAAAUGGGUAGGCUAGACAAGGUACUUUCGAUGAGAGUUAAACAACCCCCCCUUGGACAAGCUUUGUUUCUUCCACCUUGUGAGCUUUCUUUCCAUCCGCUCUUCCGCCAAAGUCCCUCAUUGUUGUUGAUUUAAAGGUAGCACCCAAAGGAAGCCCAAGAUACUUGGAAGGUAACAACCCCACUUUACACCCCAAAAUAUCCACCAACUCCUCCAUUAUUGGAACCCUUCAACUAAGAUUAGCUCACUUUUUUCAAGGUUGAUCUUAAGCCCAGAAAUUGCUUCAAACCACAUCAAGACCCAAUGAAGAUGCAAUAGUUGGUCCUUAGAAGCCUCGUAAAAAAUCAAUGUGUCAUCUGCAAACAAAAGAUGAGACACCUCCACUCCCUUGCCACUUCUACUUCCCACCUUAAAUCCCCCCCCACCCAAACAAACAAAAAAUCCUUGUUCUUAUCUUCAAGAGUAGAGAGUUAUAGCAUUUUAACUUACAACCACUGCCUCAAGGUGACUAAAGAUGCAUUCCACAAAAUGUUAGACAAGUUGCUUAUCAUUUUCUCCUGACCCCGAAUGCUAUAGGUAUAAGAAAUAGGUAAAUGUGCUUACUAAUAGUGGAUGCAUUCCACAAAAUGCUAGAGAAGUGGUUGUUUCCUUCUCUCUAUCUCUUUCCUUACCUCCUUACUCACCUCCCUCACCUUCCCAAAUUCUCUUUUCCUUUAUUUUCUCAAACAGCUCAGUUACUCCCCAUGAUUAUUAUUAUUAUUUUUUUAAAUGGGAAUGCUUCACAAGAUUCAUAUAUUACCUCCUUGCUAAUUUUAGUUAGUUAGGCACUGCCCCUUAAAAACUCAAAUAAUUCUACAUGAUUAUACCUUUGAUGUAGUUAUGAAUACAAGGAUCAUCCAUAACUCCUCCAAUUGCAUGACAUAUUUGUUGUGUUUCUGAUUCUAAACUAGCACUGUCAUAACAUGAUCAGCAAAAAAAUAAAAAUAAAAAUAAAAGUUACUUCCAGAAUUUGAUGGAUGAACCUUAUGGCUAUGUUUGGUUCCUACAAAAUUUGAGGCAAAAUGCUAGGGAAAGAAAAUAGAAAGGAAAAGUAGAAAGAAAGAAAAAUUGAAGGAAAAUUAAAAAUAGAUUUAAAGUCAAUAAAUUAUUUUUAUAUGUUACUUCAAACUUAUUUCACUUAUUUUAACUAUUGAAUAUAAAGAUUAAAUAAUUUGAAAAUUUAUAAGUUUCUAAUUAGUUUUAAUUAUAUUUGACUUUUUUUGGUAUUUUCUAUAGAACAAUCAAACAUGAGAAAAUCAUUUUCCUUAGUGUUUUUUUUUUAGUACUUUUCAAGAAUCAAACAUAAUCUAUUGAGUUUGUCUAUGAUGAUUUUGUUUAGCCUCAUUCACCAACCAAUUGGUUUGUGGUGUACUGCUAUACUUCUUUUCCAAUUUUAUUUUAUUUUUUUGGUUCAUUUUAUGUUUAAAGAGGUUUUAUUUGAUUUUAUUUUAUUUUUUUAUCAUAAUUCAUGUGUAACCACAAUUCCUUUGUCACCAUCACCAUGUGACUCCAUAUAGUGGUUGGGAGAGUUAGAUCCUGGAACAGUUAUGGAAUAACUCCAUCAAUGUUGUGCAUCUUUCUUUGAAAUGUAGGAAAGUGGCUUUUUUAUUUUUUUAUUUUUUGAAUAUCUCCUUCUCAUAAAUAGGUAUGGUACGCCCAACAACAUUUUAUUUUAUCAAAAUUCUUUGAUAACAUAGCUUAUCAAUAUGAUGAAAGGAUCAUAAUGUGUCUCAUCAACCUGAUUUCAUAUUGCACAAUGGAGCCUAGAUUUUGAAGUUCUCUCAGUUACGAAGGGAAAUCUUGUGUUGAUGUAAUGGCAGAUAUUGAUUUCUGUAGUUGGGAUUCUUCAAGGGUUUGGGAGGUGGGAGGAGUUCUAGAGGGAGAGCACUGUGCAGAGAGACCAACUUAGCUGGCUAAUGGAUUAUUCGGCUUCAGAGAAAUGAUUGGAUACUUGAGAACAUGAGAAAAUCUUUCACUGACUUGUGUGCUAAUGUAUAUUAUCUCACAACUCUUUGAAUACCUGUCACUGUAGAGUUCUUUAGGUUCCCUUUAAUGCAUAUACAUUCAUUUUUGGAUCGGAGAUCAAUAUGCCUUUCCCGUCGGAGAGUGCUUUUGUGCUGGAGGAGGCACUGCCUGUGCUAUUUCUAGACUCCUGACUGUGGCCAGUCCACUCUUCACUUUUUUCAGUUUCUGGACACAACAUGUUAUACAAUUAACAUAACAGCCUCUAUGUGAUCGAAUUCAGCUCCACCUCAAUCAUUGGAAUUAGCAGCAUGCCAACAAUCACAGUGUGGGCACCAGUUUUUAGUUAUUCACCUGCCUUGCUUUUCUGGUGAAGUCAGGCAGCAUCUUUUCAUUUCAGAAUGCAGCAUGCUGUUGUUUGUGACUUUUUGGCCAUCAGAGCAAUUGUGGAUGGCCCUUCAAUCGACAAAACUUUAUAGAUGUGUGUUUGUGCCAAAUCAAGGCUCAAGUUAUGAAUGAAAAUAUGAAAAUGAAAAGAGAAACAAAGCAGAAAUUCAUUUUACUAUGUCUCUGUUCUUUCCAUGAGGGAUUAGGCUUAUUCCUCUUUGGAAGACUCAGAAUCUCCUUUCGGUUUUUCAAUGGCUCCUUUCUCCUAUGACCUGUUCAAGAAUGCUGCUUUAUUGUGGACCUUCUAUGCCUUUAUUGAAAAAGAAAAAGUGAUAAGAUAUUUCAACCAGUUGAAAAUAGAGGACCCUGAGGCCUGAGAUAGACUGAUGCUAGAUAGAAAAUACAUAUGUAUGGAUAUUCAAACUUAUCUAGAAGAAAUAGAAGCAAAUGAUACAUGAUAAGUUAGUGUCAAAAGGUCAACUAAAGUCUUCGACUAGAUAGUCUACUUAGAUGUCAAAAAUGUAGUGGGCUCUUUAGCCUCAUGGUAGCCUAAAGCUCAAGUUUGGUUGAUGUUACCUAGCAAACUCGAGACAGAUGGAAAUUUCCAGCCUUUUACAGGUCCAUAGAUGUGUGAUUAUUAGGGCUUUUUAAUGUCAUUUGUGAUGGGGUUUGCUAUUGAUGUGAUGCAGAGGUCCUGAAACUAUUAGAAGGGAUGUAAAUCUGGUGAAAGAGUUGGAUGUUUAUGAUCUUAUGGGGAAGGAGAAUUGAGCAAUGGUUCUCUCUUGCAUGUCACUGGGUCAAAAAGGGUCAGGGAGAUAAAACCACCACUUGUGGAGGAUUGUGGAUCUUUUUAGAGACAUUGGCUGAUCAUUUCUUGAAAGUCUAGAUCGAGAAAUCAAGAAGAUGAGAGGCUGAUUAAGAGAGAAGUCAUGUCCUAUGCCAACUUUGUUUGAGUGAGCCAUAUCAUAUACUUCUACCUGGGGUUAAUCUUUAAGGCUGGAGGGUUCCUUGUCUCUUCAUUUUUUUCCCUUUAUUUUUUUUCCCCUUAUUGAAUCAUGUUCUUGUACAUCUACUUGUUUGAAGGAUUUCUCAUCCUUCCUUGUAAAUAACUGUUUGCAUAAUAUUAUCACACAAAAACAUAGAUCAUAGACAAGCUGAGAAUUUCUUUAGGAUCCAUAAUGUGAUCUUAUGUUUGCUUCUAUACAUAAUUAUUAGCUUUUAAUUAGCUUAUCUUCAUUGGACUACUUAUGUGGAGAUUUGUUUUAUCUGUUUCUCCGUGUUUCAGGCACAACUAAUUGACCCAGCACUAGAAGGAACAAUGAGCGUUCUAGGAUCUUGUGCAAAAGUUCCAUCUGUCAAAAGAGUAGUUGUAACAUCAUCUAUGGCUUCAGUUGCAUUCAAUGGGAAACCUCUAGCUCCUGAUGUGCUAGUUGAUGAGAGUUGGUUUUCAGAUCCAGUUUUCUGUGAGAAAUCAAAGGUUGCUUAAAUGAGAUGAUUUCCCAUCACAUGCUAUCUCUUUUGCAUGAUCUUGUUUGUGGCUUUACAAAAUGUUUUCUUUCCAUGGCUCUUCACUUCUUUUACCCUGCAGAAGUAGCUGCCAAUUUGUCAUGCCCUCUUGUUUUUACACUUCUGCUAGCCAGCUUAGGGUUAAAUAACACGAUGGGAAUGGGAGGAUUAUCCCUUUAUUUUGCUAAGCCUGCCAUUAGAUUAAAUAAUCCUUCCAUGUAUGUCUAAUAUUUCACUAAUAUGGUGUUGGUAGCUGUCUGAUCCAUUAAGUCUCAUUCCUCAAACAAGAAAUUAAAUGAGAACUCUAAUUUGGAUAUUAUAUGAUUGAAAUGAAUGUUAAUCUCUGAUUGUCUUACUGUCCAUUAAGCAUGAUGGGCUCAGAAACAUGGGUUGACAAAACUCACAUUAGUUUUAAUGUGAGUGUGUAUGCCUGCACAGCCUCCUAUAGAUUUUUCUUGGGUUCAUAAGUUCAUUGCUUGUUCUCUAUGUUCCAUUAUCUACUAGAAAUGCUUCUCACUAUAUAUUUUCAANNNNNNNNNNNNNNNNNNNNNNNNNNNNNNNNNNNNNNNNNNNNNNNNNNNNNNNNNNNNNNNNNNNNNNNNNNNNNNNNNNNNNNNNNNNNNNNNNNNNGGGGUUUUGAUUGGGCCUCUCUUACAGCCUACUCUUAAUCUAAGUGUGGAGGAAGUUCUGAAGCUACUAAAAGGUACUCUUCAACAAUUGAUGAGAAUCUCUUUUUUAUGUUUAUCUUUCUGCUCCAGUAGCAAUACAUGCUUCACUUCAAUAUUGAGUCAACUCUAUCCAACAGCCCUGCAAAUGGAAACUCAGAAGUUUAAAUCGAAACUUAUCAAUAAACCGUCACAAGACUUCCACAGUUCCACAUAAAAGGACUACAUAUGCAUUUUGAUAUAUGCUGACUAAUCUCCUAACAUUAAAAAAUUGUUCUCUCCUCUGGUCAUUAUAGUUAUAUCACCAAGAUACUCAUUUGGGAGAUUUGCAUAUGAGAUUAGAUGAAGAUAUAUUUCGUUUUGGCCUCCUAAGCCAGACUGGUUUGGAAGGACCCCUGGACUGUGAAAGGACUGAAAGCAUGGGUAUGCAAUUACUAUCUUGAACUUGACGUAUAUUUGCAUGCAAGUUCAAUCCAAGGGCAAGAACUUCUUAAAUAAUCCAUUAAUCCUUUUGAUCCAACCCAUCUAAAGUGGGGGUUCCCCGCAUCCAACUCCAUUGCAAAUGAGUUGUUCAUGUGCAACUCACUUGAUCAGUAUUUUUAAAAACUUCUACCAACUUUUUUGGACUAUUUUGCAGAUCUUAACAUUCUUUAAACAUUUAGAAUCAUUUCUAGUGGCUUUAUAGGGAAAUAUCAUGUUACUUUAUUGACAACUCUUACAAGAAUCAAUACUUCCAUAACUGUAUAGCCAAUAUGGUUUGUUUACUUACUAACCAACCUCUUCUGCCUCCAACUGACCUCCCCUGUAUCUUGCUUCAAUUAUGAGGGUGUUGCCAUUAGGUUGAGCAUUGGACAUAUGAUAAACCUGUGCCUUGAUGGCUGUACUCUGAUUCAUGGAUCCAGACCAUUGUCAUUGGGAUUAGACUUGUUGGUAGUUGCUUUAGUUCAAUGCUUGCAAUAACCAAAGUAAUUUGUCAUGCUGCUUUAGAACCAUUGGAUCUUUCAUAUGAAAUAAGAAAGGUAUUUUGUACAAAAUAAUGUUUUCAUGUGUAAUUUCCAACAUUACAUAAAGCGAUAAAUAGAAGUGUAUUUGCUAAGUGUGAUUGCAUCAUUAUCUAAGCAUUUCCGUUUGAGACAAACAGUCUAAGACGAAAAUGUGUGCUUCAAAAAUUUCAAAACAUUAAAAAUCAGUAAUGCAGAUAAGGGCAUUUAUAUGUACACAUAUUGAUCAGAAAAUAAACUCCAUCCUAUAGCAACCUAAAAACUCAAAAGAAAGAAGUAUAAUUUCCGAUAUGCAAGAUUUUGAUCAAUUAAAGUCCAAAGCAUUUUAUGUUCAUACAAAUGAGAAGACAGAAUGGCAGCUGACUUUGAGGAUUGAAAGAAAAAUGAAUUGAUGCUACUUCUCAAUGCUAAUGCCAUUAAUUUGUUGCUGCUUUUUGUUGCCAUGUCGAGCCUGUCCAUCAGAUAAGGUUUGAAUCGCUUCUAUUAUUCUUGUUUAAGACAAUCCCUUCUUUUUUUCCUUUUUUUUUUCUUUACAUAGUCAAUCAUCUUGUUUCAUGUUUGCCUUAUAGUUGGUCUGCUGAUGGUAGGCUUCUUUUGAGUGGAAGCAAGGACUCUAUACUGAAGGUAAAUUGUGGGAACUAUGUCUUUUUGUGGUAUAGAUGGGGUUAUCAUAUAGUUGAAUGAUUCUAUUGCUUCCUCAUAGCUUUUCAAGGCACUAAAAAAGAAAAAAACAAAGGUAGAACUAGGAAUAAUAUUUCGUCCUGAUUUCAGGCAUACUAUUUCCUUAUGAAGUCUUAUUUUGGUAAAUUACAGUUAGAUAUAAUCACAUGGCAACAUUUUUUCUUCCAAGUUUAAAUAGUAAUUCAGGAGAGUGUAUUAUGAAAAUAUACUAAAAUAAAAAAAUCCUAUGAAUGCAUUCUACUUUGGAUAUUUCUUAUGAAUCUUCCCCUGCACUCCUGACCACCACAGACACUCCCAUCACACCAAGCCUUGUAGUUGUUCUAAAUUGUUGCAAAUAUGUUAGAAACCAAUUACUAAUAUUAAGGACGGUCAUGUCUACUAAUUUUGGGCUAGAAUUUUUAGAGCAGGUGAGAAAUUAUGGUUGCAGUAGGGAAUGUGAGUGCUUCUAUUUUGCCAAAGUGGCUUUCCUUAUUCAUGUUAACAUCAACAACAUAGCAAUGAACUCGAUUUAAUAUUGUUUAUCAUAUAGGCUUGAGAUAUCCGGACACAAAAGUUAAAACAAGAUCUUCCAAGCUAUGAAGAUGAGGUAUUUUCCUCCUCUUAAGUACUAGUUAAUAUUCUUCUUUUGACAUUGUACUUGGUUUAAUUAAUGUUUUCCUUCUUUUCGUAUUCUGGAAAGGUUUUUGCUGUUGAUUGGAGUCCAGAUGGUGAGAAGGUAGCCUAUGGUGGUAGGGACAGAGUACUUAAUUUAUGGAUGGGUUGAUGGCUAAAGGAGGAAGAGAUGUAUGAAAUGAAGAUUGACAUGAUUCUUCCACAACAUGAUGGACUUGGCAAACACUCAAUUUUUGCCUAUAGUUGAUAGUCUACCACAUGUAACUUAAAGGUUGUGCACUAAGUUCUGAUGUUAUGAAGGAUCGAGGGUGGUUUGUGCACUAAGCUUUUCUAAAAUAUUUUUCUUUAUUGAGCUGUAAUGAUUGUAUUAUUUGGAUUUAAUUGUAUUCAUUAGGUUUGCAGAUCACGAUAUGAUUAUUUUCCUCUUUGAUCAUGUAAAGUUGGGAAACAGUUAUGGGUUACUGUAAUAGCAUGGUAUAUUGAUGCACACAGUUUGUGGCAUGACAGUUUGAUGAAAUUGCAGAAGUGUAGCACUCAUGGGCAUAUCAUGUGAACCUUAUUCAAUGUGGCAUUGACAAUUAGUUUAAAUUUACAUGGGUGUAAUGUCGCACCAGUAUCCUCUGAUGAUAUGCCCAUGUUAUAUUGUGGCAGGGUUCUUCUUCAGUUGCCAAAUACCACUGGAGCUUAGGUGAGGUCUUGGUGAUGUAGGAAAGCCAUGGAUUCUGGAAUCUUUACAUGAAAAUAUACAUGAGAUAUAUUGGAAGAAAGGGCAGGCCAUCUAAGAAGAAACACAUCUUAAAGUAUACCAUCAAUCAUGAGUUGUUUGAGAGUCAGGAGUCUUUGAAGGCCUCACUCAGAUAAGGGACGUCUUUGACAUUUCUCACUCUUCAAUCUCAGGAAGGUACAUCAUCAACUAGAACCUUAGGAAUGUGAGUCAUCAUGGGACAACUUGUUUAUGUUCUGUAUUCUUUUCUUACCAGAGGGGAUUGAAAGAUAUGUAGUUGCAAGGACAAAAGAUGUAGCCAAUAAUGAGAGCAUUGAACAAUCCUUCUUUAAUGCAUACCACAAAUUUUAGUAACUCGUGAUCUCCACAAUUUAGAGCACAAGGAAGCUGGCCUUUGGAAAGAUGUGACAUGACAUUUAGAAAUGGGUAAAAAUUCCAGAGAUCAUUCCAAUCAUUAAGGAAUCCAAAGCCUUAUAAUUUGAAUAGGGCAUUUACUUGGCAUGGAUAACGCACCUAUCUUAGGACAAAUACCACAUGUUGAGCACCAAUUCAAUUAUCAACUCUCUAUGAAACUGGAGAUACAAGGUACUAAUGUUAGUAAAAAUUAGCUGGCAGCUCUUCUUCUUAUACUAGUAUUAGGGGCAAAGCCUUGCGAAAACCCUCAAUCAACAAAUUACCAAGGACAUGAGAUCAUGUUGUAAUCUUAUCUCCAAUCUCCAGUUGCAAAUAGAUUAUUUCUUUCAAUUAACAAUCUUUAAUGCUUUCACUUCUAUCAUAGGAUAUGAAAUUUGGAAAAACAAGUAAGCUUUAUAAUAUUAGGAAUAUGCAAGGAAUUGAUGAAGGUCAUGAAUCUACUUAAAAUUAAAAAUUAAAAAAUAAAAACAAAGAUUUUUUCACCUAUGAAUAUCGUAACCAGCUUCCAAAAAGCAUUAGGUAAGGCAAUAACCAAAUGUUCCUCAGGUAUUAAAGUUAAAGUUCAAAGUUACCAAGAGUGCAUUUUUUGACCCAUGCAUAAAAUAAAAAGAAAAUAAGAACACAUACCAUAUAACUCACAAUUGUGUCAAGUAUGAGUUCAGUUUAUGUUCAUGCACAAUUGCAUUAAGUAUUUGAAAGCUAAAUAAGGCUAUGCGCAAUUCAAAGAAUAACAUACAAUGCUCACAACUUAUCAUAGAAUGAGAACUCAAUUGUCUUUCUUCCAGUCAUAAGAGUUUGUGCUCUUUGAGCCUCUGACUUGCACAACUCAAGAUAGCAGAACAUGCCAAAAAGUCUCCUUCACCUUAAACAUUAUUCAAAUAUGCAAUAUAAAUCUUGAUAAGAAAAUUUUCUACAAAUAUAACAUGUUGCAAACAAAUAACAAUAUGUUAGUUUAAAAUUGAAGAGCAUUUUAAACUAAACAAAAUAAAAAAAAAAUUUAAUGUUUAUCACUCACCUAAAAACUUGUAUGUUGGAUAAAAUUCAUGCUAAUGAAUCCUGACAAUUGUUUGCAAUCAAAAUUUAGUAAUAACUUAUAAACCAAAAAAAAAAGAGGAAAUUACAAAAUUCUUUAGCAAUUUUCCAUGAAAAAUACAUUGUACAUUGAUUGAGAAGUGAAUAUCUAAUUUGAAAGACACUAAAAACUAGAUGUUAUCUUGAGUUCUCCAUGUAUCAAAAUAGAUGCAAGUUGCUAUUCGAGCCACCACAAUCACGGAGUACGAGACUUCUCAGCAUGGAAGGCAUACCAGAUUUCAAACAAGGUUCUUAACUUUCCAAGAGACAUAAGAACAUGGUGUGUUGUAUAAACUGUAGAAUAAAUAAAUGGAAGUUAGAUACACAUGCACUUGCUACUUAUUUUUUUUAAUCAUCUAUGAAAUAAAUAAAGAGGUGUUACUUGUAUUCAAUCCAAACUUGUGGUCUCCAAUGUAAAAUCCAAAUCUCAUUUUGUCAACACAAUAAGAGCAUUAAACAUACAACAAAUUGAAUCCUUCCUUUUGACAAUGUGAAAACCUGAAAGAAAUGACUCGGGAUCAUAAACAAUUAUACGAUAAAGAAAAUUUUCAUUAUUCUUUCUAAAAGAAAAAUAUGUUAUUUCCUUGAUUACGGAAGAUAGAUAUUUUGACAUAAAGUGCACUUAUUAAGGUAAACUUUGUGCAUUAUACAUUGAAAUUAGAAAAUUGUAUUUAAAUCCAGUUAGAAAGGUACCAUAAAAGAUGCAUAAUUGAAAUGAAGGCAUCCAUGCCAAUUUGUAACUGUUGUCAAAUAACACCUUCCCUUGACAUUUUAUGUCCCAUGCCUGCAUGUCAAAUCUCCAACUAAGACUACUCAAAGAGCACCUAAAAGAAAAUUACCAAGAUUUCAUCACAUGCAGAACUCGAGAUGCUAACAUUGAACCAUGGGAGGGAUCAACAAGAAACAAAAUACUUACCCAUAAGUUUGUAAUUUGUUGUACUCAAAACCCGCUUCCUAGUCAAACUUUCAACACAACUCCAUGGAGACUUUCACAAAUAGUUAAGCCACUAGUAGAAAAUAACAUCAAUAUGAGAAAUUGACAAGGUACUGUGCAAAUAAAAGAGUAUAAAUGUGUGUUGAGAAUAAGAGUUACCUUAAUUAAUGUAAGGAUAGGAUAUGGUUGAAUUGGCUCUGCACCUAUUUUUGCAAUUUGAAUUUAUUACGGUUCAAAAAUGAGUUUAUGAUCUAUCCUCACUUUAGGGAAAGUGGGCAAUCUUCUUGAAACAUCUUUGAUUUAGAGAUUCGAUAAAACUUAAAAGGCAACCUUUCACUUGGAAAAGAGGGCUAGAAUAGGGCACCCCUCAAUCUCUACAAGUUAAAGAGAUGAAGUUUUGAAGACCAAGGAAGGGGGCUAGGGAUUCUGGAUUUGACAAUAUUUUCAUUGAAAUAUCAAUGAGAGUUGUAGCAAGAAAUACUGUAAAAAAGAAAGGAUGUGAAAGGUGGAAAUUCCACGAUUUCCAAUGAUUCAAGAAGAUAAUUCCUAUGGCUAUUGUUGUCAUUGUGCAUCAUUCAACUAGCUAUAGACUACAUAAUUGAACAAUCAUGAACACAUAGAUGCUCAAAUAAGGUAUGUAGUUCAUUGAGUGGAAAAGCAAAUGAGACUUGGACAUCUCAAGAUUUCUAGGAAUCAAGACAGAUACAAGUUGUUGUUGUUUCCUAUUAUAAUUCAUCUAGAUUGCAAUCAACAAGCACUAACUCCAUUCACUGCAUGUUUUGAGUCUUCAACAUAAAACCCAAAUUCCAUUCUAUCAACCAAAAAAAAAAAAAAAAAUCCUAAUAACUCCUCUAGAAACCAUUUUUUGUCUCAUAUUAUAAGAUGUAGGAUGUAACUCACUUCCAUCAUUGAGAAUGAAUUGAUAAAACUUUGCAAUACUAGUAUAUUCAGCUUCAUUAUAAUGACCUCAUUAGAACUAGAAUAAGUGAAGUGAUAAUGUUAUCUAAUUAGUAAACCAAACCAAGUUAAUAAACUAGAACUUCCUCUAGUAUAGCCUCUACGUAAAAGAAAUUUAAAGGUCUUGAUACAUUAGAUAUUGAAAUUGUUGGAUUAAAAUCUUAUUUAUUGCACCUGGCAAGAUAGAAGUAAUAAUGCUAAUUUCGAAUUAUGACAGAUUAUAGAGAAAAUUAGACAUUGAGAAAAUACCAAGCCAAAAGCCAUGUCAAGAUCUGCUUUCUAGUUAAAAAUUUUAGCAAAAAAUUAAGUCCAAUUAAAAAAAAUUGCAGUAGUAGGUAAAAGAAAUUGAAAGUGAUGUUGAGGAGAGAAAGAGGAAUAAUGAUGUUGGGAAUGAGAUGUAAUACCUGUUUUAUUGCUCAGAGAUGGAUUAGUCAUAUAUUUCUUGACUAACCUUAUAAAUUAGUAGAAUUUAACAAGUUACAAAUAGUUCCCCCACCUAAUCUUUUAAAUUAAUCUUGAUGUUGACAAGCAAUUUGCCAACCAUAAUUAUAAAAAGACAAAUAAAUCGAGUUGAUUUACUAGAUUGCAAGUGGGUGCCCUUACCUAAUCUUUUAAAUUAAUCUUGAUGUUCACAAGCACUUUGACAACCAUAAUUAUAAAAAGACAAAUAAGUCAAGCUGAUUUUACUAAAUUGAGAUUAAUAAAUUGCAAGUGGGUGCCCUUUACCUAAUCUUUUAAUUUAAUCUUCAUAUUGAUAAGAACCAAAUCGGCCAUAAUUAUAAAAAUAAGAAGACGACAAGCUAUGAUUACUUUUAUUAACUAAAAUUUAAUAAAUCACAAUUUCUCUUACCUAACCUUUAGAUUAAUCUUGAUAACUUUGCAAUAUAAUUAUAAAAAGAGAAAGACGACAAACUAAUUUAAUUGGCUAAUUUUAUUAACUUAGGUUUAAUAAAUUAAAAUUAGGUUGAUCUCUUACCAAUCUGUGGACCCCGUAUUUCGGCUCAUGCGUUUCCCACUCAAUGGCGAGCUUGAUUUUUAUUUUGAAAAAUGAUUUUAUUGAUUAAGAACAUGACUUGGAGUCGCCACUUAUUUUUGUUUUAUUUUUAAAAGGGUAAACAAAAUAAGACAGAAAACCCUAGGUGUGACUCCUUGUUUUGGAAAAGGUUGGUCUGCGAAAAAUCGGAUCGGGUUUCGGGGGUCAGGUUACUUAUUGGGAAGGUACGAUGGAGAUCGUAGCACCCCUCUAAAUCCCUAGAAACGGGUCUCUACUAAUAAAAUGAAGCAAUCAUGGCAAUCGAUUAAUCGAGCAUGGAUACCAAAUGAAUGUCACUCAAAACAAAAUAACUGAAUGAACGAGAGAGGCAAAGAAUGUACCUAAGUGAUGAACCGGUUUACUUCAAGGGAAACAAGGGUUAGUGAACCAAUAUAAGAUGAAUAUAUGCGUAUCACAAAGCAGAAUAAAUCAAUCACGCAUGACAAUUGGAUGAAUCAAUCCAUUAAUCAAUCAUAAAUCACAUGUGUAGGGCCCCCACCAAAGCCCGGUUUUUGACAGACCACAUUUUCCAAAAUAAGGAGUCACACUUAGGAUUUUCUUUCUUAUUUUGUUUACCCUUUAAAAAAUAAAACAAAAAUAAGUGGUGACUCCAAGUCAUUUUCUAAUAAAUAAAUCAUUUUUCAAAUAAAAUCGAGCUUGCCAUUGAGUGGAAAACGCAUGAGCCGAAAUGUGGGGUCCACACUAUCCUUUUUAAUUUAAUCUUAAGAUCAAUAAGAAUCAUACAGACCAUAAUCAUAAGAAGAGCCAAAACAAAAGUCGAUUUGAUAUUUAAUUAGUUAAUUUUAUUAACUAUAAGAUAUAAAAAAUUGUUAAGAGGUGUCUUAAAUUCCAAAUUAGAAUAUACCAUUUUUUUGUGAAACAAAUAUUACAUAGAAUAUUUCCAAAGUUUAUAUGUGAUUGUAAUUAAAUUCAAGCUAGUACAAAUAUAUUUAUAAAUAUUUUAGGACCUGAAGAGAAAAAAUUAUGGAAGAUAUGAAAAAGAGAUGUGAUCAAGAGCAAGAGACAUUGGUAGAACAAGAGGGUUCACUAGGGAAGGGUGUAGAUGUGAAGAAGAAUGAGAAACACUUAGUGGAGCAAAAUGAUUCUUGGUUUAUGAUAGAGAUACAAAGAGCAGGAAAAAUGAGAUGUUUGGGCCUUAGUAGUUGUCUAACCGUUAUAUGUGGUUUUCUUUAUUCAUGUGUUCUUCCUUUAAUCUUUUUGAAUUGAGGUUUCCAUUUUUCUUUUGUUCCUAGGAUUUUUUCAUGUUAUCAAUUAUGCCCAUUUCCAAUUUCAUUAGAAACUUGUGUUCUACAAUUUGGGAAAUGAAAAUAAUUAUUUUUCUAUAAUUUUUGUAUAAUUUUGUUAGUUAAUAAAAAGUAGAAUAUAGAUAAUAUUAGCCAUCAAAUAGAAAAAUAAAUAUGACAAUUAAUGUGUUUUCACAUCAUAUUUGUACUUAGAUGGUUUUGCUUGUAUGAAGUAAUUUAAUGCAACUAUGAAGAUUUAUAUGAAAUAAACUUUAUAUAAUUUUAGAUUUAAUAAUCGAUUAAUUUUUAUUUGAAGAUACAAAAACAUAAAAUAAAAGUCUUGUUCAAAAACUAUUAUUGAAAACAACAUGAAAAAUGAGGUUUUUUCACUUAGAAAUAUACAUUUGACAAACUUUUGAUAUAAAACAAUUUAUUUUUAGAAUUUAUUCUUCAAAUAAGUUAUUUUUCAGAACAAAAUUGAUUUUUUUUUUAAUUUUUUCACAAUAAUUUAAAUAAAAAUUGAAGAUAUAGAUAAUAUAUAUUUUGGAAAAUUUUGUAUCGUAUUUAAGUGUACAAUUCCUUUGGAAAGAAUAAAUCGAAAUGGGUAAUUGCAAUUUUCAAAAAUUGUUUUGAAGAAUUAUUUUCACAAAUGUUAUCAAAUGAGCUCAAAACUUUCUACAUCAUUUAUAUUAAUCUUGAGUUCAAUAAAAAUCUUUCCACAAUUGAAAAGAGAAAAAAAAAAAGUUAAUUAGUUGGUUAAUUUUUACAAUCCUAAAAAAGAAAAUUAUAAAAAAUAAUAAUAUUUAAAAAAAUUUAAAAAAAAAAUUCACUAGCUAAAAUAAAAAUUCACUAUCAAAAUAAAAGAUUAUCUAUUAUUUUUCUAUUUUUGACUUAUAAUCAAGAAUGUUCAUAUAAUUUCUUUUACAAUAACAUACUAAAGUAGAAAGAUAUUAAAAUGGAAAAAGAAAAUGAUUAACAAUAAAAUUCAUAAAAAGAAAUGAAAAUUAAGAAGAUUUUAAUCCACUUGAAAUUUAUUUCAACGAAAUAGUAUUGCAUUUAAAUUAUUGAAGGUCAUACCAAUUUAUUUUCUUCCUUUUUUAAUACUUAAUUUUGUUAUCAAACGGUGAAAAAAUUACUAAUCAAGGAAAAUGAGAAAAGAAAAUAUUUUUCUUGAAAGUUGAUGAAUUUGUUAAGAAAUGAAAACAAAAGGUCUUUUAUGGGAUACUUUAUUAAAUUAAAUUAAAAACUUAAUUUAAAUCAUUAAAUAAAUUAAGUAUGUUUAGUAAAAUAACAUAAUGGUAUGAUUUAAAAUAAAUAAAAAACUUUAAAUGAUAAAUAAAAAUAAUUAACUUAUUCUUAAAUUCAUAUUUUUAUUUUACCUUUUUAUCCUAAUUUUCCAUAAUUACCUUCACAAUUUCCUUUACUAUUCCACGAUCUUUACUUUUACACGAUCUCCUUUACCCUAGUUAUAAUUUAUGAGGAUAAAUAUGUCAAUUUGAUCAUUUAUAAUUAAUCAUAAGUUAGUUUUGUAAAACAAUCUUCAUACUUAAAAUAAAAAUUAAGUAAUAAGUUUUAAGUUAAUAAUUUAACUAAAAGUCAACUUAAAUAAUUAAGUAAUUAGUAUUAAGUUUUAUCAAUUUGGGUGACCAAUUUUUAUUGAAAAUAAAAAACCAAACAAAAGCUGAUCAAUACAAAAGAAAAAAAAAUGAAUGGUAUGAAGUAGACAUUUUGUCUUUAUGAGAUUAUUGAUGGAAGUGUAAUAGACUAUAAACAAGUCUAUGAGAAUCAAUUCCAAUGAGUCCUAAAACACAUCUAUGAGAAAUAAAAUAAAACCAUGACAUAAAGAAAUGAUAUUUAAGUGUUAAUAAAUAGGAAUCGGAUACAUAUAAAUAAAAUUUAGAUUGAUUAUAAAUGAAAUUAUUUUUAUUAUGUGGUUGUUUUUAAUGGACCACCAAUUUUUAUUUUUAUUUAUUUUUUUAUAUUCCAUAGAAAAAUUACUUUCCAAUACCAUAGAAUCACCCUAAUUUCAAAUUGAGAUUUACUAUCUUAAAUUUUAAAUUUUUAAGGGCAUGAACUAAAUCUAUAUUUUUUGUUAAGAAUUUCUAUUCUUUAUAUGGAAGUUUUUAUCAAUUUUUAUUUUUAAAAACAAAAAAUAAGUACUUAGAGUACCUUUGACAAUAAUUUUAAGAAGUCUUUCUAAUAUUUUAAAUACUUGAAGAAUAAAAAAUUUUAUUUAUUGAAACAAUUGAAAAAUGCACUUUUAGUAUGUAAUGAUAUUAAUUUCUUCGAAGAGAGAGAUUUACAUUUAAGAUAAAAAUAAAUAAAUAAAACAAUACAAGGAUAAAAAAUUAUUUUUAAAAAAAACUUUUAACUUCUUGUACUUUAUCAUUACACACUUUUUUCAUUAGAUGCUUUAAAUAAUUUUUAUGAAAUAAAAUUAUAAUUAUAUUGAUGGAGGGCUAAUUAACUUUGCUUUAGGUGAGAAAGAUAGAGAUAACAUUGAAGUGGGUCCACAUCUAAAACAAAAAUGAAAUAAAAAGUAAAGAUGAAGAUAAGGUUGAGGUGGGUUCACAACUAAAAAAAGUAUGAGAUGAAUUGACCAAAGCUUAUGCCUUCUUCCAAAUAGUAAAAGCAAAGCCCAAUAGUAUAAAGUGAUGACACUAGUCCUAUUCAAGGCCCCACUUGCAUAAUUGCUACAUCUUUUGACUUGAUUUUAGUUCAAUUUCACUAAAAUGAAAUCAUUUAUUUGAGCCCAAAAAUUCAAAUCCAAAUCCAACCCACUUAUUUAUAUACAUUAUUGGCAUGGAAUCAGAAGAGUUAUAAAGUAAGAAAAUUUGAUCAUAUGAUAAAUAGUAAUUUUUCAAAGUUGGAGCCAAUCCAAUACCCAAUGGGUAUAAAAGAAAAAUGAAAGAUGUGGAAAUUAUAGUGGAAUCUUGAAACAAAAUUUUGAGGUUUAAAGUGAUGUGACAACCGUUUCCAAGUAAUUGCCUAAGAAUGUGAGAUGUCAUUGAAAAUUGAUAUUAAAUCUCAUUGGGUAACUAUAAGAAUUGCUUUACAUAAAGACAAGUAAUAAAUAUAUCCUGUUUUUUCAAAAAGUUUAUGACCCUAAGUGAAUAAAAUGGUGAAUAAAACUUUUAGAGUAGGAUGAAUGCAUUUCACGUGAGUCAUGUCCUAGAUAUAUUUUUAGAAUUUUCUAGUAGGAUGUCGAGGAAAACUCUAUGAUGAGUGCUUUCUUUCUAGUUAAGGUAGGUCCAAUUUGGUGCAAUUCGCCAACAUAAUUCAAACCCAACUUAUGUUUUAGGGAUUUGAAUUGAGUAAAAUCAUAUUUAAAUUAAAUUAAUCAUAUGAAUCUACAUAACCCAUUUAAUAAAUAGAUUAUUUUUAGGUCAAUCUGGAUAACUCACAUUUGACUCAAAUUAACUUAUUUAAUAAUGGUAUUGGUUAACCUAAUAAUAACUUUAACUUAUUGAACUCAUAUUUGACUCAUGUAAAUUUUUUUUCUUCAAUAAGUAUGUCAUAAUUGGGUCAUAAACAUGUCAUAUUAGAAUAUUAACCAUAUUAUUUCAUUCAACAUUUAACUUGACUUGAUUAUGAAAUAACAUCUUAUUAUUAAAUCGGUUAAACCUGUUAUAAUGUAUCACCUAGAUAAUAAUUAUAUUGUGUUUGAGUUUAUGUUUUAAAUUUUUAUUAUUAUUCAUGUCAUGUUUGGGUUGAGUUAUUUAGUGGAGGAUCUAACCUUUGAUAUAACACAAACACAACCCACUAACAUAAAUUGUCAUCCUCACUUCUACUAAUAAGUGAUUUGUUUCUUACAAUUAAGAAAAUUGAGAAGAUAUAAUUUUUUUUAUAAAUCUUAAAUGCAUGAUUAAAGUUAAUUAUAACUUUUAAAAGUUUUCUAAUUCAUAUUCCAUCCAAACUAACAAAAUAUUAGAAAUCUUCAAUGGUUUUGUCUACAAUAAUUGUGUUGUGCUAAAUUAUCCCCUUCUCUACUAACCAAAACAUGUUCUUUCACAAUCAAAUAUCAACAUGUUUAAGCAGCCGGUGAGGCAUCUCUUGACAAUGAGGUGAGAGGUAGAAACAAGAAACAUACCUGUAUUCAAGAAAAGUGUUGUUUCUUCAUUUGCAUUAGACAACAUUCAUUUAGUCUAAACUUGAAGGUGGAUUGCUAGAAUCUAAGCUCUUGGAAAGACAUAAGAGAACUACAUUUAGAAAUAUGAAAGAAGCCUAGAGACUUGUUGCUACUUGUGAAUCACUGUAAUCAGAAACAAUUCCAGAUAAUCCUGCAAUUUUGGCCCUUUGAUUUGCUCUGUUGCAUUUUUCCAAGAACAAUUCUAAAAUGUUUUUCUUUAUUGAGCUAUAAUGAUUUUAUUAUUAGGAUUUAAUUAUAUUCAUUAGGUUUGCAAAUCACAAAAAUGGUGUCGUGCCUAUGAAUAUUUUUCUCUUUGAUCAUGUAAAGUUGGGAAGCAAUUAUGAAAUACUAUGAUAGCACAAUAUAUUGAUCCACACAGUUUGUGGCAUGACAGUUUAAUGAAAUUAUAGAAGUGUAGCACUCAUGGGUAUGUCAUGUGAACCGUUUUCAAUGGGGCUACUUGUUUAAAUUUACAUGGGUGAAUUGUCACACCAAUAUCCUUUGAUGAACCUUGGGUUUUUUUUUUCUGUUUCUUCCUCUCUUGGUCAAGACAAACAAUUUGUCUUCAUAAGGACUUCGUGUUACCAAUAAGCAGCAUCUUGUGUUCUCCUUCUCUCCAUCCCUUGUCAAGACACAUCAAUCUGAUGCAUCUUUGCAUUGGGUUGCUUCCUCUCCUUUCCCUUUCCUUCCUCCUUGAGGCAAAAUCGCAUCAUUGCUUAGUUUUGACUAUGUUUAUUUUGAUCAUUGUGAGAGAGCAUCAUUGUAAGAUGAACAAGAAACGUGUUGUGGUGCAUUAUUCCCUCCUCUACCACCUAAAAUCUAUUUUACACGAUCAUAAGGACCAAGGUGUUUUAAACAUCAGGUAAGAAUUUGUUGACAAUGAUAUGAGAGAUAGAGACAAGCAACAUACCAGUAUUCAAAAGACGUGAUGUUCUUCUUUUGAAUUUGACAACAUUCAUUUAAUCUAAACUCCACAUUUGGGCAACUCAGAAUCUCCACCUUCAUUAGGAUUGCAGGAAGCUGGCUUCUUGGAAAGACAUGGAAAUGGGGCAUCUAGAAAUCCAAAAGAAUUCUAAAGGCUUGUUACUACUUUUGAAUCAUUCCAAUUAAUAACAACUCUAAAAGAUAUAAACAAAUCUGUCCCUGGGAAAGAGACGUGUCAUGUGCAUAUGCAACUAUCUCUCUAAUAGACUUAGGGUUGUGCACCCUCAUGGUAGUUUCUUAUAUAUUGCACCAUAUGAGUUAAAGAUAUUCAACUACCAAUAUCACUACACCUUAAUGAACUAGGAGUUAUGCUGAAAGUGAAGUUGACAACCCAUCAUCGAAAGAAUCCUAUAGGAAUACACCAAAAUGAAAAUCUUAUUAACAUAAAUGAAUUCAUCCAGUUAAAAGAUAAAGUUGCUUGAAAAAUUGAAUUGGGAGAGAUAGAAAUAUUAAUGCUUUCAUAGGAUUGUGGAAGGGGUCAACAAGUGGAACAAACAUUGAAUAGUAAAUGUAAAUCCAUAAAGCUUGUAACUAUUGUCAAAAGUUGCUCCCUAGUGAAGUUUUUUCACAAUAAAGGUAAGUGCAAAAUUCACCUAAUAGCUCCACUUGUAGAAAAUUUCAAUGGUGUGAAACUAGGAUAUGGUGAACUCGCUUCCGCUAUUGCAGUGAACCAUUAUGGAUCAAAAAUGAAUCUCACCAUUGGUUUUCACAUAGGAGAUGUGGGCUAUCUUUGGCCCAUAUCUCAAUAUUGGAUUUAGGAGUUCUGUUUCUCAUAUAUGGUUCCACUUGCAAAAUACAAAUGGAGCUUAGCUGAUGAUAACAAAUUUAGAAAAAUGCAAGAAUUCCAUAGACAUGUUUUAUGCUAUCAUGAAUCAUUCCAAUCAGUAAGGAAUCGAAGUGCUAUAAUUUUGAAUUGUCUUAAGGAACAAACCCCAAUUCCAUCUUGUGAAAGUAAACUAUCUUGAGCACCAACUCAAUUAUGAGUUCUUUAGGAGACUUGAGACACCAAUUCAAUCAAAGAUGCUAGUUGUUUCUGAGGUAGAUUGUCUUCCUCCAUUAAUACUAGGGAAAAUGCUUUUGAAGACCAUUCAUCUGCUAAUUACAAAGGGAAAUGAGAUUAUGUGAUCUGGGAAGAGAAUUAAGCUUCAAAAUAUUGCCAAUAUGCAACCAACAAUUUCUAAUUCUAUCACUUCUAUUCUAGCAUGUGAUUUGUGAAGAGAAUUAAGCUUUGAAAUGUUUCCAAUAUGCAACAAAUUGAGAGAGGCCAAGUGGGCAACCACCAUAGCUAGUUCACAAACAAAACAUGUUUCCCACAAUCAUAAAUACCAAGGUGUUUAAGCAUGAGGUAUGGCAUCUCUUGACAAUGAUGUGAGAGAGAGACAAACAACAUACCAGUGUUCAAGAGAAGUAGUAUUCUUCUUUUCCAUUCGACAACAUUCAUCUAUUCUACAUCCCAAAUUUUUAGCAACUUAAGAUCUCCACCUUCAUUAGGAUUGCAGGAAGCUAGCCUCUUGAAGACACGAGAGAACAUUUAGAAAUCUAAAAGAAUUCCAAAGACUUUCUGUUGCUUGAAUUGUGAAUCAUUCCAAUCAUAAAUACCAAAGUAUUCUAAGAUCAGGUAAGACAUCUCUUGAUAUUGAUGUGAGAGAUAAAGACAAGAAACAUACCAAUAUUCAAGAGAAAUAGUAUUCUUCUUUUGCAUUUGACAACAAUCAUCUACUCUAAACCCCAAAUUUUAGCAACUUAGGAUCUCCACUUUCAUUAGGAUUGCACGAAGCUGACCUUUUGGAAACACAUGAGAGGACAUUUAGAAAUCUAAAAGAAUUCCAGAGACUUGCUAUUGCUUGAAUUGUGAAUCAUUCCAAUCAUAAAUACCAAGGUGUUUCAAGAUCAAGUAAGACAUUUCUUAGCUAUGAUAUGAGAGAUAGAGACAAGCAACAUACCAGCAUUCAAGAGAAGUAGUAUUCUUCUUUUGCAUUCAACAACAUUCAUCUACUCUACACCCCAAAUUUUAGCAACUCAGAAUCUCCACCUUCAUUAGGAUUGCAGGAUGCUGGCCUUUUGGAAACACAUGAGAGGACAUUUAGAAAUCUGAAAGAAUUCUAGAGACUUGUUGUUGCUUGAAUUGUGAAUCAUUCCAAUCAUAAAUACCAAGGUGUUUCAGGAUCAGGUAAGGUAUCAAUUGGCAAUGAUGUGAAAGAUAGAGACAAGUGACAUACCAUUAUUCAAGAGAAGUAGUAUUCUUCUUUUGCAUUCGACAACAUUCAUCUACUCUACACCCUAAAUUUUAGCAACUCAGGAUCUCCACCUUCAUUAGGAUUGUAGGAAGCUGGCCUCUUGGAAACACGUGAGAGGACAUUUAGAAAUUUGAAAGAAUUCCAGAGACUUGUUGUUGCUUGAAUUGUGAAUCAUUCCAAUCAGUAACAACCCCAAAGCCCUAUAUACAAUUUUGAACUGUCAACCUUCUUACAUUGAAUGAAAAACCUAUCCCUAGGAAAAAGGUGUCUUGGGCAUACAACCAUCAAUUAUUAUCUCUCGAAGAGGCUUAAAGUAGUGCACCCUCUUGGUAGCUUCUAAUUCAUUACAUCAUAUAACUUCCAGAUAUCCAAUUGACAUGUCACUACACCUAAAUGAAGUAGAAAACAUGGUGAAUAGGAAGUUAGACAACCUUUCACAAAAAGAAUCCUGCAACAAGAAUACACCAAGCAGAACUUCUUGUUAACAUAAAUGAAUUCACUCAGUUAAAUUAUUGUGUUAAAAUUUAAAUUGGGAGAAAUAAAAAUACUAAUGCUUACAUGGGACUAUGGGAUGACCAACAAGAGGAACAUACUAUGAAUAGAAAAUGUGAAGCCAUAAAGCUUGUAAUUGUUGUUAGAUGCUGCUUCCUAGUCAAGUUUUCAACAAAAAGGUUGAGUGUAGGGGUUCUCUAGUAGUUGAACUUGUAGAAAAUUUUAACAGUAUGAUAAUUUAUACUUGUAACAAGAAGAUAAAAUGUAAGAAUUAUGUGUUGGGAAUAGAUGAAACUUACUAAAUAUAUGGAUAGGAUAGGGUGAACCCUCUUUGCUUCCAUUUUUGGAAUCCAAAUUAUUAUGGAUCAAAGUUGGAUUUCUCCAUCUAUUAAAUACAACUAGAGCUUAGGUGAGGUUUUGGUGAUAUAGGAAAUUCAUGGAUUCUGGAAUCUUUACAUGGAAAUAUACAUGAGUGAUUCAUUGGAAGAAAGGGCAAGCCUUAGUCAUAUGAGAAGAAACAAAUCUUAAAUAUACUAUCAAUCUUGAGUUGUUUGAGAGUGGUGAGUCUGUGAAGGCCUCCCUCAGAUAAGGGAUGUCUUUGACAUUUCUCCUUCUUCAAUCUCAAGAAGGUACACCAUCAACUAGAAAAUUAGGAAUGUGAGUCAUCAUGAACAACUUGUUUAUGUUCUUUAUUCUUUUCUCACUAAAGGGGAUUAAAAGAUAUGUAGUUGCAAGGACAAGAGAUGUAGCCAGUAGUGAGAGCAUCAAACAAUCCUUCUCUAAUGCAGACCAUAAAUUUUAGCAACUCGUGAUCUCCACAAUUUAGAGCAUUGAAGGAAUUUUCCUUGUUGGAAAGAUGUGACAUGACAUUUAGAAAUAUGCAAGAAUUCCGGAGUUCAUUCCAAUCAUUAAGGAAUCCAAAGCCCUAUAAUUUAAAUAGGGCAUCCCCUCGGCAUGGAUAACACACCUAUCUUGGAAAAAAGACUGGGCACCAAUUCAAUGAUUAACUCUCUAUGAAACUUGAGAUACAAGGUACUAAUGUUAGUUGCUUCCGUGGUAGUUCUUUUACUGGUAUUGGGGUAAAGCCUUUUGAAAACCCUCAAUCUACAAAUUACCAAGGACAUGAGAUCAUGUUGUAAUGUCAUCUCCAAUCUCUAGCUACAAACAAAUUAUUUCUUUCAAUUAACAAUCUUUAAUGCAUUCACUUCUAUCAUACGAUAAGCAAUUUUGGAAAACAAGUAAGCUUUAUAAUAUUAGGAAUAUGCAAGGAAUUGAUAAAGGCCAUGAAUCUGCUUUCAAAAAAUAAAUUAUAAAAACAAAGAUUUUUUCACCCAUGAAUAUUGUAAUCAGCUUCCAAAAAACAUUAGGUAUUGCAAUAACCAAAUGUUCCUCAGGUUACCAAGAAUGUUUUUUUUUCACCCAUGCAUAAAAUAAAAAGAAAAUAAGAAAGCAUACCAUACAACUCACAAAUUUGUCAAGUAUGAGUUCGAUUCGUGACCAUGCACAAUUGCAUUAAGUAUUUGAAAGCCAAAUAAGGCUAUUUGCAAUUCAAAUAAUACCAUACAACUCACAACAGAAUCCUCAUAGCUCACCAUAGAAUGAGAAUUCAAUUGUCUUUCCUCUAGUCAUAAGAGUUUGUGCUCUUCGAGCCUUUGACUUGCACAACUCAAGAAAGCAAGACAUGCCAAAAGACUCCUUCACCUCAAACAUUAUUCAAAUCCAUAGUAUAAAUCUAGAUAAGAUAAUUUUCUACAAAUAUAACAUGUUGCAAACAAAUAACAGUAUGUUGGUUUAAAAUUGAAGAGCAUUUCAAACCAAACAAAAUAGAAAAAAUUUCAGUGUAUAUCACUCACCUAAAAGCUUGUAUGUUGGAUAAAAUUCUUGCUAAUGAAUCUUGACAAUUAUUUGCAAUCAAAAUUUAGUAAUGAUUUAUAAACAAAAAAAAAAAAUUACAAAUUUUUUUAGCAAUGUUCCAUGAAAAACACAUUGCAUAUUGAUUGAGAAAUUAAUAUGAAAUCCACUAAUUUGAAAGGCACUAAAAACCAGAUGUUGUCUUGAGUUCUCCACGUAUCAAAAUAGAUGCAAGUUUCUAUUCAAGCCACCACAAUCACGAAGCACGAGACUUCUUUGCAUGGAAAGCACACUAUAUUUUAAACAAGGUUCUUAACUUUCCAAGAGACAUAAGAACAUGGUGUGUUGUAGAAACUGUACAAUAAAUAAAUGGAAGUUAUGCACUUGCUACUUAGUUUUUUAAUCAUGUGUGAAAUAAAUAAAGAGGUGUUACUUGCAUUUAGGCCAAACUUGUAGUCUCCAAUGUGAAAUCCAAAUCUCAUUUUGUCAACAGAAUAAGAGCAUUAAACAUAUAGCAAAUUGAAUCCUUCCUUUUGAAAAUUUGAAAACCUUAAAGGAAUGACUUGAGAUCAUAAAUAACUAUACGGUAAAGAAAAUUUUCAUCAUUCAUUCUAAAAGGAAAAUUUGUCAUUUCCUUGAUUACAGAAGAUUGAUAUUUUAACAUAAAGUGUACUUAUUAAGGUAAAAUUUGUGCAUUAUAUAUUGAAUUAGAAAAUUGUAUUUAAAUCCGGUUAGAAGGGUAUCACAAAAGAUGCUUAAUUGAAAUGAAGGCAUCCAUGCCAAUUUGAAACUAUCGUCAAAUAACACCCUCCCUUGUCAUUUUACGUCCCAUGCUUGCUUGUCAAAUCUCUAACUAAGACUGCUCAAAGAGCACCUAAAGAAAAUUACGAAGAUUUCAUUACAGGUAGAACUUAAGAUGCUUACAUUGACCAUGGGAGAGAUCGAUAAGAAACAAAAUACUCACCUAUAAGUUUGUAACUAUUGUACUCAAAACUUGCUUCCUAGUCAAACUUUCAACAUAACUCCAUGGAGACUUCCAUAAAUUGUUGAGCCACUGGUAAAACACAACAUCAAUAUGAGAAAUUUACAAGGCUAUGUAGAUAAAAGAGUAAGAAAUGUGUAUUGAGAAUAAGAGUUACCUUAAUGAAUGUAAGGAUAGGAUAGGGUUGAAUUGGCUCUACACCCAUUUUUGCAAUUUGAAUUUAUUAUGGUUCAAAAAUGAGUUUAUGACGUAUCCUCAUUUUAGGGGAAGCGGGCAAUCUAGGGUCAAUCUCUAUCAUUCUCCUUGAAACAUCUUUGAUUUCAAAGUUUGAUAAAACAUAGAAGACAUCCUUUCACUUGACAAGGAGGACUAGAACAAGGCAUCCCUCAAUCUCUACAAGUUAAAGAAAUGAAGUUUUGAAGACCAAGGGAGGGGGCUAGGAUUCCAGAUUUGACAUUAUUUUCAUUGAAAGAUCAAAGAGAGUUGUAGCAAGAAAUCCUGUCAAAAGGAAAUUGCAUUUAACAAUAUACAAUAUAAAAUGAAUGAACUGAGUUUUUAGAGAGGUGAAUAUUUGGAGGCUCCACAAAGAUAAGGGAUUUUAAUACCCUUGCAAGUGUAUUCUUGAAAUUGUUUCCUCAAAGGAAACUUGAACCUGGACAAUGUGCAACACAAAGCUAUUAAAGAGAUGUGAGACUCUAAAUUUGAUGAGGUAGGACUUGAGAUUCGCAUUUUCUUUAGUGAGGAAUUCUGAGGUUGUAGACACACUAGUACUUUCCAGAUUUAGAUACUUCUCUUCAACUAUUUGUAUAACGUACAUCUUCUUUGACAUUGCUACUCCAACAGGAUGUCCAAUAGGAUGUGCAACCUAUUUGGGCAUACUACAUGUACAACAAAAAAUUUCAUUAAAACAAAAAACUUUUACUAAAACAAAAAUAUGAAGUUAAUGUCUAAGAAGAUAAGAUUUAUAUAUAGUGAAUUAUCAUGAUUGAUUUUAGCACAAAGGGAAUGACACCAAAAGUUUUAAGAAUAUCACCACCACAAGUACCUAAUUUGCAUCAUUAAAAAUUCCACAAGGAUUUGAUGGUUAGGCAAUAAAAUAAUUCUAGUAAAUGAGUUAAAAUCAGUUGAGCUAAGAAAGAUUAAAUCCAAAUAAGCAUCAAUCAUUAAAGAAUUAACCAACUACGAAAGACUUCAAAUGACUUUUUUUCUGUAAUUUCUGUUCCUAAUUGGCCCCAUUUGCUUGUACCAAAAUAUUAUUAAUUUGCUUUAAAGGAAAUGGGUGACUCAUAUCUCUGAAAGAAUGUGAGAGGUGGAAAUCCCUCGAUCUCUAGUGAUUCAAGAGGAUAAUUCCUAUGGCUAUUGUUGCCAUCAUACAUCAUUCAGCUAGCUAUAGACCACAAAAUUGAACAAUCAUGAAUAUGUAGAUGCUUAAAUAUGGUAUGUACUUUAUCUAGUGGAAAAGCUUAUGAGACUUGGACAUCUCAAGAUUUCCACAAAUUGAGACAGAUACAAGUUGUUGCUUCCUAUUAUAAUUUAUUUGGAUUGCAAUCAUCAAGCACUAACUCCAUUCACUGCAUGUUUUGAGCCUUCAACAUAAAACCCAAAUUCCAUUCUAUCAGCCAAAAAAAAAAAAUCACUACUAACUCCUCUGGAAACCAUUUUAUGUUGCUAAGAUUAUAAAAUGUAGGAUUUAACUUACUUCCAUCAUUGAAAAUGAAUUGAUAUAACUUUACAAUACUAGUAUAUUCAGCUUUUGACAUGGCUGAAAUUGAUCCUGGAAUAAAAAAUCACAUACACAAGUAGAUAUUUAACAGAAGAGGAUCCAAAAUCUCUUCAAUUGAUUAAUGUAUAAAUGAAUUAUUCAAAAUUUUUUGAGAUAAUUAUGGGGAGAUGAACCUUGUAUCUCUAAGUUUCUUAUUCUUCUUAAACAGAGCAAUGAGCAUCAAGUGUUGAGCACCUAGGAAUCUCCCUUCCUCCACAGGCAAAGUCUGAACAAUCUAUCCUUUCUUCAUAUUCCACUUCCUUGCAAAAGUCAAAACAUGAAGAAAAUAUCAUCAAAAUUGAGACAAAAAUAAGUGCAUCAACUAUCUCAAGAAGAGAUUUAUGCCUAUUGCUUACCUUUUGAAGAAGGCCACUUGAUUAGAGCACAUUUUACAUGGACGCCCAAUCACUGCAAGCUGCUGAACCAAAGGAGAGUUCAAACAUCUAAAAAAUUUGAAAAACUCAAGUAUCAUAAAAUACUUCAUAUGAAUUCUAAAUGAUCUCAUAUCUAAAAAACAUUGGCAUAAAAUUAUUGUUGUUUACCUUACAUGUUUCUUCCAUGGUCAUAAUCGAAACUUUGUUUAUCAUAAGAAAUCUUCUAUGCUCAUCUUGAUAACUUACAAUGAACACUGAAAUGAAAAGAAAAAAAAACACAAAAAAUGAUGAUUAGUUUGGUUUGAUAAAUUUAGCACACAUAAUUUCCUUUUUCUUGCAUGAGAAAGGAAAGAGUAAUAUAUAUAUAUAUAUAUAUAUAUAUAUAUAUGAAUUUAAUAAUUUUUUAAAAUUAGUAAUUAUAAAACUAUUUUGGUUCUCAAAAAAUUUAUGGGAAAGUAGGGAAAAAAAUUAUGAACUUUUUCUCUUGUUUGAUUAUUUAUCGAAAAAUUGAGGGAAAAACAAAAAUCUAUGAGAAAUUUAUUUAACACUUUUGAGGAACCAAAAAUGUUUUAGAUGUUGUCAAAUCGGUAAUUUAAAUGUGUUUAAUUCCAAUUAUUUGAGUUUAAUCAAACACAUGAAAUUGUGAAUAAAAUUAUUUAAAAGCAUUGAAAUUCAAGUCAUUAAAGUUGUCCAUAAAAUUUGGUUUAUUGAAACAAGAAAAAAACAAAGCAAUUUGAAUAACUUGCUAAUAAAGCAACUAACUAGAAUAUGCCCUAGAGUUGUUCAGUGCCCUCUAUAUAAGAAAUAAACAGAGAACACAAAAAAAAAAAAAACCCAGAAAAAAAGCAAACAAAAAACAGAGAACACUUCUUACGUUAUUUUUUCUUAAUUUUUCAACAGUUAUAAAUGAUUCAUUUCAUUUUUGCAAACUGCCAAAUCAAAAUAGAGCAUGAAAAUGUGUUCAAUAUUUGUGUCACCGUUUUUCCGGUAAAUGACCUCAUUGGAACUACAAUAAGUGAAGUGAUCAUGUCAUCUAAUUAGUAAACCAAACCAAGUCAAUAAACUAGAACUUCCUCUAGUAUAGCCUCUGUGUAAAAGAUAUUUAAAGGUCUUGAUACAUUAGAUAUUGAAUUUGUUGGACCUGGCAAGGUAGAAGUAGUAAUGCUCAUUUUUAUUGUGACAGAUUAUAGAGAAAAUUAGACACUGAGAAAAUACCAAGCCAGGAGCCAUGUCAAGAGCUGCUUUCUUGUUAAAAAUUAAGUCCAAUUAGAAAAUUAUAGUAGCGCGUAAGAGAAAUUGAAAGUGGUGUUGAGAAGAGAAAGAGGAAGAGUGAUGUGUUGGGAAUGAGAUGUAAUACCUUAUUUAUUACUCAGAUGGAUUAGUCAUCUAUCACCACUAGGGGUCUCCAACGGGCGGGCCGGGCCGUAAAUAGGAGGCCCGCGGCCCAGCUCGGGCCGGGCCUAUGGGCCCGUUGACUGGUCAACAGGCCGGGCCGGGCCGGGCCAGGGAAAAAUCUUCGGCCCGCGGCCCGGCCUAUGAGCCCGCGGGCUGGGCGGGCUGGGCUGCGGGCCGGGCUGGCGGGCGGGCUGGCGGGCCGGGCUGGGGGCGGGCUGGCGGGCCAAGCCUUGGGCUUUUUUAAAUAAGCCAAAAGGCUUUAGAAAUGAAUGGAGAGGGGGGGAUUCGAACCCCUCCCCUCAUGGUUCAAAGUAAAGGCUCUAACCAACUGAGCCACAUUACUUUUGUGUUUAAUGUUAGAGUUAGUUAUAUAUAUAUAUAACAUAAAGUAUAUUAUUUUUUAAAAAAAAAUUAAAGGCUCCAACGGUCAUGUGACCGUUGGAGCUCCAACAGUCCAACCCAUGCUCCUAGCUGCCAUGUGACCGUUGGGCAACGGUCACAUGGCCAAUUUUUUUUUUUUUUUUUUUUUAAAAAAAACCUUCCUAUAAAUACAUCUUCUCCCUUUUCAUUUUUUCAUCAAAUUCUCUCUAUUUCUCUCUCUAUUUCUCUCACAUUCUACAAUAUUUCAAUUUUUUUUAUUUUUCCCUCAAAUUAUACAAUAUUGUUGGUGGUGCAAAACAAGCAUUGGUGGCUCCAAGAGUUCAAAUUUGCUAGGAAUUUCUGCAUCGGUUCUCUAAUUGAGUAACAUACUUCACCUCUACUACUUUAUUUUUUUGUUACAUUUUUUUUUAUAUUUAUUACUUUAUUAUUUUUGGCAUAAUAUUUUAUCAAUAAUUAUAAUAUGACAACAAGUGCUUCUUCAUCUAGUCCAUGUGAUGAAAUAUCAUCAAACAAAAAAUUUACUUCAAAUAUAUGGAAUUUUUUUGAUAGAGUAGAAAUAAUUUUAGAAAAUAAUAAAAAAGAAAUAAAAGCAAAAUGUAAAAUUUGUAAUAAAUUUCUUACUGGUGGCUCAAAUGCAGGCACAAGUCAUUUAAAAAGACAUCACGAAAAUUGUAAAACUAAAAAUAAUGUAGAUAUUAGAAAUUAUAUGCAAUUAGGUAAAAAUGAAAGUGGAAAUUUAAAAACAUUUUCUUAUGAUGAAUCUAACUGUCGUGAAGAAAUGAUUGAUUAUAUAAUAAGAGCAGAACAACCUUUCAACAUGAUGGAAACUCAUGAUUUUGUAGGAACAAUUCAACGAGGUAUUAAUCCUCAAUUUAAAGGUUGGUCUGGAAAUACAGUUAAAAGAGAUAUUAUGAAAAAAUUUUAUACACAAAAAGAAAUUUUAAAAAUUUUUUUUGCAAAUUUUGAAGGAAAUAUUUGUUUAACAUCUGAUAUUUGGACAUCUUUAACUCACACUGGUUUUUUAUGUAUAACUGCUCAUUACAUUGAUAAUGAAUGGAAAUUAAAUAAAAGAAUAAUUUCAUUUAAAUUAAUAAAUGCUCCACAUAGUGGUAAAAAUAUAGCAGCUUUAAUAAAUGAAGAAAUUAUAAAUUUAGGCCUUCGUGAUAAAAUAUUGACAGUAACAUUAGAUAAUGCUGCUAAUAAUGAUGCAGGAAUAAAUAGACUAAAACUAUAUUGGCAAGUAAAAGAUGAUCAUGCUAAAAUAUUUCAUGUGCGUUGUUGUGCACAUAUUUUAAAUUUAAUUGUAAAGGAUGGAUUAAAAAAUGUUGAUGAUACAUUGGAAAAAAUUAGAGGCAUUGCAUAUAGUAUUAAUAGUUCUCAAGCAAAACAUGAAUUAUUUUUUGAUUGUUGCAAAAUGUUAAAUAUGAAAAGAAAAAAUAUAAAUUUGGAUAUGGCCAUUAGAUGGAAUUCCACAUAUAAACUUUUACAAAAUAUUACAAAAUAUAGAAAAGUAGUCGAAUUAUAUGAAAUACAAUUACUUAACAAUGAUUGUGAUGCAGAUAUUGAUGCAUUAAGUGAUUAUGAUUGGCAUGUUGCGGAUCUUUUAAGAGAUCUUUUUGAAAUUUUUGAUACUUCAACAAACAUUUUUUGUGGUGUAUAUUAUCCAACUUCAAAUCGAGUUAUUAUGCAAAUAACUAAUAUUUUUAUUGUACUUCAAAAAUAUUUAAGUUUUGAAAUAUUUAAUGAUACAAUAUUUGCAAUGAUAGAAAAAUUUAGAAAAUAUUGGGGAGAAAUACCUUUAAUUUUUUAUAUUGCUUUAAUUGUGGACCCUAGAUUGAAAUUUGAAGCUUUGGAUGAAUGGUUAACAAUUAUUUAUUUUAAUGACCAAAUAAAAAUUGAAGAAAUUAAAAAUGAAAUAAAUUCAUUAUUAUAUAAUUUAUAUAACUAUUAUAAAGAAAAAUAUGGUAAUGAUAUUAAUACUAAUAAAUUACCACCUACAUCUACAAACUCCUCAUCUUUUUAUAAAGGAGCUCUAGAAAUGUUGAAAAGUCGAAAAAAGACAACAAAUAGUUCUCCAAAUAAUACAUCUGAUUUAGAUAAAUAUCUUAAUACUGAUAUAAUUCCAUUUGAAGAUUUUGAUAUUUUAAUAUGGUGGAAAUCACAUCAACACAAAUAUCCUGUGCUUUCUAUAAUUGCUCGUGAUGUACUAACAGUUCCUGUGAGUACAGUUGCAUCAGAAGCUGCUUUUAGUGCAGGUGGAAGAGUUAUUAGUAAAAAACGAUGCAACUUAGCGCCAGACGUUAUUGAAGCAGGGAUAUGUGUAAAAGAUUGGGAAAUUGCAGAAAAAAGGAUGUACGAUUCCAUUCGAGAAACAGAGAUGCUUGUCGAUAUGGAAUCUUUAAAACUAUCAAGAUCUUCAUGGAUGCAUGAUAAUUCGCCAUCACCGCCAGAAAAUAAUGACUAAAUGUAUAUUAUAUUUUUAUUUUUAUUUUUUGUGGUUGAAAAAUACAAAUGAUUGACAAAUAAAUAGGUGCCAACCUAGUUGGGAUGUAUUUAUUUUGUAGUGAUGUAAAAUUUUCCCACAUUUUUAAAUGUAAUUAUACAUUCAAUGAAUAAAAUUUUGAAAUGAAUAUUUUUUUUAAUACUUUUUAUUUUUGUAGUUUUUUUUUUUAAAUGGGCGGGCCUAAGGGCGGGCCUACGGGCCGGGCCUACGGGCCGGGCCUACGGGCCGGGCCGGGCCUAAUUUUAGGCCCGCGGCCCGGCCCGCCCAUAAACGGGCUCGGGCCGGGCCGGGCCUAAAGCGGGCCGCGGGCCGCGGGCUUUUUGGAGACCCCUAAUCACCACACAGGGGAUGUGAGCAAUCUUGGGCCAAUCAUCUCCUUCCUCCUUCGAGUACCUUUGUGUUAGAUGUGGGCAACGCCACGCAUGCAGUCGAGAAAGGGUGUCAGGCAAUAGUCCUUCCCUUGGCAAAAUCGACCGGAGCUUAGGGCAACUUUCGAUUCCUAGUUGUUCAAGAGAGGUGAGGGUUUGGAGAGACAGGGAGGCUAGGGAUUCCAGAUUCUGGAAUUCUGAAAGGGAAAGGAAGGUGAUAAUUGUAGGAAAAGGAAUCGAGUGGGGGUCAUCCGAAAAGGAAGUUGCAUCUGGAAACAUGCCUCUAAUCCAGAGGUGUUUAAGAGAGGUGAGUCUGGAAAGGCCCCAUUGGGAUAGGGGGGUCUUGAUAUUCUUGCAGUUAGAGAUCUCGAGCCGUGUAAGACGGGUGAGCUUUUUUAUCUGAGGAAGCAACAAUUCCAGAUUUUCAAAAUCUGCAAUACGUAGAUUUGUGAGGGUGUUGAGGCAAUCUGGUAGGGUUUUGAGAUUAGGAUACCUCCAGAGGGUUAAAGAUUGAAGUGAAUUAUUAGUAGAGUGAAACAUCUCCUCUGAAAUUGACUCGAGGUGUUCACAAUCCCAAAUGUCAAGUCCCUCAAGGGUGGAGGGAAACUUGCCUCUUGGGAAGGAUGUGAGAGAUGAACAAUGACAGAUAGCCAGGCUUUGAAGAGCAGCAGCAUAUGUGGAAUCGUAGUGCAUUAUUCCCUCUGGUAGAGACUCCAGCUUUUCACAAUCACUUAUGUAGAGUGCCUUGAGAGUGAUGGGUAACCUACCUCUCGGAAAACCAAUCAAAGAGGGACACAUAUUUAGACUUAAGUAUUCAAGGGCACACAUGUCCAUGGUGCUGGUGGUGGCGAUGGAAUUGCAGUGCAUCAUUCCUUCUGGAAGAGACUUGAGAUUUUGACAAUCACGUAUGGUUAGUUUCUUAAGGGUGGUGGGUAAUUGCCCUUUUGGAAAGCAAAUGAGAGAUGGACACUUCCAUAUCCUUAAGCAUUCAAGGAGACACAAGUUGUUGUCAGUACUACCGUUCCUCAUCUUCAACAUCAUGCCAUCAGGUAGACGCUUUAGACCUUUACAAUUAUUAAGAAAAAGAUUUCUCAGCAUUGGUGGGAAACCUACAUCUGGAAAGAAGAUUGUCAAUUCUUCAAGGCAUGUUAGACUCUGCCAUCCAUUUGGAAGCCUCUCUAGUUUAUCACGUUUAAUUAUUUCCAAAGACUGAAGAUUGCAUCCCAAGGAUACAAGUUGAUCACAAUCUCUAAUCUCAAGAGAAAGAGAGUUUUUUGAUCCAAAACCAUCCUCCCACAAAUAUUCGAGUUCUUCACAUUCUGAUACUUCCAAAACCCGAAGCCCUUGCAAAAAUUGCACAAGUCCUUCAUGCAAUUUUACAAGCCUUGAAAUCCUAGAAAUUGUUAACCUGGUGAGUGAGGUGAGGUCAUUUCCACUUCUCAAGACCGCCUCAUUACAUCCUCUUACUUGCAAUUCCCUCAGCAGUGGAAGUCUUGAAAGUGGAGACUCCAAUUUUGGACAAAAGUGAACAGAGAGCUUUGUAAGAGAAGGUAGGUAAGUGGGUAGUUUCAUAAUCAAUUUGGGGCAAUACUUAAUUAUAAGCUCAUGGAGACAAGGGAAUAAUGACUCUGUUGAGGAAGACCAGUCCUCCCAGUGCUCCCAUUCUGACAUGCUCUCAAAAUGUAGAGACUCUAGUGAUGGGAAAAACUUACCUGCAGAAACACGAGUCUCUCCAUAAAACUCUGCACCCACUUUUUUUACUCCAACCAUUCCUUGGAUCCUCAACUGUUUGAGCGAUGGCAACUGCCCCAAGCAUGGUAAAGACGUGCACUUUCUGCAAUCUAUGAGACUUAGAUCCACCAUCUUAGAGAACAAGGCAUCCCCUAUCCAACGUGGGAAUUUUGGACCACCAUACAACUGAAUGCAGAGUUUGUUCAGAUUCAAACAACGUUGUAGAGAGUCAAGGACAUCCAUUUGAUUCCUUUCAUUCCCUGAACCAUCCAACUCAGAACUCCACUGCAUUAUCAAGCUUUCAAGGUUACGCUUUAAUUUUAAAUCGGCAUCCCUUGCAUCUUGAAUAUUCACCACAUUUUCCAAUUUCGAAAUGCAAAGUUCUCCUCGCAGAUGUGACACGUCCUUCAACUCUUUGAUUGUCAAACCUUUGUUUUUGUCCACAAUGAAAUUAGACAAUAUCCGCAAAUCUUUUAGUUUGUCAAUUCGUAUAGGCAUUUCUUGUAAUUUUAUUGCACCGGCAACAUCAAGAUGUCGAAGAUUGAUUAGGUUAUCGAUGCUAAUAGGCAACCUGAUAAGCUCUUUACAACAUGAUAAUUUCAAUGUCUGAAGGUAAAAAAGAUUACCAAUUGAAUCGGGUAACCAUUUUAUACUAAUGUAGGAUAAAUUAAGGUAUCUCAAAUGUUUCAACUUACCAAAUGAAUCCGGUAUCUCACUUAUCAUGUAAUUAGUCAAUGAGAGCACCCUUAAGUGCCCUAACCUUGGUAUCAAUUCUUCAAGCACCUUAUUACUUAUGAAGUGAUCAAGCCAUGUUGGUUGUUCAUCAAUCGGGAAAGCUAUGAAUGUGCGCAAGUGCUCCUUUUCAUGAAACCUUUCAAAAUUUUUAAAGAUAUCAUAAUGAUGAUGGAUGAAUGAUGAAUGACGAGCAUUUUUCAAAAAUGGGGCAUUGCAAAUCAUUCCACAACUCAUCAUCCAAAUGCAAGCAUGUGUCUCCAGCAAUAGAAUUAGCUAGACCGUUAAUAAGAUCAUGCAUAAUGAAUCAUGAUUUAUUGCUGCUCGACGAUUGGAAAAAUGACCUUGACAAUAGUUCACAAAAAUAAUCAUCACCAAGAUCUUCCAUUUUCUCAUCCUCAUUUGAUUGUUGAAUUAACCCCUCCGCCAUCCACAAGAGGAUUAGCUCUUCCUUCUUAAACUCGUAAUCUUGGGGAAAUAAUGCGCAAUAAGCGAAACACCUUUUUAAAGUGUAUUUCGAAUUUAAAUUAUUGCAAGUGUAUUUGCUUGACUAACCUUUUGAAUUACUCAAAUUUAACAAGUUGCAAAUAGGUCCCUUAGCUAAUCUUUUAAAUUAAUCUUGAUGUUGACAAGAAUCUUGCCGACCAUAAUUAUAAAAAGAGAAAUAAUUGAAGCUAAGUUGACCUAAUCUAGUUUAAUAAAUUGCAAGUCGGUGCCCUUACCUAAUCUUUUAAUUUAAUCUUCAUAUUGAUAAGAAUGAAGCCGACAAUAAUUAUAAAAACAAAAAGACGACAAGUUAAUUCUAUUGACUAAUUUUAUUAACUCAAAUUUAAUUAAUUACAAGUAAGUUUUCUUAAGUCUUAACUAACGUUUAAAUUAAUCUUGAUAUAUAUAAGAACCUUGCCAACUGUAAUCAUAAAAAAGAAAAGGCCGACAAACUAAUUUAAUUGACUAAUUUUAUUAACUUGAGUUUAAUAAAUUGCAAGUAGGUUAAUCUCUUACCUAACCUUUUAAAUUAAUCUUGAGAUCAAUAAAAAUUAUAAAGAUCAUAAUUAUAAGGAGGAGAAAAAGGCAAACUAGUUUGAUAUUUUUAAGGGCUUAAGCUAAAUUUAUACCUUUUAUACAAGAGUUCCUAUUUUUAUAUAAACGUUUUUAUCACUUUUUGUUUUUAAAAACAAAAAAUGAGAAGUAUAUCUAAACAAAUACUUAAUAUUGAAUGGUAUAAACUCCUACUCAUUUAAAUGAAAUAAAGAGAUAUUUUCAUUUAAGAUAAAAAAAAAUGUAAGGAUAAAAAAUUAAAAAACUUUUUAACUUCUUGUACUUUAUUAUUACAUUUUUUUCAUUAGAUGCUUUAAAUAUUUUUUAUCAAAUAAAAUUAUAAUGCUAUUGGUCGAGGGCUAAUUAACUUUGUUUAAGCGAGAAAGAUAUAGUUAAGAUUGGGGUCGAUCCACAACUAAAAGAAGAAUGAAAUAAAAAGUAGGAGAUGAAUUGAUCAAACCAAUGUCCCAAAAAUAGUCCUAUGCAUGGCUCUACUUGAAUAUCUAUGAUUAUGAUUAUUAUUAUUAUUAAACUAAUCUUAACUUUAAGUUAAAGAUAAUUUAAAAAUAUAUAUAACUUCAAAAAUUAUUUUCAAAUCUAGAGAGUUAUUUUGAACUAGCAAUUAAAAGAUACUUCUUCAAAAUCAUUUUUUCUUAUUAUACAUUUUAUCAUCGAGAACCGUUUCAAACCAUCUUUUUGGUUUGCUUUCACAAAAAUGGUUUUUUCCCCCUCCAAAAGAGCUAUCAAUGGAAGCGUUAUAGGCUAAAACCGUAUUUAUGAUAAUCAAUUCCAAUGGAUCCUAUAAGUUAUGCCAUUUUUAUGAAGUUUUUCUUUGGUUUUUAAUCUUUGUAUUAAUGCAUCAAUAAAUGUUUUAUUAAAGAAAUUACUAGUAUAAUAAAUGAUACAAGAUUGUACGUGGGUUCAUGUUGAUAGGACAAUGAGAUAAAAAAAUAUAAGGUGAAUACAAAUCUCCAUGCAUAAAUGAAGCAAUUAGCUUGUUCAAUAUAUUUAGCUUGAUGUAAAAUUUCCUUUUUAUUUUCCAAAUUCUUUAUAACAAUUGGCUUUCCCUCGUAGUACAAAAAAAAUAAAAAUCCUCCUUGCAUUAAUUUUUCUCCUAAAACAAUUUUUUUUAAAAAAAAUUAACUUUUCAAAAAUUAAAAGCUAUUAAAAACAUCUGCCUAUAAUAACCUAUAAGUAAAAGUUCCUUCAACUAGCCUAUUACUUUUUUGAGAGUUCAUAUGAAUUAUGUAUGGCCCACAGUUGGACUUUGAAGAGUUUCAAAGCAAUUUAGUUAAAAGAUAACAAAAAAAAAAAAAAUGAUAUGACAAAUAGUGAAAAUCACUUUGGAUUCCAAUAAUAUUUUCUAUCAAUAUAAUAUCUCAAUACAAUGUCUCCUUGGUAGGUUUAGUAUGAAAAUGAAUUAUUUUAUGAAUAUGACUUUGGAUUCCAAAUUUUGAACUUUCUAAUGCCUUAACAUAGUGGUAGGUGUCACACCCCUGAAGGUCACACCAAAUUUUUCACAAGUGCGCGGUGCUAAGGACCCUUCCUUAGCCAACCUUCCUUCCCAGCGUUUAGAAAAACAGAGUAAAAGCACAACAACAGUAAAUCAAUAGGGACACAAACGUUUACAAGAAACCUUUCCCAACUUGUAUUAAUUCACUCUACAAGACAAAAUUGUUCCUCUGAACCAGAGUACAAUGCUCACACCCAAGCAUUACGACAAGAACCCUUUUCCCCAAAUUCUCUCUCUCUCCGUUUCAAGGCUCUAGGAGCCCUUUUAAAAGACUUAAGCUGCACUUACAAAUUUGAAUUUCCAAAUUCAAAUGUUGGAGCCAAUAUGGUGGUUAUGCAACUAGCCAGAAUCACCCAUAACUGCCUUGCAUAACCACCCACCACCCAGAUAGUGGCCUGCACAUGCCACCCACUUGCACCAGCCAUCAGCCCUCAGCCAACUACAAGUCAAAUGACAGCUUGACUUAGUCACUUGCUGUCUGAGCUAGCUGCCACUAGCUAGCUACACUGCCAUCUUCUCAAGCCCUGCUCGCUAAGCUGCUGGAGAGUCCCCCUAACAAGCUGUCUCCUUCCCCGCAAGGUGCCUCUUGUGACUGGGUGCCCAUCAGCAUGUCUUUGAUCAAGGCCUUCUAAGCCAGGCAGUGUGCACCAACCAGCUGACCAAGCGUCUGGUGCAUCAGUGUGCCUUCCCCACACUAAUGUGUGAGCCCAUGCCAUGUCUAAGUGCCCAUGGCUUGGGCUUGUUGCUUGCUUCCCUUGUCAGAUCCAGCUUCAUAGCAACGAGCCAUGGCAUUGCGCCCAUGGCUAAUCCCUCUUAGUGCACAGGGCAUUGUGCCCCGGUGCUGUGCGUAGACAUCAUGGUGCGAGUCAGCUAUUGCUUGGUGCCCCAUCAGACCAUGGCAUUGUGCCCAUGGUUUCAUCAGCUGGCUCACCGCACAAGUCUUAGGCACUCUCGUGCUUGCGCGGGAAGGAGGUAGGCCGCACCAAGCCCCAUGCCGUUGUGGCCAUGGGGUACACACCACACAUGUCGUGGAGCCCAUGUGUGCAUGCUCAAGUCGCAUCCGUGUGUCCUAGGCACGCCCAAGGCCGUGCCAUGGUGUCCCCUUGGUGCAGUCAAGGCUUUCCUUGGUGCUCUCUCCUUUGAGUCACCUAACCCCCCCCCCUUAAAGAGCAAUACGGGUCGUUUUCAUUGUUUCUGGAGGAGACAUUAAUAUGCCUGAGGAGACAUAAUGGAAUAAUAAAUAAUUAUAAAUUAAAAUUCCAAAAGUCUCUCAGCCUUCAUCUGCACCACCUAAGUCAGGUGCGCACACGAUGCCCAUCUGGUGCGCACGCGAUGCAUGUCUGGCUCGCCCGUAGUGCGCGCACGGUGCCCAUCUGGCCUGUUCACAAUGUGCGCACGGUGCGCGUCUGGCUCGCCCGUGGUGCGCGCGCGGUGCACGUUUGGCUCGCCCACGGUGUGCACGUGGUGUGUAUUUGGCUCACCCGUAACCUCUCACAUAGCCCCUAGAGUUUGAACCACCAAACCUCUAGGAUUUCCUUGCUUUCAGCCUAGGCUCUCAUGGGUACAAGGCCUAUCCAUGAGGCCUUUUCCUCCAUGGUUAAGUCAAGAGGCUAAGGGGCUGACAGUAGGCCUUAUAGAAAAUGAAACUUGGGAAAAAGUAUAGUAUGGACAUAAUUUUUGACUUAGGAGGUGAUGUUACAACACCUUCAAUUAAUUACCUUGAAAAUGAUAUGUUAUUGUAUUGAAAAUGAUAUUAAAUUUAAUGAAGACAUAUCUAAUAAAAAUAACACCCGUUUUUUAAAACAAUAUUAUGAUCUUACUAUUGUGUCAUGUUGGAUCAUAAAAAUAUCACCCAUUUUUUAAAACAAUAUUAUGAUGUUACUAUUGUGUCAUGUUGGAUCUCAUUUGGAAAACAAUUUAAUUAUGUUGUGUCAUAAUUUUUUUAAAAUUUAUUCCAUUUUUCUUUUAAUUUUUGAAGCAUGCAAUUGGAGUUGGUCUAAACUUUGAAUAGUUGGAGCCAAUUUCAAUGCCUUAGUGGGUCUAAAAGAAAAAAAGAAAAGAUUGGAAAAUUGAAGUGGAAUAUGGAGACAAAAUUUUAAAGGCUUGAAGUGAUGUUACAGCUUUCCAAGUAAUUACCUUGAAUGUGAGAUGUCAUUAUAUUGAAAAUUCAUAUUAAAUCUCAUGAGGUAACUAUAGGAAUUGCCAUACAUAGAGACAAAUAAUAAAUAUAUCUCACUUUUUCAAAAUGUUUGUGAUCCUAAUUAUACAUUGCCUUUAUAGUGGGAUGAAUGCAUCUUCACUUAAAGUCUUAUUCUAAACAUAUUUUUAGAAUUUUCUAGGAAUAUGUAAAGAAAACUUUAUGAUAAGUAAUUUCUAUCUAAGACGGGUAAAGUCUAAUAUGAUUUGUUCACACCAUUCAAAUCCAACACAUUUUUUUAUAAAUUUGAAAUGAGUAUAAUUGUAUUUGAAUAAAAAUAAAUUGUUUUUAGGUCAACUUUCAUAACAAACAUUUAACUCAAAUUGACUUAUUUAAUAAUAUUAAUCUUAAUUAUAACUUUAACUUAUUUAACUCAUAUUUGACUCAUUUAAAAUUUGAUUUUCAAUAGUGACAUCAUAAUUGAGUUAUAAACAUGUCAGUUUAGGACACUAACCAUAUAAGAUCAUACAAUGUUAAACUCAAUUUGACUAUUAAAUAACAUCUAAUUAUUAUAAGAGUUAAAUAGGUUACAAUGUAUUACUUGGUUAAUAAUUAGAUUGUGUUUGAGUUUGUAUUUUUAAUUAUAAUUUAGUUGAGUGUUUGAUCUACGUUACCAACAUGAAUUAUCACUCAUAUUUCUAUUGCAAAACCAAAGAUGGGAUAAUUCUUAGUUUUGAUGAUAAUAAAAGAAGGUUCGACUAAAGUUUCAUCUUGAGUGUGACUAGGCAAGAUGAUUUUUAAAGUAACAAUUACAAAGAUAAACCAAAACAAAAGAAAAAAAAGAAAGAAAAGGAAGACCUCAAAGAGAAGAGACUUCAAAAAUUUUUAUAAGAUCUCUUUGUAAGGUUGUUGGUGCACUAGAAUUUACAUGCAUUUUAUUCAAGCAUCAAAGAUCAUCCUUGUGCGAUUUUGUUUUAAAUUUUUUUAUAAUUAGAUGAUUUCAUGUUUUUAAUUAAAACCUUAUGCCAAAUUUUUUUCUAAACUUUUUAAAAGGGUUGCAUGAGUUGCUAGAGGUUUGAAACCUAAAACCUGAGUAUUUGAGUACUUAAUAGUGCAACCGGUCAAAAGUCCAGGGAAUUGAUUAAAUCAUUUAGGUUCAAUCAAUUGAGGGGUGUUUUUACACACGCUUUCUCUCUUUCUUGGUCAAGACUUUGCCUUUCAUGGUCAAAGUCUUGAACCCUAACGAACACUUACUAAAAGUAUUAAUUGCUAAUGAUUUUAGCAUUAAUUGCUAACGGUUAGUGAAUCAGUCAAAUCGGAACUUGACUGGUUGACCCCCUAAAUGUGCCUAACAACAAGUUUAGCCUUUCUACUUCUACAUAAAGGUUCCAAUCUUCAUUGUUGGUAAGUCUAACAUUCCCAAGUCUUUUAUGAACAGUAUUUGAGCCUUGGUGGAGUGUUUUUUAGCACACCUUGUUUCAAAACUUGCAUAUCAUUAGUUCACCAUUAAUCUUAAUUUAUCUUGUAUCAUUUGAGCUUAAAUUUGUACUAGGAAUGUGUGAGAUUAUCUUUCCUAUCAUUUUGUGUAAACCUUUGUAAGGGGAGAUUAAGUGUGGGGUAUUACUUAAAGGAAAAUUUAAGCAUGAGGUAUCACUUAGUGUUUGUCAAGUGUGGGGUAUCACUUAGGAAAUUCAAGAGUGAGGUAUUUUUUGAAAAAUUUGUAAGUGUCCAUUGGAGUCAGUUAAUCUAAUAGUAUGAUUAGAAACUUUAGAUUAGUAGAACCUCAAGUUUAGGAUUGAAGUUAUAGGAGAGUGAACAUAGAACGAGUUGCACCAAACCACAAUAAAAAUAUUGUGUUUGUAUUCUCUCUUCCCUAAUCUUUUUAAUUUGUAUGAAAUUACUUUUCAUUGUAUUUAUUGUAUAUUUGCAUAUAAUUGUCUUUUGUAUUCAUGUAGUUUAAGUUUGCAAAAAGAAACCAUCACCCUAUUUAUCCUCCCUCCCCCUCCCCUUCCCCUUCCCCCCGAGGGUGACUACCUUAGGUUAAUUUAGCAAAAAUCAUAACAUUUACAAAUAUAUUAUUUGCUUAUUAUAGUUAAGAAAAAUGCCAAGAAAAUUUAUCAAAAAUCAUAACAUUUACAAAUAUAUUAUUUGCUUAUUGUAGUUAAGAAAAAUGCCAAGAAAUUUCAUUGAUAAAAAUUUCCAUGAUAAAUUCUAAAAACCACUUUAAUUCCAAUUAUCUUUUUCCCAAUGCAAUGUCUCAAUGAUUCUAGGAUGAAAAGGAAUUUUUUCAUGUCAAUAUGACUUUGGAUCCCAAAUUUUAAGGCAAUUUCAAUGCCCUAGUGGUGGGUCUAGAAGAAAAUAAAAAAUGUGGAAAUUAAAGUGGAAUAUAGACACAAUUUUUUACUAAUUGUAAGAUGAUGUUACAAUACCUUAUGUAGUUACUAUGAAAGUGACUUUGGAUUCCAAAUUUUGAGCCAAUUUCAAUGCCACAAUGAUGGGUCUAGAAGAAAACAAAAAAUAUGAAAAUUAAAGUAGAAUAUAGACACAAUUUUUUACUUGUUAAGUAAUGUUACAAUGCCUUAUGUAAUUAUUUUGAAAGUGAGAUAUCAUUGAAUUGAGAAUUGAUAUUAAAUUUGACCAACUAUCAUAAGGAUUUGCUUUCAAAAGAGAGAUAAGUAAUAAAUAUCUCUUAUUUUUUGGAAAAAAAAAAAUUAUCAUACUAUUAAUGUGUUUAAUUUUAUUUUUUUUAAAUAGAGAUUGUUAUAUUUUUUUGUAAAAAUAAGUUUCCUUAUAAAAUAAGAAAAAGUGGUAGAAGUAUUUCUAUAAAUAUUUUAUUAAGAGAAAAAGCUAUAACAUGAAGAAAAACAUGUAUAGUUUAUAUUUAAAAGAUAGUGAUAUGGGAAAGAGUGGGAAACAUUUCUUGGAAUGGGGACAUAUGAUUCAAGUAUAGAUACAAAGAACAAGGAAAUAUAAGAUGUUUUAAAUUAAUUAAUUAUAUCUUCUUUUUUUAAUCUUUUGUAGUAUUGUAUAUAGUAAUAGAAGAUGAGUUAUCAAAUGCGAACUUUCAUGUAUAUAUGAUGCAAUUAACUUGUUCAAUAUAAGCACCUUGAUGUAAAAUCUCAUUUUUGUUUUCUAAAGUCUUUAUGACUAUUGGUUUUUCUUUUGAGUGCCAAUAAAUAAAAGAAAAAACCCUUCUUUUUUGUUUGAAGAAAAAAUCUUUAUUAAUCCAAACCCUAUCAACUUAUAUAUGACCUAUUGCAGGAUAAUGAAGUUUUUUAAAGUAAUUUUAAAGACAAAAAAGAAAAUUUGAUAUGAUAAAUGAUUAAAACCACUUUAGAUUCCAAUAGUAUUUUCUAUCAUAUAACGUCUCAGUGAAAUGUUUCAUAACAAAAUGAAUUAUUCUAUGAAUAUGACUUUGGAUUCCAAAUUUUGAACUUUCUAAUGCCUUAACUUAGUAGUGAGUCUCAUAGAAAAUGAAAGUUAUGGAAAAGUAGAAUGUGGACUCAAUUUUUGACUUAUAAAACUGAUGUUACAACACCUUCAAGUAAUUACCUUAAAAAUGAUAUGUCAUUGCAUUGAAAAUGAUAUUAAAUUUAAUGGAGAGAUAAUUUAUAAAAAAUAUCACUAAUUUUUUUAAAAAGAAUAAUGUGAUCUUACUAUCGUGUUAGGUUGGAAAAAAAUUUAUGUUGGAGUUAAUUUUUUUUUAUUUGUAUUUCUUUUUAUUUAUUUAUUUAUUUUGCAUAUUGUAAGGUCUCAAACUCGUUUAGAAAUAUGAACACUGAUGAAGAGUUAGAAAUUUAAAAACAUUAAAGGUAUGGUUAAAGUUAUUUUUAGAUAGUUGAAAUUGCAACCAAAAAAACAAGAAAAUGAAAGAAGUUCAAAUUUUAUUUGAUUAUCUUAAAAAUAUGAAAGAAAUUACAUAUAAUGAAAAUUGUUUAGAGUUUUAUAUACUUUUAAUAUUUACUCUUUACAGAAAAGAAAAAAGGCAAAUAAAUUUUUAUGAACUUAUGGAAAAUAUUAAACUUCAGCUUAAUUUUUUUGUUUUUCUUGAUUUUUCUUUCCUUUGUGAUCUUUCCCACUUUAUCCAAACUUUCCAUAGUCUAAACUUUAUACAUGUUUUCUCUUCUUUUUAAUUAAAAAUUUUUAAAUUUUCCAAUUAAAAUUCCAAGAUAGGCUAAUAAAAACUUAAAACUAAUAUUACAUUUUAAACGAACUGGAUCGAUUUGGUAGCCAAUUCGAACCCAAUCAAAUUUAGCCUCUAAUGUGAGGUAUUUGACCCAAACUUAGCUCAAACUCAUUUUUACCGACUAAAGUUAGGCUUAAAUUGACUCAUAGUACUUUUAGUUGAGUUGAUUAGGUUGUAUGAUCAUAACUAGGUUUGGUAAGGUUGAGUUAGUUUGAACCUAUUCAUAAAUGUUUUUUUUUUCUCUUUUAUAUUUAUUUUAUAUCAUAAUUUUAAAAAUUAAAUUGGAUAACUUUUAAACAUGAUAACAAAAAUAAAUAAAUUUAUGUAUAUGUCUAACAAAAAUGAAAUAAUAUAAUUAAAAUUCAACAUUUUUUAAAAAAAACUAAAAAAAAAAACACAAAAUAGGUAUUAUUAUAUAAAAUAAUAUAAAUUAUAAAUAUAUAAAAUUAGGUUUGGGCUAGCUUAGGUUAUCCAAACCUUAGCCUAAGUAGUUUCUCGAGUGUUUGCCACUUGUAAAAGUUUUUGGUAAAUUUUUAUUAAAAUUAAUUUUAAAAAAAGAAAUAAAAUGUUUUUAAAAAAUAUUAAAUGCAUAAUUAAAAUUAUGCUAAUGAAACAAAGGGAAGCAAACAAGAUAAAAAAUUUUCUCUCAAAAGGUGUAGUGUAAUGACUUCAAAUUUUAAGUUUUGAUGGUCAAUCUGCCUUCAAUUAUAAGGAUAAGAAGCUUGUAGAGAACAAAAAAUAUAUAGCAAGUGGAUAUAUAUAGAUAUAACAAAAAAUAAUAUAUAUAUAUAUAUAUAUGCAUGAUUGGAGCCAAAAUAUGUGCUCUAAUGGCACAUAUUCGAUAUGAUUUGUGCACCAAAGGACAUUCAAAUCACCCAACUUGACCUAAAUCAAUGCUAAGGCCCUAGCCAUGGGUUUAAUCUAUACUUUGGAGAUUUAUCUCAGGUUCAAGGGAAGAAAAUUGUGCAAAUUGAAUGACUUUAGAUUUUGAAAGAUCAAGAAAGGGCUAAAUGAGGAAAUAAGUGAGUCAAGACUCAUUGAACGUAAAGAAAGGCAAAACAAGGAUAUCAUGAGGUUGGAGGAUUAUAAAUGACCAUUAUGGAGUAAGAAAGAAGGCAAGAAAGCAUGGGGAAUGAGGCAUGAAGCAAGAUUUAGCUGCAUGGAAAUUUAGAACUCAAAAAUCUGAUGGCAUUAUAUACUCUGACUUUGAGGACAAAUUUGGAGCACUUUCUGGAGUCCAUUAUAUACAUACUAUAUAUCGUUUCGAAUCUCGGGAAGUCAGGAGUCCAACACUUCAAACGGUUUGCAAAUCGGAGCUGAAAUGAAGAAGUUAUGUCCAUUUGAAGACAACUGCACCAAGCUGGAGGGUCAUUUCGAAAUGAUUUCGAAAUUCAACUUAUGAUUUCGAAAUUCAACUUAUGAAUUCGAAAUCCACUUCGAAAUGACACCAAUUUCGAAUUCACCCACUGCCACUUUGAUGUUCCGCCUCCUCUACCCCGAGAAUUGCAUCUAUUCAACUUAUGAAUUCGAAAUCCACUUCGAAAUGACACCAAUUUCGAAUUCACCCACUGCCACUUUGAUGUUCCGCCUCCUCUACCUCGGGAAUUGCAUCUAAAGCACUCCAUCCGCUCUAGGUGGACCCCACACGACUAGAAAUCACCAUUUUAUUAUUUUUAAUCAUUUUUAGGAAAUUAUUUUUGUAAUAAGUGGCCAAUGAGAGUGUGCCACAUGUUAGGUAAGUGAGGAUAUUAUAUAAACUCUCUCAAUUCUAGGUUUUAGGGAUCUUGGAUCUUGGAUCUUGGAUUUUUUUUCUAGAGAGUUUGACAUUGAAGGUGGAAGAAGACGAGAACUUUGGUUUGUUUUCUUUUUCUUCUUUAUUGAAUAUAUUGUUUUUAGUUUCUUUUGAUUCAAAUUAUGAAUUUUUACCCUAUUAUGGAUUGUGAAUGUGACAUCACCCCCAUGAGAGGCUAAGAGCCAACUUGGGGCUUGAAGCAUGAAAACCUAAGGGUUAGGAAACCUAUAGGGACAAUGGGUAAAUUACUAUAACAAUGAGAUUAAUUAUUGGUUGGGUGACAAUUUAUUAUAUUUUUUUAUCCUAUCCUUGUGAGUUCAUUUAGGGAAUGAUACGAUAGGUUAUUACUUGAUACUAGUGAUUCUUGGUAAUUCUUGAUCAUUAGUUAUCCUCGUUUUCCCUACCGUUAUUUGCCCCUAAACAAAGCUAUAAGGAGUAGGAAGGGUUAAAAAGCCAAAUCUUAAAGUGAUAAUCAAUCUCAUUCAUUUGAUGGUUUUAGGAAUCUGUUUGAAAAAGGAAAAAUUAGGUUUCGGAUGCAAUUUUGAGUUAUAAAACCCAACUUGAUCGCGAGUGGCCAAGGAUCCCAAAACCCUAAGAUCAUAUUACUUAAAAUACCCUUGUUUUCUAUAAUUUCUAUACCCUAGGUUGGAUUGUGGAAAACCCCAAACUUGAAUCAAUUGAAUUUAAAAUCAAUAUUCAUUUUCUCUUAUUAAUCCAAUUUCUUUUACUUAGUUUCAUAUUAUUCACAUAUUGUUUUUCACUUAAGGAUUUAAACAAAAACAAUUCAUUUAUCUAGUAUUGACAAUUUUCAUAAGCCAGUCCUUGAGAACGAUACCCGGAAUACUACAAAAGCCGUAGUGACUCUUUCUCUAAUUUUUCUUGACCAGAGUUACUACGUAAAAAGGCUAAGUAUUUUGGUACAAUAGAGAAAUUUCGGUCAAUGCAUCAUACUUUUGUCACAAGCAAACCCACUAGUAAACCUUUAUCAUCUUAUUAUAUAACAAGUGGGUAUACCUAGAUAAAAUAAAAAUAGGUCUUUGUUUAUUAAAUUCAAAAGUUUAUGAUCAUCACUUAACAUUUAACAAAGUGGUACAAAUGAUGGUAAAAAUAGUAGUAUAAUCAAUAUUUUCCUAUAUUGAAUAUUAUAAUUGAUGUUUUUUUUUUUUUUUUUUAUCAAGAAGCAAUUUUAGAGAUAGGUUUUUAUCAAGUAACAAUCUUCAAUGUUUUUUGUCUAUAUUAAUUUACCAUCAUGAUCUCUAAUAUUGUACCAUUGAAUGCAAUUGCAAAACAUCUAUGUAAUUGUUAGUAAAUUUUUUUUCAUGCUCAUUAUACAAUAUUUGUUUUAAUUUUCAAGUUGCAAUUAUAGUCUAAAGGUUGAGGUUCCUAGAUAGUUAUAGCUUUGAUGAGAAGUCUAAUCAUGUUGUUGUUGUUCAUGUCACUUUAAUUAGACCAAGUUCAAUGAUACUUUAGACCAUAUUUAAGGAUCCUUUUCAAAUAUCUAUCUAACUUUUGAUAUGCAAUUUGAAAAGAGGAUGGAGAGAGGAUGGUUGUUCUCCAUAAUCCAUUAAUAAAUAAAUAAAAAUAAUUAUAUUUAGAAGGAAAAUAAAAAAUUAUUAAGAUCAUUAGCAAGUAAUUUUGGUAAAACUUGAUAUUUAACUAGGUAAGAUGACUUUAAGUUAAAUUAAUUGUAUUUAAGUCAUUAAGUCAUAGUUAUUAAUACGAUUUCUCAAAAUCAUUUUUAAAUUUAUUAUUUUAUCAAUCAUACUUGAUAUACUUAAUAACUUAAAAUUAAGUCAUUAAAUUGAUUUAUCAUCACCCUCUAAAGUCUUUUCAAUUUUGUACAUUUAUUUGAUACAUAUUUAAUCAUAAACAAUCAAAAAAGUGCUAUCUCAAAAUUUUUAAUUCAAACUCCUUCAAAGUUAUUCAUGACUAAAAUUCAUUAAUUAAUUUACAUUACAAGCUUUGAAAGAAACUUGUUUUAAAACAUAAAAUUGAUAGAGAUAGUACAUAUUUUAAACUUUUAAUUAAAAUAAAAAGCUCAUAACAAAAUAAUUUGAUGGAUGUUUUAGUAUUUGAAAAGAUUAUGAGGUCGGUGUGGACUUACUCUUGGCAUGCGUACUUCCACAAAUCAGAAAGAACAACCUCUCCAACAACUUCCAUGGUGAUCAGUUUGCAGAGAGAGAAUUGUAGCUAUAAACCAAAGCACUGUGAAAAUAAAUUGGGGAAGCAGAAAGAAGCGUGGGUUGUUGGGUGAUGGCUUAAAUAUUAGAAAGCUUAGAGAAAGAGAAAGUUGGAAGUUGGACUAGUCUUUUGUUUCCAUACCCUUAAAUCCAAUAUGCUGAGUAGGCCAUGUGCUCCACACCCCGUCUAUUGUGGUGUGACUGGUGUCACAUUCAAAUAAACAAAUCGAAAUCUCUACUACAACAUCAUAUUUUAAUGGAUUUAGUAUAACCGAGUGAAGGCAAUUUAUUAAAUUAUUGGAAAUUGUUAAAAUUAUAUAUUUAAUGGAACACUGUUUUUGGAAUUUGAGACUCCCAGACUGCCCAUGUGCAUCCCAUUGUUCGUGUUCUUAGUUUUUUCAUUUUAGUACUUCUAAAAAUUCUCAAAAUUUCAUCAGGCACAUUUUUCAAGCUUACGAUUCUCAUGGCAAUGAUGUAAGUAAAUUAAAGAUUUUACUAAUUUGAACGCAAUUUGAUAAAAAUAAAUAAAUAAAAAUGAAGAUUAUGUAAAAAGGCUUCAAAGAGUUUUAAAGAUUUUUUAAAAUUUUUUUUUAUUUAUUUCUUAAAGAUAAAAGUACUUUCUUCAUUGUAAGACUUAAUAUUUACUUUUUCCAAUUAAAAAAAUAAAUUUAUUUUGAAAAGACAAAUCUAGUUUUUAUAUUGAAUUCAUCUUUUCAAAAAAAAAGUUUUCCAGUGAACUCACUUUAGUAUAAAUUAGGGAAAAGUAUAGUUCUAUUCGGUUCAUAAAAUAAAAAACCCGAUAUUAUGAUAAUUUAAGAAAUAUUUUUGGAAAAAUGCUAUUUCAAUUUUUUUGAACGGUUUUACUUGAAUGGAAAGUCUGAUGCUACAUAUGAUAUUAUGUCAUUGAAAUGAAACUUAUACCAUGUAAUAACUUUUAAUUAACAAUAAUUUAAAUUAAAACCGUAAAUAUUUAAUUUUUUGUUGAUUUAAAUAAAUGUUAUUUAUUUAUUUAUUUAUUUGUAACACAAGUUUUGAAGUUUUAAGACUGACCAUGCAUGUGCAUACCACUGUUUAUUUAUUCACUUUAAAACUUUAGGUGCAUUUUUUAAGCUUAAAUUCACAUGCUAUCACAUUAUCCUAAAUAUGCUUGUACCAUCUAUAAUGUAUCUGGAAUAAGGUGCAUGGGGAUCACGUAGAGCCGGCUGGACUGGACAUAAGUUUUGGAGUUUUAAACUUCCAAUGGCCAAUUAUGUUUUAAUUUUCAUAAUAUAUUAUUAUAUUUUCUUUAUUUGAAUGGAAAAUGGUUUGCUUUGAAAAAACAAGUUUAAUAUAAAAAAAAAUUAAAUUUAUAUUUUACAUUAAAUUAUAAAUUGCAUGUAAAAUGAAUUUAUAAAUUUUCAUAAUAUAUUAUUACGUUUUCUUUAUUUUAAUUUAACGUAAAGUAUAAAUUAGUAUUUUCAAAAGAAAAGUUGAAUGUAAAAGUAAUAAACUAAAACACAAAGACAGAUAUUAAAUUUAUAUUUUCAAAGACAAAUUACUUCUAAAAGCACGGACUUGAUUUUUUUGUGCAAUGUAAAAAGAAUUUUUUAUUUUUUUAUAUAUCAAACUUAUGUUUUAAAAAGACGAGUUAGUAUUUAUUUUGAAUUUGUUUUUCGUAAAAGGUUUCCCAUGUGUACUUCAUAUGAUUUUAUUUUGUUGAUAGGAGAUUUAUAUCAUGUAACAACUUUUAAUCGGUCACAAUUUAAAUUAAUUAUAAAUACCCAAUUCCUUUAUUAUUUCAUAAUUAACUAUAGGUUAUAAUGUGAAAUAAUAUCACACUACAUAAAUAUUAUUAUUAUUUUGCAAAAUUGGAUUAGCACAACUAUUCCCAAUUAGAGUGUCACAUGGCUUCUUUUUUUUAUAUUUAAUUAUUUUUUUAAAUAAUUGCUUUAAUUAGUCAUGGAUUAAAUUAGAGGUGUAAUUUGGACAUAUUCAACUCAACUCAACUCAAUCCAAUUUUGAACUAAGUUAGGUAGUCUUGUUUUUUCAUAAAACAUUAUAAGCUAUUUUUCAAUCCUACAAGAUUUUUUGAGAGUAUUUUCUAAAUUUUAUCAAAUACAAUUUUUUUGUAAAAACAUUUAUUAAGUUAAAAACGCUUCUUAAAAUCACUAUUAAAUGACCAUUAUAUGAUAUUGAGAGAUGAAUAAUUUAUUAUAUUAAAAAUUACUUUCCCAAUUGAACAAAAGGUGUGGCGUUUCUUUAAAAACACUUUUGUAAGUAAUAUUUUUUUUAGCACAUUCUCAAUUAUUUUUAGACCCAAAAUAUGUUUUUUUUAAAAUGUUUUAUAAAAAAAAAAUCUUAAAAUACCUUUAUUUAAAAAUUUAAAAAAAAUCUAUUUUCAAAAAACUACAUUUUAUUUUGUUUGAUAUGGUGAGGAGGAGCAUUAAUCUAUGGCUCCCGAGACUGGGCAUGUGAUGCUGUGCAUGCCAUUGUUGGCUUAUGUAUUUCCGGAAUAUUUAGUUUUGAAAAGUACUGAGAAAAAAAAUAAUAAGAAAAUGGUUGGUAUUCAGAUGGCAAAAAUACACACAAAUACACUGAACAAGUUAAUAACAGGCGGGCUGAGAUUCUAUUGCCAAGAGACAGGUUUGUCAUCCAUGUCAAGAAGUCUCACACUUCAAAAUUGUGGGACUUUGGCAUCAACACAUUUCUGGAAUUGUUUCAGGCUUCUAAAUGGAACGAUUCAGGCACCUUCCCAGAAUUCUUUUAAGAUUUCUAAAUGCCAUCCUGGCGUCUUAGUUGGAGGCCUGCUUUCUUCAAUGCUAAAAGAGGGGGUGAUAAGUUGCUAAAAAUUGCAGUCCCUGUGUACUAGAUGGGCAUUCACCCAUGGACAAGAUCUGCAGAACUUAUAAUAGAAACAUGUAUGUUGCUCUAUCAUCUUCGCCUCCUAUUUAUUCUAGUGAAGAAACAGGUUCCGAAAAAAUAAAAAGUGUUCUUCUUACUCUUUUUUAGUAGAAAAUUAGUUCAUUUCCAGUCCAUUGAAGAAAAAAUAAAUUCUGAACCCAGAAGCCAGGUACUUAAAUUUCUGUUUAACUAGGGGAACAUUGGAAACUUACUUACAGCUUUAGCAUAAGAACAUACAAGAUUCUGAUCAACAUACACUGCACGGUAUUAUGUUGGUCCAGUUCCUCUACUCUGCAUUGCAACAAAGUGUAAGGGGUUUCGUAUUUUCUUCAUCUUCAAAUAAAACAAUCCUUCUCAAUAAAAGAAUAAGAGAAAUUGAGAGCUAAGACCAUUUUCUUUCAUUGUACCUCUGUUUCCUCUGCUCCUUGCUCUCUUGGUCAGGCCAAAUGGUGUGUGGUUUGUCCAUUUCUUCUUGACCCCACAUCAAAAAGCAGCAUCCUGGGCUCUCCCAUCUCUCUAUCCCCUUAUCAAGACAGAAUUUGAUGCACUGCUGUCUUGGAUUCUUCCUAGUCAAAAGGAAGCUUGAAAUAUCUCCACUGCUUCUCUGUUUCUUUGAGUCAAAGGACAGUCUGGUUUUAUCUGUUUCUUCUCAUCAUUUUCAAAAUGCAUCACUGUGAGAUCCACUAACCCAAUACCUGUUUUUCAAAUAAUCAAAAUCAUAAACACCAAGAUGUUUACACAUUCAGGUAACACGUCUCUUGACAAUGCAGGUGUGUUUACGUACACACCUGCAUUCAAAGGAAGUACCAUUGUUCUUGUGCAUUUGACAACAUUCAUUUAGUUAACUCCAAAUUUUAGCAAUCCAGAAUCUGUAACUUCUGCAAAAGUUACCUAGUUGUUCAGGGAACAUGCCCCAUCCAAACUAUCUGUAUUUGGGCUUCAUGGUUGUUUUUGGCUUUGCUUUUCUUUUUCUUGUGGUUGUUACUCCUCUUAAAAGGACUAUUGAUUCAUGAUUCAAUGGAUUAUUUGUUGUUUCUGAUAAAAAUAAAUAAAUAAACUAAAAAAAAAAAGAAAAAGAAAAAAAAAAAGAUUUGAUGAAAAUUUUUGGAGUAGCCAUUCAUCAAAUUGCCAUGAGCUUCUCUCCUUAUUUACAUAGUAUAUCACUAUUGCAGAGUCUCCUACUAGAAGGUUAGGUAAACCCUCAUCUUUAGCAAGCUUUAGUCCUACCAUCAACACUAAAAUCUCUGCUUCAAUGGCUAGACCCACUCUAGCAUUCUUAGGGAAUGCUUUCACUUAUGCCCUUUUAUGAUUUAUAAGUGUUCCUCCAAUUCCCAAUUGUCCUGGGUUGUCCAAGGAGCAUACAUCAAAAUUUAACCUGUUGCAUGGGUUGUUCUCUAUGCAUGGUAAAGAGACCCUUAAAUUUUGAACCUAUCCAAUUGCAUCGAUUUCUUCCUUCAAACUCAAGUUGAGCCUUUAAAUUUUUUGCUUGCUGUCAGAUUGACAUGAUUCUUCCACAACAUGAUGGACCUGGCAGACACUCAGCUUCUGCCUACAGUUGCAGUCUACCUUAUGUGUAACUUAAAGGUUGAGCACCAAGUGCUGAUGUUAUGAGGGAUCAAGGGUGGCUUGUGGAGCAGUCCCCUUUUCAGAGUAUUGCCAACAUUCUAUCAAUUGGUUCGGGUGUUCUGUAACUUUGGGACACCUAUAGUAUCUAGAUAAUCCUGCAAUUCUGGAGAAAACCCUUCUGAUUUGCUCUGUACCCACUAGUCGAGAAUAGUAAAAAGAUUCAGCUGUAAUAAUUUUAUUACUUAGAUUGAAUCUUAAUCAUUAGGUUAGAAGAUCAGGAAAAAGUGUCGUGGUUUUGAAUGUUUGUCUCUUUAAUAAUUGCAGUGUGUAUUGAUCCACAAAGUUUGCAGGAUGACAGCAUGACAGUGGGUAUAUAUGUCAUAUGAAAAAAUUUAAAUAGAGCGACUUGUUUGACUUUACAUAGUUUGCUUGCUUCGGUUGUCUACCUUUAGGUAAUAUCACACCAGUAUCUUUUGAUGGUUGGAAUAUCCUUGCACAUAUGUUACCAUUUUCUUUUCUUCAACAUUGUUUUCUUUGUUUCUUCCUUUCUUGGUCAAGCUAAAUAAUCUAGUGAUUCUUCUUUUGUUCUUCAUCCCAUCAAGAGGCAGCAUCUCAUGCAUCUUUACCUUGGGUUCCUCCCUUUCCUUCCAGCCUAUGGAAAAAUAAUAUCAUUGCUUAGUUUGGACUUCUCUGUUUUAUUUUUUUUUAUCAUUUUGAAAGGCAUCAUGGGAAGAUGUACAAAAAAUGUGUUGUGCUGAAUUAUCCCCUUCUCUACUAACCAAAACAUGUUCUUUCACAAUCAAAUAUCAACGUGUUUAAGCAGCCAAUAAGGCAUAUCUUGACAAUGAGGUGAGAGGUAGAAACAAGAAACAUACUCGUAUUCAAGGGAAGUGUUGUUUCUUCAUUUGCAUUAGACAACAUUCAUUUAGUCUCAACUUGAAAGUGGAUUGCUAGAAUCUAAGCUCUUGCAAAGACACAAAAGUACAUUUAGAAAUCCAAAAGAAGCCUAGAGACCAGUUGCUGUCGGGCUUUGUGGAGCCUAGUUUUGUUUGAUCCGGUUUGAUGACCCGACCCGAAUAAUAUUACAUAGUUUUUUAAUGGGAGAUUUAUUGAGGCUUGUCCAUGGAGUGAAGGCUUGGGCUUUUUUAGGCCCGUUUAGCCCAUUGUGGAACCGCCCUUUGUAAUUAGGUUUUUUUUUUGUGUGGUGUGGUUGUUGUGUUAUAAAGAGAACAUAUUGUAGCCGAAAAAAGUACUUUGUAUUCUUCCCUGAUAAUAGUGAUAUCCCUGCAACUCCGUUGAUAUAGGCAAAUUGCCGAACCACAUAAAUACUGUCUUGUACGUGUGAUUGUUUUUUUUUUUUUUUUUUGCGUGUGUUUUCUCUAUUUUUUGUUUCUCACAGGUUGGGAAUUCAGCUUAAUUCCCUUCAACCGGUAUCAAAGCCUAGGGUUAGGUUUGAGUGGGAGCAAUGACAAAGGAAGCAGGAAAGGCGUUUGGAAUAGAAAAGUUUGAUGGCACAAACUUUGUGUAUUGGAGGAUGCAGAUUGAAGAUUAUCUUUAUGGGAGGAAAUUGCAUCUGCCUCUUUUGGGGACAAAACCUGAGAGUAUGAAGGCUGAGGAAUGGGCGCUUCUUAACAUACAGGUUCUAGGAGUUAUUAAGUUAACUCUGUCUAGGUUUGUUGCACACAAUGUUGUAAAGGAAAAGACCACAAUAGAUCUGAUGAAGGCUUUGUCCGGUAUGUAUGAAAAGCUAUCCGCAAACAAUAAGGUGCAUCUGAUAAAGAAAUUGUUCAAUUUGAAGGUGGCAGAGAAUGCAUCAGUAGCACAACAUCUGAAUGAAUUUAAUACAAUCACAAAUCAAUUUUCGUAUGUAGAAAUUGAUUUUGAUGAUGAGAUUCGUACUCUGAUCGUCUUGGCUUCUUUGCCAAUCAGUUGGGAGACAAUGAGGAUGGCAGUAAGCAAUUCUACGGGAAAGGAAAAGCUCAAGUACAAUGAUAUACGAGAUUUAAUUCUGGCUGAGGAGAUUCGCCGAAGAGAUGCAAGCGAAACCUUAAGAUCUGGUUCUGCCCUAAACCUUGAGACAAGAGGCAGAGGUGAUAACAGAAAUUCAAACCGGGGUAGAUCAAAAUUCAGAAAUUCUAAUCGAAAUAGAAGCAAAUCUAGAUUAGGCCAACAAGUACAAUGUUGGAACUGUGGGAAAAUAGGUCACUUUAGAAGGCAAUGCAAAAGUCCUAAGAAGAAGAAUGAAGAUGAUUCUAUUAAUGCUGUAACAGAAGAGGUACAGGAUGCAUUACUUCUUUUAGUAGACAGUCCACUUGAUGAUUGGGUUUUGGAUUCAAAAGCUUCAUAUCAUACCACUCCACAUUGAGAAAUCAUAUAGAAUUAUGCUGCAGGUGAUUUUGGUAAGGUGUAUUUGGCUUAUGGUUCAACCUUGGAUGUUGUGGGUCUGGGAGACAUCCGGAUAUUGUUGCCCAAUGGGUUUGUUUGGUUACUGGAGAAGGUUCGACAUAUUCCUAACCUAAGAAGGAAUUUGAUUUUUGUUGAGCAACUUGAUGAUGAAGGACAUGCAAUACUAUUUGUUGGUGGUACUUGGAAGGUUACAAAGGGAGCUAUGGUAUUGGCUCAUGGAAAGAAGACCGGUACUCUGUAUAUGAUCUCAUGUCCAAGAGACACAAUUGCAGUUGCUAAUGCAAGUACUGAUACAAGCCUAUGGCACAGCAGACUUGGUCACAUGAGUGAGAAAGGGAUGAAGAUGUUGUUGUCAAAAGGAAAACUACCAGAAUUGAAAUCCAUUGAUUUUGACAUGUGUGAAAGUUGCAUCUUAGGAAAGCAAAAAAUUGUGAGCUUCUUGAAAACUGACAGGACACCGAAGGCUAAAAAAUUGUAACUAGUACACACUGAUUUGUGGGGGCCUUCUCCGGUUGCAUCCCUUGGAGGUUCAAGGUACUAUAUCACUUUUAUUGAUGACUCAGCAAAAAGGUAUGGGUUUAUUUUCUGAAAAAUAAAUCUGAUGUAUUUGAAACUUUUAAGAAGUGGAAGGUCAUGGUUAAGAUAGAAACAGGUUUGAAAGUAAAAUGUUUGAGGUCAGAUAAUGGAGGAGAGUACAUAGAUAGAGGGUUCAGUGAGUAUUGUGCUGCACAGGGAAUUAGGAUGGAGAAGACCAUUCCUGGGACACCACAGCAGAAUGGUAUGGCUGAGCGCAUGAACAGAACUCUCAAUGAACGUGCUAGAAGUAUGAGGUUGCAUGUUGGACUACCAAAAACUUUUUGGGCUAAUGCUGUUAGUACUGCAGCUUACCUGAUAAACUGAGGACCAUCAGUUCCCAUGGAGUUCAGACUUCCUGAGGAGGUUUGGAGCGGUAAAGAGGUAAAGUUUUCACAUUUAAAAGUUUUUGGUUAUGUUUCUUAUGUUCAUAUUGAUUCUGAUGCUCGUAGUAAACUUGAUGCAAGGCUAUAGGUUUUGGGAUGAACAAAACAGGAAAAUCAUCAGAAGUAGAAAUGUAAUAUUUAAUGAACAGGUUAUGUAUAAGGACAGGUCAACUGUAGUGUCAGAUGUUAUAGAGAUAGAUCAAAAGAAAUCUGAGUUUGUCAACUUAGAUGAAUUGACUGAAAGUACUGUCCAAAAAGGGGGUGAAGAAGAUAAGGAGAAUGUAAAUUCACAAGUAGAUCUGAGUACACCUGUAGCUGAAGUUCACAGAUCUUCCAGGAACAUUACACCUCCACAGCGUUAUUCACCUAUUUUAAAUUAUCUCCUGUUGACUGAUGGUGGUGAGCCAGAGUGUUAUGAUGAAACCUUGCAAGAUGAGAAUUCAAGCAAGUGGGAUUUAGCCAUGAAGAAUGAGAUGGAUUUCUUGUUGGGGAAUCAGACAUGGGAACUGACUGAAUUGCCAGUAGGAAAGAAGGCUUUGCACAACAAGUGGGUAUACAAAAUAAAGAAUGAGCAUGAUGGUAGCAAAUGUUACAAGGCCAGAUUAGUUGUUAAAGGGUUCCAGCAGAAGGAGGGCAUUGACUACACAGAGAUAUUUUCUCCAGUUGUGAAGAUGUCAACAAUCAGACUUGUACUGGGAAUGGUGGCUGCAAAAAACUUACAUCUUGAGCAGUUAGAUAUGAAGACAACAUUCCUUCAUGGUGACUUGGAGGAAGACCUUUACAUGAUUAAGCUAGAAGAGUUCAUUGUUCAAGGACAAGAGAAUCUAGUCUACAAACUAAAAAAGAGCUUGUAUGGCCUUAAACAAGCUCCUAGACAGUGGUACAAGAAGUUUGUCAGUUUUAUGCAUAGAAUUGGGUUCAAGAGAUGUGAAGCUGAUCACUAUUGUUAUGUUAAGUCUUUUGACAAUUCUUACAUCAUAUUACUGUUGUAUAUGGAUGAUAUGCUUAUUGCAGGGUCUGACAUUGAGAAGAUUAAUAAUCUGAAGAAGCAAUUGUCCAAAUAGUUUGCAAUGAAGGAUUUGGGAGUUGUAAAGCAAAUCCUUGGUAUGAGAAUCAUUAGAGACAAGGCUAAUGGUACAUUGGAGCUUUCACAGUCAGAGUAUGUGAAGAAAGUUCUCAGCAGGUUCAACAUGAAUGAAGCUAAACCAGUGAGCACACCCUUGGGUAGUCAUUUCAAACUAAGCAAAGAACAGUCACGGAAGACAGAAGAAGAAAGUGACCAUAUGAGCAAGGUGCCCUAUGCCUCAGCUAUUGGUAGCUUGAUGUAUGCUAUGGUGUGUACAAGGCCAGACAUUGCACAUGCAGUGGGAGUUGUGAGCAUAUUCAUGAGUAGGCCUGGAAAGCAGCAUUAGAAGGCAGUCAAGUGGAUUAUAAGAUAUCUGAAGGGUUCAUUAGAUAUAUGUUUUGCUUCACAGGUGCAAGUUUGAAACUGCAGGGUUAUGUGGAUGCUGAUUUUGCUGGUGAUAUCGAUAGUAGAAAGAGCACUACUGGGUUUGUUUUUACUCUAGGUGGUUCAACUAUAUCAUGGGUUUUAAAUCUAUAGAAGAUUGUUACUUUGUCUACUAUAGAAGCGGAGUAUGUUGCAACAAUUGAAGCUGGAAAUGAGAUGAUUUGGCUACAUAGUUUCUUAGAUGAAUUGGGUAAGAAGCAGGAGAUGGGCAUUCUACACAGUGACAGUCAUAGUGCAAUUUUUCUUGCCAAAAAUUCGGCUUUUCAUUCAAAGUUAAAGCAUAUACAAACAAAAUACCACUUUAUCUGUUACCUUGUUGAAGAUAAACUAGUAAUACGUAAGAAGAUUUUUGGAUCUAAGAACCCAACAAACAUGUUGACUAAGGGUGUCACUAUUGAGAAGUUGAAGCUGUGUGCAGCUUCAAUCAGUCUUCUAGCUUGAGGACGGGAGGAUGAAUUGCAGGGAUGAGGGAUUGUUUCUUGGAGGAUAGCGAUUUGAUGUUGGUGAUUGAACUAGUCUCCAAGUGGGAGAUUUGUCAAGUUUUGUGGAGCCUAGUUUUGUUUGAUCCGAUUUGACGACCCAACUCGAAUAAUAUUGCGUGGUUUUUUAAUGUGAGAUUUACUGAGGCUUGUCCAUGGAGCGAAGGCUUGGGCUUUUUGGGGCCCAUUUAGCCCAUUGUGGAACCGCCCUUUGUAAUUAGGGUUUUUUUUUUGUGGUGUGGUUGUCGUGUUAUAGAGAGAAAAUAUUGUAGCCAUCAGAAGUACUCUGUAUUAUUCCCUGAUAAUAGUGAUAUCCCUGCAACUCCGUGGAUGUAGGCAAAUUGUCGAACCACGUAAAUACUGUCUUGUGCAUGUGAUUGUUUUUCUUUUUUUUUUAUGUUUUCUCUAUUUUUUGUUUCUCACAGGUUGGGAAUUCGGCUUAAUUCCCUUUAGUUGCUACUUGUGAAUCACUGUAAUCAGAAACAAUUCCAGAUAAUCCUGCAAUUCUAAACCUUUGAUUUGCUUUGUUCCAUUUUGCCAAGAACGGUUCUAAAACAUUUUUCUUUAUUGAGUUGUUAUGAUUUUAUUAUUUGGAUUUAAUUGUAUUCAUUAGGUUUGUAAAUCACAAAAAUGGUGUCGUGCUUAUGAAUAUCUUCCUCUUUGAUCAUGUAAAAUUGGGAAGCAGUUAUGGAUUACUAUUAUGAUAGCACAAUGUAUUGAUCCACAGUUUGUGGCAUGACAGUUUAAGGAAAUUACAGAAGUGUAGCAUUGAUGGGUAUGUCAUGUGAACAUUUUUCAAUGAAGCUACUUGUCUAAAUUUACAUGGGUGAAUUGUCACACUAAUAUCCUUUGAUGAACCUUGGGUUCUUUUUUCUGUUUCUUCCUCUCUUGGUCAAGCCAAACAAUUUGUCUUCAUGAGGACUUCAUGUUACCAAUAAGCAGCAUCUUGUGUUCUCCUUCUUUUCAUCCCCCUGUCAAGACACAGCAAUUUGAUGCAUCUUUGCAUUGGGUUGCUUCCUUUCCGCUCCCUCUCCUUCCUCCUUGAGGCAAAACCAUAUCAUUGUUUAGUUUUGACUAUGUUCUUUUUAUCAUUUAUGAGAAAUAAAAUAAAAUCAUGACAUAAAGAAAUUAUAUUUAAGUGUUAAUAAAUGAGAAUCGGAUACAUAUAAAUAAAAUUUAGAUUAAUUAUAAAUGAAACUAUUUUUAUUAUGUGGUUGUUUUUAAUGGACCACCAAUUUUUAUUUAUUUUAUUAUAUAUAUAUAUUCCAUAGAAAAAUUACUUUCUAAUACCAUAGAAUCACCCUAAUUUCAAAUUGGGAUUUACUAUCUUAAAUUUUAAAUUUUUUAAAAAUAAUUUUUAAGGACAUGAACUAAAUUUAUAUUUUUUGUUAAGAAUUUCUAUUCUUUAUAUGAAAGUUUUUAUCAAUUUUUGUUUUUAAAAACAAAAAAUAAGUACUUAGAGUGCGUUUGACAAUGAUUUUAAGAAGUAUUUCUAAUAUUUUAAAUACUUAAAAAAUAAAAAAAUUUAUACAUUGAAACAAUUGCAAAAUGCACUUUUAGUAUGUAAUGAUAUUAAUUUCUUCGAAGAGAGAGAUUUACAUUUAAGAUAAAAAUAAAUAAAUAAAACAAUACAAGGAUAAAAAAUCAUUUUUAAAAAAAACUUUUAACUUCUUGUACUUUAUCAUUACACACUUUUUUCAUUAGAUGCUUUAAAUAAUUUUUAUGAAAUAAAAUUAUAAUUAUAUUGAUGGAGGGCUAAUUAACUUUGCUUUGGGUGAGAAAGAUAGAGAUAAGAUUGAAGUGGGUCCACAUCUAAAACAAAAAUGAAAUAAAAAGUAAAGAUGAAGAUAAGGUUGAGGUGGGUUCACAACUAAAAAAAGAAUGAAAUAAAAAGUAUGAGAUGAAUUGACCAAAGCUUAUGCCUUCUUCCAAAUAGUAAAAGCAAAGCCCAAUAGUAUAAAGUGAUGACACUAGUCCUAUUCAAGGCCCCACUUGCAUAAUUGCUACAUCUUUUGAUUUGAUUUUUGUUCAAUUUCACUAAAAUGAAAUCAUUUAUUUGAGCCCAAAAAUUCAAAUCCAAAUCCAAUCCACUUAUUUAUAUACAUUAUUGGCAUGGAAUGAGAAAAGUUAUAAAGUGAGAAAAUUUGAUCAUAUGAUAAAUAGUAAUUUUUCAAAGUUGGAACCAAUCCAAUGCCCAAUGGGCAUAAAAGACAAAGGAAAGAUGUGGAAAUUAUAGUGGAAUCUUGAAACAAAUUUUUGAGGUUUGAGGUGAUGUGACAAUCGUUUCAAGAAAUUGCCUAAGAAUGUGAGAUGUUAUUGCAUUGAAAAUUGAUAUUAAAUCUAAUUGGGUAACUAUAAGAAUUGCUUUACAUAAAGACAAGUAAUAAAUAUAUCCUGUUUUUUUCAAAAAGUUUAUGACCCUAAGUGAAUAAAAUGGUGAAUAAAACUUUUAGAGUAGGAUGAAUGCAUUUCACGUGAGUCAUGUCCUAGAUAUAUAUUUAGAAUUUUCUAGCAGGAUGUCAAGGAAAACUCUAUGAUGAGUGUUUUGUUUCUAGUUAAGGUAGGUCCAAUUUGGUGCAAUUCGCCAACAUAAUUUAAACCCAACAUAUGUUUUAGGGAUUUGAAUCGAGUAAAAUCAUAUUUAAAUUAAAUUAAUCAUAUGAAUCUACAUAACCCGUUUAAUAAAUAGAUUAUUUUUAGGUCAAUCUGGAUAACUCACAUUUGACUCAAAUUAACUUAUUUAAUAAUGGUAUUGAUUAACCUAAUAAUAACUUUAACUUAUUGAACUCAUAUUUGACUCAUGUAAAAUUCGUUUUUCAAUAAGUAUAUCAUAAUUAGGUCAUAAACAUGUCAUAUUAGAAUAUUAACCAUAUUAUUUCAUUCAACAUUUAACUUGACUUGAUUAUGAAAUAACGUCUUCUUAUUAAAUCGGUUAAACCGGUUAUAAUGUAUCACCUAGAUAAUAAUUAUAUUGUGUUUGAGUUUAUGCUUUAAAUUUUGAUUAUUAUUCAUGUCAUGUUUAUGUUGAGUUAUUUAGUGGAGGAUCUAACCUUAGAUAUAACACAAACGCAACCCACUAACAUAAAUUGUCAUCCUCACUUCUACUAAUAAGUAAUUUGUUUAUUACAAUUAAGAAAAUUGAGAAGAUAUAAUUUUUUUAAAAUUUUUAAAUGCAUGAUUAAAGUUAAUUAUAAGUUUUAAAAGUUUUAUAAUUCAUAGUCCAUCCAAACUAACAAAAUAUUAGAAAUCUUCAAUGGUUUUGUCUACAAUAAAUGUGUUGUGCUAAAUUAUCCCCUUCUUUACUAACCAAAACAUGUUCUUUCACAAUCAAAUAUCAACGUGUUUAAGCAGCCGGUGAAGCAUCUCUUGACAAUGAGGUGAGAGGUAGAAACAAGAAACAUACAUGUAUUCAAGAGAAGUGUUGUUUCUUCUUUUGCAUUAGAAAACAUUCAUUUAGUCUAAACUUGAAGGUGGAUUGCUAGAAUAUGAGCUCUUGGAAAGACAUAAGAGAAGGACAUUUAGGAAUCUGAAAGAAGCCUAGAGACCUGUUGCUACUUGUGAAUCACUGUAAUUAGAAACAAUUCCAGAUAAUCCUGCAAUUCUGGACCUUUGAUUUGCUUUGUUCCAUUUUGCCAAGAACAGUUCUAAAAUGCUUUUCUUUAUUGAGCUAUAAUGAUUUUAUUAUUAGGAUUUAAUUGUAUUCAUUAGGUUUGCAAAUCACAAAAAUGGUGUCGUGCCUAUGAAUAUUUUCCUCUUCGAUCAUGUAAUGUUGGGAAGCAAUUAUGGAAUACUAUGAUAGCACAAUAUAUUGAUCCACAUAGUUUGUGGCGUGACAGUUUAAUGAAAUUACAAAAGUGCAUGUAGCACUCAUGGGUAUGUCAUGUGAACCUUUUUCAAUAGAGCUACUUGUUUAAAUUUAUAUGGGUGAAUUGUCACACCAAUGUCCUCUUAUGAACCUUAGGUUCAUUUUUCUGUUUCUUUCUCUCUUGGUUAAGACAAACAAUUUGUCUUCAUAAGGACUUCGUGUUACCAAUAAGCAGCAUCUUGUAUUCUCCUUCUCUUCAUCCCCUUAUCAAGACACAGCAAUCUGAUGCAUCUUUGCAUUGGGUUGCUUCCUCUCCUCUCCCUUUCCUUCCUCCUUGAGGCAAAAUCGCAUCAUUGCUUAGUUUUGACUAUGUUUCUUUUUAUCAUUAUGAGAGAGCAUCAUUGUAAGAUGUACAAGAAACGUGUUGUGGUGCAUUAUCCCCUCCUCUACCACCUAAAAUCUAUUUUACACGAUCAUAAGGACCAAGGUGUUUUAAACAUUAGGUAAGGCAUUUGUUGACAAUGAUGUGAGAGAUAGAUACAAGCAACAUGCCAAUAUUCAAAAGACGUGAUGUUCUUCUUUUGCAUUUGACAACAUUCAUUUAGUCUGAACUCCACAUUUAGGCAACUCAGAAUCUCCACCUUCAUUAGGAUUGCAAGAAGUUGGCUUUUUGGGAAGACAUGGAAAGAGAGCAUCUAGAAAUCUGAAAAAAUUACAACGACCUAUUGCUACUUUUGAAUCAUUCCAAUUAAUAACAACUCCAAAAAAUAUAUACAAAUAUGUCCCUGGGAAAGAGAUGUGUCUUGUGCAUAUGCAACCAUCUCUCUAAUAGACUUAGGGUUGUGCACCCUCAUGGUAGUUUCUUAUAUAUUGCACCAUAUGAAUUGUAGAUAUCCAACUACCAAUAUCACUACACCUGAAUGAACUAGAAGCUAAAGUGAAGUUGACAACCCAUCAUCGAAAGAAUCCUGUAGGAAUACACCAAAAUGAAAAUUUUAUUAACAUAAAUGAAUUCAUCCAAUUAAAGGGUAAAGUUGCCUAAAAAAUUGAAUUGGGAGAGAUAGAAAUAUUGAUGCUUUCAUAGGACUGUGAAAGGGACCAACAAGUGGAACAAACAUUGAAUAGUAAAUGUAAAGCCAUAAAGCUUGUAACUAGUGUCAAAAGCUGCUCCCUAGUGAAGUUUUUUAACAAUGAAGGUAAGUGGAAAAUUCACCUAAUAGCUCUACUUGUAGAAAAUUGCAAUGGUGUGAAACUAGGAUAUGGUGAACUCGUUUCCACUAUUGCAAUGAACCAUUAUGGAUCAAAAAUGAAUCUCACCAUCGGUUUUCACAUAGGAGAUGUGGGCUAUCUUUGGCCCAUAUCUCAAUAUUGGAUUUAGGAGUUAUGUCUCUCAUAUAUGGUUCCACUUGCAAAAUACAAAUGGAGCUUAGCUAAUGACAACACAUUUAGAAAAAUGCAAGAAUUCCAUAGACAUGUUUUGUGCUAUCAUGAAUCAUUCCAAUCAGUACGGAAUCGAAGUGCUAUAAUUUUGAAUUGUCUUAGGGAACAAAUCCUAAUUCAAUCUUGCGGAAGUAAACCAUCUUGAGCACCAACUCAAUUCUGAGUUCUUUAGGAUACUUGAGACACCAAUUCAAUCAAAGAUGCUAGUCGUUUUUGAGGUAAAUUGUCUUCCUCCAUUGAUACUAGGGAAAAUGCUUUUGAAAACCAUUCAUCUGCAAGUUACAAAGGGAAAUGAGAUUAUGUGAUUUGGGAAGAGAAUUAAGCUUUGGAAGAGAAUUAAGCUUCGGAAUAUUGCCAAUAUGCAACCGAUAAUUUCUAAUUCUAUCACUUUUAUUCUAACAUGUGAUUUGGAAAGAGAAUUAAGCUUCGAAAUAUUUCCAAAAUGCAAGGAAUUGAGGAGGCCAAGUGGGCAACCACCAUAGCUAGUUCGCAAACAAAUGAUAGCAUUGGAAGUGGAACACAACACAUAAACUUCAAAAACAAAACAUGUUUCUCACGAUCAUAAAUACCAAGAUGUUUAAGCAUGAGGUAAGUCAUCUCUUGACAAUGAUGUGAGAGAGACACAAACAACAUACCAGUAUUCAAGAGAAGUAGCAUUCUUCUUUUGCAUUCGACAACAUUCAUUUAUUUUACAUCCCAAAUUUUAGCAACUCGGGAUUUCCACCUUCUUUAGGAUUGUAAGAAGUUGGCCUCUUGAAAACACAUGAGAGGGCAUUUAGAAAUCUGAAAGAAUUCCAGAGACUUUCUAUUGCUUGAAUUGUGAAUCAUUCCAAUCAUAAAUACCAAGGUUCUAAGAUCAAGUAAGGCAUCUCUUAAUAAUGAUGUGAGAGAUAAAGACAAGCAGUACACCAGUAUUCAAGAGAAGUAGUAUUCUUCUUUUGCAUUCGACAACAAUCAUCUACUCUACACCCCAAAUUUUAGCAACUUAGGAUCUCCACUUUCAUUAGGAUUGUAGAAAGUUGGCCUCUUGGAAACACAUGAGAGGAUAUUUAGAAAUCUAAAAGAAUUCCAAAGACUUGUUAUUGCUUGAAUUGUGAAUCAUUCCAAUCAUAAAUACCAAAGUGUUCCAAGAUCAGGUAAGACAUCUCUUGGCAAUGAUGUGAGAGAUAGAGACAGGGAGCAUACCAGUAUUCAAGAGAAGUAGUAUUCUUCUUUUGCAUUCGACAACAGUCAUCUACUCUACACCCCAAAUUUUAGCAACUCAAGAUCUCCACCUUCAUUAGGAUUGCAGGAAGCUGACCUCUUGGAAACAUAUGAGAGGAUAUUUAGAAAUCUGAAAGAAUUCCAGACACUUGUUGCUUGAAUUGUGAAUCAUUCCAAUCAUAAAUACCAUGGUGUUUCAAGAUUAGGUAAGGCAUUUCUUGGCAAUGAUGUGAAAGAUAGAGACAAGCAGCAUACUAGCAUUUAAGAGAAGUAGUAUUCUUCUUUUGCAUUCAACAACAUUCAUCUACUCUACACCCCAAAUUUUAGCAACUCAAGAUCUCCACCUUCAUUAGGAUUAUAGGAAGCUAGCCUCUUGGAGACACGUGAGAGGACAUUUAGAAAUUUGAAAGAAUUCUAGAGACUUGUUAUUGCUUGAAUGUGAAUUAUUCCAAUCAGUAACAACCCCAAAGCCCUAUAUACAAUUUUGAACUGUCAACCUUCUUACAUUGAAUGAAAAACUUGUCCCUAGGAAAAAGGUGUCUUGGGCAUACAACCAUCAAUUAUUAGCUCUCAAAGAGGCUUAAAGUUGUGCACCCUCUUGGUAGCUUCUAAUUCAUUACAUCAUAUAACUUCCAGAUAUCCAAUUGGCAUGUCACUACACCUGAAUGAAGUAGAAAACAUGGUGAAUAGGAAGUUAGACAACCUUUCACAAAAAGAAUCCUACAAGAAUACACCAAGCAGAACUUCUUGUUAACAUAAAUGAAUUCACUUAGUUAAAUUAUUGCGUUAAAAUUUAAAUUGGAGAAAUAAAAAUACUAAUGCUUGAGAAUAAGUAUUGAGAAUAAGAGUUACCUUAAUGAAUGUAAGGAUAGGAUAGGGUUGAAUUGGCUCUGCACCCAUUUUUGCAAUUUGAAUUUAUUAUGGUUCAAAAAUGAGUUUAUGAUAUAUCCUCAAUUUAGGGGAAGCGAGCAAUCUGGGGCCAAUCUCUAUCAUUCUCCUUGAAACAUCUUUGAUUUCAAAGUUUGAUAAAACUUAGAAGACAACCUUUCACUUGGCAAGGAGGACUAGAACAAGGCAUCCCUCAAUCUCUACAAGUUAAAGAAAUGAAGUUUUGAAGACCAAGGGAGGAGGCUAGGUUUCCAUAUUUGACAAUAUUUUCAUUGAAAGAUUAAUGAGAGUUGUAGCAAGAAAUCCUGUCAAAAGGAAAUUGCCUUUAACAAUGUACAAUAUAAAAUGAAUGAACUAAGUUUUUAGAGAAGUGAAUCUUUGGAGGCUCCACAAAAAUAAGGGGUUUUAAUACUCUUGCAAGUGUAUUCAUGAAAUUGUUUCCUCAAAGGACUCCUGAACCUAGACAAUGUACAACACAAAGCUGUUAAAGAGAUGUGAGACUCUAAAUCUGAUGAGGUAGGACUUGAGAUCCACAUUUUCUUAAGUGAAGAAUUCUGAUGUUGUAAACACACUAGUAGUUUCUAGAUUUAGAUACUUCUCUUCAAAUAUUUGUAUAAUGUACAUCUUCUUUGACAUUGCUGCUCCAAUAGGAUGUCCAAUAGGAUGUGCAACCUAUUUGGGCAUACUACAUGUACAACAAAAAAUUUCAUUAAAACAAAAAACUUUUACUAAAACAAAAAUAUGAAGUUAAUGUCUAAGAAGAUAAGAUUUAUAUAUAGUGAAUGAGCAUGUUUGAUUUUAGCACAAAGGGAAAGACGCCAAAAUUUUUAAGAAUAUCAUCACCACAAGUACCUAAUUUGCAUCAUUAAAAAUUCCACAAGGAUUUGAUGGCUAGGCAAUAAAAUAAUUCUAGUAAAUGAGUUAAAAUCAGCUAAGCUAAGAAAGAUUAAAUCCAAAUAAGCAUCAAUCAUUAAAGAAUUAGCCAACUACGAAAGACUUCAAAUGACAUUUUCUCUGUAAUUUCUGUUCCUAAUUAGCCUCAUGUGAUUGUACCAAAAUAUUAUUAAUUUUCUUUAAAGGAAGUGGGUGACUCAUAUCUUUGAAAGGGUGUGAGAAGUGGAAAUCCCUCGAUCCCUAGUGAUUCAAGAGGAUAAUUCCUAUGGCUAUUGUUGUCAUCAUACAUCAUUCAGCUAGCUAUAGACCACAAAAUUGAACAAUCAUGAAUAUGUAGAUGCUUAAAUAUGGUAUGUACUUUAUCUAGUGGAAAAGCUUAUGAGACUUGGACAUCUCGAGAUUUCUAGGAAUUAAAACAGAUACAAGUUGUUGCUUCUUGUUAUAAUUUAUCUGGAUUGCAAUCAUCAAGCACUAACUCCAUUCACUACAUGUUUUGAGCCUUCAACAUAAAUUCCAUUCUUUCAGCCAAAAAAAAAAUCAUUAAUAACUCAUCUGAAAACCAUUUUAUGUUGCUCAAAUUAUAAAAUGUAGGAUGUAACUGACUUCCAUCAUUGAAAAUGAAUUGAUAUAACUUUACAAUACUAGUAUAUUCAGCUUUUGAAAUGGUUGAAACUGAUCCUGGAAUCAAAAAUCACAUACACAAGUAGAUAUUUAACAAAAGAGAAUCCAAAAUCUCUUCAAUUGAUUAAUGUAUAAAUGAAUUAAUCAAAAUUUUUAGAGAUAAUUAUGGGGAGAUGAACCUUGUACCUUUCAGUUUCUUAUUCUUCUUGAACAGAGCAAUGUGCAUCAAGUGUUGAGCACCUAGGAAUCUCCCUUCCUCCACAGGCAAAAUCUGAACAAUGUAUCCUUUCUUCAUAUUCCACUUCCUUGCAAAAUUCAAAACAUGAAGAAAAUAUCAUCAAAAUUAAGACAAAAAUAAGUGCAUCAACUAUCUCAAGAAGAGAUAUAUGCCUACUGCGUACCUUUUGAAGAAGUCCACUUGGUUAGAGCACAUUUUACAUGGACGCCCAAUCACUAUAAGCAAUUGAACCAAAGGAGAGUUCAAACAUCUACAAAAUUUGACGAACUCAAGUAUCAUAAAAUACUUCAUAUGAAUUCUAAAUGAUCUCAUAUCUAAAAAACAUUGGCAUAAAAUUAUUGUUUUUUACCUUACAUGUUUCUUCCAUGGUCAUAAUCAAAACUUUGUUUAUCAUAAGAAAUCUUCUAUGCUCAUCUUGAUUACUUACAAUGAACACUGAAAUGAAAAGAAAAAAAACCACAAAAAAUGAUGAUUAGUUUGGUUUGAUAAAUUUAGCACGCAUAAUUUCCUUUUUCUUGCAUGAGAAAAGAAAGAGUAAAUAUAUAUAUAUAUAUAUAUAUAUAUAUAUAUAUAUGAAUUUAAUAAUUUUUUAAAUUAGCAAUUAUAAAACUAUUUUGGUUCUCAUAAAAUUUAUGAGAAAGUAGAGAAAAAAAAUUGUAAACUUUUUCUCUUGUUUGAUUGUUUAUCGAAAAAUUGAGGGAAAAACAAAAAUCUAUGAGAAAUUUAUUUAACACUUCUGAGGAACCAAAAAUGUUUUAGAUGUUGUCAAAUUGAUAAUUUAAACGUGUUUAAUUCCAAUUAAAUGAGUUUAGUAAAACACAUGAAAUUGUGAAUAAAAUUAUUUAAAAGCAUUGAAAUUCAAGUCAUUAAAGUUGUCCAUAAAAUUUGGUAUAUUGAAGCAAGAAAAAAACAAAGCAAUUUGAAUGACUUGCUAAUAAAGCAACUAACUAGAAUAUGCCCUAGAGUUGUUCAGUGCCCUCUAUAUAAGAAAUAAAUAGAGAACACAAAAAAAAAACCAAGAAAAAAAAACAAUCAAACGAAAAACAGAGAACACUUCUUACGUUAUUUUUUCUUAAUUUUUCUGAUUUAUAUACAUUUUUGUUGGUUUUCUUUUGACCAUAAAAGGUUCGAGCAUUGGCAUUGUCAUGUGUAAAUUAUUGUGGCUACAAACUUCAUUCGUAUCCAAUUGCACACCUAUCCAAACUCUUGAUGAUGAAGGUAUGAUUGCAUUUACUAGCAUUAAAUUGCUAAAAUUUGUCAUCCAAAGUUCCAAUUUCUUUUGAACCUUGAAGACUUCAUUUGCAUUCUUGUAGGAAUUAGACGUGGAAUCAUUUUGCAAUGCUUGUGGUCUUGAGACCAGCAGUGAUGAAUGGGGAAAUAAGUUCUUAUCAACCAAGCAAACAAACUUCCAUUAUCCCAAGAAAGUCUUUCCAAGCUACUCUUAUGGGUUUGGAACACUUUUAGAGGUAACAAUCAAUUGGAACUAGUUACUCUUUCAAACUUCUUAUUGUACAAAUAUAGCCUGCAUGUGCAACCAUUUUUUAUCCCAUAAUUUCAAAAAUUUAUGACACCUUCUAGUGGUUAGUUUUUCUGGGAAUGGAGUAAAGCAAUCUAUUCACUCCGAGAAAUUAUCGUAAGAAGAAUAGUAGAUAACCUCGCAAGACCAAAUUUAUGUGUGUGCAUGGAGGUGCAUGUUUUCUGCAUCCCAAUCAUGCAGCGUUGUGUCAAAUGGAACAAUAGCAGGUGAUGAUAAGUGGUAUUUCUAAAAUCUUCUAAGAGUAUUCCAUAUAUUGUAAUAUUGUUUUCUCAAAAUUGUCUUUGAGUCUUAUGUGUAAAUAUUAGAGUUGACCUCUUGUAAGCUAUCAACUGAUGUUGUAACUUAACUUGAAAGGGAAAUUCUAUAAAUUUAGCCUUGGUUUGGCUCUUGGAAAGCAAAGAAAAAUUAGGUUAAUAGUGAGUUGAUUUCUUCCCUUCCCAUGGAUGUAAGCACAUUCUUAAAUUAUGUUAAUUAUGUUUUGGUUUAUUUUGUUGUUUUCUUGUUUAUUGUUCAAUUGUCUCCGCAUAACAAGUGGUAUCAAAGUUGUUUCCAACACAAUAGAUGAUUCCUAUGCUAACACAAUGUUUGAGGCUAAAUGUAAGAUGGUAAAAGUUUCUAGAAUAUUUCUGUAUGACAACUGCCAAUAAAGGAUGUACUUAACAGGAAAUUCGUAAGGUGUUACAUGGCAAGUUGAACAAGACCAAUAGCCAAAGAUAUCUGAAAUAUUUGGGGCCAUUGAUCCAACAAUAGCAGAGAAUAACACAAGAAGAGACCCUCUAAUCACCAUUUUUGCUUUUGAUUCUUCUCUACAAAGCAUCAUCUCCUUUAUACAAAAAGACAACCCAUGGCUAAGCCCACAUUAUUCUCUACAUAUCCCAAAAAAACCCUCUAACCCAUGGCAUGGCGCACUUUUUGGGGGUAUUUUUGCUACUAAAUUUGUGGUAGUCUCUCAAAUACCUAAACUAUCCUCCAGAUAUUAAGGUAUGGCCUACUCUUUGAGGUGGUAUUAAGGUAUGGCCUAAAUUUGUUAAGAGAGGUUUUGGUGUGGAAACUAGAGGGCUUUACACACGUUGCAUGUAUUUUCUUUUGCAUGCAUUACACGUAGAUCGGAGUUUAUGCAGUUACUCACUUUUUGUGAGUCCAAUAGUACUGUAGUGCCACGUCACCAUAUGAUGGGCUCUUUAGUCUUUUCAAACCCAAAAAAAAAAACUAAUACUAAAAGGACUGCUAACUAGCUAUGUGGAGGUGAACCUCUAUAGCUAGCUUCUUAGAGGGACCAUGAUCACUUAGGCCAAGAAAGUUUGAGGUGAUAAUAGGUUUGUGAUGCCCUUAGAUGUUUUAGACACAUGUGUGUUACACUAAUGUAUGCAACGAGUCUAUAACCUUGAUUGACAGGUCCGGGUAAUCUUUGAAAUUCCACUGUGAUAGGAAGGUUCCAUGUGAACAACAGUUGCACAUGGGUUAGUCAAUCUUAAGAGACGGGGGAAGCCCGUUUAAUAGCACACAAUGUGCAAGCUUUGAAAGGCAAUCAGGUUAACAUUUUUUAAUUGGGACAUGAUAGCGAACAACAACAUUAGGUAGUUUGGAGAUGUCGUCAUAUUAAUUGUUAUCAAUAUUUUUAUUUAUUCAAUAGAAAUUGAGGAUUAAAAAAAUACCACAAAAAUUAGAAAAAACAAAAUUAAUUACAUGGCUUACAUUUCAAAUAUUUAAUAAAAUAUUGUUUGAAAAUUGAAUAUCAUACAUUAUUAAAUGGCUGGAUUCUCUUCUUUAUUUUUUUAAUUGUCUCAUCCUAUUAAAUUACUCAUCUAAUAUUAAUUUAUUUUAAAGGUAAAAUUAAUUAUUUUGUAAAAAAAACUUUUAAUUGACCAGAGUUUGUGCCAUGCAUCUAAUAUAUACUUAAAUACUUUUCCAUGCUAUAAUCCUCCAACAAAGGAAUGAAAUCAAAACUUAAAAAUCAUUUAUAUAUAUAGAUAUAUGUUAUUAAGUUUAGGUAGUGAAGCAAUUAUUGUGAAUAUAAAAUUAAUGCCAAAAAUUUUGAUUGUUCUUUCACGUUCUCCACAACCAAACAAAGGAUAUAAGAAAAAUCAAGAAAGAAAUUUAGGGUAGUUUGAUUUUUUGUUCUCAUCUUGUCGUGAAGUUAAUAGAGGAAUGCUUGGGUUAGUGCUUGACAGUUAGGUGACACUAGGGUAUAAUGAUUCUUCCAAUCAAGUAAAUAUUAUCCGCUUUAAUUUCAAUGGAUCAUCAUCACUUUAAAUUGCAUCCACAUGGUUAAGAGCAACUCAUAUGUGUAUAAUAUCAUGAAUUUCUUCUUAUUCAAUAUGGAAUAUCAAAUUAGGUAUCUUUCAAUUUUAGGUAUUGUAUAAGUGUUUCAAUUCAAAUGACUUGGCUUAAUGUAUACUCAAAGCCUUUACAAAGGAACGUACAUGUAAUAAAGUGAAAAUUAAACCUUGUCGCCCGUCUAUCUCUAGUAUGAAACACAACUCCAUUAGCGCUUAAACAUCUGCAAAAAAAGAUAUACACCUUUGUUACAUUAAUUAAAAUAAAUGAUAGAAAAACAGACUCCAUAUAUCCAUGUACAAUAUUUGAUUAGAUUUGUUAUAUAUAUAAAGAGAGAGAGAGAGAGAAAAAGAAAAAAAAACUGCUUAGAUUAAGGAUCUCAUUAAUUAAUACCUAGAAAAUAUAAAAUAAUAAAAAAAGAUUAGAAGGUGUGAAUUAUAAGAUAAGACUACAUUUUUGAAUUAGAUUCAUCGAAAGAUGGCAUAUUGUAUGAACAUUUUUACUCUAUAUAUAAAAACUUAUAUUAUGGUUGAGAUGUAUUAAUUUGUCAUAUUUUUGGACAAUUCAAGUAAUGAGUAAUUACACUAAAUUAAAUUAUUGACCUUAUUAAUUGAUACCUCAACAGUAUAAAAUAGUAAGAAAUGAAUAAUACAAACUUCAUCGAAAUAUUUUUAUAGACAUAUUGCGUAAAUAUUCUUAUUUAAUAAAAUUUUAUAUGUCAUUAAAUAAAUAGAGAAUUUUAACAUUAAUUGCAAUGCUAAGUAGAGGAGAUCUCAUAUUUAAGCUGAUGAUUAAGGCUUAUUUGAUAAAACUUAAUAUUUAUUACUUAAUAACUUAAGUUGACUUUAAGUUAAAUUAUAUUUAAGUUACUCAAAAUUUAUUAUUUAAUAUUUACUUUAAGUAUUAAAGUUAUUUGAUAAAAUUAAUUUAAAAAUCAUUUUAAAUUAUCAAAUUGUCAUAUUUAUCUUCGUUAAUUUGAUAACUAGAUGCAGAUAAAUGAAACAAAAUAAAAUUGAGAUUAAGAAUAAAUUAAUUACUUUGAUUUAACACUUAAAAUUAAAAGUAACUUUAAGAUAUAAUAUUAAGUUAUUUUAUCAAAUAUAUUUAAUCUAUUUAAUAAUUAAAUUAAGUUAUUAAGUUAAUGAAUGAUUACCAAACACCCUAUAAGACCCAAAAAAUCGAAUGAGUUUUAAUAGUAUUCAGGAUGGACAUGACUAGGUGGCGGUUCAAUGCUGAUUAAUCAUAAUUCAAUCAAGGCAAAAUAUGUAACAAAUACAAGUCAAACUGCACCAUCCAAAUGGGCGCCAAGAAGUUACAUUUGACAAAUGCCAUUAAACCUCUACAGCUAGCAAUUAUUUUGAUCACAGAAAAAAUGGCAAAAAAGUGUGUCGUACUUCAUCUUGAAGCCCAUUAACUUCAUCUUAAUUUGAUCCAAAUUGCAGAAACAUGCAAAACUCCAUGAAUCUAUGGUGCUAUGGUGGCCUACAUUCAUAUAACUGGGGACACUUUGGUUUACACCACAAUGACCCCAAACAGGGUUUGUAGAGGCUUUAUCAAGAUCACUAGCUUUAAAAGACUAAGGAAAGAAAGAUGUUCUCAAUGAAAACUUGGAGUCAAAUUGCAGAUAAAGACCUAAAACUCCCACUCAAUGUGUUUUAGGAAUUGUUGUUUCAUGGGGAUAAGCUGCUUGGUUUGUACAUGUCUCCUUGGUGAUACUUAGAGAUUGGCAAAGUAUAUUCUCCUUUGUGAUCUGGUUUGUAUAUGGGCAGAUGAAUGUUCAUGCCAGGUUCAUAUAUGUUUCUGAUAUAUAUCACCCUGGAAGGAUCUAGAUCAAGGGGAUGAGUUUGAAAAGCUUGAGUAGGUUUAAGAUGUUCCCAGAAUUGGUGAGCAUGAUAUAUAUCAACAUGAUAUUGCAGAAGACAACAGAGCUUCUGAAAUAUAUCAGGUUCAAUAGUAGGAAAUCUUAUCAGCUGUCACUUAUUGUAAUCCUAUGCUCUCAAUAUUCAUUUGUUGAAGAAGAAGAAAAAAUUGCUGUCACACUAUUCAAUUACCGGAGAAUGUUCAAUUAUAGAAGAAAAUAAUAUUCACUAGACUCUUUCAACUUAAUCAACAUGCAGAGAAAAGCCGUCGGGUGGCCAAUUAUUCACAUACCAACUUACAUACAUCGUCUCUCUACCUCUACUUGUUACUCAUUAGCCAAGCUUAUAGUAAUAUAAGCUUGGGUUCAUCUCUCCAUGUCUCUGAUGACAACUCCACAUGGGGUUCGCCUUCUGGUGAUUUUGCAUUUGGAUUCUGACCCUCUCCAAGUGAAAAGGAUCAAUAUCCUUCUUGCUAUCUGGACUGCAAAUGGAAGUUAACUGGUGCCAAGAGGAUCAAAAGUUGAGCUUACUACCAAUGGACAACUUGUUCUCCAGAGGCUAAGAGAUGAAGACAAAGACUGGUAAUGUGAGCAGCGAAGCAGUGCAUGGUGCCAUGCUUGGACAUGGAAAUUGUAUACCAGUAUAUGGGAGAGCUUCAAGCACCCAACUAAUACCAUAUUGCCAACCCAGGGAUUGGUGUUGGAGCCUCCUGUGCAGUUGCUAUUUUUGAGGACCUGAGGUUUGCAAAUGGAACUGGAAGCUGUUGGAGGAAAAGACUACCUCUUUCAAAUGGGAGGUUGGAUCAAACUGAUGUUUCCAGAAGUGCUCUAAUCAAGAAGUCCAGUGAACUAACGUCAGGCAGAGGCAACCAAAAUAAAGCAAUUCUAAUACUCUCAGUCCUCUUAGGCCCCUCUGCGUUUUUCUUCUUCGUUUCUCUGGCUGCAAUUUCUCUAGUUUUCUACCACUUGAACCUCAAAAAUCUGCAGCUUUAUCACAGAAUCCUGAGUACAAGCGAUGGUAGAAGCCUUUGACACUGUCUAUAAAGGGAUAUUACCAUCAGGUUCUGGAAAUUCUGUUGCUGAAAAGAAGUUGGAGAAGGUGGUGGGAGAAGAUGAGAAAGAAUUCAAAGCAGAAGUGAAUGUGAUAGGCCAAACUCACCAUAAGAAUCAAGGACAGUUGCUGCGUUACUGUCAUGAGGGUGAACACUGACUACUGGUGUUUUUUUUUAUUUUAUUUUUUUAUGCACAAUGGCUCUUUAUCAAGCUUCCUUUCUGGAGGCGCCCAAGGACUUGUGUACCUACAUGAAGAAUGCAGUAAACAGAUCAUCCAUUGUGACAUAAAGCCCUCAGAACAUAACUCUUAGAUGAUUCUUCUACAGCCAAAGUUGCAAACUCGGACUGGGAAAGCUUCUGAUAAUCAACCAGACUAGAACACUCACAGGCAUCAGAGGGACUAUGGGGUAUAUUCAGACAACUCGAGCAGCCUAUGUCUCUUAUAAUAACACGUUAUGAAGCAUCAGCUCAAUGCCAAGGUUCAAUCUGCAAAGCAAGGGAUUCAUCAAUGUUUCCUUCAAACUAAAUAACAAGGAACAGAAAUGGAUCAUUCUGCAUUUUCAGUGGUGUUUGUUAUAGCAUUUAUACAAGAACUCUAGGGGUUUCUAUGUAUAACUUCAUUCCUAUUUUGUCAGUGAAUAUGGUGAUGGUGUUAUAUUAUAAAUCAUAGUGAACUGGUGGAAUUUGAUCAUUUGGCCAACUUUAUCCAAAACUGUUUCACGGUUGAGGGGAUUGUUGACUUUGCCCUGGGCGAAACAGCAAUUUCUUAAGAAGCUGGGUAACGAAGAGUACCAUAAUUUGGACUGGUUUCAAUGGAAACUCUCCUGUUUUUGUGCAUGGUAUCUUCAGCUUCAGCUUUUCCUAUGCUUUUGACUAUCCUGAAACUGAUCCAAAUCUCUUCAAUUGAUUAAAUGUAUAAAUGAAUCCUAUUCAUUGUUUGGAGUAACAACCAAAUUCUGGAAGACUGGGAAAGUUUCAACACUGGAGAGAAAACAAAAUGACAAGACCAUAAAUUCUGGAAGAGGGCUUUGCUUUCUAAUCAUUACCAUAAUUUUAGAGCUCAACCCGGGUGAGUAAAUUAUAUUUCAGAAUGUUCAGAAGAUAAUUCUGAAGUGAUGAACCUUCUACUCACAGUUUCUUGUUCUUCUUGAACAGAGCAAUGAACAUCAAUAGUUCAGCACCCAGGAAUCUCCCCUUCCUUCAAUUCCUUUACUGGGAAAACUCUGCCAAAAUCAUAACAAUCUGUCCUCUUCCUUGGAGGAAAAGUCACCUUCCCAAUCAAGAAAAUCAUCAGGAUUAAUUUGAGCAAAACAUCAGAGUAUACAUCAAGAAAGCCUUGAUCAAAAUCAAAAUACAUCAAGAGCUGCCAUUUUCUUCUAUUUCCUCUUCCCUGAAUGGAAUGCCUUUUGGACUGAGGUGAUCAAUGGUAACAGUCUAACACACUCCUUAAGCUCUGAUUGAGGUCAACGGGGAUUGGCACAUUUAAUGACUUUUGAAAUCAUAGCUGUGUGAAGGGAGGCAAACAUGAAUCUCAGGAUAAUCAACAAGUCAACAACUAUCAAUCAGCAAGGAAAAGGAAAUACCUUUGGAUAUUUACAAAUCAAAAAUUUGAGAGAGUCCAGCUUCUCUGUACAGAAAGGCUUGAGCUUAUUCCAUGGCCAGGCUUUAGAUGGUUCUGAAUUACGGAUGAGAGGGUUGAGUUUUCUUUUAUUCUGCAACAAGAUUAAAAACAUCAAUGAAACACUAAAAGUUUAUAUAUAGAAGCCCUUUAAAGAUAAGAACUGGUAAGAAAGCUCACCCAUGGUCUAGUAAAACAACAUCUGUUAGAUAAGUAACCGCCAUUCGAUUGUCCAGCUAAUGCAUUUAGAUCUAAGAUAAGAUAUGGAAAAAUAGUCAAAAAUAGCUGAAGACAGUCCAAAAACUCAUUUGACUAAUAAUUUUCUAAAAGCAGUAACAUAAAACCUGGAUGAAGAAUCCACCCCUCUACCUGACACCACUUCAAUACCAAAUAAAAUGUUACGAUGACCAUUUAUGGUCUUAAGAGACAGUGGAUGUUGUUUGGGCUCAAGACCUAAGACAAGCCAAAAAACAAGAAGAAAACAUCAAAAUUGGCACAGAAACAAGUACAUCAACUAUCUAAUAAAGAGAUUUAUGCAUGUAACAAAUGCAAAUGAAAUAUGAAACAAGAUUUUCAUGGAUUAAACAAAAAUAGAUGGCAAAAUAGAAGGAUAAGGUCACAGACAGGACAAUAUUAAAAGAAAUGAUUAUUUGUCCCACCUGAAAAUCAAGGCAUUCAGAACAGUACACAUUUGUAAGUAGUCCAUGGAAACCAGGGAACAUAUGCAGAUGUUGUAUUCUAUUGCAUAAGGCAAACACUCAAUACUUACAAGCAUAACCAUGCCCAGAAAGCCAUGAAUCCCUUUUAGUUUUGCUUUUUUACCUAUUCCCAUCUCUUAUGGCCAGAAGUGCCCAGGAUGAUAUAACAUCACCAAAUAAGUUAGAAACCAGCCCAUCCAGCAGGUUGAGUAGCCAGCUUGCCCUCAAUCUUCUUUGAGUCAACAAACAGCUGGGCAUUAUUGCCUCCAAUGGAGGGUCUGGAAAUAUUAGAGCUGGCACCAGGGGUGGCUGUAAAACUCUCUGUUCCAAAACCCCAAGUUUCAGGGCCAGAAGUUGCUUCUGUGGCUGGUUUGUUGUGAUGGCCAUUUCGGGUCCUAACAGACUUGCUAUUGUUGUCUGGGCACCUACCUCAGAGAAAGCCUGCCAUGGAUUAGAGUCCUGACAUGGCUGAAACUGAUCCUGAAAUUAAAGUGCACAUACACAAGUAGAUAUUUAACAGAAGAGUAUCCAAAUCUCUUCAAUUGAUUAAUGUGCAAAAGAAUUAAUCAAAAUUUUUAGAGAUAAUUAUAGGGAGAUGAACCUUGUACCUCUCAGUUUCUUAUUCUUCUUGAACAGAGCAAUGAGCAUCAAGUGUUGAGCACCCAGCAAUCUCCCUUCCUCUACAGGCAAAAUCUGAACAAUCUAUCCUUUCUUCAUAUUCCACUUCCUUGCAAAAGUCAAAACAUGAAGAAAAUAUCAUCAAAAUUGAGACAAAAAGAAGUGCAUCAACUAUCUCAAGAAGAGAUUUAUGCCUAUUGCUUACCUUUUGAAGAAAUCCACUUGGUUAGAGCACAUUUUACAUGGACGCCCAAUCAGUGCAAGUUGCUGAACCAAAGGAGAGUUCAAACAUCUAGGCUCAUCUUGAUUAUUGUAAUGAACACUGAAAUGAAAAAAAAAAAUGAAUUUAAUAAUUUUUAAAAAUGAGCAAUUAUAAAACUAUUUUGGUUCUCAUAAAAUUUACGGGAAAGUAAAGAAAAAAAAAUUGUAAACUUUUUUGUUUUUGUUUGAUUGUUUAUGGGAAAUUUGAGGGGAAAAAAAAUCUAUGAGGAAUUUAUUUAACACUUCUUAGGAACCAAAAAUGUUUUAGUUGUUAUCAAAUCGAUAAUUUAAACAUGUUUAAUUCCAAUUAAAUGAGUUUAAUCAAACACAUGAAAUUGUAAAUAAAAUUAUUUAAAAGCAUUGAAAUUCAAGUCAUUAAAGUUGUCCAUAAAAUUUGGUAUAUUAAAGCAAGAAAAAAACAAAGCAAUUUGAAUGACUUGCUAAUAAAGCACCUAACUAGAAUAAAUAAAGCAGCUAACUAUAUAAGAAAUUAUAAAAUAAAAAUAAAAAAUAAAAAAUAAAAUUGCCAAAAAAAAAACAAACAAAAUAUCCAUGGUUCUUACGUUAUUUUUUUCUUAAUUUUUAAAUAGUUAUAAAUGGUUCAUUUAAUUUUUGCAAACUACGAAAUCAAAAUAGAGCAUGAAAAUGUGUUCAACAUUUGUUUCAAGCUUGAAGCUUCAAGAAAAAAGAAAAUCUUAAAUCAAAUAAACAGAAAGAAAAGUUCAAGCGCAAAAGAAUUACCUAACUGUGUAUUGGCGGAGUGGCACUUUGAUUAAAAUAGCACUUCAUUGAUCACUAUUUUAGGAAUGAGAUCUAUAUAACGCCAUUCUUCCCCUUUCUCAAAUUGACACCGUUUUUCCAGUAAAUGACCUCAUUAGAACUACAAUAAGUGAAGUGAUAAUGUCAUCUAAUUAGUAAACCAAACCAAGUCAAUAAACUAGAACUUCCUCUAGUAUAAAGGUCUUGAUACAUUAGAUAUUGAAUUUGUUGGACCUGGCAAGGUAGAAGUAGUAAUGCUCAUUUUUUAUUGUGACAGAUUAUAGAGAAAAUUAGACACUGGGAAAAUACCAAGCCAGGAGCCAUGUCAAGAGCUGCUUUCUUGUUAAAAAUUAAGUCCAAUUAGAAAAUUACAGUAGCGCGUAAGAGAAAUUGAAAGUGGUGUUGAGAAGAGAAAGAGGAAGAAUGAUGUGUUGGGAAUGAGAUGUAAUACCUUAUUUAUUAAUACACAGGGGAUGUGGGCAAUCUUGGGCCAAUCAUCUCCUUCCUCCUUCGAGUACCUUUGUGUUAGAUGUGGGCAAUCCCGCACAUACACUCGUGAAAGGGUGUCAGGCAAUAGUCCUUCCGUUGGCAAAAUCGAUCGGAGCUUAGGGCAACUGUAGAUUUCUAGCUCUUCAAGAGAGGUGAGGGUUUGGAGAGACAGGGAGGCUAGGGAUUCCAGAUUCUGGAAUUCUGAAAGGGUAAGGGAGGAGAGAGUUGUAGGAAAAAUAAUCGAGUGGGGGUCAUCCGAAAAGGAAGUUGCAUCUGGAAACAUGCCACCAAUCCAGAGGAGUUUAAGAGAGGUGAGUCUGGAAAGGCCCCAUUGGGAUAGGGGGGUCUUGAUAUUCUCAAAGUGAGAGAUCUCGAGUGAUGUAAGAUGAGUGAGGGUGUUGAGGCAAUCUGGUAGGGUUUUGAGAUUAGGAUACCUCUCGAUGGUUAAAGAUUGAAGUGAAUUAUUAGUAGAGUGAAACAUCUCCUCUGAAAUUGACUCGAGGUGUUCACAAUCCUCAAUGUGAAGUUGCUCAAGGGUGGAUGGAAACUUGCCUCUUGGGAAGGAUGUGAGAGAUGGACAUUUACGGAUUUCCAAGGCUUGGAGAGCAGCAGCAUAUGUGGAAUCGUAGUGCAUUAUUCCCUCUGGUAGAGACUCUAGCCUUCUACAAUCAAUUAUACUGAGCCUCUUGAGAGUGGCGGGUAACCCACCUUUCGGUAAUCCAAUAAGAGAAUGACACCUAUCUAUCAAUAAGUCUUCAAGGGCACACAUGCCCAUCAUUCCUUCUGGAAGAGACUUGAGAUUUUCACAAAACUCUAUCUGUAGUCUCUUAAGGGUGGUGGGUAAUUGCCCUUUUGGAAAGCAAAUGAGAGAUGGACACCUGGAUAUCACUAGCUCUUCAAGGAGACACAAGUUGUUGCUGUCAGUACUGUCGUUCCUCAUCUUCAACAUCAUGCCAUCAGGUAGACUCUUUAGACCUUGACAAUUCUCAAGAUCAAGAUUUCUCAGCAUUGGUGGGAAACCUACAUCUGGAAAUGACGCUAGCUUUGGACAAUUGCUGAUUGUCAAUUCUUCAAGGCAUGUUAGACUCUGCCAUCCAUUUGGAAGCCUCUCUAGUUUAGCACAUCUAUCUAUUUCCAAAGACUGAAGAUUGCAUCCCAAGGAUACAAGUUGGUCACAAUCUCUAAUCUCAAGAGAAUGAGAGUUUUCCGAUCCAAAACCAUCCUCCCACAAAUAUACGAGUUCUUCGCAUGCCCAUACUUUCAAAACCCGAAGCCCUUGCAAAAAUUGCACAAAUCCUUCAUGCAAUUUGAUAAGCCCUGAAAUCCUAGAAAUUGUUAACUCGGUGAGUGAGGUGAGGUCAUUUCCACUGCUCAAGACCGCCUCAUUACAUCUUAUUACUUGUAAUUCCUUCAGCAGUGGAAGUCUUGAACGUGGAGACUCCAAUUUUGGACAAAAGACAACAGAGAGCUUUGUAAGAGAAGGUAGGUAAGUGGGUAGUUUCAUAAUCAAUUUGCGGCAACCCUGAAUUGUAAGCUCAUGGAGACAAGGGAAUAAUGACUCUGUUGAGGAAGACCAAUCCUCCCAGUGCUCCCAUUCUGACAUGCUAUAAAAAUGUAGAGACUCUAGUGAUGGGAAAAACUUACCUGCAGAAACACGAGUCUCUCCAUAAAACUCUGCACCCACUUUUUUUACUACAUCCAUUCCUUGGAUCCUCAACUGUUUGAGCGAUGGCAACUGCCCCAAGCAUGGUAAAGACGUGCACUUUCUGCAAUCUAUGAGACGUAGAUCCACCAUCUUAGAGAACAAGGCACCCCCUAUCCAACGUGGGAAUUCUGGACCACCAUACAACUGAAUGCAGAGUUUGUUCAGAUUCGAACAUGGUUGUAGAGAGUCAAGGACAUCCAUUUGAUUCCUUUCAUUCCCUGAACCAUCCAACUCAGAACUCCACUGCAUUAUCAAGCUUUCAAGGUUACGCUUCGAACAUGGUUGUAGAGAGUCAAGGACAUCCAUUUGAUUCCUUUCAUUCCCUGAACCAUCCAACUCAGAACUCCACUGCAUUAUCAAGCUUUCAAGGUUACGCUUCGAUUUUAAAUCGGCAUCCCUUGCAUCUUGAAUAUUCACCACAUUUUCCAAUUUCGAAAUGCAAAGUUCUCCUCGCAGAUGUGACAUGUCCUUCAACUCCUUGAUUGUCAAACCGUUGUUUUUGUCCACAAUGAAAUUAGACAAUAUCCGCAAAUCUUUUAGUUUGCCCAUUCCUAUAGGCAUUUCUUGUAAUUUUAUUGCACCAGCAACGUCAAGAUGUCGAAGAUUGAUUAGGUUACCGAUGGUAAUAGGCAACUUGAUAAGCUCUUUACAACAUGAUAAUUUCAAUGUCUGAAGGUAAAAAAGAUUACCAAUUGAAUCGGGUAACCAUUUUAUACUGGUGUGGGACAAAUUAAGGUAUCUCAAAUGUUUCAACUUACCAAAUGAAUCUGGUAUCUCACUUAUCUUGUAAUAAGCCAAUGAGAGCACCCUUAAGUGCCCUAACCUUGGUAUCAAUUCUUCAAGCACCUUAUCACUUAUGAAGGAAUGAAGUCCACUAGUUAAUUCAUCAAUCGGCAAAGCUAUGAACGUGCGCAAGCGCUCUUUCUUAUGAAACGUUUCAAAAUUUUUAAAGAUAUCAUAGCGAUGACGGAUGAAUGAUGAAUGACGAGUAUUUUCAGGAACGGAGCGUUGCAAAUCAUCCAAAUGCAAGCAUGUGUCUCCAGCAAUAGAUUUAGCUAGAUCGUUGAUAAGGUCAUGCAUAACGAAUCGUGAUUUAUUGCUAUUGGACGAUUGGAAAAAUGACCUUGACAAUAGUUCACAAAAAUAAUCAUCACCAAGAUCUUCCAUUUUCUCAUCCUCAUUUGAUUGUUGAAUUAACCCCUCCGCCAUCCACAAGAGGAUUAGCUCUUCCUUCUUAAACUCAUAAUCUUGGGGAAAUAAUGCGCAAUAAGUGAAACACCUUUUUAAAUGUGAAGGGAGAUGAUUGUAGCUCAAUCUCAAGGCAGGGAUGAUGUCACAUUCCUUGUCUGUGAAAUCCCAUACUUUGCUGUACAAUACUCUUUCCCAUUCACACUCACGUAGUUUUUUAGAGCGCAAAAGGCCACCAAGGGCUCUUGCCGCUAAGGGCGAACCUCCACACUUCUCUACAAUUCUCCUGCCAAUUGAUUCCAAAUUUGGGUGCUCAUCGAUAUUCAUAUGUUCAAAAGCAUGUGUUUGAAAUAUCUUCAAACAAUCAUCAUAAGGUAACUGUUUGAGCUCAUGUAAGAUCUUGUGGCCUCUCAUCAUGUUUGCAACAUUAUUAUUGCGAGUUGUGACUAGAAUUUUGCUUCCCUGUGCUCCCACCCAGAAAGGGGAGCAUAGCCUGUCCAACUCAUCGUAAUCAUCAUUCCAUAAAUCAUCCAAAACUAUCAGAAAUUUUUUUCCCUUCAAUUCCUUCCUCAAAUUUUCUUGAAUUUCAUGCAAGUCUUGUGAAUUACUGCUUUGAGAAUUAGUCACCAAGUUGAGAAUUGUCUCUGUUAUUUUCUUUGCAUCGAACUGAACUGAGACAGUAACCCAAGCUUUUUUAUCAAAAUGCUUGGUUAUGGUCUUAUCGUCAUAGUACACCAGUUUUGCCAGUGUGGUCUUGCCCAUCCCACCCAUGGCCACAAUGGAAACUACAGAAAAAUUGGUUUUAGUGGGUUCAUUCCUAAGCAGCAUACCAAUUAUAAUCUCUUUUUCUGUCCCCCUGCCAUAGACCUGAGGUUCAUAGACAGUGAAUGGCCUUCCACAAGCAGAGUUGGUUAUCGCAGCCACCUUUUCUAGACGAAGCUCAGAUUUUUGAGCCGAAAUAUCUCGUAAGCGGCGAGUGAUUUCCCACACCUUGGACCUCAUGUUAACAUUAGGAUUGAAAAUGCGAAGACAAGUGGAGAUGAGCUUGCGUACCUUGCUCGGCCUGCCUUGAUGAUCAGCUUCUUUGGCCGUGAGCUCCCGUUGCAAAGCUUCGUAGGCGAACUCAUCCAAGAUGUCCUCCAUAUCAUAAGCCAAAUCUUUCAGAUUGCCCAGCCACUCUUUCACAGGGCGAUCCGUGAUCUGCUUGUCCUCCGCGUCAUUAAGCUCUUCACGAAUAUCCGACAAUUCUCUCUCCCAUUUCUUGAGAUCAGAGUACACCUGUUGGCGUGCAAAGUCGAGCAAAUCAGUGGAGGCCAACUUGUCAAACAAGAGGCCGAUGGCAGCAGAAAGAAGAGCGUCUCCCACAGCCUCCAUGGUUGGUUUGUACUUUGUUUGGAGAGAGAGAGAGAGAGAGCAAAUCAAGCCGUGGGUAAAAAAGUGAAGCAGAAAGAAGGGAGUCUGCUCUGUGAAGGCUUUAAAUAUUAGAAACUCAUAAAACAUUUGUUUUAUGAAUUUAUUAUAUGCACCCAUUUUCAUUUUAAUUAUUUUGAGAUGAGUCCUAUUCCUCCCGUUGAGAGAGAGAGAGAGAGAGAGAGAGAGAGAGAGAGAGAGAGAGUUAUUGCUGUGAGCCGGCAUGCAACAACCUUACAGUGUAGCAAUUGUUCAAUUUUGACAGUGAAGGAGAGAGAGAGAGAGAAUUAUUGCUGUGAGAUGGCAUGCAACAACUUUAAAGCGUAGCAAUUAUUGAAUUUUGACCGAAAGAGAGAGAGAAAAUUAUUGUUGUGGGAUGGCAUGCAACAUCUUUAAAGUGUAGCAGUUAUUGAAUUUUGACCAAUUAUGUUAAUGGGUUAUAUCCUCAUCCCAAGUUCCCAACCCAUCUUGAUUACUUCAAAAAAAAUUUAUUCCGUCCCAAACCUGUACUAGAGUAGAACGGGGUCGGAAUUUUUUUAGAAGUUAUAGUCAUCCUAUCUUAUUUACUAUUUUCUGUUAUUUUUAUUAUUUUAAAAUUUUGUUUUUAUUAAAAUAAAUGUAAUUUAUGAGUAAAUAAAUUAUUUUUCAUAAAUUUUAUAUCCUACCUUGAUAAAAAAUAAAUUUACAACUUCAAUUUAAAUAUGUUUAAAGAAGAGAAAUGGAAAAAAAUAAAUUAUAUUUACUUAAUUUUAUUUAUAAAUGAGAUGGAUUGAGAUAAUAGUUAGAGUUUGUUUGAUAAUUAUUCUAAAGAAUGUUUUUAGUUUAAAAAAUAAAUAAAUUAAGGGUAUGUUUGAUAAUUAUUUUCAAAAAUAAUUUUUGAGAAUAGUUGUUUUCUAAUAUUUUAUAGAAUAAAAGUCUGUUUAAAAAUCUAAAAUAUUUUUUAUUAAUUUUUAAUAUUUUAAAAAUAAUUUUUAUAUAUGAUAUUUUAUUUUUAAUUAUUUUAUAAAUAAAUUACAUUUAAGUAUAAAUAAAUAAAAAUUAAAUACAUAUAAAUUAAAUUUAGGUUAAUAUUAUGUGGUUGUUUUUAGUGGACCACCAACUAUUUUUAUAUUCCAUAGAGAACUUACUUUCAACACCAUAGAAUCACCCUAAUUUUAAAUUGAGAUAUAUUAUCUUAAAUUUUAAAUUUUUUAGGGCAUGAACUAAAUCUAUAUUUUUUCUUAAGAAUUUCUAUUUUUUUUAUAUGGAAGUUUUUACCAAUUUUUGUUUUUAAAAACAAAAAAAUAAGUACUUAAAGUGUUUUUUAUAGUGAUUUUAAAAAAUAUUUUUAAUUUUUUUAAUAUUUAAAAAAUAAAAAUUUUAGAGAUUAAAAAAAUUAAAAAUAAUUUUUAAAAUCAUUGUAAAGCCCACUAUGAUAUUAAUUUCUUCUCAUUAUAUCCUUUCAUUAGAUGCUUUACAUGGUUUUUAAUAAAUAAAAUUAUAAUUAUAUUGAUGGAGGCCAAUUAUCUUUGCUUUAGGUGAGAAAGUAGAGAUAAGAUUGAAAUGGGCCCACAUAUAAAACAAGAAUGAAAUCAAAAGUAAAGAUGGAGAUAAGAUUGAGGUGGGUGGACCAAAUAAAAAGUAGGAUAUGAAUUGACAAAAGCUUCUACACUCUUCCCAAAAAGUAAAAGCAAAGCCUAUUAGCGUGUAAAGUGAUGAAAUUAGUCCUAUUCAAGGCCCUACUUGCAUAUUUGAUAUUUCUAUGAAUUUUUAUUUAUUUAUUUUAUUAAACUAGUCUAAUACGAAGACUUUUAAGUUAAAAUUAAUUUUUAAAAAUGAUAUUUAUUCAUUUAUUUAAUAUGAUAUUGUACACAUAUUAUUAGAAUUUUCUAAUAUGAUGCCAAGGACACUUAUGAUAAGUGUUUUUUUAUUUGAUUUAGGCAAAUACAACUUGAUAUGAUUUUUCAAUGACUCGAAUUCAACUUUUUUUCUUUUUUAGGGAUUUGAAUUAAUUAUAAUCAAUUUUAAAUCAAAGUUGCAUCAAUCUAUUAUAUAUCUAGUUUAAAGUCAAUGUACAUAACACAUAUUUAAUUUGAAUUGACUUAUUUAAUGAUGAUACCGAUAAACCUAAUGAUAACUCUAACUUAUUUAACUCAUAUUUGACAUAAUUAAUUUUUUUUCUAAUAAGUAUAUCAUAAUUAAGUCAUAAACAACAUAUUCAAUUAGAAUAGUAGCCACAUAUUAUGUCAUUCAACAUUUAACCCGAUUUGAUUAUUAAACAACAUCUAAUUAUUAAAUAGGUUAUAAUAUAUUACUUUGUUGAUAAUUACAUUGUGUUUGAGUUUAUGUUUUUAACCUUGAUUGUUAUUCACGUUAUAUUUGGAUUGAGAUAUUUAGUUGAGUAUUUAAACUUUAAUGUGACAUAAAUACAAUCCAUCUAUUGAGAUAUUAGAAAAGUAAUUUUGAUCAAAAUUAAUAUUUAAUGACUUUAAGUAAAUUUUAAAUUAAAUUAUAUCAAAUUAUUAACUUGAUUUAUUAAAAUUAUUGUUGAUUUUAUAUUAUAAUAUUAAAUUAUUUUAUCAAAGAUACUGAAUAUUCUUAAGAAAUUAAAUUUGAUUUAUCAACAUCCUCUAAUGUCUUCUCAAUUUUUAAUAUUUAUUUGAUACACAUUUAAUAAGAAACAAGUCAAAAAAUUUCAAUACAAGCAAGAGUUGAAAGAAAGCGGAAAGAAGAGCCUCUAGCUUCCAUGAGAGAGAGAGAGAGAGAGAGAGAGAAUUAUUGCUGAGAGAUGGCAUGCAACAACUUUAAACUGUAGCAAUUAUUCAAUUAUGAGAGAGAGAGAGAGAGAGAGAGAGAGAGAGAAGAACUUUACAGUGUAGCAAUUCUGAGAGAGGGAGAGAGAACAACUUUACAGUCUAGCAAUUAUGAGAGUGAGGGAGCGAGAGUUAUUGCUGUGGGAUGGGAUGCACCAACUUUAAACUGGAGCAAUUAUUCAAUUUUGAAGUGUAGCAAUUAUUGAAUUUUUGACCGAGAGAGAGAGAGAAAAUUAUUGUUGUGGGUGGCAUGCAACAUCUUUGAAGUGUAACAGUUUACAGUGCAGCAAUUGUUCAAUUUUGACAGUGAGGGAGAGAGAGAGAGAGAGAGAGAGAGAGAGAGUUAUUGCUGUGAGCUGGCAUGCAACAACUUUAAACUGUAGCAAUUUUGACCAAUUAUGUUAAUGGGGUUAUAUCCUCAUCCAAAGUUCCCAACCCAUCUUCGUUACUUCAACAAAUUUUUAUCCCGUUCUAGAGUAGAACGGGGUCGGAAUUUUUUUAGAAGUUAUAGUCAUCCUCUCUUAUUUAUGAGUAAAUAAAUUAUUUUUCAUAAAUUUUACAUCCUAUCUUGAUAAAAAGUAAAUUCGCAACUUCAAUUUAAAUACGUUUAAAGAGGAAAAAUGGAAAAAGAUAUUAAAUUAUUUUUACUUAAUUUUAUUUAUAAAUGAGAUGGAUUGAGAUAAUACUUCAAAUUUGUUUGACAAUUAUUUUAAAAAAUAUUUUUGAAAAAAAUAAAUUAAGGAUAUGUAUGGUAACUAUUUUCAAAAAUAGUUUUUGAGAAUAGUUGUUUUUUAAUAUUUUGUAUAAUAAAAGUUUAUUUGAAAACCUAAAAUAUUUUUGACCAAUUUUUAAUAUUUUUAAAUAUAUUUUAAAAAUAAUUUUUAUAUCUAAUAUUUUAUUUUUAAUCAUUCUAUGUUUAUAUAUAUUAUUUUUAAAAACAAUCAUUAAAAAAUAAAUAAAUAAAGUAAAAAAACAACUAAAAUAUGUUAUUUAAAAGUACCCUGUUUUUUGUUCUUAAUAAUAGAAAAUGGAAAACAAUUUUUUAUUAUCAAAUGUGUUUUCUUGAUUUUUUAUUCAGAGGAACAAAAAACUAUUCUUGAAAAUAGUUGCUAAACAAGCAUAAGGUGUUAGACAAAAUUUUAAAAAAAACUUCUCCAAAUCUAAAAAAUCAUUUAUACUAUUUUUUUUAGAAAAUCACUUAUAGUGUUUUCUAAAAAAUUAUUUGAUAGAUAAUUUUCUUAAAAACACUUCAAGUAAAAAUACCGUCAAACACAUUAUUAAUAUUAUUUAAUCCAACCUUGGAGUUAAAAAAUGAUUUAUCAAAUCCAACCUCGAUCGGUUUAAACUCUCCCAAACCCAUUCCCAUUUGUAAUAUCUGGUUUUGAAAAAUAAAAAUAAAAACAUAAUUAUGGACCCCGCAUUUCGACUCAUGCAUUUUCCACUCGAUGGCGAGCUCGAUUUUUGUUUAAAAAAUGAUUCUAUUGUUUGAAAAAAUGACUUGGAGUCGCCACUUAUUUUUGUUUUAUUUUUUUUAAAAAGGGUAAACAAAAUAAGAAAGAAAACCCUAAGUGUGACUCCUCAUUUUGGAAAAGGUAAUCUACGAAAGACCGGAUCGGACUUGGGGGUCAGAUUACUUACCAGGAAGGUACGGUAAAGACCAUAGCACCCCUCUAAGUCCCUAAAGUCGGGUCUGUACUAAUAAAAUGAAGCUGACAUGUCAAUCAGUAGGAAAAUCAAUGGAUACUCAAAUUAAUCAUGCACAUAUGAGAAUCAAAACACUCAAUAAAGAAUGAUCGAAGUGGGAAUGGACAUACCUUGGCAUCAAACGAUCAAUGCGCUAUCAAGAGAGCGGGUUAGUGCAUAAUUAAGAAAUAAUCUCAUGCAUGUCAGAGACUAGGAUGUAUGAUAAUCCAAUCAAACAAUCAAUCAAUCAAUCAUAAAGUCACCCAUGUUAGGCCCCCACCAAAACAUGUUUAUUUAGUAUGACUUAAUGUCACAGAUUCCAUUAUUCUGGAAUUAUGAAAAAUUUAUUCAUGCUUAUUGAAAUCAAGAGGAGCAGAAGAUCGUUUGAAAACCAGAACGGAAUUAAAACUAUUCGAGAGAAAACUGGAUUUUUGGAAAUUUAUUUGAAAAAUUGGAAUCUCGAAGAUUACUGGAAAAUUGAAAUUUUAGAGUUUAUUUGAAGAUCAGACUUUUAGAGAUUAAAUGUGAGAAUGUGAAUUUUAGAAAUUAAAUUUGAACGAGAUUGGAAUUUUGAAAAUAAUUUGAGAGUUUGGGAUUUUAAACGAGUGGGUAAGUGGAUGAGUGAAUAAGUAAAGGAAUGAAAUAAUAACAAUGGUGAAAUAAUAAAGAUUAGGUAAAUAAUUACAAAAGAUGGAAUUUUAGAGAUUGAGGAUGUGAAUUUAAAGAUUGAAAACUUAAGAAUUUAUUUAGAGAUGAGAUCUUUGGUAUGUGAAUAACUAAAUAGGUAAAUGAAUGGGAUAACGUUAAUAACGAGAAUAAUCAUUAAACGACGGUAUACGAACAGUGAAGCUUUUGAGAUUGGAAAUUAGAUUUGGAAGUCGGGUUCUGAAGAAUUAAACUUUAGCGAUUAUAAUAAAUAAAUAAAUAUGGAAUAAUAAUGCUAAUUAACAAAAAUAAUACUUAAACGAAUAAUAAAAAAAUGCGCAGUGGGAUUUUUUAUAUUGAAAAUUAAAUUAGGAAGUUGGAUUCUUGAAAAAUUGGACUUUGAAUAAAUAAAUAAAUAUAGGAUGAUAAUUCUGUUUAAGGAAAAUAACAUUUAAACGAAUAAAAAAGAAUAGUGAAAUUUUUAGGGUUGAAAAUUAAGUUCAAUGAUUGAGAUUUUUUAAAAGAGAUAAACAAGUAUAGAGUUUUUAAUUGACGAAAAUAACAUUUAGACGAAUAAUGGAAUUUUUAGGAUUGAAAAAUUAAGUUAGGCCAUUGGAUUUUUUAAUGAUUAGACUUUGAAUGAAUAAAUAAAUAUGAGACAAUAAUUCUAAUUAACAAAAGUGUCAUUUAGGAGGAUAGUGGAAUUUUUAGGACUUGAAAAAUGAAAUUAGGGCAUUGGAUUUUUGAAGGAUUGGAUUUUAAAUAAAUAAACUAAUAUAGGAUAAUAAUACUAACUAACGAAAAUAACAUUUAAAAGAAGAAAAAAGAAUAGUGGAAUUUUUAUGAUUGAAAAUUAAAUUAGGACAUCGGAUUUUUGAAGGGUUGGAUUUUAAAUAAAUAAAUAAAUAUGGGAUACUAAUUCUAAUUAAAGAAAAUAACAUUUAGACGAAUAGUGAAACUUUUAGGAUUGAAAGUUAAAUUAUGACAUUGGAUUUUUAAUAAAUAAACUAAUAUAGGAUAAUAAUAUUAAUUAAUGAAAAUAACACUUAAACGAAUAAAAAAAGAAUAGUGGAAUUUUUAGGGUUGAAAAUUAAGUUAGGACAUCGGAUUUCUGAAGGGUUGGAUUUUAAAUAAGUAUAUAAAUAUGGGAUACUAAUUCGAAUUAAAGAAAAUAACAUUUAGACGAAUAGUAGAAUUUUUAGAAUUGAAAAAUUAAAUUAAAAUAUGGAAUUUUUGAAGGAUUAGACUUUAAAUAACUAGAUAAAUAUGGGAUUAUAAUUCUAAUUGAUGAAAAUAAGAUUUAGAUGAAUUGUAGAAUUUUUAGGAUUGAAAGAUUAAAUUAAAACAUGGAAUUUUUUAAGGAUUAGACUUUAAAUAACUAGAUAAAAACGAGAUUAUAAUUCUAAUUGAUGAAAAUAAGAUUUAAACGAAUUAUUAAAAAAAUUAAAUUAAGGCAUGAAGGUAAAUAUGGGAGGAUAAUUCUAAUUGAUGAAAAUAAGAUUUAAACGAAUUGUGAAAUUUUUAGAAUUGUAAAAUUAAAUUAAAACAUGGAAUUUUUGAAGGAUUAGACUUUAAAUAACUAGAUAAAUACGAGAUUAUAAUUCUAAUUGAUGAAAAUAAGAUUUAGAUGAAUUGUAAAAUUUUUAAGAUUGAAAGAUUAAAUUAAAACAUGAAAUUUUUGAAGGAUUAGACUUCAAAUAACUAGAUAAAUACGAGAUUAUAAUUCUAAUGGAUGAAAAUAAGAUUUAGAUGAAUUGUAGUAUUUUUAGGAUUGAAGGAUUAAAUUAAGACAUAGGAUUUUUGAAAAAUUACUUAAGGACCUUUGUUUUGAAAAUAGAAUGUAAAGUUUAGAAUGUAGUAAAUUUAUCGAGACCAACAUAAGUUAAUUUAUACAAAAAUUUUAUUUAUAUGGUGAUUAGACAUAACUAAAGAAGGGAGAGAUAAGAUAUGAAUUAUUUUAAAUUUUGAAAAGGAUAUUCAACAUGAAUAAUUUGUCUUUUAAUUGCCUUUAAGUUGAGUUAACUAAAUUGGUAAAAAUGAAAUAAGAUAAAAAAAAUAAAAAAUGGAUGAACAAAUUAAUAAAUUAAUAAAAAAUGGAUCUACUCAAAAGAUUUUUAUUAUUAAUAAAUUAAUAAAUUAAUAAACUUUGAAAGAAAUUAGAAUUGAAAAUUAUUUGAGAAGUAGAAACUAUGAAAAUUAAAUAAUAAAAAUUGGAAAUCUUGGAAAUCAUUCGAAGGAUAAAUGAAUAAAAUGAUAAUAAUAAUGAUAAUAAUAAGUAAGUAAUGAAAUAAAUGCGAGAAUUGGAAUAUUGGAAACUGAAAAUUAAGUUCAAAAAUUGGAAAAUUAGAAUUUCAGAAAAUUAAAUUUGAAAAUCGGAAUUUUGAAUAAUUAUUUAAAGACAGAAUAUUUUAAAUAAAUGAAUAAUUGAAUAAAUAAAUGAAUGGAAUAACGAAAAUAAUAACGAUUGGAUAAAUAAUUACGAAGAUGAGAAUUUUGAAAAUUGGAAAUUGAACUUAGGGAUUGAAAAUUUAAAGAAUUAUUUAGGGAUGAAAUUUUAAAUAAAUGAACAAGUGAAUGAAUAAAUGAAUAGAAUAACGAAAAUAAUAAAGGGGAUAAAUAAGUGUGAAAAGUAGAAUUUUAGAAAUUGGAAAUUGAAUUUAGGGAUUGGAAAUUUAAAGAAUUAUUUAAGGAUGAAAUUUUAAAUAAAUGAAUAAGUGAAUAAAUAAAUGAAUAGAAUAUUAAUAAUGAUGAAAUAACAUAGAUUAGGUAAAUAAUUGCGAAAAAUAGAAUUUUAGAGAUUGAAGAUUGAAUUUAGAGAUUGAAAAUUUGAGAAAUUAUUUAAAGAUGAGAUUUUAAAUAUAUGAAUAAGUGAAUAAAUAAAUGAAUGAGAUAAAAAUAAUAACAACAAAAAUAAUCAUUAAAUAACUGAAUGUGAAUAGUGGAAUUUUUAAGAUUGGAAAUUACAUUUGGAAAAAGGAAUUUUGAAAAAUUGAACUUUAAUGAUUGGAAUUUUUAAAAUAAAUAAAUAAAUGAAAUAGUAAUAAUAACAAUGAAAGUAAUAUUUAAACGAAUGAACGUAAAUAGUAGAAUUUUUGGAAAUUUGAAAAAUUGUUUAAAGAUAGAAUUUUUAGUUAAAAUAAAUAAACAAAUAAAUGGAAUAAUGAUAAUAAUAACGAAAAUAAUACUUAAAUGAAUGAACGUGAAUAGUGGAAUUUUCGAAAUUGGAAAUUAAAUUUGGAAGACAGAAUUUUGAAAAAUUGUUUAAAGAUGGAAUUUUUAAAAUAAAUAAAUAAAUGGAAUAAUAGUAAUAACGAGAAUUGAAUUUAGAAAUUGGAAAAUUGAAGAAUUAUUUAGAGAUGGAAUGUUGGGAAAUUAAAUUUCGAAAGUUGAAAAUCCGAAAAAUUAUUUUAAGGAUGGAAUGUCGGAAAAUUAAAAUUUGAAAACUGGAAACCGAAAAAUUAUUUUGAGGAUGGAAUGUCGGAAAAUUAAAUUUCAAAAACUGGAAACCCGAAAAAUUAAUUUUAAGGAUGAAAUGUCGGAAAAUUAAAUUUCGAAAACUGGAAACCCAAAAAGUUAUUUUGAGGAGGGAAUGUCGGAAAUUAAAUUUCGAAAAUUGGAAACCCGAAAAAUUAAUUUUAAGGAUGGAAUGUCGGAAAAUUAAAUUUCAAAAAUUGGAAACCUGAAAAAUUAUUUUAAGGAUGGAAUGUUGGAAAAUUAAAUUUCGAAAAUUGGAAACCCAAAAAAUUAUUUUGAGGAUGGAAUAUCGGAAAAUUAAAUUUCAAAAGUUGGAAACAAGAAAAAUUAUUUUAAGGAUGGAAUGUCGGAAAAUUAAAUUUCGAAAACUGGAAACCCGAAAAAUUAACUUUAAGGAUGAAAUAUCGAAAAAUUAAAUUUUGAAAACUAGAAACCCGAAAAGUUAUUUUGAGGAUGGAAUGUUGAAAAAUUAAAUUUCGAAAAUUGGAAACCCGAAAAAUUAAUUUUAAGGAUAGAAUGUCGAAAAAUUAAAUUUCGGAAAUUGGAAUCUUAAAAAAAAAGUGUUUUGAUAUCAAAAUGUGAAGAAAUAGUAAAAAGAAUUAUGGAUUGUGGUGAUCAUCAUGUGCACGUCUCCGGUAUAAUGGCUAUAAACCCAUUUUAUAUAUUCUUUUCCACCACCACCACCACCAUAACCAUUAAGAGCCAUGCAUGGAUAUCUAUCACUCCCACCACAAACCCAUUUUUAUUUUGCAUAUUCACCAUGACUUCCAGCUCAUAACCCAGCCGGCGCUGUAGAGACUUCUCAUUGCUCUGCCCGUUUGUUUCAUUUCCAUUGGUAAUACUUGAGUUUUCAUGCGCUGAAGGCUUGUGAGUUUCUAGCAACUCUUUUAGCCUCUUGGCGGCCAUAGUGGCUGAACCCGUGUGCGUACGAGCUCGGGAUAGAAUGGAUGAUGGGAAAACUGUGUGAGGGUUGCAUCCUCUAUCCUUACCAUGGCAUGCAGAGGCCGCCGAGUAUGGAAGGCACCAAGGUAGGCAGCAAGCAUGUGCGGGCUGCACAUUACAUGAGAAGGAACGGGAAGAAAUUCAAGUGAAUGAAGCAGUGAGAGUGACAGACUUGAAGGUCGAGCCAAAAAUGGGUAUUAGUGAGAAAAAUGAGUGAUGAGUAAGGGGUGUGAGAGAAAUUAGUUGGAUGGUAUGACGAAAGAUUUAAAGAGGAUGGUGAGAUGAAGGCAUGAGCUUGGUGGAUGGGUAAUGAUGCAUGGUGAGAGAAGUAGUUGUGACGGGUAUUGAAAAAUGGAAGUGGUGAGCAUGGACGGUGAUAGAUGUAGUUGGGGGGAUGGUUUGGCUUGAGAAAAUGGGCAGAAUAUGAAGGCGUUUGGCUUGGGAUUGGAAUUCGAUGGAGAAUGGAUUUUAUGGGAAAGGUUUGGGAAGGAUGCUAAUGGGUCGUGUACAUGAACUGCAGUCACGUGGGAGGAUAUGGAAUAGGCAAAUGUUAGGAACAGGGGAAGACCAGAAAAACAGAGCACAAGGGAUAGGAACAAAAUAAUCCCAUACAAGCCGCGUUUCAUAUCCGGAUCAAUGGGCUUAGGUGAGGGUGAGCGCAAUCAAACGAGUAUCAAAUGGAAGACAAAACAUGAUUGCAUGUAUUUUCAUGAGGAAGCUUAAACAGGACCAAGUUAACAUUCAACAAAAACCAAAUAAAUGAGGAACAUGAACAUGCUAUAAUUCCACAAAACCAACCUGAAGGUCAGCCAAAAUAUACCUGUAGCACUUGAUGUCUAUUCCCAAUCAACAAAUAGCACUCAACAAUCAGCAGAGAAAAGAAAAGAAAAGCAUGCCAGUUGGAAUGAGUUAGAAACCCAUAAUAAUCAUACCUGAAAAACAAUCCUCCCCAAGAAGCCGUGUCGGAUUUCUAGCUGUUCCACUAGUUCCCUCUUUUUCCCUCUAGCUGCCUUUUCCUCAAGUCACCUCAAAAUCACAACCCUCAAGCAACCUGCAACCCUUUCCUUUUUCAGAUUCUUCUUUUCUUUUCACUCUCAGCACCUACUAUAUCCUUCUUCCAUCGGCUUCCUCUGUUUCUCUCGAACAGCUCUAAGGAAAAAAAAAACUCCUCCCUCUUCCUUAGCUUCCCCUCCAAGCUAUACUCUAAAUAUCUCUUCUCUGUUUCCAUCUUCUCCCGCAAGCCACCACCUGCUCCACUGUGCACCAUUCCGCCAAUGCGUCACCCUCCAAACCACCACCAUGGGCGAGCCAUGCAGCUGGUUCUCAGCAUAAGGAGGUCCCCCUCCAAAAAUGCAAGGAAAAGAAAAGAAAACAACUCUGCUCGAGCCCUCACCACACGUCCCAUGCUUCUCGUGUGUCUCCAGAAAGAGGUCCCUCCCCCCUACUUCAAAAAAAUGAAAGAAUUCCACUCUCCCGAGUGGUCCUAAAAUAAAAGAAAAGCUAUCCAUUUUUUUGAGGGGUCUACAACUUUAUUAUUACAUUUUAUUUUUUGUUUGAUGCUUUAAAUAAUUUUUAUUAAAUAAAAUUAUAAUUAUAUUGGUGGAGGGCUAAUUAACUUUGUUUUUAAGCGAGAAAGACAGUGAUAAGGUUGAAGUGGGUUUAAAAAAAUGAAAUAAAAGAAUGAAAAAAAGAAAAAGAAAAAGAAGAUAGAGAUAAGAUUGAGGUGAGUCCGUAAUUAAAAAAAAAAUGAAGAGUAGGAGAAAAAGUGACAAAAGCUUUUGCUUUCUUCCAAAAAAGUAAAAACAAAGGUUAAUGACAUCAUGUUAUCAAACUCUAUACAAGACCCUACUUGAAUAUUUCUAUGAUAAAAUGAAAUCAUUUUUUUGAACCCAAAAAUCCAAAUCCAACUCAUUUAUCUAUAUACUUUAUUGGCAUGGAAUGGGAAAAGUUAUAAAGUGAAAGAAAAUUUGAUCAUAUGAGAGAUUUUCCAAAGUUGGAGCCAAUUCAAUGCUUAGUGGGUAUAACAAAAAAAAAAUGUGGAAAUUAAAGUGAAACAGCCAAAUUUUUAAGGUUUGAGGGGAUGUCACUGCACCUUCCAAAUAACUGUCUAAGAAUGUGAGAUGUCAUUGCAUUGAAAAUUGAUAUUAAAUCUCAUAAAGUAACUAUAAGAAUUGCUUUACUUAAGUAAUAAAUAUAUCUUGCUUUUUCAUAAAGUUUAUGACCCUAAGUGAAUAAAAUUUUUAGAGUGGGAUGAAUGCAUUUCACGUGAGUCAUGUCCUAGAUAUAUUUUUAGAAUUUUCUAGCAAGAUAUUAAGAGAAACUUUAUGGUGAGUGUUUUUUUUUCUAGUUAAGGUGGGUACAAUUCGAUGUCAUUCGUAAACAUAAUUCAAACCCAAUAUAUUUUUUAGGUGUUUGAAUUGAAUAGAUUUGUAUUUAAUUUAAAUUCAUGUGAAUAUAUAUAAUUCAUUUAAUAAAUAAAUUAUUUUUAAAUUAACUCAGAUAACCUACAUUUGACUCGAAUUAACUUAUUUAAAAAUGGUAUUGAUUAACCUAAUAAUAACUUUAAUUUAUUGAACUCAUAUUUAACUCAUUUAAGAUUUGUUUUUCAAGUAGUAUGCCAUAAUUGGGUUAUUAUAUAAUAUUAGAACAUUAAGGAUAUUAUUUCAUUCAACAUUUAACUUGAUUUGAUUAUUAAACAUUAUCUUAUUAUUAAAUUGGUUAAACAGGUUAUGAUGUAUCACCUGGUUAAUAAUUAUAUAGUGUUUGAGUUUAUAUUUUUAAUUCUGAUUGUUAUUUAUGUCAUGUUUGGAUUGAGUUGUUUCGUGGAGUAUCUAUACAAGACAAACACAAUCCACCAACAUAUUAAUAAAAAAUUACGAGAUAUUAGGAGAGUAAUUUUGGUAAAAGUUAAUAUUUAAUGAUUUAAGAUGAUUUUAAAUAAAAUUAUAUUUAAAUGGUCAAGUCAUAUCAAAUCAUUAACUUAAUUUAUCAAAAUCAUUUUUGAUUUUAUAUUAUAGUAUUAAGUUAUUUUAAUGAUCAUACUUAAUAUACUUAAGAACAUAAAUUUAGUCUUAUCAACAUUCUCUAAGGUCUUCUCAAUUUUUAAUAUUUAUUUGAUACAUAUUUAAAAGCAAACAAGUCAAAAUAUAUUAUCUCAAAAUUUCUAAUUCAUACUCGUACAAGAUUUUAAAAUUCAUUAAUUAAUUUGAAAGAAAUUUGUUUUGGAACAUGCAAGUGAUGGACAUAUCACAUAUCUUAAAUUUUUAACUAAAAAACCUCAUAACAAAAUAAUUUGAUGAAUGUUUUUAAGUUUAAAAAACUUAGAACCAUUUCACAAUGAUUUUGGGAAGUUAGAAAUGUUUCCAAAUGCUUGAAAAUGUUUUAAUAACGAAAAUUAAACAUUUGAUAAAAAUUAAAGUUCACAUUCUAAGUAAUUGAUAGUGCUUCUUAUAAUUUUUUCUUUCUUUUCAUUAUAUAUAUAUAUAUAUAUAUAUAUAUAUAUAUAUAUAUUAGACAUUGAAAAGGUUUCACCAAUUAAAUGGUGUCACAUAUACAUUUUUUGUAUAACAUGAAUUGAAAAAUUUUCAUCAAUUAGGUGGUGUCACACAUAUAUUUUUGUCUCAUAGUUAAUACCAUUGUACCUUGGCCACAUUUGUUUAUACCUUUGUUUAAUGAUUAAGAUCUCACUACAUAUAUUUAAUGGUUUACAUCUAGACUUCGUCAGGUACCACUACAAAACCUUAGUAUUAUAUAUACAUAUACAUCAUACUAACUAGUUUUUUUUUUUUUAUCAAAACACUUACAAUAGAAAUGCUACAAAUUAGAAGUGUUUUUAUCAAAAUAGUUUCCAAACCAACCAUAAUAUUUGCAUUAGCUUUAACAUAUAAUAUCUUUUACUUUAGUUGUUGAUAUAGCUACAUAUAAGACCAACCAUUCAUAUGAUAAUUAUUAUGGAUCUUAUUUUAAUUUGAUAAAAAUAUCUACCCAAGCAUUACGCAAAUAGGGAUGACAAUGGGGUGAAAUAUAGACAAGUCAUUCCUAUCCCAACCUCACUCCAUUUAUUCAAAAUAAUUCUCAUUCUCGUCUCAUUGAAGAAAUUAAAUGGAAUGAGGUAGGUAUGAGAAUUUCCUGUACCCACCCCACCUACCUCUUUUAAUUUCUUUUUGAAAAUUUUUAAUUUUUUUAAAAUUAUUUUUAAAUUUGUUUAAAUACAUUAAAAUAAAUAUAUUUUAUAAAUAAUUUAAAUUUUAAAAUUUUUUUAUAACUUAUUAUUAUUAUUUUAUUAUUAUUAUUAUUAUUAUUAUUAUUAUUAUUAUUAUUAUUAUCAUUAUCAUUAUUAAAAAUAGGAAAAUAACAAUUUAUAUCUAAUUGAGGCAGGACAAGGUAAUAUCUAAAUAUACCCCAAACUUGUCUCGAGUUUUAAAAAAAUUCUCAAAAAUGCUUUUAACUCGUUUAUUUAAAUUUCAAAUCCAUCCCAUUAGGGAUGGGGUGAAAACCCGUCUCAUUGUCAUCUCUAUAUGCAAGUCAUAAAUAUAUAAUAAGAAAAAUAAUAAUAAAAUUAGUAUCUAUUUAGAUAAACUUCUUGUUUUUUGUUUUUAAAAUCAGAAAAUAAUAAUAACUUUUAUAUAAGAUAUAAGGAUACUUAUAUUUAAAAAAAAAAUAGUUUUAAAAAUCAUUUAAAAAUUUAAGGUAUUAAAAAAAUUUUACUAAACCAAAUUUUAAAAAAUUUUAAUGUGAUUUUUAAACAUAUGACAUAAAUUUAUAUUUUUUUGUAUAACAUGUUCUACUUUCAUAUAGAAAUUCUAAUUUAAAAAAAAAAUAAUAGAUGUAUUAAAUGGACACUUUAGCUUCUUAUUUUUUUAGUGGUUCACCUUGCCCCUUAGAUAAGAAGAUUAUGAAAAUUUUCAAUAAUUAUGAAAAAGAUAAAAGUGAAAGACUUUUGACAAAAUUAUGUGUGAGAUGGUGUGCAUCAACCUUAAUUUGGACAAUUAUGUUAAUGGGAAGAUGUUAUCCUCAUCUCAAUCACUAGCUUUAAAUUGUAGUACUUAUUGUAUUUUGGAUAAUUAUGUUAACGGUCAUGUCAUCCUUGUCUCAACUCAUGUUGAUAAUUUAAGUUAUAAGUUAUAGUCACCAUGUCUUAUUUAAACUUUUAUACUAUUUUUUAUUAUUUUUAAAUAUAAAUCUUAUUAAAAUUAAUAUAAUUUAAGAGUUAAUAAAUUAAUUUUUAUGAAUUUUAUAUUAGCAUUGAUAAAAAUUAUAUUUUCAAUUUUAUUUUAAACAUGUUCAAAAGGGGGAAAACGAAAAAAGAAACUAAAUUAUUUUUAUUGAAUUUUAUAAAUAAAAAUGAUUUAAUUUUAAUUUUUAUUUAAUUUUAUAAAAAAAUUCUCAAAUAUAUCCCUAAUUUGUUUGAACUGGUCCUAAAUCCUUCAAUAGUUGUCAUCUCUAAUUUUGACCAUAUAAAAAUUAAACCAAAAUAUAAGAAGGUUGAGGAAUAUCAAAUAUAAAGAGAGGUUGAAAAAAUUUAUAAUGCUUAGAGGUUUUUUUCUUACAAAUAGAACUUGUUUGGUCAUGUGAUUUAAAAAUAGUGCAUUUUUUUUUUUUUAAAAUAAAAAACUGUUUUUAAAAUUUUCUAACAAUGUUUGACCAUUGUUAUCUGGAAGCAAUUUUUAAAAAUAAGGUGAAAUAAAGAACAAUUUUUCGAGAACAAAUAUAAAUUGUUUUUAUUGAUUUUUAAAAACAAAAGGAAAAUAUGAGCCCAUUUGACCAUAUUUUCUUAAACUUGUUUUUACACACUUUUUUUUUUUUAAAAAAAACUUUUUAGAUUAAAAACAUUUUUUAGAAUCACUACCAAAAUGAUUUUAAGUAUUAUCUCACUUCACCUCAUUUAUAUAUAAAAUUAAGUAAAAAUAAUUUAAUUUCCUUUUCCAUUUACCCUUUUUAAUCAUAUUUAAAAUAAAGUUACAAAUUUACUUUUUAUUAAGAUAGAAUAUAAAAUUUAUGAAAAAUAAUUUAUUUACUCAUAAAUUACAUUUAUUUUAAUAAAAAUUAAUAUUUUUUUUAAAAAAAAAAGCAAAAACAAAAGGUGAAUUGAAGUAGUAAAGCUCGUUCGUAAAAGAAAAUAAAGAGGAAAAUUAGAAAAUAAUAAUAAUAAUAAUAAUAAUAUAAAAUAAAUUUAAAUUCAUAAUUUAUUUUUAUAUUUUAUUUAAAUCUUAUUUUAUUUAUAAAGAUUAAAUGAAUCUAAAAAUACACAAACUUUUAAUUAAUUUUAAUUAUAUAUAACUUAAAGUAAAACUAAAUAUUUCAUUAACAUUUUUUCGUAAUACUCUUGAACAAUCAAACAUAACUUAAAGCACUAAAAAAGUAUUUAUAAAAAAUUUCAGUUUGAUUGUGAUAAAUGUUAAAUUAUUAAUUUUCUUAAAAGUUUAAACUUAUAAGAUUUGAGUUAGUCCCCUCCCUAACAUACGAUCUCAUUUCAUAGAAUUGCAAAUGACAAGACGGGAGAGAUACCAAAUAAUUGUUACAGCUUAUGAUGCAGAGCCAGGAGCCCCAGUUGGACCAGAGCAUCCAGAGAUUCCACAUCCAUAGCAUCUAAAGGAGUCACAGCUAGUUGAAAUACCUGCUGACAUGAGAGCACCUGCCUUUGAAGUGCCCUCUACAGGACUUAUGCUUGAGGUUGCACCCUCUGCUCCUCCUGCCACACCAGGGACUCCGCCAGUUGUACCAGCUACAUCAGAGCCUCCUCCUCCAUUUGAGUCUAGGAUAGCCAUAUCCAUUUCCAAGUUCAGAGGCCUAUGUCACACUUUGCAGACAUUGAUCACUUCUAGCUCAGAGCAUCCUGACUCAACAGAUGACAGCCAUACGUGCCCAUCAGGAUCAGCUUAUCGCCACCUAUACCCAGCAUACUGCCAUCCUUAGGCAGAUACAACAGCAUCUGGGAGGUACCACUUUCUCUCUAUAAUUUCAAUCGCUCUUGCCACAUUGAAGACAAUGUUUAGCUUGGUUGAGGGGAAGAGAGUUGAGGAAGGAAGUUUUUAUUUUAAAUGCUAAGUUAUUUUGGUAAUUUAGUUGUUAAUGCUUAAUUUUAAAAAAAAAUUCUAGUUUUUAUUCUACUCUCCAUGGUUAUUAAGGAAAAAUUCUCAAAAUAAAAUGAGAGAAAUUGAAUUUUUGUUUUUCACUUGACUUAGAGUUUGUAUUAUGCUUACUAAAGUUGAUAAAUUGUUGAAAUUUCUAUUGAAUUCAACCUUAGUUCUUCCACUUUAAGCUAUUCACACAUUGUGCAUAAUAGGUUCCAAGUAUAAGAUGAAAAACUAUUUCCCUCUUGACUUAGGAAAAUUUUAGACUUGGUACCUUUGACCUCAAUUAAUAGUGUUGGGACACCUUAUAAAAGGCCAAUGAGCCUUUGGAAAAAAAAGAAGAAAGAAAAAUGUUUGCUUACCUUGAAACUUGAGCAAGGUUUGAGGGAUAUAUGGUGAAAAUCUUUAAAACCUGGUGCCCUAAGCCUUAAUUGGUUGGAAGUUACCGACCUCAAUGCUCGUUACAAGGGUGAAUAGGUGGAGUUUAACAUACUGUAGGUGCUUGGGUAUUAAAAAUUCAUUCUCAAGUCUGGGGUAAAAUCCGAGGAGUUAGUGGUUGAAAGAUCCUUAAAGCUUGAUGCCCUAAACCUUAAUUGGUUGGGAGUCAUUGAUGGACCCCCAUUACAUGGAAAAUUUAGAAAAUGAUACCUUUAAGCCUUGUACUCUUACAAUGAAAAAAAUUCUGAAACAAAAGGGUGCGUUCUUAGCCUAUUGAAUUUUGUCAGUUUGCUAAGUGUUGAAAAAGAACUAGGUUGGGGGGAGAGAUUAGUUUAGCAUACUAUAUUCAGAAACUAUCAAGUAACACUUAGAUUUUUGUGGAAGAGUAAGGAUUGGACCUUUGAAAGUGGAAACAAUUUUAAAGCUUCAAUUUGCAUAAUGUCUUCUCUUUAUGAAUUGUGAUUAGGCAAGGUAUUUGAUAACUCUUGUUGAAAUUUGAGUUUUAUAUCUUUAAUGUUCCAUGUGAGAGUUAGAUCAUCAUGCCACUUAAAAUUUUUUUGAAGUGAUCAGUAUGAUUUUGUAAAUUAUAUUACUGUUUGUUUUACUUUUUCUCCCCUUCAUUGCUAAGGAACUAGCAAUAUGUCGGUUGUGGGGAGUGAUUACUACUCAAAAAGUGUUAUUUUGUAGCUUGUAAUUAACUCUUUUAAACAUCUUUGAAUAAUAGUUAUUACCUUUUAACUCAAUUGGCAUGUUAAGGACCCUUGUAAUCGUUUUUAAUCAAAUUGUGUUAAGUUUUGGUGUUUUUGAUAGUAUUUUGAUCACCAAAGCAAUCCAAGAUUGAGGAGAGUUAUAUAGAAUCCAUGUAAAAUCAAUUGAAAGCUCAUUUACAUGAAGAAUCCAAGCUUUGAAGCUUCAUAGUCAUUUGCCAAAAGCAAAUCAUGAAUACAAGGAGGGAAAGAAAAGAGAGAAAUCUAACAUGAAGAAUUCAAGAGGACAGAAACUGUUGGACAUAUUUAGAGCACUUUCUAGAGUCCAUUUCAUGCGUACUAUAUGUUGUUUCGAAGCUCAGGAAGUCAGGAAUCCAACGCUUUAAACAGUACAUGAAUUGGAGUUGAAAUGAAAAAGUUAUAGCCAUUGGAAGCCAAUCAUACCAAGCUAAAGGCCAAUUUCGCAGCUGCGAAAUCAACCUUUGGCUGCGAAAUCACAAGGUGCUCGCUGCGAAAUCAACAUUUGGCUACGAAAUGGAGACCUUCAGCUUGCGAAAUUUCACAGCCCAUCUUGCAUGCCUACGAAAUCCACCUGAGUGCUUCCAGAUAUUUGCGACCGACUCUUUUAGAUUUUUUCUUUAGAUAUUUGUUGUUUAAAUCCCCAUUUUCUCCUUGUAAUCCACCAAUCAUAGGAUUCCUUAGUUAAUAAGUAAGAAUAAAGGGUGAAUAACCUCAUAUAUAUAGUUUGUAAUUUUCUUUACAAAAUCGUCUUGGGAGCUUGUUCUCAGAGACAACCGUGUGUAUAGUUUUGAAGGAAGUAAUAUACAGAGCUUUGCUCUGCCUUACAUACUCACUUUGAUUGUAUUUUUCUUACUAGCCAAACAAGCUAUAAAGAUGUUUUCUCAGAGAAUGAGUGGCUAGACUUUUUGUCUCUUGGAGUUAAGGGAGCUGGGUAAGGUGCCGAAUGCAAGAAUUGGAAGUUUUGUUGUUUCAGCUGUUAAUGAAGAGAAAGUGUGACCCGUUAAUGGUUUUUAUCUUUUUAGUAAACUUAAAACGCCGUUAAAUCACCUAGGCCAACACUUGGUAAGACAAGUGAUCUCCGUCCAUUGAGAUACACUAGUUUAUCUCUUGCGAGCCUUUGGGAGGUGGUUUAAAGGUAGGAUUUUCUAGAAUGGCCAACACUUGGUAAACUUUUGGACUCUAAGAAGACAUCCAUUAGUUAUCUCUUGCGAGCUUGAGAAGGGAAAUCCAAGGUUAAGGAUCACCUUGAAUGACCAAUACUAGGUGAGAGGUAUGAACCAUUGCACGAUGAAUCAGUGAGAGGGAUUUAGUGUUGGAAUCCAUAAAAGGGAAACAUCUGUACCACACCGGUUAGAGAAAUAACUAUAUGUUAAUUCUCCAAUGCGAGGAAAAGAUUCAAGUGACCGAAACUCUGUUUUUGUAUUAGGAACCUAACCCCAGUGAUCCUAAAACUCCAAGAAACGCUUUUCUUUAUUAGUAAUUUUAGUUACUAUUAUUUUUUGUUAGCUUAAAACCAAUCAUUUUUCAACCAAAGAUUAUGUUUUCUUUUAAAGCUAACCUUGAAAUGAAAAAACAUCAAUUCAACUUUGAAUUAAUGUCAAUAGUAAGUUGAAAACCCUUCCCAGUGAACGAUCUUAGAGCCACUAUGCUAUACUAGCUGAGGCUAUCCUAGUACAUGGUGAUAUAGGUUAUAAAUUUUGUUGGUUACUCCUGUCUGAGGACCAAAAUCAAGGUACACCAGCUAGGCACGAAAGUCACAUGGUAUAUUGAUGCACACAGUUUGUGGCACGACAGUUUGAUGAAAUUAUAGAAGUGUAGCACUCAUGGGCAUAUCAUGUGAACCUUAUUCAAUGUGGCAUUGACAGUUGGUUUAUAUUUACAUGGGUGUAAUGUCGCACCAGUAUCCUCUAAUGAACCUUGGAUUCUUUUUUCUUUGUUUCUUCUUCUCUUGGUCAAGCCAAACAAUUUGUCUUCAUGACUUUCUCCUAUUACAAAAAAGCAGCAUCUUGUGUUCUCCAUCUCUUCAUCCCUUUGUCAAGACACAACAAUUUGAUGCAUCUUUGCAUUAGGUUGCUUUCUCUCCUUCCCCUCUUCUUUCUCUUCGUCUCAUUGCUUAGUUUUGGCUACUCUGUUUCUUUUGAUCAUUAUGGUAGAGCAUCCUUGCAAGAUGUACAAGAAAUAUGUUGUGGUGCAUUAUCCCCUUCUCUACCACUUGAAAUCUGUUUUCCAUGAUCAUUAAUACCAAGAUGUUUAAGCAUCAAGUAAGGCAUCUCUUGACAAUUAUGCGAGAAAUAAGAGACAAGCAACAUACCGGUAUUCAAGAGAAGUGAUGUUCUACAUUUACAUUUGACAACAUGCAUUUAGUUUGAACUCCAAAUUUGGGCAACUCAAAAUCUCCACCUUCAUUAGGAUUGCAGAAAGUUAGCUUCUUGGAAAAAUGUGGAAAUGAGGCAUUUAGAAAUUUGAAAGAAUCACAAUGGCUUGUUGCUACUUCUGAAUAAUUCCAAGCAGUAACAACUCCAAAGAUAUAUAUAUAUAAAUCUGUCCCUGGGAAAGAGAUCGAUGUUUCUUAGGCAUGCAACCAUCUCUCUUAACAAACUCAGGGUUCUACUAUUGUGUCACGUUUGAAAGCAAUUUAAUCUAUGUUAGAAGUUUUUUUUUAAAUUUAUUCCAUUUUUCUUUUAGUUUUGAAACUUACAAUUAUACAUUGUAAGGUUUCAAGUUUAUCUAGAGAUAUAAAAAGUUGGAGUCGAUGUCUUAGUGGUAGGUUUCAUAAGAAAUGUAGUUAUUCUAUGAAUAUAACUUUGGAUUCUAAUUUUUUAACUUUCUAAUAUUGUAGCUCUUUAGUAGGUCUCAUAGAAAAUGAAAGUUGUGGAAAAGUAUAAUAUGGACUCAAUUUUUUAUUUAUGAGGUGUUGUUACAACACCAUUAAGUAAUUACCUAAAAAUGAUAUGUCGUUGCAUUGAAAGUAAUAUUAAAUUUAAUGGAGAGAUAUCUAAAUAAAAAUAUCACCUAAUUUUUAAAACAAUAUUAUGAUCUUACUAUUAUGUCAUGCUAGAAAACAAUUUAGUUAUUUUGUGUUAGCAUUUUUUUUGUACAUUAUAUUUUUCUUUUUGUUUUGAAGCUUGCAAUUGCAAAUUGUAAGGUUUCAAGUUCUUUCGAAAAUAUGAAUAGUCGAAGUCAAUGUCUUAGUGAUAGCCAGUAGGUUUCAUAAGAAAAGGAAUUAUUCUAUGAAUAUACCUUUGAAUUCCAAUUUUUGAACUUUCUAAUAUCUUAGUUCAUAGUGGGUCCCAUAGAAAAUAAAAGUUGUGGAAAAGUAUAAUGUGGACUCAAUUUUGACUUAUGAAGUGAUGCUACAACACCUUCAAGUAAUUACAUUGAAAAUAAUAUUAAAUUUAAUGGAGAUAUAUCAAACAAAAUUANNNNNNNNNNNNNNNNNNNNNNNNNNNNNNNNNNNNNNNNNNNNNNNNNNNNNNNNNNNNNNNNNNNNNNNNNNNNNNNNNNNNNNNNNNNNNNNNNNNNNNNNNNNNNNNNNNNNNNNNNNNNNNNNNNNNNNNNNNNNNNNNNNNNNNNNNNNNNNNNNNNNNNNNNNNNNNNNNNNNNNNNNNNNNNNNNNNNNNNNNNNNNNNNNNNNNNNNNNNNNNNNNNNNNNNNNNNNNNNNNNNNNNNNNNNNNNNNNNNNNNNNNNNNNNNNNNNNNNNNNNNNNNNNNNNNNNNNNNNNNNNNNNNNNNNNNNNNNNNNNNNNNNNNNNNNNNNNNNNNNNNNNNNNNNNNNNNNNNNNNNNNNNNNNNNNNNNNNNNNNNNNNNNNNNNNNNNNNNNNNNNNNNNNNNNNNNNNNNNNNNNNNNNNNNNNNNNNNNNNNNNNNNNNNNNNNNNNNNNNNNNNNNNNNNNNNNNNNNNNNNNNNNNNNNNNNNNNNNNNNNNNNNNNNNNNNNNNNNNNNNNNNNNNNNNNNNNNNNNNNNNNNNNNNNNNNNNNNNNNNNNNNNNNNNNNNNNNNNNNNNNNNNNNNNNNNNNNNNNNNNNNNNNNNNNNNNNNNNNNNNNNNNNNNNNNNNNNNNNNNNNNNNNNNNNNNNNNNNNNNNNNNNNNNNNNNNNNNNNNNNNNNNNNNNNNNNNNNNNNNNNNNNNNNNNNNNNNNNNNNNNNNNNNNNNNNNNNNNNNNNNNNNNNNNNNNNNNNNNNNNNNNNNNNNNNNNNNNNNNNNNNNNNNNNNNNNNNNNNNNNNNNNNNNNNNNNNNNNNNNNNNNNNNNNNNNNNUCCCAAUCUUUCCCACUUCGUCCAAACUUUCCAAGAUCUAAACUUUGUACAUGUUCUCUUCUUUUCAAUUAAAAAUUUUUAAAUUUUCAAAUUCAAAUUCCAAGACAAGCUAAUAAAACCCUAAAAUUAAUAUUAAAUACUAAGUGAAUUAAGUCAAGUUGGUAGCUAAAUUGAAUCUAAUCCGAAUUACUUAACCUAAACUCAAGUCAAACUCAUUUUUAUAAGCUGAAGUUAGGUUUAAAUUAACUAGGUUAUACUUUUGGUUCAAUUGAAUUGAUUAGACUCUAUGGAUCAUAAUUAGGGUUUGCAAGGUUGAGUUAGAUUGAACCUAUUCAUAAUUUUUUUUUGUUUAACUUCUUUUAUAUCAUAAUUUAAAUAAUAAAUAUGAUAAUAUUAAUUAAAAAUAAUAACAAAAGAAAAGAAUCACCUUGGAAUCACUCUAAUUUCAAAUUGAGGUUUCCUACCUCAAAAUUUUAAAUUUAAAAAAAAAAAAAAUUUAAGUGCAUAAACUAAAUCUAUAGUUUUUUUUUCGUAGGACUUUUUAUAUUCCAUAUAAAAGUUUUUACAUAGAGACAAGUAAUAAAUAUAUCUUGUUUUUUCAAUAAGUUUAUGACCCUGAUUGGAUACAAACAUUAUAGUGGGACGAAUGCAUCUUCACUAGAGUUAUGUCUUGACUCCUAACAUAAUUUUAGAAUUUUUAAGGAAAACGACAAGGAAACCUUAUGAUAAGUGCCUUUUAUUUAGGUAUGGUGGGUAAAGUGAUACCAUUUGUUAGUUGUUUUAUUUAUUUAUUUAUUUUUUUUAUGGAUUUAAUUGAAUAUAAUUUGUGUUUGAUUCAAAUUUGAGAUGAUCUAUAUAAUUUAUUUAAUAAAUGAAUUGUCUUUUUGGUUAAUUUGCAUAAUACGACUCAAAUUGACUUAUUUAAUAAUUAUAUUGAUUGAUCAAAUUAUAUUUUUAACUUAUUUAACUCAUCUAAAAUUUGAUUUUUGAUAAGUCAUAAUUGAGUUAUAAACAUGUUAGGUUAGGACGUUAAUCAUAUAAUAUCAUACAAUAUUUAAUUUGAUUUGAUUAUUAAAUAUAAUGAAAAUUAUGAAAAUUUUCAUGGAUGAACUUCUCGUAUGAGAAAACUAUGAAAAAGAUAAAAAGUACUAGAGGUGGAAAAUAAGACUUUAGAAAAAAUUAUUAGUGUGAGAUAACAUACACCAACUUUAAAGUGUNNNNNNNNNNNNNNNNNNNNNNNNNNNNNNNNNNNNNNNNNNNNNNNNNNNNNNNNNNNNNNNNNNNNNNNNNNNNNNNNNNNNNNNNNNNNNNNNNNNNNNNNNNNNNNNNNNNNNNNNNNNNNNNNNNNNNNNNNNNNNNNNNNNNNNNNNNNNNNNNNNNNNNNNNNNNNNNNNNNNNNNNNNNNNNNNNNNNNNNNNNNNNNNNNNNNNNNNNNNNNNNNNNNNNNNNNNNNNNNNNNNNNNNNNNNNNNNNNNNNNNNNNNNNNNNNNNNNNNNNNNNNNNNNNNNNNNNNNNNNNNNNNNNNNNNNNNNNNNNNNNNNNNNNNNNNNNNNNNNNNNNNNNNNNNNNNNNNNNNNNNNNNNNNNNNNNNNNNNNNNNNNNNNNNNNNNNNNNNNNNNNNNNNNNNNNNNNNNNNNNNNUUUUCUAAAAAUUGUUAUUUAUUUAAUUUUAUUUUUAAAAAUUGUUUCAAGAGAACAACCAAAUGAGGUGUUAGAAAAUUUUUUAAACAGAUAUUUGUUUUAAAGAAACAGCUUUAUAUAAUUAUGUCUCAUCAUUAUACAUAAAUGAGGUGGAGCAGGACAAUACUCAACCUCCUACCAAAACCAAGCCGAGUUUAAAAAAGAAUACUUCAAUCCUUCCCUCAUAUUUUUUAAACCUCUCAUAAGCCCAUCCCUAGUUGUCAACUCUAACUUUUACUAUAAAAAUAAAUAAAUAAAUAAAUAAUCUUUCGUAUACCAUAAAAAAAAAAAGGAAACUGUAGUAUUAAAUAAACAUUCUUCUUUCAAGAAUCAUCUUCUUUUUUUAAUUAUAUAUCUUAUAACUACAAAUAUUUUCAAAUUACAUUUUUGGUUUGUUUCUAAACAUUUACCACUAUCAAUGGAAGCAUUACACGCUAAAAAUACAUUUAUGAGAAUUAAUUCCAUAAAUUCUAUUUAUCAAGUUUUUAUUUGCUUUUUUAUACUAUAAUCUUCAUAAUUGUGUGAUUCAUAUUUCUAAAGCAAACUAACAAACCUAUUACGUGUAAUCUAAUAAGUUACAUUUCUACAUUUUUUCAUCAUUACACACUUAUGUUCUCGAGAUAUAAUCUCUCAUUGCUAGGUUUCAUAAGAAAAUGAAUUAUUCUAUGAAAAUGACUUUGGAUUCCAAAAUUUGAACUUUGUAAUGCCUUAUCUCAGUGGUGGGUCUCAUAGAAAAUGAAAGUUGUGGAAAAAUAAAAUGUGCACAUAAUUUCUAAUAAACUUGGACUUUUGGCUUCAAGCACCCUUUAUAAUCUUCAAGAGAUACCCCACUCUUGAACAACCUCUCAAGUGAUACCCCACACUUGAGAAUCUUCCUCUCAAAGAUAUACAAAUAAUUGAUCUCACAAAAUCCUAGUACAAAAACUUUAAGCUCAAAUGAUACAAGAAAACUAGAAUUGAAAUGUACACUAAUGAUAUGCAAGUUUUAGAACAAUGGUGCACUCAAAACACUCUUCCAAGACUCAAAUAUAUUCAAGAAAGGUUUGGGAAGGUUUAGUUCCUGAACAAUGAAGAUUUGAAACCUUUUUAUAGAGGAAAAAAACCAAACAGCCAUUGGGGGUUUGACCAAUUGAGCUGGGGGUCGACCAGUUGACUAGCCGUUAGCAUUUAAUGCUUGGCAUGUGACCAUUAGACCUUAACUAGACCUUGAUCGGACCUCGACCGGUUGAGGUGUGGGUCGACUGGUUCCUCAUCCGGUUGAACAACCAUUCUAGAAGAGAGAAAAGGUUGUUUGCACCCGUCAAUCGGUUGAGCUAGCGGUUGACCGAUUAUUGUUCACACCCUUGACUAGUUGAACUGGGGGUCAACCUACUCCUAGACCGGUUGAGCUGGCGGUCGACCGGUUCCUCAUCCAGUUUAACCGAUUGAGCCGUUUUUGGCUCAAGAACCAACUUUUUCAACUUAAAACCUUUUAAACAAGUUUGAAAAACAUUUAACACAAGGUUUUAGUUGAAAACAUGAAAUCAUCCAAUUUUAAAAUAUUUAAAGCAAAACAACUCUUGGAUGAUUUUGGUGCAUAAGUAAAAAAUGUAAUACAUGAAAAUCCUAGUGCACCAACAACCUUACAAAGAGAUAUUAUAAAGCUUGAGUCUUGAAAAACACUUCUCUUUGAGGUGGUCUUCUUCUUCAUGAUUUCUUCUUGGCUUGAUUUGUCUUUGUGAUUGCCAAUUUGGAAAUCGUUUUGCCUAAUCACACUUAAAAUAUAAUUAUUAAUUCUAAACCUUUUUUUGUUAUCAUCAAAAUCGAGAUUAAUCAAAUAUUGGUUUCACAAAUAUAACAAACUAUAUAUAUAUAUCAAUUUAAAAAUAAAAAUAAAAAUAAAAUAUAUAUUUUUUACUUCUUAUAUAAUUUUUUAGAGUUUGUCUUAAUAUUUUAUUAUUUUUUACUUGAUCGAUAUUUUGUGUCAAAAUAUCCAUCAAUAUAUCUCCUAUAUAUUUGAUAUAUCCGUAAAAUCGAAGUACUGAUAUAUUUGUAAUUAUCGAUAUUUUCAUCAUUGAGUUCAUUGCAUGGUCUCUGUGUUCUAUUAUUUACUGGAAAUGCUUCUCAUUAUAUGUUUUCAAAUGUAUUGGUUUCUACUAACUAUGAUAUAUGCAAAGACGUUAGCUGAGGAGGCUUCUUGGAAGUUUGCAAAAGUGAAUGGGAUUGACAUGGUUACAAUACAUCCAAGGUGGGUGAUUGGUCGUCUCUUACAGCCUACUCUUAAUCUAAGUGUGGAGGAAGUUCUGAAGCUACUAAAAGGUACCCUUCAGCAAUUGAUGAGAAUCUCUAUUUUAUGUUGAUCUUUCUACUUCAAUAUCAAUUUAUACUCAUAAUAAGUAGAUAAAAUGCAAUUAAAAAAUCAACAUUAUUUUCUAUUUUUAAAUUAUAAAUAAAAAAAUUAUAUUAAUAAUUCAAAAACUAUUUUGGAAAAUACUUUCUAAAAAAAUGUUCAUAAAUAAAAAUUAUCUUUUACAUUUUAGAAGUAAAAAAUUUAAUGAUUAAAACACUAUUUAAAAUAAAUAUAUUCACUAUUUUCUUUUCUUUUAUACUAAAAAGUAUUUUAAUAUUUUUUUUACUAUUAUAAAAUAAAAGGUUUAAUUUUUUUUUGUUAAAUUUUCUUCCUUCCUUAUUUUAAUAACUUUUUGAAUAUGGCUUUUAGUAAUAAGUUAUAUAAAAUGUUGCUAAGGAUUUUCUUUUAAUGAUUUGAAUUAAUUGAAAAUUUAUCAAAAUAAGAAAAAGAAAAAGAAAGAAAGAUGAUGGAUGGAGAGUUUUUAUUUUAAAUAUUCAAUUAAAUUUUUUUCCUAUGACCAAAUUUUAGAAAUGAAUUAUAUUAAUACAGAGUAGAAAUUGAAAUUUUCUUAUAUAAAAUGGUUGAAAGAUAUAUUUACUCAUUUUAUAUGAAAAUAAGUAGUUAAAAAUUAUAUAGUUAUGUUUGACUUUGGUUUAAAAAUAUUUUUCUAGUUUUUAUUUUUUAAACUAAUUUUUAUUUUCUAUAUUGUCUCUUUUUAAAAAUACGUUUGAUUACAAAAUGAAAACUAUUUUUAAAAAUAAAAAUUAAAAGCCUUAUUUAGUUCUAUUGUUUUAUAAGAAAAUAAUAAAAAGAAUUAAAUUUCAUUUAUUGAUUCUUCUUUUUUAUUUUUUCUAUUAGUUGUUUUAAUAAUAAAAUAAAAAAUAUAUAAUAUGUUCAAAAUUAAACAAAGGAAUUGACCAAUUGUGUAAUUUUUUCACAAAAAUAUAAUAUAUUCACAAAAAAAAUCAAAUUUAAGUUUUUCGCAAUUUUCUCAACCAAACUACAGGAAUCAUGUUUAAUACACCUAUAGGCACGCAUUCACUACAUGAUAUGGAAUUUGCGUAAUUAUACAAGGGUAUUCACUAACUGUACAAGGGGUAUACAAGACUACCUUUUAUAAAAGAUUUCAAUUGAUUUUGAACCACCUUUUUAUUUUCCUUGUCACCCAAAGAUUGCAUACUCAUGUCAUGCACUUUAUUUAAUUUUUACAUGAAAAUUUCAAUACUUUCCCCAAUAUUGAUGUUUGGGGAAAAAAAAUUUGAUCCUGAAUGAUCUACCCUUUUCUCAAGUAAAUUAUUAGAAACAUGGUUGAUACACUUAUGUGGACACAUGACUUAGGAGGAAUAUGGAAUUUGUACCACUGUAUAAUGGUAUUACACUAACUGUACAAAGAAAAUGUACUAAGUGUACAAGGGUGCACAAGGCUACCUUUUGUGAAAGAUUUCAAUCAAUUAUGAACUAUUCCUUUAUUUUUCUUAUCACCGACGAAUUGUACACCUAUGUUAUGCACUUUAUUUAAUUCCCACAUGGAAAUUCCACUUACUUUCCCCAGUAACGAUGUUUGGGGAAAAAAAUUUGACUUAUGUCAUCCACUAUUUUCUUAACCAAACCAUUGGAAACAUGGUUAACAUACCUAUGUAAACACAUAAUUUAGGAGGGAUAUGAAAUUUGUGCCACUAUACAAAGGUGUUAUAUUAAUUGCACAAGUGAAAUGCACUAAGUGUACAAGAGUGUACAAAACUACCAUUUGUGAAAGAUUUCAAUCGAUUCUGAACCACUUCUUUAUUUUCCUUGUCACCCACGGAUUGUACACCUUAUGUCAUGCACUUUAUUUAAUUCCCACAUGAAAAUUCCAAUACUUUCCCCAGUAAUGAUGUUUGGGGAAAUUUUUUUAACCCUAAGUCAUCCAUUAUUUUCUCAAUUAAACCAUUGGAAACAUGGUUAAACACAUCUACGUGGACAUAUAACUUAGUAGAGAUAUGAAAUUUGUGUCAUUGUAUAAGAGUAUUAUACUAACUGUACAAAAGAAAUAUACUAAGUGAACAAGGGUGUACAAGAUUACCCUUUGUGAAAUAUUUCAAUUAAUUCUGAACAACUUUUUUAUUUUCCUUGUCACAUAAGGAUUGUACACUUAUGUCAGACACUUUAUUUAACUCCCAUAUCAAAAUUCCAAUACUUUCGCAAUAAUGAUGUUUAGGAAAAAAAAUUUGACCCUAAGUCAUCCACCAUUUUCUCAAUCAAACCAUUGAAAACAUGAUUAACAUACCUACAUAGACACAUAACUUAAGAGAGAUAUGUACUUUAUUUGCGUAACUGUACAAGGAUAUUAUACUAAUUGUACAAGGGAAAUGUGUCAAAUGUAUAAAACUCUUAAUAGGUUUGUAUGAUUUUUAAACAAUUUGGGCUUGACAUUAAGACGAUUAUCAAUAGUUUUUUUUUACCAAACUAUGUCAUUAAUACUUUCCCUACAAAAAUUAACACAUAGGAAAUAAAAUUAAAAUCAAUCAUGUUUGAAUUGUUCAUUAUAAGUAAACUAAAUGAAAUAUAUAUUUUUACUAUUUUGCCCUAAUAAACAUAAUUUUAUUGUUAUUAGUACAGAUUAAAAAAUCCUAUUUAAAUGGAAUUAAAAAUAAACAAAAAUGAUUUUUGUAACAUUUUUAUUUUUUAAAACCAUUAAUUUAAAUUAUGAAAUUAGUUUUAAAAUAAAUAAAGUUUAAGUGGUUAAAUCAUAUCAAAUCAUUAACUUGAUUUAUCAAAAUAAUUUUAUAUUUUAUAUUAUAAUAUUAAGUUAUUUUAUCAAAUAUACUUAAUAUACUUAACAACUUAAAUUUAUGUGGUGUUUGGUUUUUGGUUGAAUAAAAAAAAACCAAAAUAUGUGAUUUUUUUAUUUAAUUAAAAAUAAUCUAUUGAUGUCAACUGGCAUAACUAAAUUGAACAUAUUAAUUACAAGUUUACUUUAGUUAUGUUGAUUGACAUCAAUAUUAUUUUUAGCUUAAUAAAACAAAGUCAAUUUGAUUUUUUCUAUUCAACUAAAAAACAAAUACCGCCUUAAUCUUAUCAACAUCCUCUAAGUUCUUCUCAAAUUUUAAUAUUUAUUUGAUACAUAUUUAAUAAGAAACAAGUCAAAAUGUUUUAUCUCAAAAUUUCUAAUUCAAACUCCUACUAGAUUUAAAAUUCGUUAAUUAAUUUGAAACAAAUUUGUUUUGGAUAAUACAAUUGAUGGAGAUAGUACAUAUCUUAAAUUUCUAACUGAAAAAAGCCUCAUAACAAAAUAAUUUGAUGAAUAUUUUAAGUUUAAAAGAUUAGAACCAUUUCACAAUGAUUUUGGAAAGUUAGAAAUGUUUCCAAAUGCUUGAAAAUGUUUUUAUAACACAAACUAGACAUUUUAUAAAAACUAAAGUUCACAUUCUAUGUAAUUGAUAAUGCCUCACAUAAUUUUUUUUUUCUUUUGGUUAUACAUAUAUAUAGGGUGAACAUACUUUUUAAGUAGGUAUAAAAAAGUUCUACCAAUUAGGUGGGUGAGUAUAUAUUUUUAAGUUUCAUAAUUUGUGCCUUUGUACCUUCACUCUAUUUGUUUAUACCUUUGUUCAACAAUGUAAAUCACACCAUAUAUAUUCAAUGGUCAAAAUCUUAACUUCGGUUAAUAUCACUACACUAUCUUAGUAUUUUUUUUCUCUCUCUCUCUCUCUAUAUAUAACACUAACUACUUUUCUAUGAAAACAUUUACAAUAGAAAUGCUACAUAUUAGAAGUGUUUUUAUCAAAAUAAUUUCUAAACCAACCUUAAUAUUUGUAUUAGCUUUAGUUGAUAUGGCUACUUGAUAAACCCAACCAUUCAUAUGAUAAUUAUUCUAGAUCUUACUUUAAUUUGAUAAAAAUAUCCACCCAAGCAUCACACAAAUCAUAAAUAUACUCCAUGUCUAUUUGGAUAAACUUGUUGUUUUCUGUUGUUAUGUUUUUAAAAUAUGGAGGGAUAUAAGAAUUCUUAGAGAAUUAUAUUAAAAAUAAAAUAAUAGUUUUAAAAAUCAUUUAAAAAUUUAAGGUAUUAUACUAUUUUUUUAUUAUUUUUAAACUUAAAUUUUAUUCAAAUAAAUAUCAUUUAUGAGUCAAUAAAUUAGAUUUCGUAAAUUUAAUAUUUAGUAUUUAUAAAUAUAAAAUUUUCAAUUUUAUUUUAAACAUGUUCCAAAAGGGGGAAAACCAAAAAGGAAACUAAAUUAUUUUUAUUUAAUUUUAUAAAAAAAAUUCUCAAAUAUAUCCUUAAUUUGUUUAAACUUGUCCUAAAUCCAUCCAUAAUUGUCAUCUCUAAUUUUGACCAUAUAAAAAUUAAACCAAAAUAUAAAAAGGUUGAGGAACAUCAAAUAUAAAGAGAGGUUGAAAAAUUUUAUAAUGCUUGGAGGUAUUUUUCUUACAAACAGAGUCUGUUUGAUCGUAUGAUUUAAAAACGGUUUUCUGUUUUUAAAAAUAGAAAACUAUUUUUAAAAAUUUACAACACUGUUUGGCCAUUGUUAUCUGGAAGCAAUUUAUAAAAACAAAGUGAAAUAGAGAACAAUUUUUAGAGAACAAGUAUAAGUUGUUUUCAUCUGUUUUUAAAAACAAAAGGAAAAUAUGGGUCAAUUUGACCAUAUUUUCUUGAACUUGUUUUUUUUAAAAUAUUUUUUAGAUUAAAAAUGUUUUUUAAAAUCACUACCAAAAGGAUUUUAAGUAUUAUCUCAAUCCACCUCAUUUAUAUAUAAAAUUAAGUAAAAAUAAUUUACUUUCCUUUUCCAUUCCCCCUCUUUAAUCAUAUUUAAAAUAAAGUUACAAAUUUACUUUUUAUCAAGAUAGAAUAUAAAAUCUAUAAAAAUAAUUUAUUUAAUCAUAAAUUAUAUUUAUUUAAUAAAAAUUAAAUUUAAAAAUGAUAAAAAUAACAGAAAAUAUAUUUAAAUAAGAUAGGAUGACUAUAACUUCUAAAAAAAUUCCUUGACCCCAUCCUACUCUGGUACAGGUUUGGGUCGGAAUAAAAAUUUGUUGAAGUAAUCAAGAUGGGUUGGGAACUUGGGAUGAGGAUAUGACCCCUUUCACAUAAUUCGUCAAAAUUCAAUAAUUGCUAAACUUUAAAGUUGUUGCAUGCCAUCUCACAGCAAUAAUUUUGUAGGAGGUCUUUCCACCUCCACUUCUAUUUGCUUCAUUAAUUUGUUUACACAUUGCUUUGCUUUCUACCUCUCUCUCUCUCUCUCUCUCUCUCUCUCUCAACAAACCCCUCCUUACUUGUUUAAUCUCUUCCAAAAACAAAUAAAAACAAUUAAUUCUAACUAUUCAAAAGUUAAAAGUUAAUAUUAUAAAUGUAAACUUAAAUGCAAGCAUAUAAAAUAUAUAUCAUAUCAAACUCUAAAUCUAAAUCAUUAAUAUAUUUAUCAAGUCCAAAUUAUUAAAUAAAAAUAAAAAUAUAUAAAAUGGGGUAUAAAAAAAUAAAACUAAAGCAUACAACAAAAAAAUGAUAUUUAGGUACAAAUAAAUAAAAAUUGGAUAUAAAUUAAUAAAAUCUAAAUCAAAGUGUUAGAAAAUCAUGUACAUAGGAUUUCAUAAUUCUAGUUUAAUGAACCAAAAAUAGAUGUACAAAACUCAUCUUGAGAUAUUAUGAUAGAAAUCACCUUACAUAUAUUGUUUGCAACGCUGCAUCACUUUAGUAGCACCUUGUCACCUUGUAUCGGUAUUAACCCCUUGUAUCUUCCCUCUCUUUACUCUCUCAUUCUUAAUCUUUGUAUAAAUGAUAGGAAAUGAGAGAGGGACCAAGAGCUAAGGCCAUUUUCUUUAUUUGUACCUUUGUUUCCUUAGUUUCUUCCUCUCUUGGUCAAGCCAAACUGUUCGGUUUCUCCAUUUCUUCUUCACCCCACUGCAUUUUGGGUUCUCCCUAUAACGGAAGCAUCCUUAAAUCAAGAAAAUCCCUCAAAUCAAGCAACAAAAAUGACUAUAGAUUUUUAGCUUUCAUUCAAGGAUGUAACAAUCCUUAUUUUCCUUGUAAUCGAUAGCCUUAAUUCUAGGAAACUUACUUAGAAUUGCUCUUGUUAAUGUGUAUUUAUUUUUUCUCAUACAAUCUCUUGUUAUGGUGUAAUAUUUUUCAAACAGAGCAGUAAUACAUUAUUGAGAAAUUCUCAAACUCCAUCAUGGUAUUAGAGCAGCCUUCCUCUCACGAGAACUCGAUCCCCAAUUCUGAAAACACCCACCACCCGAUUUCCACUCCACCAUCCCCAACCAAUAUUCCUAUCAUUGCUCUCAACAUCUCUGCUCAAAUAAAUGAAAAACUCACACCAUCAACCUUCCCUCAAUGGCGUGCCCAGUUUGAAUCCCUCCUAAUUGGCUACAAUCUACUUGAUUAUGUCACGGGUGACAAUCCUCCUCCUCCUCCGAGUGAUUCCUCCGCUACCAAUCCAUAGAAUACCCACUGGAUAAGACAAGAUAAACUUAUCCCCAGUGCCAUUUUGGCAUCCACCACCUCCACAAUCACCCCAUUCAUUUCCGUUACACAAACAUCACAACAGGCAUGGCAAAAAUUGCAUACCAUGUAUGCGAGCAAAUCUCGUACUCGGGCCAUGCAAUUGAAGGAGGAACUCACAAUGAUUAAGAAAAGGAAUCAGACAGUUCAAGAAUACCUGCACAUUGUCAAGGCUCUUGUUGACAAAAUCUCCCUCAUCGAUCAUCUCAUUGCAGAUGAUGAUCUCACCUUGUACAUUCUCAAUGGACUGAGCAGUGAUUUUCGAGAAAUCGCGACACCUAUAUGAGAAAGGGAAAAACCACUCGCGUUUGAAGAAUUGCAUGAUCUGCUCGUAGGCCAUGAUGCCUACCUCCGACGCCUUGAAACCACCACACAACAACUGGUUGCAUCGGCCAACUACUCCAAUCGGCAUCCUGCUUCUUCAUCAGACGGCCAACACUCUAAAGCUAACUUCAAUGGGCAACACAAAUACACUCUAAAGUGCCAAAUCUAUGAUGAACUGGGCCACAUUGCAAGACAUUGUCCACGUCUGCGCUUUGUUGAGCCCACUGCCAAUUAUGUUGCCACUUCACCUGCAACAAACCCAAAAUGGCUUAUUGAUUCUGGAGCUUCACACAACAUUACUGGUGAUUUAGCCAAUUUAUCUAUUCACUUUGAGUACAACGACACUGAUGAAGUUGUCAUAGGUGACGGUUCAGGUUGCAUGUCUCACACGUUGGCUCAUUGGUUCUCAAAUCACCCACACACACUUUUCAUUUAAAUGAUACUCUUUAUGUUCCUAAUAUUCACAAAAAUCUCAUUUCUGUCCAUCACUCCACCACACAAAACAAUGUUUUUGUUGAAUUUCAUCCCUUGUUUUUCCUUGUUAAGGACAAGAUCAUGGGGGCGGUUCUACUCAAAGGUGCAUGUGAAAAUGGCGUUUACACUCUCCCAGAUUUACUGGUGCAAGAUUCUCAAAAAAUGGUUGCCAAUGUGCAUGAACGGACCUCAAUCAAUGGGUGGCACAAGCGUCUUGGACAUCCCUCUAAAAAAAUAGGUCAUCACCUUGUUAAGAAUUUUUAUCUUCCAAUAAUACAAAAAGAACAUAGUUCUCAUUUUUGUACCUCUUGUUCUAUUACUAAAGCGCACAAACAACCAUUUCGGACCAAUAGCCUUCAAAGCCAUGCACCUCUUGAUUUAAUUUAUACUGAUGUUUGGGGUCCCUCAAAUACAAUUGGUCUUGAUGGAUCACGGUAUUAUUUGAUUUUGGUUGAUCAUUUUACAAAGUAUAUUUGGUUUUAUCUAAUGGAAACCAAAUCUCAACUAAGCAUGAUAUUUCCUCAAUUUAAACAUCUCAUUGAAAAUCAAUUUCAAUCAAAAAUCAAAAGUAUCUACUCGAAUAAUGGUGGUGAAUUUGUUGCCUUAAAAAAAUAUUUUUCUAUACAUGGCAUAAGUCAUUACACCACAGCUCCUCACACACCACAACAAAAUGGUGUAUCCGAGCGUCGUCAUCAUCAUUUGGUAGAAACGGGUCUUACCCUUUUACAUGAUGCUUCUUUACCUUUAUCAUAUUGGCCUUAUGCCUUUUCAACGUCUACUUACCUCAUCAACAAACAACCAACCCCUCUCCUACAUAACAAACCCCCUUUUGAAGCAUUAUUUCAUCAGCCCCCCAACUAUCUUAAACUAAAAAAAUUUGGGCAUCUAUGUUUUCCUCUCACCAAGCCCUAUAACACACAUAAGUUGCAGCCCAAGGCAACACCAUGUUUGUUUGUGGGCUAUUCCCCAACCCAAAAUGCGUAUAAAUGUCUUGAUCCACAAGCCCAUAAACUAUAUUUAUCUAGGCACGUUCUGUUUGACGAAAGUCAAACCCAUCAUCUCCUCCGUUCAGUCGAAACACAGGUACCAUCCAUGUCCAUUUCGCUUGCCCCACCUGUGCCACUCACACUUUUGCCGCAACCACCGCCAGUGCCAACGAAAGGUAACGCCAUUUUCGCCUCAUCUCCAAGUAACUGCCUCGACUCAUCUUCUUCUCUUUUUCGAGACAUGCAAUCCCUAAAUUCAUGCCCUAAUUCCUCUCAAUCACAUGAACACUUGCAUUCUAACUCAAAUUCACACACCAAUCCACUCUCAGAACCCAUGGUUGUCCAUGAUCACCAUCACAGUGACCCUCCACUGCCUCCUUCUCACCGCAUCCACACCAUGACCACUCGGUCAAUGAAUAACAUUCAUAAGCCCAAACAGUUCAACUCUGUGACCAAACACCCACUCUCACCAAUCGUUGAACCAACAUGUGUGGGCCAAGCACUUCGUGAACCUCACUGGAGACAUUCUAUGUCAGAUGAACUUACUGCUCUCAUGCGUCAUGGCACUUGGGAUCUAGUUUCCUAGCCCAAAAAUUGUAAUCCUGUUGGGUGCAAAUGGGUAUUCCGUGUGAAAUGAAACUCGGAUGGUUCAAUUGACCGCUUCAAAGCUAGGCUUGUUGCUAAAGGAUUUAAUCAACGAGAAGGGUUAGAUUACAAAGAAACCUUCAACCCAGUUGUACAACAUGCAACAUUAGGACUGUCUUGACAGUGGCUGUAAUGCAGGGGUGGUCAUUAAGACAGUUAGAUGUUAACAACGCUUUUUUACAUGAUGACUUGACUGAGACUGUGUAUAUGACACAACCACUAGGAUUCAAAGAUGUCAACAAGCCAAAUCAUGUGUGUAGGUUAUGUAAGGCUAUCUAUGGCCUUAAACAUGCCCCAAGAGCUUGGUAUUCAACUCUUAAACUGACAAUUAUGGGUCAUGGUUUUUAAAAUUCCAAAGCUGACUCAUCUCUUUUUAUCUAUUGUUAGAACUCUGUCAUAUGCUAUAUUAUUAGUAUAUGUGGAUGAUUUGGUUAUCACCGACAAUAAUUUGUGCUUUGUGUCUGAGAUUGUUGCACAACUUGGUAAUUGGUUUUCCUUAAAGGACAUGGGACAACUCAACUUUUUCUUGGGAAUGGAGGUUAUUUCUACAAAAUCUGGGCUUUUUUUUUCUCAACAUAAAUAUAUUCGAGACCUAUUGUCCAAAACCAAUAUGAUUGGUGCUAAAGAUGUCUCAACCCCAUUGUCCACCACCACGUCCCUCAAAUUGAUUGAGGGUACUUCAUCUACCAACAGUAUAGAGUUUCGAAGUGUCAUUGGUGCUCUUCAAUACCUGUCCCUCACUAGACCGAAUAUCUCAUUCUCUGUAAAUAAACUUUCUCAGUUUAUGCAUAAGCCUACAGUGACACAUUGGACAGUUGCAAAGCAACUUCUUCGCUAUUUAAAGCACAUUAUGUUUCAUGGACUUCACAUAAAAAAAAAAAAAUCCAGCUUUGAACUCAUUACAUAUUCUGAUGCGGAUUAGGCGGGCAACUAUGAUGAUUGGACCUCCACCUCCGCAUAUAUCUCAUUUCUUGGUGUCAAUCCUAUCUGCUGGAGUUCAAAGAAGCAAAGGGCAGUGGCACGUUCAUCCACUAAAGCAGAAUAUAGAGCCCUUGCCAAUGCAGCCUCCGAGACAUCAUGGCUUCUCUCAUUAUUCAAGGAACUAGGUCUGCUUUUAUCUAGACAACCCAAGUUGCUCUGUGAUAAUUUGGGUGCAACUCACCUCAGUUUUAAUCUAGUCCAGCACUCUUGAAUGAAACACAUUCAGAUUGACCUUCAUUUUGUCUGAGAUAUGGUUCAAAGUGGCAUUCUAAAUGUUCAUCAUGUUAACACCUAGGACCAGUUGGCUGAUCUUCUCACAAAAGGCCUCUCACGCCAAAGGACAGAAAUUUCAAGGGACAAGAUUGGCUUAGCCGAUGGCAGCUCCAUCUUGCGGAGGCAUAUAAAGGAAGCAUCCUCAAAUCAAGAAAAUCCCUCAAAUCAAGCAACAAAAAUGACUGCAGAUUUUUAGCCUUCAUUCAAGGAUGUAACAGUCCUUAUUUUCCUUGUAACCGAUAACCUUAAUUCUAGGAAACUUACUUAGAAUAGCCCUUGUUAACGUGUAUUUAUUUUUUCUCAUACAAUAUCUUGUUAUGAUGUAAUAUUUUUCAAACAGAGCAGUAAUACAUUAUUGAGAAAUUCUCAAACUCCGUCACUUCCAUCUCUUUGUCCUCAAACAAUUAAGACACAAACUUUGAUGCAUCUCUGUCUUGGAUUCUUCCUGUCAAAAGGAACAGUUGAAGUACCUCCAUUGCUUCUCUAUUUCUUUGAGUCAAAGGACAAAGUCUGCCUUUCUCUGUUUCUUCUAAUCAUUUUCAAAAUGCAACAUUGUGAGAUCUACUAAUCCUAAACUUGUUUCUCAAAGAAUCAAAAUCAUAAAUACCAAGAUGUAUACACAUGCAGGUAACACGUCCUCUUGACAAUGAUGUGACAGGUGUAGUAGACAAGGAACAUACAUACCUGUAUUCCAAGGAAGUACCAGUGCAUUUGAUGACAUUGUUCUAGCCUAAAUUCUAAAUUUUAGCAAUCCGAAAUCUGUAACUUCUGCAAAAUUUACCUAGUUGUUGAGGGAACAACACAUCUUCUCUUACCAUUUUCAUCUUAUGCACUACAAAUCCCAUGUCAACUGCCACUUCCACUAGACCUGAAUGAAGUAGGAACACAAAUGAACAUUUCAAGGCAUCGGAUUGUCUGAAAAUUAAAUUGGGAGAGGUAGAACUACCGAUGCUUACAUGGAACUGAGGAAAAGACAAACAAGAUCAACAAAAAUGGAAGAGAAAAUGCAAAUCCAUAAGCCUGUAGCUGCUGUCCAAAGCAGCUUCCUUGUCAAUUGUCAACAAAAAGUCCACUAUGAAAUUCACUGGUAGAGCCACAUAUAGAAAAUUGUAAUAAAUGGUAAAGUAAGAAAUCUGCGCUGGGAAUGGGUGAAGCUUAUUGAAUGUAAGGUUCUAAACAGUCUCUGACUAAACACGGUUGAAGAAUAGGGUUUCACAGGAAUAAUUUUCUUUCAUUGAGAUUAUUCUUUUAUAGAGUUUACAACAUAUAGAAAUCCUUCAAAUUAGGAAACUAAAUCACUGAUUAAAAGGAAAGAAUAACUCCUAACAAUUACUUUCCUAAAAAUACAAAGAUUGACAACUAAUAAAUAAUUUACAGCUUUACAAAGUUAUUUAUUUCCAUAUCAGUUUCGGUUUUCCAACAAACACCAUUGGAGUAUAGAUAGUAGCUCUUAGAGAGAAGUGAGGUCUUGGUGACCCUGGAAGGUUAAGGCUUCCAGAUACUGGAAUCUUUGUGUGCAGACAUACAUGAGAGAGAUGUAGGAAGGAAGAGGCAAGCCUGUGUCAUCCGAGCAGAGGCAUCUGGAAUCUUUGUGUGCCAUUAUUCAAUCCAAAGAGAUGCUGGGAGAGAUUUGUUCAGGAUUUAUGUGAUGUACAGUCUUUUCACAAUCAUAAAUAGUAUUUAAGUAUGGAAUUUUGGAAUAAGGUGAUAUACCAGUAACAUGGAAAAUAAGGUGAUCACAAAGGACUACACAGUUAGCAUGUUUGGAAUAGUUGUGGUUGGUUAAUUUCAAGCCCAAGUUUUAGCACCUAAAAACAUGCCCAUUUUUUCCAGACCCUUUAGCAAGCCUGCACGGAAGCAUUCUCUGGUUGUUACAUACAUGGUGUCUACAUAUCAAUCAACACAUUUUGAUGUUUUUUUCUCAAAUUCCAUAUUAAAGUUAUACUGGACACUUGAAUGCGAACAUGUCUGAUUAUAUCUUUUCUUUCCAGACAUGUUUCAUCUCUCCAGUGCACUAGGUUUGGAUGAACCUUAAAGCUCAGCUACAGAAUGAAACUGGAAUAUUAGUCAUGUUUUCUGUACAUAGAUUGAUAAAAAUGUUGAGUAAGAUCAAGAAAGCUGUUAAAUGGGAAGAUGAUGAUUUUCUUACUGUCAGUUUGCAUUGAAAAAAUGGUAAUCAGAAAAGAUAUUUUGGAUAGGAUUCAGAAAGAAAAUAUAUUGAUUCAAAAGUUAGAGAUAUAGUACCCAAGGGGCUAUGAUCCUGUAUAUGGAUGUUUCAUGUUUUAAGAUUGUGCACGAAGUGCUGAUGUUAUAAGGGAUCAAGGGUGGUUUGUGGAGUAGUCCCCUCUUCAGAGUAUUGCAAGUAUAUAAUCCUACAAUUCUGGAGUAGGCUUCUUCUAAUUUGCUCUGCUCCCAAUCGUCCAGAAUAGUGGAAAGCUUCAUUCAGUUGUAAUAAUUUUAUUAUUUAGAUUGAAUCAUAUUCAUUGGGUUUGUAGAUCAAGAGAAAGUGUCAUGGCUUUGAAUGUUUGUCUCUUUGAUAAUAUCACAGUGCAUUGGUCCACAGAGAUGGAAGCAUGACAGUUGAAUGAAAUGACUGAAAUGUAGCAUUCAAGGGUAAAUUAUAUGAAAACUUUUAAAUAGAGCAACCUGUUUGACUUCACAUAGUGUGCUUGCAUCAGUUGUGGACGUCUAAUGGUUGGAAUAUCCUUGCACAUAUGUCGUCAUUUUCUUUUCUUCAGCUCUGUUUUCUUUGUUUCUCCCUUCCUCGGUCAAGCCAAACAGCUUGGUGAUUCUUCAUUUCUUCUUCAUCCCAUCAAGAGAACAGCAUCUCAUGCAUCUUUGUAUUGGGUUCCUCCCUCUUCUUCCACCCUAAGGAAAAACCGUAUCUUGCUUAGUUUGGACUUCUCUAUUUCUUUUGAUCAUUGUGAAAAGCAUCAUGAGAAGAGGUACAAUAAAUGUGUUGUGCUGAAUUAUUCAAAACAUUAUUUUCAUAAUCAUAAAUACCAAGGUGUUUAAGCAGCAGGUAAGGCAUCUCUUGACAAUGAGGUGAGAGGUAGAAACAAGCAACAUACCUGUAUUCAAGGGAAGUUCUGUUCUUCUUCUGAAAUUUGACAACAUUCAUUUAGUCUGAACUCAAUAUCUGGGCAACUCAGCAUCUCCACCUUCAUUAGGAUUGCAGGAAGCUGGCUUCUUGGAAAGACAUGAAACGGGGGCAUUUCAAAAUCUAAAAGAAUUUCAGAGACCUGUUGCAACUUUUGAAUUGCUCAAAUCAGUAACAACUCCAGAGAUAUAUACAUAUCUGCCCCUGGGAAAUUGAGGUGUCCUAGGCAUGCAACCAUGGAAUAUUAGCUCCCUAAUAGGCUCAAGGUUGUGAUCAUAAAAAAUGCACUGAGUGGGUGACUUGCAAUCGGUUCUGUGAGUCCCUCUUGGUAGCUUCUCAUUUAUUGCACCAUAUGAAUUGCAGAUUCCAACUGCCAAUUUCACCACCCCUAAAUGAACUAGGAGACAUGCUGAAAGCAAAGUUAGACAACUCAUCAUAGAGUUAAUCCUGCAGGAAUACACCAAAAAGGAAAUCUUAUAAUAUAAAUGAAUUCAUCCAAUUAAAGGAUAAGGUUGCCUGAAAAAUUAAAUUGAGAGAGAUGGAUAUAGUGAUGCUUACAUGGGAUUGUGGGAAGGAUCAACAAGAGAAACAAACAUUGAAUAGCAAAUGCAAAGCCAUAGAGCUUGCAACUGCUGUCAAAAGCUGCUCCCUAGUGAAGUCUUUUAACAAUAAAUUUCAGUGCAAAAUUCGCCUAAUUGCUCCACUUGUAGGACAUUUCAAUAGUAUGAAAACAGGAUAUGGUGAACUCCCCCUGCUUCUGCCAUUAGUGAACUAAUAUGGAUCAAAGAUGAAUCUCGUCAUCUACAUCUAUUUUUACAUAGGAGAUGUGGGCAAUCUUGGGCCAAUAUCUCAUCAUUGGAUUUAGUAGUUGUCUCUGAUUUAUGGUUCUAAAAGCAUGGCAGGAUCACUUGCCAAAUACUACUAGAGCUUAGGUGAUGUCUCAAUGUGGGGAAGCCAAGGAUACCAGAUUCUGGAAUCUUUACAUGAAAAUAUACCACCAACGAUGAAUUGUCUGAGAGUGGUGAGUCUGUGAGGGCCCCACUGGGACCUGGGGUGUUUCUCACAUUCUUUCAAUCUUCAAUUUGAAGUAGCCACUUGAGCAAUUGUACCUCCAGGAAUGAGUCAUUUUGGGGCAGAUUGUUUUCAUUUUCCUUCACACCAUUGUUUCACUAUAGGGCACUAAAUGAUAUGUAGUUGCAAGACGAAUAGAGGCAGCCAUUAAUGAAAGCUUAUGGAAAUUCAAGACAAACAGAUCUUCAUGGAGAUAUGAGGUUUUGAAAUCCAAUAAAGGUUUGAAAAUCCAAACACGAGUUAUCCAAUGUACCCAUUGGUAACAGAGUUGGGCAGUGUUGUUCCUUCUACCCUUGGAAAAGGACAUCACAUAAGAAAUUCCACUAGUAAUGGGGGGCUUAAGUGAUGUGUUGGGGCUUGGGCAAUGCUGUAUCUUAAGAUAUUCAAGAGAUGUGUGAUCAUGCAUCAACCCUAAUUCUGCUAGCAUAAUCUGGUUUUCAGUCACAAAUAUGUAGUUAAAAUGUAUGGCAGGUCAUGCAUGCAUCUCUUGAAUUGUCAUGAGAAGUGGAGAUUGAGCAACAUACAUGAUUCAAGGGAUGUGCAACUGUUCUUGUGCAUCAAACAAUCUUCAUCUGAUACAAAGCUUAGAUUUUUAGCAACUUGUGAUCUCCACAUUUUAACACAUUGGAGGAAGUUGGCCUAUUCAACAAACAAGACAGAACAUUUAGAAAAAUGCAAGAAUUCCAGACAUGUGUUGUUGUCAUGAAUUAUUCCAAUCAGUAAGGAAUCAAAGUGCUAUAAUUUUGAUUUGUGUAACUACUUAGCAUGGAUAACAGACCUAUCUUGGGGAAGUAACUCAAGUCCCAAGCACCAACUCAAUCCUGAGCUCUCUGGGAUACUUGAGGCACCAACUUAAUCAAAGCUACUUCUUGUUUCUAUGGCAGCUCAUCUUCCUCCACUGAUACUGGGGAAAAUGCAAAACAAAGGGAAAUGAAGUCAUGUUGUGAUCCUGUCUCCAAUCUCCUUGACAUAGAUAGAUGAUUUCCUUGCAACCGACAAUGUCUAAUGCUUUCACUUCAGUUCUAACAUGUGUUUUGGGAAGAGAAUUAAGCUUUCAAAUAUUGCCAAUAUGCAAGGAAUUGAGAAAGGCCAGGUGGGCAACUGCCACAGUUAGUUCACAAACCAAUGGCAACAUUGGAAGUGGAACAUGACACAAAAACUUCAAAAGACAAAACCUGUUUUUCACAAUCAUAAAUACCGAGGUGUUUAAGCACAAGGUAAUGCAUCUAUUGACAAUGAUGUGUGACGUGGAGACAAGCAACAUACCUGUAUUCAAGAUAAAUGGUAUUCUUCUUUUGCAUUGACAACAUGCAUCUAGUCUAGGCCCCAAGUUUUUAGCAACUCCAGAUCUCCACCUUCAUUAGGAUUACAGGAAGCUAACCACUUGGAAAGACAUGAGAGUAACAUUUAGAAAUCUGAAAGGAUUCUAGAGAGCUGCUGCAACUGUUGAAUCAUUCUAAUCAGUAACAACAAGGAGCCCUAUAUACAAUUUUGAACUGUCAGCCUUCAUAGCAUGAAUGAUAAACUUGUCCCUAGGAAUGAUAUGUGCCUUGGGCAUGCAACCUUCAAUUAUUAGUUAGAGUUACCCCCACCUAAUCCAUCUCAAUGUGUCUGGGAAAACGAGGUCCACCAGAUGUUGUGGCCAUUAUCUCAUGGUAGUGGAUGUUUUGAAGCAAAGUCUAAAACGAAGUCAUCACUGGAGGUUAUGUCCAUUAUCCCAUUGCAGCAGAUGUUUAGCACCAGAGUUUAAAACCAAGUCAUUGACAAAGGCCAUAGUGAUGUCAUUGAUUUUAUUCUAAACUUAUCAAAAACAAUAUGAGAUUCACUUUGAUUUCAAGUUAUGCAAGAUCUAUAUGAGCUCAAUUGUUUUGAAACUUGAUUGAUGUUUCGUUGGUCAGGUCUUCUUUAGACAUGAACCUAUUUUUUGUGCUUAACUUGAAGAAGCUGCCAAUAAGACUGAAUAGUCACAUAUCACUCAGAGAGUUGAGAAUAACACAACUCUUUCGUUUUUUUUUUAGGACUGGUUUGUCAUCAAGUAUUUUGCUCGGUUGUUGUGAUGGUUUGAAAUUUCUAUCUGAUGACUAUAACCUAUAUAAACAACAACUUGUAUUCUCUUAUCUUGAGCAUUAUUUUGCAAAAAAGAUUUUUAUGAGCACUUCUAUUUGGAUGUCUUUCUAACAGUCGUUAGUAUUCAAUAAAAAUGACCUUUACUAAACCUGCAGAUUUUUUCAGGUGAUAUUUUUUUUUUACAAUAAGGAAGGGAGGCAUUUUUAUUGGUAGCAUAUCCUGAUUCAUAGAGUAUAAACCCUUGCAAAUUGAAAGAAAGACAAUUUACAUAUCAUUAAAGGGUGAUCUGUAAGCACUCUUAUAGGCCUACAUCUUCCUCAUUUGGAUAAGCGUUUACUUGUUUUUAAUCUGUUUUUUAGGAAGACAGUUAAUGAGAUUUUGCCAACCAAAAACAGAGGUUUGUUAGCCCUCCUACCCUCUGGCUGGUUCUCUUGCAUAUGCUUGAAGAAUAUUGGAAACCAAUUAAUUAGUCAUUGCAGUUUCAUAGUCUUACAAGAAAUCUUGUUAUGGUGGCAAGAGAACAGACUGCAACAUAGUCUCAUUCCCCUUCAUGAUUUAGACAUUGUAAAGAUCAAAAACCUAUUCCUGGUAAUAUAAGAAGAAGAGCAGCCAAAGAAAAGGAACAAAAUGUAUAGGAACCUUAUGGACUUGAAUAGUUGGUAUUCAGGUGGCAAAAAUACACAAAAAUGCACUUAACAAACUACUAAUCAGCAGGCCAAGAUUCUACUUCCAAGAGACAGGUUUGUCAUCCAUGUCAAGAAGGCUCGCACUUCAUUUUUGUGGGACUUUGAUAUCAACAAAUUUAUGGAAUUCUUUCAGGUUUCUAAAUGGAAUGGUUCAAGUCAUCAACACAUUCCCAGAAUUCUUUCGUAAAUGUCAUCAUCCUGGCUAGCUUUCUUCAGUGUUGAAAGAGGGGGUGAUACCAUGUUGCUAAAAAUUGCAGUCUAUAUGUACUAGAUGGACAAGAACUACAACACUUGUAUUAGAAACAUCUCUGUUGCCUGGAUUGGUAUUACUUGCCAUAAUUAAGCACCUUUUUAUUAUUGUAGCAGAGUGUUUCAAAGUCACCCAUACUUAAUCCAUCUUCAUGUCUCUCAAACAACUAGGUCCAUUAGUAGCAAAAGAAGAGCAAUUUGAAUAGCUGGUCAUUUCCUUUUAUAAUUUAGGGAUAAAGGUCAAAAACUACAACACUUGAAUAGCUGGUAUUAAGAUGGACAAGAACUACAACACUUCUCUCAUAAACAUGUAUGUUCUUUCUUCAACUCUUACUCUAUUGCCUGGAGUUGCAUUACCUGCCAUGAUUAAUCGCCUCCUAUUUAUUCUUGUGGAGAAACAGGUUUUGGUGUAUGUAGAGACUACAGUUGCUGCACCUCUUGAUUUUCAAGACCACCCAGUCUCUCCUCAAGCAUCUGGAAUUGUCAAGCUGAUUUAUGGCUAACCUUCCAAGGACCUUAGGGGUUUCAUACAGGGUAGAUCUAGUGCAAGAGAUUCAGAAUUAUCUCUACAUAAUCCACCUCCAUUUCUUUAGAACAACUAAAUGCUAUGGCCAAAAUCUCACUUAAGGCGUCAGGUUCAUGUUGGGGCUCAUUCACAAGAUUAAGAUGAAUAUAGCAGGGGAUGUUCCUGAUCUACCACCAGCCAUGUUGUCCAGUUGUUCAAUGCCCCUGUGUUGACUAUGGCCACAGUCACAGUUGUGUCCUUUCCCCAAAGAAAUGUCAUUUUGAAAUUUUUAAUGUCAACAACAGAACUUUCAUGUUUCUACAUUCAGGUACCCACAAAAAAUUGAGUCCAUGUUAGCAUCCAAUGAUGGAAAGUAAUAAUCUAAACAAUGGAACAAGGGCUCUCCUUGCUCUUUUUUAGAAGAACACUAGUUUAUUUCCAAUCAAUUGAGGAGGAAACUAAUUCUAAACACGGAAGCCAGGUACUUGAUUUCUGUUUGAUUGGUGGAACAACUGAAACAUAUUUACAGAUUUAACAUUAGAUAAGUUUAACAAAAUCACUAAUUAACUCCCAAACCUCUCCCCCCACCCACCACAACGGAAAGAAAAAACGUUUUGGGAUCCUAGUAGCUUUAUGUUACAAGAUUCUGAUCAACAUAUGGUGCAGAGUAUUAUGUUGGUCCAGUUCCUCUACUCUGCAUUGCAACAAAGUAUAAGUGGGUUUUCUCUUUUCUUCAUCUUCAAAUGAAACAACCCUUCUCAAUAAAAGAAUACAAGAAAUUGAAAGCUAAGACCGUUUCCUUUCAUUGUACUUUGUUUCCUCUGCUCCUUCCUCUCUUGGUCAAGCCAAACAGUCCAUGGUUUGUCCAUUUCUUCUUCAUCCCACAUCAAAAAGCAGUGUGUUGGGUUAUCCCAUCUCUUUAUCCCCUUGUCAAGACACAGAAUUUAAUGCAUUGCUAUCUUUGAUUCCUCCUAGUUAAAAGGAAGCUUGAAAUAUCUCCAUUGCUUCUCUGUUUCUUUGAGCCAAAGGAUAGAAUACUGCUUUUCUCUGUUUCUUUGAGGUGCAAGAGGUUUGUACAGAACUUAGGUGAGGUAACUAUUGGUCAGGGAGGUAAGCAGAUCUGAAACAUUUUCUUGACUUCCAACGGAAUAUCCUUGCACAUAUGUUACCAUUUUCUUUUCUUCAACUCUGUUUUCUUUGUUUCUUCCUUUCUUGGUCAAGCUAAACAAUCUGGUGAUUCUUCUUUUGUUCUUCAUCCCAUCAGGAGGCAGCAUCUCAUGCAUCUUUGCCUUGGGGUCCUCCCUCUCCUUCCAGCCUACGGAAAAAUAAUACCAUUGCUAAGUUUGGACUUCUCUGUUUUUUUUUUUAUCAUUUUGAAAAGCAUCAUGGGAAGAUGUACAAAAAAUGUGUUGUGCUGAAUUAUCCCCUUCUCUACUAACCAAAACAUGUUCUUUCACAAUCAAAUAUCAACGUGUUUAAGCAGUCGGUGAGGCAUAUCUUGACAAUGAGGUGAGAGGUAGAAACAAGAAACAUACUCGUAUUCAAGAGAAGCGUUGUUUCUUCAUUUGCAUUAGACAACAUUCAUUUAGUCUCAACUUGAAAGUGGAUUGCUAGAAUCUGAGCUCUUGCAAAGACACAAAAGUACAUUUAGAAAUCUAAAAGAAGCCCAGAGACCAGUUGCUACUUGUGAAUCACUGUAAUCAGAAACAAUUCCAAAUAAUCCUGCAAAUCUAAACCUUUGAUUUGCUCCGUUCCCUUUUGCCAAGAAUAGUUCUAAAACGUUUUUCUUUAUUGAGUUGUAAUCAUUUUAUUAUUUGGAUUUAAUUGUAUUCAUUAGGUUUACAAAUCACAAAAACGGUGUCGUGCUUAUGAAUAUCUUCCUCUUUGAUCAUGUAAAAUUGGGAAACAGAUAUGGAUUACUAUUAUGAUAGCAUAGUGUAUUGAUCCACACAGUUUGUGGCAUGAUAGUUUAAGGAAAUUACAGAAGUGUAGCACUGAUGGGCAUGUCAUGUGAACAUUUUUCAAUGGAGCUACUUGUCCAAAUUUACAUGGGUGAAUUGUCACACCAAUGUCCUCUGAUGAACCUUAGGUUCUAUUUUCUAUUUCUUCCUCUCUUGGUCAAGCCAAACAAUUUGUCUUCAUGAGGACUUCAUAUUACCAAUAAGCAGCAUCUUGUGUUCUCCUUCUCUUCAUCCCCUUGUCAAGACAGCAAUUUGAUGCAUCUUUCCAUUGGAUUGCGUCCUCUCUGCUCCCUCUCCUUCCUCCUUGAGGCAAAACCAUAUCAUUGCUUAGUUUUGACUAUGUUCUUUUGAUCAUUGUGAGAGAGCAUCAUUGUAAGAUGUACAAGAAAUGUGUUGUGGUGCAUUAUCCCCUUCUCCACCACCUAAAAUAUGUUUUACAUGAUCAUAAGGACCAAGGUGUUUUAAGCAUCAGGUAAGGAAUUUGUUGACAAUGAUGUGAGAGAUAGAAACAAGCAACAUACCGAUAUUCAAAAGACAUGAUGUUCUUCUUUUGCAUUUGACAACAUUCAUUUAGUCUGAACUCCACAUUUGAGCAACUCAAAAUCUUCACCUUCAUUAGGAUUGCAGGAAGUUGGCUUCUUGGAAAGACAUGGAAAGGGAGCAUCUAGAAAUCUGAAAGAAUUCCAGAGGCUUGUUGCUACUUUUGAAUCAUUCCAAUCAAUAGUAACUCCAAAAGAUGUAUACAAAUCUAUCCCUGGAAAAGAGAUGUGUCCUGUGCAUAUGCAACCGUCUCUCUAAUAGACUCGAGAUUGUGCACCCUCAUGGUGGUUUCGUAUAGAUUGCACCAUAUGAAUUGUAGAUAUCCAACUACCAAUAUCACUACACCUGAAUGAACUAGGAGUUAUGCUGAAAGUGAAUUUGGACAACCCAUCAUCGAAAGAAUCCUGUAGGAAUACACCAAAAAGAAAAUCUUUUUAACAUAAAUGAAUUCAUCCCGUUAAAGGAUAAAGGUGCCGAAAAAAUUGAAUUGGGAGAGAUAGAAAUAUUGAUGCUUGCAUGGGACUGUGAGAGGGACCAACAAGUGGAACAAACAUUGAAUAGUAAAUGUAAAACCAUAAAGCUUGUAACUGUUGUCAAAAGUUGCUCUCUACUGAAGUUUUUUAACAAUAAAGGUAAGUGCAAAAUUCACCUAAUAGCUCCACUUGUAGAAAAUUUCAAUGGUGUGAAACUAGGAUAUGGUGAACUUGCUUCCGCUAUUGCAGUGAACCAUUAUGGAUCAAAAAUGAAUCUCACCAUCGAUUUUCACAUAGGUGGGCUAUCUUUGGCCCAUAUCUCAAUAUUGAAUUUAGGAGUUCUGUCUCUCAUAUAUGGUUCCACUUGCAAAAUACAAAUGGAGCUUAGCUGAUGACAACACAUUUAGAAAAAUGCAAGAAUUCCAAAGACAUGUUUUGUGCUAUCAUGAAUCAUUCCAAUCAAUAAGGAAUCAAAGUGCUAUAAUUUUGAAUUGUCUUAGGGAACAUACCCCAAUUCAAUCUUGCGGAAGUAAACUGUCUUGAGCACCAACUCAAUUCUGAGUUCUUUGGAAGACUUGAGACACCAAUUCAAUCAAAACUGCUAGUUGUUUUUGUGGUAGAUUGUCUUCCUCCACUGAUACUGGGGAACCCCAAAGCCCUAUAUACAAUUUUGAACUGUCAGCCUUCUUACCUUGAAUGAAAAACCUAUCCAUAGGAAAGAGGUGUCUUGGGCAUGCAACCAUCAAUUAUUAGCUAUCGAAAAGGCUUGAAGUUGUGCACCCACUUGGUAGCUUCUAAUUCAUUAAACCAUAUAACUUCUAGAUAUCCAAUUGGCACGUUACUACACCUGAAUGAAAGUGAAUAGGAAGUUAGACAACCUUUCACAAAAAGAAUCCUGUAAGAAUACACCAAACAGAACUUCUUGUUAACAUAAAUGAAUUCACUCAGUUAAAUUAUUGUGUGAAAAUUUAAAUUGGGAUAAAUAAAAAUAUCGAUGCUUACAUGGGACUGUGGGAGGACCAACAAGAGGAACAACCUUUGAAUAGCAAAUGUGAAGCCAUAAAGCUUGUAACUGCUGUCAAGACGUUGCUCCCUAGUCAAGUUUUCAACAAAAAGGUUCAAUGUAGGGAUUCUCUAGUAGUUGAACUUGUAGAAAAUUUCAACAGUAUGACUUUAUACUUGUAAUAAGAAGAUAAAAUGUAAGAAUUAUGUGUUGGGAAUAAAUGAAACUUACUAAAUAUAUGGAUAGGAUAGGGUGCACUCUCUGUGCUUCCAUUUUUGGAAUCUAAUGGAUCAAAGAUGGAUCUCUCCAUCUAUUUCCAAAUAGGAGAAGUGGGCAAUCUUGAAUUGAUGUCUCAUCAUUGGAUUUGGAACUGAUGUAUAGCUCUAAAACCAUGACAGGGUUCUCCUUCAGUUGACAAAUACAACUAGAGCUUAGGUGAGGUCUUGGUGAUAUAGAAAAGUUAGGGAUUCUGGAAUCUUUACAUGAAAAUAUACAUGAGAUACAUUGGAAGAAAGGGCAGGCCUUGGUCAUUUGAGAAGAAACACAUCUUAAAUAUACUAUCAAUCAUGAUGAGUUGUUUGAGAAUCAUGAGUCUAUGAAGGCCUCACUCAUAUAAGGGAUGUCUUUGACAUUUCUCACUCUUCAAUCUUAGGAAGGUACAUCAUCAACCAGAACAUUAUGAAUAUGAGUCAUCAUGAGGCAACUUGUUUAUGUUUUUUAUUCUUUUCUCACCAGAGGGGAUUAAAAGAUAUUUAGUUGCAAGGACAAGAGAUGUAGCUAGUACUGAGAGCAUCAAACAAUCCUUCUCUAAUGCAGACCACAAAUUUUAGCAACUCGUGAUCUCCACAAUUUAGAGCACUGAAGGAAGUUAGCCUGUUGGAAAGAUGUUCCAUGACAUUUAGAAAUAUGCAAGAAUUCCAGAGAUCAUUCCAAUCAUUAAGGAAUCCAAAGCCCUAUAAUUUGAAUAGGGCAUCCACUUGGCAUGGAUAACGCACCUAUCUUGGGAAAAAGAUUGGGCACCAAUUCAAUUAUCAACUCUCUAUGAAACUUGAGAUACAAGGUACCAAUGUUAGUUGCUUCCGUGGCAGUUCUUCUUUUACUGGUAUUGGGGCAAAGCCUUUUGAAAACCCUCAAUCUACAAAUUGCCAAGGACAUGAGAUCAUGUUGUAAUCUCAUCUCCAAUCUCCAACUGCAAACAAAUUAUUUCUUUCAAUUAACAAUCUUUAAUGCGUGCACUUCUAUCAUAUGAUAAGAAAUUUAGGAAAACAAGUAAGCUUUAUAAUAUUAGGAAUAUGCAAGGAAUUGAUAAAGGCUAUGAAUCUACUUUCAAAAAAUAAAAUAUAAAAACAAAUAUUUUUUUUCACCCAUGAAUACUGUAACCAGCUUCUAAAAAACAUUAGGUAUUGAAAUAACCCAAUGUUCCUCAGGUAUUAAAGUUGAAGUUCAAAGUUACCAAGAGUGCUUUUUUGACCCAUGCAUAAAAUAAAAAGAAAAUAAGAAAGCAUAACAUAUAACUCAUAAUUGUGUCAAGUAUGAGUUCAAUUCAUGGUCAUGCACAAUUGCAUUAAGUAUUUAAAAGCUAAAUAAGGCUAUGUGCAAUUCAAAGAAUACCAUACAACUCAUAAUAGAAUCCUCACAGCUCACCAUAGAAUGAGAACUCAAACGUCUUUCUUCCGGUCAUAAGAGUUUGUGCUCUUCGAGCCUCUGACUUGCACAACUCAAGACAGCAGGACAUGCCAAAAAGUCUCUUUCACCUCAAACAUUAUUCAAAUCUGCAGUCUAAAUCUAGAUAAGAUAAUUUUCUACAAAUAUAACAUGUUGCAAACAAAUAACAGUAUGUUGGUUUAAAAUUGAAGAGCAUUUCAAACCAAACAAAAUAGAAAAAUUUUCAGUGUACAUCACUCACCUAAAAGCUUGUAUGUUGGAUAAAAUUCUUGCUAAUGAAUCCUGACAAUUAUUUGCAAUCAAAAUUUAGUAAUGGUUUAUAACCAAAAAAAAAAUAUUACAAAAUUUUUUAGCAAUGUUCCAUGAAAAACACAUUGCAUAUUGAUUGAGAAAUUAAUAUGAAAUCCACUAAUUUGAAAGGCACUAAAUACCAUAUGUUCUCUUGAGUUCUCCAUGUAUCAAAACAGAUGCAAGUUCCUAUUCGAGCCACCACAAUCACGGAGCAAAAGACUUCUUAGCAUGGAAGGCAUACCAUAUUUUAAACAAGGUUCUUAACUUUCCAAGAGACAUAAGAACGUGGUGUGUUGUAGAAACUGUAGAAUAAAUAAAUGGAAGUUAGACAUAUGCACUUGCUACUUAGUUUUUUAAUCAUGUGUGAAAUAAAUAAAGAGGUGUUACUUGCAUUUAGGCCAAACUUGUAGUCUCCAAUGUGAAAUCCAAAUCUCAUUUUGUCAAUAGAAUAAGAGUAUUAAACAUAUAGAAAAUUGAAUCCUUCCUUUUGACAAUUUGAAAACCUUAAAGGAAUGACUUGAGAUUAUAAAUAACUAUAUGGUAAAGAAAAUUUUCAUCAUUCUUUCUAAAAGGAAAAUUUGUCAUUUCCUUGAUUACGGAAGAUUGAUAUUUUAACAUAAAGUGCACUUAUUAAGGUAAACUUUGUGCAUUAUAUAUUGAUUUAGAAAAUUGUAUUUAAACCCAGUUAGAAGGGUAUCACAAAAGAUGCUUAAUUGAAAUGAAGGCAUCCAUGCCAAUUUGUAAAUGUUGUCAAAUAACACCCUCCCUUGUCAUUUUACAUCCCAUGCUUGCAUGUCAAAUCUUUAACUAAGACUGCUCAAAGAGCACCUAAAAUAAAAUUACGAAGAUUUCAUUACAGGUAGAACUUAAGGUGCUUACAUUGACCAUGAGAGAGAUCGAUAAGAAACAAAAUACUCCCCCAUAAGUUUGUAACUAUUGUACUGAUAACUUUCUUCCUAGUCAAACUAUCAACAUAACUCCAUGGAGACUUCCACAAAUUGUUGAGCCACUGGUAAAACACAACAUCAAUAUGAGAAAUUUACAAGGUACUAUGCAGAUAAAAGAGUAAGAAAUGUGUAUUGAGAAUAAGAGUUACCUUAAUGGAUGUAAGGCUAGGAUAGGGUUGAAUUGGCUCUGCACCUAUUUUUGCAAUUUGAAUUUAUUAUGGUUCAAAAAUGAGUUUAUGAUGUAUCCUCAUUUUAGGGGAAGCAGGAAAUCUGGGGCCAAUCUCUAUCAUUCUCCUUGAAACAUCUUUGAUUUCGAAGUUUGAUAAAACUUAGAAGACAACCUUUCACUUGGCAAGGAGGACUAGAACAAGGCAUCCCUCAAUCUCUACAAGUUAAAGAAAUGAAGUUUUGAAGACCAAGGGAGGGGGCUAGGAUUCUAGAUUUGACAAUAUUUUCAUUGAAAAAUCAAUGAGAGUUGUAGCAAGAAAUCCUGUCAAAAGGAAAUUGCAUUUAACAAUGUACAAUAUAAAAUGAAUGAACUGAGUUUUUAGAGAGGUGAAUCUUUGGAGGCUCCACAAAGAUAAGGGGUUUUAAUACCCUUGCAAGUGUAUUCGUGAAAUUGUUUCCUCAAAGGAAACCUGAACUUGGACAUUGUGCAACACAAAGCUGUCAAAGAGAUGUGAGACUCUAAAUCUGAUGAGGUAGGACUUGAGAUCCACAUUUUCUUAAGUGAGGAAUUCUGAGGUUGUAGACACACUAGUAGUUUCCAGAUUUAGAUACUUCUCUUCAAAUAUUUGUAUAAUGUACAUCUUCUUUGACAUUGCUGCUCCAACAAGAUGUCAAAUAGGAGGUGCAACCUAUUUGGGCAUAGUACACGUACAACAAAAAAUUUCAUUAAAACAAAAACUUUUACUAAAACAAAAAUAUGAAGUUAAUGUAUAAGAAGAUAAGAUUUAUAUAUAGUGAAUGAGCAUGAUUGAUUUUAGCACAAAGGGAAUGAUGCCAAAAUAUUUUAAGAAUAUCAUCACCACAAGUACUUGCAUCAUUAAAAAUUCCACAAGGAUUUGAUGGUUAGGCAAUAAAAUAAUUCUAGUAAAUGAGUUAAAAGCAGCUGAGCUAAGAAAGAUUAAAUCCAAAUAAGCAUCAAUCAUUAAAGAAUUAACCAACUACGAAAGACUUCAAAUGACGUUUUCUCUAUAAUUUCUGUUCCUAAUUGGCCUCAUUUGCUUGAACCAAAAUAUUAUUAAUUUGCUUUAAAGGAAGUGGGUGACUCAUAUCUCUGAAAGGAUGUGAGAGAUGGAAAUCCCUCGAUCUGUAGUGAUUCAAGAGGAUAAUUCCUAUGGCUAUUGUUGUCAUCAUACAUCAUUCAGCUAGCUAUAGACCACAAAAUUGAACAAUCAUGAAUACGUAGAUGCUUAAAUAUGGUGUGUACUUUAUCUAGUGGAAAAGCUUAUGAGACUUGGUCAUCUCGAGAUUUCUAGGAAUUAAGAUAGAUACAAGUUGUUGCUUCCUGUUAUAAUUUAUCUGGAUCGCAAUCAUCAAGCACUAACUCCAUUCACUGCAUGUUUUGAGCCUUCAACAUAAAACCAAAAUUCCAUUCUAUCGGACAAAAAAUAAAAUAUAAAAAAAUCACUAAUAACUCAACCAUUUUAUGUUGCUCAUAUUAUAAAAUGUAGGAUUUAACUGACUUCCAUCAUUGAAAAUGAAUUAAUAUAACUUUACAAUACUAGUAUAUUCAACUUUUGACAUGGCUGAAACUGAUCUUGGAAUAAAAAAUUACAUACACAAGUAGAUAUUUAAUAGAAGAGGAUCCAAAAUCUCUUCCAUUGAUUAAUGUAUAAAUGAAUUAAUCAAAAAAAUUUGAGAUAAUUAUGGGGAGAUGAACCUUGUACCUCUGAGUUUCUUAUUCUUCUUGAACAGAGCAAUGAGCAUAAAGUGUUGAGCACCCAGGAAUCUCCCUUCCUCCACAGGCAAAGUCUAAACAAUCUAUCCUUUCUUCAUAGUCCACUUCCUUGCAAAAGUCAAAACAUGAAGAAAAUAUCAUCAAAAUUGAGAUAGAAAUAAGUGCAUCAACUAUCUCAAGAAGAGAUUUAUGCUUACUGCUUACCUUUUGAAGAAGUUCACUUGGUUAGAGCACAUUUUACAUGGACGCCCAAUCACUGCAAGCUGCUGAACCAAAGGAGAGUUCAAACAUCUAAAAAAUUUGACAAACUCAAGUAUCAUAAAAUACUUCAUAUGAAUUCUAAAUGAUCUCAUAUCUAAAAAACAUUGGCAUAAAAUUAUUGUUGUUUACCUUACAUGUUUCUUCCAUGGUCAUAAUCGAAACUUUGUUUGUCAUAAAAAAUCUUCUAUGCUCAUCUUGAUUACUUACAAUGAACACUGAAAUGAAAAGAAAAAAAACCACAAAAAAUGAUGAUUAGUUUGGUUUGAUAAAUUUAGCACACAUAAUUUCCUUUUUCUUGCAUGAGAAGGAAAGAGUAAUAUAUAUAUAUAUAUAUAUAUAUAUAUCAAUUUAAUAAUUUUUAAAAAUUAGCAAUUAUAAAACUAUUUUGGUUCUCCAAAAAUUUAUGGGAAAGUAGGGAAAAAACUAUAAACUUUUUCUCUUGUUUGAUUAUUUAUCAGAAAAUUGAGGGAAAAACAAAAAUCUAUGAGAAAUUUAUUUAACACUUUUGAGGAACCAAAAAUGUUUUAGAUGUUGUCAAAUCAAUAAUUUAAACGUGUUUAAUUCCAAUUAAAUGAGUUUAAUCAAACACAUGAAAUUGUGAAUAAAAUUAUUUAAAAGCAUUGAAAUUCAAGUCAUUAAAGUUGUCCAUAAAAUGUGGUAUAUUGAAGCAAGAAAAAAACAAAGCAAUUUGAAUGACUUGCUAAUAAAGCAGCUAACUAGAAUAUGCCCUAGAGUUGUUCAGUGCCCUCUAUAUAAGAAAUAAACAGAGAACACAAAAAAAAAAGAAAAGAAAAACCUAGAAACUACAAUAAGUGAAGUGAUAAUGUCAUCUAAUUAGUAAACCAAACCAAGUCAAUAAACUACAACUUCCUCUAGUAUAAAGGUCUUGAUACAUUAGAUAUUGAAUUUGUUGGACCUGGCAAGGUAGAAGUAGUAAUGCUCAUUUUUUAUUGUGACAGAUUAUAGAGAAGAUUAGACACUGGGAAAAUACCAAGCCAGGAGCCAUGUCAAGAGCUGCUUUCUUGUUAAAAAUUAAGUCCAAUUAGAAAAUUACAGUAGCGCGUAAGAGAAAUUGAAAGUGGUGUUGAGAAGAGAAAGAGGAAGAAUGAUGUGUUGGGAAUGAGAUGUAAUACCUUGUUUAUUACUCAGAUGGAUUAGUCAAAGUAUCUGCACACGGGGAAUGUGGGCAAUCUUGGGCCAAUCAUCUCCUUCCUCCUUCGAGUACCUUUGUGUUAGAUGUGGGCAAAGCCACACAUACAGUCGUGAAAGGGUGUCAGGCAAUAGUCCUUCCCUUGGCAAAAUUGACCGGAGCUUAGGGCAACUUUGGAUUUCUAGCUGUUCAAGAGAGGUGAGGGUUUGGAGAGACAGGGAGGCUAGGGAUUCCAGAUUCUGGAAUUGUGAAAGGGUAAGGGAGGUGAGAGUUGUAGGAAAAAGAAUCGAGUGGGGGUCAUCCGAAAAGGAAGUUGCAUCUGGAAACAUGCCACCAAUCCAGAGGAGUUUAAGAGAGGUGAGUCUGGAAAGGCCCCAUUGGGAUAGGGGGGUCUUGAUAUUCUCACAAUUACGAAUGAAAAGCGAUGUAAGACGAGUGAGCUUUUUUAUCUGAGGAAGCAACAAUUCCAGAUUUUCAAAAUCUACAAUACGUAGAUCUGUGAGGGUGUUGAGGCAAUCUGGUAGGGUUUUGAGAUUAGGAUACCUCCCGAGGAUUAAAGAUUGAAGUGAAUUAUUAGUAGAGUGAAACAUCUCCUCUGAAAUUGACUCGAGGUGUUCACAAUCCCCAAUGUGAAGUCGCUCAAGGGUGGAUGGAAACUUGCCUCUUGGGAAGGAUGUGAGAGAUGGACAUUUAAAGAUUACCAAGGCUUGGAGAGCAGCAGCAUAUGUGGAAUCGUAGUGCAUUAUUCCCUCUGGUAGAGACUCUAGCCUUCCACAACUCCAUAUUCUGAGUUCCUUGAGAGUGGCGGGUAGCCCACCUUUCGGUAAUCCAAUAAGAGACGGACACCCCCCUAUAGAUAAGUAUUCAAGGGCACACAUGCCCAUCAUUCCUUCUGGAAGAGACUUGAGAUUUUCACAACACGAUAUGCUUAGACUCUUAAGGGUGGUGGGUAAUUGCCCUUUUGGAAAGCAAAUGAGAGAUGGACACCUGUAUAUCACUAGCUCUUCAAGGAGACACAAGUUGUUGCUGUCAGUACUGUCGUUCCUCAUCUUCAACAUCAUGCCAAUUAUCAAGAAUAAGAUUUCUCAGCAUUGGCGGGAAACCUACAUCGGGAAAUGACGCUAGCUUUGGACAAUUCCUGAUUGUCAAUUCUUCAAGGCAUGUUAGACUCUGCCAUCCAUUUGGAAGCCUCUCUAGUUUAUCACAUCUAUCUAUUUGCAAAGACUGAAGAUUGCAUCCCAAGGAUACAAGUUGAUCACAAUCUCUAAUCUCAAGAGAAUGAGAGUUUUCCGAUCCAAAACCAUCCUCCCACAAAUAUUCGAGUUCUUCGCAUUCCCAUACUUUCAAAACCCGAAGCCCUUGCAAAAAUUGCACAAAUCCUUCAUGCAAUUUGAUAAGCCCUGAAAUCCCAGAAAUUGUUAACUUGGUGAGUGAGGUGAGGUCAUUUCCACUGCUCAAGACCGCCUCAUUACAUUCUCCUACAUAUAAUUCCUUCAGCAGUGGAAGUCUUGAAAGUGGAGACUCCAAUUUUGGACAAAAGUGAACAGAGAGCUCUGUAAGAGAAGGUAGGUAAGUGGGUAGUUUCAUAAUCAAUUUGGGGCAAUACUGAAUUGUAAGCUCAUGGAGACAAGGGAAUAAUGACUCUGUUGAGGAAGACCAAUCCUCCCAGUGCUCCCAUUCUGACAUGCUAUUAAAAUGUCUACUCUAGUGAUGGGAAAAACUUACCUGCAGAAACACGAGUCUCUCCAUAAAACUCUGCACCCACUUUUUUUACUCCAUCCAUUCCUUGGAUCCUCAACUGUUUGAGCGAUGGCAACUGCCCCAAGCAUGGUAAAGACGUGCACUCUCUACAAUCUAUGAGACUUAGAUCCACCAUCUUAGAGAACAAGGCAUCCCCUAUCCAACGUGGGAAUUUUGGACCACCAUACAACUGAAUGCAGAGUUUGUUCAGAUUCAAACAAGGUUGUAGAGAGUCAAGGACAUCCAUUUGAUUCCUUUCAUUCCCUGAACCAUCCAGCUCAGAACUCCACUGCAUUAUCAAGCUUUCAAGGUUACGCUUCAAUUUUAAAGCGGCAUCCCUUGCAUCUUGAAUAUUCACCACAUUUUCCAAUUUCGAAAUGCAAAGUUCUCUUCGCAGAUGUGACAUGUCCUUCAACUCCUUGAUUGUCAAACCGUUGUUUUUGUCCACAAUGAAAUUAGACAAUAUCCGCAAAUCUUUUAGUUUGCCAAUUUGUAUAGGCAUUUCUUGUAAUUUUAUUGCACCAGCAACAUCAAGAUGUCGAAGAUUGAUUAGGUUACCGAUGCUAAUAGGCAACCUGAUAAGCUCUUUACAGCAUGAUAAUUUCAAUGUCUGAAGGUAAAAAAGAUUACCAAUUGAAUCCGGUAACCAUUUUAUACUGGUGUAGGACAAAUUAAGGUAUCUCAAAUGUUUCAACUUACCAAAUGAAUCCGGUAUCUCACUUAUCAUGUAAUGAGCCAAUGAGAUCACCCUUAAGUGCCCUAACCUUGGUAUCAAUUCUUCAAGCACCUUAUUACUUAUGAAGGAAGGAAGUCCGCUAGUUGGUACAUCAAUCGGCAAAGCUAUGAAUGUGCGCAAGCGCUCUUUCUUAUGAAACCUUUCAAAAUUUUUAAAGAUAUCACAAAAAUGACGGAUGAAUGAUGAAUGACGGGUAUUUUCAGAAAUGGGGCAUUGCAAAUCAUUCCACAACUCAUCAUCCAAAUGCAAGCAUGUGUCUCCAGCAAUAGAAUUAGCUAGAUCGUUAAUAAGAUCAUGCAUAACGAAUCGUGAUUUAUUGCUGCUCGACGAUUGGAAAAAUGACCUUGACAACAGUUCACAAAAAUAAUCAUCACCAAGAUCUUCCAUUUUCUCAUCCUCAUUUGAUUGUUGAAUUAACCCCUCCGCCAUCCACAAGAGGAUUACCUCUUCCUUCUUAAACUCAUAAUCUUGGGGAAAUAAUGUGCAAUAAGCGAAACACCUUUUUAAAUGUGAAGGGAGAUGAUUGUAGCUCAAUCUCAACGCAGGAAGAAUACCACACUUAUCACUAGGUAAAUUCCAUAUUUUGCUAGCUAGUAUAAUAUUCCACUUAUCUUCUCUGUGUUCAUGGCGCAGAAGACCACCAAGUGCUUUUGCUGCCAAGGGCAGGCCUCCACACUUCUUUACAAUUUCCCUUCCUAUCAAUGCCAAGUCCGGAUGCUCCUUGGUAUUUCUGUUUUCAAAAGCAUGUUUUUUAAACAACUCCCAUCAAUCAUUGUCAGACAAAUGUUUUAGCUCAUAAAAGUUUUUAUCUCCUCCCAUCAUAGUUGCAACAUUUUUUAUUACAAGUGGUGACGAUGAUCUUGCUUCCCAGGUGCUCCCUCCUAUAGAGGGAGCGUAAGCUGUCCCAUUGAUCAUAUUUCNNNNNNNNNNNNNNNNNNNNNNNNNNNNNNNNNNNNNNNNNNNNNNNNNNNNNNNNNNNNNNNNNNNNNNNNNNNNNNNNNNNNNNNNNNNNNNNNNNNNNNNNNNNNNNNNNNNNNNNNNNNNNNNNNNNNNNNNNNNNNNNNNNNNNNNNNNNNNNNNNNNNNNNNNNNNNNNNNNGAUGAAAGUCCGGCGAAUCAUUGUUGCCUGGAGCAAUGUCCCGUAAAACUGCCCUGGUUAUGGUCUCCACAUGAAAUUGAUCAGACACACAAACCCAAGCUUUUAAAGCAAAAUGUUUGGAUGUCUCCUCAUCAUCGUACACUAGACCUGCCAGCGUAGUUUUUCCCAUCCCACCCAUGGCCACGAUCGAGACUACAGACAGAUUGCCACCGAGGGAUUCAUCAUUAAGCAUGGCUAGUAUCUUGGUUUUAUCUUCAUCCCUGCCGUAUACCCCAGGUUUGAAUACCAAAGGUGGUGGAGGGGUUGGGCUUUGAGUAGCUGCUCUGGUGCCUCCGAUCUGCACUUUGAGCUUUUCCAAACCGAGCUCAGCCUUCUGAGCUGAAAUUUCUUCUAAUCGGCGAGUGAUGUCCUCUAUCUUGGACCCCAGCUUAACAUUCCGCAUAGCCUGAAUUGGAGUGAAAGUAGUACAACAAGUAGGGAUGAAUUUGCGUACCUUGCUUGUGCUGGCCGCAUCACCCUCUGCCACCAACUUUCUUCUCAUCACUUGGUAGCCAAACUCGUCCAAGACGUCCUCCACAUCAUAAGCCAAAUCCCUGAGAUGUGCGAGCCAUGCUUUCACGUGCUGCUUAGUCAUCUGCUUGUCCUCAGCAUCGUCGAGCACUUCCCGAAUCUCCAACAGUCUUGUCUUCCAUUUCUUGAGCUCGGUGUGGACUUGCUUUUGGCGUGCGUACUUCCACAAAUCAGAGGAGGCCAGUUUGCUGAACAAGAGUUCAAGGGACACAGAAAGAACAACCUCUCCAACAACUUCCAUGGUGAUCAGUUUGCAGAGGGAGUGACUAGUGAGAGAGAGAGAAAGGGGAAGAGGAAGAUGAAAAUGGAAGCCUGAGAGCAGGCUUAGUAAGCCAUGUGCACCACACAAAAUAAACAAAUCAAAAUGUCCACUAUAUUAUUUUGCAGACAGCUGUCACAUAUUUUAAUAGAUUUUAGUCUAAGAGAAGGCAAUUUAUUAAAUUUUCAUUAUAUUUUUUUAAAAAAAAAUCAUUAGAAAUUUUCAAUAAUUUUAAUUAUUUUAUAACAGAAACCUCUAAAAUUAUUUUAAAGAAUUUAAUAAUUUUAUUAUAAAUUUUGACAUUUUUGAAAUAGAAAAGUUAUACGUCUUUAAAUUUAAAUUCGGUUGUCUUAUAACUUAAUUUCAUUUAUUUAUGUCUUAGUCUCAUUUCCUUUUUAAUAUAUAAUUUUGUUAUAAAAAUGAAAAUUUUAUUGAAAAAACAAAAGUUGUGAAGGAAGAAAAAAAGAAUGGUCUUUUAAGAAAUAUUUUUAAAAUUUUUAAGGGUGAAAACUUUAAAUAUCAUUAAUAUUUCUAGUAGUAUAAAACCAUGACACAAAUAAAUGGCAUUUAAGUAUAUAUAAAUACAUAUAAAUUAAAUUUAGAUUAAUAUUAUGUGGUGGUUUUUAGUGGACCACCAAUUAUUUUCAUAUUCCAUAGAAAAAUUACUUUCAACACCAUAGAAUCACCCUAAUUUGAUAUACUAUCUUAAAUUUUAAAAUUUUAAAAAAUAAUUUUUAAGGGCAUGAACUAAAUCUAAGAAUUUCUAUGUUUUUUUUAUGAAAGUUUUUGCCAAUUUUUGUUUUUAAAAACAAAAAAUAAGAAGUACUUAAAGUGUUUUUUUAAUGAUUUUAAAAAAUAUUUUUAGUCUUUUUAAUAUUUAAAAAAUAAAAAUUUUAUAUAUAAAAAAAAUUAAAAACACUUCUUCAAAUCAUUAUAAAGCACACUCUUAAUAUGUAAUGAUAUUAAUUUCUUCUCAUUUAAAUGGAAUGAAGAGAGAUUUAAAUGAAUAAAACAAAUACAAGGAUAAAAAAUUUACUUUUUGUGCUUUAUUAUUACAUCCUUUCGUUAGAUGCUUUAAAUAGUUUUUAAUAAAUAAAAUUAUAAUUACAUUGAUGGAGGGCUAAUUAGCUUUGCUUUAGGUGAGAAAGAUAGAGGUAAGAUUGAGGUGGGCGGACCAAAUAAAAAGUAGGAUAUGAAUUAACAAAAGCUUCUGCACUCUUCCCAAAAAGUAAAAGCAAAGCCUAUUAACAUGAAGUGAUGAAACUAGUCCUAUUCAAGGCCCUAUUUGCAUAUUUGAUAUUUCUAUGAAUUUUUAUUUAUUUAUUUUAUUAAACUAGUCUAAUGCGACGACUUUUAAGUUAAAAUUAAUUUUCAAAAAAAUAUAAUUUAAAAAAUUAUUUCAAAUCUACAUAAUUAUUAUAUCUUUUACAAAAAUGAAAUCAUAAAGUUUUGAUUUUAGACUAAAAAUCCAAAUCCAACCCACUUAUCUAUGUACUUUAUUGGCAUGGAAGGAGAAAAGUUAAAAAAGUAAUAUCAAAGAUAAAAGAAAAUUUGAUCAUAUGAUAAAUAGUGAUCUUCCAAAGUUGGAGUCAAUGUGUAGUGGGUCUAAAAGAAAAAGAAAAGAAGUGGAAGUUAAAGUGGAAUGUUGAGGUUUGAAGCAAUUACCUUGGAUGCGAGAUGACAGGCACCUUAAACUGUGUAGCAAUUAUGAGAGAGAGGGAGCGAGAGGCAUUGCUGUGGGAUGGGAUGCACCAACUUUAAACUGUAGCAAUUAUUCAAUUUUGAGAGAGUGAGAGACGUUUAAGUACAAAAUAUUCCGUUUAGAAAGAAACGGUGAAGAAUAAUACCCCUCUUAAAAUAUUUAUUAAAUUAGUCUCUUUUAUCUAUCUAAUCAUCCCAUUCAUAAUAAAAAAAAUACUAUCAAAUCAUCCACAUUUAUUUGGGUGAUUUUAAAAGUUUCAAAAUUCCCUAUUUGAUUUUCGAGAAAAUCCAUGCAAAACCCUCAAGAAAAACAAAAAAAAAUUUGCUUUUUUUUUAUUCCCUAUGUUUUCUGGAUCUAUUCUAGAGGUCUCCAUCUCGUAUUCAAUUUUUGAGAAAAUUCAUCCUCGUUUGAUUUCCGAGAAAAUCUAUGCAAAACCUUAAGAAAAACCAAAAAAAUUACUUUUUUUGCUCAUUGUGUUUUUGGGAUGAGGAAGACCAAAAGGGCAAUUUUAGAAAUAUAAAUAAAUCUCAUAUUUUAAUUAUAUGAGUUUUUAAAACUAUAUAUUUAGCCUAUUAACACAACUUUUCCAAAAAUUAUUGUUGUGGGAUGACAUUCAACACUUUAAAGUGUAGCAGUUUACAGUGUAGCAAUUAUUCGAUUUUGACAGUGAGGGAGAGAGAGAGAAUUAUUGCUGUGACAUGGCAUGCAACAACUUUAAAGUGUAGCAAUUUUGACCAAUUAUGUUAAUGGGGUUAUAUCCUCAUCCAAAGUUCUCAACCCAUCUUAGUUACUUCAACAAAUUUUUAUUCUGGCCCAAACCUGUACUAGAGUAGAACAGGGUCGUAAUUUUUUUUGAAGUUAUAGUCAUCCUAUCUUAUUUAAUAUUUUCUGUUAUUUUUAUUAUUUUAAAAUUUUAUUUUUAUUAAAAUAAAUGUAAUUUAUGAGUAAAUAAAUUAUUUUUCAUAAAUUUUACAUCCUAUCUUGAUAAAAAGUAAAUUUGUAGCUUCAAUUUAAAUACAUUUAAAGAAAAGAAAUGGAAAAAGAAAUUAAAUUAUUUUUACUUAAUUUUAUUUAAAUAAUUUUUAUUAAAUAAAAUUAUAAUUAUAUUGGUGGAGGGCUAAUUAGCUGUGUUUUUAAGUGAGAAAGACACUGAUGAGGUUGAGGUGGGUCUAAAAAAAUGAAAUAAAAGAAUGAAAAAAAGAAAAAGAAAAAGAAGAUAGAGAUAAGAUUGAGUUGGGUCCUAAUUUAAAAAAGAAAAAAAAAAGGAAUGAAGAGUAGGAGGCAAAGUGACAAAAGCUUUUGCUUUCUUCGAAAAAAGUAAAAGGCUAGUGACAUCAUGUGAUCAGACUUCUAUGAUUUGUUUAUUAAACUAGUCUUAUACAAGGACUAAGUUAAAAAUAUUUAUUUUUAAAAUAUUAUUUAAGAAAUUAUUUUCUAAUCUACAUAAUUGCUACAUCUUUUCGACUCGAUUUUAGUUCAAUUUCAUUAAAAUGAAAUCAUUUAUUUGAGCCCAAAAAUCCAAAUCCAAAUCCAAAUCCAAAUCCAACUCAUUUAUCUAUAUACUUUAUUGGCAUAGAAUGAGAAAAGUUAUAAAGUUAAAGAAAAUUUGAUCAUAUGACAGAGAUUUUCCAAAGUUGGAGCCAAUUCAAUGCCUAGUGGGUAUAACAAAAAAAAAAAAAAAAAAAAAGGAGAGAGAGAAAGAUGUGGAAAUUAAAGUAACCAAAUUUUUGAGGUUUAAGGGAUGUCAGUGCACCUUCCAAAUAACUGCUUAAGAAUGUGAGAUGUCAUAGCAUUGAAAAUUGAUAUUAAAUCUCAUUGAGUAACUAUAAGAAUUGCUUUACUUAAAGACAAGUAAUAAAUAUAUCUUGCUUUUUCAUAAGGUUUAUGACCCUAAGUGAAUAAAAUUUUUAGAGUGGGAUGAAUGCAUUUCACAUGAGUCAUGUCAUAGAUAUAUUUUUAGAAUUUUAAGGUGGGUACAGUUCGAUAUCAUUCGUAAACAUAAUUCAAACCCAAUAUAUUUUUUAGGGAUUUGAAUUGAAUAGAUUCGCAUUUAAUUUAAAUUCAUGUGAAUAUAUAUAAUUCAUUUAAUAAAUAAAUUAUUUUUAAAUUAACUUAGAUAACCCACAUUUGACUUGGAUUAACUUAUUUAAUAAUGGUAUUGAUUAACCUAAUAAUAACUUUAAUUUAUUGAACUCAUAUUUAACUCAUUUAAGAUUUGUUUUUCAAUAAGUUUGGUCAUCAUAUAAUAUUAGAACAUUAAGCAUUUUAUUUCAUUCAACAUUUAACUUGAUUUGAUUAUUAAACAAUAUCUUAUUAUUAUUUCAAACAAUCAAGACACAGACUUUGAUGCAUCUCUGCCUUGGAUUCUUCCUGGUCAAAAGGAACAGUUGAAGUAUCUCCAUUGCUUCUCUGUUUCUUUGAGUCAAAAGACACAGUCUGCCUUUCUCUAUUUCUUCUAAUCAUUUUCAAAAUGCAUCAUUAUGAGAUCUACUGACCCUAUUUUUUUUUUCUUAAUAAUAGAAAACAGAAAAUAAUUUUUUAUUUUCUUGAUAUUUUGGAGAACGAAAAACUAUUAUGGAAAAUAAUUGUUAAACAAGCAUUAGAUGUUAGAUAAAAUUUAAAAAACACUUCUAAAAAUCUAAAAAAAUUACUUAUACUAUUUUUUUAGAAAAUCACUUAUAGUGUUUUCUAAAAAAUUACUUGAUAGAUAAUUUUCUUAAAAACAUUUCAAGUAAGAAUACUAUUAAACACAUUAUUAAUAUCAUUUAACCCUUGGAGUUAAAAAAUGAUUUAUCAAAUUCAACCUCAAUCGGUUUAAACUCUCCCAAACCCAUUCCCAUUUGUAAUAUCUGGUUUUGAAAAAAUAAAAAUAAAAAUAAAAACAUAAUAGAAAGAGUAGGAGGAAUGUCAAAUAUAAAAAGAGGGUUAAAAAUGUUUUGUAAUGGUUGGAAGUGUUUUUCCUACAAAUAAUGAUGCAUUUUGAAAAUUUUUAAAAAUGAAGAGAAUCACUUUGAACUUACAUUCGAUACACACUUUAUCUAAAACCAUUUUUUAAGACACUUAUUUUGAUUUGUAUCUAAAUGCUAACCUACAUUUAUAAAAAUGUCAAAAUAAUUUUUUUUUUAAAUCUUUUAAUUUAUUGUACUUUAUGAAUACAUUUUAUUUUUUGUUUGAUGCUUUAAAUAGUUUUUAUUAAAUAAAAUUAUAAUUAUAUUGGUGGAGGGCUAAUUAACUUUGCUUUUAAGUGAGAAAGAUAGAGACAAGGUUGAGGUGGGUCUAAAAAAAUGAAAUAAAAGAAUGAAAAAAAAAAAGAAGAAAAAACGAAGAAGAUAGAGAUAAGAUUGAGGUGGGUCCUUAAUUAAAAGAAAAAAAGAAAAAGAAAUGAAGACUAGGAGACAAAGUAACAAAAGCUUUUGCUUUUUUCCAAAAAGUAAAAACAAAGGCUAAUGGCAUCAUGUGAUCAAACUCUAUACAAGACCCUACUUGAAUAUUUUUAUGAUUUGUUUAUUAAACAAGUCUUAUACAAGGACUAAGUUAAAAAUAAUUUUAAAAAAAAUAUUAUUUAAGAAAUUAUUUUCUAAUCUACAUAAUUGCUACAUCUUUUUGACUUGAUUUUAGUUCAAUUUCAUUAAAAUGAAAUCAUUUAUUUGAGCCCAAAAAUCCAAAUCCAAAUCCAACUCAUUUAUCUAUAUACUUUAUUGGUAUGGAAUGGGAAAAGUUAUAAAGUGAAAGAAAAUUUGAUCAUAUGAUAGAGAUUUUCCAAAGUUGGAGCCAAUUCAAUGCCUAGUGGGUAAAAGAAAAGAAAAAAAAAGAAGAAAAAAGGAAGAUAUGAAAAUUAAAGUCGAACAAACAAAUUUUUGAGAUUUAAGGCGAUGUCACUGGACCUUCCAAAUAACUGUCUAAGAAUGUGAGAUGUCAUUGAUGAAAAUUGAUAUUAAAUCUCAUCAAGUAACUAUAAGAAUUGCUUUACUUAAAGACAAGUAAUAAAUAUAUCUUGCUUUCUCAUAAAGUUUAUGGCUCUAAGUGAAUAAAAGUUUUAGAGUGGGAUGAAUGUAUUUCACGUGAUUCAUGUCCUAGAUAUAUUUUUAGAAUUUUCUAGCAAGAUAUCAAAGGAAACUUUAUGGUGAGUGUUUUCUUUCUAGUUAAGGUGGGUACAUGUCAUUCGUAAAUAUAAUUCAAAACCAAUAUAUUUUUUAGGGAUUUGAAUUGAAUAGAAUCUUAUUUAAUUUAAAUUCAUGUGAAUAUAUAUAAUCCAUUUAAUAAAUAAAUAAUUUUUAAAUUAACUCAGAUAACCCACAUUUGACUCGAAUUAACUUAUUUAAUAAUGGUAUUGAUUAACCUAAUAAUAACUUUAAUUUAUUGAACUCAUGUUUAACACAUUUAAGAUUUGUUUUUCAAUAAGUAUGCCAUAAUUGGGUCAUCAUAUAAUAUUAGAACAUUAAGCAUAUUAUUUCAUUCAACAUUUAACUUGAUUUGAUUAUUAAACAAUAUCUUAUUAUUAAAUUGGUUAAACAGGUUAUGAUGUAUCACCUUGUUAAUAAUUAUAUAGUGUUUGAGUUUAUGUUUUUAAUUUUGAUUAUUAUUCAUAUCAUGUUUGGGUUGAGUUGUUUCGUGGAGUAUCUAACCUUUGAUACAACACAAACACAAUCCAUCAACAUAUUAAUAAAAAAUUACAAGAUAUUAGGAGAGUAAUUUUGGUAAAAGUUAAUAUUUAAUGAUUUAAGAUGAUUUUAAAUUAAAUUAUAUUGAAAUGGUUAAGUCAUAUCAAAUCAUUAACUUAAUUUAUCAAAAUCAUUUUUGAUUUUAUAUUAUAGUAUUAAGUUAUUUUAUCGAUCAUACUUAAUAUACUUAAGAACUUAAAUUUAAUCUUAUCAACAUUCUCUAGGGUCUUCUCAUCUCAAUUUUUAAUAUUUAUUUGAUACGUAUUUAAAAAUAAACAAGUCAAAAUGUAUUAUCUCAAAAUUUCUAAUUCAAACUCCUACAAGAUUUUAAAAUUCAUUAAUUAAUUUGAAAGAAAUUUGUUUUGGAACAUGCAAGUGAUGGACAUAUCACAUAUCUUAAAUUUCUAACUAAAAAACCUCAUAACAAAAUAAUUUGAUGAAUGUUUUUAAGUUUAAAAAACUUAGAACCAUUUCACAAUGAUUUUGGGAAGUUAGAAAUGUUUCCAAAUGCUUGAAAAUGUUUUUAUAACGAAAAUUAAACAUUUGAUAAAAAUUAAAGUUCACAUUCUAAGUAAUUGAUAGUGCUUCUUAUAAUUGUUUUUUUUUUUCAUUAUAUAUAUAUAUAUAUAUAUUCGUCUGUAAUAAUAAUAUAGUCCCACUGGUUCUACAGUUGGUGGACUUAUUAUGGUCCAACUAUUAAGAUAUAAGUUAACAGAUGUUCAUAUCCGUAACCAUGACAUCUGUAUUAAGCAAACCUUUAUCCUUGUUAAGAACCUUAAGGAAAAAGCCCUCUUAGGAAUACCCUUCUUAAGCUCUAUUUAUCCCUUGUGGGUAGAUAACCAAGGUAUAAGAACUAAGCUUUUUGAUAAGGAAAUUCUUUUUGAAUUUGCUAAUCCUGUUGAAAGCAUCACUCGUUGUGAUCAAGAGAUUAAUCUUGUUAGAAUUAAUGAUCCACCUAAGAUUUUAGGUACCCAAUUCAUUCAUAAUCUCAUUAUAAAUGAUAUUUUAAGCAUUCCUUUAUGCAUUUCAAAAUUUCAAACUGAUAUUUUGAAUCAAGGAAUUUUAAAAAUUAUUUUCACAUCUGAGAAAACUAUUAAGUAUAUAGCUUUCAAGUAUAAUUUAACUGAUUGGAUUAUUUUAAAACCUAAUUUUCAAAUUAAGCUUAUUAAAGGAGAAAGUUUCAUUCCUAAUCACUCAAUUCAUGGAACUUGCAGGAUUCACAAGAACAUGGCCCCCAAGAAAGACAAACAACCUCUUAGGUCCAUUAAUUCUAAGGAUUCCCAUUCAACUCUCUCUGAGAAACUCACGCCAUUUUAUGACCAUUUUGAAAUAGCAGAUUCUUCCAGCCACUUCAAUCAUCACAUUACUUCACCAUCCACUAGUAUGGAUAUAGACUCAAGCUCGAAAUCUCUACCUUUUGUGGAAGAUUCCUUACCCACAAAUCCAUCUUUUAACAAUGCUAACACUUUGUCUGAUUAUAUCAAUUGCAUUUUUGAAUGGCAGGGAAGGUAUGAGACUCUUGAAAGGAAACUUGAAUUAGUUGACUUUCAUAAGCUCAUGUUAAAAGCUCAAGCCUCAUUUUCCCCACUGAAAAAUGGUGAGAAUAAGCAUUCUACCCCACUGGUGAAUGAUAAAUUGAGUGAGGAAGAGUUGGGUUACCGUAUGCUAAGGAUGUAUCAUCAUAAGACAGAGAAUCUAUACUCUCUUAGGCCAGAUCUACGUCUCCUAAUUUGGGAAAAGGCUAAGUCCUCAGCAGAAGAAAAACAAACUUUCAUCUCUUCAUACCUCCAGGAUCUUCAUCUCUAUCUUUCUACCAAUAUUGGUCUUAAGGUCCCAGGUUUAAGCUUGGUUACUGAUAAGGAAGUUGAUGAUUCAAAAAUUUGCAGAAUGAUUGAAGAACCUUUCCAGUACCAAAAAGGCAUCAAGAAGUUGGUUUGCAACUGCAACAGAAAUUUCACAAUCAGUCGUGUUUGCUUAGACUUGCAAUACUAUUCACCAAUCAGCAUCAAAUUCAAGGGUGAAGAUUUAUUAUUAACUCCAGAAAAGCUUCUGGACCAUGGUCUGGUCCAUCAAAUCAUCUGUUCUGAUUCCAACCAAGUUUCCCAGUUUGGAAGAAAAAUUGCUCUUGGCCUAACCCUGGGAUUUAAAAUGAAUAAGAAAUUCGCAAACGCCAUCAUCAUCAGCAAAGCUCCUGAGUGGGUUUCUAAUGGCAAGCUUAUUCCAGCUCAACACAUUGUUUCUCUUCACUAUCAGAAUAGGAGACCUACUCAGCUGUCUUACCCUCUGCUAUUUUCUGAUAUUUGUGGUGAACCUAUUAUUAAGCAAAUCAAACACUGGAGGGCCAGAAUUAUUUGCAAGGAUUUUGAGGCUUUUCCAAGAAAUAUGGGACAUCUCAUUGCUGCAGAUUCUUGCCAUCAAAUUUUCUGUGGCAAGAAGUUAAACCAUCUUCCAACUAUUUCCAUCACUGAAGAUAUCAAGCUUCUUGAAGAUCAUAAGGAUUUCUCAUGAUGGCCAGUCAACAAGAAUAUUUCAAGCUUUGCAGUUUCUGAAUCAAAAGCAGCAAGCAUGUGUCUACACAGUUUAAAGCAACCUGCCAGAAGUCUUCUCAGCCGAAAAAGGGUGUUUCGGGAAAUUUCGGUAUAAAAGUGAAUCUUACUAUUCACUAUUCACUACGCACUAUUCAAGCACGGGUCUACUGUUCAUGGCUACUAUUCAAGAUUCCUUUUUUGCCUAUUUAAGGAGGUAAGGGCCUCAUUUGUAAGGACACUUCAAUUUUUAGUUCUGUUUCUCUCUCAAGCUUAUGCUCUCCCUUCUCUCUUCUUUCUCUCUCAUUAUGUAAGCCUUUCAAGCUUUCAAGCUUUCUCCAAGCUUUCUUCAAGCUUUCCUACCUUUGUCCAUUGUAAGAUAUUUCUCGUUAUGUAUAAUAUAAGUAUGUUUUGAUUACCUCCUAUAUGGAUGGUUUUUAAUUAAGUUUUAUUUUCAUUUUGUUUUUUAUUUUAUUUUAUGUUCUUGUACCGCCUACAUGGACGGUUUUAAUUAAGCUUUGUUUUAAGUUUAUGUUUUUUAUUUUAUACCGCCUACAUGGUCGGUUUUAAGCUUAUGAUGAACUAACAAGUUUUUUGGUUCCUUCUCUUUAAAUUUCUUUGUUGGAUAUCUUUUGUAUUUUCUAACCCUCUUCUUUGUUUUGAAUCAUGGCAUAAUUCAUUUGUUCAUUUGCAUAUGACCUUGUCUUGGGUGUCUAUGGUAUCAGAGCCAUGUGGGAGGGAAGUUGGGUCUUGUUUUGGGUGUUCUUGGCCUAUCCUAGGAUAGGUAGCAGUGUGCCUGGGAGCGCGAGCCCUGCCGGUUGAGCCGUUGUUAGCCGUGGAUAGGCGUUUGUUAGGCUAUAAGAGGGUUGGGGUGACGUCUCAUAAGGUUUGUCAAUCUACUAUUAGGCUCUAGAUCAAAAACCCUAAAAUGAGUUCAAUUUUCCGAACCAUGUCUAGGAGAUCCAGUGAUUCUCAAGAUACUGUUGUAAACAGUGAAGAGAUCAAUUAUCCUAAGAUUCAAAAUGAUUUAGAUGAUUGGAAGUUACCCAAGGUGUCUAAUCAAGAAAUUUAUAAGAAAGGAACCUUUAAGUUCUUCACAGAUUAUACCAUUAAGACCUCUAAAAUGUCAGUCAGCUUAGAACAAGACGACCAAGUCAUAAGACUUCUAGAUAACAGAUCCAUUGAUAAGCAUAAGAAAGAUGGCUAUAAUUUCAUACACUUUGGUAUGAUUCAAGUAGCAGCUAAGCCUUUGACAAGAUUAGGUUUAAACACCUCUAUUGUCAUGUGUUUAAGGGAUAAUAGGCAUCUCGAAUAUCGAGAUUCUAUUAUAGGCGCAGUCCAAGCUGGACUGAAUGAUGGCCCAGUAUAUUUCCAGUGCUAUCCUAACUUUACAGUUAGAAUAAGAGAUGCAGACAUCUUAGAUUCAGUUGUCCUGCAUAUUAAGACUCAUGGCUUUAAGAUCAAACCAGGAAACAGUCCUGUUUCCAUCAUAACCAGGUUUGCCUAUAAGAGUAUGAACACAAGCGUUGGAUCUGGGGCUCUUUGCACCAGUCCUAAAGGUGAGACCACCUAUUUUCACUCUGAUAUGCUAGAUAAGUCAGAUUUCAUCAUCCCCAAGAAGAUCUUGUGGAAAGAUGUUGAUUUCCCUGAAAAUUGGCAUUUUGCUAAUGCUGUUCCAGCCAUAGCACAGCGUUCUGAAAGUAUUAAACAAAUAGUUCAAUAUCCAGAUGGAGGAGGAGAACUGGUCUUCUCCAAAUCUUUCAGACAUUCCAGUAGCCCUAGAGUGUCUGUUUAUGAACCCUCUAGAGCUUCAAGCUCUUCCAUCCCAGUUAGAACCACUAGGGAAGAAGAAGGAUCCAGCUCAGGAAAUCCUAAGAAUAUUAAGCUAACAGGUGUUAGAAGUCACACCAACGUGGCUAGACCAUUUUACAGUGAAGAAAAUGAGUCUACUCAGGAAUCCCAACAGGAUGAGUCCCCUGUUAUGUCUCCUACCUAUUCCCAGAUGAUUAACACAAUAAGCCUAAGUGAUGAGGACUUUGAGAUCAACAAGGAUCUCUUAAGAAAGGACUUCUAUUCUGAAGUCAAUAAGCAAAGAAAUGAUUGGUUCUUUAGCAUUGUCCCUAAGGUCAUUAGAACCAUUUACCAAGAAGAAUUCUAUGCCUACUUAAGACAAGAAAAGAAAAAUAUUAAGUUUUGGAUCUGGUUUGAACUCUUCAAACAAGAGGAAUAUCCAGAUUAUCCCUUUAAGCGUAUAAAGGUUACCAGUAGUAAUAAUGAAAAUAAGCCAUAUGAAUUCUCUAAGGAUUUCCAAGAAAAUCCCUAAGUCAACCAAGCUUUUGUCGAUAGGAUUAAUCAGAGGAUUAAGGAUAAUCUUGUUACUCCUUUGACUGUUCAGCCUGAUAAGAGAAUCAACAUGGUUAAAGGUGAUAUUAGUUCAGAAGAAGAAGCUGAUGAACUAAUUAAGAUGUUUAAGGAACCCCAUGAUCAAAUUAUUAACAAUUUAGAAACCUUUAAGACUAGGAAUUACAAUUCUAGACCGACUUUCCCUGACAUGCAGUUUGAGGAAAGAAAUCAGUACACUCAAGCCUCAUACACCAGUGGUACUAUCUAUGAAUGGAACAUAGACGGUAUGACCGAGUAUAACAUACUCACUAAGCUUCAAGAAAUGACCAUGGUUAGUACAACCUAUAAAUUAAACAAUAGACUGCCAGAUCAUGCUGUAGCUCAGACCAUUGUUGCUGGGUUUACAGGUCAACUUAAGGGUUGGUGGGAUAAUUAUCUCACUUUUGAUGAUAGGAAUAGUAUCCUUAAGGCCUAUAGGAUUAAUGAAAGUAAUGAAGUUGUUAAGGACGAAGAUGGCCAAGAUAUUGAGGAUGCAGUGGCUACUCUAAUCUACUCAAUAUCCAAGCACUUCAUUGGAGAUCCUGCAAAAAUUAAGGAUAAAACUGCAGAUCUCUUAACCAACCUUAAGUGUCCCAAGCUUCAUGAUUUUAGGUGGUAUAGGGAAGUCUUUAUAACCAAAGUCAUGUUAAGAUCAGAUUGUAACCAGUCUUUUUGGAAAGAAAAAUUCAUCUCAGGUUUACCCAAGCUUUUCUCCGAGAGAAUUAGGAUCAAGAUAAGGGAACAGUAUAAUGGUCAAAUCCCUUAUGAUAAGCUAACCUAUGGUGAGAUUAUAAGCAUUGUCACAGCUGAAGGGAUUAAGUUGUGCAAUGACUUCAAGCUUAAGCAACAAAUGAAGAAUGAACAAAAGAUCUACAAGAAUGAAUUUGGAUCAUUCUAUAGCUAGUUUGGUUUCAACCAAAAGGAAACUAAGCCUCCCUCUAAGCAAAAACCAAGCAGGAAACCUAGCAAAGAUAAGUUUUACCACAGUAAAAGAGGUACCUAUGACAACUAUAGGAUGAAUGAUACUAAGCAGUCAAGGCACGUCCAAAGAAGGGUCAAUAAAGAUACCCAGAAAAAGGUAGAAACUCCUUUAGACAUCAAGCCAAUUAUCUGUUUUAAAUGUGGCAAAGUUGGCCAUUAUAAGAAAGAUUGUAAAGUUAAGCAAAAGAUUAAUAACUUAAGUGUCUCAGAUGACUUAAAAAAUAUGCUUUGUAAGGUAAUGUUAAACUCAAAUUCUGAAUCAAGGACUGAUUCAGAUAAUGAAGAUGAUAUUAAUCAACUAGAUAGCAGUGGCAAUGUUUCUAGCCAAUCUUCUAGUGACCAAGAUGUUUGUAUUAAGGGUAAUUGUAAUUGUCGUCCUAAAACCAUAAAUGUCAUAAGCCAAGAUCAGGAAUUCAUCCUAGAUACUUUAAGAAAAGUUGAAGAUGAAAAGACUAAGCAAAAUCUUUAUGAAGUAUUUAAGAAAUCUGUUGUUAAGGUAGAAGCCAAAAAGACUGUUAAUCCUUACAACCUUAAUGAUAUCUUAAACAGGUUUGACCAGCAGUCUCCCAAGGAAGUCAGCAUUAAGGAACUUCAUGAAGAAGUUAAGCAACAUAAGAAGGAGAUUAAAGAGUUAAGACAAUUCAUAAGUUUAGGUCUCUCUGAUCUCCAAGAUCAAAUCAAUAGAAUUGGCAACCAAGAAAUCCAUAUGGAUAUUCCAGAAUCUUCUCAUGUUAAUGAUAAUGAGACAGAUACUUUUUUGAAUACUGUGAGUAGGGUUAUCUUCCAGAGGUGGGAAGUCUCCCUUACUAUAGUAGUCAAAGAUAAAUUUGUCUUUGAUAUUAUUGCUUUGAUUGAUUCAGGAGCAGCUGAAAAUUGCCUACAAGAAAGUCUUGUACCUAUUCCUUUAUGCGAAGAGACUAGUGAGUCUCUAUUUGGUGCCAAUGGCGAAAGACUUGUCAUUAAGUAUAAGUUAACAGACGUUCAUAUUCGUAACCAUGACAUCUGUAUUAAGCAAACCUUUAUCCUUGUUAAAAACCUUAAGGAAAAAACCCUUGUUGGAAUACCCUUCUUAAGCUCUAUUUAUCCCUUGUGGGUAGAUAACCAAGGUAUACGAACAAAGCUUUCUGAUAAGGAAAUUCUUUUUGAAUUUGCUAAUCCAACUGUAAGCAUCACUCCUUUUAACCAAGAAAUUAACCUUGUUGGGUUAGAUGUCCCAAGUAAGCUAAUAAGCAACCAGUUCAUGCAUAAUGAUAUUUUAAGCAUUUCUUUAUGCAUUUCAAAAUUUCAAAUUGGGAUUUUGAAUCAAGAAUUUUUAUUAAAAUUUAUUUUCAAAGAUUUUGAAAAAAUUAAAUAUAUAACUUUUAAGUAUGAUUUAAUUAACUGGUAUAUUAUUUUAAAAUCUAAGUUUCAAAGUUACUUUAUUAAAGGAGAUUAUUUCAACCCUAAUCAGCUAUCUCGUGAAUUUUGCAGGGUUCAUGAAAUCAUGGCCCCUAAAAAGAAUACCCAAGCUUCUGGCUCUCAAAAACCCCAAUCCAGUCAAGCUAACCAAUCUCGUUCUACCCAUAAAAUGCUUUGGAGUCAACAAGUUGAAGAAGAAGAAGCACAACUUUUGGCAAAGCUUCAUUCUUCUAAACCUAUGCAUGAAUCCAGCCAUAUGCCUAACAAAAUAUUGACCUUAUACUAUGAUCCUUCUGAUCAUUCUAAACCAGUUAAGGCAACACAAUAUCCAGCUACCUCAGGGUCUCAGACCUUUAAGCAGGUUACUAUGGCUAAUCCCUCUCAAAAGGAAUUAGCAACAAGCUCUUCUUUUUCAAGCAAACAAAUUGUGGUGGCUGCCAACCCCACACCUCUUUCAACAAAAUCAAGAUAUUGGCAAAAUGAUUUAAAUCAAUCUCUUUUAGUUAUUGAAAGAGAAUUUUUCUCUGAAAACCCCAGAGAGAUUGCUGCAAAAGCAUUUCAAGAAAAUUUUCAUUAUCCCUCUAGUGAUAUUUUAAAAACAAGAGAGUUUUAUGAAGCAGUCCUUAUAGAAACUGGUUCUGUUAAGAUUAAGCAUAACGCUGAUAAAUUCAGCAAUAUGGGCUUGGCAUUCUCUACCUGCCAUAUCUAUAAGAUCCUUACAGUCAAGCAAUGGGGUGGAAAUCCUAAUCUUUCAAGGGAAUUUUCUGAACCAUCUAAGCCAAGGUUUUUUAAUUAUUGGGAUUAUCAGAGAGCAUGGUUUAAUGCUUUUCUGAUCCAGAAUAGGGACUUCCAUCAUUCAUGGAUGUUCUAUUUUCCAUCUAAGAACCAGCUUUCCUCUUUCCCAUUUUGGUUCUACAGUUGGUGGACUUAUUAUGGUCCAACUAUUAAGAUUCUUCCUAAGCCCAUUCUGGAUGGCUUUGAGCUAUUCAGAAGUUCUUUUAAUAUUCCCAGAGAACUUUCAGCUUUUCCCCCUUUACUAUUCUUUUUCAGCAAUUUUGGCCUGGCUUGGAUAGUCCAGUGGGACUAUAUUAUUAUUACAGACGAAUCAGCAGCCUUUCCAUCUCUGGGAAGGACUUUUAAAACUAAAUGGUGGGAUGCAUUGAAAAAUGAUGCAUCUACUAAUGCAGUCAAGCAGUAUUUCCUCAAGAACCCCUCACAAGUCUCUGCUAGUGAUGAUAUGUCUCAGUUUCUCCUCAAAAAGCAACAGUUACAAGCCAUGCUCGCAGCAGCCAAGACCCCUCAAGAGUUUCAGAAAAUCCUUGAUGAAGGAAGCUCAAGCUUCUCCCAAGAAAAUUCUUAUGCAGAAUCUGACGAUUCAACAAGCUACCUUCCAGACAAUGGUGAUGACUGUGAAGGAAUCCUUCCUCUAAUAAGAAGAUCUAAGUAAUCAUCAAGCCUUUUGUCUUCCAUCAAGAGUAUUUUUCAGGCUUUGCAGCUUCUGUUCCAAAAGCAGCAAGCAUGUGUCUUCAUAGUAUAAAGCAGCUUGCCAGAUGUCUUCUCAGCCGAAAAAGGGUGUUUCGGGGAAUUCCGAUAUAAAAGUGAAUCUUACUAUUCACUAUUCACUAUUCACUACGCACUAUUCAAGCACGGGUCUACUGUUCAUGGCUACUAUUCAAGAUUCCUUUUUUGCCUAUUUAAGGAGGCAAGGGCCUCAUUUGUAAGGACACUUCAAUUUUUAGUUCUGUUUCUCUCUCAAGCUUAUGCUCUCCCUUCUCUCUUCUUUCUCUCUCAUCAUGUAAGCCUUUCAAGCUUUCAAGCUUUCUUCAAGCUUUCCUACCUUUGUCCAUUGUAAGAUAUUUCUCCUUAUGUAUAAUAUAAGUAUGUUUUGAUUACCUCCUAUAUGGAUGGUUUUUAAUUAAGUUUUAUUUUCAUUUUGUUUUUUAUUUUAUUUUAUGUUCUUGUACCGCCUACAUGGACGGUUUUAAUUAAGCUUUGUUUUAAGUUUAUGUUUUUAUUUUAUACCGCCUACAUGGUCGGUUUUAAGCUUAUGAUGAACUAACAAGUUUUUUGGUUCCUUCUCUUUAAAUUUCUUUGUUGGAUAUCUUUUGUAUUUUCUAACCCUCUUCUUUGUUUUGAAUCAUGGCAUAAUUCAUUUGUUCAUUUGCAUAUGACCUUGUCCUGGGUGUCUAUGGUAUCUAUAUAUAUAUAUAUAUAUAUAUAUAUAUAUAUAUAUAUAUAUGUAUAUAUGUAUAUAUGUAUAUAUGUAUGUAUAUUAGCAUAAAAAAGGUUUCACCAAUUAAAUGGUGUCACAUAUACAUUUUUAUAUAACAUGAAUUGAAAAGGUUUCAUCAAUUAGGUAGUGUCACACAUAUAUAUUUCAGUCUCAUAGUUUAUACCAUUGUACCUCGGCCACAUUUGUUACCUUUGUUUAAUGAUCUAGAUCUCACUACAUAUAUUUAAUGGUUCAGAUCUAGACUUCGAUAGGUACCACUACAAAACCCUAUAUACAUCAUACUAACUACUUUUUUAUCAAAACACUUACAAUAGAAAUGCUACAAAUUAGAAGUGUUUUUAUCAAAAUAAUUUCCAAACCAACCAUAAUAUUUGCAUUAGCUUUAACAUAUAAUAUCUUUUACUUUAGUUGUUGAUAUAGCUACAUAUAAGACCAACCAUUCAUAUGAUAAUUAUUAUGGAUCUUAUUUUAAUUUGAUAAAAAUAUCUACCCAAGCAUUACACAGGGAUGACAAUGGGGUGAAAUAUGGACAAGUCAUUCCUAUCCCAACCUCACCCCAUUUAUUCAAAAUAAUUCUCAUUCUCGUCUCAUUGAAGAAAUUAAAUGGAAUGGGAUAGGUAUGAGAAUUUCCUGUACCCACCCCGCUUAACUCUUUUAAUUUCUUUUUUAAAAUUUUUAAUUUUUUUUUAAAAUUUUUUUUAAAUUUGUUUAAAUGCAUUAAAAUAAAUAUAUCUUAUAAAUAAUUUAAAAUUUAAAUUUUUUUAUAACUUAUUUAUUAUUAUUAUUAUUAUUAUUAUUAUUAUUAUCAUUAUUAAAAAUAGGAAAAUAACAAUUUAUAUCUAAUUGAGGUAGGACAAGGUAAUACCUAAACCUACCCCAAACCCGUCUCGAGUUUUAAAAAAAUUCUCAAAAAUGUUUUUAACUCGUUUAUUUAAAUUUCAAAUCCAUCUCAUUAGGGAUGGGGUGAAAACCCGUCUCAUUGUCAUCCCUAUAUGCAUGUCAUAAAUAUAUAAUAAGACAAAUAAUAAUAAAUUAGUAUCUAUUUAGAUAAACUUCUUGUUUUUUGUUUUUAAAAUAAAAAAAUAAUAACUUUUAUAUAAGAUAUAAGGAUACUUAUAUACUUAUAUUUAAAAAAAAAUAAUAGCUUUAAAAAUCAUUUAAAAAAUUUAAGGUAUUAAAAAUUUUUUACUAAACCAAAUUUUAAAAAAAUUUUAAAGUGAUUUUUAAAGAUAUGACAUAAAUUUAUAUUUUUUUUUGUAUAACAUGUUCUACUUUCAUAUAGAAAUUCUAAUUUUAAAAACAAAAAAUAACAGAUGUAUUAAAUGGACACUUUAGCUUCUUAUUUUUUUAGUGGUUCACCUUGCCCCUUAGAUAAGAAGAUUAUGAAAAUUUUCAAUAAUUAUGAAAAAGAUAAAAGUACUAAAAGUGGAAAGACUUUUGACAAAAUUAUGUGUGAGAUGGUGUGCAUCAACUUUAAUUUGGACAAUUAUGUUAAUGGGAAGAUGUUAUCCUCAUCUCAAUCACUAACUUUAAAUUGUAGUCCUUACUGUAUUUUGGAUAAUUAUAUUAACGGGUCAUGUCAUCCUUGUCUCAACUCAUAUUGAUUAUUUAAGUUAUAAGUUAUAGUCACCAUAUCUUAUUUAAACUUUUAUACUAUUUUUUUAUUAUUUUUAAAUAUAAAUCUUAUUAAAAUAAAUAUAAUUUAAGAGUAAAUAAAUUAAUUUUUAUGAAUUUUAUAUUAGCAUUGAUAAAAAUUAUAUUUUCAAUUUUAUUUUAAACAUGUUCAAAAGGGGGAAAACAAAAAAAGAAACUAAAUUAUUUUUAUUGAAUUUUAUAAAUAAAAAUGAUUUAAUUUUAAAUUUUAUGUAAUUUUAUAAAAAAAUUCUCAAAUAUAUCCCUAAUUUGUUUAAAUUUGUCCUAAAUCCUUCUAUAGUUGUCAUCUCUAAUUUUGACCAUAUAAAAAUUAAACCAAAAUGUAAGAAGGUUGAGGAAUAUCAAAUAUAAAGAGAGGUUGAAAAAAUUUAUAAUGCUUAGAGGUAUUUUUCUUACAAAUAGAACUUGUUUGGUCAUGUGAUUUAAAAACAGUUUUUUUUUUUUUAAAAAUAAAAAAUAAAAAACUGUUUUUAAAAAUUUCUAACAAUGUUUGACCAUUGUUAUUUGGAAGCAAUUUUUUAAAAAUAAGGUGAAAUAAAGAACAAUUUUUAGAGAACAAAUAUAAAUUGUUUUCAUUGAUUUUUAAAAACAAAAGGAAAAUAUGAGCCCAUUUGACCAUAUUUUCUUAAACUUGUUUUUAAAAACUUUUUUUAAAAAAGCACUUUUUAGAUUAAAAACAUUUUUUAGAAUCACUACCAAAAUGAUUUUAAGUAUUAUCUCACUUCACCUCAUUUAUAUAUAAAAUUAAGUAAAAAUAAUUUAAUUUCUGUUUCCAUUUCCCCUUUUUAAUCAUAUUUAAAAUAAAGUUACAAAUUUACUUUUUAUCAAGAUAGAAUAUAAAAUUUAUGAAAAAUAAUUUAUUUACUCAUAAAUUACAUUUAUUUUAAUAAAAAUUAAUUUUAAAAAAAACAAAACAAAAGGAAAAAUUGUGCCCAUUUGAUCAUAUUUUCUAAAAACUUUUUUUGAGUUAAAAAAUAAAAAACAAUUUCUAAAAACAAGUUUCAAAAAACAUGACCAAAUGAACGACUAUAUAUAUUUGUAUCACUUUGAAAUAGCACUUAAUAGACACUUACUUGAAUAUCAAUUUUUUUUUUCUUUUCUAUCAUGUAUCUUAUCAUCAAAAACGUUUUCAAACCACUUUUUUGGGUCGUAUCUAGGCACCAAUUAAUUCUUCACAAAAGCGCUUUUUUUCUACUUAAAAGAGUUAUUGAUGUAAAUGAUAUAGGCUAAAAAAAAGCAUAUAAAGCAUUUAUAAGAAUCAAUCCCAAUGGGUUUUAUAAGUUGUGUCAUUUAUGAAGAUUUUCUUGACUUUUUAUAUUAUAAUCUUUCAUAAUUAUGUAAUUCAUAAUCAUAAAUACCAAGAUGUAUACACAUGCAGGUAACACGUCCUCUUGACAAUGAUGUGAGAGGUGUAAUAGACAAGGAACAUACAUACCUGUAUUCCAAGGAAGUACCAGUGCAUUUGAUGACAUUGUUCUAGCCUAAAUUCCAAAUUUUAGCAAUCCAAAAUCUGUAACUUCUGCAAAAGUUACCUAGUUGUUGAGGGAACAACACAUCUUCUCUUCCCAUUUUCAUCUUAUGCACUACAUAUCCCAUGUCAACUACCACUUCCACUACACCUGAAUGAAGUAGGAAUACAAACGAACAUUUCAAGGCAUCAGAUUGUCUGAAAAUUAAAUUGGGAGAGGUAGAACUACCGAUGCUUACAUGGAACUGAGGAAAAGAAAAACAAAAGCAACAAAAAUGGAAGAGAAAAUGCAAAUCCAUAAGCCUGUAGCUGCUGUCCAAAGCAGCUUCUUUGUCAAUUGUCAACAAAAAGUCCACUACGAAAUUCACUGGUAGAGCCACAUAUAGAAUAUUGCAAUAUAGAUAGUAUAUUGAAUGUAGGGUUCUAAACAGUCUCUGACUAAACACCAUUGGAGUAUAGAUAGUAGCUCUUAGAGGGAAGUGAGGUCUUGGUGACCCUGGAAGGUUAAGGCUUCCAGAUACUGGAAUCUUUGUGUGGAGAUAUGUAUGAGAGAUGUAGGAAGGAAGAGGCAAGCUUGUGUCAUCUGAGCAGAGGCAUCCGGAAUCUUUGCGUGCCAUUAUUCAAUCCAAAGAGAUGUUGGGAGAGAUUUGUUCAGGAUUUAUGUGAGGUACAGGCUUUUUCACAAUCAUAAAUAUGAAGGUAUUUAAGUAUGGCAUUUUGGAAUAAGGUGAUCUACCAGUAACAUGGAAGAUAAGGUGAUCACAAAGGACUACACAGUUAUCAUGUUUGGAAUAGUUGUGGUUAGUUAAUUUCAAGCCCAAGUUUUAGCACCUAAAAACAUGCCCAUUUUUUCCAACCCUUUAGCGAGAUUGCACGGAAGCAUUCUCUGGUUGUUAUAUACAUGGUGUCCGCAUAUCAAUCAACACAUUUAGAUGUUUUUUUCUUAAAUUCCAUAUUAAAGUUAUACUGGACACUUGAAUGUGAACAUGUCUGAUUAUAUCUUUUCUUUCCAGACAUGUUUCAUCUCUCCAGUGCACUGGGUUAGGAUGAACCUUAAAGCUCAGCUACAGAAUGAAACUGGAAUAUUAGUCAUGUUUUCUGUUCAUAGAUUUUGAUAAAAAUGUUGAGUAAGAUCAAGAAAGUUGCUAAAUGGGAAGAUGAUUUUCUUACUGUCAGUUCGCAUUGAAAAAAUGGUAAUCAGAAAAGAUAUUUUGGAUAGGAUUCAGAAAGAAAAUAUGUCGAUUCAAAAGUUAAAGAUAUAGUACCCAAGGGGCUAUGAUCCUGUGUAUGGAUGUUUCAUGUUUUAAGAUUGUGCACGAAGUGCUGAUGUUAUAAGGGAUCAAGGGUGGUUUGUGGAGGAGUCCCCUCUUCAGAGUAUUGCAAGUAUGUAGAUAAUCCUGCAAUUCUGGAGUAGGCUUCUUCUAAUUUGCUCUGCACCCAAUCGUCCAGAAUAGUGGAAAGCUUCAUUUAGUUGUAAUAAUUUUAUUAUUUAGAUUGAAUCAUAUUCAUUGGGUUUGCAGAUCAGGAGAAAGUGUCAUGGCUUUGAAUGUUUGUCUCUUUGAUAAUAUCACAGUGCAUUGGUCCACAGAGUUAGCUGUAUGACAGUUGAAUGAAAUGACUGAAAUGUAGCAGUCAAGGGUAUAUAUCAUAUGAAAAUUUUUAAAUAGAGCAACCUGUUUGGUGAUUCUUCAUUUCUUCUUCAUUCCAUCAAGAGAACAGCAUCUCAUGCAUCUUUGUAUUGGGUUCCUCGCUCUUCUUCCACCCUAAGGAAAAACGGUAUCUUGCUUAGUUUGGACUUCUCGAUUUCUUUUGAUCAUUGUGAGAAACAUCAUGAGAAGAGGUACAAUAAAUGUGUUGUGCUGAAUUAUCCAAAACAUUAUUUUCACAAUCAUAAAUACCAAGGUGUUUAAGCAGCAGGUAAGGCAUCUCUUGACAAUGAGGUGAGAGGUAGAAACAAGCAACAUACCUGUAUUCAAGAGAAGUUCUGUUCUUUUGAAAUUUGACAACAUUCAUUUAGUCUGAACUCAAUAUCUGGGCAACUCAGUAUCUCCACCUUCAUUAGGAUUGCAGGAAGCUGGCUUCUUGGAAAGACAUGAAAUGGGGGCAUUUCAAAAUCUGAAAGAAUUUCAGAGACCUGUUGCAACUUUUGAAUUGCUCAAAUCAGUAACAACUCCAGAGACAUACAUAUCUGCCCCUGGGAAAUAGAGGUGUCCUAGGCAUGCAACCAUGGAAGAUUAGCUCCCUAAUAGGCUCAAGGUUGUGGUCAUAAAAAAUGCACUGAGUGGGUGACUUGCAAUCAGUUCUGUGAGUCCCUCUUGGUAGCUUCUCAUUUAUUGCACCAUAUGAAUUACAUAUUCCAACUGCCAAUUUCACCACCCCUAAAUGAAUUAAGAGACAGGCUGAAAGCAAAGUUAGACAACUCAUCAUAGAGUUAAUCCUGCAGGAAUACACCAAAAAGGAAAUCUUAUUAAUAUAAACGAAUUCAUCCAAUUAAAGGAUAAGGUUGUCUGAAAAAUUAAAUUGAGAGAGAUGGAUAAAGUGAUGCUUACAUGGGACUGUGGGAAGGAUCAACAAGAGAAACAAACAUUGAAUAGCAAAUGCAAAGCCAUAGAGCUUGCAACUGCUGUCAAAAGCUGCUCCCUAGUGAAGUCUUUUAACAAUAAAUUUCAGUGCAAAAUUCGCCUAAUUGCUCCACUUGUAGGACAUUUCAAUAGUAUGAAAACAGGAUAUGGUGAACUCUCCCUGCUUCUGCCAUCAGUGAACUAAUAUGGAUCAAAGGUGUACUCAUUGUUGUUGAUUUAAAGGUAGCACCCAAAGGAAGCCCAAGAUACUUGGAAGGUAACAACCCCACUUCACACCCCAAAAUAUCCACCAACUCCUCCAUUAUUGGAACCCUUCCAACUAAGAUUCGCUCACUUUUUUCAAGGUUGAUCUUAAGCCCAGAAAUUGCUUCAAACCACAUCAAGACCCAAUGAAGAUGCAAUAGUUGGUCCUUAGAAGCCUCACAAAAAAUCAAUGUGUCAUCCGCAAACAAAAGAUGAGACACCUCCACUCCCUUGCCACCUCUACUUCCCACCUUAAAUCCUGAAAUAAACACCCUCCCCUAAACAAACAAAAACUCUAUGUUCUUAUCUUCAAGAGUGGAAAGUUAUAGCAUUUUAACUUACAACCAUUGCUUCAAGGUGACUGAAGAUGCAUUCCAUAAAAUGUUAGACAAGUUGCUUAUCAUUUUCCUGACCCCGAAUGCUAUAGGUAGAAGAAAUAGGUAAAUGUGCUUACUAGUAGUGGAUGCAUUCCACAAAAUGCUAGAGAAGUGGUUGUUUCCUUCUCUCUAUCUCUUUCCUUACCUCCUUCCUCACCUCCCUCACCUUCCUAAAUUCCCUUUUCCCUUAUUUUCUCAAACAACUCAAUUGCUCCACAUGAUUUUUUCAUUUUUUAUUUAAAUAGGAAUGCUUCACAAGAUUCAUAUAUUACCUCCUUGCUAAUUUUAGUUAGUUAGGCACUGCCCCUUAAAAACUCAAAUAAUUCUACAUGAUUAUACCUUUGAUGUAGUUAUGAAUACAAGGAUCAUCCAUAACUCCUUCAAUUGCAUGACAUAUUUGUUGUAUUACUGAUUAUAAACUGGCACUAUCAUAACAUGAUCAGCAAAAAAAUAAAAAUAAAAAUAAAAGUUUCUUCUAGAAUUUGAUGGAUGAACCUUAUGGCUAUGUUUGGUUCCUAGAAAAUUUGAGGCAAAAUGCAAGGGAAAGAAAAUAAAAAGGAAAAGUAGAAAGAAAGAAAAAUUGAAGGAAAAUUUAAAAUAAAUUUAAAGUCAAUAAAUUAUUUUUAUAUGUUGCUUCAAACUUAUUUCACUUACUUUAACUAUUGAAUAUAAAAUUAAAUAAUUUGAAAAUUUAUAAGUUUCUAAUUAGUUUUAAUUAUAUUUGACUUUCUUUGGUAUUUUCUAUAGAACAAUCAAACAUGAGAAAAUCAUUUUCCUUAUUAUUAUUAUUUUUUUAGUACUUUUCAAUCUAUUGAGUUUGUCUAUGAUGAUUGGCAUGGGUUAUUUUUUUUAGGCUCAUUCACCAACCAAUUGGUUUGUGGUGUACUGCUAUACUUCUUUUCCAAUUUUAUUUUAUUUUAUUUUUUUGGUUCAUUUUAUGUUUAAAGAGGUUUUAUUUGAUUUGAUUUUAUUUGAUUUUUUUUUAUUUAUCAUAAUUCAUGUGUAACCGCAAUUUCUUUGUCACCAUCACCAUGUGACUCCAUUUAGUGGUUGGGAGAGUUAGAUCUUGGAACAGUUAUGGAAUAACUCCAUCAAUGUUGUGCAUCUUUCUUUGAAAUGUAGGAAAGUGGCUUUUUUAUCUUUUUAUUUUUUGAAUAUCUCCUUCUCAUAAAUAGGUAUGGUAUGCCCAACAACAUUUUAUUUUAUCAAAAUUCUUUGAUAACAUAGCUUAUCAAUAUGAUGAAAGGAUCAUAAUGUGUCUCAUCAACCUGAUUUCAUAUUGCACAAUGGAGCCUAGAUUUUGAAGUUCACUCAGUUAGGAAGGGAAAUCUUGUGUUGAUGUAAUGGUAGAUAUUGUUUUUGUAGUUGGGAUUCUUCAAGGGUUUGGGAGGUGGGAGGAGUUCUAGAGGGAGAGCACUGUGCAGAGAGACCAACUUAGCUGGCUAAUGGAUUAUUCGGCUUCAGAGAAAUGCUUGGAUACUUGAGAACAUGAGAAAAUCUUUCAUUGACUUGUGUGCUAAUAUCUAUUAUCUCACAACUCUUUGAAUACCUGUCACUGUAGAGUUCUUUAGGUUCCCUUUAAUGUAUAUACAUCCUUUUUUGGAUCGAGGAUCAAUAUGCCUCUCCCGUCGGAGAGUGCUUUUGCGCUGGAGGACGCACUGCCUGUGCUAUUUCUAGACUCCUGACUCUGGCCAGUCCACUCUGCACUUUUUUCAGUUUCCAGACACAAUAUGUUAUACAAUUAACAUACCAGCUUCUAUGUGAUCUAAUUCAGCUCCACCUCAAUCAUUGGAAAUAGCAGCAUGCCAACAAUUAUAGUGUGGGCACCAGUUUUUAGUUAUUCACCUGCCUUGCUUUUCUGGUGAAGUCAGGCAGCAUCUUUUCAUUUCAGAAUGCAGCAUGUUGUUGUUUGUGACUUUUUGGCCAUCAGAGCAAUUGUGGAUGGCCCUUCAAUAGAAAAAACUUUGUAGGUGUGUGUUUGUGCCAAAUCAAGGCUCAAGUUAUGAAUGAAAAUAUGAAAAUGAAAAGAGAAACAAAGCAGAAAUUCAUUUUACUAUGUCUCUGUUCUUUCCAUGAGGGAUUAGGCUUAUACCUCUUUGGAAGACUCAGAAUCUCCUUUCGGUAUCUCAAUGGCUCCUUUCUCCUAUAACAUGUUCAAGAAUGCUGCUUUAUUGUGGACCUUCUAUGCCUUUAUUGAAAAAGAAAAAGUGAUAAGAUAUUUCAACCAGUUGAAAAUAGAGGACCCUGAGGCCUGAGAUAGACUGAUGCUAGAUACAAAAUACAUAUGUAUGGAUAUUCAAACUUAUCUAGAAGAAAUAGAAGCAAAUGAUACAUUAUAAGUUAGUGUCAAAAGGUGAACUAAGUCUUCCACUAGAUAGUCUACUUAGAUGUCAAAAAUGUAGUGGGCUCUUUAGCCUCAAGGUAGCCUAAAGCUCAAGUUUGGUUGAUGUUACCUAGCAAACUCAAGACAGAUGGAAAUUUCCAGCCUUUUACAGGUCCAUAGAUGUGUGAUUAUUAGGGCUUUUUAAUGUCAUUUGUGAUGGGGUUUGCUAUUGAUGUGAUGCAGAGGUCCUGAAACUAUUAGAAGGGAUGUAAAUCUGGUGAAAGAGUUGGGUGUUUAUGAUCUUAUGGGGAAGGAGAAUUGAGCAAUGGUUCUCUCUUGCAUGUCACUGGGUCAAAAAGGGUCAGUGAGAUAAAACCACCAAUCCUUUUAGAGACAUUGGCUGAUCAUUUCUUGAAAGUCUAGAUCGAGAAAUCAAGAAGAUGAGAGGUUGAUUAAGAGAGAAGUCAUGUCCUAUGCCAACUUUGUUUGAGUGAGCCAUAUCAUAUACUUCUACCUGGGGUUAAUCUUUAAGGCUGGAGGGUUCAUUGUCUCUUCAUUUUUUUCCCUUUAUUUUUUUCCCCUUAUUGAAUCAUGUUCUUGUACAUCUACUUGUUUAAAGGAUUUCUCAUCCUUCCUUGUAAAUAACUGUUUGCAUAAUAUUAUCACACAAAAACAUAGAUCAUAGACAAGCUGAGAAUUUCUUAAGGAUCCAUAAUGUGAUCUUAUGUUUGCUUCUAGAUCUAUACAUAAUUAUUAGCUUUUAAUUAGCUUAUCUUCAUUGGACUACUUAUGUGGAGAUUUGUUUUAUCUGUUUCUCCGUGUUUCAGGCACAACUAAUUGACCCAGCACUAAAAGGAUUAAUGAACAUUCUAGGAUCUUGUGCAAAAGUUCCAUCAGUCAAAAGAGUAGUUGUAACAUCAUCUAUGGCUUCAGUUGCAAUCAAUGGGAAACCUCUAGCUCCUGAUGUGCUAGUUGAUGAGAGUUGGUUUUUAGAUCCAGUUUUCUGUGAGAAAUCAAAGGUUGCUUAAAUGAGAUGAUUUCCCAUCACAUGCUAUCUCUUUUGCAUGUUCUUGUUUGUGGCUUUACAAAAUGUUUUCUUUUCAUGGCUCUUCACUUCUUUUACCCUGCAGAAGUAGCUGCCAAUUUGUCAUGCCCUCUUGUUUUUACACUUCUGCUAGCCAGCUUAGGGUUAAAUAACACGAUGGGAAUGAGAGGAUUAUCCCUUUAUUUUGCUAAGCCUGCCAUUAGAUUAAAUAAUCCUUCCAUGUAUGUCUAAUAUUUCACUAAUACGGUGUUGGUAGCUGUCUGAUCCAUAAAGUCGCAUUCCUCAAACAAGAAAUUAAAUGAGAACUCUAAUUUGGAUAUUAUAUGAAUGAAAUGGAUGUUAAUCUCUGAUUGUCUUACUGUCCAUUAAACAUGAUGGGCUCAGAAACAUGGGUUGACAAAACAGUUGUGACAUAUCUAAUUAGUUUUAAUGUGAGUGUGUAUGCCUGCACAGCCUCUAUAGAUUUUGCUUGGGUUCAUAAGUUCAUUGCUUGUUCUCUAUGUUCCAUUAUCUACUAGAAAUGCUUCUCACUAUAUAUUUUCAAACAUGUUGGUUUCUACUAGCUAUGGUAUAUGCUUUCAAAGACAUUAGAUGAGGAGGCUGCUUGGAAGUUUGCAAAAGAGAAUGGGAUUGACAUGGUUACAAUAAAUCCAAGGGGGGGUGAUUGGCCCUCUCUUACAGCCUACUCUUAAUCUAAGUGUGGAGGAAGUUCUGAAGCCACUAAAAGGUACGCUUCAACAAUUGAUGAGAAUCUCUUUUUUAUGUUUAUCUUUCUACUCCAGUAGCAAUACAUGCUUCACUUCAAUAUUGAGUCAACUCUAUCCAACAGCCCUGCAAAUGGAAACUUAGAAGUUUAAAUCGAAACUUAUCAAUAAACCGUCACAAGACUUCCACAGUUCCACAUAAAAGGACUACAUAUGCAUUUUGAUAUAUGCUGACUAAUCUUCUAACAUUAAAAAAUUGUUCUCUUCUCUGGUCAUUAUAGUUAUAUCACCAAGAUACUCAUUUGGGAGAUUUGCAUAUGAGAUUAGAUGAAGAUAUAUUUUGUUUUGGUCUCCUAAGCCAGACUGGUUUGGAAGGACCCCUGGACUGUGAAAGGACUAAAAGCAUGCGUAUGUAAUUACUAUCUUGAACUUAAGGUAUAUUUGCAUGCAAGUUCAAUCCAAGGCCAAGAACUUCUUAAAUAACCCAUUAAUCCUUUUGAUCCACCCCAUCUAAAUAUUAUUGCAGCUCAACAUAAUUAGCAUAAAGUGGGGGUUCCCCACAUCCAACUCCAUUGCAAAUGAGUUGUUCAUGUGCAACUCACUUGAUCAGUAUUUUUAAAAACUUCUACUAACUUUUUUGGACUAUUUUACAGAUCUUAACAUUCUUUAAACAUUUAGAAUCAUUUCUAGUGGCUUUAUAGGGAAAUAUCAUGUUACUUUAUUGACAACUCUUACAAUAAUCAAUACUUCCAUAACUGUAUAGCCAAUAUGGUUUGUUUACUUACUAACCAACCUCUUCUGCCUCCAACUGACCUCCCAUGUAUCUUGCUUCAAUUAUGAGGGUGUUGCCAUUAGGUUGAGAAUUGGACAUAUGAUAAACCUGUGCCUUGAUGGUUGUACUCUGAUUCAUGGAUCCAGACCAUUGUAAUUGGGAUUAGACUUGUUGGUAGUUGCUUUAGUUCAAUGCUUGCAAUGACCAAAGUAAUUUGUCGUGCUGCUUUAGAACCAUUCGAUCUUUCAUAUGAAAUAAGAAAGGUAUUUUGUACAAAAUAAUGUUUUCACUUGUAAUUUCCAACAUUACAUAAGGCGAUAAAUAGAAGUGUAUUUGCUAAGUGUGAUUGCAUCAUUUUCUAAGCGUUUCCGUUUGAGACAAACAGUCUAAGAUGAAAAUGUGUGCUUCAAAAAUUUCUAGCUGUAAUACUUUUGAGAUUGUGCCAAAAGCUGGUGGUCGUUCUUCUUCUAUGAAUCAGUUGACAAUGACUAUAAAUAAAUAAAUGGAAAAACAUCAUAUUAUCACUGAGCAGAUUGCACACUAAACUUAAAUAGGCAACAGAAACUGAUGCUUUCAGUACACUUACAUAAUACUUGUGAUGUAAGCUUCUGAGAUUUGUUUGCUGCAGGAGAUACAUUUCCCAAUAAAGCACAUUGAUGGGUUGAUGUUAGAGAUGUUGCCAUGGCACAUAUUCAAGCAUAUGAGCUUCCAAUGGCUAGAGGCAGAUACUGUUUAGUAGGGAGUGAGCUUCCAAUGGCUAGAGGCAGAUACUGUUUAGUAGGGAGCAUUUUACACUGUUCUGAGACAAUGAAGAUUUUGCAGAAGCUCUACCCUGCUUUAAACCUACCUGAGAAGUAAGAUUUUAUUAUUUGCAGGGCAUUAUUUCUAGUUUGCGUUAGUGCCCUUUGAAAUCAAUAUUGCAGCUUAGGCAAUGUUACUUUUUUUUUUGUUUAUUUUGGGUUUUUCUUUUAUUUUUUGAUAGGCUUAAUAUAUACAUAUUCUGUAAAGAAGUACCUAGAAAAAGGGGCACAACUCCGGUGCAAGUAGUAGUAUGAAAGUAGCACUAAAAUGUAAAAAUUAAAAACAAAAGGAAACAACUACAUCAGGAAGGCAACAGACACAAUAAAACAAGUAACCUGCAUUGGAUGAAUAUGUGAUACAUUGAUUUCAUCAUUUGGUUGCACAGACAACACCAAUUGACGAUAGACUAAACUAAGAAACAGUUGUUCUAAUAAGACUGAAACAACACCAUCAACAAAUUAUUGAGAUUUUCACAAAAGGCAUUGCCUUGAGAAUCAAACCUUGGAGAGGUGAAUCCUCUCCAUCUGAAUGAGCUGGGAAGCUGCAAAUUCACCUACCUUGUCGGUCUGUGUUAUCCUCUAUGAUGUGCCAGUGAAUCCAGUAGGAUGUAGCUUGCAUUUACUUGGGCCAUGGCUGGACCACUGUCUUUAAAUACUGUUGUAUGGUUGAAAUAUUUCACAUGCAUGUGUAGCCUUUCUCCAUUCACGGUGGUCAUAAUGGCACGUCUAUGCUAUUUCAACACAUCGCCUUCUUAUGAAUUGCAUCCGAUUCUUAAUAUGUUAUCAAAGUGCUAAGGAUCUAAAAGUACUUCAGUGAUCGGGGCUAAGGAAUUUUCUGAUUUAUAUUAUUUAUUAUGUUUUGGCUUAUCAUAUCCACAAAUGUGUUUUCAAACUUCUAUCAUCAAUAUUGACCUUGGUGGAGUUCCUUCAGAUUCACUGAAUACUUUCUGCCAUUUAGGUCUAGUUAAACCCAUAUUUCAUUCUUCUAGUACAAAAGAACUAAUCCCCAUUGCUUGGGGAUCUUCUCAAUUACCCAAAGAGAUGUGUUUUAAGCUUCAGGUCCGUGUCCUGAGAGUUUUCUUUUCUUCAAUACCAGUCAUUUCACUGAUUGAUUAAGAAACUGUGUUUCUGUUUUAUUUGUGGCAGAUGUGCAGACGACAAGCCUUAUGAACCAACCCAUAUGGUGUCCCAGGAGAAAACUAAAAGUUUGGGCAUCGACUUCACUCCUCUGGAGGAGAGCCUGAAGGACACUGUGGAAAGCUUGAGGGAGAGGAACUUUGUCAGUUUCUGACACAUGGUAUAGCCAUGCAAAUGAAUCAUAAACAAAAAAUGGUGUCUUCUUGGUAACUUCAUUGUUAAGUGUGUUGGAGUCAUGUAUUUUCUAAUAUGUUCAUGGUAAGCAAUUCCCAAGACAUGCUACAAGUUCUCCAAAAGAAAAACAACGACAUAUAAAAAGCGGUAACUUCUAUUUCUGCUUCUGCUCAACAACAAAAGCUAUCAACUAUCCUAAAUGGGCUCCAGGGAGAUUCGUAGACCUUAGGUCCCUUCCAAACUAGAUUUUUUGUUUGGGAAGUAACUGAGGAAGAUUUUCACUUGUCAUUAACUUAUGCAGAGGUUGGUAGCUAACGAACUAUGUAAGGGCAAUGUUCUUGAUUAUACCAUAUGUAAGGACACAGUGAGCUCUGCCUUUAGAAAUGUAGGCAGUGAGGUGGCAUGGUCCAUUAACUUCAUUCUGUGAUUGGCUGCUCAACCAUUCCAAAACAAGGGAAAAUUAUGCUUACUGAAGUUUUACUUUCUGUUGGGUUUGAUAGAAUCUCUGCUCAUUUUGUUUCUUAGAGUACUGAAAUGAUUAGAGACAAUAAGAUUGAAACCCCAAAUUUUUUUUAAUAACUGUUGAAUAUAAAUAUGUUUUAUAAAAAAUAAUUCUCACUAAUAAACCCCGGUAGUGCUUUUAUCAGAAAUGCUUAAGUUUCAAAUUUCAUUAUUUUAUUCUAAUUCUAAAAUUUUGUGCCUUAAACUUGAAUAAUGUUGAUAUGAGACUCAAUAGUAGUGAAGUAGUUUUCAAACUGCAAACUUAGAAACAAAAUUAUCAACCAAACCAAAACUUAAAAAAAUGCAAGUAUAAUUUCCAUCCUUGCAUGGUGAAAAAUUAUAGUAGCAUUUCAGUUUGUACCAAGCAGAUGAUCCAGAAUCAUGGAAUGGAGAACCAGGACUACUUCCAAAAAAAUAAAAAUAAAAAGGGAAGUCAAAGGCAAAUGGAUAUCCUUGUGGGAUGAAAACCGAGGGUAAAAGCAAGGGGAUGACGGAAGCUGACAGUGACCAAGGAGGUCAAAACGCUGACUCAUUCGCAUACGCUAGCAUUUAAAUUCACGUACGCAUUCGAAAACAGGUCACACUCUCUGUAUAUUGUCUCUAUAUACACCAAGUGUACAAGUGGAUAGCAUAGAUUUGAAGGUGAAAGUGAGUGGUCCAGGGAGAUGAAUAGUGGAGAAGGGGAGGUGGUGUGCGUGACUGGAGCUUCUGGGUUCAUAGCUUCAUGGCUGGUGAAGCUCCUACUCCAACACCGUUACACUGUCAAAGCUGUUAAAAAAUCUGGAGAAAGGAACUAAAACUUUCAGAAAAUAUUAGAGUACUGAGUUGGAGAAAGACACACACUAUAUUUCACCAAAGAGAAUGCCUAUUUAUAGGCUUACAACCAAACUGAAAAUGCUAAAAACUCUCAGCUGCUAUGACUACUUCUACUAACAGAAAAACUGAAAAUCAGAGAUAGCAAAACAGAGACUAAGUCUAACUAAGACAUUUUCAAAGGCAAACUCUCAUGAAUUCUAACACUCCUCCUUGAGAUUUGCCUUGGACAUACCAAGCUUCAACCUUAGGAACUCCAGCCUUGAUUUAGGAAGUCCUUUAGUCAUUAUGUCAGCAAGUUGCUCAUCAGUUGAGCAAUAAUGCAGCUUAACAAGUGAAUUCUUUUCAGCUUCCCUUAUGGAGUGGAAUUUUAAAUUUAUGUGCUUGGUUCUGCCAUGAUGGACAGGAUUUUGAGCAAUGGAAAUGGCUGACUUAUUGUCACAGAAAAGCUCAGUUGGUGAGCUUUGUUCUUGGCCUAAAUCAGCAAGCAAUUUUCUCAACCAUAUUGCUUGAUUUGCAGCAGCUACUAAGGAGAUAUACUCAGCUUCUGUAGUUGAUUGUGCCGCUACUUCUUGCUUUCUUGAAUUCCAGCAUAUGACACCUGAACCGAUUGUAAAUACAUAACCUAAAGUGCUCUUCAUAUCAUCAACACUUCCUGCCCAAUCACUAUCAGCAUAACCAUCUAGCUUAACUCCUCCUGUCUUUAAAUACCAAAUGCCAAGAUUUGUUGUACCUUUAACAUACUUUAGCACCCUCUUUGCAACUCCCAUGUGAACAUUGCUAGGUAAACUCAUGAACCUUGAAAGCAAACUAGCUAGAAACAUCAAGUCAGGUCUGGUUACUGUCAAGUAUAGUAGGCUGCCCACCAAGCUUCUAUAUGCAGAGGGUUCCUCAAGUUUCUCACCAUCAUUCUUUGAAAUUUUCUCAUUUUGUGCCAGCGGAGUUGCUACUUCUUUGCAUGAUUCUAGCUUGAAUUUCUUGAGAAUAUCCAUAACAUAUUUUCUUUGUGAAAUGAAGAUACCCCAGCUGCAUUGGUAUAUUUCCAUUCCAAGGAAGUAGUUCAUGAUGCCAAGGUCAGACAUCUCAAAUACAUCUUGCAUUUCCAUUUUGAAAUCAGCUAGCAAUUUUACAUUGCUUCCGGUCACUAGCAUGUCAUCAACAUAAAGUGAUACUACCAGUUGCAAACCAUCAUCAUUUUGUUUCAAAUACAAAGUAGCUUCAUUUUCACUCCUCCUAAAUCCAAGUUGGAUCAGAUGAGAAUCAAUUCUGCUAUACCAGGCCCUUGGUGCUUGCUUCAAACCAUAGAGAGCCUUAUGUAGCUUGUACACUUUGUGUUCAUGGCCAAUAACCUCAAAGCCUUCUGGUUGUUGAACAUAAAUUUCUUCAAGAAGUAUACCAUUUAGAAAAGCUGACUUGACAUCUAAAUGGUACACUUUCCAUCCCAUUUGACCAGCAAGUGCAAGUAGUAGCCUUAUAGUGUCAUGUCUGGCUACUGGUGCAAAUGUAUCACCAUAGUCCACUCCAGCAACUUGAGCAAAACCCUUCACAACCAAUCUAGCCUUGUGCCUGAAGAUUGAACCAUCUGAAUUAAAUUUAGUUCUGAAAACCCACUUUACACCAAUUGCAUUCUUAGCUUCAGGUAGUUCUGUCAACUUCCAGGUUCCAUUUCUUUCAAUAGCAUCAAUUUCAGCUUUCAUGGCCUCAAUCCAUUCUAGAAAUCUUGCAGCUUCCGUGUAACAUGUAGGCUCAACAUGUACAAGAUUGCACCUCUCGUACACAUCAGAUAAUGGCCUCAUCUUAAGCACUGGUGUGUCUGAAGUUGCUUCAACAUCAAGUGGACCUUCAAUGAUUGUACUUUCUAUUGCUGGUUCAAGAAUAGAUGGAGUGGUUUGAUCACAUUUAUGAACUUUCUUCAAGUCCCAAUUCCAAUAGGAGUUUUCAUCAAAGUGCACAUCUCUACUUAUCACGAUUUUCAUUCUACUCAAGCUAUAAAUUCUGUAACCUUUUGAUUCUGCUACAUAACCAACAAAGACACCUUUCUCAGCUCUUUCAUCAAGCUUCCCUCUCUUGACAGAUGGCACAUGAAGAUAACAAAAUGAGCCAAAAACUUUCAGGUGCUUGACAGAAGGUUUUACACCAGACCAUGCCUCUAUUGGUGUUUUGCUCUGAACAGACUUAGUUGGUAGUCUGUUAAGCAAAUACACUGAGGUGUUGACUGCUUCAGCCCAUAGAAGCUUUGGUAGCUUCUUCUCGAAUAGCAUGCACCUUGCCAUCUCCAUCACGGUUCUGUUCUUCCUCUUAGAGACUCCAUUCUGCUGUGGUGAGUAUGGAGCUGUUAGCUGGUGUACAAUUCCAGCUUCUUGACAAAAGACACUAAACUCUUUUGAGGUAUACUCACCUCCAUUAUCAGUUCUGAGCACCUUAACAUUCUGGCCACUUUGAGUUUCAACCAUUUUCUUGAAGCUUUUGAACAUAGAGAGCACUUGUGACUUGGUUUUUAGAAAAUAAACCCAAGUCAUUCUGCUGAAAUCAUCAAUAAAUAGUGCAAAAUACACAUUGUUGCUCAAUGAGGUUGUGCUCAUUGGUCCACAAAUAUCUGAAUGGAUUAAUUCCAGCUUGUGAGUAGCUCUCUUGGACAUAUUUUGAGGGAAUGGCUGUCGUUGUUGCUUCCCUAGCUCACAACUUUCACAAGUUUGAGCAUUAACUGAGAUUUCAGGCAUGUCUUCAACCAUACCAGCUUCUUGCAUGAACCUCAGUGACUUCAAGUUGAAAUGACCAUAUCUUUUGUGCCAAACAACACUCUCAUCAAUCUUGGCACUAAAGACAUGACCUUCAACUAAAUCAAGCUUCAAAUAAAAACUAUUUCCAUUCAUUUUAAUUUUUGCUAUCUUUGUUCCGUGUACAUCAGAGAUAAAACAAAAAUUUUCUUUGAAAGAGACUGCAUAUCCAUUUCUUAGCAUUUGUGCAACACUAAGAAGAUUCUGAUCUAAAUCUGGAAUAUAAAGAACAUUAGUGACAAUUUUUGUACCUCUCUUGGUGCUGAUAGCAAUUGUCCCUUUUCCUUUGGCUUGCACAACUUCACCAUUUCCCAACUUGACCUUUGGUUGAACUGAUCUAUCAAUGGAGGUAAAUAUUGACAGAUGUUUGGUCAUGUGACUCGUGCAGCCACUGUCAAUGAGCCAAGUAUUCAGUUCAUGAGAACUGAGUGCUUGUGAUGCCAUAAAUAAAUGCUCAUCAUCAUUUUUGUCUUCUUCAGUCACACUUGCAUGUUGUUCUGGUUGGUGUUGAGAUUGUUUUUUUUUGGCUCUGCAAUACUUCUCACUGUGGCCAAGUUUAUUGCAGAAGUUACAAUUAAAGAGAGGUUUACCUUUGUGCCAACAAUCUUUCUCAGCAUGGUUGGUUCUUUUACAAUGAGAGCAAGGCGAAAAUUUUCCUUUUCUUGAAGACCCUUCAGCUUUCCCUCUACUGUUCUUGAAGAACUUCUUUCCUUGCAAGUUUCCAGAAUUCUUUCCCUUGUGAUUUGCUUGAAAAGCACCUUCAGUAGCUUCAUCACCUCUCAUUAAGACCCUUUGCUCCUGUGCAUGAAGCUUGCUGGUUAACUCUACAAUUGUGAGAGUUUGCAAGUCACAAGACUCUUCAAUUACAGAAAUCUUGGCUUCAAACUUUUGAGGCACUGAAACCAUGAUCUUUUCUACCACCUUUUGAUUUGUAAAUGCCUCACCAAGAAGCCGCAUUUGGUUUACAACAUCCAUUAACCUGCCAGAAUAAUCUUUGACAGAUUCGUCGUCUUUCAUCUUCAUCAACUCAAACUCUCUCUUCAAUGUGAGGAGUCUAACAUUUUUGACUCUUUCACUGCCAUCAAAUUCACCCUGGAGCUUGUCCCAUACCUGUUUAGGUGUUUCCAAGUUCAUGAUUUUGGUGAAGAUGUGGUCUGCAAGUCCUGAAUGUAGGCAAGUGAUGACUUUGUCUUUCUUGAGUUUUUCUUCCUCAUAUGCUUUCAUCUGAGCAACUGUAGGAUUUGCUCCCAAUGGUGGUGGAUCAGCUUCUGACAUCACAACAUUCCACAAACCUUGAGACCUUAAGUAAAACCUCAUCUUGACAGCCCAAAUGUGAUAGUGUUCACCAUUAAACACUGGAAUUACAGAGGAAAUAUUGCUAGAAGGAGUCAUGUUUGCACCACAGUUGCCUGAAAAAAUAGAUCACUCAACCUCACUAGUGUUUGCACUCAACCUCACUGUGUUUAGUACUCAAAACACUCAAAAACUUUGCCUCACAGCCCGUAGGAAUUUUGCUCUGAUACCACUGUUAAAAAAUCUGGAGAAAGGAACUAAAACUUUCAGAAAAUAUUAGAGUACUGAGUUGGAGAAAGACACACACUAUAUUUCACCAAAGAGAAUGCCUAUUUAUAGGCUUACAACCAAACUGAAAAUGCUAAAAACUCUCAGCUGCUAUGACUACUUCUACUAACAGAAAAACUGAAAAUCAGAGAUAGCAAAACAGAGACUAAGUCUAACUAAGACAUUUUCAAAGGCAAACUCUCAUGAAUUCUAACAAAAGCAACCGUUCGAGAUCCAAGUCAGUUCUCUAUCUCAACCUUCGAGGGCAUAUUCACUUAUAUGUGCUUCCAUUUAACACACUAGUUGUGCUUACAUUGAUAUGUAUAUAUGCGACAGAUGAUCCAAAGAAGACACAACACUUGCUUUCACUCGAUGGAGCUCAGGAAAGACUUCAUUUAUUCAAAGCGGACUUAUUGGAAGAAGGGUCUUUUGAUUCUGCAGUUGAGGGAUGUAAUGGUGUUUUUCAUACUGCAUCCCCUGUUGCAUUGGAAGACAUUAACCCUCAGGUUCAUCCUACACUACUUUAUAUCCAUGGUUUGAGGUUGUUCAUUAAUGAUCUUGAACCUUCAUGGUCUAUAUUUCAAUCCAUACUAAUGGUGUUUUCCACCGAUGAAUCACUUGACAAUAUCCAAGAAAAUGAAUGACAGAACAUCAAAAUAUUCACAAGCAAAUUGCAUACUUUAUAUCAAGAUAUUUGAAAUUUGUUUGUUGCAGGAGCUCAAACAUUUCCCAAUAUAUCAUCCUAGUGGGUUGAUGUUAGAGAUGUUGCCAAUGCACACAUUCAAGCAUAUGAGAUCCCAAAAGCUAGUGGAAGAUACUGCUUAGUAGAGAGGGAUUUACACUAUCUUGAGACACUGAAGAUUUUGCGCAAGCUCUACACUAGAUUACCUCUACCUGAAAAGUAAGUUUCUAUUAGUUAUUUCUAGUGCUCGUUAGUGCCAUCAUUAGAAGCAAGUGAGACCAACAUGAUAUUACUUCUUAUUGUUCCAUUGGAUACAUUGAAGAGUACCUGCCAUCUUGUUUCCCCUUAAAUAUUUAUGCCUUGGUAUCAUGCAAAAAAUUCUUAGAUGGGACCCACACGUCUUUGAUAAUUGGUUGCAGAUGCGCAGAUGACAAACCUUAUGCACCAUCCUCCCAGGUAUACCAAGAGAAAGCAAAGAGUUUAGGCAUUCACUUCACUCCUCUAGAGGUGAGCCUGAAGGAUACAGUUGAAAGCUUGAAGGGGAAGAACUUUGUCAGUUUCUGACUCAUGGUAUUUAAUGCUAGACUUGCAACUAAAUCAUAAACUAAUGGUGCUUUCCUGCUAAUUUUAUUGUUAUGAACCUCACUGCACCUAUGAUUUGCUAGGUUUUGGGGCUUUUAUCUUAUAAUAUUUGAUUGUAAGCAUUUCUUAUGCUAGAAAUUGGUAUCUGUAUCAACUAUAAGUUUCCCUGUUCAAGUUUCCUAUUCGUGUUAGAAUAAGGUGAAACUAAAUCACACUUAGGAAGAGGGAAUUAGUCCAAGUGGAUUAUAAGGGUCCAAGAAUGGAAUCAGUCGAUGGAAGUGGUAGAAUAUAUUGAACAAAAUUAUAUAUACUACAGUAAGACACAAAACCGAAAAUUGCUUCAUAUUAAUAAUUAAAAGACAUAGGAAACAACAGGCUUGUGUCCUUGAGCAUCAACCCCAUUAUUCCACUAGCCAUGUGAUACGAAAUCCCUGCUCCAACUCCUAUUUGCUUGUAGAUCAUAGUUAUGUGGGCAACACCAACUCCUAUUUACUUGCAGAUCACAGUUACAUGGGCAACACCUCAACACCUGGCUUGAAUUUCGAUUUGUUGCUACUUUCCUAGUCUUAGGCCACUAUUUGUGUUUCAGUUGUCUGUGCAUCUAUAAAUGCACCUGCAUGAAGUGAAUAAAGGAAAAAACUUCUAUCUCCUAUCUCUCUUGUCCUCUCUCAAAUUAAACUCAUCAUUUGGUAUCAGAGCCAGGUUUAUUCAUGGACACACAAGGGAAAACCAAUGUUGAGUUUCGCAAUAAGGUCAACGAAGCCUUGGCCCGAUGUGAGUCAAGUUUUGAUCAGGUGAAUGCCACUCUAUAGAUGGUUUUGAUGGAGCUCCAAGCUUUGCGAGUAACUCAAAGUUCCAGCCACCCCCAAUCAGAAAUCAACCCCUUUGCACCAGAGGGAUCAACCCACCACUUGCACACCGCUAUCGUAACCACCAAUACUGACCCAUAUCUUCAACAACACCUCAAGCUAAAUUUUCCCAGAUUCAAUGGGGAAGACCCAAUCAGUUGGAUCUAUAGGGCUGAAUAAUAUUUUGAGUUUCAGAAAAUUGCAGUUGAAACCCAAGUUCAGUUUGCCUCCUUCCAUUUUGAAGGAAUCGCACUCCAAUGGCACUGCUGGUUGAUGAAGUUUCGAGGACCCCUUUCUUGGAAUGAUUUCACCAAGACCAUUCUCCUCAGGUUCGGUUCUACCAAAUAUGAAGACCCUUCUGAAGCAUUGUCCCGCCUAAAGCAGACAACUACAGUGGCUACAUACUAGGAGGCAUUUGAGAGACUCUCCCAUCAGGUCGACGGAUUACCUGAGCCAUUUCUCAUCGAUUGCUUUAUUGCAAGGCUGUGUGAUGACAUUUGCCUAGACGUCAAGAUUAAGCAACCACGCACGCUUGUAGCCGCCAUUGGAGUGGCAAGACUAAUUGAAGAGCGCAAUCUCCUUCAAAAGAAAACAACAACUCCUAGUCGUAUCCCAAUGACGACGACGCUACAAAAUGGACCCAACCCUCCAGUGGGAAUUCUUGGCCCCAAUCCAACCCAACAGUCCAACAAUAGCUCAAAUCCUUCCUUAAUGUUAGUUCUUCGAAUCACCAGUCAGGAGGCUCAUGAGCGGAGGGAGAAGAGAUUAUGCUACUAUUGCAAUGAGAAAUACUUCCAAGGACACCGAUGCGAACGACCCUAGUUUUUCAUGAUCGUAGAUACACCACUAGAGGAGGAAGAAACUCUAGACGACAACCAGUAAGGAAUAAAAGAGAUUAACACCUUACCCGAGAUAUCAUUCCAUGCCAUUACCAGGGGUGAACACCUGCAGACUCUCCGUGUUCUAGGCCGAUUGAAGAACAAGUACCUAACUGUCUUGAUCGAUGACAACAACACUCAUAAUUUCAUCGAUCAAAUAGUUGUCUCCAGAUUCGGAUUGCUAGUAGUAAGGGAGAAGAAAAUCCAGGUGGUCGUGGCGAAUCAAGAAUGGAUCGAGUGUAUGGGGCAAUUUCUAGGACUUACGCUCAUCAUCCAAGAAAUUCCUGUCACUGCAGACUACUACAUCCUACCAAUGGCAGCUUGUCAGGUGGUCUUGGGGGUCCAGUGGUUGGAGACUCUAGGUUCAAUUGAAUCAGACUAUAAGGCUCUCACUAUGUCAUUUAAAUUGGGAGGCGCUAGGCACACUUUCCAUGGGGUAAGAUGCAUUGUUGUAAUUUUUAACAUUAAGGCUUUGGAUGACAGGGAAUGUACAAAUCUACGGGGCACAUGAUUUUUUUUUUCAAAUUAUUCCUGUCCAUAACCAGUCCCCUUCACAUCGACGAUCGCCAGAAAUGGAAGAGUUGUUGAACCAAUAUGCUCGGGUUUUCGAGAAGCCAAACAACCUGCCUUCCAAACGCCAUAUGAUCAUCGAAUUCCACUACUGCCCAACAUCGAACUAGUUAGUGUGAGACCAUACUGAUAUUCCUACUACCAGAAGGUAGAAAUAGAGCGGAUGGUGGUUAAAAUCCUUUGUUCAGGACUAAUUAGACCAAGUACUAGCCCUUUCUCCUCACCAGUGUUGUUGGUCAAAAAGGUAGAUGGAUCUUGGAGGUUUUGUGUCAACUACAGGGCUUUGAAUAGUAUCACCAUCAAGGACAAGUACCCUAUUCCAAUGAUUGAUGAGUUAUUGAAUGAACUCUAUGGGGCCAAGUUCUUCUCUAAAUUGGAUUAAAGAUUAGGAUACCACCAAAUCCGAAUGCAAGCAGAAGAUAUUCUGAAGACUUCCUUUAGGACCCACAAAGGACACUAUGAAUUCGUGGUCAUGCCCUUCGGGCUAACCAAUGCCCUAACAACUUUUCAAGGCCUCACGAACGAUUUUUUUUUGUUCCCAUCUCUGGAAAUUCAUCCUCGUAUUCUUCAACGACAUAUUGGUAUACUCCAAGUCUUGGAAGGAUCAUUUAUUGCAUCUACAGAUUGUUUUUGAUAUACUGUCCAUUAACCAACUAUUUGUCAAAGAAUUAAAAUGUCAAUUUGGAGUUACACAGGUCACCUACCUAGGCCAUAUUAUUAUAGAAAAAAGAAUAUUUGUUGACCCCAAGAAAAUACAAGCAGUAGUCACUUAGCCUAAGCCCACUACAACCAAAGAAGUACGUGGGUUCUUACGCUUAGCAGGGUACUAUAAAAAAUUCAAAAGCCAUUUUGGCAGCAUGGUAGCAUCCUUAACCAAACUCCUGACCAAGGACCAAUUCGAGUGGAGCAGUGAAGCAAAAGACGCCUUCCACAAAUUAAAAGAGGCAUUGACCAAUCCACCAACCUUACGUUUUCCAAACUUCACUCAACGGUUUGUGAUCGAAUGUGAUGCAAGUAGGACCGGGAUAGGGGCAAUUCUUACUCAAUACAACGACCCUGUGGCUUAUUUCAGCGAAACUUUAAAAAGAUCUGCUUUGGCACUAUCCACCUAUGAGAAAGAAAUCACUAUAAGAAAAAACGCUAACCAUGACGCUUUUUAAGUGUCAAGAAAUACAUUCAAUGGCGCUUCCCCAAAGCAUCAUCUACUAGCCUGUCAUAAUAAGUAUUUGCCUACAAUGACGCUUCUAGAAAACGUCAUUGAAAAGAACCUUGACGCGUAAAAAAAGUGUCAUCAUUAGUCAUAUCAAACUACAUUGACACUUUUAUAAGCGUCAUUGUUGAGUAGAAGAAACCUUGACACUUUCUAUAAGUGUCAUUGUUUAGCAGUUUCAAAUAUUAAAGUAUAAGGACACUUCUAGAAAGCGCCAUUAAAGAGAACCUUGACACUAAAAAAAGUGCCAUUGUUAGUUGUUUACACUACCUUGACACAUUUAUUAGUGCCAUUAUUGGGUUGUAUAAAUGUUAUUGAUGGUUACUCUCAUUCCUUGAAACUUAGUCAAAACAUCAAGGAAGAUAAUUGUUUAAUUUUAAAUUUAGUUUUAAUUUAAUAAUUGUUGCACCUAAUUUUUCACCUGCUAUUAAAAUAAUGCAUACACAUAAGAAAAAAAGUAUGUACCAAUGAAAUUAGUUGUUGCACCUAAUUUUUCACCUGGUAAUACAUUCCAAAUUGCAGUAUUUAAUCACAAAUAGAGAACUUGUAUUUCAUAAAUAAGAAACACAAAAAAAAAAAGCUAAAAUAUAUUAAAAAAACAAAAAAAAUUCACAACUUUAAUGUUUAGUCCCUUAACAUAGUCCAUUUUUUCUUUACAUGCAACCCAAUUGUGCUUUGCUUCAACAUACUCCUUCAUACUAGCUUAUCCAACUACAAGGUUAAUUUCCCAAAAAGAUGACCUACAUGCACAAAAAACCUAAAAUCAAUUACAAUUUUAGAAAAUAUAUAUAUAUAUACAAGUGAAUACUUCUAGAAAUAGAGAGAAAGAAAUGACAAUCAAAAUAUAAUAGGAAAACAAAUGUGUAUACCAAUUGAUAUAUGUGACACUAAGAAUAAUUACAACAAAAUUACUAUCAAUAGUUAAAACACAAAGCAAGAGAUUAAUCAAAUAAGGGACAAGAGAACAUCAACAUCAAUAAUCCAUUAAAUCUUUUAGCCCAAAAGAAAAUAGAAAAACAAACCAAGUUUGGGACAAGAGAAUAUCAACAUCAAUAGUCCAUUAAAAUAUUCAAUUAGACAUCAUCUAAUAGUAAUAGGCCUCAUCGAAUGCGCAACAUUGACAAAGAAAGGUUUGGGAAUAUGGUGUAACAUGAAAUAAAUAAGGUUCACACCAUGAUACUUUAUCAACUAAGUUUUUUGUUAAGUUAAAAGAAUUAACAUUUCCCACCAUCUGAGAUGCAUUGCAACAUUGCAUCCAAAAUAGUAGCCAAUUGUAUCAUACUUAUCAUUCAUCUUAUUUAUCACUAUCAAGGCUAGCAACAACUAUAUAAAUUCCACAACCUAAUAAUAAAUAAAUUGGCCUGUAUAAAAAAUGUAGAGAAGAAUAUCUGCAACUUAAUAGAAGAUAAACAUCUUCUAAUGAUGAACACAUAGUAUUCACAAAGCCAUAGGUGUUUACACAUACACAUAAAUAAAUAAAUAAGCAAAUAGUAUUCACAUAAACAUGAAAAAAUCCAAUGAAAAGUAUAGAUGUUUCUUCAAUGGGACUUCAAAGCCAUAGGACAAAUAGUAGACUAUAUCUUCUAUGUAAUUUUAACUGAAAGAAAAAUUGCAAAUAUCCUAUAACACAGUUGAAAUUCCAAGAUUGAUCCACCUACUAAAAUUAGUUAUAUUAUUUAAUAAUAAAAUUUUUUAAAAUAUACUACAUUUAUAGAAAUAUUAAACAAUUUUCCACUUCAUAAAAGUAGUGCAUAAUAUUUAUUAUCAAAAUAAAGGAGAAUAUUUUUUUUUACUUCUAUUAUAGAAAAUAAAGAUUACAUACAAAAGACUUGUCUUCUCAUCAAGUACCAUAUUUAGAUUUGUAAAUAAUCAAUUUUUUUUUAUAUAUAAAGUACCCAAUUAUACUUCCAAAUUCAUGAACAAGUUUGAAUCAUGUUUUCAAGAAAGAAAAAACCUAAAACAAAAAAACAAAAAAAACAACAAAAUAGAAAAGGCAUUGCUUUAUGAAAUAGUUUAGAAGAGUCAAUUCUUUCAAGGAGUACAAGACUCCACUUAAAAUAGCAAUAAUUUUUAAUUUCCAAAAACCCACAUAGGUCUUGACACAGGUUCAGCCAAAUGACAUAACCCAUGGCCAAUGAGAGAGCCCAGUUCAAGCCAUAUUGCAACUUUUUUCACAUGACCACAUGAAAUUUAAAAGCACUCACCUUCCUCAAAAUAACAACAUCAAGAUCGAUUUGCUCUAUUGUUAAUUCUUCAACUUCUAAAACAGCUUUUGGAAUAACUUGGUAAAAAAUUUGACAUAAUCUCUGACUGCACAUACAAUUUUAUUAUUCACUUAUUACAUGCCCAAAUUAACAACAUUAUUUGCAACAUGAAUGAAAAAAGAGAAAGAUGGAAAGGAACAAAGCCCAAAAAGAAACAAUACUAUAAAUCUUUUAAUGUCCUUAAGAAGUGAAAUUAUAUAUUUUAUUCAACAUCCCACACACAGAAAAAAUAAAACUGAAAAUGCAUUACUAAAAUCAAUUAAUCAUGGCAUAACCAAUUUUCUAACAGCCCAAUACAUAUUUAUGAUUCUGCAUUUUUAGAGAGAGAAAACGCAUGGAGUAGAAAGAGGGAAAAGUGUGUACAUUGUCAUUUAGAGAAGAGCAACAACAAAAGAUUCAAAUUUGGAUUAAGAGUAUGUUACCUAAAAAAAUAAAUCAAAUUAAAUACAAUGAGCUAGCACCCUUGUUUUUUUUCCCUCUGCUUCUUCAUUAAUUAUCUUCCAUCAUCCUCAUUGACUAUUGUGUGUCAUUUUGUUGACCUACUUUUUUUUCUCUCAAUAUUUUAGAAUUUAAAAUAACAAAUAAUCUACCUAUAAUGAAAGAAAAAUAAAUUCAUUUUUAUUAAACAAUAUAACACCCUUUAAAUCAUUUUUAUUUCUCAAUAUUUCUAAAAGAUUGUUUCUUGUUAUAAAAGAUUAUUAUGUUUCUUGUACUAAGGAUUAUUACGAAAUUCAUAUUAAUCCAAAGUUAAGAAAAGGAGGAUAACAAUAAUAUAAUGUUUUUACUAUGAGUGUGUAUCAAAAAGUAAUUUAUUAGGAAUCAAAAAGUAGUGUAUGGAAACAAAAUCUGACUACAAGAUGAUUGAAAACUUUUGGGGCAAUAAUUUAUUAGGGAUAGUUCAAGUCCCAUCUCUUACAAAUUAGAACAUUGAAUCAAAAUAUCUUGGAGGAAAUAAAUACAAUCAAAAUUAUCAUGACACAUGAGACAACACUAACAAAAAAUAGAGAGGUUUUGUAUUCAGAGCAGUGCGACACAUUAGACCACAAAAUAAGCAAGCUUUGAAAGUACUUCUCCAUGAAGUUCGUGCUUAUGUAGCCUCCAACAGCUCUCCUCUUCCAUGCCAUUGGUUAACCACCAAACUUUGCUAAAUUCAAAAGCUAAGAUGUGAAAGAAAUUGCUAACAUUCUAAAAAUUCGCCCCAACCUUUAGGAAUUCAACAAUUGGACUUAAAGUUAAAAUUAUUCUCUACAGUGUACUAGCCCACAUCUAAUCCACAGCAAAAUCACAAGAAAUGCCUACAAUAAAUUUGUAAGUAUAAUUGUUUUUUAUUUAUUGACUUAAAUAUACUUAUCAUUUAAAAAUCUAAAAGCAACAAGGUUUCAGUGAUUUUAGAAAAAGUGAAUGUGUUACAAGAAAUAACAAUCCAAAGUUUAAUAUAUAGUAAUUAAAUUUUACUUCUAAUAAUAAUAAAAUUCAUAAUAAUUUUCAUAUUAGAAGAAUUGGAGAUAGUUAAUAAAAAAAAGAAGAAAAGAUAUAGAUUAAGUUGGAUAUAUAAUUAAUAAGAAUAAUCUAUAUAGUUAACACCUUUAAAGCAAUUUAUUUGUGCAUAUACAUUAAUUGAAAUUAAUAUACUUAUAAAAAAGUCAAAUUUAAUUAAUUUCUUGUCUUAAAUUAAGUUAGAUUAAUGAGCAUUUCUUAUGCUGUAAUUUAUCUUUGCUAUUAUUUUGUUAUAUUUGCUUCAUUAUUUUAUGAAUAAAACAUAUAUAGCAUUUUCAUAGCUAAGGUUAUUAAUGUAUAAAAAGAGAAAAAGGGAAACACUUACAUAGCAACACGCUUUCUUUUUCAGUUUCACAUUAAAAAUCUAAUUGUUCACAGUACCCAAGUUUCAUAUGUAUUCCCCCAUCCAAGUUUCAUAUGAUAAAAGAAAAAAGAAAAGAAAAUAUAAAAUUAUAAAUUAUGCAUAUAGAUAAAUACAUCUGAAAACCAUAAACUUAAUUGAAGCAUAUGAAUGUUAUGUAGUUAAUCUAGGAAACUAUAGGAUAAAACAAAAAAAAAAAAAAAAAAAAUAGUUGGAGAAUAUUCAGUCCACCAUGCAAGGCUGCUCGGCAUUCAGGUAUCGUUGGAAUUGUGCUUCAACUAGAAUUUUUAGUUACCUUAUAUUGUCUAUACCACAAAUCAAUCCAAGUCCAAAAUCACCAAUGCUAAUGCACAGAUAUCUCGAUUUUCCAUGCCAUUCGUGCAUGUGAGGAAGUAUUAUUGGUCAUGUUUUUCAUAAAAAUAAAAAAUAAAAAUUCACUUGUUACUGUUUGUCUAUGUGUUUCAAAACCUCAAUCUUUCUUAAUUUCUUUUCACUUCGAUUUAACCUUCUCCCACAUUAUUUAGAGAGGGGAAGUUCCCUAAAAUAGUCCUAUUGCAUGCAAAAAUAGACCAAAAAUGCAUCAUUGAGGAGAAAUAACCUUAUUUGAAGUUAAGUUCAUGAUUGCUAGUGAAUUAUUGGAGAAUUAGACUUAAAAGGUCUCACCUAGAAAGCCUAGUUGAGAUUUUCUGUCAUUGACAUUUUGGCCAUAGAUAACCAACACAUCUCCAAAAUGUACUAUUUCUAUUGAUUAUACACAGUUGGCAAUAGAAGUGAAUAACAAAAUGCCCAACAUGUACCGGCUAGACUACUUGGCAUUAGCAUUGGAAAUAAACAUGGAAUAUAAACAAGAAAAGAAGAAAUAAAAAUAAAUUGAAAAUAAUGAUAUAACACAUAUAGAUACAUAUUUUGGGGUUAAAUGUGACCCAUCUUCAAACAGUGGAGGAGCAGCAAGAAAAGAAAGAAAAAAAAAAAAAAGAGGAAUCUGACGACAAUCAGGAGUGUUGUUGAUCUGCAGAGACAAGUGUUUAAUCUAAUAGUCAAAAAAAUGGUUGCUCUUAAGAAUAGGCUUCUGCUUGCUCCCCAGAAAUUAUUAAAAGUCAUAACAAGAUAAAUUUCAUCUACUUCUCAACAAAACACUAAAGUUGAAUUCUUUUUUCAAAAUAAUAAUAAUAAUAGUCAUGGAGCCUCAAAUACAACCAAAACAGAGGAUUGGGGUUGAAUUGGGAAGAUUGCAAUUCCAAAUUAUAUCUUCCCGAUUUUACUUGGAUUUCUUAAUAAUAAAUGAAAACAUUGACACAAAACCACAAAAGAAUAAAGAAAUGAAAAUGAUAAAUUAAAAGAACCAAGCAAUAGAGACUUUGAUUUCUCGAGUGCGAAAUUGCGAAGGCUGUGACACCAUCAGAAAAAAAAUAAAAAAUUAUAGAAGCUUUACCUUCAGAAAAGGGAUUUACUUGUGCUGAUUAUUUGAAGGAGUUCCCAAUAUCUUGGUGGUGGCAAAUCAGUUAGGGCAUCUCACUACUGGAGAUCAUCUAUGAAAAAGGGUUAGGGCUUCUUCAUUUGAGAUUUCUCCAGUGAUGAAGGUUGUCCGUGGUAGUUGUUUUCUGGUGAAAAAUCAUCACAAUACCCAGUAAACAUAGAGAUUCAACUUACCAAUAAUAUUUAUUGAGGUUAUCGACUUAAUAGUAGAAGGAGCAUUCCAACUGGUAGUUUUUGUCCCCGAUGAGGCUACAGAUGGGUGUCUACUGGUUGCCAUUGAGUUCAUCAGUUGUCUUUGUUAUGGCUGCUGUUGGUAGAUUGCAAGGCUAGGGUUCUUAUCUAUAAUAUCGAUGGUUUGCGAGGUGGGAGAGAUUGGGAAAAUAGAAGUGUAUAUAUAGGCAUAGAGAUAAUGACAUUUAUUACAAGCGUUAAGGUUGGCAAAUUUUACUCUAGCAGACAAUGACACUCCAAAAAAAACAUCUUAUUUAAAGCGCCAAUGAAACCUUUGAAGAAGUGCCAAUAUUUAGGUAAAUUUCGUAAGCGUCAAUAUAUUUAUUCAAGAAGCGUCAUUGUUAGCCAAAUUUCUAUAAGUGCCAUGAUUAAUACAAUUCCUUGACAUUUUUUACCAGCGUCAAGAAAAUGAACGUCAUUGAAUACAUUUUUUGUAGUAGUGAAUGCUGGCAGUUGUCAAGGCAAUAAAAAAGUGAUGUUCCUACUUGUUGGGUAAACCAUUCACAGUUCGCACUAACCACCGGAGCCUUAAAUAUCUACUGGAGCAACGGAUUACCAUUCCCGUACAGACACGAUGGCUGCCCAAAAUCCUUGGGUAUGAUUAUACCAUUGAAUACAAGAAAUGGCCAAAUAAUCAAGUUGCAGACUCUUUAUCUCGUAGAGAAGAAGUCUAUUCCAUCUCAAUUUCUGUUCCAUGUGCAGAAUGGUGGCCAACACUUCAGAGAGAGGUCCUCCAGGACCAUUUUUACACCAACUUGGAGAAUAGGCGUGCUUCACAUAAACUUGUGUAGCGCAACGGGGUUUGGUUCUAUGAUGGGAAGGUUUAUCCGAGCCCUUCAUCCACCCCGCUCUUGUUGAUAUUGGAAGACAACCACUCUUCCCCAACAGGUGGUCACUUUGGGUUUCAUAAGACACUACACCGAAUUGGCAGAAGCUUUGUGUGGCCUAAUAUGUGAUUAAUGGUGAAGAAGUUUCUACAAACUUGUGAGGUGUGCCAACAAUACAAGGCCAAUUGUAUGAAACCAACAGGUCUCCUCCAACCCCUGUCGAUUCCAACUCAAAUAUGGUCAGAUAUUUUGAUGGGCUUCAUUGAAGGGUUGCCCAACUCCAAUGGUCAUUCUGUCACCAUGGUCGUUGUGGAUCGUCUAUCAAAAUAUGCCCACUUCAUCCAUCUUAAGCAUCCUUACAUGACGGUCAUAGUUGCAAAACCGUUUGUCUCUGGUUCAACUCCAUGGCAUUCCUACAUCCAUCGUCAAUAAUAGAGACAAGGUCUUCACAAGCACCUUUUGGUAGACCUUAUUCCAGUUGUAAGGGACUAAAUUGAAUAUGAGCUCCAGCUACCACCCACAAACUGAUGGCCAAAUUGAAGUUGUCAACUGCACCUUGGAGUAGUAUAUGUGGUGUUUUGCAAGACUACAACCGAAGAAAUGGAUAGAAUGGAUUCCAUGGGCAGAGUUUAGUUACAACACCUCCACCCAUUCCUCCACCAAAUUCAGCUCAUUCGAAACAGUUUAUGGGGUGCCUUCCCCAAGCUUCCUUUCUUACAUACCGGGCACAACUCGUGUUAUGGCGGUGGAUGAAUAUCUCCAAGAUCGGGAUGCAAUCUUGAAGGAGUUACGUCACAAUCUUUGGAUGGCACAAGAUAUAAUGAAAAGCCAUACAAACCAACGUGAUGAGAUAUUCAGUUCAAUGUUGGAGACUUCAUUUAUGUGAAGUUGCAGCCUUACUGCCAGACUUCAGUGGCUUUCAAGAAGUCUUUAAAACUUUCUCCUAUUUUUUUUGGCCCAUACCAAAUUAUAGAGAAGGUCGGACCAGUGGCUUAUAGACUAUUUCUUUCCGCCGGGUCCAACAUUCAUGACCUAUUUCACGUCAGCCUCUUAUGCAAGAAUUUGGGGUCAAUCACCCCCACAUCCGCUCAACUCCCACCAGUUUUGGACGCAUCCACACUAUUGCCACAACCGGAGUCCAUCCUAGCUCAGCGCGUGAUUCAUAAAGGGAAGAAUAGACCUAGCACCGAAUUUUUGGUGAAGUGGUUGGGCGCACCAAUUGAAGAUGCCACUUGGGAGAACACGUGGCGAUUCUCCAAAGCAUACUCGAAGUUCCAUCCUUAAGGACAAAGAUGCUUCGAGGAACAGGGAAAGAUAGGAAAUCCCUGCUCCAACUCCUAUUUGCUUGCAGAUCAUAGUUAUGUGGGCAACACCAACUCCUAUUUACUUGCAGAUCACAGUUACGUGGGUAACACCUCAACACCUGGCUUGAAUUUUGAUUUGUUGCUACUUCCCUAGUCUUAGGCCCUAUUUGUGUUUUAGUUGAUGUUUCAGUUGUCUGUGCAUCUAUAAAUGCACCUGCAUGAAGUCAAUAAAGGAUAACAAAAUUCAAAUCUUCUAUCUUCUAUCUCUCCUGUCCUCUCUCAAAUUAAACUCAUCAGCAUGUUGCCAUAGAAGUGGGUAUAAGGAAGCAUAUUUCGAUCAUCCAAGGACAUUGGGUUUGACUUCACCAACAAAGCUCAGAGUUGAUACAACAAACCAUGUAAACUUAAACCUGUUACUUCAUUGAAUGAGUGCCAUAAAAAAUGGUAAAUUUUUAAUGAUAGGAAAAAAAAAACUUAUUAGGCGUUUAUCAUUUCAAAAUUUUCAAAGAUAAUUAUUUUAAAAAUAUUGAGCAAUGUUUCUAAUUCUUCUAAAAUCAAAUCCCAAAUAAACUUCAAAAUUAUGAUAGCAUGUAAAUGACUGUAGAAUAACAUACCAUUAGGAUAUUCUUAAUUUGUGUGAAACAAUAAAAAAAAUAUCACCAUGCACCCAUUUUGACUCAAUUGCUUUGGACAACUCAUGAGUUUUUUUUUUUUUUUUAAAUAAAAAAAACCCUUGUCUUUUAAAAGGAAAAAGAAUCCAUAAGCCUAAGUUUGAACAUCAUAUUAAUGAGAUGAACAAGGUUUUGAAACAUUAAAAUUUUACAAAUUUGUUGAAGUGUGCCCAAACUACCUCUCAUAGGAACAACAGUAGAAUGACAUAAAGAAAACUAGGACUGUUUCACAAAAUCGAAGGAAUAUCUUUGUGGGAAGAGAAUAAAGAGAACAAAGAGGAUGCACAUAUUCAAAAUUUGUGGCUGAGCUAUUUAAACCUUUCAUUGAUACUGGUUGAGCUUCUCUCUGUAUUCGUAGGGUGUGUCCCCUCCUCUUUUGGCACUUUUUAAUGCAUGUUCUUGUUGUCUAUCAAAAAAAAAAUAUAUUGGUUGAUCUUCUUAAGAUUGACUCUUAACAGUUUUUCUCCAUUCUUAAUUUAUAAUCAAAAGACUGGCUGAGCUAUUUCUUUGUUCUUAUUGAGUUUUGAGAUGAACCCACAUGUGUUUGUCACUCAUGGAAGGUGUGCAGAUGACAAACCUUAUGUGCCAGCCUUCUAGGUGUCCUGGGAGAAAACCAAAAAGCUUAGGUAUUCACUUCACUCCGCUGGAGGUGCCUAAAGUAUACUGUAGAAAGCUUGAAGGAGAACCAGCUCAUCAGCUUAUGAGUCAAUUAUUUGGCUGUCAUUCAAACAAAUCACUAAUUAAUAAUGUACCCAAAAUACUAUCAUUGUUAUGAAAUAAAUUUGUGGCUAGGAUAGGCUGAUAGGUGCUAGAAAGAGACUGCUUGGGAAGAAUACCAAUCAGCAUUAGUAAGGCAUCUAUUGGAAAAAGACAUGACUUCAAACUCUUUUUUUAAUAAUUUCCAAUAAACAAAGAUGAGUUUUAUGUUUGUUGAAAUACUCAAACCUCCAAGCUUGUGAUAUAAAAUCAAAACACAAAUUCAAAAACUAAUUUGCAUGGGAAUUCAAGUAAUUAGAACAGAGCAUUAGCACCAGUUUGUGACAGCAAUUUUGCAUAGACUCUUUCUAAUGAGAGUUUGUAGGGGACAUGACCAUAUGUUCUUCACAAAAUUUGAUCUUAAGAUUCUUCUCCAAUCAAACUUCUCAGACAAAGGAUGGCUUUCAAUUCAUUGUUAAUCAACAUGAUCAUUUGAAGAUGUAGCAAGGUAUCUACUUACUUCAACCAAAUCACCAACUCUAAAGAAUAAAGGGAAAAGAACUUAUUUACUCUCCUUCCUUUAACCUUUUUCUUUGUCCCAUUCACAACAAUGGUAUUUUGCUUACACAAGUCACUUGAUUUUGCGCACACAACAUUUCAGUUGAAUUACCAACGAAUAAAGGAAGAUUGGAGAGGCUUUAACGCCCUUCUUUGGAAUAAAACUAUUCUUUGUUAAAUAUUCCAAUUUCUUUUCCCUGGGUUUGUGAGACCCACUUUUUGAUUUCCCCAUAAUAACUAUGAGAAUCCAAGGUCUGUAACCAGUUUCAGACCAAUUUCUUUUGUUUUUCUUGUUUCUACUUGAGAUUCUCCCUCUCUUUCCUUACAAAGAAACCAUGGAAGUUGUUGCAGAGGUUGUUCUCCUUGUUUCCCUUGAAGUGUUGUUUAGAAAAUUGGCCUCUUCUGAUGUCCUCAAGUUUGCACCCCAAGAGCAUGUCUAGACCCAACUCAAAAAAUGGGAGAAAAAAUUGUUAGAGAUUAAUGAAGUGUUGAAUGAUGCAGAGGAGAAGCAGAUCACCAAGCAGUCCGUGAAAGCAUGGUUGGGUGAUCUCAGGGAUUUGGCUUAUGAUAUGGAGAAAAUCUUGGACGAAUUCUCCUAUGAAGCUUUACGAAAAAAGUUGAUAGUUGAAGGCAAUAGGAGCAAGGUACGCAAGUUCAUCCCUAUUAAGGCUAUGCGUAAUGUUAUGAUGGGGUCCAAGAUUAAGGACAUCACUACUCGAUUAGAAGCUAUUUAUGCCCAAAAGGCUGAGCCUGGUUUGGACAAGGUGGCUGAUAUAACCCAGUCUACUUGGGAAAGGCCACUCACUACAUCACUGGUAUACGAACCUUGGGUUUAUGGCAGGGAUGUUGAUAAACAGAUUAUCAUUGAUAUGCUGCCUAGGGAUGAACCCAUUCAAACCAAUGUUUCUGUAAUUUCCAUUGUGGCCAUGGGUGGUAUGGGCAAGACCACAUUAGCAAGGUUGGUGUACGAUGAUGCUGAGACAACCAAGCAUUUUAACGUAAAAGCCUGGGCUUCUGUAUCAGAUUAGUUUGAUGUAGUGAGAAUAACCAAGACAAUCCUCAGAUCAGUCACUUGUUCAAGUGAUGAUUUGCUAGACUUCAAUCAAAUUCAAGAUAGAUUGAAAGAGGAACUGAAGGGGAAAAAAUUUCUUUUGGUUAUAGAUGAUAUAUGGAACGAGAAUUAUGAUGAUUGAAAUUGCUUGCGGUCCCCUUUAUGGUCAGAAGCACCAUGAAGCAAAAUCAUAAUUACUACACGGAGUAAAAAUGUUGCAAAUAUGAUGGGAGGAAAUAAAAACUUUUAUGAGCUAAAACAUUUGUCUGAUGAUGAUUGUUGGUUGGUGUUUCAGAAACAUGCUUUUGAAAAUAGAAAUAUCAAUGAGCAUCCAAAUUUGGCAUUGAUUGGUAGGGAAAUUGUAAAGAUGUGUGGAGGCUUGCCUUCGGCAGCAAAAGCACUUAGAGGUCUUCUACGCCAUGAAGAAAGAGAAGAUAAGUGGAAUAUUAUACUGACUAGCAAAAUAUGGAAUUUUCCAGGUGAUAAAUGUGGUAUUCUUCCAGCAUUAAGAUUAAGUUAUAAUCAUCUCCCUUAUCCUCUCAAGAGAUGUUACAAUUACUGUGCGAUAUUUCCGAAAGACUGAAUUUGACAAGAGAGAACUAAUUCACUUAUGGAUGGCAGAGAGUCUAAUUCAACAAUCAGAAUGUUAUGAGAAACAAAUUGAAAUUGAAGAUUUAGGCCAUGACUACUUUCAAGAAUUGUUAUCUCCAUCAUUUUUUCAACCAUCAAGUAGAUUUGUUGCUGGAGAAAUAUGUUUUUCUUUGGAAGAGACUUUGGAAGAAAAUCAAAACAAACUAUUUCUAAAAAGGUUUGUCAUUCAUCAUUAAUUUGUAGUGAACAUGAUGUCUUCAAAAAAUUUGAGGUCUUUCACAAGAUGGAGUAUUUACAUACAUUUAUCCCAUUACCAAUUGAUGUAUCAUGGGGUAGUUAUUGGUUAAACAAUAAGGUACUUAAGGAAGUAAUGCCCAAGCUAAGACAUCUAAGGGUGCUUUUGUUGAGAGGUUACAAAAUAAGAGAGAUACCAACUUCAAUUGGUGAUUCGAAAUAUCUUAGGUAUCUUAAUUUAUCCCGAGCCAGAGUUGAAUGGUUACCUAAAUCAAUAGGUAACUUUUAUAACUUAGAGACAUUAGUAUUAUCAAAUUGUGAGAGGCUUAUUAGAUUGCCUUUGAGCACUGAGAACCUAAAUAAUCUUCAACACCUUGAUGUAACUGAUACAUAUCUAGAAGAAAUGCCUCCACCAAUUUGCAAAUUAAAAAGCUUAGAAGUAUUGUCUAAUUUUAUUGUGGGUAAAGACAAUGGUCUGAAUGUAAAGGAGUUAAGGAAUAUGCCCCAUCUUCAAUGGGGACUUUGCAUUUCAAAGUUGGAAAAUGUAGCAAAUGUUCAAGAUGCAAGGAAUACUAGUCUAAACAAGAAGCUCAAGCUUGAAGAAUUGAUGAUAGAGUGGAAUGCUGGAUUAGAUGAUUCACACAAUGCAAGGAAUCAAAUAAAUGUACUUGACUCUUUACAACCACACUUCAAUUUGAACAAACUAAAAAUUGAGUAUUAUAGUGGUCUAGAAUUACCCUGUUGGAUAGGAGAUGUUUCAUUCUCUUAGAUGAUGGAUAUAAAUCUAGUGAAUUGCAAAAAUUGCACAUCUUUGUCGUGUUUGGGGUGGUAACCCAUGCUUAAACACUUAGGGAUUGAAGGAUUGGAUGAAAUAAAAAUGGUGGGUAGAGAGUUUUAUGGAGAAACUUGUCUUCCCAAUAAGCCAUUCCCGUCCUUGGAGUCUCUAUGUUUUUUGAAUAUGCCACAAUGAGAAGAUUGGGAAAGUCCAUUUUUAUCAGAGCCAUAUCCUCGUCUCCUUUACCUUUCAAUCCGAAACUGCCUCAAAUUAAUUAAGAAAUUACCCACUUACCUACCUUCCCUGGUACAUCUCUUUCUGAAUUAGGGAUACAAGAUUGCAAUGAGGCGGUACUAAGAAGUAGAUUGGAAUUGCCUUCACUCACCAAGUUAAGAAUUCAUUCUAUGCUAGGACACCAAAUUACAUGAUUGUCGGGGCUUCAAGUUUUAGAAAUUUAUAAGCAUGAUGAAUUGACGUGUUUGUGGGAAAAUGGAUUUGAUGGUAUUUAACCAUUGCAAACUAGCAGCUGUCUCGAGCUUGUAUCUUUGGGAGAGACAGAAAAGCACGAACUGCCUAACAAGCUUCAAUCUUUGCAAAUAGAGUGGUGUAUUAACCUAGAGAAGCUUCCAAAUGAACUGCACAGGCUAACAUGCCUUGGAGAGUUGACAAUCGGUGGUUGUCCAAAGCUAGUGUCAUUUCCAAAUUUGGGUUUCCCGCCAAUGCUUAGACAUCUUGAUAUAUUUUAUUGUGAAGGUUUAAGAUGUCUACCUGAUUAGAUGAUGCUGAUGAAGGAUGGUAGCAAUAAUAGUAGCGACAUGUGUCUCCUUGAAUACAUGAAAAUAAAAAAGUGUCUAUCUCUCAUUUGCUUUCUAGAAGGGCAGUUACCCACCACCCUUAAGCAACUACACAUAUCCGAUUGUGAGAAUCUAAAGUCUCUCACGGAAGGAAUGAUGCACCGCAAUUCCAUUGGCAUAAACAACUUGGAAUACUUAAGCAUACGAAUAUGUCCAUCUCUCAUUGGUUUUCCAGAAGGUGAGUUACCCACCACACUCAAGGAACUCAAGAUAUAGAGGUGUGAAAAACUAGGGUCUCUACCAGGGGGAAUGAUGCACCAUGAUUCCAACACCACCAUCGCCACCAGUGGUGAUGUUCAUGUCUUGAACAUUUGGGAAUGUCCAUCUCUCAUAUUCUUCCCCAUAAGCAAGUUUCCUUCCACCCUUAAGAAACUUGAGAUUAGGGAUUGUGCACGACUGGAGUCGAUUUCAGAGAAGAUGUUUCACUUCAAUAAUAGUUCACUAGAAUGUUUGGUGAUCUCGAGGUAUCCAUAUCUCAAAAUCAUACCAGAUUGCCUUCACAAACUCAGAGAAUUGGAUAUUUAUAAUUGUGAGAAUGUGGAGCUGCUACCUCAUCAGCUGCAAAACCUCACUGCUCUUACAUCACUUACUAUUUCUCAUUGUGAGAAUAUCAAGACGUCUCUAUUCCAAUGGGGCCUUGCCACACUUACCUCUCUUAAACACCUCACCAUUGCUCGCAUAUUUCCACAAGUUGCCUCCUUUUCAGAAGGUCAAAGACUACCACUUCUUCCUACAAACCUCAUUUAUAUUUCCAUUAAAGAUUUCCAGAAUCUGAAAUCCCUGUCCUCCCUAGCUCUCCAAAUCCUCACCUCACUUGAAAAGCUAUGGAUCCAAUGCUGCCCUAAGCUUCAAUCAUUUUGCCCAAGGGAAGGGCUGCCUGACACCCUUUCACAACUAUAUAUCAGAGACUGCCCACUCCUAAAACAAAGGUGCUAAAAAAGGAGAGGACAAGAUUGGCCCAAAAUCGCCCACAUCCCCUAUGUGAAAAUAGAUAAUGAAAGUCAUCUUUGAUCAAUAGCAAGUUAAGAGAUUGCAGAACAUAGCAGAACAUAGAAGCAAACACCAUUCACCCAUCUCCCAUCUUCACAUUAAACAAGGUAUGCCUAUUUUUUCUCUUUCAAUUUCUCAUAUACAUUAUACUAGUUUCCCCUAUUAAUUAUCUGUAAGUUUCUUACUCAAAUUUUUGUUGAAAAUUUACCAGGAAGUGGCUUUUGAAAUGGCUCAGGAUUGAUAUUUUCUCUUCAAUCUGCCACAAUUCUAUGUAAGCACCAAUGUUUUUGUCUCUCCAAAUUCUAUUAUCAAAAUUUUAUCCAUAAACUCCAUUCUUAUGUAGUUCUCAGUUUUCCUUUUCCUUUGUUCUUUUUAGUUCUUUGUGAGCAUUGAAGUUGAUGAUGUGAUACUUACAACUAUAAAAGGAAAAGAGAGGAUUUAUUCCAUUUAAGAACACGUGGAAUAUUUGGCAAUGGCUACUGAUUAGCAGUGUCUUCUUCAGUUCCUCGUGAGUAUCAUCAAUUGUACUAUUCAAUUACAUUUUUUUAAUAUAAUUUUCUGAUUUCCAGACUAGAGUGCAUGGUGACAUAAACAGAACUAGAAAGAAAUGCAAUUUAUCAAAAUUAAAUAGUUUUGCUAACUAAAUGACAUUAUCAAUUCCCUUGUGCAGCCAUGACGUUUAAGUUGAACAUAUUAGAUGUCAUGUUAGAUACUAUCCAAUGUUUUGUCAUCUGGAUAUCAAUUUUUUACAUUUAUGAUUUAGGUUCUCAAAGAGGAUGGAACUUGGGUAUUAUAUCAAAGACUUCAAAGUAUGGAGUGAAUGCAGCCAAUUCUAGUUGUCCCUUGUUGUUCCUUUUUUUACUAUAUUUGAGUGUGAACUGGAGACAAAGAAUAACCCAACAAGACUAUGGUGAGUGACUCUCGAUUAUGUAUUUUGUUUAUUUAUAUUUAUAUUUCUAUUUUAAUGACUAUUUUUCUCGAGUUUUCUUCUUGUCCACGGGAUGCUCAUUCCCAACAUGCAAUUUUUCCUCUUUCUCUCCUUAAUACUACUUUCUAUUUCUCACACAUAUAUUAUUGCAAUUUGUUGCCAUUUUACUUGGCUACUUGUGAACAGUAAUAAUAAGUCCUAUAGUUUUAUGUACUAAAUUGUUUACAUUGAUGAUGCAGGUGUCAAAAGGAUGGGUCCAAAGAUCACAAGAGGUAAAUGUGGUAUUUUUAUUGUGUUGGCAGACUAGAAUUUUCCUCCUAUAUCAAAGCCUUAAAAAACAUAGAGUGAAUGUUUCAAGGAUCACUGGCACUUUAUUACUAAAUUUUAGUGCAACAAAAAGAUGAUAAAGUACAACCUAGCAAGAAUGUGGUGCAUGACUUUAAUUUAUAUAGUUGAUCUAUAUAUUUUUGUAUUCUAAGGACCAUCUUCUUAAAAUUUUCUUCUUUUAUGACUUGUGAUAGAUUUUUUAGUGCUUUAGAGAGGUUCACAGAAUCAAGAUUUAAUUUGCAUCUUUAAUCAACAAAAGCUUUUUUUCCUGCCAUCUUGGGGAAGCUGCUUAUAGAAUAAGGUUGCAUGGUCUUAUGUAUCAUUCAAAAGUUGAGAACCAUCCGGUGCCUGAAACUCUUGUCUUUCACAAGAACCGGUUUCAUAAUAGCCUAAUUAAUCUCGUCUUUAUGACUGGUUGGAGAUAUCAUUUGAUUUCUGAAAAAAUGUAAGCUACUAUCAUAUUUACAUACGCCUAGUUAUACAUAUGUGAGCUAAAAAAAAAUGGCUUUGCUUGUAGUUCCUCAAGUUUUUAAUUUGAUAAAAUCGUGUCUCUUCUUUUGAAUUUUGUAGGUCUUAUAGGUGCAUGUCCCGAGUGCCAUAGUAUAAGUAUUUUUCUUCUUGUUGAAUGGAAUUUGGGUUUUAUAUUUGGAGGCUCAAAGUUUAGUGAAUGUGGCAAAUGCCUGUUGUCACUUGUUAUUUUUGUUUCUAUUGUUGAUGUUGAGAGUGUAGAAUGAGGAUAAACAACAACAUAGCAAGAUCAUGGUAUGUUACAAAUUUUAUUUUACAUUUUUAUUGGUUUUUUUAGAUUCCUAUUUUUAUUGACUUUUUUUUUUUCCUUUAAAUUUUCUAUGUUUGUGACUUGAGUUGUUCCCUAAGCACUUGCUACAAAGAGGAUUUUGGCACUGAAAUUAUCCUUAGACAUUGCUUAGUUCAACUGUCUUCAGUAGACAUGAACCUUUUUUUUGUGCUAACUUGGAAAAGUUGCUAAUAAGACUGAAAAGUCACACAUCUCUUAGAGAGUUGAGAAUCACACAUUUCUUUGGGUUCUUUCUGAGGAUUGGUUUGCCAUCCAUGACAUGAAGUCUUGUGCUCAGUUGUUGUGAUGGUUUGAAAUUGCUCUCUGAUGGAACUAUGACCUAUAUAAACAACUGCUUCUAUUUGUUUUACAUUGAUGAAUUGCUUAUCUUUGUGCAUUAUUUUGCGGAAAGGAUUUUUAUGAGCACUACCUUUUUUUUUUAUAUAUAUAUUUCGUUUUAUAUUGAUGCAUUUCAUAUUACUCCUUUUAGGUGGAUGCGCAAUGCUAAUCUAGCUUUCCCCCUUUUGGAUGUCCUUUUAACCAUGGUUAGGAUUCAUUAAAAAUGACUUUAAUCAUACCUAUAAUUUUUUUUAAGGUCAGUUAUAACUUAUACAAAUUAACCUUAUUAUGUAACUCGAAAUGCUUAUUUUUAAACCAAUAUAUUUCUACUGGCAAUUUAUGUGUUUUUCACUACAUUUUUUCCCAACAAUGAGGAAGAGAGACAAUUUUCUUGGUAGCAUACUAUGAUUCACAGAGUAUAAACUCUUGCAGAUUGAAAGAGAGACAAUUUACAUAUCAUUCAACAGUGAUCGGUAAGCAUUCUUAUAUGUUUACAACUUCUUCAUUUGUAUGGUUUGCCUUUUAUGGCAUUUACUCUCUUGUUACUCACAUAAAAAAAAAAUACCUAAUUUACCUUUCAAAUAUAAAAUGCAGUUAUGCAGGAAGGCCACAAAUUGAAUAUGAUAAAAUGGGAAAUGUGUUUCGAGACAAUUUUAUGUUCUUGCAUUAUAAGGUUUAGUAAUUGUAUUUAGUUUUAUAAUAAACAACCAUCUAUUGACUUUGGAUUUGGAAUUUAACGCUAAUGAGUGUUUACUUAUUUUUAAUACCUUUUUUAGGAAUCUAGUUAAUGAGAUUUUGCCGACAAAAAACCAGAGGUUUGUUAACUCUCCUACUAUUAGAGACUAGUUCUCUUGCAUAAAUUUCAAGCAAAAUUAUAACCCUCUUCAUUGAUAGUCUUUUAUAUUGGAAUUAAACAUAUUGGUGUCUUUGAAUUAUUUAAAUAUUGGAAACCAAUUAAGAAGUCAUGCAAUGGCAAUGUGAAUCUUGAUAUACAUACAAAUAAGAUCCAUUAUGUUAUUUUUCUUGCUAAAGAAUCAAAACAGAUGCUUUUGAUUUGGACUGUUUCAGACUUCAUAUCUUUUGUUUCACUUAUGAUACUGCCAUCAGUUUGUGAAUUGGGAAUGUCAUUAAGAACUUUGGAGCUUAACCAUCUGGCCUUUUUCAGUUCCUUAAAGAUUGGUAAUAAUGCAAGGAUCAAUUCUUUUCUCAAAGUGGCUUAUGGUCGCAUUGGCAGAUGUGAAAUUAUCAGUGACUGUUCAUUGUAAAGAAAUCUUGUUACUGUGGCAGGAGAAUAGAUUGCAACAUAAUCUCAAAAUUUUGGGGGACUUUGGUAUCAACACCUUUCUGGAACUCAGAUUUCUAAAUGAAAUAAUGCAAGACAUCAACACAUUCUCAGAACUCUUUAAGCUUUCCAAAUGUGAUGUUGGUGUCUUAAUGAGAGGCUAACUUUCUUCAAUGUUGCUAAAAUUGUUGUCCAUAUAUCCUAUAUGGGAGUCCACCCAUGGACAAGAAAUGCAUGUUGGUCUAUCUUCGACUUUCACUAUUUCACACCCUAUUGCCUGAAGUUGCAUUACCUGCCAUAAUUAAACAUUUUUUUAUUUAUCAUUAUGACAAACUCUUGAAUUACCCUCCUCAAGCAUCUGGCCUCACCUCAGGCUUUUGGAAUUAUCUAGUUGAUCACCAGACAACCUUCCAACUACCCUAAGGACUUGGUACAAAGUAGACUCAAUGCAAGUGAUUCAGAGUUACCCCUACCUAAUCCAUCUCGAUGUGUUUGGUAAAAUGAGGUCCAUCAGAUUUUAUGGCCAUUAUCUCAUGGUAGUGGAUGUUUUGAACCAGAGUCUAAAACGAAGUCAUCACUGCAGGUUAUGGCCAUUAUCCCAUUGCAACAGAUGUUUUGCACUAGAGUUUAAAACCAAGUCAUUGAUAAAGUCCAUAGUGAUGUCAUUGAUUUUAUUCUAAACCCAUCAAAAACAAUAUGAGAUUCACUUUGAUUUCAAGUUAUGCAAGAUCUAUAUGAGCUCAAAUGUUUUGAGACUUGAUUGAUGAAUAUCAUGUGUGGACUCGCAUUUUUCACAUGCAUCCCCACUCAAUCGACGAGACUCGCUUUUAUUUGUGAAAAAUUACUUUUGGAAAAGUCGAAGUCGCCACUUAUUUUAUUUUAUUUUAAAGGGAAAAUAAAACAAGAAAUAAAACCCUAAAAAAAUGACUCCAUAGUUUUUGGAAAAGAGCGUUUUUGAAAAACCCGAGUCUAGGUUCGGGGAUCAGGUUACCCAUUAGGAAAGUACCUCUAAAAGGUAGCACCCCUCUAGGCCUUAUAAAGGUCUCUACUGACUAAGUUGAGGAAGAUGAGGCAAUUAAUUGAUUAAUUGAAGAUACCUAGGUAGACUAAGGUGAUUUCAAAAAAUAGCAUGCCAAACAAGAAAGUCUGACCAUAAGAGAGAGUCAAAGUGCAUACCUGAACGGCUUCUCAAGCGCCAUAAAAAAGCAUCAAAGGUUAGUUUGAAAAUAUGACACAUAACAUACAUUUUUAUCAAAGACGAUCAAACAAUCAAAUAAAUAUCAAGACAAUCAAGCAUGACACCAAACAAAGGCAUGGUACACAGAGACAUGGAUAUUCAUGGAAUUUUGAAAAUGGGAUGAUGAAGAACGUACGUGGACAAUGAGUUGAGCGCUAAAGUGAGGAACAAGGUUAGCUCAAUAAUAGAUGUAAAAUAAUCUCAUGUACCAUAAAAAAGGAGGCACAAUCGAUCAUAUAUCAAGCAAACAAUAUCGAAGAGAAUAUCAUGAAUGUUGGGCCCCCACCAAAGCCUUAAUUAAUUUUGCAUGAAUUGGUUCAGUGAAUUCCGUUGCUUGGAAUCAUGAAGUUUCUUCAUGCUUACUUAAAAAUGAAAAUCAAGAAAAUCAUUUGAAAACAGUGAAAAUGCAUACCAGAGGAAAACUUGGCAGCAACGAGUUUGUUAAAAUCUAGAUCUUACUGCUUAAGGAAGGACUGAGGACGAUUCUUUAAAGUAAGAAUUAUUUGGAUGAAAAUGAUUUUGAGAACACAAUUUAAAAUACGUAAAAACACGAGGAUAACAAGAGGGUGCAAGAGGAAGAGGGUAAUGUGCACCAGAAUGGUCGUGCUAGAGUGGGGCUUGGGGGUCUAGCUAUGACUACGUGUCUGGUGAUUGUAGGUGCUGCUAUUAUUCUCUCUAAAUUUUUCCAUUCCUACUCUCUUGCACGCAUUCAAAUACCUUACAUCACUGCAUUUUAGAGCCUUUUCUAAUUCCUUGAAAUCUCCUACAUUCGAACUUACUUCCAAGAGCUUUGGCAUUAAUUCCUCGUAUGAAUCUCUGAAAUUUGCUGAGAAAUUUGUUCUUUUUGGACUUCCAUUUCUGAUAGUUGAAGAACUGAAGGCUGAAGAAUCAUAUCCAAUUGGAUUCAGCUUGAGAGGGUAACCAUAGGUCGUGGUCAAAAAUGAAGUUGAUUUCCUUUUCCUCAGACCUUUCUGUAUGUCCAUGUUCAUCUGUUAGCAGCAUGACUUCCUCCUUAGGCUUGUGGUGCAGGGAAUUGCCUAAGUCCUCUACAUGCAAUUGAGCCAUCAGCGAGCUGUUAAUUUUUCAGCUCAUGAUAUAAGUGAACGUUAAACUAUUGAAGAUAUACUAGUCCUUCCACGUCAACACAUCGAUCCGCUUGAAGUCGCCCAAUUUCUUUGGCAAAUCUCCAUUUUUUUUAUGUCUCAAACUAUAAUUCAGUUUCUUUACUUCUUCUACCUCAGAACAAAACUUACAAAUCAGAAUUCUCCAACUGCAAUUUUAUAUUAGGAUUCUUCAACUUUCCUACUUUGUUCUCUGAAUCAAGUUUGGACAUCACCACCUGUUUCAAUUUUUGGAGACCAAUUUCAGAUCCAAAGGUAGGGCUUUCUAUCCCUCUUGUAAUUGAGAGUGCAAAUUCUGCAGAUUCUACAAUUCUCCUAGCAUCUGCUUCUGGUUUUCCUCAAGCUCCUGGACAAGGGUUUCAUAGUAACACUCCAUCUGGUCCAUUUUUCUUGCAAGGCUUUCCCAUUCAGCUUUAGACCCAUCAAACUCUCUCUUUGAAGUUCAAAGAAUUUGUCUUUUAUUGUAUUGGUAGCAUCUAGAGAAUCAGGUACAAUAGAAACUAGGCCAGAUACACUAAACAAUGAAGAAAAUCUUUAGGUUGAUAUAAUUCAGCAUCAAACCCAAUUCCUGAUACAAAUUGUUGUCUUUCUCUCAUCUCCUUUAUGUUUGCAGUUUCUGAUGGUAAGGCAUUGAACAUAGAAAUUGCUUGUCCAAUUCUUUGUUUGAGGUCCUUAGUUUGAAACUCUCGUCUUUUCCUCCAUAUUUAAAAGUCCUUUUAGCAAUCUCAGCUGUGAAUCUUCAAAUCUAUGAUCCUAAUCUGUCCGGAUAAUUUCCUUCCUAGCGAAUUCGGGAAUUGACUUAGAAUUUCUAAGAUGUUCAAGGUCCUCCUUGAGUUUUGAACACUCUAAUUUCAGUACAGAAACCUCUUCUACAAAACCUCUCCUGAAGCAAUCUCAACAAGAAGUUGUUCAGCGAACUUUUGUGUUUCAACACCUAUUUCAUCAACAUGACUUUAUAGAGAGCUUACCUCCAGCUUAAGCUCAAUAAUAGAAGACUCUACAACUUCCGAGCUUCUUCUAAUCCUAUUAUUCUCUUCAUAAGCAAUUGCCCAGUCAUUAUUCGCAGAAUAAUCUGGACUCCAUCCAUGGACCCAAUCAUUGCUUCCCUGUGCCAAAAACCUCUGAUCUGAUGGGUCCCCUUUCUCCGUCUGAGGGCUUUGAAUGUAGGAAAGUCCAUUUAAAUCACCAGAGAUUAUGCUUUUAAGGCUAUCGAUUUCAUGUGUGCUGGAGGUAUCAUGCUGUUCAGCACAUAAACUUUCUGAUGUAUUCAAUGAGCCAUCAAAUCCAAUAGUUGAGUCAAAAUAUUCAUCAUUUAAUCCUCCAUCUUCUUCGAGUGAAGGAAGCUCCGUUAAUUCUGGUUUGAAUCUAACCCUUGCACUGAUUUUAUCCAUGUGUUCAUUGACAGUUUCUUUGGAUGAUAAUGCCUCUCCUCCAUUAGAUCCAUCACGCUUAUUUUGUCUAGUGUUCAUCUGCAACCCUCUCUCUCUCAGUUUCAUCUGCUGCUCAAACUCUCUGAACCCGUUUUUAGAAGUUAACAUCUUCACAAUAACAUGUAAUACAGAUUCAGAAUUGCAUCCAUGAAGAGGCAGUGCAACAAUAUAAGGCUUUAGAGCAAUGGAAUAAUCAGCAAGGAUGAUAUUAGCCUCACCCAGGAUAUUAGACCGUGAAGAACCUAUUGCGACAAUAACUUUAUAGAGCUUCUCAUCGUACUGAUUGGUUAGUCUUGUUUGGAAGUUGAGCGUUCACAUCAACUUUCAUACGUCAAAGGAGGUAUGGCAUACUCAAGUCACGUAGGACUACUGCACACCUGUAAACGGUGGAUACUUGUAAUGGAGAAGCAUUGCCAUAGCCACCAACAAAUAUAGGAACUGCAAAUUCUGCUUCAAAUAUAUGCAACACUCUCAACUUCCCAGGGAAUAUAAAAUCGAACAAAGACCACAGCUCAGCCAACUUAUUCUGAAUUGACGCACCAGUCGUUAUUAUACGAUGAACAGUCUGUAACUGUUUAUGGAGUAUGGUAACUUCAGCAUUUGAAUUCCGAAUUCGGUGUUCUUCAUCUAAAAUUGCAUAACCCCGUUUGAUAUCAAGUAGCUUUCCAGCUUGCAACCGGAUUGGCUCAUAAGUAGUGAUAAGUAAUCUACUCUGUGACCUCAAAACACGGUUUAUACUUGGUUUAUACAUAUUACUGAAAUGCAAUGCUCCAAGAAAAGACAAUACAUGGAUAGUCUUGCCAAGUCCCAUCUCAUCUCCAAUAAUUCCACCUACUUGUUGGCAAUGCAGUUCCCACAGCCACUGAACCUCCACCUUUUGAUAAUAAAAAAGUUUGCUGAAAAUGCUUUCAGGUAUUCUCAGACCACCUUCAAGUGUUACAUAAGGGGGGUUCAAUAUCAUCUAUAUCUUCAAUAUCUUUUUGGUUUACUUCUUCAUUAUUGGAGGUCACUAAGUUGUCAGUUGUAUCUUUCAUCAUGAUCUGUCUCCUCAAAUUCUAAGAUUAAAGCACCUGUAGAAAUAUUCUAAGCUAUGUCUAUGCUGGAAGAUAGACAAGAUUGCCUCUUAACUUCACUUCGAACAAUUGGAAUUUUUGAACCCUUACGAUUUGGAUGGCAAGGUGGCUCUGAAGGGGGCCAAUUUCUAAUCAGACUGCACAGCCUUCGAAUCGCAGUUUUUGCUUUAAGAAGUGGAACAGAUUCACCAAGAGAUGCAAGGCUUUGAUCCAGUUUUAAUGUAGAAUUUUUAGAACCAGUCAUUGUCAAACUACUCACUAUACAUUCUGAUUCAAACAAAAUCCUUUCUAUCAAAUGAGUUUCAUUCCAUCGCCUACCUCAAUCCUUUUUUAAUUUUGAACAUGAGAGAAAGAGAGCAUUAUAAAUUUUGUUUUGAUUUUCCAUUUCAAAUAGCAUUUACCUCAGCUUUUGGAGAAUAGUUUCAUCAUCUGGCCUAACCAUUUGCAAUGCUUCUGGAAAUUCUUACAGCCUGCAUUAUCUUGAUCACUUGGUUUGUUGUGAAAACUGCUUGUUUCUAUGAGAUGAGCAAAUAUUGAUUCUGCACUCUGCGUAUAGGUGGCUACCAGAAACUCCACUCUUUCAUCACAAACUGAGUCUUAAUUAUGGGCUAAGUUAUAUUGAAGCAUUAGAAAUCCUCCACUUAAAAUAUUUGAGCAUUCCAGAACCUCUUGGCAGAGUAUCAUCCAGAACUAUGGGAAACAAAGGCGAAAUGCUUGGCUGGAUUUAGGGCAAUGUAAUCCUCCAGUAGUGUAGUGAUUUCGAUGUGUUCCUGGCUGAUUUCAAAAGCAUUCUGUUAUUCUUUGAGGUUCUUAUAGCUGUUUGAACAUGAUGUGCUGUUGUUCCGACUGAAAAUCGUUAAACCUAGAUGGUUGUCUCGGACGAGGUUAUGGCAUAACUCGUUGUUGGGACUUGAUGAAAUGCUGCUGCACACCAAAGAAAGUUGAAAUUAGGAGUUUCAACAGUUUCAGACCUUUCUGAAUUUGUUGUCAGAGUAGGACUAUCCUCAGAAGCACUCUUUUGCUUGUUUGCAGAUUCUUGUGCCCAAAUAUAAGGUCAUUUGAAUUCAAUUAUUGGUAUCUACUGUAACUCUUUGAGAACUGAGGCCUCAGAAUUACAUGUGCAUGGUUUUGAUCAAAUGACACUCGCAAAGACUCACCACCAUGUCCUAUCAUAGAAUCUAAUUGUUGUACAUUGAGAUUAUUCAAAUUGAAAUUUAUAGCUUCUGCAAUCUGCCUCUAUUUUCCAACCCACUGAUUAUAAUUUAUAGGCCAACUCUCACCAACAGCUUGAGAUUGAAGGUGGCCCUGGGAAGAAUUGUCAUGCUCAAAGGAAUUGCAAAUCCUGUCUUCGACUUCGUUACUAGGCACAGAUAAUAAAGCCAAAAAAAAAUUAGCUAGUUCUUCUUUUCCGUGAAUAGGGACUGUUAAAUAAUGUAGUUAGUUAUACUCAGCUGUAGGUAAUGUUAAUUUGUGUUAGGAUCUGCCACGUGUAUGGUUGUUUUUUCCUUUCCUUCACUAUAUAAAUGUAUCCCAGGCUCAUUUUGCAUUGAGUUGGAAUUCUGUAACAUUCUCUAUUUUCCUUUUUUCUCCAGUCUCUCUUUUCUCUCUGUUUUCUCUUUUCUUCUUGCCUGCAUUUCAUCUUGGUAUCAGAGCCAAAAAUGUCCAACACUACUUCCUCUCCGACAACCCUAACUGCAAAUCCCCAAAAUAUUAACCCAACUCCAAUCUCCAGUCCGAACAUUACCCAAACCAAUUACCCAUCUCUUUCUUAGCCUCUAACUAUCAAACUAGAUGAAACGAACCUGCUUCUAUGGAAAAAUCAGCUUCUGAAUGUGAUCGUAACCAACAGGUUGGAAGAUUUCAUUGAGGGAGAAACGCCUAUACCAGCCAAAUUCUUGGAUGAUGCCCAACUGCAGAUCAACCCACUCUUCAUACAAUGGGAACGAAUGAAUAGACUUGUCAUGAGCUGGAUCUAUUCUUCCUUAACUCUUGCCAUGGUAAGAAGAAUUGUAGAAUACAAGACUGCUCGGGAAAUAUGGGGAGCUCUGAAUAGAGUCUAUUAGUCUCCUUCGAUUGCUACUGUGGUAGGGCUGAACUCUCAACUUCAGAAGAUUAAAAAGGAAGGUAUUACUAUUUCUGAGUAUCUUGCUCGUAUUAAGGAAGUCUUUGACAAGUAUUCUGCCAUGGGUGAGCCAUUAUCUUACAGAGAUAAACUGAUGUAUACCCUAAAUGGAUUGACUGAGGAAUAUGAUGGAUUUGUGACCUCCAUCUAUAAUAGAUCUGAUAAGUCUUCUUUAAAAGAGGUUCAUAGUCUUCUUUACACUUAUGCAUAUUGGUUGGAGCAAAGGAAUACUGCACAACAGCUUCAGUUUUCUCAGGUUAACCUCACUGCUUAUUCCGGCCAAAACAAAUUUCACAAAAAUCAGCAACCCAAUUUUCCAAAAUACCCACAAAAUUCAUAUUCAUCUUUUCCAAACAAGCCUAUUAAUCUCUAUCAGUCCUUUCGUCCAAACUCCCAACCUAGCAUCCUUGGAAAACCUCAAGGACAACCACAAUCAUCUUCUAAAUGGUUUCAGAAACAAGGAACAGGAAAUUUUGGACCAAGGCCACAAUGUCAAAUUUGUGGGAAGUUCGGUCAUAUGGCCUUAAAUUGUUAUCAUCGAGCAAACUUGAACUACCAACCACAGUUUCCAAAUUCUCAACCCAAGCCUCAACCUCCAAAUCCCAUAGCUGCAAUGCUCACUACUUCAACAUCUCCCACUAUGCCCUUUAAUAAUUGUGAUACUCCUUGGUAUAUGGAUUCUGGAGCAACACAUCACUUUACACCAGAGUUUGGCAACUUAACAGAUCCUUGUGUGUUAACUGGUGAUGAGCAAGCUAUGGUGGGCAAUGGUAAGUCAAUUAGAAUUUCACAUAUUGGUAAUGCUAUGAUUUCAAGCCUAUGAAACCGAUUCAUUUAAAACAUGUCUUGCACACUCCUCAAAUCUCAAAACAACUCAUCAGUGUCACUAAGCUUUGUUCUAAUAAUCAAGCUUUUGUUGAAUUCUAUUCCUCUCAUUUUCUUGUGAAGGAUCAAGCCUUGGGGAAGGUACUUCUUCAGGGAAUACUUGAAAAUGGACUCUACAAAGUUUCAUUAUCAGUCAGUACUUCACCAUCUCUUGUUGUCUCCUCUUCAUUAGCUUCACUUUUAGUUCCUGCUACUCAAUUAUCCUUCAAUCGUGCUCAAGCCUUCAUCACUCAGCAUAAUAAUAUCAUAUUGUGGCAUAAUAGACUAGGACACUGAUUCAUGCCCAGUCGGGUGUUUAUCAAAAUAUUUAUAAAAACUACAACACCUUAUACUAGGGUAGAAAGACAAAGCUACUAUAGUAUAGUGGUUCUAGGAUCGUCCACAGGGAUGGGUUUUCUUUGUACACUUGACAUUAAUGAAAUGAGAAAUGGUGAUUGCCUUUUUGAAAGUUAGUUUUUAAAUGAAAAUAAGAUUGAUUGGAAGGGUUGAUUUUAAGUUAAACAAACAUAAACAACUGAAAUUACUACAAAGAGAAAAUCUCUUGGAGCUAUAGGUUACUAGGAUCAGGUUCCUAUUGCAAAGUGGAAAAUUUCGGAUCUUCUCCUCACAUUGGGGACAAUAACAUAAAGGAUGGUUAUCUACCAAACCGGAUUUGUAUUUAACAAAUAAGUUUUGAUCCAAAGGGUUCUUGAAAAAUGGUAAUUGCUUCCCAUUAAUGGCUUCAAACACUAAAGACCCUCACCUUGAACCACCUUCCAAUGACUCGUACUUGAUAACUAAUGGACAUCCAUGGAUCUAGCAAUAAGCAUCCAUAGAAUCCUAAAAGCUUACCAAGUAUUGGCCAUUCAAGGUGAUUCUAAGGGAUUAAAGCUUAAACUUGAAAUACAAACCAUUAAUAAUACACAAGUACCUUCAUUUAAAGCAAGGAAAACUCCCACCUUUGCAUCUGGGUCCUUUACCUAGCUUCCAUCACUCAAAGAAACAUGAAACUUAGCCACUCAUCCUCUGAAAAAUCAUCAUUAGAGGGUGUUUGGCUAUAGAGAAUGUGAAGAGAAAAUGAGAAAGAAAGGUGGAGAAAAACUCCCGUAAAUUUCCUUCAAAAAUAGUCUUUACAAAAUAUCAAAAACAUCACAUCCUUUGAGAGGUUUUCCAACCCCUAUUUAUAGUUCCUAAACAAACCCUAAUGUCAUUUAUCUAUUAUAAAAGGAGAAAAAGGAAAAAUUACAAUUCUGGAGAAAAAUCUCGAAGGUCGAUGCGCACAAAGUGAUUUUCGCAAACCUUGCCAAAUUUUGGCACACCUUGUGAAAUCGAUGAUUUUGUCUUGCGAAAUGCUCUGUUUUCCUCCAUCUUACUUUUGAAAGUUUUGGUAACCCCUUGCCAAGUUUGCCAAGGGGUUUUGAAGUGCUCCAAAGCUCAAAAUUUUCAUGUGAUUGAUCUUCAACUUGCCUUGCCAUAGCUUGCAUAAAACUCUCCCUCAAUCUUGGCCUGUUUCAAUGAUCAAAAAGCUACCAAAAACAAUAAAACUUACCAAAAAUUGGUUAGUAACAAUUGCUAGGUUCUUAACAUGCCAAAUGAGAUAUAAAGGUCUAACUACUACUAAAAAGUGCUCAAUACAAUUAAGUUUAAGCUUAUAAAAAUGCACUUUUUGAGUAGUAAUCAGACACCCUACUUCUAAUGUAGUUACUCAAGUUAUGAGGAGCUAUAAUUUGAAAUUUUCUAAAUCUUUUGAUUUGUGUUCCUCUUGUCAAUUGGCUAAGAGCCAUGGAUUACCCUUUGUAAUUUCAAAAUCUAAAGCAAUGAAACCUUUUGAUUUGGUUCACUCUGAUCUUUAGGGUUCUUCUCCUGUCUUAUUUGUCACUGGUGCUCGUUACUUCCUUCUUUUUAUUGAUGAUUACUCUCGUUUUACUUGGUUUUAUUUGUUAAAAAGCAAAGAUGCAGUUUUCUCAUACUUUCUAAAAUUCAAAAAUCAAUUUAACACAACUAUUAAGGCUUUGCAAACUGACUGGGGUGGUGAAUUUCGUCCACUUAAGCCUUUUCUUGAAAAUCUUGGUAUUCAUCAUCGCCAUCCUUGUCCUUAUACUCCCCAACAAAAUGGGCGAGUUGAGCGCAAAAAUCGCCAUGUUGUUGAAGUUGUCUUGCCAUGUUAGCCCAUUCUUCUAUUCCUAUUUCCUAUUGGCCAUAUGCAUUCCAAUAUGUUGUGUAGUUAAUCAACAGAUUACCUACUACUGUCUUAAAUAACAAAACUCCUUUUGACUUGCUUUAUGAUAAAUCUCCUUCUUAUUCUUCAUUUCGAGUGUUUGGCUUCUCUUGUUUCCCAUUUUAAAGAGCUUUGAAUCAAUAUAAACUUCUUGAAUGUGUUCUUCUUGGGUUUAGUCCUCACCAUAAAGGUUAUUUGUGCUUAAAUAGACAAAUAGGUUAGAUUUAUGUUUCUUGUCAUGUUGUUUUCAAUGAGUUUUCUUUUCCAUUCUUUUUUUCUUCUUCUUCCUCUCCUCAUCUAUGCUUACUCCUAAUCUCCCCAUUUCCCUUUCCUUUCCCUCCUCAACCACUCUUCAUCCCAUAUCUAUCUCACCUUCUUCUUCUUCUUUUUCUCUUCAUCGAUCUACAUUCCCAUUGUCUUCUCAUUCUCUUUCUUCUCCUCCCACAUCUCUAUCUCAUUGUCUCUCAUAGGACAUUCAUCCCACUACUUCAGUACAUCCAAUUCCAUUGGUCGUACCUAUUGACUUACCAGAAUCUGUUCUUCAUCGCCCUCCACCUCCCACCAACACUCAUUCCAUGGUGACUAGAUCCAAGGCUGGGAUUUAUAAACCUAAAACUCUUGUGGUAGCACUUGAUAUCCCUAUUGAUCUUGCUCUUUUUUAGCCUACCUCAUUUCACCAAGCAGUCAAAUAUGAUCACUGGCAAAGGGCUUUGACUACAAAAUAUGAGGCACUUAUUAGAAAUGAUACUUGGACAUUGAUGCCUCUACCACUUGAUCACAAAGUAAUUGGAUGUAAGUGGGUCUUUAAGGUCAAGCUCAAACCGGAUGGAUCCCUUGAAAGAUAUAAAGCCUGGUUAGUUGCUAAAGGUUUUCAACAAACACUUGGCUUGGAUAUUUUGAAACCUUUAGCCCAGUUUUUAAGCCCACUACUAUACGAAUUGUUUUAAGUUUAGCUCUGUCACUUCAAUGGCACAUCAAACAGUUGGAUGUCCAUAAUGCAUUCUUAAAUGGUGACCUAUCAGAAACUGUUUUCAUGGAGCAACCCCCUGGUUUUAUCAGUACUACUAAUCCAGGCUAUGUUUGAAAGUUGAACAAGGCUUUAUACGACCUUAAACAAAGUUCUCGUGCGUGGUAUACAAAGCUCAGUACUUAUUUGCUGCAGUGUGGUUUCCAAGGCUCCAAACAUGAUACUUCAAUGUUCUUUUUCAACAAAGGCUCUUCCAUUAUUAUUUUGUUGAUUUAUGUGGAUGAUACUAUUAUCACAGGUAGUCAUUCUGCCUUGGUGAACUCCUUGAUUGACCAACUACAUAAUCAGUUUGCUCUCAAGGAUUUGGGGUCUCUCUUAUUUUUUGGGUAUUCAAGUUACUUUUACUCUAUCAUCCUUGCAUCUAUGUCAACACAAGUACAUUGUUGAUCUCCUUCAUCGGGCUUAAAUGUUUGAUUGUAAGCAUGCUUCUACUCCUAUGAGCACCUAGUUUUCCUUGUCCUUGUAUGAUGGUGAGCCUUUUUCGGAUCCAUCUUCGUAUCGCAGCAUUGUGGGGGCUCUAUAGUAUUGUACCAUCACCCGACCUGACAUCAGUUUUUCUGUCAACUAUGUCUACCAAUUCAUGCAUUCUCUGACCACUCAUUGGCAAGCUGUUAAGAGGAUUCUUCAUUAUCUCAAGAGUACAAUUUAUCAUGGUAUUUCUCUUCAACCAUCUACUGAUCUCUCUCUCAUUUGUUAUACUGAUGUUGAUUGGGCUAGCUGCCCGGAUGAUCGAAAAAGUACAAGUGGCCAUUGUUGUUUCCUUGGCCCUAUUUUGAUUUCCUGGUCUUGUACUAAACAAAAAGUUGUUUCUCGUUCAAGUGUUGAGUCCGAAUAUAGAGGCCUUGCUAAUGCCGCUUCAGAACUUAUUUAGAUUGAAACAUUUCUCACUGAACUACACAUUCCGUUCUUCACUCCACUAGUCUUUUUUUGUGAUAAUCUCAAUGCCACACAUCUUGCUGCUCAUCCCAUUUUUCAUGCUCGUACGAAGCACAUUAAAAUUGAUUAUCAUUUCAUUCAUGAUCGUGUGCUCCAUAAAUCCCUAUUGGUCAAAUUUACACUUUCUGAAGAGCAACUUGCAGACAUCCUGACCAAGCCACUGCCUGCACCUCACUUUCAAAGUCUACGAAACAAGUUGACUUUGCUUCACAGCCCUCUCAGCUUGCAGGGGGAUGUUAACUAAUGUAGUUAGUUAUACUCAACUGUAGGUAAUGUUAAUUUGUAUCAGGAUCUGCCACAUGUAUGGUUGUUUUUUCCUUUCCUUCACUAUAUAAAUGUAUCCUAGGCUCAUUUUGCAUUGAGUUGGAAUUCUAGAACAUUCUCUGUUUUCCUUUUUUCUCUAGCCUCCAUGUUCUCUCUGUUUUCUCUUUUCUUCUUACCUACACAUUUCAUCUGGGACACUCGGAGUUGAAUACUAAACUGAAGGAGACUAUUUUGCGUGAUGAAACCAUAUGCUACCCAGACACUAAUUGCCCAUGACAUCUGCCAAGCCAUGUCUAUACUAUAGGUAACAUUAAUCUGAUCCAGCCAGUCUAUGCAAUUGGUCCUAAGCAUCAAGAACCUAUUCACAUUCUGACUCUUCAACUCUAGAACAAUAAUUGACCCAAAGAAACUCUCAACAUUGACUAGGUUAGUCAAGACAUAAUUACCCCCAACCUCCUUAGUGGCAAGCGAGACAACCAAGAAUAUAACACUAUCCUUAUCCUUCCAAUUCACAUAUGGGUUUGUAGCAAAGGAGCCUAGCAUAUUUUGAAUCAAUACUAAAAUAAUAGCAGUCACCCUUUCCUUAUAAUUCAUAACAAGUACUCCUGAAACUUCCCCUCAUUUUCAUCCUUCAUGUUGAUGACUUGAAAGAUCAAAAAAAGAAAGAGUCAAUCAUUUGCACUGAUACAAUACUGCACAACUAAAUAAUCCUCACUAGUUUCAUAUACAACAUUAGGAAUUGGACAGAUGUUGGACUUUGUAUGAUUGACAUCGUAUUGAAGAUAUAUAUGCGUCUCUGAGAGAUCUUGUCAUAAAUGUUCAUGAAUAUUUUCCUCCCGUAACUAAGUCUCCUGUACUCUUUUCAAUUGCAGGUCCAUAAAUUCCCAAACUUAUAUCUGAGUUCUCUAUGGCCAUAUUGUUUGAAGCAUAUUCAGAAUGAAUUUCCACUCCCAUGUGCUUGAACUAAGCUUUAAUUUCAGACUCUUUCAUAAAUAAUCAACAAAUUUAGGAAUUUUCUAUAUUCUGUGAACCAGAACUGACGCAUGAAAGAUACAAAAUUAGAUCAAUCAUUCGUCACUGAUUUCUACAGCAGCUGAAUUUAUUAAACCAACCGAACAGCAAUGAUCAUCUUUUCUUCGUCUUUGGAAUCCAUUUCAAUCACGACAUUCCCAUUAAAUUUCCCUGUUGACCCCUUAACAUCAUCACCCUUUAUUGAAGCAAUUUAUGUCAAUAGUUUCAGUGGCCAUGUCAAGAAUGGUGCUUCUUAAUGAAGAUACAAAAUGUAAAAGGUUAUCCACAAAAAUGAUUGAGGGAGCAAUUGCUUCAUUCAUUGUUACUACAUAUUUAUUUAUGAUAGAGAUACUGAAAUUAAGGAGACGUAAAUGACAGACCCUAUUGCCUUCAAGACCUCAAAAGCCUCUUCUAUAUGUACAAUUGAUCAUCACCAUGUCCUGAGCUUCCACUCAAUGAAUAUUGAACCAUCAUUUGCUCUGGUUGAACCGAUAAUCCUAUAUGCCCCUAUAUGCAGCCUCUGUGCUUAAAAUUCUGCGUCCAUGAUUUCCGACGAAGUAAACUAUUGUACUGGAUAGUUUUGGCUGCAAUUACUUCUUCACAGCUAUCAUCCAACUCCAAAAUCCAUAAAAAAAAAAAAAAAAAUGAUCAACAAACCACCAGGCCAACCUGAACUGAAAGUAACCAAACUCCAUGGAUAUAAAAGUCUCCAAUUCUCUCCACAUCCACGUUGACUGAAUUUAUGAUUUUCUCACUAUUUGGAGCCAACAUUCUUGAUCGAUGGAGGCUUUGUGUAAACUAAUACCAUGAGAGCUACCCGCACAGAUGCCUAUUUGUUGCCCACCUAAGUACCAUUGUCUUUGUAAUAGAGACUCCACAGUCUUUGCCCUUAACAAGAUCAAUGCAAGAACCAAGGAAAUUUAGUCUAAAACACCUCCACCAUCUCUCAUUUUUCUCAAAAAACCUGCACCAAAACCUGCAUCAUAAGCGGCCAAAAGAAUGCCAGAUUAAUAAGACCCAGAGAGGAAUCCAACAGAGCUCCCCAAUGCAAAAAUCUUUAAAACGCCACCAUGUCUGCAAUCUCUAGAUAUGUUCAAGUAUGAAGAAAGCAUAUGGAUGCACCCCUUAAAAAUGUUGAUGUGGAAGGCUUUAUGCUUUACAUGAAGUGAGUCCGGGGGCUUUGAUCUCGUGGAAGGAGGCUCUAUCCUUUUGAUUGGUAUGUAUAAAUGAAAAAAACACCACACAAUGUCAUAAUCAAAAUUUCCCAAACGACUCACUGCUCAUAACCAUUAUCCAUAGAAUUUUUCCUUGCAAAUCCAAAUUCUCAACUCCCCAUUGCAUCUUCUUAUUAUUUCCCAUAUUUUUCCAUAGUCCCCAAAAUUUCCGAAUCAAUGUUGUCAAUGUUGUCCUUGAUUUCAGAUUCAUGCAUCCCUCUAAAGAACUGAUUAGAACUGUUGCUGAAGGUGAAUGGCCCAGAUUACUUUCAGAUUCUGACACAUCCUCUAUGGGAGCUCGUAAUACAUCCUUCUAAUGCAGAAUGGGAGGUUUUUUUUUUUUUUUUUUUUUUUUUACGAUUUUCUAUUUUUAAUUUCAAAACAAAGAACAAAUCUUGAAGGCUGGGAAUGGAACUUGUUGAGGUGUGGGCUAGAAAUAGAAGAAAACAAAAACAAAAACAAAAAAAAAAUCCAAAAAGAAGUGGAAAAUAACCAACAAAAGCCACAAUUUCACAUUUCAAUCCAUUGGUUUAGAAUAGGAGAGUGAUUCAAAACAAAUUUUUAAUAUAAACAGGGCAGGAUUUCUACCAUCAGAUUCAAGGAAAAAACCCAGAUGCAUACUAUUUUCAGAUGAAAUCAAUGGCAUUAACAGAAUGAAAAACAUAGCAAGCAAACAAUGAACCAAUUUCAACACAACAAUCUGUGAACCUUUCCGUCCACACUAAUCAACAAAAUAAAUGCCCAAAACCAUCAGAGAAUCAUCAAGAAUCAAACAUAAGAUAAAUCAUAGAAGAUAGUUGAAAACGUACCUGGGUAGUCUCCACCCAAUUACUUAGUUAUUUUGCUACAGUUCCUCUCCGAAAUCUCUCAAAGAAAACCUAGUGAACCGUUCUCUCUUUUCCUUGAAGAUAAUCCCUUCUCAUUCGUUCUCACUCUUAUGUGCUUUUCUACAAAGACAAUCCUAGCAUUCCCCUUUUUCAGCAUCCUUUCUUACGUAUAUAUUAGCCCCCAAAACCCAAAUUUGUUCCAAAAAGGAAAAUCUCCCAUUUCCUUUCUUUUAUUUUCUUCAUUUUUGCAAUCCUUUUUUUUUUUUUUUUUUUUGUAUGUAUUUGUAUUAGCCUCCCAAAAACUCAAUUUUUUUUUUUGAAGAAAAUCCACUUUCUUUUCUUUUAUUUCCCUUAUUUUCGAAAAUCAAAAUGUUUCUCUCUUUCCAUGUAGGAUCUCCUCUUUCCAUAUGUAUGCAGCCACAUUAAUCCUCUUUUCCCUCCAAUAUAUAUAUAUAUAUGUAUAUAUAUUUACCUUCUUUGAGUGCACAUGCCUUAGUGAGAGUUGAUCAAUAGCUCCCAAUUCUCUUGUCAAACGAUAAAAAAAUAAAAUAAAAUAAAAUAAAACCAAAAAGAGUUAGCAAUCUUGCAACACAUAAAAGAAUAAAGUAGAAUAAAAAUAAAUAAAUAAAGUAAAACAAAAUAAUUAAAUAAAAUAAAACAAAAUAGUCAAUCCUAUGCGGGCCAUGCAAGUCAUGCGACUAUGUGAGUCAUGCAAGAAACACUAAAAAUGUCUAAUAGGCUAAGUGUUCCUAAGAGGGCCUAAGUGAACCUAGAUAGACUUAAGGUAUCUACAUGACCUAAGGUGGUGCCUAAUGGGUCGGGUAUACCUAUACGGGCCUAGGGUGAGACUAAGUGGGCCUAACUAAGUCUAACCUGAAGUGCACCUAAAUGAAGCCUAAUCUAAACUUGAAGGGCAGCCAAGGUCAUAAUGUGAAGCCGGAUAAACCCCUCAACUAAAGUCUCCGAGGUGGCUCAGAAAAAGUAAGCUACAUGAGUAGUAAUGGGCCAUCAAUGAACCACUGUGGAACCCUGGAAGUGAACUUAAAGACAUGUGCUAAAGGGACAAAAUGGAGGGUCUACACCAUGCUUCGUUGGUCAGGUCUUCUUUAUACAUAAACCUAUUUUUUGUGCUUAACUUGGAGAAGCUGCCAAUAAGACUGAAUAGUCACAUAUCUCUUAGAGAAUUGAGAAUCACACAACUCUUUCAUUUUUUUUUUUAGGAUUGGCUUGUCAUCAAAUCUUUUGCUCAGUUGUUGUGAUGGUUUGAAAUUGCUAUCUGAUGGUUAUAACCUAUAUAAACAACAACUUGUAUUAACUUAUCCUGAGCAUUAUUUUGCAAACAUGAUUUUUAUGAGCACUUCUAUUUGGAUGUCUUUCUAACAGUUGUUAGUAUUCAAUAAAAAUGACCUUUACUAAACCUGCAGAUUUUUUCAGGUGAUAUUUUUUUUUUUUUUUACAACAAGGAAGGGAGGCAUUUUUCUUGGCAGUGUAUCCUAAUUCAUAGAGUAUAAACCCUUGCAAAUUGAAAGAAAGACAAUUUACAUAUCAUUAAAGGGUGAUCUAUAAGCACUCUUAUAGGCCUACAUCUUUCUCAUUUGGAUUUGGAAUUUAACCUCUAGUAAGCGUUUACUUGUUUUUAAUCUGUUUUUUAGGAAGCCAGUUGAUGAGAUUUUGCCAACCAAAAAUAGAGGUUUGUUAGCCCUCCUAUCUUCAGGCUAGUUCUCUUGCAUAUGCUUGAAAAAUAUUGGAAACCAAUUAAUUAGUCAUUGCAGUUUCAUAGUCUUACAAGAAAUCUUGUUAUGGUGGCAGGAGAACAAACUACAACAUAAUCUCAUUUCCCUUCAUGAUUUAGACAUUGUAAAGAUAAAAAAAAAUAUAUGUUCUUGGUAAUAUAAGAAGAAGAGAAGCCAAAAAACAGGAACAAAAUGUAUUGGAACCUUGUGGACUUGAAUAGCUGAUAUUCAAGUGGCAAAAAUACAUAAAAAUGCACUUAACAAACUACUAACCAGCAGGCUAAGAUUCUACUUCUAAGAGACAGGUUUGUCAUCAAUGUCAAGAAGGCUCGCACUUCAUUUUUGUGGGACUUUGGCAUCAACAAAUUUCUAUUCCCAGAAUUCUUUCGUAAAUGUCAUCAUCCUGGCCAACUUUCUUUAGUGUUGAAAAAUAGGGUGAUACCAUGUUGCUAAAAAUUGCAGUCCAUAUGUACUAGAUAGACAAGAACUAGAACACUUGUAUUAGAAACAUCUCUGUUGCCUGGAUUUGCAUUACCUGCCAUAAUUAAGCACAUUUAUAUUAUUGUAGAACUGUGUUUCAAAGUCACCCAUACCUAAUCCAUCUCCAUGUAUCUCAAACAACUAGGUUCAUUGGUAGCAGAAGAAGAGCAACUUGAAUAGCUAGUCAUUUCCUUUUAUAAUUUAGGGAUAAAGGUAAAAAAACUACAACACUUGAAUAGAUGGUAUUCAAGUGGACAAGAACUGCAACACUUUUCUCAAAAAUAUGUAUGUUCUUUCUUCAACUCUUACUCUAUUUCCUGGAGUUGCAUUAUCUUCUAUGAGUAAUCGCCUCCUAUUUAUUCUUGUGGAGAAACAAGUUUUGGUGUAUGCAGAGACUAUACUAUUGUUGCACCUCUUGAUUUUCAAGACCACCCAGCCUCACCCCAAGCAUUUGGAAUUGUCAAGCUAAUUUUUGGCUAACCUUCCAAUGACCUUAAGGGCUUCAUACAAAGUAGAUCUAGUGCAAGAGAUUUAGAAUUAUCUCUACCUAAUCCAUCUCUAUUUCUUUAGAAUAACUAGAUGCUAUGGCCAAAAUCUCACAUAAGGCGUCAAGUUCAUGUUGGGGCUUAUUCACAAGAUUAAGAUGAAUAUAGCAGGGAAUGUUCUUGAUCUACCACCAACCAUGUUGUCAAGUUGUUUAAUGCCCUUAUGUUGACUAUGGCCACAAUCACAGUUGGGUGUCGUUUCCUAAAAGAAAUGUCAUUUUGAAACUUUUAAUGUCAACAACAGAACUUUCAUGUUUCUACAUUCAGGUACCCAUAAAAAAUUGAGUCCAUGUUAGCAUCCAAUGAUGGAAGUAAUAUACCUCCUAGAAAUUGAUGUGGAAGGUGGUGACUAACAACAACAUAGAUGUAUAUAAGGGAUUUACACUUAGUCUUGUGCAUCAAACAACCCUCAUUUAGUAUAAACCAAAAAUUUUGGCAACUCAUGAUCCAUAAUUUAGAGCAUGGGAGGAAGAAGACCUGUUGGCAAGACAGGAGGAGACAGUUAAAAACAUGCAAGAAUUCCAUAGAUGAGUUGUUGUUAUGAAUUAUUCAGAAUCCAUGGGAAAAUUUAAAGCCCAUUGAUUUUGAAUGAAGGACCUACUUAGCAUGGAUCAAAAACCUAUUUUGGAGAAAGAAACCAAGUCUUGAGGACUAAUUCAAUUACCAAAUCUCUGGGAAGCACUGAGGCUUUUUUAGUAGCUUCCCAAUUAGUGCAUAAGGUGGCAAUGCUAUUUGCUUUUAUGUAAGCUCUUCUUCUUCUAGUACCAAGGAAAAUUCUAUAAUCCUAAAUCUCCAUUCUCCAUGUACAGAUGUUUUCUUCGAUGCAUGCUGUCAGAGAAGAUGAGUAAGCUUCAGAAUAUUAGUUUACUGAUUCGAGGAUGUAAAUCCAGUCGGGUCAUUUAAUCAAAAACAUUUAUAAAACCUAUGCCCUCAUACUAGUGUAGCAAAGCUACUAUAGUAUAGUGGCUCUAGGGUCAAACUCUAGGAUGGGUUUUCAUUCUACCAGUGAUAUACUCAUGAUUAGGAAUUGAAUUUAAUGAUUUCCUUUAUCAAAAACAUAGAGUUUAAAAGAAAAUAAAAUUUGUUUUGAAAGUGUUUGAAACUAAAUUAACAUAAACUAAUUAAAAAUGGAAGAAAGAAAGUCUCCCGGAGCUCAGGAUUGCUAGGAUCAAGUUUAGAAUGCAAAGUGGAAAAUUCUGGAUUUUUCUCCUCGCAUUGAGGAUUUAACCUAUAGUUAUUUCCUGAACCGGUAUAGGUUUAACAAUGAAGAUUUAAUCCAUAAAAAUCAAUAGAAAUGGUAGUCAAGGUUCAUUAAUGGCUUUAGACACUAUGGGUCUUCACCUUGAACCACUUUCCAAUGGCUCGUACAUGAUAACUAAUGGACUGAUAUGGAUCUAGUAAUAAGCAUCCACAGAGACCUGAAGCUUACCAUGUAUUGGCCAUUCAAAGUGAUUCUAAGGGAUUUAAAGCAAAACUUUGGAUUUAAAAGCCAUUUAUGAACUUCAACUACCUGUAUUUAAGGCACGAGCGUUUUCCACCUUGCAUCUGGACUUUUCACCUAACUUCCAUCACUCCAAGAAACCAAAAGUUUAGCCUCUCAUCCUCUGAGAAAACAUCCUCAGAGAAAACAUCCUCAGAGGUUGUUUGGCUUCCAAGAAAAAGAAAAUAGUAAAGAGAAAAGGGAAAACGAGAGAGCUCUGUAUAUUUUUCUAAGUGUAAAACAUAACACGCGUGAUACCUCCAAGAGGUGAUUUCCACCCCUUAUAUAGUUUUUACAAAAGCAAAGCUUGUGAUUGGCUUGUUACAAGGAGAAGAAAGGAAAUUACAUCAAAAAAUACAAAAGAAAAUAUCUAAAGUGGAAUCGGCAAAAACAGAGGAAAAUUCGCACCACGCAUGGGGUGUGCGAAUUUUCGCACACCUGAGGGGGGUGUGCGAGUUUCGCACACCAUUCGCACAGCUAAGGGGGUGUGCGAAUUUCGCACACCAUUGGCACACCAUUCGCACACCUGGAGCAGUUGUCUUCCGAAGGCCAUAUCUUCCUCGUUUCAGCUCCAAAUCGUACACGGUUUAAAGCGUUGGAUUCUUGACUUCCUGAUCUUUGAAAUGGUAUAUAGCAUGUAAAAAAUGGACUUCGGGAAGUGCUCCAAAAGUGCCAAAGAAGACUGCAGCUGAUGUCCUCUGUUUUCCUCCUUGCUUCUCUUUGCUUCUCUUUGGUUUUCUUUGCUUUUCUCCUUUGGAUGGCUUGUCUUAAUGAUCUAAAAAGAUGUCAAAAACACUAAAACUAGCCACAAAUAUGAUUAGGAGUCAUUGCUAGGUCCUUAACAUGCCAAUUGGAAUAAAGAUGAAGAAUUACUAACCAAAAGUGCUUAAAACAUAAUGACUUAAAGGUGUGAAAUAGCACUUUUUGGGUAGUAAUCACUCCCCCCAACUGACACAUUGCUAGUCCCUGAGCAAUGAAGGAGAGAAAAAGAAAGAAAAAUAGAUAAUAAAAUAAUUUACAAAAUCAUGCUGAUCACUCCAAAAAAUAAUCAAGUGGCAUGAUUGGAUCAAACUCUCACAUGGCAAGUCAAGGAUAUAAAACUCAAUCAUCAACAAGAGUUAUCAAAUAACUUACCUAUCACAACUUGCUAAGAGCGGACAUUAUGCAAAUUUGAGUAUCAAAAUAAUUUCCACUCCCAACGGAUCAAUUCUUAAUCUUCCACAAAAAUCUAAGUGUUAAGGUGCUUAGUUUCCAGUUAUAGUAUGUCAAACUAUAUUCUUCCCCCCAACUAAGGUUUUUCUCUAACUUUAGCAACACUAACUCAUAUAUAAAAGGCUAAGAACACACCUUUUUUUUUUUUUUUUUAAAGGGACUCCACCCAUCCACCCAUGUAACGAGCAGUGAGGUCGGUGACUCCCAACCAGUAAAGGCUUAGGGCACCAGGCUUUAAAGAUUUUCACCAUAUACCCCUCGGACCUUGCUCGGGUUUCAAAGCAAGUGAAGCAAAAAUUAUUCAUAAGACACAUUGGCCUUUUAUAAGGUGUCCCAACACUAAUAGAAUGAAGUCAAUGGCACCAAGUCGAAAAUUUCCUAAGUUUAGGGGGGUGAGAAAGUUUUCCAUCUUAUAACUGGAAUCUAAUGUGUUCAGUGUGUGAAAAGAUUAGAGUGGAAGACUUAAGAUUGAAAUCAAAAGGAUCUUCAACAAUUUAUCAACUUAAAUAAGCAUAAUACAAACUCUGAGACUAUGGCAAUAAGAUAAGAAUUUAAUUUCUCCCAUUUACUUUUGAGAAUUUAUCUUUGAGAAAACAAAAAGAGUUUGCAAAAAAAUUUGUUAGCAAAAUAACUUAACCAAAAAUUCAACAAAUUACUUCCUCAACUCUCCCCCCAACUAGGAUGAACAUUGUCCCCAAUGUUCCAAAAGCAAGAGAUAAUAAAAGGGAGGAAGUGAUACCUCCUGAUAGUAAGGAAGUCUCGACAUGAAAGUCUCUCGAUCGGCAAUCGGAGUUGCCCUCAAUGGGCAAGCUGGGUCUAGGGCGCCUGGCGGAAGAAGGCUGAGACUGUGAAUCCUGAGGUGCUCUAGAGGACUCUCCUGGCUCUGAAGUCUUGGCUUUCUUUGUAGGGGGGGUGUGCGAGUUUCGUAGACCUCAAGGGGGUGUGCGAAAUUUUCGCAUAGGGUACUAUUCACCCGCGCGUUUGAAAAAUUGUGGCUUGUUUGAGAUGGUGAAAAUUUGUGGCCUUUGAGGGUGGGAAAAGCUGGCUUAGGUAUGAAAAAGAUUUGUCAUGGUGAAUAGGCUUGGAAAUUGGAGCUUUUCAAGAGGAAAAUUGAAGAUUGGGAGCUCCCAUGGCCGGCGGCAAUGGGUUUCUUAUGAAGAAACCAUGGCUUGAAUGCUUAUGGUUUAGGCUUUGGUUUGGUAAGAACAAGGUUGGGAUUGGAUUGUGGAUGGAUUUAGAGGGUUGGGUGAAGAUUUGAAAGGAUUUUGAUGGUGGAAAGAGGUGAAAUUGCCGAAAAUGGGAAGUGGUGAAUAGUGAAUGCGCGGCUAUGGAAUGGAGCUAUGGAGAUGGGCUGCCAUGGUGGUGUUGAUGAUGAGGAAUGAUGAAGAAGAGAGGCUUUAUGGAUGGAAAUGGGUGAUCGGAAGAGAGGUUUUAAGAGAAUUGAAGAAGAAGUUAAGACUUUGAAGUGGAGAACAUAGCUUUUAAAGAGAAAAAUGAAUUUCGCACAGGGGAAAAUGGUGUGCGAAAUUUUCGCAUACCUGUGAUUCUCCAAGACAGAGAGCAUGGUUUUGAAAAUUGGCGCAAAAAAUGAAUUCGCACAAGGUUCGCACAAGGUUCGCAUUCCUGUGAAAUUCGCACAANNNNNNNNNNNNNNNNNNNNNNNNNNNNNNNNNNNNNNNNNNNNNNNNNNNNNNNNNNNNNNNNNNNNNNNNNNNNNNNNNNNNNNNNNNNNNNNNNNNNAAAAAAUAGAAAUCAAACCACAUUAGAAUGAAAUUAAAGUCAAAAAUAGAAAUCAAAACAUGCAUAAACACAAGAAAACAUUAGAUUAAACUAAAAUCAACUUAAAAGAGAACAAAAAGAGGAUAAACUUUUUAGUCUUUGGAGAGACUAAGUUCAACCAUGAACCAAGUGUUUUCAUGUUGGAGGUGGAUCAAGGAGGAUGAAUUCCUCCUUGUCUCGGGAAAAAGAUUCGAUAUAGGGCUUGAGACGAUGCCCAUUAACUUUGAAAGUUCGAGUGCUAUUGAAGUUGAGUAGUUCCACUACUCCAUUUGGUUGCACUUCAUGAAUUAUGAAAGGACCCGUCCAUCUUGAUUUCAAUUUUCCCGGAAAAAGAUGAAGCUUAGAGUUAUAAAGCAAGACUCUUUGCCCCUUGGCAAAAUUCUUCUGAUUUACCAAUUGAUCAUGCCAUUUCUUCAACCUCUCCUUUGCAAUUUUUGAAUUGAGGUAAGCAUCAUUCCUCAUUUCCUCCAAUUCAUUCAAAUCCAAACAUCUUUUCAACCCGGCUCUUGUCAAAUCCAUGUUGAGUUUUUUGAUUGCCCACCAUGCUUUGUAUUCAAUCUCCACUGGAAGAUGGCACGCUUUGCCAUAAACAAGGCAAUAAGGAGACAUUCCAAGAAUGGUCUUGUAAGCGGUCCUAUACGCCCAUAAGGAAUCUAGGAGCUUAAUAGACCAAUCCUUCUUAUUCACAUUCACCACCUUCAUUAAUAUAUUCUUGAUCUCCCGAUUGGCUAACUCAACUUGGCCACUUGUUUGAGGGUGAUAAGGUGUAGCUACCUUGUGCUUAACCCCAUAUUUGGCUAGAAGAGUCUCAAAAGGUUUAUUGCAAAAGUGGGUUCCUCCAUCACUUAUAAUGGCCUUAGGCACUCCAAAUCUUGCAAAGAUGUUAUCCUUGAGGAAUUUAAGAACCACCCUAUGAUCAUUGCUCCUACAUGGGAUUGAUUCAACCCACUUAGAGACAUAAUCCACUUCCACCAAAAUGAAGGAAUGUCCAAAUGACAUUGGAAAUGGUCCCAUGAAGUCUAUCCCCCAAACAUCAAAGACAUCCACUAUCAAAAUGGGGUUCAAGGGCAUCAUAUUUCGGCGUGUAAGCUUACCAAGCCUUUGACACCGAUCACAUCCCUUGCACAUAGAGUAGGCAUCCUUGAAAAGAGAGGGCCACCAAAACCCUGAUUGGAUCACUUUCAUAGCUGUUUUCUGGGAGGCAAAAUGACUUCCACAUGCACUAUCAUGGCAAUGGGAAAGAAUUCCUGAUUGCUCUUGUUCAGGAACACAUUUCCUUAUGAUUUGAUCCGCACAAUAUUUGAAGAGAAAAGGCUCCUUCCAAUAAUAGGCAUGGAUCUUAGCAAAGAAAUGCCUCUUGUCUUGGGCACUCCACUCGCUUGGAACUUCCCCAGUAACCAAGUAAUUUGCAAUGUGAGAAUACCAAGGAGCUACAUCUAUUGACAUGAGAGACUCCUCAGGGAAGUCAUCAUUGAUAGGCAGACCAUGUGAGUCAUGUGCUAUCACAAGUCUUGACAAAUGGUCAGCUACCACAUUUUCUACUCCCUUUUUAUCCCGGAUUUGGAGAUUGAAUUCUUGGAGCAAAAGGAUCCAUCUUAUCAAUCUUACCUUGGCAUCUUGCUUGGUUAGCAAGUACUUCAAAGCGGAAUGGUCAGUGAACACCACUAUAGAGGACCCUACUAAAUAGGCACGAAACUUAUCCAAGGCAAAAACUACUGCCAACAACUCCUUCUCAGUAGUUGUGUAGUUCCUUUGAGCCUCGUUCAAAGUUUUGCUCGUGUAAUAAAUCACAUAAGGCUUUCCAUCCUCUCUUUGCCCCAAAACAGCCCCCAUAGCAAGAUCACUUGCAUCACACAUUACCUCAAAAGGUAAUUUCCAAUUUGGGGCUCUCACUAUUGGUGCAGUUGUGAGGAAUUGCUUCAAUUCCUCAAAACUCUUCUGACACUUCUCAUCCCACACAAACUUGGCAUCCUUUACCAAGAGUUCACAAAGAGGCUUUGAGAUUUUUGAGAAAUCCUUAAUGAACCUCCUAUAGAACCUGGCAUGUCCUAGGAAUUGCCUAAUUCCUUUAACAUUUGUGGGAGGUGGCAACUUAACAAUUAGCUCCACCUUUGCCUUGUCUACCUCAAUGCCAUUUUUGGAGAUUACAUGUCCUAAGACAAUGCCUUGUUGUACCAUAAAAUGGCACUUCUCCCAAUUUAGCACUAGGUCUUUCUCAAUACAUCUGUGGAGAACAGCUUCUAAGUGCAACAAACACUCCUUAAAAGAACUUCCAUAUACAGUGAUGUCAUCCAUGAAGACUUUCAUGAUGCGUUCCACCAUAUCACUGAAGAUGCUUAGCAUACAUCUUUGGAAAGUUGUAGGAGCAUUACAUAAACCAAAGGGCAUUCUCCUAUACGCAAAAGUACCAAAGGGGCAUGUGAAGGUUGUUUUUUCUUGAUCUUCCAAAUAAAUCUCUAUUUGGAAGUACCCCGAGUAACCAUCUAGAAAACAGUAGAAAGGAUGUCUUGAGACUCUCUCAAGGACUUGGUCCAUGAAAGGCAAUGGGAAAUGGUCCUUCCUAGUCACUGAAUUCAACCUCCUGUAGUCUAUACACACCCUCCAUCCUGAGGUAGGACGUGUAGAGACUUCCUCCCCUUUCUCAUUCUGGAUCACAGUGAUUCCAGAUUUCUUUAGAACUACUUGGGUGGGGCUCACCCACAAGCUAUCUGAAAUGGGAUAUAUGAUCCCUGCUUGUAGUAGCUUCAGAACUUCACCCCUCACCACCUCUUGCAUGUGAGGAUUCAACCUCCUCUAGGGCUGCCUCACUGGUUUUGCAUCUUCCUCCAUGUAGAUAUGGUGGGUGCACACCAAAGGACUAAUCCCUUUAAGAUCAGAAAUUUUCCAUCCAAUGGCUUUCUUGCAUUUUCUGAGGACUCCCAAAAGACUAUCCUCUUGAUCACUUGUGAGAUUUGAAGAGACCACCACUGGACAUUUCUCAUCUUCCUCCAAGUAUGCAUACUUCAAAUUAACAGGAAGUGGCUUCAAAACAAGCUUUAGAGGGUCCUCCAUAGCUGCUCCUUGUGAGUCCUCCUUAUUGAACAGUGGUAAGAUCUCUUCCCGUCUCCUCCAAGGAGACAUGAUAGCUAGCACAUCAGAGGGUUCAGGUAACCCUUCUUCAAACACUUCAAGGUUUUCAUUCAAGCUCUCUUCUAAGCUCUUGUCACAAUGCUCUUCAACCAAGGUGUUGAUCAGGCACACCUCCUCCAAUCCUUCAUCCUCAUCUGGGUGAAGAUGCCUCUUGCAAAGAUGGAAUAUGUUUAAUUCCAAGGUCAUGUUUCCAAAUGUGAGUUGCAUCACCCCAUUUCUACAAUUGAUGAUGGCAUUGGAGGUAGCCAGGAAAGGUCUCCCAAGGAUGAUUGGCACGUAAUUGGCUUCCUUAACAGUGGGAUCAGUAUCAAGCACAACAAAAUCCACGGGAUAGUAGAAUUUGUCCACUUGAACUAGAACAUCCUCUAUCACCCCCCUUGGGAUUUUGACAGACCUAUCAGCUAAGGAGAGAGUGAUGGUUGUGGGCUUCAAUCCUCCAAGUCCCAGUUGCUUGUACACAGAGUAUGGGAGCAAAUUCACACUUGCCCCCAAGUCUAGUAAAGCUUUCUCCACAAGUGUCCCUCCAAUGUUGACUGCAAUGGUGGGGCAACCCGGAUCUUUAUACUUAACUGGAGACUUACUCUGAAUGAUAGCACUUACUUGCUCAGUGAGGAAUGCAUUCUUUGUCACAUGUAGCCCUCUCUUAACCGUGCACAAGUCCUUUAGAAACUUUGCAUAUGUGGGGACUUGCUUGAUCAUAUCAAGUAAGGGUAUAUUCACCUUCACUUGUCUCAAGACUUCAAGAAUUUCUGAUGAAUUCUUGAUUUCCUUUUUUCCAUGUAAAGCUUGAGGAAAAGGGGGAGGCAUAUGUUUCUUCAUCAUAUCUUCUUUAAUCACUAUCUCGGCUCUUCUUCAAUGCUUGAUUUGGAUGCACUUUUCUUCCCACUCUCCUCUUCUUGGUUAUUGCUCUCUUUAACCAAGGUUUUCUUUGACAAGAGUUCUUCAUCUUGCCUCACCUUAGGCAAGGGUUGAUCAACCUCCUUUCCACUCCUCAAGGUGAUCAUAGCUUUGACCUCCCUCAACUUUGAAGAAUCCCCCUCUUGGGUUUCAACUUCAUGAACACCCUUAGGAUUUUGGCUUGGUUGAGAGGGGAACUUUCCUUUCUCAUUCACUGUGUUGAGGUUGGUAAGCCUAGAGAUAGAGUAUUGAAUAUUAUCUAUCUUCUGAUAUAGAUCAUUUUGCAUCCCAUCCAUUCUCUUAUUUAGAGAACUCUCAACAUUCUCAAUCUUUUGGUGCAAUUGGGAGUUGAUUGCCCUUUGUUCACCCACAAAGUCAUUCAUGACUUUACUUAGGUUCGCAAUGGCUUGCUCCACUGAAGAGGUUUGUUGAGGUGCUUGAGUUUGGGCUUGUGGUUGGUAUAGAGGUGGUCUUGGUUUCCAAGAAAAAUUUGGAUGGUUUCUCUAGCUUGAAUUAUAGGUGUUUCCAUAAGGUGCAUUGUUGUUAGGCCUAAAUUGCCCCACAACAUUGGCUUGAUCACCUAACAUCUCCCUCACAGCUGGCAUGGUUGGGCACUCAUCUACCACAUGAUCACAUGAUUGGCAAAUGGUGCAUGGCAUGGCAUGGGCUUGAGUCUCGGAAAUGGCUUGGACUUCAUGCAUCUUUUUCAACUCAAGUUCUUCCAACCUCCUUGCUAUUGUUGCCACCUUAGCUUUCAUGUCCAUGUCUUCACUUAACAUGUACAUUCCACCCUUUGGAUUUACAGGAGCUUUCAUCCUUCCCAAUUCCUUUGAGUUGGGCUCAUCCCAUCCUCUUGUUACCUCAGAUACAUAACUUAAAAAAUCCAUGGCUUCUUCCGGAUUCUUACUCAUAAAAUCUCCCCCACACAUGGUUUCAAGAAUUUGCUUCAUGGAGGAAGACAUCCCAUCAUAGAAAUAGCUCACCAAGAGCCAUGUAUCAAAGCCAUGAUGAGGACAAGCAUUGAUGGCCUCCAUAUACCUUUCCCAACAUUCAUGGAACUUCUCAUUUUCUUUUGUAGAAAAUUUUGAGAUUUGUCUCUUCAACCCAUUGGUCCUAUGGGUGGGGAAAAAUUUCUUCAAAAACUCGGCCUGAAGAUCAACCCAAUUCCUUAUGCUCCUUGGCCUUAAAGAAUUAAGCCAUAUUUUUGCCUUGUCCUUCAAAGUGAAAGGGAAUAGCUUGAGUCUCAUCAAGUCUAUUGAAGCUCCUCCCUCUCUAAAGGUAUUGCACACCUCCUCAAACUCCUUGAUGUGGGCAUAUGGAUUCUCACUCUCCAUUCCAUGGAAAUUUGGUAGAAGGGGCACAAUAUGGGGCCUUAUAAUCAGCUGCUCAAGAGGAGGUAUGAUGCAUGAGGGUGCACUCAUCCUUGGUGGGUGCAUUCUAUCCCUCAUGGAUAGAUAUGCAUUUGGAUUACCCCCUUGACCUUGUUGAGAAUUCUGAUCCUCUUGUGGAGGGUCCAUGAUGUUUACACAGAUAUCCAACUCUGUGUCUUGAGGAUUCUCAAUCCUUACUAAUCUUCCCUCUUGGUCCUGAAUCCAAUAGGGCAUGCACAAAUCACUACUUGCCUGAAAACAAAACAAAGACAACAAAAACAAAAGAAAACUAGAAGAAAGUUAAAGUUAGAAAGAAAACAAAAGAAAUUCUACAAUAAAAAAAAAAGGAAAUAAAGUUAGUGAAAAAGGAAUUCACCAAACUUGUGAUGAAAAUCACAAGUAGCCUCUAAAAGGUUGUAUCACUGUAUCGUGGCACCAUCCCCGGCAGCGGCGCCAUUUUGAUUCGCGUAUGUAAAUCUAGUCGGGUCAUUUAAUCAAAAACAUUUAUAAAACCUAUGACCUCAUACUAGUGUAGCAAAGCUACUAUAGUAUAGUGGCUCUAGGGUCGAACUCUGGGAUGGGUUUUCAUUCUACCAGUGAUAUACUCAUGAUUAGGAAUUGAAUUUAAUGAUUUCCUUUAUAAAAAACUUAGAGUUUAAAAGAAAAUAAAAUUUGUUUUGAAAGUGUUUGAAACUAAAUUAACAUAAACUAAUUAAAAAUGGAAGAAAGAAAGUCUCCCGGAGCUCAGGAUUGCUAGGAUCAAGUUUAGAAUGCAAAGUGGAAAAUUCCAGAUUUUUCUCCUCGCAUUGGGGAUUUAAUCUAUAGUUAUUUCCCGAACCGGUAUAGGUUUAACAAUGAAGAUUUAAUCCAUAAAAAUCAAUAGAAAUGGUAGUCAAGGUCCAUUAAUGGCUUUAGACACUAUGGGUCUUCACAUUGAACCACUUUCCAAUGGCUCGUACAUGAUAACUAAUGGACUGAUAUGGAUCUAGCAAUAAGCAUCCACAGAGACCUGAAGCUUACCAUGUAUUGGCCAUUCAAAGUGAUUCUAAGGGAUUUAAAGCAAAACUUUGGAUUUAAAAGCCAUUUAUGAACUUCAACUACCUGUAUUUAAGGCACGAGCGUUUUCCACCUUGCAUCUGGACUUUUCACCUAACUUCCAUCACUCCAAGAAACCAAAAGUUUAGCCUCUCAUCCUCUGAGAAAACAUCCUCAGAGGUUGUUUGGCUUCCAAGAAAAAGAAAAUAGUAAAGAGAAAAGGGAAAACGAGAGAGCUCUGUAUAUUUUUCUAAGUGUAAAACAUAACACGCGUGAUACCUCCAAGAGGUGAUUUCCACCCCUUAUAUAGUUUUUACAAAAGCAAAGCUUGUGAUUGGCUUGUUACAAGGAGAAGAAAGGAAAUUACAUCAAAAAACACAAAAGAAAAUAUCUAAAGUGGAGUCGGCAAAAACAGAGGAAAAUUCGCACCACGCAUGGGGUGUGCGAAUUUUCGCACCACGCAUGGGGUGUGCGAAUUUUCGCACACCUGAGGGGGGUGUGUGAGUUUCGCACACCAUUCGCACACCAUUCGCACAGCUAAGGGGGUGUGCGAAUUUCGCACACCAUUCGCCCACCAUUCGCACACCUGGAGCAGUUUUCUUCCGAAGGUCAUAUCUUCCUCGUUUCAGCUCCAAAUCGUACACGGUUUGAAGCAUUGGAUUCUUGACUUCCUGAGAUUUGAAAUGGUAUAUAGAAUGUAAAAAAUAAACUUCGGGAAGUGCUCCAAAAGUGCCAAAUAAGACUGCAGCUGCUGUCCUCUAUUUUCCUCCUUGCUUCUCUUUGCUUCUCUUUGGUUUUCUUUGCUUUUCUCCUUUGGAUGGCUUGUCUUAAUGAUCUAAAAAGAUGUCAAAAACACUAAAACUAGCCACAAAUAUGAUUAGGAGUCAUUGCUAGGUCCUUAACAUGCCAAUUGGAAUAAAGAUGAAGAAUUACUAACCAAAAGUGCUUAAAACAUAAUGACUUAAAGGUGUAAAAUAGCACUUUUUGGGUAGUAAUCAUUUACAAAUUAAUUGGAGCAAUGGAAUUGGAACAGGACACAAACUUCAAAACAUUAAAAAUCAGUAAUGCAGAUAAGGGCAUUUAUAUGUACACAUAUUGAUCAGAAAAUGAACUUCAUCCUUUACCAACCUAAAAACUCAAAAGAAAGAAGUAUAAUUUCAGAUAUGCAAGAUUUUGAUCUAUUAAAGCCCAAAUCAUUUUAUGUUCAUAGAAAUGAGAAGACAAAAUGGCAGCCGACUUUUAGGAUUGAAAGAAAAAUGAAUUGAUGCUACUUCCCAAUGCUAAUGCCAUUAAUUUGUUAUUACUCUUUGUGGCCAUGUCGAGUCUGUCUAUCAAAUAAGAUAAUCCCUUCUUUUUUUCUUCUUUUUUUCUUUACAUAGUCAAUCAUCUUGUUUCAUGUUUGCCCUAUAGUUGGUCUGCUGAUGAUAGGCUUUUUUUUAGUGGAAGCAAGUACUCUAUACUGAAGGUAAAUUAUGGGAACUAUGUCUUUUUGUGGUAUCGACGGGGUUAUCAUAUAGCUGAAUGAUUCUAUACUUCCUUAUAGCUUUUCAAGGCAUUAAAAAAGAAAAGAACAAAGGUAGAACUAGGAAAAAUAUUUCUUUUUGAUUUCAAGUAUACUCUUUCCUUAUGAAGUUUUAUUUUGGUAAAUUACAGUUAGAUAUAAUCACAUGGCAAUAUUUUUUUCUUCCAAGUUUAAACAGUAAUUCAAGAGAGUGUAUUAUGAAAAUAUACUAAAAUAAAAAAAUCCCAUGAAUGCAUUCUACUUUGGAUAUUUCUUAUGAAUCUUCCCCUAUACUCCUGGCCAUCACAUACACUCCCAUCACACCAAUCCUUGUAGUUGUUCUAAAUUGUUUCAAAUCUGUCAUAAACCGAUUACUAAUAUUAAGGACUGCCAUGUCUACUAAUUUGGGGCUAGAAUUUUUAGAGCAUGUGGGAAAUUCUGGUUAUAGUGGGAAAUGUGAGUGCUACUGUUUUGCCAAAGUGGCUUUCCUUAUUCAUGCUAACAUCAACAACAUAGCAAUGAACUUGAUUUAAUAUUAUUUAUCAUAUAAGCUUGAGAUAUCUGGACACAAAAGUUAAAACAAGAUCUUCGAGGCUUUGAAGAUGAGGUAUUUUCCUCCUCUUAAGUACUAGUUAAUAUUCUUCUUUUGACAUUGUACUUGGUUUAAUUAAUGUUUUCCUUUUUUUUCGUAUUCUAGAAAGGUUUUUGUUGUUGAUUUGAGUCCAUAUGGUGAGAAGGUAGUCUCCGAUGGUACGAAACAGAGUACUCAAUUUAUGGAUGGCUUGAUGGCUGAAAAAGGAAGAGAUAUAUGAAAUGAAGAUUGACAUGAUUCUUCCACAACAUGAUGGACUUGGUAGGCACUCAAUUUUUGCCUACAGCUAAUAGUCUACCAUAUGUGUAACUUAAAGGUUGUGCACUAAGUUAUUAUGUUAUGAAGAAUCAAGGGUGGUUUGUGCACUAAGCUCUUCUAAAAUGUUUUUCUUUAUUGAGCUGUAAUGAUUGUAUUAUUUGGAUUUAAUUGUAUUCAUUAGGUUUGCACAUCACGAUAUAAUUAUUUUCCUCUUUGAUCAUGUAAAGUUGGGAAACAGUUAUGGGUUAUUGUAAUAGCGUGGUAUAUUGAUGCACACAGUUUGUGGCAUAACAGUUUGAUGAAAUAACAGAAGUGUAGCACUCAUGGGCAUAUCAUGUGAACCUUAUUCAAUGUGGCAUUGACAGUUAGCUUAAAUUUACAUGGGUGUAAUGUCGCACCAGUAUCUUCUAAUGAACCUUGGAUUCUUUUUUCUCCAUUUCUUCCUCUCUUGGUCAAACCAAACAAUUUAUCUUCAUGACUUCCUCAUGUUACCAAAAAACAACAUCUUGUGUUCUCCAUCUCUUUAUCCUCUUAUCAAGACAUAGCAAUCUAAUGCAUCUUUGCAUUGGGUUGCUUCCUCUCCUUCCCUUCUCCUUCCUCCUUAUAUCAUUGCUUAGUUUUGGCUACUCUAUUUCUUUGAUCGUUAUGGUAGAGCAUCAUUGCAAGAUGUACAAGAAAUGUGUUGUGGUGCAUUAUCCCCUUCUCUACCACCCGAAAUAUGUUUUCCAUGAUCAUUAAUACCAAGACGUUUAAGCAUCAAGUAAGGCAUCUCUUGACAAUUAUGUGAAAGAUAAGAGAUAAGCAACAUACUGGUAUUCAAGAGAAGUGAUGUUCUACAUUUGC
rnacentral:lncRNA from 1 species